rnacentral:lncRNA from 1 species
GGGCACGCCUGGAACUGGCAAGACGACGACCUCUUCUGCUUUGGCGGAGGCCACCAAUCUGCGCCACAUCAAUAUCGGUGAUUUGGUCAAAGAGAAGAACUUGCACGACGGCUGGGACGAUGAUCUCCAGUGCCACGUUAUCAAUGAAGACCUCGUAAUUCGACCUCUUCCCUUAUGCUCUAAUUUCAUAUUUCUUGAUUUUUUAAAAAAAAAAUUAUUGAGGUUAUUAAUUUAGGGUUUAUGGAUAUUAGUGAUUUUAAUAAACAAGAAGUAGUUUUUGGGUAUAAUAUUUAAUUUAAGCAAUAAACAGUGUUUAAACUUGGAAAUUUUACGCCUUGUUUGAUUGUGAUUCUAUUCGUAAAUUGGUUUGGUAUGCAUGAAUUUGAUAUUCUGGGUUUUGCGCAUGCAUUGUAGUAAGAAAUGAGAAAGCAAAUUUCUCAAUAGCAAACGGAGUGCUAAAUACUUAAUUUACAGGAUUUUGAUUGUAUAUCUCAUUACCUGGAUUUGUGCAAAUUUUGGAUAAUGAUGGAUACGCUCUGUGUUUUUUCAUACAUUUGGAGGAUCAUUUUCUCGUACUCAUGUCCAGAAUAUGAGUUGGACUCUAAUACCUUGGGGAAAAGUAAGAGUUUGGAUCAUAUGGGUAUAGGCUGUAGGGAUAUGACACUUCAAAUACGUGGAAAAAUUUUAAAAGAAAUGAAUACAUACCCAUGCUAAAUGUACAUCUGUAUUCAAUAUUUAUAUCCAAUUCUGUGCAUCAUAGUUCACUUUCUUUUCUUGUUUCAACUUUGGGUAUGUUCUAUUGUUUUUGGUUACUAUUUUCUAGUAUUUUGGCUUGUAGUUUGUUGCAUUUGAUUUAGAUGUAUCGGAUUUUGAAGGUGUGUGAUGAGCUUGAGGAUGUGAUGGAAGAAGGUGGAAACAUUGUAGAUUAUCAUGGUUGUGAUUUCUUUCCCGAAAGAUGGUUUGAUCUUGUUGUAGUACUUCAAACUGACAACACCGUGUUGUAUGAUCGGUUGAGUAAAAGGUAUCAAUUUUCAGUCCAUAAUACUCUUUCCUGUUCGUUUCUAUGUUGUUCCAACUCAUCAUUUUUCUUUAAGUAUUCAUGUCAGAUGCGUUUUUGGACACAUGUUGGAGACUUAUCCAUAUUCAACAUUCAUACGAUGCCAAUGUUCUGUCUAUACGAUCAUUUUCUUUUUAUUCCCCGAGUCUUCAUUUUUCUUGAAAUUUGUCUAACACUGUUUCGUCAUAUCUUUGGAUGUGGGUAUAGGGAUAUAUUCCUCCAAGAACCCUCUUAAGUACAUGGAAAAACUAAAACACACACACACACAAAAACUGAGCAUACCCGUGUACAUUUACCUAAUUCAGACACACAGUUAUGUGGUUUUGUUUUCUCAUCAAUUCUUUUUCUCUGUCAGAGGUUAUGAAGGUGCUAAGCUUUCAAACAACAUGGAGUGUGAAAUCUUCCAAGUACUGCUAGAGGAAGCAAAAGAAAGUUACUCGGAAGAUAUUGUAAAAGCUUUGAAGAGUAAUAAUAUCGACGACAUCACAAGAAAUGUUUCAAGUUUAACUGAUUGGAUCAGGAGUUGGCCCCCAACAUCUUGAACGCUUGCUAUUUUCCGCAAUCUACCCUCUGCAUAUGCUUUGUUUCACCAUGCAAAAGAAGCUCUGGUGAGUGCCUUAAUCAAGUAUGUCUCUAUCAAGUAUCGGUUUAAAUCUCUAUUGCUUUUAAAGUUUAGCUCGAACACGAAAUCAGUUAAUUGUGGUAGUUUCGGUUAUUUUCGUGGGCUAAUCUCCAGGUCUGGGUUCGAGUUAUGUGAGAUUGUUAUCUUUAAUUUUAGUAUUUUUGUUGAUGAUGUUUGUAACUGAUAGUUCAAGGAUGUAUUGUGAUCAGUGAAGAGACAAUUGUUAUGUAGGUUUUUCUUUUUCCCCUUUUAAAAUAUCUUUGCCCCUAUUGGUUGAUAGAGAUAUACCUGAUUAAGCACUCAUAAGAGCUGGCUUGACAACGAAUUGGUUGAAAAGGGAUCCAUUCAGUAGACAAAUAUGUAAAGCAAAAGAUUCUAAAAGGUCAUAAACGAGAGUUUCAAACAUCACUUAUUAUGUAAACAUUAAGAAAGAUGGAAGUACAACAGAUUCAUGGAUUUUGAUGUGGGUGUCGCAAGCAUCAUCGUCUUUUGUUCUAUAUCUAAAUCCACGACGGAAUAUGACCUUCCUAUGACUGAACUUUAAGGCAAAAUAAGGAGCACAUAAAACAAAAAAAAGAAAAACCUGAAAAUUGAUGGAUACCGUAAACUAGAUUAUUUCCUCAUCCUCGGCACUAUACCUCAUCUGGCAGGUUUCUUUCUCCACUCGGUACGGCCUCUGUUUAUUUCCUGCCCGUUACAAGACACUCUCAACAGAUGCAAAAACUUGGGGCAGUCUGCAUCUUCUCUUGCAGCUGUAGACCCAUUUGUCCCAUUGUGCUCUGAAACCGUUUCGGUACCAUCUAUUGGUUCCAGACUGGUAAGCGAAUCAACCACGUCAUCCUGUAGGCAUUCCCGCCUAUAAUCUAACGUGAUACUUUGCAAUUCAUGUGUGUCAAUGAUCUCUUGAGGCAUGCUCUGCCGAAGCGAUAUGCAUAAAUGACAUUAGCUUCCAAAAUCUCCAAAAUCAACUGGAACAGUUAAAACCAAUACGGAAUGAAAGAAUUUUCAGGUGCCCUUUCCACUGACCUCCAGAACCCAUCCGAUGUAGGUAACGUAAUUGACAUGAUGGUUCAUGUCCAGAUCAGCUCGUCUUGGCUGCAUCAAGGGUUUUAAUGAGUAUACAAACUGUUGAAAUAAACAGACCAAUUUGAUCUCCAAGCCCUUUUCUUUUUAAAAUUAGGUUAGAUAAAUCAGAUGAUCUUACCGUAAGCCGAAGCCGCGAAUACUGAGCGGGAUCUUCUAAUUUGAUAAUUUUCUUCAAACUUCUGUUGUUCUUUUCAGGAAAUGCUAACCUGUAACAGCCAAAAGAAGAUCAAUUAAAUAAGAAACAACGCAUCCCUUAAAACAAAUUGCAUAAAUGACAUGAUUAUGCUCUGAAAAUUAUUUGGGUGAGGAAAAGCUCCUGAAGAUUAUAGCUUUUCAGGGCAUUCCAUUGAAGUUUUAUAGCUUUUCAGGGCAUUCCAUUGAAGUUUAUAGCUUUUAAUCCUUGGGUGAGGAAAAGCUCCGACCUUGGUUCUCGUGGACAGAAGAUUAGAUGUUCUUCUCGGACAUCAUCACUAACUUUCUGCAGCCGUCUCGUGUCCUGGUUCAUCAUCACCCACUUGCUGCAACCAUACCACAUGAGAUUAGCUUUCGAAAUAAACCUAAUCUUAACAAAUAUUCAAAGUUAAAACCAGAAAAGAUACAGCAGAAAUGAAGAAAUUCAACAGCAUUCAUAUAGAAACAAUAAAUCGAAAUGGAAAUAUGUCAGGAAAGAGCAACAGGCUCUGCAAAAUGUUCACAGGACAGAAUCUAAACAAUCAGCAAAUAAUUUCUAAUUUUCAUGUAAAUUUUCAAUCUGAACUAAAGUUUAGAAAAUUAUCAAUGCCCUUGGGUCUUUUCAUGUUAUGAAUCCUAUAAUAUGCAUGGUGAAGGAAAGAGAGCGGAUAAAGAGACACACCCUGUAGCUCUUCCUAUAAGUUCACCAGUUGCGGCAUCCUUUAGGAUCCAGUCCCUUCUGGUUCCAAUUCUUCCCUCACUUUGGCACCAUGUUUCAAUUUCAACCACGUCACUCCUACACCACAGAAUCAAACACCAAAAUUUUCAAACAUAUACAAGAAAUUGAAACCAGAUAUCAAUGUCAUUAAAUGAAGGAUAAAAAACCUACCAAGCAGGGUAUUUGUAUAUUUCUAUAUGCAUACGUGCGGUCACCCAUAUGAGAUGCAUUUUUCUCAUGGUGGGAGUUGUAGCAAACCCGUCUGUCGAAAAUCCAAGGCUUUGAGCAUGGUUAGAUCCAACCUCCUGCAUUGCAUGAAAUCCCAAAAGAUUAAACAAACAAAAGUAAAUGAAACUUCAUUCCAUGAUUUCAUCUAUAGUCGCUAAAACUUAGUAUAACAAAAUCAAACAAGCAAUUUGACCAAGCCAUAUCAAAGCUGAAUGGAUCGGUUUUAUAUAAAAACUAGAAUUACAUACACUUGCUAAGCAAGUGAAAAGAAAAUAUGUAAAAAAUAAAUUAAUUACCCCUGCACCCCCCCCAAGGGAUUCGCCCCUGCAUUUUAACUUGUGAGAACUACACAACUGAAGAGUAUUAUAUAUAGUAUGCGUUUGAGUAAUUUUAAAAGUUAUAACUGUUUCAUUUUGAACUUCAACAUUCAAUUUUAGCUUGUAUUUAAUCAAUUUCUGUAGAAAAUUCACACUAGUUAAUUUACAAAGAAAGACCACACUUCCAAAUUACAGAGAGAAAGCUUCAAUACACCCAAAAUCAAACAGUAUUAAAAAAAAACCCAGAAAUCUAUGAAGUUUCAUAACAAUUUCCAAUCAAUAAAUACACAGACAGCUAAAAGAUGAUCUCAAAAUUCCCUUUUUGGGGGCGCUCUAACACUCCGGAUUCAACUUUGAAAAACAAUUCAAAAUGAAUUCAAACAAAUAAAUUCAACACGAAAUCGAAGCCCAAAUUUCGAAACAAAAGAAGAGAAGACCUGCAAGAGAUUAGCUAGCGUUUCAAUAGUGGCGGUUUUGUUGAUUCCAACUUCAUAACACCUCACUAUAUACUUUUCGUUAUAAGACAACCCAUCUUCCGCCAAGCUACCCAAGCGGAGCAGGUCGGCCAAACUCCCCGACCCAGAUUUAACGACCUCGGCAACUUCUUUUUGCUGGCUUGACAGCACGGCUUGAACCGGCGUCAACUUGAGUCUACUCAGCGGGGAACAAGAGACAGAGACCGGGCUCCGCCGCCGAAAUGCGAAAGGACUGGGUGAACCGGGGAAUCGGCAUUGAACCGAUGCCUGAAUUUGGUCCGUCACACUGCAAGAGCAAAGCUUCAACAUCUUUCUAUGAAAUCUUCUUCCUCUGCAAGAAGCUUUAGUUCUCUUCAGUAGUUUUUAUUAUUUUAGUUAUUUCCAUUUAUUUAUUGUCGAUGCGACCGAGGUCGUGCGGUGGGUCGUUGGUGGAAACGUAAUUGCCAUGUUUUACGAUAUUGCCAUUCGCCCAGCACCAAAAUCUAUGUGACGUAAUUAUUCAAACAAUAAUUAACUUUAUUGACACACUACAAUUUAUAUAUAAAUUCUAAUUUUGUGUAAAUUUAUAAAUAAAAAUUUGGAUUUUAUAUGACACUGAUGUAACACUCUUUUUAUGUUUAUAAAUUAUAUAUAUAAUUAAUUAUAUUUAUUUUAUGUAUAAACAAAUUAAUAUAUUUAUUUUUUAAAAUGCUAAAGUUUCAAAUAUACAUUUUAAUCGUUAUUAAAAUUUUAUGUAUAUAAUUACACUAAAUCAAAAUUGAUACACCAAUUUACAAAUUAAAUAAAAGAUUAUACAUAAUUUCAAGUUUUAUCCAUAAUUUUAUUUUAUUUUUUGUAAUUUUAAGUUCUUAAUUCUAUAAAAGAAAUCAUUAUUAUAAAAAAAGUAAUAUAUUAUUAUGUUGUUAUUGUUUUUUUUUCUUUUACAUUAAAUUUCUUCAACAUUUAGGGCUUGGUUAGUAGUGCUUAAAAAAAUUACUUCUGAUUCCAAAAGCACUUUUGAAAGAAAAUUGGGCUUAACAAGUUGUUUUUAGCUAAAUUUUUUUUACUUUUAAAAAACACUUUUGAAAAGCAUUUCUUAAAAGAAAAAACUAAAAUUUCUAAUUUUUCCUCUCCCAAAAGCAUUUAUGGUGCUUCACUAUUUUUUUACCCCUCCAAUAACAUAUUACUUUUAACUUCUUCUUUUUUGUACUUAAUUACAAAUGUGUUAAAAUUAUUAAUUAAAAAUAAAAAAAAAAUAUUUUUUAAAAUAAUACAAAUGUGUUAAUAUCUAAUUACAAGAGACCUACCGCAUCAGUGACGCACAAAAGGCCAAGUCUCAAAUGGCCUAUCUUCCUCCUCUUCAUCUCGGAUCUAUUACCAUCAAUAUAAUCUAUUAUGAUAAGGCCUUUCGAGAGUAGUUCCUAAUAGAUUUGGCGGCAUGCUUACUUUGUCAAAUCUCAGAUAUAUAUAUAUAUACAUUAGAAUAUGAUGAGAAACUAAAAAUUAAGAAUGAAACCAGAUAUGAUUUUAAAGAAAACAAAAUGGAAAAAAUAAAUGAACAAAACCACAAUAAUGUAGACUUCAGUUAGAAACAAAUUAAAAACCAUGAUAAAUAAUAUUAAAAAUGUUCUGAAUAAUAACUAGCCGAAAGCUAAUGUCGCUGCUGAUAAAAGCAAAAUAUUAAUUUGAAAAAAUUUUAGCAAUUGAAAAGGAAAUUUUUUUUUUCAUAGAAGUGUAUUUUCAAACCUUUAAUAGUUUAAAGAAAACAUUUUUGUAUUAAUAUAUUAUUAAAUGUGAAUAUUGAAUACAUAUUUUAGUGUAUUAAAUACAAAAUUCUAAAUUAAGAAAACAUUAAUCGGUACUAGGCCCCUCAUGAAGUGCUAGUUGGACUGUUUAUUUAUGUACUCUACAUUUAUUUUUCAUUUAAAUUUAACAAUAAAUAUCAAGUUAUAUUAUUUUAAAAAUAAUUCAUUGACAAUUAACUUUUUCACCAAAAUUUUUGACGGUUCCAUACCUAAUGAUGUGAAAAAUAAAGACAUGAUAGAUGAGAACAAAUUUUUAUUAUGGAUUUAAUGAUUUUUUAAAGAUAAAUUACACUUAAUGUCAUUAAAUUAUUAGUAAAUUUAUAUUUUGGCCAUUAACUUCAAAAGUUACAAAAGUUUUCAUUUAAGUCAUCGAACUAUUUAUUUGUACUACCUGCACAAGUCGAAAGCUAUUCUUCCUCCUACUCUUUUACAAUUCAGUUUUUUUCUGAAACAACUUUGAACAUCAUGAAUCUACAAAUCAAAAUUCAAACUGUUUUUUCUUUAAUCUCCGACAUCGAUUGUCAGAUCGACUUAGAUCUAAGGUAUGUUCUUCUACUUGUCGAUAGGUACUGAUCCGCCAUACCAUCGUCGAAUCGUCGCUUGGUGCUAGCUAGUCGGACUUUAAAAAAAAUACUUAACAGCCUAAUGACUAAAAUAAAAACUUUCAAAUAGUUCAGUGGCCAUUUGUAACUUUUUAACGUUGAGUGACCAAAACUUAAACUUACUAAUAAUUUAAUGACCUUAAAUGUAGUUUACCAAUUUUUUAAUUAUUUUACAAGCACCUAUUUGAAAAUCUAAAAAAAAAAUUAAGAAUGCUAAAAGAUUUUAUUUUAUUUUUUGAAAGAUUCUAGAAAGUUAAACAUUUUAAGAAAAUUUUAAAAAUUUCAUAAAAUUAUGAAAAUUCUAAAUUUUUUUAAAUGCUAAUAAAAUUUAAGAAAUUAUAAAAUUUUAUUAAAAACUAAAAGAAAAUUUUAUAAAAUAAAAAAAUCAAUAAACACAUUUUUAACUUGCAUUUACUUAAAUAUCUUUAUAUAAGAAAUUACUCAUUUAAUUAUGGCAUAAAAAAAACAUAUAUUUUUUUAAUGCUAAAAUCCAAAAAAAAAAAUCUUAGGAAGUAAAUAUUGGGAUAUCUUACUAUGAGAAAAGAUUGUGUGAAACUAUAAUUCCACGUCAUCCCUAUCCCUUUCCAAUAGAAGAAUGACAAAUAAGAUUUUUUAUCUUGAUUUUUCGCUUUUAAUUCUUGAAAAAAUUCAAAUUCAACUAAAAAUGCUAAAAAUUGGGAGGAAAAAUUUGAUUUGUCGUUCUCCUAUUGAAAAGGAAUAAGAAUAACGUGGAAUCACAAUUUCAUACAAUCCCUUCUCAUCUUACUAUAUUGUUUAAAGAAAUAACUCCAGGAUUUUAAUGCACAAACCAGUAUUUAUGAAGCACUAAAAAAAUUCUAAAAUUAUUUACUAUCAUUUAUAGAUGCAUCAAUCAAUGAAAUAAAUUCUUUACUUGGACUGCCAUUUUUUAUGUUAAAUUUUAAUUUGAUAAAGCAAAUAUUUAAUUUGAAAAAAAUUUAGCAAUUGAAAAGGAAAGUUUUUUUUCAUAGAAUUGUAACUUCAAACCUUUAAUAGUUUAAAGAAAGCAUUUUUAUAUUAAUAUAUUAUUAAAUGUGAAUAUUGAAUUCAUAUUUUAGUGUAUUAGAUACAAAAUUUUUAAAUUUUUUUUGGUGAAAAUAGAACAAAGUAAAAUAAAAUUACAUGGGAUAUUCAAGAGGAACAAAAAUCCUCUCUUUGGCUGACUUAAGGAAAUCUAACACUUCAUCUGGAGGAGACUCAAAUAGAUGUAACUCCUCUUCUAUUCCAAAAGCCAAUUUGGCAAUGUAGUCUGCACUAUGGUUCUCCUCCCUGGGAAUGUAUCUUAAAAUCCAAUGACUUUCUUGGGACAAGAUUAGGUGUAUUCUCCUUAUCAAAGCGGAAGUUGAGCUCUUCGAAACGUUAUCAUGAAUAGCUUUGACAACUUCCAAGCUAUCUGAAUGAAUAAUCACAUUGCUAUGGCCUCUGCGUUGGAUGAGUUUUAAACCAUCUAGAAUGCCCUAGAGUUCUGCAUAAAAAAUGGAGCAAUUUCUUAGGAAUCUAUUAUAACCCAUCACCUAGUUACCAGUGCCAUCCCAUACCACUCCUCCAGCAGCUGCUAUUCUUGAUGUUUUUUGAACAGCACCAUCAGUAUUGAGAAAGAUCUAAUCCUUGGAAGAAAGCUCCUCAUGGGAUAAAGCUAUACUAUCACUCAAGAGUUCUCUAGUAGUCAAAGACGAAUGCUUGGCCCAGCACAUUGAAACUUUAAUGAUCUCACUAGAGCUCCAUGAUUUCUUUUGAAAAAUAAAGAGAUUGCGGUUCUGAUGGCUAUCGAUUCCAUCAAUAUAAACCUACACCUAGUUUGAAAAUUAAAGCAGUAUAGGGAGUAGGGUCGAUCCCACAGAGACUGGAAUUACUGAAAAUUGUUUGUUUCUUGACCAGAUUAGUGUCUGGGCAGUUGUCGUGCCCGCGACGUUUGGGGGGGGAAAUAAAAUAUGAAACCUGAAAUAAACACAAGAAAACGUAAAAAGUAAAAGAUGAAAUAAAAAUAAAUAACGAAAUAAUUUAAAAGAAAUUCAAUAAAACUUAGCUCAGCAUUAAGUACGGGUUUUCCCGUCUUUGACCCGUUCCUCGAAAUUAGGUGAACUCCUCUUUUCCGAUAAGCUAGUUAUAGCUACCAAGGACGCCUCGGACACCAACUCUUCCUUGUGUAAAUUAGUUAUGGAACGUCCUAUAACUAACCCUUACCGAUCGAACAACCUACGAAACGUUCGUGAUUUAAAACUCCGGCAGCUUUGCGUUCUAGAAGAGCCUAGCUCGAACCAAUGCCUUCAAACGUUUGGGACAUUUAAAUUCGGUUACUACUUCCCUUGACAGAACCAAACAACAAUCCCCACUUGGCACGCCAAUGUGUUCACGGAAGACCAAUUAGACAAUCGAUCCUUUCGGAAUUCCAACUGUAUGUCUAGCCACACUAACUCAAACGACGUCUUUUUUGACUUAGUGUUGUCUAGACUUUGUGAGUUGACGAAGUCAUACUCUUAAUCCGGAGAAAUAAUAAAUAUCGAAAGUUGGGAGUUAAACAGCUCGGGUUCGUAACUCACGGGUUUUUUGACGGGGUUAACACCGACUUAAAAUUGAAAGGGGUUUAGUGUGGCAUGAAUUUAAUCAUGCUUGAAGGUUAUGGAAAUGAUAGAAAUUGUAUGAAAAAGGUAGUGGAAAUGGAUAGGAAAAAUAUUUGCAAAGAGAAUUAGACAAAUUUUGUAAAAAGAAGACAAAAUAAUCUAAUGCUCAAUUGAAUUAAGAAAAAUAAAAACAAGGUGGAUAAUGGAAUUCCAAAAUGAAAUAGGAAUGUAAAGACAAUUGAUUAAUGGAUGAUUUCCUAAGAACUAAAACCCCCAAUUUAUAUAGAUAGGGUUUACUAAAAAUAACUUAAGAAAAUUAAUAUAAAAUCUAAAAUAAUAAUAAUUAAAAAUAAAUAAACUUAAAAUAAAAUUUCCUAUUUUUGGCUUUUUACAAAGUCAAAUUUAUGACUAGUCCUUGGCUUGCUCCAUCUUUUCGCUUUGGCCCAUUCCAAUAAUUUUCUUCUAAUUUGGCCCAUUUUCAGCUUGCUUUUGAUCAAUUGCAUCCCUGACAAGAAUUAAAUCAUAAAAACACUUAAUUAGCAGGGUUCAGUUUAUCAAUAAACCAAAUUAAGCACAAAAAAUAUGCAAUUUGAUAUGUUUAUCAAAUCCCCCCUACUUAGCUCAUGCUUGACCUCAAGCAUGUUGUUCUUUCAAACAUUAGAAUUAAUUCCACAAUUUAUUAAAAAUCGAGCCCCUUUUCCAUAUCCUCAAUUAAUGCAAACAACAUAGGCAAAAAGAAAUAAAUGUUCAAAAUAUACAUUUUAAUCAACAAGUGUCAUAAAAUUGAAAUAUGUCAACUAAACAAUUUCGCUAAAUUGAGAUUGAAUCCCAUAAUUUGCAUGGCAUUAUUAAUUAACUAUGCAUCAGAAAAUUAAUAGACAAGAUCAAACUUUUUACGCGAACUAGGAUGACAACCCAAGCACCCUAUCCCGGUUACUCAGUUCAAACAGUCUUUAUUUAUUAUGUAUUAUUUUUUUCUUUUUUUAUUUUAUAGGGUGUUCAGCUAGCGGAAUGUUUGUAAGUUAUUGACUUGUCACUCGAACCUUUUUAUGCGAGACAAGAUGACAACCCAAGCACCCUGCCCCGGUUACUCAAUUCGGUCACGUUUUCGAAACUUCAUUCAUAACCUGAACCUUUAUUAAUUUAUUUAUGCACAAACAAACAUAUUUUAUUCAAUCAAUCAAUUCAUGCGAAAAAAUUCUAGCUACAUAUACCAAUUUUAAAACCUAAAUGUCAACCAAUCUAUAUACUUAAACAUUUAAUUCGAAAUUUGCCCAAUUGCUUAAAUCGACUAAGUAUGAGGUUUUAAGGCAAAUAUUGAAUAAAUUGUCGAAAGAAUUCAUCGUAAGAUUGAACACAUGCAAAAGAGAAAGACAUGCAGCAAAAAUUAAGUAUCAGGUCCUUCAUCUGGAUGAGGAGGAGGAAUUCCCAUAAUGUGAGCAAUAACCUCCUUUGGUAGCCAAUCCUGCAAAAAAUUAAUGUUCCAAUUGCCAUCUCCUGUGACCAAGUCACUAAGCAAACAAUCAGUAUUAACAUUAGCACAGCAGGUAAAUAAUUAAUCAAAGGUCCAACAGUAGGAAUCCACUGAUCUUUCUAACACCGAAUUUUAUUACCAUAACCGACAGACCAUAAUAGAUUAUCAUGUAAAAGGUUCCAAACUUUUGAAAGCAACUUCUAAAGGAAAGAGCUCUUCGCCUUUGAUAUACUAACUGGAAACGGAUCAUUCACCCUAUACUUAGACCUGAGAACACGAACCCAGAGAGCUUCGUCAUCUUAAACUAAUUUAUAACCAAGUUUCAGCAGGAAAGCGAUGUUCUAAUCCCGUAAUUGUCUCAUGCCAAGUCCUCCACACCACUUUGGUUGGCAAAUAGAGUCCCAACCUGCUAAUGACAUCUUUUUCUUACCAUCCGACGUCCCUUAUAUGAAAUGCCUUACCAGACAUUCAAUCUCGUCACAAAUCUUCCUAGGAAUCAUCAUGGACUGCAUGAAAUAACUGGGAAUGGCUAGAAGAACUGAUUGCACAAGAGUAGCUCGACCAGCAAAAGAUAACGGACGAACAUCCCAACUUUGUAACUUCAUACAAACUUUCUCGAUCACAAAAUGAAGAGUGUUGUUAGUGACUCUCUUAUGGAAUAGGGGAAUUCCAAGAUAAUGAUCAAGAUUAUCCACCUUCUGGAAGCCAAGUAAAUUAUUGAGGAAGUCAGUCAUAGGAUCCUCAACUCCUUUGGAAAGGAAGAUAUUAGUUUUCUUGGAAUUAACCUUGUGACCUGAAAACUCACAAAAGCCAUUCAGAAUAAUUUUUAAAAGCCUUCCAAGCUGUUCAUCCGCUUUGCAAAAUAUAACAAGAUCAUCAGCGAAAAAAUGUGCGAAAGAACUGGCCCAGAACAAGAUAAACGUAUAGGUUUCCAAACCCCUUUGGAUAAAGCUGAUCUAAUAAAAUGCCCUAACCAUUCCAUACAAAGUACAAAAAGGUAGCGGGAUAAGGGACAACCUUGCCUAAUUCCUCUAACAGGUCUAAAUUUAGCCGUUGGAACUCUAUUCCACAAAACCUGCAUGGUAGAGUUAGAAAUAGCAGAAAUAAUAACUUUUCUGAUAUAAUUAGGGAUACCUGCCGCUUGAAGAGAUGAAUCAAUAAAAUCCCACCGCACCUGAUCAUAGGCUUUUUCCAAAUCUAUUUUAAUUUCCAUCCACUUCCUGCUCUUAUAGCUCUUCAUAGAAUGGAUAACCUCUUGCGCAAUGAUAAUAUUAUCAGUAGUAUUACACCGGACAAUAAAGCCUACUUGUUCCUGUGCAAUAAUUUUUUGGAAAAAUAAUAUUAAACCGGUUAGCUAUUACCUUCAUCACCAACUUGUAAAGAACAGAGCAAAGGCUUCUGGGGCGAAAUUGAUCAAACUCCUCGAGAUUCAUAACCUUGGGAAUAAGAAUAAUCAAGGUAUUAUUAAGCCUAGGGUCAAUAUCGCCUCUACUGAAGACCAUUUUCACCCAAUCACAAACAUUUGGGCCUACCGUAUCCCACUACUUCUGGAAGAAAAGAGCAUAAAAGCCAUAACUGCCUGAAGCUUUCAAGGGAACCAUGUCAAACAUAACUUUUUUAAUCUCAUCGUCAGUGACCACUCUUCCUAAAAAAUCAAUAUCAGUAUAAUUAAAUUGAGGGAACCCAUUAGGAGGCAAAGAUAUCAUGGGCCUAGGAUCUUCCCCAUACAAAUUUUGGAAAAAAUUGGAUGCUUCCAACUCAAUGGCUUUAGGAUAAAACAACCAAUCACCUAGAGAGUUAUGAAUAGCAGAAAUACAAUUAUUUUUUCGCCGUUGCAUAGUGCGAGCAUGAAAAAACUUAGUAUUCCUAUCCCCUAAAUGGAACCAAUCACAUCUAGCCUUUUGCUUCCAGAGAAGUUCCUUAUGAUGUAACACAUUUUCUAAUUCAUGUCUUAUCUCCAUUUCAAGGGGAGCCAAAUGAUUAGUACCUAAUAGAUCCAUUUUCUUCUGUAUGGUCAACAACUUAUGGAUCAGGUUUCUCUUACGGGUAGUAAUAUGACCGUAGGUAUUCUUAUUUCAAUCUUUAAGAUUUCCAGUGAUCUUAUCUAAAGAAGCCGACAUGUUCCCUUGAAAGUCCCAUUGAUCUUUCAUGAAAUUAUCAAAAUCAGGGUGCUCGGCCCAUCCUGCUAAAAACCCAAACGGUCUUCCCCUAGGCAAAGCAAGAACCUGGUUUAGAUUUAAGAGAAGAGGUCUGUGAUCAGACUUAAUCCUCGAAAGAUGAGCAAUUAAACUAUUUGGAAAAUAAUUAACCCAAGCCUCAUUUCCCAAAGCUCGAUCCAAUCUUUCAAAUAGAUUACCCAUGUGCCAAGUAAAAGGAGGUCCCUAAACCCCAAAUCAUGAAGAUUAGCCAAAUCCACAAAAUCACCAAAGUAAGGACAUCUCCUUCCAUCCGAGAGACCACCUGUUUUCUCAUUAGGGGAAGGGAUAGUAUUAAAGUCUCCGAUCGCCAUCGAAGGAAUUUGAACACUAGGAAUAGAAGUUCUUAGAUCCUACCAAAGAACUUUUCGCUUUUAAUGAUUUGGGCUCCCAUACACAAAAGCAUUCCAAAUCGGGUUUGAAGAAGAAUUAGGCCAAAUCCGCGUAAAGAUAAAUUGGAGUGAUUUCGUAUAACUUCAACUCGAACAGAAAUACAAAAUUCUUAAUUAAGAAAACAUUAAUUGAUAUUAGGCCCCUCAUGAAGUGCUUCUUGGACUCAAAUUAGGGUUUAGUACCAAUAAAUGCUCAUUUCUAAAAUUAUUUACAGAAAUAAGUCGUUUUAAAAAAAAAUUACGAGUAUGGACCGAAAACUCAAAAACGCAUUGACGUGGACACAUUUUCAAUGGAAAACCCAGAAAAACGCUUCCACGUCAAUGCUUUUUUUUUGUGUCAGGCAAAAACGCGUUAACAUAGACAUGCUUUAGUAAAAAGCACUGACAAUGACGCGCUUUAGUAAAAAGCACUGACGAGGACGCAUUUUUGGUUAUGUAAUCCCCAGUGGGUUAUUUGCAAAUUAGGGCCUAGGUUUAGGGUUUUUGAAUUUUAUCAUGGGUUAGUAAAAAUUUAAUUAGGGUAUUAAGUUUUUAGUUGUUUCGAGUUUUAAGGUUUAAUUUUUUUUAAUUGCUAAGUAUUGUUCUGGGAAAAAUAAUUUUGUCAAGAUGGGUUCUGAAAAAAUAAAUUUGACGUAAUGUGUUAUGAAAAAAUUAUUUUGACGAGAUAGAUUUUUUUUUGAAAAAAUACUCUAAGUUGAAUAUAGAAUCACUAAUAUAUUUGUACAAAAAUACCCAAAGGAACUUUUAUUUUAUUAAAUAAAACAAUAUAAAAAGAAUGAGUAAAAAAAUAUUGAAAAGAAUUUAUCCUAGUACAACCAUUUAUUCCUUUAUUCACUUAGUUCCUUCCUCCCUUUGAUGUUUACAACUUUUACUGAUUUCAAUUUUUUGGUACCACUCAUAUUUGUAAUCAUGAUUAUUAAAUAUAAAUUUUCAUGUAUUUUCCGGUUUUAAUUUUUACUUUCUUUUUAUGUUUAAAUGCAAAAUUAACCCUUAAAUUAUAUCAUUUUUUCGAUAAGGUACAUAAACUUUUUUUUUGGUCAAAAGUAUUACCUAAAUUUAAUAUUGGGUUAAGAUCCACUUCAUUUCCUUUUCAUCUAUUAAUAUUCAAUACAAUGAUCAUAACCAUUCAAAUAUGUAGAAUUCAUAUAUAUAUUAAAUGUGAAAAUUAACUUGUGAAUUAGUGGCGGAGUUAGAAUUUUUUUUUUUGGGGUGGAAUUAAAAUGUAUAUUUAUAUGAUAAUAAAAAUGCAAUUUCACCAUUUUAAUAGUUUAUAUCUUUAUAAUUUUUAAAGGAUUAAAUUAAAUUUUUAUUAUUUUUUGGGGACAAAAUGUAAUUUUACUAUUGCUAAUUUAAAAUUUUAUAAAUUGUGAAAGAUUUAAAUAGAAAAUUUUUCAUUUUAAGAGGAGUCGAGGCCCUGCCAGCAUCCCCUUUGGCUCCACCACUGCUAUGAAUGGUGAUUAAACAUGUAUUAAAUAUAGAUAGAUGAAAAAAUAAUAGGAGAAAGCCAAAUCCAAUUAAAUUACCCCAACCUCUAUUGAAAAUAUCAUUAACCAAUUACAUGGUAAUAUCUAAUCAUACAUUUUAAUUAAUUUAAAAAGAUAUUUUUUUCACCCAAAUUUUCACAUAUUCUCUCAACUUAUUUUCGGUUAGCAACGUUAUCAAAUAUUAAAUCCAAUUUCAUAAAAGAAUCAUCAAUACCAAUCUAUAUGAUGAAAUACAAGUACUGAAUAGAUAUUUUAGACCAAGUUAAGGGUAAACUACAUAUUAACCUUUCAAUAUUUGUCUAUCAAAAUUUUGGUUCUAUACGAUUAGUCUCAUGAAGUGAUUAGCUGCAAAGCAAACAAGCAUGUUAGGAUUACUAGUAAUGUCCACAGCAUGAUAGUCGAUAUUGUUAUAUACCGUUCAUAUCGAUUGGAACACUCUGUUCUGAUAGUAAACCAAAACAAUAAAAUUUAAGUUUUAUUUCAGUUUAAAUUUUGGUCGUAUCGAUGCAUGCCGAUUGCUUUUGCCCGUACUAGCCAAUACAAAAAAAAACCUUAAAAAAUACUUUAGAUUUACAUUUAAAUUUUUAUUAUUUAUUUGUAAUAAAAAAAAUAUAAUAUACAGUCAACCCUCUCUAUAGCAACCUCAAUUGUCUGCCCAGAUUUUGCCUAUUAUAUAGAGGUGAUUGUUAUACACCAUGACAUGUUAUAGAGAGAAUAUUGUUGUAAACUUACAGUAGAAUUUAUAUCGUGAAUUUUCAUUAAAUAAAGAAAGUAAGAAUUAUGUUCAAAAAAAGAAGAAAGUGGGAAGGAAAUCAACAAAAUUAAAAGACAUAUAGCAGGUGCAUUUAUUAUUGCUUUUAUGCAUAUUUUAUUUUACAUUCUUUCACGUGAUUGAUUAUAAAGUUAAUAAAUCUAACAAGUUCAAUCAAUCAACAUGAGUUAUCAAAUUAAAUUAAUUAAUUUUUCAUUAGUUACUAAAUUUAAAUAAUCAAUUUAUAAAUCUAUGAUGCUCCAAAUUCAUAGUAGAAUAUUUAAUUAGUGAACUUAAUUGUUUAUUGAAUUCAUAUCUUUAAUCUCAUUAAAAAUUAUUUUCAUUUAAUAAAAUAUGAUUAAUAGAUUUUUUCACAUGAAAUUUAAUCAUUUUAUGGAAUUAUUAUUUUAAUUAAUAUCAUUUUAAUAUAAUAUGUUGUUGUUAUAAGUAAAAAUCUGUUAUAGAGAGUUAAAAUAAAACAUAAAAAUUAAUUCUUUUAGAAACUUGGUUGUUUUGGCGAAAUGUUAUUAUAGCGGGAGGUUGUUAUAUAGAGAUGACUGUAUUUUAAAAUUGAAUUUAUUAUUAUUAUUUAUUUUGAAUUUGUUGAAUUAUGAAUUUUUACGUGCAUAGUAUUGUAUGAUCUUGAAAAAGAAUCAAUUGAGCCCUUAAAAAAAGUGCAUCUUAUUGAGUCUUUAAUGACUAAAAAAACAAUCAAUUUGGCCAUUCUGUUAAUAGAAAUCGUUAGUUAAUCAGUUUGACCAUUAAAAGUGUUGAUGUGGUUGACGACAGCCAUCAAGAGAUUGACAUGUGACAUGCCACAUGGAAGAAUGUUGAAGUGACAUGUCACGUCAUAUAAAACCAUCAUUUUUAAAAAAAAUUAAUAAAUAUUUUAUAAAAUAUAAAAAAUAAUUAAUAAAAAUUACACGUGAAAUGAAUCUGAACAUAAUGGUGAGAAAGGAAAAUCAGAGUAGGGGAAGGGAUGGUGAGGAAGAGGGAUAGGGAUGGAAAAUGGAAGUCUGUAAUGGAAAAUAGUACCUUCGUUACGUCUGUAACAGAAAAUGGUUAGUGGUGACUGUUUUUUUAUUUUUCAAAAGUUGAGUGAGUGAAUUGAAACCUGAAUGAUUGUUUUGCCAACUACCCCAAAAUUGAGUGACUGUUGGUGUAAUUUACCCUAAAAUUUAUUUAAAUUAUAAUUACUAAAAAUGAGGGUUCAGUAACAAUAAAGGCUCAUUUCUGAAAUUAUUUAUGAAAAUGGGCCGUUUCAGAAAAUAAUAACGGGAAUGGAUCGGAAACUCAAAAAUGCGCUGAUGUGGAUGCGUUUUCCGGGGAAACCCACAAAAAUGCUUCCACAUCAGUGCUUUUUUCUUGUGUCAGGCAAAAGCGUGCUGACAUGGACACACUUUAAUAAAAAGCGCUAACGAGGACAUACUUUUGACCAUGUAAUUCCUUGUGGGUUAUUUGCAAAUUAAGGCCUAGGUUUAGGGUUUUAGGGUUUAAUUAGGGUUUAGAAAAAAAUUAAAUUAGGGUAUUAUGUUUUUAAUUGUUUAGGGUUUUAGGAUUUAGGAAAAAUUAAAUUAGAGUAUUAUGUUUUUAAUUGUUUAGGGUUUUAAAAUUUAGGAAAAUUUAAAUUAAGGUAUUAUGUUUUAAUUGUUUAGGAUUUUAGCGUUUUAUUAGGGUUAGGAAAAAUUAUAUUAGGGUAUUAGGUUUUUAAUUAUUUAAGGUUUUAUGGUUUGAUUAGAGGUUAGGAAAAAUUAAAUUAGGGUAUUAGGUUUUUAAUUGUUUAGGGUUUUAUGGUUUAAUUUUUUAAUUGCUAAUUAUUGUUCUAGGAAAAAUUAAAUGUUUUUAGUAGGAUGUACAGUCACUAAUAUAUUUAUACAAAACUAUUCAAAAGAAAUUCUAUUUUAUUAAAUGAAACAAUAUAAAAAUAAUUUGUACAAAAAUAUUCAGAAGAACUUCUAUUUUAUUAAAUGAAAAAAUAUUAAAAUAAUUUGUACAAAAAUAUUCAAAAGGACUUCUAUUUUAUUAAAUGAAACAAUAUAAAAAUAAUUUGUACAAAAAUAUUAAAAAAUAAAUCAAGGCAUGUGCCGGUUGGAAUCAGUGCCACAUGGAGGUGGUCGACGGUUACGCUCUAGAUUCCUUAUUAGUUUAGCUUCCGGCCAGGGUUUGUGGUUGUUCGGAAUCAACUUCUGGUUGUGGGCGUUGGGAAGAUGACCCACCUUGAUAGAACAAAAAUUGCUGAUGUGUUUGUAUUACCCACGAUAAAUGAGUGUAACCAGUUUGAAUCCCAUAAGGCGAUGGGGAUUGGAAAUGAGUUGAGCUCCCCGAUAAUGCUUCGUGCGGUCUCUUCUAUGAUGAUGGCCUAUAUAUCAUCGAUUGACUCGGAGUCAUCGAAAAAUGAGAUGCACAGGGCCAUACUUUCCAACCUGGCAUAGGAGUGGAAAAAGGAUACACAUAAGGGUUAGGAUACGCACCUUGCAUAAUCUGAAGGGGCUGUGGUGUGGGCACCCUCACUUGCUCCAUUGAGGCCGGUGAUUGCGUGGGCGCUGUUGAUGGGCCCUUCUCGCCAUCCCUUGUCCUCGGAUUUAAAAGACCACAUCAUUCCCUUUCGACACGGAUUUGCCAACGCCUCUUCUCUUCCAAGAGCAAAUAUGGUUUGCCAUAGAACCUAAACCAUGGCAUGUAAUCCGGAUUGCACGCUAACUCCGAAACGAUGAUCGAUACGCAAGUAGGUAUAUUAUUGUACCGAUUUUCCUACAUUUUGAUAUAUUCCGAGUGGAAGAGCGGCCAAUGCAUACCCAAUCGCCAUAAGUCGAUUUUGUGCUCAUCAUUGAGCACCUCAAGUGCCACCGGAAUUGGUUGUAGGAAUCUGAAUUGCCGCAACACUCUAUCCAUCUUGUGCAUGUCGAUGGCGAUGUAGCUGACCAAUGGGACCCUAACAUGCUAGAUGUUCGGAUUCUGUAGGAAUUCAUCUGGAAUUACUACCCGAAUUGUUGUAUCCUCAUUUGAUGUCCAUUGAAAUUAUAUGACCAUGAUAAAAAUAUUAGUUAUAUACAUAAUACUAAAUACGAAAUCUACUAUGUUAUGUGUAUAUAGCUCAAAAUGAAAUAAAUACAUACAUGUGUUUCUGACCGUUAGUCUAAUAGAAUAUGUAUAUCUUUAAGAGCGAUAGGUAUUCCCCCAUAACUCGGCGAAAUGUUCCACCUAUUUAAAUAAAAUUUUAGCAUAAAAUUUUAUUUUAAAUUUAUUUAAUAAUUGUAAAAUCUAAUAUAAAUUUUACCUUGUUACGAGUGAGAAUGUAUACGGGUGGUCCACUCGAGGAUGUAGAAAUGGAAAGCAAAACCGAGCCUAUGAUUGUAGUAGUGAGAGGCAACCUUCGAUUUUAAUUUUAUUUAGUUGCGUCGCCUGACACAUCUCCCAAUACAAUGUCGCCAACACGGAAGACCCCCAACUAAGUUCACCAUCUGCUCUAAAAUCAACGAGUUUCAGCAGCCACGUCAAAUGUACGAGAUUUCAUGACUUUUUCGACAUCAGAUAACCUCCGAUGAUCUGAAGGAUGUACACCCAAGCGUAUCGUACUCUUUGUAUUUCAGUCGAUUCAUCCCCUAGCAUCGGAAAUGUCUCUCAUAACCAGCCCAUAUCGAUCUGACCUCCGUAAAUAAUAUCCAGAAUUGCACCCAAAAGAUUGCAACAUAUGGCUCCUCAAUCAACAGAUUGAGCGGACCCGGUGAAUACGAACCCAUCUACUGGUAACCCCAACUGUAAUUGCACAUCCUCCAAAGUAAUGGUAUGCACCCCACAUGGAAGAUAGAAUAUGUGCAUCUCGGGUCUCCACCUCUCCACAAACGCGGUGAUGAGUUUCGAGUCCAACUUGCACCCCCGACCUAUAUUGUCAUGUGCCAAAAACCCGCUUCCCUUAAGUAAUUUUCAAUCAACGGUGAUGGAAGACUAGGUAGAUUACGAAUAAAACAUUAUAACACUCAAUCUGCCAACUAUUAUAAAAAAUUAUAAAAAAAUAUUAAUUAAGUUAGAAAAAUGAAAUAAAAAAUAAAAUUAACCCUUACUAUUUACAUUAGGUUGACGGAGAUUUGUUUAUUAUCGAGACGAAUUAAUUGCUGGGUCAUUGCUAACACGAUCAAAUUUAUUAGAAAUUAUAAAAAAAUAAUACUAAUUUAGACAAAAAAAAUUAAUGAGCUUUGAGAGCUUUUUUGAGAAAUUUGGAAGAAUAAUAAAAUUGGUGUGAAAAAAUGAGUUGGGGGAAUUUUAUAUUUUUUUUUCUUGACCAUUAGGGGAUUACACAAGGAAAAAAGCGCUGACAUGGAAGCGUUUUUUUAGGUUUUUUCUAAAAAUGCAUCCACUUCAACACGUUUUUAAGUUUUCGGUCCAUUCCCAUUAUUAUUUUUUGAAACGGCCCAUUUUUUAAAUAAUUUCGAAAUGGGCUUUUAUUGGUACCAAACCCUAAAAAUGACAUUGGUACAUAAAUUACUAAAUCUACAUCCGAUGCAGCGGUGGACCCAAUUCUUUGCAGCAAUGUUAAUUAGCAACAAUGGCAAUGAAACUCAAUUCUUGCUUCAUUCUUUGACUGCAACUAAUUUUCAUUUUCAUGGUGGCCCACAUCCUGGUCAGCACCUUGGCCUUGCCCUUCCGCCAUUUCCGAAGUGGUGGCUGUGCCAUAAUCCCACUCGCCCGUACCACUGUCGUCUCAAUCAUCAACCAUUUCACCACCGCCAGAAUAAGCUCCACCUCUUCCAUCACCUCCUCUCCCACCGCUAUCUCUAUCUCUGCCAUAAUUUCUAUAUUGAAUAUAUAAAAAUUAUUAAUAAAAAUUAAAUAUAUAUAUAUAUACUUGAUUUUUUUUCCAAUUUUCCAAUUUCAAUUUUUUUAUAACUUUUAUAAUUUUUUAGAAAUUUUAAAUAAUUAUUAAUAUUUUUUUAUGAUUCCUAAUUUUUUUUGAACUCAUUUAUAAUGAAUCUGAACGAUUAGUUGUCUAGAUUCAAAUGAACCUAGACAACUAUAUGUUCAGGUUUAUUCCCGAUGUGAAUUAAUUAAUUUUUAUAUAUAUUUUUAAAAAUAUUUAUUUAAUUUUAAAAAAAAAAAGUCAAAAAAAAUUAUUAUGACCUUACCACAUCAACAUUCUUCCACGGCUUAUCUCUUGGUGGUUGUCGUCCAUCACGUCAGCGUCGUUAACAAUCAAGCUGAUCAACUAAUUGUUUCUGUUAACAAAAUGACCUAAUUGAUUUUUUUUUUUAUCAUUAUGGACUCAAUAGAGUGUAAUGCUUUCUAAGAGCUCAAUUGGUUUUUUUUUUUUAAUUAAAGGCUUUUUAUACUCGAGCUUGUAAUUUAUGGAGUAAUUUUUUUGUAUAUUAAAAUUUAUAUAUGACGAAAUUUAAACAUAUGUCACCAACAUUUUGAAGUAUUUUAUAUUUGAGAUUUAUUCAAUCUAAUUAUUUACUAUUUAUAAAUAUUUUUUAUAUAUAUAGUCAAUUUUAAAAAAAAAUCACUGACUAACAACUUGGUCCACGGACCUAAAGUCGAACACCAGCUUCAGUCUUAACGUCACCCACAUACUGCAACGCAUGAAACUAGAUUACGUUUGGUGACUUGUGUUGGAGUAAUUGUUGGAACAAGCAAGCAAAUUAGGUUAAAAAUUCAUAUUUGUAUACAAAAUAAACAGAGUUAAUCGGGUCUGAUCUAACCAAACAAGGUUUAGCACUUAAAUUUUUAUCCCAAAUCAAAGAAUGGGCUUCCAACAUCUUUGAACUCAACACCGCUUGAUACAAACCUAGUCGAAGCUACGUUUCACUAUUAAAUAGUAAAAAUACUAAAAUAAUAUUAAAACACUUUCAUAAUUAAGUUUGAAUAUAAAAAUAUCGGUUGCAUUAUUGAAAAGGAAAGGAAAAUAUAAACAAUUCAUUCUAGCAUGAAUUAUAACUUGCCUUGGCAAUUAACCCAACCCCAACCUUAGACUUGGGGCUUGUAUUACCGCACUUAUUUUUAACAUUCAUAUCCAAGACAAGACCACAUCAUAUUCGGCACUAAACCAAAUCCAAACUAUGUAAGUUUGAGACUACAACAAAGGCAAAAAAACCAUGAUAAAAGGUAGAUUUUCCCAAAAUAGAAUGCUCCCUAUCCAGAAGCCUAAAACACUAAAUUGUAUGGUGAACAAACAAGAAUUGAAUCUACAAUCCACGACCACCCAAAACCUUUCAGUAUUACAUUGUCAAAAGACAAAAUGGGCUUAAUGAGGAAGCGAAAACCCUAAAUGAAUCUCACAGCCAAAUUUCCUCUGCUAAGCUUUCAAUGCUUUCUUCUAAAUGAUAUUGCAACAAUGUCAAUAAAUCACUACACUACAUACCAAAAAACUAUCUUUGAUCACUCCCAACCAAUUUCCAAAUUAAUGUCUUCAAGCAGGGGCUGAUACCCUUGGUGCCAUGUUCUUGGCUGCUGCAUUAACAGCUAGUCCACCAGAGUGGUUCAUGCGGCUGCCGCCAUUACUCCCCAUGUCACCCCUUUGAUAUCCAUCACCUCUGCGGUUGGAAUACCCUCCUCGGUUGUUGCUCCUGUUUCCAAACUCACCCCGGCUGUAGCCCCUGCCACCACCACCAUAGUUUACCCUCCCUCUUGCUCCAUCAUUUCUGUAUCCAGCCCCUGAACCAGAAGACCGUCCUUUGUUCCCUGUAAAUGAAGACAGUCUUAUAUCAUGCAAAAGAAUAUCUUUGACUAAAUUCUAUAAUCUGGACUGAUCAAAAAACUUGUUCUUCAAUUAAAUACGAUUUGUAUCCAACCAAGAAUUGAAACCAUUAGUCCUACACCAAUCAAAUAUUCAAAUGUUGUAGGAUGGAAACACUUCUUGAAUGUUAACCUAAAAGAACCACCUAAUUGGAGAUGACCAAAGCUCAUUUUUAGCAAAUUCUCUAAUAACCAUAAAGUGUCAUAUAUGACAAGUGAGAGAAUCUCAUACCCAAUCAAUCUUCUUUUGCCAAAUCAUGCAAUAUUAUUCACUAAAUUUUUGGAAAUUUUAAAAAUAAAAGCAACUUGCCUCGAGAGGUAGACCGCUUUUCUUCAACAAUUGCAUUACGCCCACCAAUAUUUAUAGGUGAAGCCUGAGAAAAAUGUCAAAAGAAAAAAAGAAAUAAGGUAAAAUCAUGCAAAUUUUUGCACAAAAGAAAUUAAUAAAUGCAGCUGAAAAACAUUUGGGACAUUAAUAUAAACUUGUAAGAUUGCAUCCAUGAUGCACAUCAAAAAUCAAAUAUAAAUCAUGAAUUAAGUUGCAUUUCAUAUAAACUACAGGAGGAUAAACAGACAAAAAAAAUAAAGAAUAAAGAUUCAACACAAUUCACAUAACCUGUUGCAACAAAUGCCAUGAUACAAGAUGUACAUAUGAACCAAAUGCAAUAUGAUGGAAAAUAAUAAAAAGAAAAAGCAAAGUACAAAAAGAUAAAUACCUCUAUGGCACUUUGAGCAGAACUUGCAAGUUCAAACUCCACAAAACCAAAACAGAAUCCCUAUUGAGAAAUACAAAGAAAAUAUUAACUGAACAUACUGACACUGAACAUUUAAUGCAUUGAAAAAUGAGGUAGAUGUCUACCUUCUGACUUCGAACUUGAAUACCACCGUUCUUAAUAGGUCCAAACUUCUUAAACUCGUUCUCCAGCAUGCUAGGUGUGGCAUGCAGGGGCAGACCUUUGACAUAAAUGGAGGGGCCCUCAGCUGCCACACAAUCGGACAAAAUAAGUAAUCAUAUACAAAGCAAAAAUAAAUAAAUGAACAAAAUAAAGCAGAUUACAAAUAAUCCGCCUGAGUUCUUUUGAAAGUUGUGCAGGAAAGAUGAAAAACUGAUACCUUCCACAUCUUGAUUGGUCCCAUUUUCUGUAAUACUGUUGUUGGAUAUCUGUGCAUCAGACACUGGGGCCGGAGAAAUAGGUGGUGCCACAGUUCCUGGUUGGUCAUGGCUCUUAACUGCAGACUUCACAAGGGAAUGCGUAGGGGUGGAUAAAGGAACUGCAUUCUCCUUCAUAAACUUCACCUAUAACAAUAACAAAAGAGGCUAAAUCAUCACCUUAAAGUUGGGAAUAUAAACACUAAAGAGGUCAUUUUGAGAAAGAUUAGAAGCCUAGCAUGCAGCAGAGUGCUUCGUACAAUAGACGCAUAUGAUUUCUUUGGCACUUCCUCAAUUUUGGAGUUGGAAUCAUCAAACAUUUGCGAAUCAUCAGGAAUUUCAUCUACAACCUCAGCCACUGGUACUUCCUCUUCUUCAAUAGAAGCAUCUCCAUUUUCAGAAGGGUUAUACACUUCUGGCCCAUUAGCUUCUUCAGGCGUUGCAGCCAGUUGCUCAACAAUGUGAUUCUCAGGAGCAGAAGGAUCUGCAGACAAAUAUCUACAUCAAUUGAAGAAAUCAUUACAACUCUGUAUUUCUUAAGGAGGCCUGGGUUUUCAAUUACCAUUCUCGGUAAUAAGAGAAGCUUCAAUAUUACUAACUAGUUCCUGGCUUCCACUUUGAUGUUUGGCUUCAUCAAUGUAUCUAAAUACAUCAUUUAAAACAAAAUAGCCCUUGUCUUGAGGUGCCAAAAAGAAACUCUGAGUGAAUUUCCGCUUUACUUUGUCCUUUCCAGUUAAAUGCCCAGUCACAAGAACAAUUACUCCACCAUUGUGUGAGUCUUGUGCAUCUACAGUUGUUAUCUCAGCCAGAAAUUCUCCAUAACCAAGUGAGAGUAUCUUCUCAUUGAUGGCCUGGUCCACAAAAUGAAGCACCAUGGUUUCAACUCAAACGUAUAAAAGUAGAAGAAAAUUAGUAUCAUAACUGGUUUUUAUAUGAAUAUCAAUCCAUCUCGUGGCUGGGAAAUAAAAAAAAUUAUCAAUCAUAACUUUUUUUUAUUUUUUAAAGCUCUUAACAUAAUCUUCACUUGUAGAAAAAUAGUUUAGGCAUCAGGAUCUUCACUAUAAUGGCACAUUUCCUUUCAUUUUUGCACAAGUGAUCCAUGAAGAGAGUAGAUUUUCACACCAGAAGCUAAGUAAACCUGGAUCUACUAAGGCACAUACUUUCAAAAGGGUAGAAAAUAUAGUUUCCAAUAAAAACAUUGUAUUAAAGAAUGAAAAUAAGCAUGAACAUGAUGGUACACGUACAACAUAGGCCCUCAUUUAAAAAGUCUGACCCAAGCCAAACCCGUGUGUGAAAGGGACAGGCAUAGAGAACUUACUUGCAUGGUUGUUGUGAUACUCAUGCCGCCAUCUUCAACAUUGUAUUAAAGAAUGAAAAUAAGCAUGAACAUGAUGGUACACGUACAACAUAGGCCCUCAUUUAAAAAGUCUGACCCAAGCCAAACCCGUGUGUGAAAGGGACAGGCAUAGAGAACUUACUUGCAUGGUUGUUGUGAUACUCAUGCCGCCAUCUUCUUCAGGGCGACCGAGUUUGCUGUUAUCAUGGUAAAAUCGGUGAACCAGUGCAGGGGAUUGGUGUAAUAUAAGGUAGUAUUGAUGAACAAAGGCAUUACCCACCUAAAAUCACCGACAAUAUAGAUUAAAACCUAACUCCAUAUGUAUUCUUAUUACUAAAACAUAAAAUAAGAGGAACCCAACAUACAACAUCAGCCGUAGGAGCUGCAAUUCCAGAUGGGACUUGUUGUUCAGUAGAUGCCAUUGCCAAUUUGGUGCCUACAAAGCAACGAAAUACAAAUUCAAAUCACUAACAUAAAUCAAACCAAAAACCCAAACUAAGAUUUAAGCCUAAAGGAACAAUAUGUUUUAGUCCGAAAAUAGUCACGAUACAUCCCAAGUUAUACGUACACCGAACAAAUAAAGUAUUGAGCUAUCGAAUAUACUGUAAAAAGUCCCGGAAAUUUCUUUCAGAGAAAACAAACAGACCUAAUAGAUCCAUAGAAUGAACUUCUCGUUCAGAGUUAAAAUCAAUCGUAUCUAUUUAUUGAGAAAAGUUCAACAUCUUUUUUUCCCCUAAAUCUGAACGUUAAUGGUUGAUAUAAGAGGUUAAAGCAACAAAAAUAAUGAAAAAAAAAAGCGAAAUGGAGAAACAGAAAUGAAGUGAAGAAUAGUUGAGAAAUGAGGAUUUACCUGAGCUUUUAGAUUUGAAUCGCAAAAUAUUUAUAUUUAUAUGAACUUUGUUUUUUGGUAGUUGAUGGCCUUUCACUGACCUCCCUUUUCCAAUGGGAUGUUUGGCGCUUUCUAGGGUUUUUGUGGAUCUUGAAGAGGCGCGAGACUGAGGGAGGAAUGUGAGAUGACUCGGCUCAGCUGAAACAGGGUUUUUGGCUUUUAUAGUUGAAAAAAUAAUAUGUUAUAAUUUUCAAAUUUACAUUUAAAUAAUUGCCUCCCCUUUUAGGUAUAAAAUGUGUUUGAUUUAUGUAAUAGCCCAAAUUUGUCCGGGCCUUAAACCAAAUAAAACAGUAAUAAAUAAGUGUUUAUUUAUUACAGUCCAAUUUACAAAAGUUUAAGUGUUUGUGGCCCAAAUACUUAAAACCUCAGACCAUAACCCAACAGCCCAAAUACCUAAACCCUAUGACCGGUUACAACCAGAUACCCAUACCUAAUUAUACUAUCACCCGGUACCUAUUACACCCAGAUCCAAAACAUAUAAGGCCCAAGUAGCCCAAUUUGUUAACGGAAAGCAGAGAGACCUAGGGUUUCAGAAACCCUAGGCGCCGCAAAAGGAAAGUUCCAGAAUUCGCACAGCAACCAUCUCAAACGAUACGCCUUUUCGAAUCGCGCCGUUCCAGUAACCCCCAUCAGCGCCGUAACGCCAGUUCUGAAUCCAACCGUGAUUGGCGCACAAAUCAAAGCCAGAGUACUCGCCACCAUUCUCGCGAACACCUGCAAAAAGAGAAAGAAAAGCAGCAGAAACGAAACAAACAUGGAAAGAAAUCGUCCCCAAAAAUGUAAUAGUUUGCAGAAGGGCUAUAAAAACCCUUUUCUAAUUUGUAAAGGAGGACGAUUUUUUAAAGAUAGAUACACGGAGAUUCAAUAAAAAAAAAGAACUCAUUUUUUAUACUAAAAAUCGAUAGUCAAGAAAGAAUUAUCAGGUGAUUAUUAUUUUUCUCUUUAAAUACAUGUAAAUAUUGUAGAAAAUAAAAAGGAAAGGGAUAUACCUUUAAUCGGCGUUGAAAGGCGAGGUUUUUAAACCUCCAGCCACCGUAUGCGGUGAAGACGACGGGGGCGCGUGAGCACGUGCGAACCCCUGGAUGGAGGUCCGGUGACACUCCAAGAGCCCCUCCCCAACUCUCUUUCAGAGAGUUUCUUUCUUAUUUUUAAAACAGAUUUCAGAAAUGAUUUUUAAACUUAUAAUUUGGCUUAUAUAGUCUAAACGAAACGGUGCCGUUUUGGUUUAAUUCAAUAAGCACAAAACGAUGUUGUUCUAAAGCUUCCAAGGUCCGCGUGUUGAUCCGAAAACCCGAAGGAGAUUCGCGUUUUUUUAAGUCUUGGGAUAUUUGUUUAAUUGGUUCCUCUGUACUUUUAAAUUUUAUAAGUCCAUUAUAUUAUUGUUAUAAUUUGACCCUAAUAUUUUGUUUCAGUUUUAAUUUAGUCCCUGCAAUAGCCACUUUAAGUUCUGGAUUAAAACAGUGCCGUUUUAGGGGUAAGGGAAUUUUCCCCCAUGAGUCUCUGGGGUUUACAUAGGCAUUGCAAUUGGGUUCAAACCCUUUCUUUUUUAAAUUAGCCUCUGAUUUUUAUUUUAAUUCAAUUUUAGUCCUUUUUUAAAAAAACUUUAUUUAUAUAUUAUUAUUUACCUAUAUCUAUAUUAUAUUUUAUUACAUAAUAUUUAUUAUAUUAUUUUAUAUUUUAUUAUUAUAUUAUUUUACACUUUAAUAUAUGUUAUUUUAUAUUAUUAUUACAUCAUAUUUAUUAUGUAUUUUUGUAUAUUAUUAUCUAUAUUAUUAUUUUGAUAGAUUUUUGUACAAAAUUAGUAUUAUAUAUUCUAUUAAUUAUUUAUUCAUGUUUUUAAAAAAAAAUUAUACUUUAUACCUUAUGCUAUAAAAUUGUUUUUCAUUACAUAUAUAUUAUCUAUAUUAUUAUCAUGCAUUAUUAAAUAUUGUAUUUUAAUUAUAUAUGUAUAUUUUUUAAAUAAUUACUCACUUCAUUUUAUAUUUUAAUACGUAUUAAAUCUUUUAUUUAUUGUUAUAUUUUAUAUCAUUUAUAUAUUAAAUGCUAGUUUCAUAAUAUUAUUAAGUGUUGUUUGUUUGAUAUAUAUAUAUGUUACUACAUUAUUAUUAUUUUUAUAUAUAUUAUCACAUUUGCUUUGUAUAUAUAUUUAUAUGUCUAAUUGUAUAUCAUGCGUCGUUUUUUUUUAAAUUAAUUAUUACUUUGUAUGUUCGUAUAUUUUGCUUAUUCAUCUUCAAUAUAUGCUAUGUAUAUCUUAAUAUGUAUGUUGUUAUGUAACUAAGAUUUGCUAUAUAACUAAGAUUUGCUAUAUUUAUGUAUGUAUGUAGUAUAGAACCUUUAUAUUAUUGCUAUCAUAUUAUGUAAAUGCAUGUUUUAGCUACCUAUUAUUGUAAUAUGCUAUCUUACAUGUUAUAAUGUAUAUAUAUGGUUCUUCAUGCGUUAAUUAAAAAUGAGAUUCAAAAGUUUUCAAAAAUAAAAAGGCAUUGCUUGGUAUUUGGAAACUUCGAGAAAGGUAGUGCCCUAACUUACUGGGUUGCGACUUUUCUCGUUGAGUUUGAAUAGUCAAGCACCCUUCUAAGUUUUUAAGGUUUUCAAAGUACGAGCAACUGUCUUGGAAUUUCAAAGCGUUGUGUCCUAACUUACUGGAUAUAGCGUUUUGUCGUUUUGAGAUAGGGAUUUUCAAAAAGGGCUAGCUUAGCUUAGAAUGUCUUAAAAAUAUUGCUUCCUAACUUAUUGGAUGUAAUAUUUUGAUUCAUUUGAUACAAGUGAACCCUAAUUUUCAAACUUAAAAUAUUUUAAAAGAGGUUUGCAUCUUAAAACUUUCAAAUUUCCGACAAUAAAGACACUUGAUAAUCAAUUAGGUACCAAUUUUUGGGCGUUACGAGGGUGCUAACCAUUCCUCGUAUGUAACUGACUCCCGAAUCUGUUUUCUCGACUUUCGUAGAUCAAAAUUAAUGUUUUAAAACAAAACAUUUUAUAAGGUGAUCCAAUCAUACUUAAAAAGACUGGUGGCAACUCCCGUUUUCGUUUUUCUUAAAGUCGAUUCCCAUUUUCCAAAACUCGAUUUUAAAAAUGGUCUCGACAGCUUGACGACUCCGCUGGGGACUAAUAAGAGAGUCAAGCCGUGUAAUUGAUUAUCUCUUGUCUUAAUGUCGAAAAUUAAAAAUUUUAAAAAUUAAUCCUCUUGGCAUUACAUGUGUUUGCAUUAUUACAUAUGUUGCUAUAUUCUGAUACGCAUUGCAUUUGCAUGACCGUUGUGGUCACACCCUUAAGUGGGAGUGAGAAACUACGCCUUCGUGUGGUUUUCGCCUCCGUGCAGGAUAGUGGAUCACUUUCGGGAUACAUCCGUAUCUAUGGUUUCGUGAGAUUUUCGUCUCUGUGUAGCCAUAGGGAAAUGUAUUCCCCUGAACUGAACUUAAUUCAAAUGAGCCUAUAAUGGGUGAGAAUCAAGAAAUCUGCUGGUUCAGGUACCUCAACUUUAGAACUGAAACCUCAUAUAGAAAAAUCGUAAAGCUCAACUUAGUUAGAAUUAUACUUUAAAUAUUACCCUCACAUUUUAUUAUUGAGUUUAUUAAUAUUAUGUGAUACUGAUUGUUUCCUUUUUUCAUUGCAUGUCAUUUCGCAUUUAAAAGGUAUCGAUUCACGGUCAGUUUCUAAGUUAGAAAGUUUUAUUAUAGAGAACUGACUUCUUGAUAGAGUGGAGGGCAACGCUAACGUCCAUAGAUGGUCUGAGCAAACUCAGCUAGAAAAAGGGGAUAGCAUAACUGUGGGAUAUAUGUCAGAGCUGUCAGACUACACUCGCAUCAGUGUCACACAGAAUAAUUUGCAGGAGCUUAAGGCGAUUUGGGAUCAGUGGGGCAAUGAGACCAAACAAUCAUUCUACGGUAAGUACGGAGAUUUGCCCUAUUUGUUUGAUAUUCAGGUUGAUGAGAACUUGUUUCGAGCUCUCGCUCAGUUUUGGAACACAGCAUACAGUUGUUUUACCUUUGGGGAGGUAAAUUUAGUGCCUACUGUGGAGGAGUACACAGCCUUACUUCGGUGUCCUAGAUUUCAGUGUGAUAGGAUUUAUUCUCGAGCUGCUUGUGUCCCAACCUUUGGUAAGAAGCUGAUGACCAUUACGGGGAUGAGCGAGCAGUGGGUCAUGGCUAGAAUUAAGGAAAAGGGUGAGAAUAAGUACAUUCCGUGGGAAGCUUUGAAAGAUCUGAUCCAGACACAUCCAGACGAGGCGAAGAGGGUAGACAUUUUUGCCUUAAUCUUAUACAGAUUGAUGGUUUUCCCCAGGGCCUUGGGAUAUGUGGACGAGGCAACCACGGAUCUCUUCCAUCAACUUAGCAAAUGGGUCACUCUUGUUCUUGUGAUUUUGGCGGAGACAUUCAGGUCCUUGAAUGCAUGUAGGAGGGCCAAUGCGGGCAGGUUUGUUGGUUGUGCUCAGUUACUUUUAGCUUGGUUCUACAGUCACUUCCGAUUGAUAGAGAGGGUGGUUUGUCGAGUCUUCUUUGAGGAUUACUCCCCGUUGAAGGACAUAGCAGCUUUAAUUAGGAAAGUUGAUGUUCCUGAAAAAAAUUGGAUAGCGCUACUUCAGAAUCUGCAGUCAAAGGACGUAGAGUGGAGGGCUCUAUGGAUGAUUCCUAGUGAGGUUCUUUACCGAUGCAGCAGUUUUGAUUGGGUCCCUCUGUUGGGAAUUUGGGGUGCCAUUAGUUAUGCCCCUUUGCUUGUGCUGAGGCAACAUGGAUUGAGACAGUUCAUACCGGCAGCUUACGGUUUGGUUCAGAGUGAGUUUAUGUAUAGAGGAGCUGACUACAAGAGGAAGGUCAGUGAGAUCUCUAGUGCUUGGAACAAGACUUGUCGAUUAAAGGGAUUAGUUAUUAGCCUUGCUACGACUUCGGAGUACAUCGAGUGGAGAGGUAGAAGGAUUAAUGAUAGCAUCCCUAAGCCAAGUGUGGAAUGAGCUCGACCGAUAGAAGAAUAUUUGCAAGUGACGCCCUCGGAGUUAGAAAUUAAGAGGCAAGAGUUCGAGAGAAAGAACUUGGAGUUCGAGAAGAAGAUAGCAAAGCUCGAAGAAGAAAAUAUGUAUUUGAGCCUAGACGUCGACGUUCAAAAGAUGGAGGUCGAGAAAUAGAGGAAAGAAAAAAUGAAGAUCAAGGAGGACCGAGACGAUUUAAAGGAGCACUAUAAAAGGGCACAAAUAACUUUGAAGAGAGCAGGACUAGGAAGGUUUUCAGAUCAGGGGCAAAAAAAGGUCCAAGAGGAAAAAGCUAAAGCCGAAUAUUAGGAGAAGAAGUUCCAAGAGAUGCAAUCGCGGAAUUUGACCUUAGAAAAAGAAAAUCAAGGUUUAAAGACUAAAGUAACUGAGCUCGGGCGAUCCUUUCAUCUACAUCGAAGUCGCGAUUCUACGGUUGAGGUAAAGAAAUUAAAAGGAAAAGUUGAGGAGUUGGAAUCAGCAUUGCAGGAUAGUAAGCUCCUAAUCGAGCAGCUUGGGGUACGAGAAGAUCAUUUGAAGGGAGAGCUUCAUCAGUCUAGAGGACAGGUUAGAGAAAGGGAUCACGUUAUUGGAGAAGUCGUAGCCCAGAUUUGAGAGGUCGCUAAACACGUGCAAAACUUAGAAAUACGAGCUGAUGUAUUGAGUUUGAUGUAUGAGUCAUCGUCGGAUAUAGGACGAGAGUUAGCCCUUUUAUUAGAUAGAGUUAAAACUUUGGGCAUUAAGGCGAAAGAGUAUUUGUAAUCAUCUUAUAUGUAAAGAUAUUUUUUUUCUAAAUAAAUUUUUCUAAAUGAGAUUGAAUCAGAAUCGAUGUCCUUUUGGCAUUCAUGCAUAUACAUCACACAACAUUUCAUCGCAUCAUUUGCAUUCAAAGUUAUAGAAAGACCCUAAUUAGUUAAAAUUACCACAGAAGUAGAAAAGAAAAUCUGGAAACCACGCAUCAGUACGGAACUCGUGCAAAAUCUAGGAAUAUGGAUCAAAGGUUUGAACAGCUACAGAAGGACAUGCAGGACCAAUUGCAAAAGUAAUUGGCCAAAAUACAAAAUGACAUGAGGGAGCAAAUGCUAGAGGCUCAGAGGAAUAUGAUGACUGAAAUGGCUCAGUUGCUGAGGGCCACUAAUAAGGGAAAACCCCUAUGGCAAUCACUGGUGAGAAGGAAAAGGAUCAUCCUCCAGGCUUUACUCCACCCCACGGGCCUACACAAAUCGAGGCACUUCCUAGGAGGCCAUCUGUCACUAUAAUGACUCAAUAUGGACCGGUUGAUGCUGGGAUCCACAUGAAUAACCCAACUGGUUCGGGAUUUAAUUUGGGUAACAACCCUACCAAUCCUCUCAUUCCCGACUUGGACGUGGCUGAAAAGGAGGAUUUGAGAGCCGAAGCUACAAAACGGUUGGAGAAAAGUUGUUGAUGGUUGGAGGAGAAAUUUAAGGCUCUAGAGAGUGCUGAUGGGCAUCAUAGAGUUGAUGCCAAAGACUUGAGUUUGGUCCCAGACCUAGUGUUUCCCCAUAAAUUCAAAAUGCUGGAGUUUGAAAAGUACAACGGGACUACUUGCCCAGAGGUCCACAUUACGAUGUUCUGUAGGAGGAUGAUCGGAUAUGUAAACAAUGAUCAAUUGUUGAUUCAUUGUCUCCAAGAUAACUUAGUGGGAGCAGCAGCCAGGUGGUACAAUCAAUUGAGCGGGGCCAGAAUAAAUUCAUCGAGGGAUCUUGCACAAGCCUUCAUGCAACAGUACAAUCAUGUGACUGACAUGACGCUGGAUAAGAUCACGCUGCAAAACAUGGAGAAAAAACCUAAUGAGAAUUUUAGGCAAUAUGCUCAAAGAUGGAGAGAGGUUGCCAUGCAAGUUCAACCACCAUUAUUGGAGAAGGAGAUUACCAUGUUGUUCAUAAACACUCUGAAGGCUCCAUUCAUUACUCACAUGAUUGGAAGCACUACCAAAAGUUUUGCGGACAUAGUCAUGGCAGGAGAGAUGAUCGAGAACGCCAUAAGAGAUGGCAAAAUUGAGGGGGAAGCGGCCAAAAGAUCGGCCCCAAUGAGAAAAGACAAUGAGGUGAACAACACAAGUAACUUCAACUCGAAGGCAGCCACAGUUGGUCAACCCAAAGUAGCUGCGGUUGGGCAACAAGGUUCUCAAAGGCAGGAAUCGGGCACAAGGCACGAGAGGAUGCAAUUCACACCUAUCCCUGUUACAUAUCGUGAGCUUUAUCAAAGCUUAUACGAUGCACAUGCUAUUGCUCCUUUCCACUUGAAACCAUUACAGCUUCCAUAUCCUAAAUGGUAUGAUGCAAACGCCAGAUACGAGUACCACGUUGGAAUAUCGGGGCACUCAAUUGAAAAUUGUACCGGAUUCAAGAAGGCCGUGGAGAGGUUGAUCAAGAUGGGGGUUGUGAAAUUUGAUAGUACCCCAAAUACUGAAAACCCUUUGCCAAAUCACGACGAUUAAGAAGUGAAUGCCAUUGGCGAAGCUAGUUAGAGAAGGAUGAAGGAAAAUGUUGCGGAGGUGAGAAUGCCUAUGAAGGUGAUUUGGGAGGAGAUGAUGAAGAGAAGGAUGAUAACUUCUAGGAGAGAAACAGAAAAAACAAGGAACUACUGUGAGUUCCAUGCAGAAGAAGGUCAUGAGACCCAAAAUUGUGAGGAAUUCAGAGCCUUGGUGCAAGGCUUUAUAGAUAAUAAAGAGCUACAAAUUUUUGAAGGUAGCUCUUAUAAAAGAGAAAUAAGUGUGCUGGAAGGUGAACAAAAAGGAACCAGCCGGCUAAGGAUCAUUAUCUCCCUGCCAGGGAAUAACGAAGUGGGGACACCAGCAGUGCCCAAGGUCAUUAUCCUUAAACCUACUCCUUUUCCUUACUAGGAGUCACACGGCCAAGUCACACGCCCAUGUGUCAGGUCAUGUGCAAAAACCUAGGCAUUCUGUUUCUCAAUUUUAAGAUGUAGGGGACACCUGGCUGGACCACAUGCCCAUGUGCCAAGCUGUGUGUCACACAUGGCUGAGACACACGUCCGUGUCUUUACCCGUGUGGAUGAAAAUAAGCCAUUUUAAGGCCACUUUUCUCCCUUUUAUGAUAUCCACCUGCACACAACACUUUCAUAUACUAAUAUAUCCCAAUCCAAGCAACCAAUACAAGCCAAAAAUUAUGUUUUAGAUAUAAUAUAUCAUCAUAAAACCUAUUUACAUAAACUUACCAUAAUAAAUCCAUACAUUAGUUUAUCAAAUUUACUACAAUAUGCAUGCAAACUACAUUUAAGAUUCAUAACCACCAUUCAAAUUGUUUCAUUAACAAACUAUCCCUAUACAUGCCAUAUAAAUCAUAAAACACUUAACAAAAUCUACCAGAGCAAACUGGAUAGUGUAACUUGAUGUGUUGAUCCGAUCCUCCGAACUCGUGUUAAUAUACAUGGAACAUUAAACACACAAGAGUAAGCUUAUAGAAGUUUAGUAAGUUCAUAGGGUUUAAAUGUAAAUCUUACCGAACAUCCUAUAAUAAAUCAUUAAACAAGCAUUUCACUAAUAUUCUCUGCCAUUCACAAUUUCAAAUGAUGAAUUCACUUGAUUGAGCUCAAUAUCAAUAAUUUCUUCGAUUUUUCCACAAAUAAUCUAUAUGUCACUUACCAAUACUCAUCAAAUUAGAGAAUGUCUUAUGGAUUUGAGUACAUCGUUUUCUUGAUGCCAUAGUCUAACUAUGGUUUUACACAAAUAUUGCCAUGGCCUUGCCAUGGUCUUACACUCGUAGUGCCAUAACCCAGUUAUGGUCUUAUCAUCAAGAUGCCAUGGCCCAGCUAUGGUCUUACACGUAUUCAUAUAUACUGCCAUGGUCCAAUCAUGGUCUUACGUUCAUGGUGCCAUAACCUAGUUAUGGUAUUUUCACUGAAAUGCCAUAGCCAAACUAUGGUCUUACAUUUAACACUUUGCCAUGGUUCAACUAUGGUCUUAUCCAUCAGUUCGUCAUUUGUCACUGAACGAUCGUACUCAAUCUUGCGUUUCACUUAAUUUGAACUUUUGAUCUAAUUUUCAUAUUUUACAAUAAUCAUAAUUCAAUAAAAAUCAUAUGAAAUAACAACUUAUAUCAUUCCUAAAUUAAAAAAUAAUCAUGAAAGUUCAACCAUAUAAACAUACCUGGGGUAAAUUGUAGAAGUUGUAGAAAUUCAGUGACUAAUCCGUUAAUUUUUCUUUCCUACGUUUAUCUUCAGUUUCUUGAUCUAUAAUAUAAAAUUAUUCAUCCAUCAGCAUCUAAUUCAAUUCUAAUUCACAUCACAAUUUAUACCGUUCAAUUUUCAAAAUUACACUUCUACCCUAAAUUUUAUAAUUUUUACAAUUUAGUCCUUGAUUAAUUAACCCAUCAAUUGAGCUUAUUUUUCUCAAUUAACACUUUAAAUAAUCAUUUUAGGCUACUAUACAGUCUUUGAUUUUCACAAUUUUAGUAUCAAACCCUAAUUCUUAACUUUUUUAUAAUUAGGUCCUAAAAAUCAAUAUCUAUUGAAGUCACUUAAUAAAAUUAUCACAUAACUAAAUUAGAGCUUUAAAUCCAUGUUUAUUCAUCAUAAAAUUUCAGCACUCAUCCAUGGUAACUUUCAAAAUCACUCAUAAAAUCAAAAACUAAUGAAUUCAAUAGUUGGACCUAGUUGUAAAAGUAUCAAAAUCACAAAAACUAUAAGAAAUAAACAAAAAUUGAACUCACUUGUGGCAAGAAUAUGAAAAACCUUCUUAGUGAGACUCUUCAAUGUGUUUUUUGCUGAAUAAAAAUGAGGAAUUGUCUAGAAAUUCAAUUUAAUCCAAUUUUAACUAUUAAAUUUUAUUUAUUUUCCAAUUUUGCCUGUUGUUCACACUAGUUUUGUUGUUUUCUUCUACACACUUGCCGCCCAACCUAUUGCCCAUGUGUCUAAUUUCUCAUUUGGUCCUCCCUUAAUUACUUCUUUAGCUAUUUAAUCUGUGUUUCCUUAAUUAGCAAGUUUUGCACCUUUUUCAUUUUAGUCCUUUUUAAUUAAUUGACUAUCAAAACGUUAAAAUUUUCUAACGAAACUUUAAUAAUAAUUCACCAACACUCCGUAAAUAUUUAUAAAAAUAUUUAUGGCUUGGUUUGUGAAAUCAAGAUCUCAGUACCUCGUUUUCGACCCAAUUUACCUAAUAAUUUCUUUUAAAUCACAAAAUUCACUAAUUCAAAAAUAUUUCUAAAAUCACACUUGACUCAUAAAUAUUAAUUUAUUUAAUUUUCAAACUCACUUAUCAGAUUUAGUAAUCUCGUAUCACUGUUUUCGACACCACUGAAAAUUACACUGUUACAAUCGGUGUUAGGAGUGGUUACUUUGCAAGAUGGCGAGAAUUGUGGAGAUUGGGUUUAUUUGAAGAAAAAUAAAUUGGGUUAGGUGUGUGUGUGUGUGUGUGUGUUUAUUUGGGCUUGGGGUGUUGGGUUGUGAAGAAAAUAAAUGGCUGUAUUGAGCAAGGCUUGCCUACGCCACGAUCAGUAUCUGAUUUCCGAAAAAAUCGACAGCCUCCAUCACACUCUUGAAAAACAACACAUUAAAUGGAUUAAAUAAUAAUCUUGUUAUUAUUAAUUUUAUUUUCAACCUAAAUUUUACUAAAAUUAAAAAUUAAAUAAAUUAAAAUAAAUUUGGGUUGUCUCCCAAAAUUCGCUUUUGUUUAACGUUGUUAGCUCGACGACCUUAAAUGUUAUUUGUUUGGCUCAUUAAAAAUUAAUUUUUCCAUCUCGUGCACUUGGAUGUUCUUGUAGAAAGGUUUCAACCUUUGCCCAUUGUCCUUAAAGCACUUCUUGAAUUCCUCCAUCAUCGGUGGAUUGAGGUGUUUUUAAGCUUUUUUGUUCAAGUUUGCCUUUUCCUCUAUCAGAAUCCUUAUAUGUUCUAGAAACGGUUUGAGCUCUAAUUUCGAGGCCUUCAUGCGAAUGACAGCUUCCCGUAUUGAUUUUUUUAUCAUCAAUAAUUCCUCUUGUUUAACAUCGAGAUCUACACUCCUGCAAGGCACAAUUUGUAACUUAUCCUUUUCAAAAUAUAAGUUUUUCAAUGAUUCCAUUCCAUUGACAUUAGAGACAUUUGUUAUUGCACUGAGAUGUCUCAUAUCCUCACAAACAUUAAACCUAACCACUUCACCGUCAAAUUUUAUAGUGAGUGUUCCACUUCAAACAUCAAUUUUCAUUUGUGCGGUGUUUAAAAAUGGUCUGCCGAGUAGAAUAUUGGAAAAAAUUGGUGGAGUUAUCAUCCUCUAUGCCGAUAAUGUAGAUAUUUGUAGGAAAAAUAAGUUCGUUUACCUUGACAAGAACAUCCUUCAACACUCCUUUCGGAUGCACUACUGACCUAUCUGCAAGCUAAACGAUUACACCUAGUUUUUUAAAAGGACCCGUAUUUAGUAGUUUAUAAAUAGGCAAAGGCAUAACAUUAAUAGAUGCACCUAAGUCACACAUAGCUUUUUUAAUCCCAACAUUACCAAUCUUGCAAGAUAUAGAAAAUAUACAUUGGUCCUUACAUUUAGGUGGUAUUUUCUUUUGUAAAAUGGUGGAGACAUUUUCUCCAACACUCACCUUUUCAUUGCCUACGAGAUUCUUCUAACUCGUGCAUAAUUCUUUUAAGAACUUUGCAUAUCAUGGAACAUGCUUAAUCGCAUCAAGAAGACGAAGUGUUUAUUUUUACGUUUUGAAAUGUGUCAAAGAUUUCCUUUUCUUCUCACUCCUUUUUGCAUUGGACGAGUCUUCUAAGAAAUGGAGGCGGUACUGCAAACGACCUUUGAGGAGUCAAAUCUGUAGUUGACGCUGGAUCGAGUUUUUAUUUUUUCUGUUUGGGUUAUGGGUACGAUUUGUGUCAGAAGCUGACUCCAAAAUUGUUUCACUUAUCAAUGUAAUAACACUUACAUUAUGUCGAGGAUUAGAUUUAGUUUGAUAUGACAAUUUUCCUUAUGACUCCAGUCGACUGAUUGCAAACGCAAGCUUACUUAUUUGUUUAUCCAACUCUUGAAGAUGUAAUUCUGUAUUCUGUUGGAAUUUUUAGGUAUUAUUAGCUAACAUUUCCACUAUGGCUUCCAGAGAUGAUUUUGGAGGCGGUAACUGUUAAUUCGAAAGUGACAUUCGUUGGUAUGGCUGAUUAAAUCAAGGAUUUGACCCAUAACUCAAAUUUAGAUGAUCUUUCCACCCCACAUUAUAUUUGUUUUAAUAGGGAUCAUAUCGCCUUUGGGGUGGCCUUCGAACGUUUCUAACAGCAUUUUCUUGUUCUGUUGAACCCUCGUGCAAGAUAGGACAUGAGUCGUUGGGUGAUCUGGCAUAACACAAAUUCUGUACAACCAGACUGAGCUUAUUUUAUCUGUAAGAAAAUUUUGAACAACAUUAGUAAGCUUAUCAAUUUUAUAUUCUAGAGAUAGAGAACUUAACCCAUGAACCCGUCUCGUUAGAGAACUUAACCUAUGAACCCGUCUCGUGGGUUCUAUAGCCGGUCAGAAUUGUUGAGAGUUUGCAACCAUAGUCAAAAUUAACUUCAUUGCUUUCUGAGGCGUCAUAUUAACAAAUGCCCCUCCACUAACAGCAUUUAUAAUUUUCAUUUUCAUUUCCAUUGGGAGUAACCCCUAAUAGAAAUAUUAUAAGAGUGACUGUUCAGUCAAGCCAUGUUAUAGGCAACUUGCACACAACUUUUUGUACCCCUCUCAAUAUUCGUAAAGCAAUUCAGUCAUCUUUUGCCGAAUUCCUACAAUGUCCUUCCUAAAUUCAGUUGUUCGAGCUGCUCGAAAGAACCUGUCAAGAAAUAAACAAGACGUGCCAGACCAUGUAUUAACAGAUCCUGAAGGUAAAUAAAAUAGUCAUUCUUUAGCAGAGUUGGCUAAUAAGAAAGGAAAAACACGAAGUUUAAUUUGGUCUUCGAUUACUCACUAAGGUUUCAUGUUUGAGCAAACUAUGUGAAAUUCUUUGAUAUGGGUAUGCAUAUUUUCAUUUUGUAAUCCGCAGAAGGUGGGCAAUAGAUGAAUCAAGUCUGAUUUUAACACAAACGACAUUCCUCUCGCUGGAUAAGUUAUACAUAGGGGUUGUUGUUCAUCUGGGGCUACUACGAGUUGGCAUAUAGUUUGCUCUACCAUCUCGUAUGGUUCGUCGAAUGAGAAAAUAUCCUCGGUGUAAGAUACAGUUUCAAACUCGGGAUGUGGUCAUUUACCGCAUCAAAUGGCUUCUCUUCACAGUUUUCAAGCCAACUUCUCUAUUUCUGGUUCAAACUCUAGAGACCCUGGUUCUGAUCUGGUUAUAAGGAAAAUAAACAAAAGUUAGAAAAAUAUUUUCAAUCCCCGGCAACGGCGCCAAAAUUUGAUGGGCUUCGAAACUACCAAAUAAAAAUAAUUCCUAUAAUAAAACAAUUCUAAACAGUAGUAAAUAGUAGUAGGAUCGAUUCCACAUGGAUUGGUGAUUAUGAUCAACUUUCGUAUUUUUCUCGUGAACAUAAUUUUUUUUGUGUCGAUAAUCAUGGCAAUAGACGUGCCCAAUACUCUAAACGACUUGCUAAAAAAUAAAUAAAUUAUAGGAUUUUCGAAAUUACUAGAAAUUAAAUAAAUGAAAUAGCAUAAAUAAACAAUUAAAUAUAUUGAAAAAAAAUAAAUUUGGGAAAUAAAUUUGAAUUUUGUAAACAGAGUUAUAAAGCCUUAACCUUAGACUUGGUGGAUUCCGAUUUUUGAAUCGAUCCUCGAAAAUUAGUUUUCUCCUCCAAACAAUAAGCUAGUUAUAACGGCUAAGAACGUCCUAGUCGCCAAUUCUUCCUCUUAUAGUUGAUCCAAAUACGCCCUGCAAACCAACCCUUAUCGAUUGUCUAACCGCGAUAUAUGCGUUCGCAAUUCAAGACCUUGGCAGCCUUACAUUAUGAAAAACCCAACUUGGAUUAACGGCCUCAACCUCUCGAGACGUUUAAAUCUGAUCACAAUCUACCUUAACUUGUUUGCAAAAAUUCGAAUACAGCACGAUCGACUCGACUUCCCAACUGUAAGCCAAAACGACUCCAACCCAAUGCGCUUUUUGAAUUGAAAUCGAGUUAACUUUAAGGGAUGAAUUUUUUAAUCCCAAUAUUCCAGAGAGAUGGUGAAUAUCGAUUUGAAGGGUUUUUAGUGCAGAUACAAUUUAUCACAAUUCUUGACCGGAAAGAAUACUGACCUAAAGCUAAUUUAGAUUUAGUGAAGCAUGAAGUUUAUCAUGCGUUGCUAGUCAUGAAAGUGGAAUGGUAAUGGAGAAAGAUGGAAAGGGGAAAAGACUUGGGAAAUAAUUAAACAAAUUAGUUAAGAAGAAAAAAAUGAAAUGAAAGUGGUAUGCCUAUUGACGCAGAAAAUGGAAAGAAUAAAAAAACAAAUUCAAUUCAAUUCUAGCUAAUUAAGGUGUAUUUUUUCAAGUCCAUCAUGCCACCUAUUUAUACAUAAACUAUAUGCUAAAAUUAGUUUAAUCCCACCUACCCACUAAUUACAUGAAAAAUAUCAGAUUUUAUUUUUUUAAAUUUGAGUUUUACAAGGUCAAAAAAAUCUGAUCAGCCCUUUAAUAUCUUUAAAUUUUUUAUUUGGCCACUCUUCUAUUGUUCAUGCUCCAAUUGAAUCCUUUUUUGUUUGUUUUUUGCAUUAAAGUAUUCGAAUUUCAUUCUUGACAAGAUUUAAACAUAAAAUUCACCAAUUAGCAUGAAUUAAUUCAAUAACAAGUUGAUUUGAGCAUGUAAAAUAUGCAAAAUAAGUAUGCCAUCAGUCGUUUUUGACUCAAAGUAUCAAUGAUGGAUAAAGGUGUUGGUUUCUUUGGGUUCGAGAGUUUUCGAAAAUGAAAAAACUGAUGUUUGGAGUGAUUUUCUAGGUCUUUUGAGUUUCAGAGGUGUAACUGUGGAGAAAAUUCCAACUCGAGACUCUACAAAACAACGUUGGUGCCCUUCCUAUUCGUCUUCUGUUGCUAAAAUCUCCCAUGAGCGUGUAAGACCGAACCCUGGUAUGAUUGUUGCCGUAGCUUCUAUUCUUAGAUCAUUGGGAUAAGAUCCAUUAAGAGAAGCACUUAUAAAAUUCCUAGCCAUUCUCUGCGGUAGUUGAUGAACUUUCGAAACACGAAAUUGGAGAUGAAAUUGAACGACUUUACUCACAACCGGAUAAAUAUUUUUAAACCAAGUGUCGGCUCUGACAAUACCGAACAUAUCCAUUCGGAGUUGAACCUACCAUUCUGGUCCCAAUGCGAGCAUCAUCUACUUCCUUUUUAUGGUAUCGUCCAUAUCUUAUACAUCCGCCCUACAGACAGAUUCAAUCUCGUUGGAACAUCCUUUUUGCAAUUGAUCGUACAUUUUUUUGGAUUCAAGCUUCAAGUGCAAGAAAGACUCACCAGGCAAAUAGCAAAAGCACUUUCACCAAUCUUAGGUGGAGAUAUCAUGGUGGUUGUGGAGGGUAACCAUACAUGUAUCAUGUAUGAUCUCUAGAGAGAUUGAGAAGUUGGGCAGUAACACGACCACCAUAGCUAUACUCAAGCAAUUUUUGACUGAUCCGGCAACUCGGUCCGUGUUUUUGCAGAACAUUCCAAACAAUACUACAUCUGGAACACUGUAAGUUAUAACUUGAUUUUUUUAUUUCCUUUUCCAGAGCUUUAUAUUGUCAUUCUUUUGCCUUUGUUCAUCUUUCUGUUAGCCUAUAACAAUGCAAAAAACAGAGUUAUUUAUAGUGUAUAUAUUUUGUUCAUAAAUCACCAAUAUCGACCCUCACUUUUGUUCGUAGAUCAUCAUAUCAUAUAUAUUUUGCAGGGACAUCAUAUCAUAUAUACCUAUAUAUGUAUAUCUAUAUAACUACAUUCACAAUGGAUACCUGUCGAAUUCUUUUUCGUUCUUCUUUUUUUCAAGAGAACUUUAUGGGUAAAUUUCAAUUCUAAUUUUUAGAUUAUAAGAAUGAUUAAAUUUCAAUUUGAUUCCUAUAUUUCACUUAAAUUAGAAAUUUAAUUUAUAUGUUUUAAAUUUGACAUAAUUUGAUACCUUAACUUUUACAAUACCAUUAGUUAGUCUAAAUACUUUAUUCUAAUUAAAAUGAUUAUGUGAAUCUUUUAAGAAAUGUUAGCACCAUUAAAAUUCUUAACUAAUUUCAGGUUCGUUACAAUGUUAUUUUUUAGUUACAUGAAUAUAAAGUUUAUUUUAUUUUAUUUUUCAAAAUGUCACACUAACACAAAAGAAUUCUAAUAGUGUUAACAAAUUAACCUAAAUUUUUAAAUUUGAAAAGUAGAGAGACAAAAAUUUUAAAAAUAAAAGUAUAGAGAUUAAAUUCUUAAUAUACGUAAAGCAGAAAAACUUUGAGCAAAUUGUAACAUUUAAGUUUUUACACCAUAAUUUAGUUAAGAAAUAAAUAAUUAACCCAAUGCGAAACGUGUGUAAAAACCAUACUAUAUAUAUUAUUACAAGGUACACAUAUAUGGCAACAAUUCAAUGUAGAUCACUUCACAUAUAAAAAUCACAAUGAAUUUUUGAAGAGAAAAUGGAGAGAGUAGAGGUGUCCAUGGGUCGGGCCGGGUUUGGGAAAAAUUUUAGGCCCGUUUGCUAGGCCCGAACUCAAAAAAUGGGCCUAAAAUUUUGCUCAAGCCUGACCUGGAUAAAAUAUUAAAACCCAAUCCCGACCCUGCCCGCCCAUAUUAAUUUUUUAUAUUAUUUUUAUAUAAUUUUUUUUAAAAAAUAUAAUACAUCAAAAAUAUUAAAAACAUUAAAAUAAAUAUUUCUCAACAAAUUGAAAAUAAAUUUCAAAUAUAUAUAUACUUAAAUAACACUAAGAUAAAUGUAACUUAACAAGUAAAUGUGAAAAAUAGUAACAAAAUUAAUAAUAAAACAAGAGUUAUAUAUAAUCCCAAUAAUAACAACAAAAUAGUAGUAACAUAAUUGUGAAAUGGUAGCAAAAUAAUGAAAAAACAACAAGAAAAUAAUAAAAAAAGCAACAAUUUUUUUGUUUUCGCUUUUGGGCUGGGCCAAUAAAGCCUUACUCGAGGCUCGGUUCAUUUUCUAAAUGGGUCUAAUUUUUUUGGCCAACCCAUUUUUCGGGCCUAUAUUUUUACCCAAACCCUCCCACUUUUCGAACGAGCUUUUGAGCUAGGUCUAGGAAAGAGUACCUUAGAUUUUUUUUGGUGAAUUACAAGAGGAGGGUAGAGCCUUAACAGCAAUAGGGCUAAUGCAGCUCGAAUCCAAGUCACACCUAGGACGGUAAAUACCCUAAUCAUUAGGCCAAUACAUGAGGUUUGAGAAUACCUUAACAGCAUGUUUGGUUAGCUGUAAUGCUAAACCAUUAUAGCUGAAUUCAGUGGCCCAUCCCUAUUCCAUUAUUUGGUUGGCUGUAAUGGGCUUUUACAGCCCCAUUCCAUACAACCUUAUUCAAGGCAAAACUGUCGUUUACCAUUCGGCACUCUACCCACGGAAUACCCAUUCAGCGUGUGUGAGUUUCAUCUAUACCCUUCUCCCUCUUUUUCUUUCUCAUGUCUGAAGCAUCUUCUUAUUUUCAUUCUUCUUCCCAUUUCCCUCCAACCUUCUCUCUCUUUUUCAUUCUCACGUCUGAAGCAUCUUCUUUUUUUUCAUUCUUCUACCUAUUUCCUUCUAACAUUCUCCCUCUUUUUCAUGCUUCUAUCCUGACCAACCCUUUGACAAACCCUAUAAGUUUUGUUCAUCUUCUCCGUCAUUUAAAAUCUCGUUCCCCGUCGACGCCUCUGCUUAUCGCAUCAUUAGCCAUGGUAAGCAACACCCUUAGAUUAUUUAAAAUAAUAUUUUUUCUACAUCUUUAGAUUUUCUUUUAUAUAUACAAAACUAUUUGAGGAUACUUUAGACAUUCAUCUCGAUUCAUUUUAAUUUACUUGGGCAAUUUCUGUUUGGCUGCCGAGAAAAUGAGUGUGAGAUCGGGGAGAAGGAUGGCGUUAAAUUUUUUUUUAUGUUUGUUUUUGCUUAUUAUGAUCAGUUUAAUCGAACAAAACACUUGAUUUCGAGAUCAAUAGCUUAAACACUGAAGAAAAUUAAAAUGGAAUGUAAACUAAUAAAGUAUUAAUAGAUGCUUAGAGCAAUGCAUUUUUCAUGUCACAUCUAAGAUUAUGUGUAAAUCUUAGUCUUAUUUAGUUUAGUAACCUGGGCUAAAUUACAAUUUUAUCAUUUUUAUGAGAGCCAAAAUGCAUUAUUAUUAUUUUUAGAUUUUCCUUGAUAUAUAUAUGAAACUAUUUGAAGAAGCUUUAGACUUUCAUUUUGAUGCAUUUGAAUUUACUUGGAAAAGUUCUGUUUGGUUGCUGAGAAAAUGAGGAUGAGAUCGAGGAGAAAGUAGGUGUUUUUUUAUGUCAGUUUGUAAGCUUAUUAUGAUCAGUUUAAUCGAACAAAACACUUGAUUUUGAGAUCAAUAGCUAACAAGGGCAAAGCCAGGAAUUUUUUGGGGGUUGAGAUUAGGGUAUAUAUUUUUAUGAGAAUUAAAAUGCAAUUCUACCAUUGUAUUAUCUUAUAUCUUUAUAGUUUUUAGGACUAAAUCAGUAUUUUAUCAUACUUGGGGGCAUACUAUAAUUUUAUAGAUUUUGGGGUCUAAUGCCUGGAUGUUUACUUGUCAAUUCGUGUAUGCGCUUUGUGCUCUUGUAUUUGCCAUAUUAUAAUCAAAUUUAAUUUAGAUUUUGAAACAUUCAUGUAUCACGUCUAGCUAAAUGUAUACUAUGGUUAGCAUUAACAAUGGUAUUCUUUUUCCUUAGUUUGAAUCUUUAUAUGAACUUUGGGGAUUUACUUCUAUUUAUACUUUACAUAAAACUCAUUAUGUUGGUGUUGUAGUCAAGGAGAAAGGUUAGGGAGCCAAAGGAAGAGACUACGACCCUUGGACCUGUUGUACAAGACGAAGAGCAUGUUUUCGGUGUUGCCCACACUUUUGCAUCUUUUAAUCACACUUUCAUUGUAAGUUACAUGGUCUUUGAAUUCUUUUACUUGGUAACACAUAUUUCUUGCUAUUUCUAUAUGAUUUUUUUAAGCUGUGAAUUUUAAUCGGUUUUAUUUUUUUCCUUUGGUAUUUUGACAAUGAUAGCAUGUGACUGAUUUGUCUAGAAGAGAGACUAUGGUUCGUAUUACAGGUAAGAUAUCGGGAUUCCAUUAACAUAUCAUUUAGCUGCCAAUUUUUAUAUUCUAGUGGAAAGGGAUUGUUUGAAAUGUCUAUAAAUAAUAACAAAAAUUGAACGUUGGACUUAUGUUACUCUAACUUGGGUGUGAAUGUGAAUAGGGCAUGUGUUUGACACAAGUAUAUCCAUAUAUAAAUGUGUUAGAUACAAGUUUGUAGGUACUUAAAAUAGCCUGACAUUUGUAUUAUUGAACAUUUGUUCUUUAGAUUGAGUUUAAAAUUCUUGAAUAAAUCCAGGUGGUAUGAAGGUGAAAGCUGACAGGGAUGAAUCUUCACCUUAUGCUGCUAUGCUUGCAGCACAAGAUGUUUCCUAGAGAUGUAAGGUCAUAUACCAUUCCAUUCAUUUUUAUCAUUUAAGAAAAACCAGAAGUUGUCACUUUACAUUACAUUACAUUAACUCGUUACUAGAAGACAUACAAUAUCUGACAUUACUACUAGAUUUAUAUUAUUGUUGACGAGUUGCAAAUCUUUAUGCUGAGCAGGAACUCAGAAUCACGGCACUCCAUAUCAAAUUACGUGCUACAGGAGGUAACAAAACCAAGACCCCUGGUCCGGGUGCUCAGUCAGCUCUCAAGGCUCUUGCUCGCUCCGGGAUGAAAAUUGGCCGUAUCGGUAAGCCACAACUAAUUGAAACUAUUUUAAAAUGCAAAGGAACAAUCUUUUGUUUUGCAAAUUACUAGGGGAGAGUAAUUGGUUUAAUUGGUGGGUUUGGUUGUUUUUUUUGGUUAAUUAACCUUGUGUUGUUCGGCUUAUAUGGUUAUAUAUCUAUUAUAUAUUAUAAAUAUAAAUAUAUUUUAUAUAAUUUUAACAAGAUAUAAUCUGUUUUUUCAGUCAGUUUGGUUUUGGAAUUAAAAACUGACUGAAUUAACCAAUUAAAUCAAGGUCAAAAGUGAAGUUUUUUUUUUCCAAAUUUUUGGUUGAAACGGAAAGUUGUUGUCCCUUACAUAUUACCGUCGAACCCUUAUGAUGUUAUUCUUUAUGUUAUUUCAGAGGAUGUUACGCCCAUACUGACUGAUAGCACCAGAAGAAAGGGUGGUAGAAGAGGGAGAAGCUAUAAACUAGCACAUUAUGUUCUAGAAAAUCUAUCCUUUUAAGUGUUUUUUUGGUGGCAUUGGCAUUUGGUUAUUUGGUAAUAAUUGUUCUUUAUGAGCCCUUUUUCAUGGUUUUAUAUUGGUAUAUUUUAUAUUGGAGUUGUAGAACAUAAUGAACUAUGAAUCUAUCAAUCGCAUUUUUCAUGUUUUUGGUAAUGUUUUAUAUGAAUCUCAUGUUAUAAGUAGGAAUGUUUAAUGAAAAUAGUAUGGUGAUAUUUUUAUUAAAAAUUUGUGGGCAUAUCAUAGGUAGUCCCUAAACAAAAAUUGUAACUUGUGAUGUUACUUUUACAAGUUAAUGCUCAUGUGGAAUUUAUUUAUAAAAAACCCAAAACUUGUUUGAUUCUUGCAAAACUCUUGUUUCCAUCAUGGAUGUUUGAACUUGAUCAAAUUGGUCCAUCAUGGAUGUUUGGAUUUGAUCAAAUUGGUUGGUUUAAUCAGGAAUUGGUUGGGUAUAAAGUUGGAAAAGACAUCAAAUUGGUUGCCUUAGGUUGGGUAUCAAGUUGGAAAAGGCAUCAAAUUGGUUGCCUUAUUGAUUCGUAUAAAUUGUUGAAUUAGGUUAAAAAACUAGUUAAUCGAUUUUUAAUUUUUAUAAAUAUUAUUUUUAUAAUUUUUUAAUAAUUUAUUUAAUUAAUUCAUUGAUAAAUUAGAGGUAAAAUCAAUUUGACUAUCGACUUGGUUCUUAAAACUUUUGGCUUGUAACUUUUUGUUAAUAUAUAAAUAUUAUGCUAGGAUAUGAAAUAUAAUUCUCAAGUUAUUUAGUACUUUUAAUAUUUUGUUUUUUAUUGUAGAAUAAUUAAAUUAUUUGUUUUACUAAUGAUAUUUUAGCACAUUAAAUAUGUAUUGCAGUUUAAAAAUAAUAAAAUAGAUUAUAUAUAUUUUUAAGUAUUAUAUAUUUUGUUUUUUUUUAAUUCAUAUAGUAAUAAUUAUAUUAAGAAUGUUAUUAAAUUAUAUUUUUUAUUAAAUUAUAUUUAAUAAUAAUUAUGUUAAAAUAUGGUUAAAUUAUUUAUUAUUUUUAUUAAAUUAUUUUCAAUAAUAAUCUUAUUAAAAUUUAAUAACAAUAACAAUAAUCAUCUACCUAAAAAAUUUUUUGCUAAGGGUAUUCUAGUCAUUUUAAUUUUUUUCCUUAUGCUAUUACAACAUCAUUCCAUUCAACCAAAUACAAGAAUACAAUUACAGUUUUAUUCUAUUUCAUUCAACCAAACAGUUAAAUUACUGAUUACAGCUCUAUUCCAUUACAGCUCUAUUCAAUUAUAGCUCUAUUCAAUUACAUCCCUAUUCAAUUACAGUGAACCAAAAAUACCCUAAAUUUGUUCCAAAAUGGAAGUAAAAGUAUAAAAAAAACUAAAUAUUAAUUAAAAAAAAUGUAAACCACCAAAUGUUAACAAAAAAAAGUAAAGUAGUAAAAGUAAUAGCAAGAACUAAUUGAAAAAAAACAAACUAAAAUGCUAAUAAAUGGUGUUUUUUUAAUUAUGAAAAUAAGUCGAAUUUUGAAAUAUUUAUAGGAAUUGAUGGAUUUAAGUAAAACGUUUUUAGUUUGAAGUGAUUUUUGUUGUAAUAGGUUUUUAUAUAGAUUUCAAAGUUUUUUUUAUUUUUUUUAAGCAACGUAAGAUAUGAGAUAUGUAUAUAUAUAGACUUAUAAAUAAGUUUGUAACUUGUUUCUAAAUAAUGUAAAAUUAUUAUUUUUUAACUAAUAAUAUAAAAUUAAAGACCAUGUAUAAAGGAAGAAAAAAAUCUUUUAACUAAUAUAAAAAAAUCUUAAGAAAAAAUCUUUCUGUCGAUAGAAACGAUAUUUAUUGGUAUUUUCGUAAUUAAAAAAAUAGAGACAUUUAUUGGUAUUUUAGUGGAAAAAACAAAACAACGGAAGAGUUACAAUAAAGCUAAUGAAUAUAAAUUAUUUAUAUAAUAUAAUACAUAUAAUCAUAGAGAUAAUGAUUACAGAUUAUCUCAAUAUAUAUAUUUUACUUUUUUAAUUUAAUUUGAAUUUUAUUAGAAUUUGUAUUUUUUAAUUUUAAAUUUUACUAAAUAUUUAAAGAUGAAGUAGAUAUAAUUUUUAAAUUUUUAAAUUUUUAAAUGUUAUAUGUUAUUUUUUUGAAAAAAAAUUAAUUUUAAAUGAAUAAAUAAAUAAAAAUGUUCUUAUUUUAUGUUAAUUAGAUAAAUAAAAAUUUACUUUUAAAUUAUUUUUUAUUUUAAGAUAAUUUUUUUAAUGAAACCUUUUUUAUUUUAAAUUUAAGUGUUAAGAUAAAACCUUUUUAACAUAAUUUGAAAUUCAAUUAUUUUUUAUAUUUUUAAUUUGAAAAUUCACUAAAUAGUUAAAAAUGUUAAAAUAUUAAAAAUUUUAGUUUAUAAUUUAAAUAUCCAUAUUAAUAGUAAAUUUAAACAAAUAAAAAAAUAUAUAUUUAAAAAAAAUUAAAUUAAAAUUAAAAUAGAUUUUAUAAUUAAAUAGUAAUUUAAAUCAAAUUUAGAAAAAAAAUUGUUCAAAAUACGUACCGAAUUGGUAGGCGAUUAGCAGCUAGCCUCUAAUAUAAAAACAAAGGUAGAGGUUUGAUAGCGCCUGGGAGAGUGAAACCAAAGAGUGAAGCAGAACCCGUCCCUUGCGCCGUUCUGUCAUCAUGGGUAAUUUUCUCUCCAUUUUCUCACCCUGCAAACUCUUUAUGCUGUUUUUCUUUUCUCAGGUAUUUCCAGGGAUUCUAUGCACAAGAGACGUUCCACAGGUGGCUAGCAGAAGGCUUGGAGGAAGAAACGAAAGUAAUUUUCCAUUUCCUGCCCAUUUUUCUACGUUUUUUGUUUUUGUUUUGUUUUGUUUUUUUUUUGUUUUUGGUAAAUCUGCAGAUGAAUAAUGCGUUGGGAUUCCUUUUCCUUAAACAAUCGAUCUGUUAAAAAGAUUGUUGAUCAAUGAUCAUUGAUGGUAGAAACAGGGGCGAGUGGGGCUGGGCUCCGGCCCCUAAAAUGUAAAAUUAUUAUUUAGGCCUUAAAAUUUUUAAAAAAUUUUAAAUUAGUAAAAAUAAAAUUAUACUUUUGCCUCCCUAAAAUUAUAAAAAUUUAAUUUAAUUCUUUAUAAAUUAUAAAAAUAUAAACUAUAAAAAUUUAAAAUUUCAUCCCCUAACAAAUUGUUCUGGCUUCGCCCCUAGGUAGAAAUGGAGUGCAAAGGUGCCUCUUUUUGAAGCAUAACAUUUGAUUUUAUGAUUUAUUAUUAAAUCUGACAAACUAACCAUUCUUGAGUCAAUUAGUAUAUAUGUAUGGAUUAUGGAAGAUUCAAAUCAUGUAAUUCCUACAUGACAUGCAUAUAUGGAUAAUAUACAUACUUAUAGAUGUAUAUGCAUGGAUCUUAAUUCAAUCAUGUAUAUAUAUAUUCAUGAAAGAUUGAUAUGUUUGUUUUGGAUGUUGCUGUCGUCUUCACGUAUGGUUUUAUGUUUGAAAUCUUAUGCUUAGAUGAUUCAAGUUUUAUUGCUCCGAUGCUUUAUGUUUCUUGAGUUAUGCCUGUGUGAUAUCGGUGUCUAAUGUUACACCUGGACAUGGAAAUAAGGAUAUGACCUUCCAAAUCCAUGGAAAAACUCGCACCUGACACUUAUUUCGAGUCCAAAUAACAUAAGAUUUGAGGGCCAAGAUGUCUGUUAUUUGAGGUUCUUGGGCAGUACUUUAUGGAUGAAUACUUUUGGGAAUAUAGAUCCACUGAAUUCCCGGUUUUCUUUAUUGAUGAUUUCGGUUUUUCUUGGCGACAGGCAUGAACUCGGCCGCCAGCCAGGAAAUACAAACCUAUCAAGCAACAAAACUGUCAGGAGAAUCCGUGUUAGAGGAGGCAACGUGAAGUGGAGAGCGUUGAGAUUGGAUACAGGCAACUAUUCAUGGGGUAGUUUAUCCGUAACCCGUAAGACUCGUAUUCUCGAUGUCGUAUAUAACGCCUCGAACAAUGAGCUUGUUCGCACACAGACUCUGGUAAAGAGUGCCAUUAUUCAAGUUGAUGCGGCUCCGUUUAAGCAAUGGUACCUUCAGCACUACGGCAUUGACAUUGGGAGGAAGAAGAAGAUGGCCUCUAAGAAGGAAGCUACUGAGGUAGAAAGUUUAUAAAUUAGCUUUCCCUUACUGAAAAUUGAAGGUCACUUUCAAACUAUGUUGCUACAUAAUAAAAAAGCUUAGGAAAUGAAAUUGAACAUGCUCAUAUUAGAUACAUACAUAUAUAAGAUACUCAAACUCGAGUUAAAGUAACGUAGGUUUUGAUGAUUGGGUUUAGCUUUGAGUUGAUAUUUAUUGUUUCUGCUUAUAAAAACUGACAGGAACCAGAAGGGGCUGCCGAGGAAACCAAGAGGAGUAAGCAUGUGGCAAGGAAGCUUGAGAAACGCCAAAAAGAUCGCAAAUAACUUGAUCCUCACGUUGAAGAACAAUUUGGUGGUGGUAGAUUGUUGGCAUGCAUAUCUUCCAGGCCUGGUCAAUGUGGCAGAGCUGAUGGGUAAGUUUUGGUUUCUAAUCUGUUUCUUACUGGGAUUUGCAUGCGAGAGUCGUGUAUGAUUAUGCAUAUGACAUGUUUUUUCGAUGUAUCUGGAGGGUCAUAUUUAAAGGAAGUGAAUAGAUAGAGCAACACAAGUUUUUACUAAUCUUUAUGUUUUCUCAACAUUUUUAUUUGUUUGAAAUAUCUGUGUUUGACAUAUAUUUAAAGUGUCUUUUAGAUGAUUAUGGAUUCUUCCAGUUUUUCUUAAGCUAUCCUCCAUCAAAGAACUUUCAAAUACAUAAAAAAUUAAAAAUAUAUAUAUUGAACAUGCAUGUGUAAAAAGAUGCUUGCAUGCCAUUUGACAUGCAAUUUUAUUACAAAAUAUUAUAUUUAAUUUAAUAUAAUUUAUAUGUUUAGUUACAUAUCGGAAGGUAAAGAAUUGGAGUUCUAUAUGAAGAAAAUGUAUAAGAAGAAGGGCAAGGGUGCGGGAGCUGCUUAGAUGAAUUAAUUUGGCGUUUUUGUUUUUUCAAUUAAAAGUUUGGUGAGAAUAAAAUAGAACUAGUUUUUAUAUAAUUUUAUUUGGUUGAAUUAAUGGUAUUCAAUUGUUUUUUUAGUAUGAAAAAAGUUUUUAGUUGUUUUUUUAGUAUGAAUACAGUAUAUGUGUAGAUGAUUGAGUCUGAUCAUGUGUGGAAGUUUUAGUUUAGUUAGUUCUAAUUUGUUGGCUUUAGUUUGGAUUGUACCAGUUUUUAAUCUUUUUGUACUUUAAUAAUUUGAUUCUACUUGGUGAUUGCAUGGAUAGGAUAGUUUGAUACUUGUGGCUACUUGAACUUGUAAUUGAAUUGGACUGGUUACACUUUAAAAAAUUAAGAUUAAAAUUUGCUAUUAAACCCUAUAGUUUGCAAAAGUUGUGGAUUUAGUCCAUGUACUUUAAUUUGGUCAUUUGUAAGCUUUAUACUUUUCAAAUUCUAAAGCUUCAGUCCUCAUUAAACUGUAACUACCUAAUUUAUUAAGUUCAGGUUUAUCUAUUUCCAAUCUGAUUGGUAGGCAUAUUAUCAUGUGUAAUGUCUAGUCAAUUUGUUAUUUUCGUAUUUAUGUGUAAUGAUUCAAUUGGAGAAUAUGGACUAAUUUGCAACUACGCACAUGGUACAUGAUUAGUAAUUGAAUUUAACUAAAUAAUUAAAUACUAUUGCUUGGUCCAAGAUUAAAAUUUUAAAUUUUAAAAAACACGACUAAAAUUGAUGAAAUCGAAAAGUAAGAAUUAAGAUUGAUCAAGUUAAAAUAUAUGGACUAAAUUUACAAUUUUUCUAAAGUACACGAAUUAAUAAUAGAACUUAACAUGAAAAAUAAUGUAGCAGUUUGUUUAAAGUUUAAAUUCAGGAUUAUGUAUCAAUUAAAGAUUUAAAAUCAAUGCGAGUUCUAUCUCAAAAUUGUGUAAUAAGCUUUGUAUUAAUCGUUAGCACUUUGUCUGUUCUAAGGAUUUAUCAAACCAAAUGGUGGGUUGUACACGUUAUGUUAUAUAAAAAGUGCGUCGAUUUUUGUCAUAAUUGUACCAAAUUCAAAAAAGUAUUUCGAAUUUUGAAUUCUAAAAAUUUCUUGAUUUAUUUUCUUACAUUUUCUUAUACAAACAUAGGAUUUCUUUAGAUCACUUCAAAUUGCUACAUUAUUUGUAUAUCCACUAAAUUAGAAAAUGGAUUUCCUCUAUUGGGUUGAAAAUAGGGGAAGGAGGUAUAGCAUUUAAGAGAAAUAAUCAUUCAUAAAAUCACAAAAAGAUUAAUUUCGACAACUCAGUUAAAGCUCUUAUAUAUAUAUAUAUAUGCGUUCUGCGCUUCGCUAUAGUAUAAUUAUUAAAAAAAUAUUAUUCUAUUAUUUAGUUAUUUAUUACUAUAAAUUGAAUAUUAUAAAAAUAAAAAAUUAUUAUAACACUAAAAUAACAAAUGCAUAUGUGCAAUGGGGAAAAUAAGAACCCAAAAAAUGAAAAAUAUAUAUAUUCAAAAAUUUAAGAUUUAAAAUCAACAUAAAUUUUUUCCGCAUUUUUUCACUCUUUCAUAUAUUAGGGGAUUUCAGUUGGAAAAGAAAAUGUUUCAUAUUAAUGGAUUCGGGUCCAUGGUCGUAGGUUCCAAUGUAUUAGAUCUUGUAACACUUACAAAUGAGGCCCUAUCGAUUAGUAUUACAUAGAAAAAAAUUAAUUACAGACACUAAUACAAUUAGAUUUGCUCUUCAUAGACAAGCUUGAGAUUUGCGAUCCCAAGUAAGAUCAGUUCAAGAUCAUGAGAUCGUUUUAUAUCAGAUAGGAAGGACUGUUGUACAAAAUGUACUUCUAAGUAAUUGCCCCUUAAAUCCUAUAUCUAUGUAUAUGAAGAAGAAAUCAUGUAACCAAGGGGAUUUUUAUUUGUAUUGAUGACAAAUUACAAAAUUCCCUAUAAAAAUAUUACUAUAUAAAAAUAACGGAUAAUUAUAUUAUACUCUACAAAUAGAUCUAAAAUGAUGUUAAAUAUAUAUUUUUUAAUUUUUUAAUUAUUAUUUUAUUAUACCUUGAAAAUAAAUAACAUCAAUCUAAACCUACUUGUGGAAUUUUUGUAUUCCACAGUCAAUGUAUAGAAUGAUGAUCUAAAAAUAAUAUCUUAAUAUAAAUGUAUGAAUGCUAUUAUAUAAUGUAUCCCGUAGAAGCCAGAGGUGACGAAACACAGUUUCAUCUUCAAUAGGGGAGUAUUUGACCCUAACGUCGUAAUUCCCUCCAAAGAGAAGGCAAAAGUUUUGUUUGCUUCGGAAAUUUCACUUUCCUCUGGGAUCGCAUACACAAGUGCCGAGGUUGAUGUCGAAUUUAAAAUAAUACUUUCAACCAUAAGAUGUGUGCCGUCUUAGCUCAGCCGGUAGAGCGCAUGGCUUUUAACCAUGUGGUCGUGGGUUCGAUUCCCACAGACGGCGUGCGGUGGUUGUUUUUAUAGGGCUAGUGUUCCUUCUUUUCUGCUUAGUUUAUGUUAUAAUAAAACCCAAUACCAUCAAAUAAAACAAAUUUGACAAAUGGUUGAUUUAUUAUUUCUUUAUACGUUAAGUCUGUCACUAAUGGCUCAAUGAUCCCUAACGUGGACCAAACACAAGAAGAAUGUACAAAAAGAAUAAAAAAAAAAAAAUCGAUAACAAUUUGAGGGAAUAGCAAAACCAGUUUCUUAUUUUGCUCAUUCUUCAAAAUUGUUGUUUAAUUUUUUAAUUUAAUUUAAUAUUAUGUCAGCAAUACUAUUUCAUUAACAACAAAAUUAAGGUGCAGUGAUUAAAAUGUUAACUUCUCAAAUAUACAAGAACUAAAAUGUUCUUUUCAAUAAUAGAGGGAUUAAAACGAAUUUUAUGAUAUAGUACAAGGAUUUGUUGCGAACUUUAAAAAAAAAUUUAUCUUCUGUUUUUAUACCUUAAGUUUCAUAUGUAAAAUAUCGUGUUUACUAAAAAUAGAAAAUAUUAAAAAGAUGUAUUUAAAAUAAUAUAAUUUAUUUUGUAAAAUAAUAAUAAUUUAAUUGAGUUGGUUUAUAACAACAAUUUAAAAAUGUUUAAUAUGGAAUAGAUAUUUAUAAAAUAUAUUUUUUAAGCAAAUAUAUUUAUAAAAAAUAAAAAAGACUUUAAUUGAAAUAGUAAAGUAGGUUUAGAUUUAAUUAUGUUGUUUAUUCUUUUUAAUUUUUAUAAAAAUAAAAAAAGUAAAAACAUUGUCAAAAUAAUAAAACUUACUUAAAAAGUAGUGAUAUUUUAGUCAAAAUUUUAAUUUGAGCUCGAGUUUACUAGCGUUCAAAUUUGGUUCAACUCAAUUAUACCUGUAAUGCACAAGGCGAAAAUUUGAGAGAAAGGAAUAGAGAAAGAACAAAAGAAUGCAAAGUCAGAGUAAAAAACUAUAUUUUGUGAUCUAUAUACCUUACCUAUACAUGCAUACAUACAAAGAUUAGCAACUUUCAAGUUAUAGGUACUGCCUUUCUAGCUGUUAAAUGUUCUAGGAACAGUUGUUCUUUUGCCUUCUAUGAACUGUGCAACAUUCCUUUUCCUAUUUUAGAUUAGCUUUGGUUCAGUUUUGAGUUCCAGGAACAUGUUUUGGGUCUUCAAUUCAUUGAGCCUCUUCAACAGCAGGGUUGGUUUGCAGGGCAAGUAAAGACAGUAAGUCUCUAAGACGAUAACCACUACCCUAGAAAGAGGUAAGUGAAAGACCCAUAAUAGCCAUUGCUAUGACAGAGCAUGCCGCUAGAACUGCUUGACUGCUACCUCCUAGGAACUGGAUUGCCAGAAGCCCUGCCAUUGUCGAGCUUUGCAUUCCACUGUAUAACGAUACUGUUCGGCAAACUUCUUCUCUUUGCCUGCGCAUAACAAUAUGGUAUCGCCAUAUCGGUAACCGGUUAUGUGUUGGACGUGGUUAAAGCAAUUUUCGGGGAACUUCUAAAUACAUAGGAUGUAAUAUAGGAGGUUUGAAUUACCUGAAAGAAGGAAUCUUCAAGAUCCAAUAUCCGAUUGGGAAUGCCACAGUGUGAAACGCCAAAAUCGGAAGAACCAAUUGGAGACUAUCUUUUGAUAGAAUUUGACUCCGAUUCAGUGCAAGAGGGCUAUCGAUGCACAAGGAUGUACAGAUCAUAGCAGCAAAAGGCAUCACAGGUCGGAGGAUAGUGACUACCGAUUUUGCAUACGUAUUAAGCACAAGUCCAAGAGCGACUGGAACAACAACCACCUAACACGAACAACCGAGCUGACAUUUUACAUUUUUUCACCAUAAAACAAGAAUGCUAACUCGAGAAUGCACAUCGGCUUAAUGUACACAUUACCUGUAAAAUUGACUUCGACUUCAUUAUUGCAUCAACAAGAACUUUCUGCGUCUCAUUUUUUAUAUAUUUAUUUAUUUUAAUAUUAUAAUAUACCCUAUAUAUUUAUAAUCACCCAACUUUGCUUGAAGAAUCUAAAACCUUCAUUGAUAGUAUACUAACCUAGCAUUUCCUCAAUGGGAUAAUACACUUCGCUUUCAGCUAGAUAUGUAAUACCCCUACCCGUAUUCAUUGCCGGAAUAGGGUACGAAGUAUUACCGGAGUUUACGAAUUAAAUUUUUUUUUAACUCAAUAUAACCCUUUUAUAGAUAUCUAACCUUCCCUGAAAUUUUAAACCAAAAACAAUCCACAUCAACCAAUCCAAUUCAACAUAUUUUCAAGAUAAAUUCAUGCAUAUUUAUAAAAUAACAUCAUCAUAUACCCAAAACCAGGUUUGUUAACCAUACUAAUGGCUAACUUUAUAUUCAUUUCACGUUAACAUUUACUUUAUUAGUUUAUACAUGCCAUUGAUUUCCAAAAUAAAGUUUCUUUAUUACCGAAAUCCUGAGGUUGAUAGUGUGAUGUGUCUCCGACCAAAUCCGACCUUCGAGCUCUUAACACUACAAAACAGGAGAAAAUGAAACAGAGUAAGCACUUUGUGCUUAGUAAGCUCAUGUAACAAGAGUUAUACUUACCUAAUAUUUUUAAUACAAUACAAUAAACAUUCCUAUAUCCAUUCAAUGUAUUAUUACCCUAACAUGCACAAACUCAACUUUCAAGUUAGUACAAUAAUUUCCAUGUACCAAUAAUAUAUACUAUGAUUGAUGAACUCAUCAAUACAUGAUUUCCACUUUCUUAUUUUUUUUUAUAUUUAUCCCGUUGAAUUUCUUGGAAUUUUCGAUGGAUUUUCAGAGGUACACUUUUAGUGUACAUUUUCGGGUCCGUCAAUUCAUAUUCAUGUGCGCACAUUUCCAUUUCAGAGAGCACACUCCCGCGAACCUCAACCUUGCAGCGGGAUUACCAGUCCAGGCUAAAUCCCCUGUAAUAUAAACUCAUAGAGUAUUGUCGGGAUUACCAGUUCAGGCUAAAUCCCCUGCAAUAACAAUUACUCUAAUGAGCUUGGAUCUGAAUUACCAGUCCAGGCUAAAUUCAGACCCUAAUUCGGAUUACCCGUCCGGGCUAAAUCCAUUUUACAUAUAUUCUUCGAGAGGGCUAUAUCAAGAUAGGAUCACCCGUCCGGGCUAGAUCCUUUUUAUCGUCAAUUCCUUUUCAGAGAUCCAUCGAAUUUUCCUUUCAUUCAACCGGGAUUUCUUCCCAUUUUAUCAAAUAUAUCAAUGUUUCAUUAAUUUUCAUACAAUGAACAUUCAAAUGAUAUUCAAAUCAAUAACAUACAUUUCAAGCAUUUAAGAAUAUAAAUUAAGUUACACGAACUUACCUUGAUACUUGUUCGUGUACAAAAAUCUACUAAUCUUGAACUUUUUCCUUUCCUCGAUCUAGCUUCAUAUUUUAAUCUUCUGGAUCUAAAUAAAUAAAUUUAAUUAUCAAUUUAAUACAUUUCAUGUUCAUAUGCAACAUUCUUUAUAAUUCAACUAUUAUUAUUUAUAGUUUAUUCAAAGCUGUCUAUUUGAGUCAUAGUCACUAAAUUAUUUAUAAAUAUAACUACGAAACUCCAAAUUAAGAUACAUUAAUUUUUCCUGAAACUAGACUCGUAUAUAUUCUUACCAUAAAAUUUUCAGAAUUUUUGGCUUAGCCAAUAAGUACAGUUUAUUCAUUAAAGUCACCCCUAUUCUGUUGUCCAACAGUUCUGACCCUUCUUCACUAAAAAUCAAUUAUCUCUUCAUACAGAAUUCAGAUGAUGUUCCCGUUUGCUUCUCUUGAAAAUAGACUCAUUCAAGAUUCUAGAAAUAUAAAUUUAAGCUCAUAAUUAUUUUUAUUAAAUUUUUUAUGAUUUUUCAAAGUCAGAACAGGGGAACCCGAAUUCAUUCUGACCUUGUCUCACAAAAUUCAUUAUAUCUCAAAAUUUACAAAUCCAUUGCUUACACAAUUUCUUCUAUGAGAAACUAGACUCAAUAAAAUUUAAUUCCAUAUUUUUUUAAUCUUCUAAUUCGAUUUCUACAAUUUAUGGUGAUUUUUCAAAGUUAGUCUACUGCUGCUAUCCAAACUGUUUUUGUGUAAGUUAUUUAUUACCAUUUUUCCCCUAAGCUUUUAAUAAAUGAUAAUUUCGUCCCUACUCAAUUAGCCUCUCAAUUGAGCUGAUUUUUCUCAAUUAACAUUUUAUUAUAUCAUCUUAAACUAGUUUACAACCUUUAGGAAUCAUAAUUUCAGCAAUAGACUUUAAUUCCAAGCAUUUUCACAAUUAGGUCCUAAAAAUCAAUUUCUAUUGAAAUUACCUAAUAAAAUCAUCUCAUAAACAAAUUAAAGCUUUAAUUUUAUUCUAUUUAAUCAUAAAAUUACAGCACUCAACCAUGGUGACUUUCAAUUUCAUCCAUGAAAUCAAAAACUAAUGAAUUUAAUAGUAGGACCUAGUUGUAAAAGUCUUAGAUACACAAAAAUUACAAGAAAAAGGUAAGGAUUAACUCACUUGGUGCAAAAAUUAUGAAAUACCAGCUUAGAUAACCCUCCUAUGGUGUUUUUAGCUGUUGGAAUUGAAGAGAAAUGAAGAGAAAUCUAGAUAUUUCCUAUUUAGUCCUAGUUUUAUUUAGUUAAUUUUGCAAUAUUCCAAUUUUGUCCUCAAUUUAUCAAUUUUCCUGCUGAUUUCAUGCCCUUGCCGUCCAGCCCAAAUAAAUUUUGGGUCUAAUUGCCUUUAAAUCCUUUCUCAUUAGACUCUUAAGCUAUUUAAUCUUUCUAGCAACUUUUACACCUAUUACAAUUUAGUUCUUUUCAUUUAAUUGACUACCCAAACAUUAAAAUUUCUUAACGAAAUUUUAAUACCACAUUAUUAACAUUUCAUAAAUAUUUAUAAAAUUAUUUUCGACUCGGUUUUACGAGAUAUAGGUCCCGAUACCUUAUUUUACCCAAUUUCUUCAAUAAUUUCUUUUUCUAACUAACCACUAAAUCGGUAAAAUUUUUCUAUCAAUAUUUUCAUACGAUUUUCCUAUCAUAUCAAUUUUUAUGCAAAAAUAUUGAAAUAAAUUUCUCUUUAAAUUGGAUUUGUGGUUACAAAACCACUGUUCCGAUAACUUUGAAUUUAGACCAUUACAAUAUAUUAUAGGUUUAAUGGUGUAAAAAGCUCUAAAAAAAAAGAAGUAAUUAAGCCGUUAUUGUUAUUUUUUUCACUCAAUUGGGUACUUGGACGAUCAAAAUGUAUAAAAAAGGGCUCUCAAACUUUUAAAAAAGAAGCAAUUAAGCCCCUGCUUUUUUUUUUUUGCAUUCAAUUCAGGUACUUGAAUUGCCAAAAUACAUAAAAAAGGCUAGGGGCGGAUCUAAGGAGCUUGGCAAGGGGCCCCGACCCCUUAAAAUAAAUUUUUUUCCAUUUAAACACUUUAUAAUUUAUAAAAUUUUAAAUUAGUAAUGGUAAAAUUUCAUUUUGCCCUCCUAAAAUGAUAAAAUUUUAUUUAAUCCUCUAAAAAUGAUAAAGAUAUAGGUUAUUAAAAUGGUGAAAUUGCAUUUUUUCUAUUAUAAAAAUAUAUAAUUUAAUUUCUCCCCCCAAAAUUUUUUUUUGACUUUGCCCUUACCCUCUAAGUCGUAUUUCUGGAUCCGCCACUAAAAAAUGGUCUUUGACCGUUAAAGUUAGCUACCUCUAAUUUUUUUAGUUAAAGUUAUCAUGUGUCACAAUCACAACGUGACAUUUGACAAAAAAAAUGAUAAAAAUUAAAAAUCAAUAAAGGUUAUAAAAAUUAUUAAAUUUUAAUAAUAAAAUAUAUAAAAUAUUUAAAACUUACUAAAAAUUAGAAAAAAUAUAAAAAUCAUAAAAAAUUGUAAAAUUUUAUAAAAAUCAUAAAAUAUUAUAAAAUAUAUAGAAAUGUAGAAAAAAUAUAAAAUUUUAUAAAGUCAUAAGAAAAUUAUAAAAAUAUGUAAAGAAAUAUAAAAUUCGUAAAGAAAAUUACAAAAAUUAUCGUACCAAAAGAAGCAUUUUAUAAUUUUUCCAUAACUUUAACGAUCAAAUGACAUUUUUUAGUGGUGGAUCAAAAAUACGACUCAGGGGGCAGGGGCGAAGUCAAAAUUUUUUUUGGGGGGUUAGAAUUAAAUUAUAUAUUUUUAUAAUAGUAAAAAUGUAAUUUCACCAAUUUAAUAGCCUAUAUCUUUAUAACUUUUUAGAGGAUUAAAUCAAAUUUUUAUCAUUUUUGAGGGUCAAAGUGUAAUUUUACCAUCACCAAUUUAAAAUUUAUAAAUUAUAAAGAGUUUAAAUAAAAAAUUCUCCAUUUUAGGGGGGUUAGGGCCCUUAUCAGCCCCUUAGAUCCGUCCUUGACCUUUUUGAUACAUUUUGGGAGUUUAAGUGUCAAAUUGAGUGAAAAAAAAAAGAGCAAGAACUAAUUUUUUUUUUUGAAAUAGUUCAAAAAUCUAAUUGAGUGUAAAAAACAUUAGAGACUAAAUUAUUUUUAUUAAAAAAAAUUAAAGAAUAAGAGUUACAAAGAAUAAGAGAAAAUUAUGCUUAAAAUAUAAAAAAAUUAAUUGAUUAAUAAUUUAAGUUUAGAGAAAAUUAGGCGUGUACAAAAUGUAACUCUUAAAAUAUAAAAAUAAUUAAUUGAUUAAUAAUUUAAAGCAAUAUUAGAAACAUAUUGAAAAAUUGGAACUUCCAAAGAGUAAAUUAAAUGGAAAUACUGUUAGGGAUUCCCCUUUCGUUAAUAUCCUUCUUCUCAGGUUGAUGUUUCCUUUUCUCCUUAGAUAUUGGAGGCAUGGGUUUUGAUGUAUCAGGGUACAAGAGCUUGUACGGAAUCUUUGCAAAUCCCCACCUAUUCAUUAAAAUAUAUUCUUUAUUCCUCUCCUUUAUAUUUCGCUCUAUUGCUUCAAGGUUUUCCCUGAAUUCUUUGAACUUUUUUUGAAUUAUAGACUCGUGAUCCUCAAUCAAUUGCCGCUCUUUUUGGGGUGAUGUUUGACCCAAAUAAACCUCAUUUGAUGUAUGUCGUGACAGAAGAUCCAUUACCGCAAUUGCCAACUUCAUUUGGAACUUAUCAGGCAACAUCUCCUCCACGAACUUCAGGAUAUUCUCUUCAUUGAUAUCUUCCUCAUUUGGGAGGAAUUUUCUCAAUAACAUGGGACGAUUUGGUGGCCAACCCCCGUAUCCAUACUGUCCGAAGUUCACUGCUGCAUGCAAUCCUGAAGUGAUCCAUAUGAGAGUUGUCAGAGCUUUUACGAGGCUUUCGAAUGUAUUAAUGUCGUACCAUCCCUCCUUUCGAUCUUCAUGUCCUCUCGUUUUGAUUUCAUUCCACCAUUCUUGGAUUUCCUCAUCUUCCUUCACAUCAUUGUCGUUAAGGUAGAAAACAUUGCAGUAUUCUGUCACCCAUGUUUCAAUGGCGGUCCAUAUCUCAAUUCCAUCUUUUGCAUAGGGAUAGUCUUCUAAAACCAGCUCCACCUCAGCGUCAACCUCAAACAUCUUCUGUUCUGCACCUGUCGCCGCCUUGUUGCUUGAUUUGUCUCUCUCGACCUGCUCCAUUGGCCCCGAUACAACCUCAUCUCUGACUCUGAGUUUCGCCAUACCUCUGAAAAUGUAAUGGUCCUCAUCGUUAGUUGUACAACUUGGAACAUUUAAAGGAAGUGAAUCCAUUCAAUUCUAAUGGAUUCAAGAAUUACCAACCUUUCGAGAAGGUCUUCAGGAAGGGCCUGCUUAUCAAAUCUCCAUUCUUUAUACAAGUGAGAAGACAAUUCCAUGGAGUAUUCACCAGUAAAAAGAAGAGUCUCCAGAAUCCCUCCAGCAUUAAGGAAGAUGGCUCGAGCCAAUGCAUUUAUAUGCAGUGUGUCUUUGAAAUGAGGAUCCAAUAGCCUAUGGAUUGGAUGCAUUACGCUCAACCGUCUUCUCGUUGCAAUUAUGAAUGGCUCAACUACUGCAUGUGUAUGCAACCUUGAUUUGGAUGCAUUGGCACAUCAAAACAAACAUAUAAAUUUAACAGAUACGAAAUUAAUUGGGUUAAUUUAAUGAUUACUACUUACCAAUGGCUAACUAACUGGUGGUAAGCUGCAUCGUUGGAUGCAACGUGAAAUUUUGCAAACUCCCAUAGGAGAGUAUCUUGUGGAAGCACCAAUCUAGGAGAGUCACCAGGCAAGCUUAGUUCUAUUCCUACUGGUUGAAGCGUUGCGGACGAUGAGCCCGUUGCUAUUAGUAUUGUUCGAGUUGCGUAAGCACAAACACCUUUCCCAUUUAUCAUUGUCAGAAAUUGCUCAAGGUAAUGAUGAUCCAAGAUGAAUGCCCUUUCGUUUACCACUGCCUGCCAUAUAGUGUUGUGUAUGUAUUCAUAAAGUAGUUAAUUUGAAAGGAAAAGAAAUACAUAAAUUUGUUUUUCUUUUUUACCAAAUACACAUCUAGCAAUUGCGGCUGUUUAUGCUUCUUUCCCUGUAGAACCUGCAACGUUUAAAAUACUGGAUUGUAAGCUCAAACAUUAUAUGUUAUAAACCUAGGAAAGAGAUUGCUCAAGGUGUGAUCCAAGAUGAAUGCAGUAUUGGCUUCAAUUGCCUGCCAUAUAGUGUUAUGUAUGUAUUCAUAAAGUAGUUAAUUUGAAAGGAAAAGAAAUACAUAAACUUGUUUUCUUUUUUACCUUUUUCAAAUUUUGCAAUUGCGACUGGUUAAUCUUAUUGUCCAGCUGAACCUGCAACGUUUAAAAUAUUGGAUCCUAAGCUCAAACAUUAUAUGUUAUAAACCUAGGAAAGAGAUUGCUCAAGGUAAUGGAGAUCCAAGAUGAAUGCCCUAUUGGCUUCCAUUGGCUGCCAUAUAGUGUUAUGUAUGUAUUCAUAAAGUAGUUAAUUUGAAAGGAAAAGAGAUACAUAUCUCUGCAAAAUGAUCUUGACCAAACUAGUUUUCUUUUUCAUACCUCUGGCUUAUCUUCAGGUGACUCAUAAUCCCACAUUUUAUAAAAAACUUCGUAUAGAGGUAAUAACUCCUCUCGCUGCAACGUUUAUAAUAAUGUUAGUUUCCAAUCUAUUAAUUCUUAAGGCUCAAAUAUUAUAUAUUAUAAACCUAGGAAAGAGAUACCUUCAAGUGCCGGAUUCGAACAGGAUUUGUUCCUGCAAGCAUUUGGCGACCAAACUCCUUGUCCUCAGCCCAAGCGAAUUUGUCCUCUUAUAACAACAAACAAAGUAAAGAACAUUAAUCAUAAACAUAAAUUGUUUCAAUCAGCGUAUCUUUAAUCAUAUAUUGUGUUUAUUGUGAUUGCAAACCUCGUGAUAAAUAGAAAAAACAUCUAUAGCAGCUAUAAGUUCAUGUUUCCCACCUGCUACAAUUGAAGGCAAUUGAGCACUGACAUGUUGUCUUUUGAGAGCAAGAGUGGCAACAACUUGGUUAAGAAUUUCCUUGGGUACCAAUUUUUCUAGCCGCUGCUUGUCCGAAUCAUCCAGUUCUUCCACUUCUUUGUCUGCACAAAAGCCUAUAAUGUCUUCAAAAAUGUCUUGUUCCUCACUUGGAUCUGACACUGACCUGCUGGGACCUCCAUGAGAAGAUGGUAAUUUUAGCUUUCUACAGAAAUCUAUUAUGGAUCGAAUGAAUCUAACAUCUUUCUUCGAUAUCGCUGCCUUGGGUACAAAGAAAUGUGCAACUUUGGUGACGAAGUCGGGACAUUCUCGAUCCGACAAGUGUGGGAGCGUUGAUUCCGGCGCAAGAAACCGAAUAAGAGCCUCGACGAAGUUGUUUUUCAGUUCUUGUAGUUUUUCGUCGCUCAUUCGCUCAUCGGGUGGAACAUAAAAUUGGAAGCAGCUUGCUGGUCCUGACUCCCUUGAAUGGUCUAUUUCACAUACAACCAAAUAUAUCAAAUGAAAGCAAUUCAAUGAAAAAUAAAUAAUUAGACAAAUUUAAAUUUAUAUAUUCUAUUUAUAUGUACCGUGUUGGCAAUUAGGAUGGCCCAUUUUCAACCGACGUGGGUAUGGAAAUUUAGUGGAACCACCCAACACAGGUCUAUCAUAUAGUCGACCAUUUUUAGGAUCUCCAAGAUUGUUAUAGACAUCAUAAUCAUAAAUUCGAUCCCAUAGGUGCCAUUCACCCUUGGGUCUUGAGGCUUGCAGUUUCUGAAGUUCUUUUUUUCUCAAUUCUACUAAACCCUGUGGCGUUUCCUUCGGAAGAUAUAACUGUAAAAAAUACAACAGUUUCAAUCAUAAUCAAAUAUUACAUCCAUUGAACUACGUAUAAUUUAAUAACUAAGUUAUCUCAAUUAUACAUAUGUAAGUAUGCUAGCAUACUUGAUCUGAGAAGAAAAUUCGUUUAAAUCCGGUCUUGGUGAUGGGGUAAACCCAAGAACCACAAUAGAAAUAAAACUUUCGUUCCUCGAGAAUAUUCGGAUGGUUAAUGUAAUGUAAAGUGACGGAUUUGAGGAAAAACUCAUGCUUCUUAUCUCUGUUUUCAACAACAAAAGCCCCUGGAAUCCCGAAAUCUCGCGUCACCUCAAACUUCAAUUUGAAUUUGAUCACUUUUGUUGGCACCUUCAAACGUAAGACCUCAUGUUUUUUCUUUUCUAGCUCUUUCCCCUUCAUUAUAUAUACAUUCUCACUUUCAAUCCCUUUUUCCGUGGCUGCAAUAUAUACAUAUAUAUUCGUAUAACUAUAAACUAGAAUCAAAUUAUUACAUUAUGCAAAUAAAAAAAAAUAGAUUGAUAAUCAAAAUAUAUUUAGACCUAAAUCAAAAUAAAUUAUGUGAUUUAAUAAAAGAAAAAAUAAAAAUAAAAAUAAAAUCAAAAUAUUUUAUUUUAAAAAAAUAAUAAUAUAGCCAUGUUUGGAUACAGUAUGACAAUGCAUUGUAUAUACUUACUUGGAUCCUUGUUGUCUUGGCUGUAAAGACGAACAGCAACAGAUAAUCCAGAGGCACAAAGGGAGAACCAAGGACUGCGAUCGAUCUCAAAUUCUCCUUGGAUAAUGUAUUUUUGAGGGUCAUGGCGAUGGCAACAUGCUUGUAGUAAUCCACAACAACCCGCGGUUUCUACCAUAAUUUGUUGCUUCCUUUUUUAGUUCCUAAUGCUUUUUAUUUCGUAUUUUUUUUCUUUUAAUCCUGUAAAAAAGAUCGCCAUCUGUCUGAUAAAUAGCAUACAAGAUAUUUUAGCAAAGCUAUGGAACUUAAUCCGAGGUGCCAGAGAGCGCAAAUAUAUAAUGCUUGCAGUAGGAGAUCAUUUUUCAUGGUGACGCGAUGGAGUCGAAGGAGCUAGCCAGCUAGCCCCGUAAGUAUGUGGAAUGUUCUUGGCUUUAGUUGGGAGGUUAAGCUUUGAAUCUAAUACAUUACCUAGCCAUUGAGUUUUCUUGUUCGCCACUUUUUUACUUUAAAUUAGAUUCCCCCACCCUCGUUUUUUCUGCUUGCUUUCCUCACUGUUUAAAAUCUUCGUUUCGUUUUACUGAUCGUCUCAUUCUGUUUGUUUUGUUCUUCACUAACAAUAAAAUAAAUAUGUAUUUUACAUUUUCAAAUUUAAAUGAGCUUUUUUACUGGUCCUUCCAAGCUUUCGUUACCACUGUAUCCUUCCAAAUAAAAUCUUCUCUUAAGGCUUAAGUUGACGGGUUUGGAACUAAAUUAAGUAUGUGAUGAUAAAACCCAAUACCAUCAAAUAAAACAAAUUAAGUUCGUCAUUAAUGGAAUGAAACGAUUUAACUGUUGUUGAUGUGACAUUAAAUAAAAAAGUUUACUAGUCUUGAAAACAAAUGGAAUCACGUGGCUUAACGAUGGCUAACGUGGACAAAACACAACAAAAAUGUACAAAAAGAACAAAAAAAAAAAAAACAGAAAACAAUUUGAGGUAAUAGCAAAAUCAAUUUGUUACCUCUGUUCAUUCUUCAAAAUUGUUAUUUAACUUUUUAAUUUAAUUUAAUGCCAUGUCAGCCAUGCCUUUCUAUUAACAAAGUUAACGUGAAGUGAUUAAAGUGCCAACUUUUCAAACAUACAAGGACUAAAAUGUUCUUUUCAAUAAUAGAGGAAUUAAAAUGAACCUUAUGAUAUAGUGCAAGGACUUGUUGCUAACUUUAACAAAAAAAAUAGAUUAUCUUCUACUUUUAUACUUUAAGUUUCAUAUGUAAAAUAUCGUGUUUACUAUAUUUUUUUAAUUUAAAAGAUGAAAAGUGUUAGAAAAAUAUAUUUAAAAUAAUAUAAUUUAUUUUGUAAAAUAAUAAUAUUUUAAUAAUGAUUUAAUUGAGUUCAUUUAUAACAAUAAUUUAAAAAUGUUUAAUAUGGAAUAGAUAUUUAUAAAAUAUAUUUACUAAGCAAAUAUAUUUAUAAAAGUUAAAUAAGAUUUUAAUUGAAAUAGUAAAGUAGGUUUAAAUUUUAUUAUGUUGUUUAUUCCUUUUAUUUUUUUAUAAAAAUAGUGAUAUUUUAGUCAAAAUUUUAAUUUGAGCUUGAGUUUAGUGACAUUCAAACUUGGCUAAAUUUGAUUAUACCCAAAGCGCACAAAGUGAAAAUUUGGGAGAAAGGAAGAGAGAAAGAACAAAAGAACUCACAUUCAGAGUGAGAUUAGAAACUUUCAAGUUAUAUGUACUGCUUUUCUAGCUGUUAUAUGUUCUAGGAACAGUUGUUCUUUCACCUUCUAUGAACUGUGCAACAUUCCUUUUCCUAUUUCAGACCGUUUUGUGCCGGAACUUUAGCUUUGAUUCAGUUCUGAGUUCCAGGAACAUGUUUCGGGUCUUUGAUUCAUUGAGCCUCCUGAACAACAGGCCCAGUUUGUGGGGCAAGUAAAGACGGUAACCACUGCCCCAGAAAGAGGUAAGUGAAAGACCCAUAAUAGACAUUGCUAUGACAGAGCAUGCCACUGGAACUGCUUGACUAUUACCUCCUAGGAACUGGAUAGCCAGAAGCCCUGCCAUUGUCGAGCUUUGCAUUCCACUGCAUAACGAUACUGUUCGACAAACUUCUUCUCUUGCCUGCGCAUAACAGUAUGGUAUCUCCAUAUAAGUAACCGGUUAUGCGUUGGACGUGGUUAAAGCAAUUUUCGGGGAACUUCUAAAUACAUAGGAUGUAAUAUAGGAGGUUUGAAUUACCUGAAAGAAGGAAUAUUCAAUAUCCAAUAUCUGAUAGCGAAUGCCACAGCGUGAAAUGCCAAAACCGGAAGAACCAAUUGGAGACCAUCUUUUGAUAUAAUUUGACUCCGAUUCAGUGCAAGAGAGCUACCGAUGCACAAGGAUGUACAUAUCAUAGCAACAAAAGGCAUCACAGGUCGGAGGAUAGUAACAACCGGUUUUGCAUACGUAUUAUGUAAUCCGUCACCGGAACAGGGUUACAAGAUGUUACCGAUGUUUACGGAAUAGUUACACAAAAUUCCAUUAUUUACUUAUAUUCACAUCAAAGCUGUCCACUCGAAUCAUAGUCACUAAAUUAUUAAUAUCUUGAGCUACUGAUGCACAAGGAUGUACAUAUCAUAGCAACAAAAGGCAUCACAGGUCAGAGGAUAGUAACAACCAGUUUUGCAUACGUAUUAUGUAACACCUCUAACCCACAUCCGUCACCGGAACAGGGUUACAAGAUGUUAUCGAUGUUUACGGAAUAAUUACACAAAAUUCCAUUAAUUACUUAUAUUCACAUCAAAGCUGUCCACUCGAGUCAUAGUCACUAAAUUAUUAAUAUCUUGAGCUACUGAUGCACAAGGAUGUACAUAUCAUAGCAACAAAAGGCAUCACAGUUCAGAGGAUAGUAACAACCGGUUUUACAUACGUAUUAUGUAACACCUCUAACCCACAUCCGUCACCGGAACAGGGUUACAAGUUGUUACCGAAGUUUACGGAAUAAUUACACAAAAAUUCCAUUAAUUACUUAUAUUCACAUCAAAACUGUCCACUCGAGUCAUACUCACUAAAUUAUUAAUAUCUUGAGCUACGGAACUCAAAAUUAAGAUCCACUAAUUUUUCCUGAAACUAGACUCACAUAUCUUCCUACCAUAAAAUUUUUAGAAUUUUCGGUCAAGCCAAUAAGUAUAGUUUAUUCUUUAAAGUCUCUCCUAUUUUGCUGUCUGACAGUUCUGACCCCUCUUCACUAAAAAUUAAUUAUCUUCUCAUACGGGAUUCGGAUGAUGUUCCUAUUUAUUUCUUUUAAAAAUAGACUCAUUAAGGAUUUUAAGAAUAUAAAUUAUAACCUAUAAUUAUUCUUUUAUAAUUUUUAAUGAUUUUAUAAAUUCAGAAUAGGGAGCUCGAAAUCACUCUGACCUUGUCUCACAAAAAUUCAAGUAUCUCUUAAUAUGAAAGUCUUUUGCCUACAACGUUUCUUCUAUGUGAAACUAGAUUCAAUAGGCUUUAAUUUCUUAUCUUAUUCAACCUCUAAUUAAAUUUUCAUAAUUUAUGGUGAAUUUUCAAAUUCGAACUACUGCUACCAACCAAAAAUUAUUUUAGUACAAAAUAUUGUUAACUAGUUUAUAACAUCUUUACUUCAUCUCAUUUAAACUCUAUACAUGCCAUAUAAAUCUUUAAACAUAAAACAAAAGCUACCGGAGUUGAUCUGGAUAGUGUGCCUUGUUGUGUUGAUCCGAUCUACCAACUUCACUUCAAUUCAGUCUACAUAAAAAUAUCAAACACACACAAGUAAGCUUUUUGAAGCUUAGUAAGUUCAUAGAUUUAAAAGUAAUGCUUAUCAAAACAUUUAUUAAAGUUCCCUGCUAUUCAUAACCACUGUUAUAAUACUUCAUAUAGCUGAGCUCAACAUUAACAACUACUUAAUCUCUUUCAUUUGGUUCACUCCUCUUGUAUUACUUGUUAUCAAAUUAGGAAACGGCUUACGAAAUUAAGUAUGUCGUUGCUCAGUGUCACGAUUCACAACUCUGUAUGGUUUUCCUCAUUGAAAUAUCAUACCUACAUUUUACAACUCGGUAUGGAAAAUGCCAUACCUACGUUUCUUAACUCAGUAUGGAUAAUACCGUAUUUCACAACUCAGUAUGGUUAAUACCAUACCUACAUUUCACAAUUCAGUAUGGAUGAUACCAUACCUACGUUUCACAACUUUGCCAUGGAUCAACCAUGGUUUUAUUCGUCAAUUCAUCACAUGUCACGAUACGAACGUACUCAAUCCUGCAUUUUUCCUAAUUUGAAUUUCCACCUUUAUUCUUUCAUUUAAACAUAAUUUUCACAAUCCCACAACAAAUUCAUAUUUGAUAACACAUUAUAUCAUUCAAUCAUUCACAAAUAAACAUGUAAAUUCAACCAUAUGAACUUACCUGGCUCAUUUGUAGAAGAUUUCAAAAUCUAGGAACUAUUCUGUAACUUUUUCUUUUCUUUGUUCGUCUUUGGAUUCUUGAUAUAUAAUAUAAAAUAUUUCCACUCAUUAGCAUUUAUUUCAAUUCUAUUUCACUUCACAAUUUAUGCUCUUUAACUAUUGAAAUUGCACUUUUACCCCAAAAUUUAUAAUUUUUACAAUUUAGUCCCUGCUCAAUUCACCCAUCAAUUGAACUAUUUUUUUCUAGAUUAACACUUUAUUUUAUCAUUAUAAACUAUUUCACAACCUUUGAUAUCCUGAAUUUCAACACCAACCUCUAAUUCACAACUUUUUCACAAUUAGUCCUAAAUACCAUUUUCUAUCAAAAUUACUUAAUGAAACCACUUUAAUAUGAAAUUAGAACUACAAUUUCAUAAUAAUUCAUCAUAAAAUUCCCUUACUCAGCUAUGGUAACUUCCAAUUUCACCCACCAAAUCAAAUACUAAUGAAUUCUAUAAGUGGACCUAAUUGUAAACAUCAUAAAAACAUAAAAAUUAUCAAGAAAAAGCAAGAAUCAAACUCACAUGAUGUAAAAAUAUGAAAAAAUAGCUUUGUCCAGACCUCCUAGGCGUUUUUUCUGAGAAAAUAUGAAGAGAUCUCUAGAUCUUUCAAUUUUGUCCAUAUUUUAUAUGUUAAAGUUGUGAAAUUUCCAAUUUUGCCCUUAUUUCCCUUAUUUUUCUACUGAUUUUCUUGCCCUUGUCGUCCAACCUAUUCAUUUUUAGGCUUAAUUUCCAUUUAAAUCCUUUUUAUUUUAACACUUGAGCUAUUUAAUCCUUCUAGCAAAUUUUACUUUUGUUACAAUUUAGUCUUUUUUAUUUAAUUGACUACCCAAACGUUAUAAUUUCUCAACCAAACUUUAAUACUAAUUAAAUGACACUCCAUAAAUAUUUCUAAAAAUAUUUAUGGCACGGUUUUCAAAUUCGAGGUCUCGAUACCUCGUUUUUUGACCUGUUUGACCUAAUAAAUUCUUUUAAUUCACCAAAUUCACCAAUUCACAAAUUCUUCUAAAUUCUUGCUUGACUCAUAAAUAUUAAAUUACUAUCUUGUUCAAUAUUACUUGUCAGAUUUAGUGAUCUCAAAUCACCAUUUCCGACACCAUUGAAAAUUAGGCCGUUACAACUAAGCACAAGUCCAAGAGCGACGGAACAAUAAUCACCUAACACGAACAACCGAGCUAACAUUUUACAUUUUUGCACCAUAAAACAAGAAUGCUAACUCGAGAAUGCACAUUGGUUUAAUCUACACAUUACUUUUUAAAUUGACUAUGACAUCAUUACUGCAUCAACUGGAACAACGGAUCCAAUUAGGAGGCCAGUUAAAAGGGGUGUGAGGAACACCGAUGCAAUGGUGGUAAAGCUAGUGAGAAGAAUACUCACUACAACAUCUCCUUUGCUUAAAAAGGUAGCAUAACUAGACGACUUAGCCCCUGCAACAUACGAUGUGAGUAUAAAACUGGCAUAAAACAUUGGAGACAUGCCGAACGCCUUUGCAAUUAGAACCCCGAAACCUGAUUUGAGCAUAUACUGUACGAUAAGUCCAACAGAUAGUGGUAAUGGUCUGUAAUGAAACAAAAACAUAAAAAACUUAAGAAAAACGUCUCAAAUGAACUGAUAGCAGCAUAAUUAGAAACUAUAUAUAAUACAUAUAUACAUACAGUUAUACCUUUUCACUGCAAGUGCAAAAUCAUCCAAGGAAAGCUUAAUUCCAAUUGACAACAUAAUCCCACCAAGAGCAGGAGCAUAUAAUUCCUUAGAUACCCUGCAUAAUAGUUUUAUUUAUUAAUUCCAGAAUCUUUGUCCAUUGUCUAAUAAACUAUUGAGCAUUUCUGGUUCCAAAGCGAAAGCCAACUUUGAAAGAAAAGAAUAAUGAGAACUUGACAAAAAUAAAAUAAAAUAAAAACUGUCAAAAGAGCGAAUAUUUAAAUAGUAAAAAGUGGGGAAAAAAUAGUAAUGAAUAACCAAGAUAUAUAUAUAUAUAUAAACUAUAUUGAAUACUUGAAUUAGGCAAUUAUUCUCGUAUUGGGACUCUGAAAAUUUUUUUAGGGUCAUUUGCAAUUAUUGAACUUGAUAAUUGUUUCACAUUUAACUUGGAUUAGGAGUGAUAUCGGUUUGAUUCAAUCGAGUUUUAAAUUUUUUGAACAGUUCAUAAUUUGGCUCUCGACUUUCAUAUUAAUUUUUUAUUUUGAAAUUUUAGACUUAUUUUAACAAAAUGAGCUUUGCUUUAUUUAUAGUUUUUGAAUAUUAUUUGACAAAAAUUCAAAAUCCUUACAAAUUUUUUAUCCAUAUCAGUUUCACAACUUGACAACUUUUCCAAUUUAAUCCCUAAAUUUGAAUUUCAUUAAAAGUGUGAUGGGUGAUACAAAAUUUAUAUAGAAUUUUAAAAGUCUACAAAAUACAAAAAAAAUAUUGAGAAAUUAUAAAAAAUUAUAAAAUUUUCAAGUCUUAAGAGUUCCUUUAAGCUGGUUUUUCAUAUUUCUGCACUAUAUUAAAAGUCCAAAGAAAAUCGAAGAAAAGAAAAAUUAUCCGAAUAGUUCCUGAGCUACAACAAAUUUUACAAACUAGUCCAGGUAAGUUCGUAUGGUUAAAUUUUAAUGUUAUUUAUUUAAUUGAUGAUUGGUAUUUAUGUUUAUUGUGAAAAUAAAAUUUUUGCUAAACUAUGUAUAUUAAAGUGAAAGUACGAAGCGAUAGGAUCGCAGGAUUGAGUACAUUCGUUCAGUGUAAGAAAAGAAUUGACAACAAAUUACCUAAGUAAACCGAGGUUCAGCAUUUGUUGCGAACUUCUAUGUUUGCUUUCCGUUUAGCUCACAUAAGCUUUAGUUAACUCAUAUGAGUUUUAGUUUAACCCUAUUAGGUUUCCAUCCAGCUCUUAUGAGCUUUUGUUUAACCUUUACGGGUUUCCAUUUAGCACUUAUGUACUUUUGUGCAGCCUUUGGGCUUCUGUAUACGAUGUACUCAUAUCCGUAUGACGUUCUCUAAUUUGACAAGGUUGGUAAGUGAUAUAUGGAAUUAAUGUUUGAAGAUUUAAAGUUAUUUUGAUAUCGAUCUGAAAUAAGUGAAUUCAUCGAUUGAAGUUGUGUUUGGCAGGAAUAGUAUAUUGAAUGAUUUACUUAAAUGAAUUAUUUUAGCAUAUUCAGUAAAAUUUAUGUUUAAAGCCAACGAACUUACUAAGCUUCAUUAAGCUUACUUUAGUUGUUUAAUAUUCUUUUUAGAUUUUCAAUAAGUUCGGAAGAUCAUAUCAACACAUUGGUUCAGACUAUCCAGAUAACUCCGGUAGAUUUUGUUAUGCAUCUUAAGGUUUAUAUGGCAUGUAUAGGGUUAAAUUGAAAAGAAGUAAACUUGUAAUAUGGUUGAUAGUGGCACAUAUACAUAUAUGUAUGUUUGUAUGCAUGUACUUCGUAAUAGCUUAUAGUAAUCAAUGAAUGGAGUUAAUGUACUAAGUUUAUGCAAAUGAUUUGUAUGAUGACAUAUUAGGUCUAAAACUUUAUUUAUGGCUUGUAUUGGUUGCUUGAUUGGGUUGUAUUGGUAUAUGAAAAUGUUGUAUGUAGGUUGAUUGUAAAAAGGGUGAGAAAAAUGGCCUUUAAAUAACCUAUUUUUCUCCAUAUGGGCAGAGACACAGGCGUAUGUCUCAGCCGUGUGUCAUGUACAUGGGCGUGUAGUCUGGCUGUGUGUCCCCUGCAUCUUAAAAUUUAGAAACAGAAUGCUUAAAAUUGAGCACAUGGGUGUGUGGCUUUGCCGUGUGAAAACUGCACCUAAUUCUAGAAAAAUAAAUUGGUCAUAGUUGUCCGUGUGACUCAAGUCAGGGAGUUACACGGGGUAAGACACGGCUUGAAGCACGGGCAUGUCAUGGGGCCACACGGGCGUGUCCCUUGACCACACGAGCGUGUGACUACUGUACCUAGGAAAAUUUUUGAAAUUUUACGAAAAAUUUUCUGAGUUCUCGAUUUAGUCCUAACUUGCUUAUAAUAUUUAAAUUGGGCUUCGAGGGUCCAUUUAAGAGACAACAUGAUUAGUCUCAAUUAUAAAUAAUAAAUGACAAGAAUUAUGUGUAAUUAUUGUGUAAACUUCGAUAAUACUCCGUAACCCUAUUCUGGCAACGGAUACGGGUUAGGGGUAUUACACGGUAGCCUUGCAUUAUGAAGAACCCAACUUGGAUUAACUGCCUUAACCUCGCAGGAUGUUUAAAUCCGAUCACAACCUCCUUAACUGUUCACUAAAAUCCGAAUACAGCACGACUGACUCGACUUCCAAAAUGUACGCCAAAACGACUCCAACCCAACACAUUUUUUGAAUUGAAAUCGAGUUAACUUUAAGGGAUGAAUUUUUCAAUUCCAAUAUUCCAAAGAGAUGGUGAAUAUCGAUUUGAAGGAUUUUUAAUACAAAUACAAUUUCUCACAAUUCUUGACCGGAAAGAAUACAGACCUAAAGCUAAUUUGGAUUCAGUGAAGCAUUAAAUUUAUCAUGUGUUUUUUGUGAUGGAAGUGAAUUUAAUGGUAAUGGAGAAAGAUGGAAAGGGGAAAAGACUUGGGAAAUAAUUAAACAAAUUAGCUAAGAAGAAAAAAAUGAAAUGAAAAUGGCAUGCCUAUUGACGCAGAAAAUGGAAAGAAUAAAAAACAAUUUCAAUUCAAUUCCAUCUAAUUAAGGUGUAUUUUUUCAAAUCCAUCAUGCCACCUAUUUAUACAUAAACCAUAUGCAAAAAUUAGGUUAAUCCCACCUACCGACUAAUUACACGAAAAAUAUCAAAUUUUAUUUUUCUAAAUUUGGCUUUUACAAGGUCAAAAAAAUCUGAUCAGCCCUUUAAUAUCUCUAAAUUUUUUAUUUGGCCCCUAUUCUAUUGUUCAUACUCCAAUUGAAUACUUUUCUACUUUUUUUUUUGCAUUAAAGUAUUCAAAUUUCAUUCUUGAGAAAAUUUAAACAUAAAAUUCACCAAUUAGCAUGAAUUAAUUCAAGAACAAUUUGAUUUGAGCACGUAAAAUAUGCAAAAUAAAUAUGUUAACAGUUGUUCUUGACUCAAAGCAUCAAUGAUGGAUAAAGGUGUUGGUUUCUUCGAGUUUGAGAGUUUUCAAAAAUGGAAAAACUAAUGUUGGAGUGCUUUUCUAAUUCUUUUGAGUUUCAGAGGUGUAACUGUGGAGAAAAUUCCAACUUGAGGCUCUACAAAACAACGUUGCUGCCCUUCCUAUUCGUCUUCUAUUGUUAAAAUCUCCCAUAAGCAUGUAAGACUGAACCCUGGUAUGGUUGUUGCAGUAGCUUCUAUACUUAGAUCUUGGGUGAAGAUCCAUUAAGAGAAGAACUUAUAAAAAUUCCUAACCAUUUCCUGAGGUAGUUAAUGAACUUUCAGAACACGAAAUUGGAGAUGAAACUGAACAACUUUACUCACAACCAGAUAGAUAUUUUUAAACCAAGUGUCGGCUCUGACAAUACCGAACAUAUCCAUUCGGAGUUGAACCUACUAUUCUGGUCCCAAUACGAGCAUCAUCUACUUCCUUUUCAUGGUAUCGUCUAUAUCGGAUAAAUCCGUCCUGUAUACGGAUUCAAUCCUGUUGAAACAUCCCUUUUGCAAUUGAUCGUACAUUUUUUUGGAUUCAAGCUUCAAGUGCAAGAAAGACUCACCAGGAAAAUAGCAGAAGCACUUUGAUGCGGUCGUUGAGAGCACCAAAAAUAUCCUAUUCCCUGUAAAAUAGUAAAAAUAACAGUAAAGGAGAAGUAGGGCCGAAUCUUUAGGGACAGGAUUGUACAAAUGCUCGUUUCUUAAAAUCCUGGACAAUUUCUUGGCCAAGAAAACCUGCGUUCCUGAAAAAAAAAAUAGAAUUAAGAAUUUCGAAAUAAAGUAAAAACAAAAUUUAGAUUCAAAUUGAAAUUGCGAAAUUAAAUAAAUUGCGAAAAUUAAAAUGGAGAAUAUAAAAAUAAACAGAGUUUGAAAAAAGAGAGAGUUUCUUAUGUGGCGAGAUUCCAGCCUCCAGUUGUCUCGAUCCGACUUGGGUUCAAUCUUUGGCUUUUAAGUAACCCUUUUCGAGCAGGAUAAUUCAGUUAUAGUGGAAAAGGAUGCCUACGACCACCAACUCCAAGAAUUAGACUUAAGAUUUGGCGGAACCUAACUCUAGCCAAUAAUCGCUUUUGUGGAACUAUCUUCUGCUAUAUCAUCACUUCCCAAUAGCGAAUACCACGCCGUUUUGUCUCUUAGAUUUUCCAACCUUUGACGCAGAAAGCCAACGAACUGACUAUGCAACCUUCACAAAACAUACAAAGCGGUCGUUCCUUGCACAAGUUGAAAAGAUCACCUAUUAAGAGACAUGGACGGAAGCGUCAGCCCCGUAAUACUGAGAAGCGAUGAAUACCCUGUUGAGAAAGCUAAACGCGGAUUCUAAGCCUCAUGAACCUUUUUAGGGAGUUUCGACAACCUUCGGCUAGAUUAAUUUAGUAGCUCAUGAUUUUUGGGAAAGAAAUAAAUAUAAUAGAUGUAAUAUCCUGAUUUUGGGCCUAGUCGGAAUAGUAGUUUCGUGACCACAAAAUUCGAGAUAGAAAUAAUUAUUUUAUGAUUAUUUUAAGGUCUAUGAUAUGAUUGCAUGAUUGUGUGAAAAUUUAGUGAAGAAAUUUUAUGCAUAAAGUGCUUAAAUUGAAAUUAGGGACUAAAUCGAAUAAUUUGCAAAACUUGCAUUCUAGAAGUUUCUAGUAUGAAAUUGUUUUGAAAUAUUAAUUAAGAGGUCUUAAAUAUAAAUUUUACCAAUUUAUAAGUCUAUGGACAAAAAUUGAACAUGGAUGGAAUUUUUGGAAAGUUUAGUAGUAAGGGCAUUUUGGUCAUUUAGGGGUAAAAUGAAUUAAAAACAAAAUUAAAAGCCAAUUUUUGUCCAUCUUCUUCAUUAGGCCGAAAUUUCAAGGGUUCUCCAUAGCUAGGGUUUGUUUCAAGCUUCCAAGCUCCAUAGUAAGUGAUUCCAAGCCCCGUUUUUAAUGUUAUUUACGUUUUUGGAAUCCCGGAAGCUCGAUUAAGCUUAUGCUAGCAAUAAUUCAACCUAGGGUUUAUAUUUGGAAAAAUACCCAUAGGUGAAAUUUGUGUAUUUUGAUGUUUUAUGAUAGAAUAUGGGGUUUUAAAUUAUGUUAGACAACUUGUGCUACUCGGUUUUGAGUGAAAACGAGUAAAAUGGCUUAAUCGGCAAAAAUACCCAAUAGUCACAAGUAUAUGUUAGAGAGAGAAUUUGAUGUUUCCAUAGAAGGGAAAAGUGAUCAGCAUGUUAUAAAACAUAAGAAUAAGGAAUAAAGUUUAAUUCCCGAGCCUAGGGGCAAAAGUGUAAUUAUGUAAAAGUUUAGGGGCAAAAGUGUAAUUUUUUUAAAGUUCGUAUUAAAUGCUGUUUUGAUGAAUGUAUGUAUUAAAUAAGAUUAAUUUGGUAUUAUAGAUCAAGAAAAACGAGAUUCAAGUCGUGAUCGAGGAAAAGAAAAGAUUGUGGACUAAAUUGCAAAAUCUUUAUAUUUUGGUACCAAGGUAAGUUCAUGUGAAAAUGUAGUAACAUAAUUGUCAUUUUAAGCAAUUUAAUGUUGUUUAUAUGAUAUGAUGCUGAUUAUUAUCAUAAAAUAUUAUGCUUUGUGGUUAUUUUCGAAUAAAAUGCAAAUUAUGUGUAUUAAUUGUUAAAUAUAAAGUACUACCGAGUAUUGGUUUCGGUAUUUUACGGAAGAUGGCAAGGAGAUGUGUUCGAGGAAAAUCCCGUUUGAACCUUAGGAAUAGAUUAGGAUACAAGUGACAUGUCACUAGGAUGAUUGAGCAUCCGAACUCAUUGAGUUGAGUCCGAGUUCACUUAUGGAUGCGAAUGUCCGAACUCGUUGAGUUGAGUCCGAGUUCGUGAAAUGUAACUAGGCAUCCGAACUCGUUGAGUUGAGUCUGAGUUCACCUAUGGAUGUGAACGCCCAAGCUCAUUGAAUUGAGUCCGAGUUCGCUUAUGGGCGGGUUACAUGGUAGCUUGGCUACAUAUGUGGCACUUAUGUGCAAACUUUCAAUGUAUCCGAAUUAUAUUCCAAUAUGUUCAACGUGUAAAGUUCUACUGAAAUGGAGGAAUACUCAAGAUGAAAGGGACGUAUUGGUAAGUGCUGUGAAAUGGAUACUUUGAACAGGUAUGUACUUAACCCUCGGGUUGAAAAAUCGAUAUAACAACAAUAUGGUAAGAUGAUAAAUGAAAAUGUGAUAUGAAUGUCUUGGUGAAGAUUAUGCAAAUGAUGUUUUAUGUUUGCUUAUAUGGUUAUGUUACUUGCUAUUUGCAUGUGAACUUAUUAAGCAUUUAUGCUUACUUCCUCAUUUUCAUUCCUUGUAGUUUUGACAAGCCAGCUCGGAAAACGGGAACGAUCGGAGGCAUGCUCACACUAUCCGUAUACCAUCUUGGCAUAAUGGCUUGCAUAUUUUGAGUAUGGCAUGUAUAGCAUUAUAAUCAUUUUGUAUAUAUGGUCUUAUGAUAUGGUUAUUGAGUGGUAUGGAAAUGCUUGGUAAUGAUUAGCCAUUGGAAUGGCUAAUCAUGAUCAUAUUUGGUGUUAUGUAUGUCAAAUUACUAGCUAAUCCAUGGAAACCAUGAAAUAGGUAAAAUUUACCAUAAAUAGAUUCAGACAGCAGUAGUAACGUGAAUUUGAAAAAUCACUAAAAAUAGUAGAAAUGGAAUUAAAUAAUGAAUUAAGUCCGUUAACACCUCGUGUUCGACUCCGGCAACGGUCUCUGGUUCGGGGCGUUACAAUAGAAAUGAGAUUUUUAUUAAAGAAAAUAUGGAGAGAACAAAAGACAAAAUUCUUGGGAAAAUGAGUGUUUUCAGAAAAAAAGUGACCAUCCCCUAUUUAUAGUACUAGAAAACCUAUUCCUAAUUAAAUAGUAAAAUAUAAAUACAAAUAAAUAAAGAUAAAUAAAGAUAAAUGAAAAUAAAUCUUAAAAUUAAAUCUAAAUAAAAAUCCUUAAUAAUUAUCCUAAUAUAAUUGAAAUUAAAAUAGAGUCUUGUACUAUGAAAUCUCUUCUUUUGCAUUGUAGCCCUUAUGUCGUCCAUGCUUGCAUUUUUGGCACUACUUUUCUCGUACUUCGCAUGUUGGCCCACUUUAUCUCCAAAUUCAUGUUUUUUGCCAUUAAAUUUACUUCUGCCUUCAAUUAAGUCCCUAAAAGGUAAAAGAUCAUAAAAUAAACCAAAUUAGUAGAAUCAUACUCAAAAUAAAUAUGCAAUUAGCACAUAAAAUAUGUCGUUCUAGAGUAUUAUCAAGUUCCCCCUACUUAGCCCAUGCUUGCCCUCAAGUAUGGUUCGUGUCCACUGUGGAAAUUAAGUCCUGCCAUAAAAGAAAUACUAUUCCAAAAUUUUAUAAAAAUUAGUGAAAAUGCAUAUGAAAAAUAAGGAGAACCCUUAGCUUGCUUUAAGUAAAAUUGAAAAAGUAUUCUAAUUAACACACAUAAAAAUUAAGAUCAACUUGGAUUAUUUCAUGAAAAUUAGGUAAUUUGCCAAAUCCAUCAAGACACCUUAUUUGUUUCUACCUUUAGUCCUCACAUUUUAUUAAUAUAUCUUCCCUUUUUUUCUUUCUCUUUUUUUUUUCUUUUUUAAAUUUAUUUAUUUUUACUUAGGAAUAUAUUGAACCUUUUGACGCGAAGAGAGAUGACAGUCAAACACCUCACCCCGAUUACUCAGCCUAACACACUCUUAAUUUUUAUUUUUCUUAAGAACAUAUCGAACCUUUUGACGUGAAGAGAGAUGACAGCCAAACACCUCACCCGGUUACUCAGCCCAACAUAUUCUUAAAAAUUAAUUCCGGUUAGCAGGAGUUUUUGUAACACCCCCUACCCGUAUCCAUCGCCGGAAUAGAGUACGAGGCAUUACCGAGGAGUACAAAAACACUUACAGAUAAUUUAAAUAUAUUUUCAUAACAACUUGUCUCGAUUUCAUACUAUUUCAUAUUUAAGCUUUACUCACCAAAGUAUUUGAAAUAUCAUCUUUAUACAAAUAGCACACAUGAGGUACAUAAUUCCAUAAUUAAGAAUGAACACAUUUAUAAAAAAUAUUCCACAUUCAUAUAUCAAUGUCUCACAUUUCCAUAUAUCAAUAACCGUCAUUUUUCUUGUUUUUUAGAUAAUUAUGUGUAACCAUUGAUAAGCAUGCAAUUCACUGUUUCUUCUUGUCAAUCACAAUUUCAAAUGACAAAUUCGUGUGAAUGAGCUCAACCUCAUUAGGUGUUUAAAUUCUGUCACUUUGAUUCACAUGCUCAUAAUUUACUAACAUAUUCUAUCAAACACAAUCUCUGAAUGACAAAAUUACAUAAUUGAGCUCAAUAAUAAUAAUGAUAACAUUACUUACAUUUCUUUUUCCACAUGUUACAUUUACGACUUACCAACUUGUCCAUUCAAGGAACAGCUUACAGAUUUGAGUACAUCGUGAUCUGAAGCCCGAAGUCUAACUGAAGCACAUAAAUGCUAAACGGAAGCCCGAAGGCUAACUGAAGCACAUAAGUGCUAAACGGAAGCCCGAAGGCUAACUGAAGCUCACCAGAGCUGAACUGAAACCCCAAAAGGGUUAACUGAAACUCAUAUGAGUUAACGGAAGCUCGUAAGAGCUAAACAGAAAGCAAACACGAGAAUUCGCAACAAAUGCUGAAUCUCGGUUUACUUGGGUAAUUUACCAUCAAUUCAUCUUUUUCACUGAAAGAUUGUACUUAUUUCUUGCGUUCCGUUCCUCCGAAAUUCUCAGUUCAAUUUCAUAUCUUUUGUACAUAAUUUACUUAUUUUCAACAAUUAACAUACAUAAAUAUUAAUCACCAUUCAUAAAAUAAUAUUUAAAUUUAAUAAUAUUAACAAAUGGCUACUAAAUUUAGUUAUAUAAACUCACAAGUUCGAUUUUUGUAUUAUAGCGAUAAUCAUAAUUUCAUAAUAAAUAUUCCAAAUAAAACAUUAUAUCGUUUCUAAUUCAACAUUUAUCGAUUAUAAUCGGGCAUGUGAUCAAUUUAUACACGAGUCAUUCGUAUAUUUUUCCUCCUCCUCCUCUUCAUCCACAUCCUUGGUAUAAAUAACACACUUGUAAGUAACCUUAUCCAUAAUUUUCACUAAUUACUUAUGUGAAUAUUCAAGCUAUUCACCCGUAUCAUAGUCACUAAAUUAUUUAUAUCUGAAGAUAAGAAACUCAAAAUUAAGAUCCGCUAAUUUUAUAUGAAACUAGAUUCACAUAUCUUCUUAUCAUAAAAUUUUCAUAAUUUUUGGUUGGGCCAAUUAAUACAGUUUAUUCAUUGAAUUCUCCUCUGUUCUGCUGUCUGAUAGUUCCGACCCUUCUUCACUAAAAAUUAAUUAUCUCCUCGUACAGGAUUCAAAUGAUGUUCCCGUUUGUUUCUAUUAAAAAUAGACUCAUUCAGGAUUCUAAAAAUAUAAAUUUAAGACCCUAAUUAUUUUUAUCCAAUUUUUUAUGAUUUUACAAAGUCAGAACAGGGGAACCCAAAAUCAUUCUGAUCUUGUCUCACAAAAUUUAUCAUAUCUCAUGAUUUACAAUUCCAUUGCUUACAUUAUUUCUUCUAUAAGAAACUAGACUCAAUAAGCUUUAACUUCAUAUUUUAUUUAUCCUCUAAUUCCAUUUAUAAAAUUUUUGGUGAUUUUUCAAAGUUAGACUACUGUUGCUGUCCAAAACAGUUUUAGUGUAAAAUGUUGAUUUCAAUUUUGCCCCAAAUUUCACAAUUCAUACAAUUCAGUCCUUGCUCAAUUAACCCAUCAAUUAAGAUAAUUUUCUCAAUUAAUACUUUUCCUAAACAUUAUAAGUUAUUUCAUAACUAUUGAAAUUCAGAAUUUCCACAUAAAACUCUAACUUCAAACUCUUUUACAAUUAGGUCCCAAACAUUCACUUUCUAUUCAAUUCUUACAAUAAAAUCAACAUAUGAAUAAUUUAAAGCUCUAAUUCCAUGCCAAAUAAUCAUAUACUUCCAGCACAUAUGUAUAGAAACUUUCAAUUUCUUUCAUAGAAUCAAAAACUAAUGAAUUCAACAAGUGGACGUAGUUGUAAAAGUCACAAAAAUACAAAAAUUUCAAGAAAUAAUAAAGAAUUGAACUUAAUUGGAGUAAAAAUAUGAAAAACCAGCUUAAUUGAACUCCUCCAUGGCUUUUUUCUGAUUAUAAUGCAGAAAAAUAAAGAGAAAUCUAGAUAAUUCCAUUUUAGUCCUAGCUUUAUUAAGUAAAUUUUGCAAUUCUCCAAUUUUGCCCUUAAUUCUCCUUAUUUUCUUGCUGAUUUCAUGCCCUUGCCGUCCAGCCCAAAUAUAUCUUGGGUCUAUUUUCCUUUUAAACCCUCUUUCUUUUAUCAAUUAAGCUAUUUAAUCAUUUCCCACAAUUUUGCAUUUGAUACAAUUUAGUCCUUUUUGUUCAAUUAACUAUCAGAACUUUAAAAUUUCUUGACGAAACUUUAAUACUAACAUAUUAACACUCCAUAAAUAUUUAUAAAAAUAUUUAUGGCUCGAUUUAAAAUUCCCGAGGUCUCGAUACCUCGUUUUUGAUUCUAAUUAUUUUAAUAUUUAUUUUUAGUACACUAUUCACUAUUUCAAAAUUUUUUCUAACUUCAUAUUUAAUUUAUACUCUCUAAAUUAAUAAUAUUUCCUACUCAUUUGUCGGAUUUAGUGAUCUCGAAUCACUGUUCCGACACCACUGAAAAUUAGGCUGUUACAGUUUUACCUAACACGUCACACAACCUUUUGACGCGAAAUAGGAUGACAACCCAAGCACCCUACCCCGGUUACUCAGCUACUCACAUCUUAAGCUGCACUCAUAACCACAGAAACAUUAUUAUUAAACGAAAUUUUAAUUUUUGGAGGACUUAGGAUCAACAAUCAAGUGUUAAAAAUAAGUUUCAGCAACCGCCUUAAUAGUCAUGAACAUAUUUUAAGCAUGCAAUUGUAUUAAGUGCCCUUUUUUCAUUUAGACUUAAUCAAACUUACUGAAAGCAAAUUAAGAUUAACUCUAUUAAUCAUAAUUAUUUUAACUAAAAGAAAUAAAACAGUGUAGAUGAAAUAUAUCAAGCAAAAUCAUAAUUAACUCAGUAGAUAAGAAUCAUGCAUGGAGGUCAAACAGUGGUCAAGUCAUAGUCAAAUUCUUGGGCAUGAAAAGAGGUAAAAUAUUCUUAAAAAAAUAAAUAUGGACAAAAACGAGCAUAAGGCAGCAGCAACAGUAACAUAGCAGAUAAAAUGACAGAAAUAAUGAGGAACGCCUCCCCUACUUAAAACACAUUAUCCUCGAUGUGAAAAAUAAUAUUAAUAAAUAUGAUGAAAAGAAAGAGUUUAGAACACUCCCCAUGUCAUCACUAUCGUUUAUGCAAAGAUCCAAGUAGGAGAAGGUUUGUUGUCGCGUGGAGGAGAGGAAUGAGGGGAAAGCGUUUGUCGGCUAAAUUGACGUGUUGGGUCGCCAGGAAUUGACGCCGGCGGCUGUUCAUGGUGAAUGAUGGUUCGGCGGCAGCUCGGCUUCGGGUUCUCACCAUGGUGUUGGAGAAAUCGGCGGUGGAGGGGGUAGAAGGAAGGUGUGGCGGCUGGUGGGGUUUUGGGUGAAAAAUGAGAUAAGUUUUUAGGGUUUUGGGGUGUAUAGGUGAAGUGUUUGGCUGAAGGGUUGAUGUUUGGUUGCAGGUUGUGGGUAGUUAGGGGCAAGAAUGCGCUAUUCCUAGUUAGAAUAGGGAUAGGAUAAGGGUUGUUUCAUGCCAAUUUUUUUAGUUUUCUACUUUUUCUCCCUAUUUUCACGCUGAUGUACCUAGAUAAAAGAAGAGAAAUUUAUUAAUAUCCAAAAAUAAAAUAAUAAAUAAUAAAAUAAAGUAAAAUAAAAUAAAAAUACUAAUAAAAUAAAAUGAAAUAAAAUAAUAAACAAUAAAAUUAAGAAAAGUAAAAAAAAUAAAGGUUGGGUUGCCUCCCAACAAGUGCUUGUUUAACGUCGCUAGCUUGACGUCGUAACUAAUAUUGGAGCUGUUCCAACUGAAUUUUUUCAUUUGUAUGAGCUUGGGAAUUCUCCUUUUCUGCUACAUCCACCAUAUUUGGGUUCAAUCGUCCUUGUGCCUCUUUCUUUGGUUUUGUUUUUUUCUCCAAGAAAAUCUUAUGUGUGCCCAUCAAGGGGUUAAUCCCUUUUAAGUCGUGUAUGGUCCUAUCAUUUUCCAGAAAUGUGUAUUUGAGAUGCUCAAAAAGUGGUUUUAAUUCCAGAUCUGGUGCCUGUACAACAGAAGGUAGAAGUUUAGUAUCCAUAGGAGCCAAUAAUUUAUUAACAAAAAAAUCAUCAAACAUCAUUUUGGAUUUAUUUCCAUAAGAUGACUCAAAAGUUUUUUCUAUUGAUGAGUCAAUUAUAUCAACGCGUUUUACGUCCAAGACUUCACUUGGGUGACUAAUAGUGCCAUAAACGUUAAACUUCACGAUUUCUUCGUCAAACUCCAUCGUGAGGGUUCUGUUUCUUACGUCAAUCUUAGUAUUUGCAGUACUAAGGAAAGGUCUCCCCAACAAGAUGUCUAAAGACCAGGAGCUUUAUCCUCUUCCAUUUUUAUCACAUAAAAAUCUGCAUAGAAGAUAAGUCCAUUGAUUUUCACUAAUACGUCUUCGAAGACUCCUUCGGGAUGCACAAUGGACCUGUCUACCAACUGAAUGAUAACACCUAUUUUUGUCAAAAAACCCGCGUUAAGUGAUUCAUAAAUAGAAAAAGACAUGACAUUUAUGAAGGCCUCUAAAUCACACAUAGCCUUCUUAAUUCCUAAAUGGCCUAUUUUGCAUGGUAUUGCAAACAUGCCCCUAUCUUUACAUUUCGCUGGCAUUUUCCGCUGUAAAACUGCAGAUACAUUCUCACCAACACUUACCUUUUCAUUACCUGUUAAUUUUCGUUUGUUAGUGCAGAGUUCUUUAAGGAACUUGGCAUACCGCAGAACUUGUCUGAUGGCAUCCAACAGUGGUAAAUUGAUCUCGACAUUUCUGAAUGUUUCGAGGAUCUCCUUGUCUUUUUUUACCCUUUUGGUACUGAUUUAAUCGUCCUGGGAAUGGAGGUUGAAUUUUCGGCAAUGGGGGUUUCACUUGGACCUGUUCAUCAUUCUCGGGCUUUUCUUGGGCAGAAUCUUGGCCAAUAUUUUUGUCAGUAAUUGGUUCCAGUACCUUUCCACUUUGCAACGUCACUGCAUUUGCUUGUUGUCUUGGAUUAGGUUCUGUUUGUGACGGCAGCUUCCCUUGAGAGUUCAAUUUCUCAAUUGAUAUGGUCAACUCUCUUAUAGAUGUCUUUGUUUCUUUUUGGAAAUUAAGAGUUUGCUGUUAGAAAUCAAGGACAUUAGCUGCUAAUUUAUUGACAAUAUUUUCUAGAGAAGUACCUGAGUCUCGUGGCUGUUGUGAAAACUGAUUUUGGUAUGGUUGAUUAUACCAUGGGUUGGCCCCAAACUCAAGUUAGGAUGGUCCCUCCAUCCUGGAUUGUAGGUAUUAGCGUAGGGGUCAUAUCGCCUUUGUGGUGGUCUAGGGAAGUUUCCCACAGCAUCCAAAUGAGCCAUAGUAUCAUCAUAUAGACUAGGGCAUGCAUCUGUUGUAUGUUUAGAGAUAGCAUAUAUUCCGCAUAACCGGGCUGUUUUUGCUUUUUCUGCAAUAAGAGAAUUCAUCAUAUUAGUAAGUCAAUCAACUUUAUCCUCUAAGGUUGAAUUACUUAGCUGGGGAACCCUUUUAGGGGGUUUAGGAUUGGCUCGAAAUUGCUGAGAAUUUGCAGCCAUCGUGGAGAUUAAGUCUCUUGCUUGUUGUGGAGUCAUGUUGACCAACGCUCCUCCACUAGCGGCGUCUACCAUAUUCAUCUGCAUGGGUUUCAGGCCUUCGUAAAAGUAUUGGAGGAGAGAUUGCUCUAUUAUACUAUGUUGUGGGCAACUUGCACACAACUUCUUAAAUCGUUUCCAAUAAUCAUAAAGAGACUCUGUUUCUUUUUGCCUUAUUCCAACGAUCUCUCUUCGUAACUCAGCUGCUCGUCAUGUUGGAAAAAACCUGUUGAGAAAUAAAUGAGAAAGAUCAGCCCAAGUUGUAAUAGAUCCAAGAGGUAACUAAAAUAGCCAUUCCCUAGCUGAAUCUGCUAGUGAAAAAGGGAGAGCGCUCAAUUUAAUUUGAUCCUCAAUUACCCCCUGAGGUUUCAUACUAAGGCAAACCAUAUGAAAUUCUUUCAAGUGCUUGUGGGGAUUUUCGUUUUGCAACCCACGAAAAGUUUGCAGUAGUUAGAUUAAGCCUGACUUUAAUUCAAAAUCGAUAUCCAUAGUAGGAUAUGCGAUGCAUAGUGGCGGCUGUUCUACUGGAGCCUCAGCCAGUUGCCGAAUUGUUUGAGCCAUAGAAUGAGGUGCUAGAUCAGGGUUUUCGUCAACCCUAGCGUUAAGUACUUCUUCUGGGGAAUCGAAUUCUACUUUUUUGCCUUCAAAAGUUUGAAUAAGGUUUUCAUUAACCCUAGACUCUGCUUCGUCGUCGAUUCUGAUUUUUUGCGGUGGAUUACUUUGAGUCCCAACUACCGCUGACUGCUUUUUCCUUAGCUUUGUUUCCUUGCGAUUAGCUCUCGCAGUCUUUUCAAUCUCUGAGUCAAACGCAAGAGUACCUGGAGCAGAUCUGGUCAUAAGAAACAAAAAAUAAUAUUAGUACGUUACCGGUCCCCGACAAAGGCGCCAAAAUUUGAUGCGAUCGUUGAGAGCUUAAUAUCCUACUCCCUGUAAAAUAGUAAAAAUAACAGUAAAUGGGAAGUAGGGUCGAAUCCUUAGGGACCGGAUUGUACAAAUGCUCGUUUCUUGAAAUCCUGGACAAUUUCUUGGCCAAGAAAACCAGCGUUCCUGAAAAAUAAAAAUAAAAAACAGAAUUAAGAAUUUAGAAAUAAAGUAAAAACAAAAUUUAGAGUCAAAUUGAAAUUGCGAAAUUAAAUAAAUUGCGAAAAUUAAAAUGGAGAAUAUAAAAAUAAAUAGAUUUUGGGAAAAGAGGGACUUUCUUAUGUGGCGAGAUUCCAGCCUUCGGUUGUCUUGAUCCGACUUGGGUUCAAUCAUUGGCUUUUAAGUAACCCUUCUAAAGCAGGAUAAGCCAGUUAUAAUGGAAGAGGACGCCUACGACCACCAGCUCCAAGAAUUAGACUUAAGAUUUGGAGGAACCUAACUCUAGCCAAUAAUCGCUUCUGUUGGACUAUCUUCUGCUAGGUCAUAACUUUCCAAUGGCGAAUACCACGCCUUUUUGUCUCUUGGAUUUGCCAAACUCUGACGCAUAAAGCCAACGAACCGACUAUGCAACUUUCCCAAAACAUACAAAGCGGCCGUUCUUUGCACAAGUUGAAAAGAUCACCUAUUAAGGGACAUGGACGAAAGCGUCAGCCUCGUAAUACGGAGAAGCGAUGAAUAUUCUGUGGAGAAAGCUAAGUGCGAAUUCUAAGCCUCAUGAACCUUUUUAGGGAAUUUCGACAACCUUCAGCUAGAUUAGUUUAGUGGCUCAUGAUUUUUGGAAAAGAAAUAAAUAUAAUAGAAAUGAGAUUUUUAUUGAAGAAAAUAUAGAGAGAACAAAAGACAGAGUUUUUGGGAGAGGGAGUGUUUUCAAAAAAAAAAUGUCGAAUAUAUGCCACUCCAUCCCCUAUUUAUAGUACUAGAAAACCUAUUCCUAAUUAAAUACUAAAAGAUAAAUACAAAUAAAUAAAGAUAAAUAAAGAUAAAUGAAAAUAAAUCCUAAAAUUAAAUCUAAAUAAAAAUUCUUAAUAAUUAUCCUAAUAUAAUUGAAAUUAAAAUAGAGUCUUGUACUAUAAAAUAUCUUCUUUUGCAUUGUAGCCCUUAUGUCGUCCAUGCUUGCAUUUUUUGGCGCCACUUCUCUCUUACUUGGCAUGUUGGCCAACUUCAUCUCCAAAUUCAUGCUUUUUUCCCUUAAAUUUACUUCUGCCUUCAAUUAAGUCCCUAAAAGAUAAAAGAUCAUAAAAUAACCCAAAUUAGUAGGAUCAUACUCAAAAUAAAUAUGCAAUUAGCACAUAAAAUAUGUCGUUCUAGAGUAUUAUCACACUUGCACCAAUCUUAGGUGGAGAUAUCAUGGUGGUUAUGGAGGCUAACCAUACAUGUAUCAUGUAUGAUCUCUAGAGAGAUUGAGAAGUUGGGCAGUAACACGACCACCAUAGCUAUACUCGGUCAAUUUUUGACAGAUCCAUCAACUCGGUCCGUGUUUUUGCAGAACAUUCCAAACAAUACUACAUCUGGAACACUGUAAGUUAUAACUUGAUUUUUUUUAUUUCCUUUUCCAGAGCUUUAUAUUGUCAUUCUUUUGCCUUUGUUCAUCUUUCUGUUAGCCUGCAACAAUGCAUAAAACAGAGUUAUUUAUAGUGUAUAUAUUUUGUUCAUAGAUCACUAAUAUCGAUCCUCGCUUUUGUUCAUAGAUCAUCAUAUCAUAUAUAUUUUGCAGGGACAUCAUAUCAUAUAUACCUACAUAUGUAUAUCUAUAAAACUACAUUUACAAUGGACACCUGUCCAAUUCUUUUUCGUUCUUCUUUUUUUUCCAAGGAGAAUUUUAUGGGUAAAUUUCAAUUCCAACUUUUAGAUUAUAAGAAUGAUUAAAUUUCAAUUUGAUUCCUAUAUUUAACUUAAAUUAGAAAUUUAAUUUAUAUAUUUUAAAUUUGACAUAAAUUGAUACCUUAACUUUUGUAAUACCAUUAGUCAGUCUAAAUACUUUAUUCAAAUUAAAAUGAUUAUGUGAAUUUUUUAAGAAAUAUUAGCACCAUUAAAAUUCUUUACUAAUUUCAGGUUCGUUACAAUGUUAUUUUUUUGUUACAUGAAUAUAAAGUUUAUUUUAUUUUAUUUUUCAAAAUGUCACACUAAAACAAAAGAAUUCUAAUAGUGUUAACAAAUUAACCUAAAUUUUUAAAUUCGAAAAAUAGAGAGACAAAAAUUUUGAAAAUAAAAGUAUGGAGAUUAAAUUCUAAAUAUACGAAAAGUAGAAAAACUUUGAGCAAAUUGUAGCCUUUAAGUUUUUACACCAUAAUUAGUUAAGAAAUAAAUAAUUAACCCAAUGCGAAAUGUGUGUAAAAACCAUACUAUAUAUAUUAUUACAAGGUAAAUAUAUAUGACAAAAAUUCAAUUUCGAUUACUUCAUAAAGUGACACAUAAAAAUCACAAUGAAUUUUUGAAGAGAAAAUGGAGAAAGUAGAGGUGUCCAUGGGUCGGGCCGGGUUUGGGAAAAAUUUUAAGCGCGUUUGCUAGGCUUGAACUCAAAAAAUGGGCCUAAAUUUUUGCCCAAGCCUAACCCGAAUAAAAUAUUAAAACCCAAGCCUGACCCAGCCUGCUCAUAUUAAUUUUUAUAUUAUUUUUAUAUAAUUUAAAAAAUAUAUAUAAUAUAUCAAAAAUACAAAAAACAUUAAAAUAAAUAUUUCCCAACAAAUUGAAAAUAAAUUAAAAAAUAUGUAUACUUAAAUAACACUAAGAUAAAUGUAAUUUAAUAAGCAAAUGUGAAAAAUAGUAACAAAAUUAACAAUAAAACAAGAGUUAUACAAUAUCUAAAUAAUAAUAACAAAAUAGUAAUAACAUAAUUGUGAAAUGGUAGCAAAAUAGAGAAAAAAAUAGCAAGAAAAUAAUAAAAAAUAGCAAAAAAAAGUAAAAAAAGCAACAAUUUUUUUUUCAUUUUUGGGCUGGGCCAAUAAAGCCUUAUUCAAGGCUAGACUCAUUUUUUAAAUGGACCUUAUUUUUUUGUCCAAGUCCAUUUUUCAGACCUAUAUUUUUACUCAAACCCUCUCACUUUUCGAACGGGCCUUUGGGCUGGACUAAGUGGCUCGACUCAUGGACAGAUCUAGGAAAGAGUACUUUAAAAUUUUUUUUUGGUGAAUUACAAGAGGAGGUUAGAGCCUUAACAACAAUGCGACUAGUGCGGCUUAAAUCCAAGUCACAUCUAGGACGGUAAAUAUCCUAAUCAUUAGGCCAAUACAUAAGGUUUGAGAAUACCUUAAAUUUAUAAAAAAAACUUAAUAUUAAUUAGAAAAAAGUAAAACACCAAAUGUUAACAAAAAAAAUAAAGUAGUAAAAGUAAUAGUGAACAGAACUAAUUGAAAAAAACAAACUAAAAUGCUAAUAAAUGCCGUUUUUUUUAAUUAUGAAAAUAGGUCGAAUUUUUAAAUAUUUAUGGGAGUUGAGUGAUUUAAGUAAAAUGCUUUUAAUUAGAAGUGCUUUUUAUCACAAUAGGUUAUAGACCUCAAAAUCUUUUGUUUUCUUAAGCAAUGUGAUAUAUAUUAGCUUGUUAUUAAACAAUGUGAAGUUACUUUCUUUUUUAACUAACAACAUAAAAUUAAAGAGAAAAAAAUCUUUUAACUAAUAUAAAAAAAAUCUUUAAAAAAAUCUUUCUAUCGAUAGAAACAAUAUUUAUUGGUAUUUUCGUAAUUAAAAAAAAGAUAUUUAUUGGUAUUUUAGUCGAAAAAACAAGACAAAGGAAGAGUUACAAUAAAGCUAAUGAAUAUAAAUUAUUUAUAUAAUAUAAUACAUAUAAUCAUAGAGAUAAUGAUUACAGAUUAUCUCAAUAUAUAUAUUUUACUUUUUUAAUUUAAUUUGAAUUUUUAUUUUUUAAUUUGAAAUUUUACUAAAUAUUUAAAGAUGAAGUAGAUAUAAUUUUUAAAGUAAAAUUUUAAAAUGUUAAAGGUUAUUUCUUUUAAAAAAAUUAAUUUUAAAUGAAUAAAUAAAUAAAAAUGUUCUUAUUUUAUGUUAAUUAGAUAAAUAAAAAUUUACUUUUAAAUUAUUUUUUAUUUUAAGAUAAUUUUUUUAAUGAAACCUUUUUUAUUUUAAAUUUAAGUGUUAAGAUAAAACAUUUUUAACAUAAUUUGAAAUUCAAUUAUUUUUUAUAUUUUUAAUUUGAAAAUUCACUAAAUAUUUAAAAAGGUUAAAAUAUUAAAUUUUUUAUUUUAUAAUUUAAAUAUCCAUAUUAAUAAUAAAUUUAAACAAAUAAAAUAAAUAGAUAUUUAAAAAAAUUAAAUUUAAAUUAAAAUAGAUUUUAUAAUUAAAUAGUAAUUUAAAUCAAAUUUAGAAAAAAAAAUUGUUCAAAAUAUACCGAAUUUGUAGGCGAUUAGCAGCUAGCCUCUCAAUAUAAAAACAAAGGUAGAGGUUUGGUAGCGCCUGGGAGAGUGAAACCAAAGAGUGAAGCAGAACCCGUCCCUUAAGCCGUUCUGUCAUCAUGGGUAAUUUUCUUGAUACCUCCAUUUUCUCACCCUCCAAACACUCUUUAUGCUGUUUUUCUUUUCUCAGGUAUUUCCAGGGAUUCUAUGCACAAGAGACGUUCCACCGGUGGCAAGCAGAAGGCUUGGAGGAAGAAACGAAAGUAAUUUUCCAUUUUGUGCCCAUUUUUCUACGUUUUUGUUUUUGUUUUGGUAAAUCUGCUGAUGAAUAAUGCGUUGGGAUUCCUUUUCCUUAAACAAUGGAUCUGUUAAAAAAAUUGUUGAUCAAUUAUCAUUGAUGGUAGAAAUAGAGUGGGAUUUAGCAAAGGUGCCUCUUUUUGAAGCAUGACAUUUGAUUUUAUGAUUUAUGAUUAAAUCUGACAAAUUAACCAUUCUUGAGUCAAUACGUUUAUAUGUAUGGAUUAUGGAAGAUUCAAAUCAUGUAAUACCUACAUGACACGCAUAUAUGUAUAAUAUACAUACUUAUAUAUGUAUAUGCAUGGAUCUUAAUUCAAUCAUGUAUAUAUAUUCAUGGAAGAUUGAUAUGUUUAUUUUGGAUGUUGCUGUGGUCUUCACGUAUGGUUUUAUGUUUGAAAUCUUAUGCUUAGAUGAUUCAAGUUUUAUUUCUCCGAUGGUUUAUGUUUCUUGAGUUAUGUCUGUGUGAUAUCGGUGUCUAAUGUUACACCUGGACACGGAAAUAAGGAUAUGACCUUCUAAAUCCAUGGAAAAACUCGCAUCUGACACUUAUUUCGAGUCCAAAUAACAUAAGAUUCGAGGGCCAAGAUUGUUGGCACAUAAUUAAAUUAACCUUGCACAAAUAAAUUAUGUAAAGUUAGAAGAGUGAAGAGACUUGAAUAUGAAAAGUGAAAAAACUUGAAUAUGAAUAGUGAAGAGACUUGAAGAUGAAAAGUUAAGAGGCUUGAAUAUGAAAAGAUACACACAUGCAUGAAUAGUCACAACUCCUAGCAUAUAGUGAUAUAGAUGAAUAGUCACUUACAACUCCUAUAUAAAGAGUUGUAUGUGAUGAAGAAUUAUUAACUUUGUGUGCUUGAAAUAAAAGAUUAUUUGAAAGAAUUUUUCCAUACAAAAUUUAUUUCUCUUCUCCAUUAUAUUCUUUAUCAUUUUUUUUGUUUUAUUUCUCCAAAUAUUAAUCAUUCAACUACAAAUUGGUAUCAGAGCCUUGUUCGAUCGAAAUGAACAAUUCUAUUCCUCUUUCUUCCGUUCCCCAAUUAACCAAAGAAAAUUAUGGCAAAUGGAGUAUCCAAAUGAAGGCUCUUCUUGGAUCUCUAGAAGUUUGGGAGAUUGUUGAAAAAGGUUAUAAUGAAGUUGAGGCUGAAGAGGAGGAAGGAUUAACAUAAGUUCAAAAAGAGAGUCUAAGAAAAUCAAGGAAGAAAAAUCAGCAAGCCUUAUUUUGGAUAUAUCAAGGAGUUCAAUCAUAUGAAGCGGCUUGGGAAAAAAUAGCUUGUGCCACCACGGCAAAACAAGCAUGGGAAUUUUUACAAAAUUCAUUCAAAGGAGAUGAAAAGGUGAAAAGAGUUCGGUUGCAAACUCUUCGAGGAGAGUUUGAAAGAUUGCAAAAAACAGAGUUAGAAUCAGUUUCUGAUUACUGUUCACGGGUUUUGUCCAUAGUCAAUCAAUUAAAAAGAAAUGGUGAAACUAUGGAUGAUAUUCGUGGUGUUGAGAAAAUCCUCCGUUCUUUAGAUUCCAGAUUUGACUACAUUGUGGUUGCCAUUGAAGAAUCAAAGGACUUGAGUACCAUGACUAUUGAUGAACUCACAGGUUCGUUGCAAGCCCAUGAAGAAAGAUUAAACAAGAAGAAAAAGGAAGUAGAUCUAGAUCAAGCACUCCAGUCAAAGUUGUCUCUAAAUGAGAAGAAGGGAGAUUUUAAAAAUCAAAGAGGGAGAGAUCGUGGUCCUGGAAGAGGAAGAAAUUUUAGAGGAAGAGGCUCAAAUUCUCGUGAAAGAGGUGAAUAUGUAAGCACGGAGAAUGGAUGGAAAGAAGCCAACCAAAGUCAAAAUUUUAGAGGAUCACAAAGAGGACGUGGACGUGGAAAUCAAAGAGGAAGAGGUCGUGGCUAUUUUGAAUGUUAUAAUUGUCGCAAACCUGGUCAUUUGGCAAGUGAAUGCUGGUACAAAAAAGAAGAGAAAAAUGAAGCUAAUAUAGUACAAAAUAAUCAAGAGCAAAAGCAAGAAACUUUGUUGCUCGUAUCUCAUGGUGGAGAGAUUGAUGAUGUCUGGUACAUAGACAGUGGUGCUAGCAAGCAUAUGACAGGUAACAAAAAUUUAUUUUCGAAGUUCUUUGAAUCUGAUUGUGGAGAAGUAAAAGUAGGAGAUGGCAAAGCUUACAAAGUUAGCGGUGUUGGUGAGUUGGAGUUCAAAACAAAGCAAGGAAGGGUAGAAAAAAUGUCUGAAGUUUAUUUUGUUCCUGGUCUUAAAAAUAAUCUGCCUAGCGUUGGGCAUCUCUUGAAGAAGGGGUAUGAUAUUCAUUUCCGAGACAUGGCUUGCUAUUUAUCAAAGAAAAAUCAGGUUGUUGCUAGAGUUGGAGUGGCAUCAAAUAAUCUUUUCUCUCUUACCCUUCAAAAUCAGAAUAUGUCUUGUUUUAUUGGUGCUCAUAAAGGAAUUUCAAAGUUAUGGCAUGAUAGAUAUGGACAUUUAAACUAUGGAAAUUUGGAGAUGCUUUCAAGGAAGAUGAUGGUUAGAGGUUUACCAAAAAUCGAUCGGCUUGAUGAUGUUUGUGAAGCAUGUCAACUUGGAAAGCAACACAAAAUUGCUUUUCCUUCUCAAUCCUCGUGGAAAGCAAGAAGACCAUUGCAACUUAUUCACUCAGAUCUUUGUGGUCCAAUGACAGUUUCAUCUUUAUGAGGUAAUCGUUACUUUAUCUCUUUCAUUGAUGAUUACUCAAGAAAGUUAUGGGUGUAUUGUGUCAAAGAAAAAUCAGAGGUUUUUCAGAGAUUCAAAGAUUUCAAGGCAGAAGUGGAGAACUUUACUGGGCUGAAAAUUAACACCUUGCGUACAGAUCGUGGAGGUGAAUAUUUUUCAAAAGAAUUUGAGAAAUAUUACCGAGAUAGUGGCAUCCGGCAUGAAAUGACAGUCCGCCAUACACCUCAGCAAAAUGGUGUGUGUGAAAGAAAGAACAGAACAAUUAUGGAAAUGGCUAGAUGUCUUCUUAAGAAGAAGAGGUUAUCAAGAAGAUUUUGGGCUGAAGCUGUUUCCUGUGCAGUUUAUCUUAUAAACAGAUCACCGACAAGAAGCUUGGAGAAUUACACACCACAUGAGGCGUGGUAUGGUAUAAAGCCUAGUGUUAGUCAUCUUAGAGUAUUUGGGAGUGUUGCCUACUCUCAUAUUCCAGAUGCAAUGAGAAGCAAGUUGGAUGACAAGUCAGAGAAAUGCAUUUUCAUUGGCUAUAGUGAAAGAAGUAAGGCAUACAAGUUGUACAAUCCGGUGACAAAGAAGAUUGUGAUAAGCCGAGAUGUUCGGUUUGAUGAAAAUUCCAUGUUUGAAGAUAUGGAAGUUGAAAAGGAAAAUUUGCCAAUUUUUCCUUUUGAACUUGAAAAAGAAGAAGAGGCAGUAAUUGAGAAUGCUGAAGAUGAUGCUCAAGUAGAAAAUCCUCCUGCUUCCCCAAGUUCUUCAUCAAAUUCUUCUUCAUCCAGCCCGAUCCGAAAAACGAGAAGCAUCCAAGAGUUAUAUGAUGUAACGGAUGAAGUUGUGCAAAAUGAUGCUGUAUUCUUUGCCUUCUUUGCAGGAGAAGAUCCAAUUUCUUUUGAUGAUGCAUAUCAAGAAGAAAUAUGGAGGAAAGCCAUGAAAGAAGAGAUUUGCUCAAUUGAAAACAAUGAUACAUGGGAACUCACAGAUUUACCACCGCACAAGAAUUCAAUUGGAGUUAAAUGGGUGUACAAGACAAAGAUGAAUCCGAAUGGCUCUAUCAACAAGUACAAGGCAAGAGUGGUUGCAAAAGGAUACAAGAAAAAGGAAGGAGAAGAUUUUACAGAGGUAUUUGCUCUAGUUUCAAGACUUGAGACAGUUCGGUUACUUAUUUCUCUUGCUGCCCAAAACAAUUGGAAAAUGUUCCAAAUGGACGUAAAAUCUGCGUUUUUGAAUGGUGUUCUCAAAGAAGAAGUCUAUGUUGAUCAACCACCAGGGUUUAUCAAAAAAGGAGAAGAAGAAAAAGUUUACAAGUUGAAGAAAGCUUUGUACGGGUUGAAGCAAUCACCCAGAGCAUGGUACAGCCGCAUCGAUUCUUAUUUUCAGAAGUGUGGAUUCCAGAAAUCUCCAUAUGAGCAUACUCUCUACAUCAAAGGCAAUUAUCAAGGAAGAUUCAUGGUUGUAAGUCUCUACGUUGAUGAUCUUAUUUUCACAGGAAAUGAUGUGAAGAUGUUGAAAGAAUUUCAGCACUCAAUGAUGGCAGAAUUUAAGAUGACAGAUUUGGGAGAACUUCAUCAUUUUCUUGGCAUUGAAGUUCAUCAAUCCGAGAAAGGAAUUUUUAUUUCACAAGAGAGCUACGCAAAGGAAGUUCUAAAAAAAUUCAUGAUGGAAAAUGCGAAUCCAGUCUCUACUCCAUGCAUUACAGGUCUGAAGUUAUCUAAAGAGGGUGAAGGAAAGCUUGUCAAUUCCACCAUAUUCAGAAGUUUGGUUGGGAAGUUGAUGUAUCUGACUUCGACAAGGCCUGAUAUCGUGUAUGCUGUUAGCUUGGUAAGUAGAUUCAUGGAGAAACCUUACUCCAAUCACUGGGAGGCUGCCAAGAGAAUAUUAAGAUAUGUGAAGGGAACCAUUGAUUAUGGAAUUUUCUAUAAAGCUAAUACAUUAGUUGAUCUCAUUGGUUAUACGGAUAGUGAUUUAGCAGGAAGCAUUGAUGAUAGCAGAAGCACUUCUGGUUAUGUUUUUCACCUUGGUAGUGGUGCAGUUUCAUGGAGUUCAAAGAAACAAUCAAUUGUGGCGCUUUCGACUACAGAAGCUGAAUAUAUCGCUGCAUCUUAUGCAGGAUGUCAAUUGAUUUGGUUACGUGGAAUUUUGGAAAGUCUUAAGCAGAAGCAAAGCAAGUCAACAAUUUUGUUUUGUGACAAUAGUUCUACUAUUUCGGUCACAAAAGAUCCAGUUCUUCAUAGAAGGACAAAACACAUUCGCAUUCGAUAUCACUUCUUGAGGGAACUAGUGAAUAAUGGUGAUGUUCAAGUUGAAUAUUGCAAGACGGAAAAUCAGAUGGCUGAUAUCUUCACAAAGCCUCUAAGUGGACAAGUCUUCAAGAAAAAUGUUGAAAGGUUGGGAGUUCAAAGCAAGUUUAAUUUAAGGGAGGCAUUGUUGGCACAUAAUUAAAUUAACCUUGCACAAAUAAAUUAUGAAAAGUUAGAAGAGUGAAGAGACUUGAAUAUGAAAAGUGAAAAAACUUGAAUAUGAAUAGUGAAGAGACUUGAAGAUGAAAAGUUAAGAGGCUUGAAUAUGAAAAGAUACACACAUGCAUGAAUAGUCACAACUCCUAGCAUAUAGUGAUAUAGAUGAAUAGUCACUUACAACUCCUAUAUAAAGAGUUGUAUGUGAUGAAGAAUUAUUAACUUUGUGUGCUUGAAAUAAAAGAUUAUUUGAAAGAAUUUUUCCAUACAAAAUUUAUUUCUCUUCUCCAUUAUAUUCUUUAUCAUUUUUUUUGUUUUAUUUCUCCAAAUAUUAAUCAUUCAACUACAAAGAUGCCUGUUAUUUGAGGUACUUGGGCAGUACUUUAUGGAUGAGUACUUUUGGGAAUAUAGAUGCACUGAAUUCCCGGUUUUCUUUCUUGAUGAUUUCAGUUUUUCUCGGCGACAGGUAUGAACUCGGCCGCCAGCCAGGAAAUACAAAGCUAUCAAGCAACAAAACCGUCAGGAGAAUCCGUGUUAGAGGAGGCAACGUGAAGUGGAGAGCGUUGAGAUUGGAUAUAGGCAACUAUUCAUGGGGUAGUGAAUCCGUAACCCGUAAGACUCGUAUUCUCGAUGUCGUAUAUAACGCCUCGAACAAUGAGCUUGUUCGCACACAGACUCUGGUAAAGAGUGCCAUUAUUCAAGUUGAUGCGGCUCCGUUUAAGCAAUGGUACCUUCAGCACUACGGCAUUGACAUUGGGAGGAAGAAGAAGAUGGCCUCUAAGAAGGAAGCUACUGAGGUAGAAAGUUUAUAAAUUAGCUUUCCCUUACUGAAAAUUGAAGGUCACUUUCAAACUAUGUUGCUACAUAAUAAAAAAGCUUAAGAAAUGAAAUUGAACAUGCUCAUAUUAGAUACAUACAUAUAUAAGAUACUCAUACUCGAGUUAAAGUAACGUAGGUUUUGAUGAUUGGGUUUAGCUUUGAGUUGAUAUUUAUUGUUUCUGCAUAAAAAAACUGACAGGAACCAGAAGGGGCUGCCGAGGAAACCAAGAGGAGUAAGCAUGUAGCAAGGAAGCUUGAGAAGCGCCAAAAAGAUCGCAAACUUGAUCCUCACGUUGAAGAACAAUUUGGUGGUGGUAGAUUGUUGGCAUGCAUAUCUUCCAGGCCUGGUCAAUGUGGCAGAGCUGAUGGGUAAGUUUUGGUUUCUAAUCUGUUUCUUAUUGGGAUUUGCAUGCGAGAGUCGUGUAUAAUUAUGCAUAUGACAUGUUCAAGUUUUGUAUUUGGAGGGUCAUAUUUAAAGGAAGUGAAUAGAUAGAGCAACACAAGUUAUUACUAAUCUUUAUGUUAUUUCAACAUUUUUAUUUGUUUGAAAUAUCUGUGUUUGACAUAUAUUUUAAGUGUCUUUUAGAUGAUUAUGGAUUCUUCCAGUUUUUCUUAAGCUAUCCUCCAUCAAAGGACUUUCAAAUACAUCAAAAAUUAAUAUAUAUAUAUAUAUAUAUAUAUAUUUAGCAUGCAUGUGUAAAAAGAUGCUUGCAUGCCAUUUGACAUGCAAUUUUAUUACAAAAUAUUAUAUUUAAUUUAAUAUAAUUUAUAUGUUUAGGUACAUAUUGGAAGGUAAAGAAUUGGAGUUCUAUAUGAAGAAAAUGCAUAAGAAGAAGGGCAAGGGUGCGGGAGCUGCUUAGAUGAAUUAAUUUGGCGUUUUUGUUUUUUCAUUUAAAAGUUUGGUGACAAUAAACUAGAAAUAGUUUUUAUAUAUUUUUAUUUGGUUGAAUUAAUGGUAUUCAAUUGUUUUUUAGUAUGAAUAAAGUUUUUAGCUGUUUUUUAGUAUGAACAUGGUAUAUGUAGAUGAUUAAGUCUCAUUAUGUGUGCGAGUUUUAGUUCACUUAGUUUCAAUUUGUUGGCUUUAGUUUAGAUUAUACCAAUUUUUAGUCUGUAAUAAUUUGAUUCUAGUUAGUGAUUGCUUGGAUAGUCUGUUUGUGAUAGUUCGAAUUGGACUUGUUACACUUUAAAUUUAAAUUUGCUAUUAAUCUCUAUAGUUUGCAAAAGUUAUGGAUUUAGUCCAUGUACUACUAAAAAUUUAUUAAGUUUUUGUAUUUCUAAUCUAAUUGGUAGGCAUAUUAUCAUGUGUAAUGCCUUAUCAGUUUGUUAUUUCAAUAUUUAUGUGUAAUUAUCCAAUUGGAGAAUAUGGACUAAUUUUCAACUAUGCACAUAGUACAUGAUUAGUAAUUGGAUUUAAUCAAAUAAUUAGAUUUAAUCAAUAGUAUUUAAUUAUUUGGGCCAGGACUAAAAUUUUAAAAUUUGAAAAAUACAAGACUAAAAUUGAUCAAAUUGAAAAGUAUAAGAACAAUAACAUUGAUCAAAUUAAAAAAUAUGGACUAAAUUUACAAUUUUUCUAAAGUACAUGAAUUAAUAAUAGAAUUUAACAUAAAAAAAAUAAGAUAGUAGUUUGUUUAAGGUUUAAACUCAGAAUUAUGUACCAAUUAAAGAUUUAAAAUCAAUGCGAGUUCUAUCUCAAAAUUAUGUAACAAGCAUCGUAUUAAUUGUUAGCGCUUUGUAUUUGUUUUAAGGAUUUAUUAAACCAAUUAGAUAUUGAGUUGUACAUGUUAUGUUAUAUAAAAAGCGUUUCGAUUCUUGUCAUAAUUGUACCAUACUUCAAAAAAGUAUUUUGAAUUUCGAAUUCUAAAAAUAUGUCUUGAUUUAUUUUCGUACAUUUUCUUAUACAAACAUAGGAUUUUUUUAGAUCACUUCAAAUUGAUAUAUUAUUUGUAUAUCCACUAAAUUCGAAAAAAACGUUUUCUCUAUAGGGUUGAAAACAAGGGAAGGAAAUAUAGUAAUUCAGAGAAAUAAUGAUUCAUAAAAUCACAAAUUUUAAAUUUAAUGGAUUAGUUUUGACUAUCCAGUUAAAGCUCUUAUAUAUGUGCUCCGCAAUCCGCUACAGUAUACAUAUAAAAAAAGUUAUUAUUGUAUUAUUUAAUUAUUUAUUAUUAUAAAUUGAAUAUUAUAAAAAUAACAAAUUAUUUUAACACUAACAUAACAAAUACAAAUGGGCGAUGGGAAAAUAAGAACCCCGGAAAUGAAAAAAAAAGAUAUUCAAAAAUUUAAGAAAUCAGUAUAUAUAUUUUUUGUUGUAUUGGUGAGAAAUGAUAAAAUUUCAUAUAAAAAUCACAGAUAAUUAUUUUAUACUCCACAAGCGGAUAUAAGAUGAUGUUAAAUAUCUGUUUUUUAAUUAUUUAAUUAUUAUCUUAUUAUACAUUGAAAAUAGAUUACAUCAAUCUAAACCUACUUGUGGAAUUUUUGUAUUCCACCGACGGGUGUAUAGAAUGAUAAUCCAAAAAUAAUAUCUUAAUAUAAAUGUAUGAAUGCUAUAACAUAAUGUAUCCCGUAGAAGCCAGAGGUGAUGAAACACAGUUACAGCUUCAACUGGGGAGUAUUUGACCCUAACGUCGUAAUUCCCUCCAAAGAGAGGGCAAAAGUUGAGUUUGGUUUGGCAAUUUUACUCCACUUUCGGAUCGCAUUGAUAAGUGCUAAGGUGGAUACCAUUUUAUAAUAGAACUUUCAACUUUUAAACGUGUGCCGUCUUAGCUCAGCCGGUAGAGCGCAUGGCUUUUAACCAUGUGGUCGUGGGUUCGAUUCCCACAGACGGCGAACGGUUUUGUUGAAUUUAGUGUUUAGUUCCUUCUUUUCUUCUUUGUUUAUGUUAUUAUUAUGAUAAAAUCCAAUACCAUUAAAUAAAAUAAAUUUGACAAAUGGUUGAUUUAUGUCUUUAAAAAAUUAGGGUUAAAGUUACUACCUGAAAAGUUGACAUUUCAAUCUUUAUAUGUUAAGUUUGUCAUUAAUUGAAUGACACAAUUUAACGGUUGUGCACAAAAAAACCGAAAACAAUUUUAGGUAAUAGCAAAAUCAAUUUUCUACCUUUACUCAUUCUUCAAAAUUAUUAUUUAACUUUUUAAUUUUAUUUAAUGUCAUAUUAGUUAUGCUAUUCUAUUAACAACAAAUUAACAUGCAAUGAUUAAAAUGUCAGCUUUUCAAACAUACAAGGACUACAAUGCUCUUUUCAAUAAUAAAGGGAUUAAAAUGAACUUUAUGAUAUAGUACAAGGACUUGUUGCAAACUUUAACAAAAAAAUAGAUUACCUUCUACUUCCAUACCUUAAGUUUUAUAUGUAAAAUAUCAUGUUUACUAUAUUUUUUUAAUUUGAAAGAUGGAAAAUGUUAGAAAAAUAUAUUUAAAAUAAUAUAAUUUAUUUUGUAAAAUAAUAAUAUUUUAAUAAUUAUUUAAUUGAGUUAAUUUAUAACAACCAUUUAAAAAUGUUUAAUAUGGAAUAGAUAUUUAUAAAAUAUAUUUACUAAGCAAAUAUAUUUAUAAAAGUUAAAUAAGACUUUAAUUGAAAUAGUAAAGUAGGUUUAAAUUUUAUUAUAUUGUUUAUAUUUUUUAUAAAAAUAAAAACGUAAAAAUACCAUCAAAAUAAUAUAACUUACUUAAAAAAUAGAGAUAUUUUAGUCAAAAUUUUAAUUUGAGCUCGAGUUUAGUGGCAUUCAAACUUGGCUCAACUCAAUUAUACCCCUAGCGCACAAGGUGCAAAUUUGGAAGAAAGGAAGAGAGAGAACAAAAGAAUGCACAUUCAGAGUGAGAACCUAGAUUUUGUGAUUUAUAUACCUUACCUAUACAUGCAUACAUACAAAGAUUAGCAACUUUCAAGUUACAAGUACUGCUUUUCUAACUGUUAUAUGUUCUAGGAACAGUUGUCCUUUUACCUUCUAUGAAUUGUACAACAUUCCUUUUCCUAUUUCAGACCGUCUUGUGUCGGAACUUUAGCUUGAUUCAGCUCUGAGUUCCAGGAACAUGUUUCGAGUCUUCGAUUCAUUGAGCCUCCUGAACAGCAGGGCCAGUUUGUGGGCCAAGUAAAGACGGUAAGUCUCUAAGACGGUAACCACUGCCCCAUAAAGAGGCAAGUGAAAGACCCAUAAUAGCCAUUACUAUGACAGAGCAUGCCGCUGGAACUGCUUGACUGCUACCUCCUAGGAACUGGAUUGCCAGAAGCCCUGCCAUUGUCGAGCUUUGCAUUCCACUGCAUAACGAUACUGUUCGGCAAACUUCUUCUCUUUGCCUGCGCAUAACAAUAUGGUAUCCCCAAAUCGGUAACCGGUUAUGCGUUGGACGUGGUUAAAGCAAUUUUCGAGGAGCUUCUAAAUACAUAGGAUGUAAUAUAGGAGGUUUGAAUUACCUGAAAGAAGGAAUCUUCAAUAUCCAAUAUCCGAUAGCGAAUGCCACAGCGUGAAACGCCAAAAUCGGAAGAACCAAUUGGAGACCAUCUUUUGAUAGAAUUUGACUCUGAUUCAGUGCAAGAGGGCUACCGAUGCACAAGGAUGUACAGAUCAUAGCAACAAAAGGCAUCACAGGUUGGAGGAUAGUAACUACUGGUUUUGCAUACGUAUUAAGCACAACUCCAAGAGCGACCGGAACAAGAACCACCUAACACGAACAACCGAGCUAACAUUUUACAUUUUUGCACCAUAAAACAAAAAUGCUAACUCGAGAAUGCACAUCGGUUUAAUCUAUACAUUACCUGUAAAAUUGACUUUGACAUCAUUACUGCAUCAACUGGAACAACGGAUCCAAUGAGGAGGCAAAUUAAAAGGGGUGUGAGGAGCACCGAUGCAAUGGUGGUAAAGCUAGUGAGAAGAAUACUCACUGCAACAUCUCCUUUGCUUAAAAAGCUAGCAUAACUAGACAAUUGAGCCCCUGCAACACACGAUGUGAGUAUAAAACCGGCAUAAAACAUUGGAGACAUGCCGAACGCCUUUGCAAUUAGAACCCCGAGACCCGGUUUGAGCAUAUACUGUACGGUAAGUCCAACAGAUAGUGGUAAUGGUCUGUAAUGAAACAAAAACAUAAAAAACUUGAGAAAAACGUCUAAAAUGAACUGGUAGCAGCAUAAUUAGAAACUAUAUAUAAUACAUAUAUAUAUACAUACAGUUAUACCUUUUCACUGCAAGUGCAAAAUCAUCCAAGGAAAGCUUAAUUCCAAUUGACAACAUAAUUCCACCAAGAGCAGGAGCAUAUAAUUCCUUAGAUACCCUGCAUAAUAGUUUUAUUUAUUAAUUCCAGAAUCAUUGUCCAUUGUCUAAUAAACUAUUGAGCAUUUCUGGUUCCAAAGCGAAAGCCAACUUUGAAAGAAAAGAACAUGAGAACUUGACAAAAAUAUAAUAUAAAAAAACCUGUCAAAAGAACUAAUAUUUAAAACGCAAAAAGUGGGGCAAAAAUAGUAAUGAAUAACCAAUGUAUAUAUAUAUAAACUAUCUUGAACACUUGAAUUAGGCAAUUGUUCUCGACUCUAAAUUUUUUUUGAGUCCUUUAUAAUUAUUGAACUUGAUAAUUAUUUCACAUUUAACUUAGAUUAGAAGUGAUAUCGGUUUAAUUCAACCGGGUUUUAAAUUUUCUGAACAGUUCAUAAUUUAGUUCUCAACUUUUCGUAUUUAUUUUUUAUUUUGAAAUUUUAGAUUUAUUUUAACAAAAUGAGCGUUGCUUUAUUUUAUAGUUUUUGAAUAUUAUUUGACAAAAAUUUAAAAUCCUUUUUAUAAAUACUUUAAAAAAAUCAAUUUUCAACCGUUUUUAAAUUAUUUCACUGUAAAAUGUUUAUUUUUAUAUCAUAAAAAUUAAAAAUUAAUUAUAUAUUAAAUAAAAAAUAGACUUCAUUCUGUUUUUAAAUUUACAUUCUAUUGACUGUUCAAACAUUUCGAUUCGAGUUGGUUUUCGAUUUUUGAGUCUUUCCUACUUGACAUUAAGUUGAAUUGACCCACAUAAUAGAGAUAAAGUACCAUUUAGUUUUAAACUUGAUAAUUCUUUAACUCUAUCCUAACAAAUUUUUUAUCCACAUCAGUUUCACAAUUUGACAACUUUUUCACUUUAAUCCCAAAAUUUGAAUUGCAUUAAAGGUGUGAUGGGUGAUACUAAAUUUAUAUAGAAUUUUAAAAGUCUACAAAAUACAAAAAAAUAUUAGGAAAUUAUAAAAAAAAUUAAAAAAUUUUCAAGUCCUAAGAGUGUCUGCAGAAUCCAAAUUUAGGGACUAAAUUAUGAAAAUCUACCAAACUAAAGGAUUAAAGUGUAAAACAUUGGCAAGUUCAUGUGCUAAAUGCUGCUUUAUCCCAAAAUAAUAUGCUUUCAUGUAUUGAAACUGUAGUUCUUCAAAAGGACUCAAUUAUAUAAAAAUAAGAGAGGUUUCCCAACAACGGAUUCAGAUUCAGAGUACAGAGUAAAGCAAAACAAUGGAAUUUACACACACAAAAAAAAAAUCGAAAACCCAGAAAGUUUAAAGAAAACAAUCAUUGAAAAACUGAUUAAAAAGCCAAAAAAGAAAAAAAAAAAACGGAAAGAAGCUUACCAAGUGAAAGUGGAGGGUUGAACAAGAGAAGCAACAGCAGUAGCAGCGACGACGAAAGGAAGCAUCGCCGACAAAGCCUGAGACAAAUCACCUUUCGUUGCCCCACCAUCUGUCUUAUUCCCAAUCGAGACCCUUUGCGACCCAAUUCCUCGUACGUACGGCGUCGUCGAACAGGCGAAUACCAACAACCUUCGUCCAUUACCUUUGCUGCCGACGUCGACACAACCGUUCCUCCCACACGGAAUCGAACCAAUUCUCGAAUAACAACACGGCGUUACUUGUUUCGAACAGAUUGAGAGCUGCUUUCCGGUGGGGACUGCGAGAGAAAGAAAGGGAGUGAUCGACGUCAUUGCGGUGGAUCGAUGUUUUCUUCACUAUUUAAAGCCGGCGCCGGAGAUAGGUGGUGGCCUGCCGGGGAGGUUUGAGUAAUGGAAGGGUGGCGAAAACGAAACCAAAGGAGGUGAUGGAUUUGGUUUUUGUAUGUUAACAUGUAGUUUGGGAACUUUAGAGUGUGCUGAUAGUGUAGUUUAAAUUGGACGGUCACGAUGAAGUCAAAGUCAUUUUGUGAUAUUUGCAAUGGAGUCCUUCAACCGUUACACAUUUCUACUAUCUUCCCAAUUUAUAUUCUUUUGUCUCAUAAAUAAUCAUUCUGGUUUGACAAAAAAGCAAUAUUAUUUUUUCUUAAAUGAAAUUUAUUGGGUAUAAUAAUUAAGAAAUUAUUUUUAAAAAUGGCUAUUUUUAUUAAUUUGCAUACUCUUACCCUUUAUGCAUCUCUAAUUUCCCUUUAAUUACACAUUAUUAAACUUAUUCACUUUAAUUAAAUUAUUUUAAUUUUCACCUCACUUCCUUUCAAAACUAAUUUUCUAAAAAGUUUAUUAACUUUGUUAACGUGACAUAUACAUGGAUUGCCACCUGAAAGAUAUGUCAACAUUUAAUUAAUUUUUUAAAAAAUAUUUUUUAUACUUUUUUAAUGAUUUUGAAUUUUUAAAAAAAUGAUUUUAUAAAUUUUUUAAAUUUUUUAAAAUUAAAAAAAAAUUAAAUGUUGAUAUGUCAUUAAUGUGGUAUUCCAUGUGUAUGUCAGGUCAUCAAAGUGAAAAAAUAUUAUUUUUCAUCUAUUUUAAAGUGAUUUGACAAGAAAGUACAAAUUUAACGACUAAAAAGAUGAAAAAUAAAUGAAUGAUUAAAAUAUUUUUUUUAUAAAGUUGGAGGGUAAAAAAAAAUCAUUAUGCCAAUAAUAUUAUUUAACCAUCACAGUUUUAAAGUUUGAAAUUAAUAAAAAAAAUACAUAUAUAUAUUUUUAAAAUAAUAAAAAUGCGAAGAUUAAUAAAACAUAAAACAUGGUUUAUCGUAAAAAAGAUUUAUGGCUGGUAGCAAGAUAAAUUCGUAUUUUUAAUAUAUUUAUUUUUAGCUAAUUAUCGGAUAAAAUGCUAUUAAAUUUGGGUUUUUCUUAUCAUGAAUGAAGUUGGUGUGUUGAAUUUAAACUCUUACAAAAAAAAGGAGGGUUAAAUUGGAACAAAAAGUAAAGAGGAGGGCUUGAUUGAAAGAUUGAAGAUUUAAAGUUAGCUAGAUAAAAAUUAAAGGGUUGAAGAUCUAAAAAAGUGGCUAGAUAAAGAUUAAAAAUAUUUUAUUUACCAAUUUACUUUAUUUGCUUAAAUUUAUUUUUAAAAUUUUGAUUUUGAUUUUAUUUUAUUUUAUUACACUUCGUAUUUUCUUAUCUUUAUCAAUUUAAACCCCCUAUUUUAUUUUUUUUAGCAUUGUUACGUACAGGUCGUGGGCACGACUAUGAUCGCAACAGCGAAUCUAGUCACAAGAAAAGGUGAAAUUAGAUAAUCAGUCCAUGUGGAUUGGACUUUACUCCUAUAUAUUUUCAAUUUAUUGUUAUAUUUAUCGUAAGAAUUUAUAUUUGGUAGUUUUAACGUCCAUUAAUAGCUUAUAUAUAUUUAAUUUGAUCCAAAUAUAUAAAUUAUCACCAUAUUAAAAUUUUAUAAAAAUAUAAAAUGUUUUUGACAUGGCACACAAGACGAACGUAUGAAUUAUGAUUGGAGUAAAGGAUCUAAAUGAAUUAAACACAAAAAGGUAAGGGGAAAAGAAGUAUAUGCUUGAACUCAAGGGCGUACGGAAAUAAAUAAUCAUAUUAUAUGAUACCUUAGGAAACUUGUCGAACAUAAUAAGUGGAGGAUGGGAAUUUGGUUGAAAUGUGUUAGAAAAUGAUUGGAUUCUAGUUUGGAAUGUUGUUUGAAAGGUUUGAGUCUAUCAAAGGCUCUGCAUGUCCAUGCAUGUCAACUAACGUCACAUCAAUGCACCACGUGUUCUUAUGUCGUGUUUCCUUAUAUUUUAGAAUUAUCCAGAUGUGUUUGGGGUUAAUUCUAAAAAUAGUCACUUAUGUUUGGUAAAAUUUAUAUUUUGAUUAUUAAACUUUAAUUUAUUACAAUUUAAUUUUUAAUAUUAUCAAUUUAUAAUAUUUGGGUCACUGAAACGUAAACCUAUUUAAGGGCCGAGUUAUUUAUCUAGGCCUGAAGAUUUAUCUGAAAUUUGGAAGAGUUUGGAUAAAAUUAGGCCUAAAAUUGGACUUCGAUAAAAAAUUAGGAGUUGGGCUUAAACAUUUAAUGUCUGGGGCCCGAUAAGACCCAUUUUUAAGUUUACUAUACUUUAUAUUAUAUUAUUUUUAUAUAUUAUGUAAUUUAUUACAAAUUAAAAAAAUAAAAUUUUAUACUAAAUAUAUAAUACUACUCUAAUAUAAAUAAUAAAAUAAUGUUAAGAUGACUAUAUAAAAAAAUUCAAUUAAUAAAAAAUAUAUAAAAUUAUUAAAUAUUAAAAUAAUGUAAAUUUUUUUAAAACAAAAUUAAAAAUAAUAUGGGUGGGCUUAGUUUUUUUUUUUUUUGUAAAUACGGGAGAAUUUGGAUAAAAAUUUAAGCUUAUAUUUCGAGUUUUAUCGGACUUAAAUAAAUAUAAAAUACGUUAAUAUUAUACUUAGAUCUGAUUUAAAUCUGACCCGACCCGACCCAUUAACAUAUUUAUUAAAUCACAUAUGAUCCAUUAAAUGCUGAUGUGACUAUAAUUUAAACACGUUUUUUCUUAAAUUUUGAACAAUUCUCUCCAUUGUUUUUUCGUUUCUUCUGAUUCUUCUCUCGUCUCUUCCUUUCAGCAUCAUCAUCACCAUUUUCUCUCAAAUCCGAACGAUAGUUGCGUUAGUGCCAUCAUUUCAGGCGAUAUUGAUUGUCGAAAUCCACAACCAAAUUCUUCUUCUCUUUCUCCUUUCACUAUUAUUUUUUAACAAUUACCUAAAAGCAAAAUUUAUUAAAUAAACAUUGUUAUAGAAUUUUUUUGUCUUCUAUGACUUAAACAUCUUGUAGUCUUAUUUUUUCAUAAAAUCAUAAUAACUUAAAAAAUUCGAUUUUGGAGAGAUUCAAUUAAACUGGAGUAAAAUUAUAGUAAUACAAGUCUUAGAAUUAUGCAUAGUCCAUCUCUAACUCAUAAAUAAGAUGAUAAUACGCUUAAGCACACUCGAACUCACGUCCUCUUAUAUUGGUAACAACUCAUGCCAAUUGAACAAAAACUCAAUUUACAACUUAAUUAUAAUAGUUUAUUUGUAAAAUUUAUAAUUAUUUAUUUUAGAGAAUUUGGUUUGCUUUUAAUAUGAAAAGAAAAGGAAAACUAAAUUUUAUAAUAUAAAUCUUCAAGUUUUAUGUUCUACUUAAUACGACUUCACGUUAAGAAAACUGGAUUUUUUUAAUAAUUUGAGUCUUUUUCUAAAGGCUUAAUGGCAAAUUUAAUCACUAACAUUUACAUGUUUUGUCAAAAUAAUCCUAAUUGUAUUUUUUAACAUUUUUUCGCUAUCAACUUUUGUAGGAAUAUAAGUUAUUAUAAAUUAUUAAUGUGUGUGUCGAUUUGUUUUUUUUUAAGUAAUGUAAGUUAUUAUAAUUUUAUUUAAAAUAAAAAAAUGGAAUAUUUCUUUUCAAAAAAAUAAAACCAUAUAAAAAAAUAAUAAUUAAUAUUAAUCAAAUAUUUUUCGUAAAAAAAUUAAUCAAAUAAAUUCAAGUUCGUGACUUAUCACAAUAUCAAAAUUCAAAAUUUAAUAAAAAUAAAUUAUUUUCCUAAAACAUUCAAUAAACAUUUUUUUUUUAAAAAAAAAUACUUACAUCAAUAGUAUGAAAAUAAGAGGUAUUUUUGACUAAAAUUUUAAAUUCAACGAGCUUACACUCUUUAUUAUAACAUCUUGAAACGAAUAUAAAAUUAUGGGAUGGUCGAAAUGUUAGGAAUCUCAAUACCAUAAUCUUAUUCUGGAGUAUAAUAUUAAGAGCUAUAAUAUAAAAUUCGACAAACCAAACACCCCUUAAAUUAUUCAAGCAUAUUUUAUAAAAGAGAAAGUUACUAGUGUAUGAUUUAUUUAUGAGUUAAUAUUUAAUAUACUAGGAAUAUAUUUCUUUAACACCACAAACACAGUUCAAAAACUUUCUGCGUCUCAUUUUUUAUAUAUAUUUAUUUUAAUAUUAUAAUAUACAAUAUACAUUUAUAAUCACUUAAUUUUAUUUGAAGAAUCUAAAACCUUUAUUGACAGUAUACUUACCUAGCAUUUCCUCGAUGAGACAAUACACUUCGCUUUCAGCUAUAUAUUAUAGGUUUAAUGGUGUAAAAAGCUCUCAAACUUUUUCAAAACAAGAACUUAAACUCUUUUUGCACACAAUUGGGUACUUAAACUACUAAAAUGCAUAAAAAAACCUUUCAAACUUUAAAAAAAAAGGCAAAAUGCAUAAAAGAAAGGCUAAAGGGUGGAUCUAGGGGCUGGCAGGGGCCCCAACCCCCCUAAAAUAAACUUUUUUUCUGCUUAGGUUAUUUAUAAUUUAUAAAAUUUUAAAUUAGUAAUAGUAAAAAUUCACUUUGCCUCCAAAUGAUAAAAAUUUAAUUUAAUCCUCUAAAAAUUAUAAAGAUAUAGGUUAUUAAAAUGACGAAAUUGCAUUUUAUCAUAAAAAUAUAUAAUUUAAUUUCGCCCCCCCCAAAAAAAAAUUCUGACUUUGCCCCUGCCCCUAAGUCGUAUUUCUGGAUCUGCCACUGAAAAAUGCCCUUUGGCUGUUAAAGUUAGCCAUCCCUAAUUUUUUGAGUUAAAAUCACCACAUGUCACAAUUACGACUUGACAAGUGGCAAAAAAAAUAAAAUUAAAAAUCAAUAAAAGUUGUAAAAUUUAUUAAAUUUUAAUAACAAAAUAUAUAAAAUAUUUAAAACUUAUUAAAAAUUAGAAAAAAAUAUAAAAAUAUAAAAAUCGUAAAAAAAGUGUAAAAUUUUACAAAUAUCAUAAAAUAUUAUAAAAUAUAUAGAAAUAUAGAAAAAAAUUUAGAAAAUUAUAUAAAAUUGUAAGAAAAUUAUAAAAAAUGUAAAAAAUAUAAAAUUCGUAAAAAAAAUUACAAAAAUUAUCGUACCAAAAGAAGCAUUUUAUAAUUUUUCUAUAACUUUAACAGUCAAAGGGCCUUUUUUAAUGUUGGAUCCAAAAAUAUGACUUACGGGGUAGGAACGAAGUCAAAAAAAAAAUUUCAGGGGUCAGAAUUAAAUUAUAUAUUUUUAUGAUAAUAAAAAUGCAAUUUCACCAUUCUAAUCGCUUAUAUCUUUAUAAUUUUUAGAGGAUAAAAUCAAAUUUUUAUUAUUUUUUGGGGGUUAAAGUAUAAUUUUACCAUUACUAAUUUAAAAUUUUAUAAAUUAUAAAAAGCUUAAAUGGAAAAUUUUUCAUUUUAGGGGGCUGAACCCCUACCAGCCCCCUAGAUCCACCCCUGGCCUUUUUGAUGCAUUUUAACAAUUCAAGUAUCUAAUUGAGUGAAAAAAGGGGCUUAAUGACUUUUUUUUAAAAGUUUGACGGCAUUUUUUAUUAAUUUUGACAGUUUAAGUACUCAAUUCAGUGUAAAAAAAAGUAGGGCUUAAUUGCUUUUUUUGAAAAAAUUUGAGAUUUUUUUAUACAUUUUGAAAGUUCAAAUACCAAUUGAGUGUAAAAAAAAAAAGGAGACUUAAUUACUUUUUUUGAAAAAAUCCGAAGAUUUUUUUACAACUUUAAGCCUAUAUUAUAUUUACAAAUGAACAAAUUGUAAUAUAUUUUUUUAUUAAUUAAAACAGAUUAUAAAACCCAAGAUUUUUGUUUUGGAUUAAGAUUAUAAAACAUAUUAUAUCCAAAACCUAUUUUUUUUCAAAUAUUGGUAUAAACGUAUACUAGUAUGAUACGAUGUCGAUACUCAGAUAUCAGCCAUUGAAAUCUCUAAAUAAAAAAAAAUUAAUAUUUUAAAACUUGACAUAAUUACCAAGCAAUUAUUAAAUUAAAUAUCAAGGGAAUGUCUGUUAUUGGAUUCCAAUAACUCAAAUUAACUAUUAAUUUAGGUCAUUUGGAUGAAUAUUUUUGAAUUAAAAUUAUUUUUAUAAAUAUUAAUUUUUUUAUCAUAUAGGUAAAAUAUCCGAGAAAAUUAAACGGAAAUACUGUUAGGGAUUCCCCUUUCAUUAAUAUCCGUCUUCUCAGGAUGAUGUUUCCCUUUCUCCUUAGAUGUUGGACGCAUGGAUUUUGAUGUAUCAGGGUACAAGAGCUUGUACGGUAUCUUUGCAUAUCCCCACCUAUUCAUUAGAAGAUAUUCUUUAUUCCUCUCCUUUAUAUUUCGCUCUAUUGCUUCAAGGUUUUCCCCGAAUUCUUUGAACUUUUUCUGAAUUAUAGAAUCGUGACCCUCAAUCAAUGGCCACUCUUUUUGGGGUGAUGUUUGACCCAAAUAAAUCUCAUCUGAUGUGUGUCGUGACAGAAGAUCCAUUACCGCAAGUGCCAACUUCAUUUGGAACUUAUCAGGCAACAUCUCCUCCACGAACUUCAUGAUAUUCACUUCUUUAUAGACUUCUUCCUCUUUUGGGAGGAAUUUUGGGACGAUUUGGGGGCCAACCCCCGUAUCCAUACUGUCUGAAGUUCACUGCUGCAUGCAAGCCUGAAGUGAUCCAUAUGAGAGUUGCCAGAGCUUUUACGAGGCUUUCGAAUGUAUUAAUGUCGUACCAUCCCUCAUUUCGAUCUUUAUGUCCUCUCGUUUUGACUUCAUUCCACCAUUCUUGGAUUUCCUCAUCUUCCUUCACAUCAUUGUUGUUAUGGUAGAAAACACUGCAGUAUUCUGUCACCCAUGUUUCAAUGGCGGUCCAUAUCUCAAUUCCAUCUUUUGCAUAGGGGUAGUCUUCUAAAACCAGCUCCACCUCAGCGUCAACCUCAAACAUCGUCUGUUCUGCACCCGUCGCCGCCUUGUUGCUUGAUUUGUCUGUCCCGACCUGCUCCAUUGGCCCCGAUACAACCUCAUCUCUGACUCUGCGUUUCGCCAUACCUCUGAAAAUGUUAUGGUCCUCAUCGUUAGUUGUACAACUUGGAACAUUUAAAGGAAGUGAAUCCAUUCAAUUCUAAUGGAUUCAAGAAUUACCAACCUUUCGAGAAGGUCUUCAGGAAGAGCCUGCUUAUCAAAUCUCCAUUCUUUAUACAAGUGAGAAGACAAUUCCAUGGAGUAUUCACCAGUAAAAAGAAGAGUCUCCAGAAUCCCUCCAGCAUUAAGGAAGAUGGCUCGAGCCAAUGCAUUUAUAUGCAGUGUGUCUUCGAAAUGAGGAUCCAAUAUUCUAUGGAUUGGAUGCAUUACGCUCAACCGUCUUCUCGUCGCAAUUAUGAAUGGCUCAACUACUGCAUGUGUAUGCAACCUUGAUUUGGAUGCAUUGGCACAUCAAAACAAACAUAUAAAUUUAACAGAUACGAAAUUAAUUGGGUUAAUUUAAUGAUUACUACUUACCAAUGGCUAACUAACUGGUGGUAAGCUGCAUCGUUGGAUGAAACGUGAAAUUUUGCAAACUCCCAUAGGAGAGUAUCUUGUGGAAGCACCAAUCUAGGAGAGUCACCAGGCAAGCUUAGUUCUAUUCCUACUGGUUGAAGCGUUACGGACGAUAAGUCCGGUGCUAUUAGUAUUGUUCGAGUUGCGUAAGCACAAACACCUUUCCCAUUUAUCAUUGUCAGAAAUUGCUCAAGGUAAUGAUGAUCCAAGAUGAAUGCCCUAUUGGCUUCAAUUGCCUGCCAUAUAGUGUUAUGUAUGUAUUCAUAAAGUAGUUAAUUUGAAAGGAAAAGAAAUACAUAAACUUGUUUUCUUUUUUACCUUAAACACAUCUAGCAAUUGCGGCUGUUUAAGCUUCUUUCCCUGUAGAACCUGCAACGUUUAAAAUACUGGUUUAUAAGCUCAAACAUUAUAUGUUAUAAACCUAGGAAAGAGAUUGCUCAAGGUAAUGGUGAUCCAAGAUGAAUGCCCUAGUGGCUUCAAUUGCCUGCCAUAUAGUGUCAUGUAUGUAUUCAUAAAGUAGUUAAUUUGAAAGGAAAAGAAAUACAUAAACUUGUUUUCUUUUUUACCUUUUUGAAAUCUUGCAAUUGCGACUGGUUAAUCUUAUUGUCCAGCUGAACCUGCAACGUUUAAAAUACUGGAUUGUAAGCUCAAACAUUAUAUGUUAUAAACCUAGGAGAGAGAUUGCUCAAGGUAAUGGUGAUCCAAGAUGAAUGCCCUGUUGGCUUCCAUUGCCUGCCAUAUAGUGUUAUGUAUAUAUUCAUAAAGUAGUUAAUUUGAAAGGAAAAGAGACACAUAUCUCUGCAAAAUGAUCUUGAACAAACUAGUUUUCCUUUUCAUACCUCUGGCUUAUCUUCAGGUGACUCGUAAUCCAACAUUUUAUAAAAAAUUUCGUAUAGAGGUAAUAACUCCUCUCGCUGCAACGUUUAUAAUAAUGUUAAGAGUUUCCAAUCUAUUAAUUCUUAAGGCUCAAAUAUUAUAUAUUAUAAACCUAGGAAAGCGAUACCUUCAAGUGCCGGAUUCGAACAGGAUUUGUUCCUGCAAGCAUUUGGCGACCAAACUCCUUGUCCUCAGCCCAAGCGACUUUGUCCUCUUACAACAACAAACAAAGUAAAGAACAUUAAUCAUAAACAUAAAUUGUAAUUUCAAUCAGCGUAUCUUUAAUCAUAUAUUGUGGUUAUUGUGAUUGCAAACCUCGUGAUAAAUAGAAAAAACAUCUAUAGCAGCUAUAAGUUCAUGUUUCCCACCUGCUAUAAUUGAAGGCAAUUGAGCACUGACAUGUUGUCUUUUGAGAGCAAGAGUGGCAACAACUUGGUUAAGAAUUUCCUUGGGUACCAAUUUUUCUAGCCGCUGCUUGUCCGAAUCAAAAAUGUCUUCCACUUCUUUGUCUGCAUAAAAGCCUAUAAUGUCUUCAAAAAUGUCUUGUUCCCCACUUGGAUCUGACACUGACCUGCUGGGACCUCCAUGAGAAGAUGGUAAUUUUAGCUUUCUACAGAAAUCUAUUAUGGAUCGAAUGAAUCUAACAUCUUUCUUUGAUAUCGCUGCCUUGGGUACAAAGAAAUGUGCAACUUUAGUGACGAAGUCGGGACAUUCUCGAUCCCACAAGUGUUGGAGCGUUGAUUCCGGCGCAAGAAAUCGAAUAAGAGCCUCGACAAAGUUGUUUUUCAGUUCUUGUAGUUUUUCGUCGCUCAUUCGCUCAUCGGGUGGAACAUAAAAUUGGAAGCAGCUUGCUGGUCCUGACUCCCUUGAAUGGUCUAUUUCACAUACAACCAAAGAUAUCAAAUGAAAGCAAUUCAAUGAAAAAUAAAUAAUUAGACAAAUUUAAAUUUAUAUAUUCUAUUUAUAUGUACCGCGUUGGCAAUUAGGAUGGCCCGUUUUCAACCGACGUGGGUAUGGAAAUUUAGUGGAACCACCCAACACAGGUCUAUCAUACAGUCGACCAUUUUCAGGAUCUCCAAGAUUGUUAUAGACAUCAUAAUCAUAAAUUUGAUCCCAUGGGUUCCAUUCACCCUUCCGUCUUGGGUCUUGCAGUUUCUGAAGUUCUUUUUUUCUCAAUUCUACUAAACCUUGUGGCGUUUUAUUUGGACGAUAUAACUGUUAGAAGUACUGUUUAAAAGGUGGCAACGACAGCAGCAAGUUGAAGAAUCCAUGCAAACUUACGUUGCAUGCAUGAAACCAGAAACUCGGCUGAAGCAUGUUGAAAUCCGUUGUGCAAUUCGACAAGCCUUGUUUAUUUAGUUGACUUUUGUUAGUCUAUGGUGUAAUCAUUAUAUGCUUUGAUCAGCUAAGGUUAAAAUGUGUGCUUAGCUGAUUUAGUAGUCAAAUUAGGUUGUCAUUUUGUUGAUGUAAACAUUUAGUUACUUGUACAAGCAAGCUGUGUUUUCUUUCUAUGUAACUUUGUUCUAUUUAUGUAUGUAACCAUGCACUUAUUCGGGUAAUGAGAAAAACACUUUGCUCAUUCAACUUUUUGCUUGUUCUUGCUCCUGUUUUAUGCUUUCAAACAUCUGAAAACAUUCAUCUAAGUUGUUUUAAACUUUGUUUGCUAAGUUAGAAUCCAACAAAUGGUAUCGAGAGCCUGUUGUCUUUGAGGGCCUCUUGUUGUGUGCUGUGUGUUUGAAAGAAAAGAAGCAGGAACUAUCUUUGUUGCUCAGAGUUUUGGAAGCUGCGUGAAGAUGAGCUUCUCACCACCACCUCCACCCGUGUUUGCUGGUGAAAGCUACAAUAUAUGGGCUGUCAAAAUGAAAACAUAUCUACAGGCACAUGACCUGUGGAAUGUUGUCCAAAAUGACACUGAACCACCACCCUUAAGAGCUAAUCCCACGAUAGCUCAGAUAAGGCAGUAUAAUGAAGACUGUGCAAAGAAGUACAAGGCCAUGUCAUGCCUUCAAAGUGGAGUUUCAGAUGCUAUCUUCACAAGGAUAAUGGCCUGCGACACACCAAAGGAGGCCUGGGACAAACUCAAGGAAGAGUUUCAGGGCUCAGACAAAACCAGGCAGCAACAACUCAUCAACUUGAGAAGGGACUUUGAGAAUCUGAGAAUGAAAGACUCAGAAACCAUCAAGCAGUAUGCUGACAGAAUUAUGUCUACUGUCAACAACAUAAGACUGCUUGGAGAUGACUUUAGUGAUCAGAGGGUAGUGGAGAAAAUCAUAACAACCUUGCCAGAGAAGUAUGAAUCCAAGAUUUCUUCCCUGGAGGAUUCGAGGGACUUAUCUGCCAUUCCCUUGACAGAACUGAUAAAUGCUCUCUAUGCUCAAGAGCAAAGAAGAGCAAACAGAAUGGAGGAGUAUUCUGAGGGAGCUUUUCAAGCUAGGAGUAGAGAGAGCUCAAGCUUCAGCUCGAAUCACAAAGGCAAGAAGCCUAUGUCAGAAAAGAAAGAAAGAGAAAAGAAGGAAGCUGCCAAGAAGAAGUUUCCACCCUGUGCUCAUUGCAAAAGGACAACUCACCUUGAGAAAUAUUACUGGUACAGGCCUGACAUUCAGUGUAGAGGCUGCAAACAGCUUGGUCACAUUGAGAAAGUGUGAAGAAGGGUUAUAGGAUCUUUGAUCCAUCAACAAAAAAGGUUAUUGUAAGCAGAGAUGACAAGUUCAAUGAAGGAAGCUGUUGGAAGUGGAAUGGGACAGAUGCAAGCUUAACUGAAGAAGACUUGCAGGACCUUGAUCACCAACAUGCUGAAGUUGAAAAUGAAGCUAUGGAUGAUUUUGAUGAUAUGCCUGUUAGGGGCACCAGAACAUUGGCAGACAUCUAUGAAAGAUGUGCUGUGACCAUGGUUGAGCCAUCCUGCUAUGCUGAAGCCUCGAAAGAGAAAUGCUGGCAAGAGGCUAUGGAAGCUGAACUAAGGAUGAUUCAAAAGAAUGAAACCUGGGAGCUGGUUGAUAGACCAGAAGGUAGGAAGAUCAUUGGAGUUAAAUGGGUGUUCAAGAUCAAGAAUAAUGCAGAUGGAUCACUGAACAGACACAAAGCUAGAUUAGUUGUGAAAGGGUAUAGCCAACAGCAGGGAGUCGAUUUCUUUGAAACAUUUGCUCCUGUUGCAAGGCUGGACACUAUAAGAAUGUUGUUUGCCUUAGCAGCUCAGAAACAGUGGCAGGUGCAUCAACUGGAUGUCAAAUCAGCCUUUUUAAAUGGAUUUCUCAUGGAGGAAAUCUUCAUAGAUCAACCUGAAGGCUUUGAAGUUCAAGGAGAAGAAGAGAAGGUCUACAAGCUCAAAAAGGCCCUGUAUGGUCUCAAGCAAGCUCCAAGGGCCUGGUACGAUCGAAUGGAUACCUACCUGACAAGGCUCGGGUUCACAAAGAGCACCAGUGAGCCUACUCUCUAUGUUAAGAAGGAAGGUAAUGAAACUUUGCUAAUUGUUUCUUUGUAUGUUGAUGAUUUACUGGUCACUGGCUGCAAAAGGGAGGAAAUUGAAACCUUUAAGAAGCAAAUGCAAACUGUGUUUGAGAUGACUGACCUUGGAUUAAUGACAUACUUCCUUGGCAUGGAAGUGAAACAAAAUGAACAAGGUAUUUUCAUAGGCCAGAAGGCAUUCGCAUCGAAGGUUUUGAGCAGGUUUUGCAUGACAAACUGCAAGCCUGCUAGCACUCCUGUGGCUUUAGGAGAAAAACUCACCAGCCUAGGAGAUGAAGAUCGAGUGGAUGAAAAGAAUUACAGAAGCUUGAUUGGCUGCCUGCUCUAUUUGACUGCAACUAGACCAGACAUCAUGCAUGCUGUUGGUCUUCUAUCGAGAUUCAUGCAUUGCUGCACAGUUGCACAUUUUAAAGCAGCAAAAAGGGUCCUAAGGUAUGUCAAAGGGACUCUGAGUAGUGGAGUGAAGUUUGAAAGGGCUGAGGAGCUGAGACUAGUGGGAUAUUCAGACAGUGAUUGGGCUGGUUCUGUUGAUGACAUGAAGAGCACAUCAGGCUACUUCUUCACCCUUGGCUCAAGUGUCUUCUGCUGGAGCUCGAAGAAGCAACAGAUAGUGGCUCAAUCCACUGCUGAGGCAGAAUACAUCGCAGCUGCUUCUGCUGUAAAUCAAGCCAUUUGGCUUAGGAAAAUAUUGUGUGAUCUGAAUGCUGAUCCAAAGGAGGCCACUGUGAUUAAGGUUGACAACCAAUCGGCUGUAGCCAUUGCCAAAAAUCCGGUUUUUCAUGGUAAGACCAAGCAUUUUAAAAUUAGAUAUCAUUUUGUGAGAGAAGCUGAAAUGUCCAAGGAGAUAAGCUUAGUUCACUGCUGCUCAAAAGAUCAACUUGCUGAUCUAUUAACCAAACCAUUGGCUGCUUCAAGGUUUGAAUAUUUGAAGAAGAAAAUCAGAGUUUGCUGCUUUGUAGCCAAGGAGGAGUGUUUAAAAGGUGGCAACGACAGCAGCAAGUUGAAGAAUCCAUGCAAACUUACGUUGCAUGCAUGAAACCAGAAACUCGGCUGAAGCAUGUUGAAAUCCGUUGUGCAAUUCGACAAGCCUUGUUUAUUUAGUUGACUUUUGUUAGUCUAUGGUGUAAUCAUUAUAUGCUUUGAUCAGCUAAGGUUAAAAUGUGUGCUUAGCUGAUUUAGUAGUCAAAUUAGGUUGUCAUUUUGUUGAUGUAAACCUUUAGUUACUUGCACAAGCAAGCUGUAUUUUCUUUCUAUGUAACUUUGUUCUAUUUAUGUAUGUAACCAUGCACUUAUUCGGGUAAUGAGAAAAACACUUUGCUCAUUCAACUUUUUGCUUGUUCUUGCUCCUGUUUUAAGCUUUCAAACAUCUGAAAACAUUCAUCUAAGUUGUUUUAAACUUUGUUUGCUAAGUUAGAAUCCAACAAGUACAACACUUCCAAUCAGAAUCAAAUAUUACAUGCAUUGAACUACAUAUAAUUUAAUUACUAAGUUAUCUCAAUUAUAAAUAUAUAAGUAUGUUAGCAUACUUGAUCUGAGAAGAAAAUCCGUUUAAAUCUGGUUUUGGUGAUGGGGUAAACUCAAGAACCGCAAUAAAAAUGAAACUUUCAUUCCUCGAGAAUACUUGGAUGCUUAAUGUAAUGCAAUGUGACGGAUUUGAGGAAAAACUCAUGCUUCUUAUCUCUGUUUUCAACAACAAAAGCUCCUGGAAUCCCAAAAUCUCGCGUCACCUCGAAUUUCAAUUUGAAUUUGAUCACUUUCGCGGGCACCUUCAUGCUUAAAACUUCAUGUUUUUUCCUUUCCAGCUCUUUUCCCUUCAUUACAUAUGCAUUCUCACUUUUAAUCCCUUUUCUCGUUGCUACAAUAUAUAUAUUCGUAUAACUAUAAACUAGAAUCAAAUUAUUACAAUAUGCAAAUAAAAAAAAACAGAUUGAUAAUCGAAAUAUAUUUUGACCUAAAUCAAAAUAAAUUAUGUGAUUUAAUAAAAGAAAAAAUAAAAAAUAAAUCAAAAUAUUUUAUUUUUAAAACAUAAUAAUAUAGCCAUGUCUGGGUAUGGUAUGACAAUGCAUUGUAUAUAUUUACUUGGAUCCUUGUUGUCUUGGCUGUAAAGCCGAACAACAACAGAUAAUCCAGAGGCACAGAGGGAAAACCAAGGACUGCGAUCGAUCUCAAAUUCUCCUUGGAUAAUGUAUGUUUGAGGGUCAUGGCGAUGGCAACAUGCUUGUAGUAAUCCACAACAACCCGCGGUUUCUACCAUAAUUUGUUGCUUCCUUUUUCAUUUCCUAAGCCUUUUUCUUUCGUACUUUUUUCUUUUAAUCCAAUAAAAAAAGAUCGCCACCUGUUUGAUGAAUAGCAUACAAGAUAUUUUACCAAAGCUAUGGAACUUAAUCCGAGCUGCAGGAGAGAGCAAAUAUAUAAUGCUUGCAGUAGAUCAUUUUUCAUGGUGACGCGAUGGAGUCGAAGGAGCUAGCCAGCUAGCCCCAUAAGCAUGUGGAAUGUUCUUGGCUUUAGUUGGGAGGUUAAGCUUUGAAUCUAAUACAUUGCCUAGCCUUGUUCGCCACUCUUUUACCUCAAAUUAGAUUCCCACACCCUCGUGUUUUCUGCUUGCUUUCCUCACUACUAACAAUAAAAUAAAAAUGUAUUUUACAUUUUCAAAUUUAAAUGAACUUUUUUUACUGGUCCUUCCAGGCUUUCUGUAUCACUUUAUCCUUACAAAUAAAAUCUUCCCCUAAGGCUUAAGUUCGACGGGUUUGGAACUAAAGUAUGUGAUGAUAAAACCCAAUACCAUCAAAUCAAACAAAUUUAACAAAUGGUUGAUUUAUGUCUUUAAAAAAAUAGGGUUAAAGUUACUACAAGUCCAUUUACCAUAUCAAAAAGUUCAAUUUAGUCCUAUUUUUAUUUUAAAAGUCUUUGUAUGUUUGAAAAGUUGACAUUUCAGUCUUUAUAUGUUAAGUUCGUCAUUAAUGAAAUGACACGAUUUAACGGUUCUUGACGUGGCAUUAAAUAAAAAAUUAAAUCAAAUUUAAAAGUUUACUGGUUUUAAAAACAAAUGGAAUCACGUGGCUUAAUGAUGGCUAACCUGGACAAAACACAACAAAAAUGUACAAAAAGAACAAAAAAAAAAAUUGAAAACAAUUUGAGGUAAUAGCAAAAUCAGUUUCUUACCUUUGUUCAUUCUUCAAAAUUGUUAUUUAACUUUUUAAUUUAAUUUAAUGCCAUGUCAGCCAUGCCAUUCCAUUAACAACAAAGUUAACGUGUAAUGAUUAAAAUGUCAGCUUUUCAAACGUACUGAUAACAUGUUAAUUUGCAUGACAUUUUGUGUUUAAUUCGGUUUAUUUCUGAAUUGAUCUUUUCUAAAUUAGUACUUUUAUGUUCUAAUCUUAUCAGUGAUGUAAUUGGGACGAUAAGAGACAAAAACGAGUAAGAAAGGGCCAAAUUGAAACACGAUCAAUAAAAUGAGGCCGAAUAAAAAAUGUGGAGAAAACCAAUGACUCAUCAGAAUUUUUGGCUUUGUAAAAGCCAAAAAUGGAAAAAAAAAUCUUAUUUUAUUUUGAUUUUAUGUUAAAGUGGUUAAGACGAAAAUUAGUUAAUUCCAUGUAUAUAAAUAGGGCCUUAAUGCACUUAGGAAAGACAUCCCUUAAUUUUACAUUCUGAUUUCAAUUUGGAAUUGAAUAGAAUUAAUUUCUUUUUUUUUACUUUCAAUUUGGCGUUAACAUUCUGUUGCAUUGUUUCCAAUUCUUGUUUCUUUUUCAAAAUUCGUCUAAUUACUUUUCAAGUCCUUUUCCUUCUCAAUUUCCACCAUCUUUCUUCCAAAUCCAAUCACCUUCCAUAACCUACAAGCAUGAUUAAAUCCAUGCUACACUAAAUUCUAACUUAGCUUUAGGCCGGUGUUCUUUCCGGUCGGGAACAGUGAGAUACGUAUUCAUACUUAAAAUCCUUCCAAUCGGUAUUCAUUUUUUUCCUAAGUAUCGGGAUAGACAAAUCAUUCUUUAAAGUUAAACUCGAUUUCAAGACAAGGUGCACGUUGGGUUGGAGUUGUGUUUGUUGACAGCUAGAGAAACGAGUCAGCCGUGCUGUAUUCAGAUCUCCGAGAACAAAUCAAGGAAGAAGUGAUCGGGUUUAAACAACCCCAUAUGGUUGAGGCCGUUGAUUCGAGUUUGGUUCUUCAGAGCACAAGGCUACCGGAAUCUUGAAUCAGGAACACGUGUAUCUCGGUUAAAUAAUCGAUAAAGGUUGGUUUAUAGAUCGUACUGGGACCAACUACGAGAGGAAAAAUUGGUGGUUAGGACAUUCUUAACUACUAUAACCAUCUUAGCUUUUGGAGGAAAAAAUCAAUUUUCAAGGAUCAAUUCUUAAACCGGAAUCUUCCAAGUCUAGGGCUAAAGCUUAUUAUCUUUGAUUACAAAAUCCGAAUUUAAUUUCCAAUUUAAUUUCUAAUUGAUGAUGUCACGAACUAACUAAAAUUAUGACAAAGGCAAGAGCACCUAUCGAAUGGUAGUAUAAAUAUGGUGAGUCGGGAAUAUCGUAUCCACAAGGACUAAAAGUACUAGUAGUUACUAUCUUUUUAUUAUUUAGCCGAUAAAAUUGAAGAAAUUUAUUUUUAACCUAAUUUUAACUAAACUAAUUAUUAAGACGAAACAGAGAGUAAAAUAGGAAAAUAAUAGAAUAAACCAAUUGAAAGAGACAAUACCUAAGAAAGAAUCCACCUAGACUUCACUUAUUAUUCUAAAUCUGAAUUAAACGAUUUAUUCACUUGUCUUGAUCCGUAGAAAUACCUACCUUAUGUUAAUAUCUCUUUCGAGAAUAAAAACAACUGACUCUAGGUUGAUUAAUUGAAAUCUCUUUCUAAUUAAAACCCCUAUUGUCGCAUUUACUCGAUUCAUAGAUUCCCCUAUUAGAAUUGACUCUAAUCCGGUAGAUUUAUGUUGUCCUAUUUAUAGGAUUGCAUGCAACUCCACUCAAUUAUGCCAGAUCUACUCUUAAACAAGAACUUUUGCUCCACUGAAUUAAGCACAUCAAUCACAAAUUAAUAUCCUGAAAACAUUAAAACAUGAAAUAUGUACUCAUAAUUGAGAUCAAUAAUCAAAUAAUAAGAUCUGUCAUAGGUUUCAUCUUCCCUAGGUAUCUAGGGAAUUUAGUUCAUAAUUGAAAAGGAAAACAUCUCAAAAUUAGGAAAACAACAAGACAUAAGAAACCCAAAAACUUCUAAAGAAAUUGAAUGGAGAUCUUCAAUCUUGAAGGAGAUCCUGCUUCUGAGUUGAAUCUGUUGGCAUUCUUUGAGUCUUUUCUGCAUUCUACUCUGCAUGCUCCCUUAGAUCUUCUUCUAGGGUGUAUUUUUAAACUUUAGAAUGCUCAGAAACCCUAAAAAUUGGCUAUUUCCACGUAAAAGAGAAACAGGGAGCGAUAUCGACAAGGGCUGGAACAUGGGCGUGUGGCCAGCCCAUGUGGUUCACACGAGCGUGUGCUCAGCCCGUGUGGAACUGGCUUGGCAGUGUGGAUCCUUAAGAUAGCCCAUUUUGUCCGAUUUUGGCCCGUUUUCAGCUCCUUUUGCUCCACUAUGCUCACCUAAGUAUAGAAACAUGAAAUUAGAGGAUUAGGAGCAUCAAAUUCACUAAAUUAUGUAAUAAAUCAUCCAAAAACAUGCCAAACAUAGGAUUAAAACAUGUUACACUUAUGGUUUAUCACUAAUUUAUUUAAUUAUUUAUUUAUGUUGUUUCAAUUAUUUAGUUUCUAAACAUUUUCAAAACCCCCCACAUUUAUUUGUUAAUUUUUUUUGCAAGUCCAUUUGGAGUCAUGGGCACGACUUUUGCCACGACCUUUGACACGACAAACGUUCUUUUCACAAGGUAAAUGCAGAAGUUGAUAAUAACAUCCAAUCCCUGUGGACUCAACCCUACUACCAUUCUUUACUACCAUUUAGAGUUAUUUCUGUAGGAAUUAUUUUUUGUGGUUUCGACGUCCAUCACAUACAAGGACUAAAAUGUUCUUUUUAAUAAUAGAGGGAUUAAAAUGAACUUUAUGAUAUAGUACAAGGACAUGUUGCAAACUUUAUCAAAAAAAUAGAUUACCUUCUACUUCUAUACCUUAAGUUUCAUAUGUAAAAUAUCGUGUUUACUACAUUUUUUUAAUUUAAAAUGUUAGAAAAUAUAUUUAAAAUAAUAUAAGUUGUUUUGUAAAAUAAUAAUUAUUUAAUUGAGUUGAUUUAUAACAACCAUUUAAAAAUGUUUAAUAUGGAAUAGAUAUUUAUAAAAUAUAUUUACUAAGCAAAUAUAUUUAUAAAAGUUAAAUAAGACUUUAAUUGAAAUAGUGAAGUAGGUUUAAAUUUUAUUAUGUUGUUUAUUCUUUUUUUUAUAAAAAUAAAAAAAUAAAAAAACCAUCAAAAUAAUAUAAUUUACUUAAAAAAUAGUGACAUUUUAGUCAAAAUUUUAAUUUGAGCUUGAGUUUAGUGGCAUUCAAACUUGGCUCAACUCGAUUAUACCCGUAGCGGACAAGGUGAAAAUUUGAGAGAAAAGAAGAGAGAGAACAAAAGAAUGCACAUUAAGAGUGAGAACCUAUAUUUUGUGAUUUAUGUACCUUACCUAUACAUGCAUACAUACAAAGAUUAGCAACUUUCAAGUUGUAGGUACUAUUUUUCUAACUGUUAUAUGUUCUAGGAACAGUUAUUCUUUUACCUUCUAUGAAUUGUACAACAUUACUUUUCCUAUUUCAGAUCGUCUUGUGCCAGAACUUUAGCUUUGAUUCAGUUCUGAGUUCCAGGAACAUGUUUCGGGUCUUCGAUUCAUUGAGCCUCCUGAACAGCAUGCACAGUUUGUGGGGCAAGUAAAGACAUUAAGUCUCUAAGACGGUAACCAUUGCCCCAAAAAGAGGCAAGUGAAAGACCCAUAAUAGCCAUUGCUAGGACAAAGUAUGUCACUGGAAUUGCUUGACUGCUACCUCCUAGGAACUGGAUUGCCAGAACCCUUCCAUUGUCGAGCUUUGCAUUCCACUGCAUAACGAUAUUGUUCGACAAACUUCUUCUCUUUGCCUACGCAUAACAAUAUGGUAUCCCCAUAUCGAUAACCGGUUAUGUGUUGGACGUGGUUAAAUCAAUUUUUGGAGAACUUCUAAAUACAUAGGAUGUAAUAUAGGAGGUUUGAAUUACUUGAAAGCAGGAAUCUUCAAGAUCCAAUAUCCGAUAGCGAAUACCACAGCGUGAAACACCAAAACCUGAAGAACCAAUUGGAGACCAUCUUUUGAUAGAAUUUGACUCUGAUUUAGUGAAAGAGGGCUACCGAUGUACAAGGAUGUACUGAUCAUAACAACAAAAGACAUCAUAGGUCGAAGGAUAGUAACUACCGGUUUUGCAUACGUAUUAAGCACAAGCCCAAAAGCGACCGGAACAAGAACCAUCUAGCACGAACAACCGAGCUAACAUUUUACAUUUUUGCACCAUAAAACAAGAAUGCUAACUCGAGAAUGCACAUCGGUUUAAUCUACACAUUACCUGUAAAAUUAACUUCGACAUCAUUACUGCAUCAAUUGGAACAACGGAUCCAAUGAGGAGGCUAGUUAAAAGGGUGUGAGGAGCACCGAUGCAAUGGUGGUAAAGCUAGUGAGAAGAAUACUCAUUGCAACAUCUCAUUUGCUUAAAAAGCUAGCAUAGCUAGACAACUGAGCCCCUGCAACACACGAUGUGAGUAUAAAACUGGCAUAAAACAUCAGAGACAUGCCGAACGCCUUUGCAAUUAGAACCCUGAGACCCGGUUUGAGCAUAUACUGUACGAUAAGUCCAACAGAUAGUGGUAAUGGUUUGUAAUGAAACAAAAACAUAAAAAACUUAUGAAAAACGUCUCAAUUGAAUUGAUAGCAGCAUAAUUAGAAACUAUAUAUAAUACAUAUAUAUAUACAUACAGUUAUACCUUUUGACUGCAAGUGCAAAAUCAUCCAAGGAAAGCUUAAUCCCAAUUGACAACAUAAUCCCACCAAAAGCAGAAGCAUAUAAUUCCUUAGAUACCCUGCAUAAUAAUUUUAUUUAUUAAUUCCAGAAUCUUUGUCCAUUGUCUAAUAAACUAUUAAGCAUUUCUGGUUCCGAAGUGAAAGCCAACUUUGAAAGAAAAGAACAAUAAGAACUUGACAAAAAUAUAAUAAAAAAAUUUGUCAAAAGAACGAAUAUUUAAAACGCAAAAAGUGCGGCAAAAAUAGUAACGAAUAACCAAUAUAUAUAUGCAAAAAACUAUUUUGAAGACUUGAAUUAGGCAAUUAUUGGACUCUGAAAUUUUUCUUUGGGACCCUUUAUAAUUAUUGAUGUAACAACUCAUUUUCGGUAAAAAUCAAAACAGUGGUUUCGGAACCACAAAUCCGAGUCCAAAAAAUAAAAUUAUUUAAAUUUCAUAAAAUGGUAGAUAUUGUGAUAGAAAUAUAGCAUGAAAAUUUUUAUAGAAAAAUUUUAUCGAUUAUGUGUCUAAUUGCAAAGAGGACUAAAUUGAAUAAAAUGUCAAAGUUGAAUUCUAGAAGAUGUAAGGAUCAAAUAGCAAUAAAAUUCAAAAUGAGAGGUUCUUAUAUAGUAAUUAGACCAUUGAUGAAAAACAUGUAGAUAUUUUAGUGAAUCAUCUAUGGAAAAAUAGAAAAAGGUAAAGGACUAAGUUGGAAAGUGGAAAAGUUAAAUGAUAUUAAUUAAAUUAAAUGAAAAAGAUAUCAUUUUAUCAUCUUCUUCCCCAAAAAUUCCAUGGAAACCCUAGGAAAGAGAAGGAAAGCUUUCAUGGUCAAAUUAGAUCAGAAUAAAUCGAAUGUGGAGUUAGAAUGAGGAAAUGAGAAAAUGCCGGAUUAAUAGACUUUAUGUAUACGAACAUCUAUCGAGGUAAGUUCGUAUAACUUAGCUAUGUAUGUCUUUGUGAUUGAUUUGAAUUGUAUUUGUGAUUUAUAAAUGUACACGUGAAAUGAUUAUAUAUCUAAUAAAGCCCGAUGAUUGAUAAUGUUUGAAAUAAAUGAUAAUAGUCGUAAAGUGAUCAAUGACUAAAAUGUCAUUAUUGAGCUUGAAUUAAAUGUGAAAUGUAAAUUACAUUAAUGCGUAAAAUUAUGAGAUUGGACAUAUAUCCAACAAUUUCUUGAUAAAUGCUAAAUCUCGUUUGAAUAAAUGAAAGUCUAUGGAUAAAGGUGAUUACUGAUAUGAAAUGAGAUCUUGCAUGUGUUGCAGAAAGGUUGUUCCGAAAGGGUAAUCUUUUGAUCUCAUUAUGAAAAGGAAAUGUACACCUUGUACGUACCAUGUGAAAAGGGAUAGCUUCGGCUAUCGAAUGUGAAAAGGAAAGGUAUACUUUGUGUAUACCACAUGAAGCUGCUAUGUAAACUUUUUAUGUACACUUGAAAUGAUAUACUUUGUGUAUAUCAUUUGAAAAGGAAAGGUAUACUCUGUGUGUACCAUUUGAAAAGGCUAUGUACACUUUGUGUGUACACUUGAAAUGGUAUACUUUGUGUAUAUCAUUUGAAAAGGAAAGGUAUACUCUGUGUGUACCAUUUGAAAAGGAAAGGUAUACUUUGUGUGUACCAUUUGAAAAAGAAAUGUACACCUUGAGUGUACUACUGGAAAACGAAAUAUCCAUCGAUGUUUUCAAUGAUUCCACAGGUAAAAUCAUGACAUGAAAAGAAAAGAGAUUAUUACAUAUGUUCACUUGGAAAAUAUGAAAUGAUGUUACAUGAAAUAGAAUAUGUAGAUAUGAUAUGUUUAUGUGUGAAUAUGAACGGUUUGAUGAAUACAUUCAUCCAUGAAAAUAUAUUGCUACACUUUGAGCGUAUCACCUGAGUGAUUAUCAGUACUUCAAUCGAUUAUUGAAUAAAGUUCUGACAAGAAAUAUACUAGAAAUUGAGAUGAAAUGAUAUGAAAUGUAUCUGAAAUACAUGAAAAUAAUUGACAUACAUGUUAUAUGAAUACAUGAGGUGGAAAAACAUAUGUGUAUGAAAAUCCAAAUAUGGAUGAGCUUGUAUAUGUAUUAUUGUGGUUUACAUGAAUCAUAAAACUAACAUAGGUGAGAAUGUGUGAUAGGGCUUGAGUACAAAUGGUAUAAUUGUGCCUUGCAUGUUUAAUUUGAGUAAGAGUGGUUGGUAAGUUGAUUACCAAGUUAUACAGACUUACUAAGCAUUAUAUGCUUACUCCGUUUAUUUUUUCCUGUUUUAUAGUAAAUCAGAAGCUCAUUGGAUUGGAAGCUCAGUGGAGAUCACUCACACUAUCUAUCGUUCCAAUUUGGUAGAAAAGGUAUAACAAUUGUGGUUAUAAUGGCAUGUAAAGGUUAAAUAGACAAUGAUUAACAUGUAAAUACUUGAAAGUGACUAGCCAUUGGAAUGGCUAGCUAUAGACAUACCUUGGUGUUUUGUAUAAAAGUCUAUAUCAUGAUAUACAAGUUGAAAUGGAUAAUGAACGAAUAAAUUAAAUUUGUAUGUUUGGCACAAUAUGCAUAAAUAUGAACAAGGAAAGUAGAUAGACAUGAAUAUAAAUUGUCAUUUGAGGUACCUACGGGUACAUUGGUUGGAUGUAAUUAUAUGACAUGUAUAAGACUUGAUUUUGGUAUGAAUUAACUGUCUUGAAAUGAGUUUAUCAAUAUGCAUAUGUGUUAGUGUAAAUGGAUAACAAGUUGGGUGAGAAAUAUGGCUUGGAAAAUAGCCUAUUUUCGUCCACAUGGUUAGACACACGGGCGUGUGUCUAGGCCGUGUGUGACACACGGCAAGCCCACGAGCGUGUGAAAUGACCGUGUGUCCCUUGCAUCCUUAAAUAUGAAGUCAAGAUAGUACACGGGUGAAAGACACGGCCGUGUGUCUUGGUCGUGUGAAGGACACGGGUUUCAAGCAUGGUCGACUAUCAAAUCAUGUGAAAAAUGGCUUUAAAAUGAUGAAAAAUCAAUUUACCACACGGCCUAGCCACAUGGGCAUGUGCCCAGGCCGUGUGCCCUUUGAUACUUAAGAAAUUGCAAGUCAAAAUUCCACACGGCCUUGGGAUCCCUACAGGAUGGCCACACGGCCAUGUCCCAAGCCACACGGGCGUGUGCCCCUAUCUUCAAGGAUAAAUUUUCAAAGUUACCAGUUUAGUCCCAAACCACUUCCAAAGCAUGUAUUGGGCCCUGUAGGUCCAUAUUAAGGACUUUAUGGUGAAAUUUGAAAAGUUUUGAUUUGGAAUGCAAAUUUGUGACUCAGUUUUGUACAAAUACUAGUGUAUAAGUUUAGUAAUACCUCGUAAUCCUAUUCCGGUGAUGGAUACGGGUUAGAGGUGUUAUAAUUGAACUUGAUAAUUAUUUCACAUUUAACUUGGAUUAGAAUUGAUAUCGGUUUGAUUCAAUUCGGUUUUAAAUUUUUUGAACCGUUCAUAAUUUGGUUCUCAACUUUUCGUAUUAAUUUUUUAUUUUGAAAUUUAGACUUUUUAACAAAAAAAGCUUUGCUUUAUUUUAUGGUUUUUGAAUAUUAUUUGACAAAAAUUCAAAAUCCUUUUUAUAAAUACUUAAAAUAAAAUCAAUUUUCAACCGUUUUUAAAUUAUUUUCAUUAUAAAAUGUUUAUUUUUAUGUCAUAAAAAUUAAAAUUUAAUUAUAUAUUAAAUAAAAAAUAGACUUCAUUCUGUUUUUAAAUUUACAUUUUAUUAAUCGUUCAAACACUUCGAUUCCAGUCGGUUUUUGAUUUUUGAGUUUUUCUUGCUCAAUAUUAAGUUGAAUUGACCCAAUAAUAGAGAUAAAGUACCAUUUAGUUCUAAACUUGAUAAUUUUAUCCUUACAAAUUUUUUAUCCACAUCAGUUUCACAACUUGACAACUUUUUCACUUUGUGAAAAAGACAGUCAAUGGUGGUUCAAUUAUAACGUCAUAAACACCUCCAUGAAAAUGGCAGUAUUGCAUCAAUAAAAGUUACAUUCUUGGCACUUGGCAACUUAAUGUGUGUAUAAAUAAUUUGGGUUUUUUUAUAGAAAAAUUACUCUAAAUUUAAAAAAUUAUGAAAAUCACUUAACUUCAAGAUUAAUUAUGAGAGUGUCGUGAUUUUUACAGUAGACUUGAGUGUCGCCACUUCGCUAGGUGGCACCACCCUAAAUUUUCUCCUAAUCACCAGUCAAUUAUUUAGUGAAAAAAAAAUUUUCCUGGAAUAAAAGGAAAAAAAUAAAAAUAAAAUUAUUUUAGUAAUUGCUCCAAAUAUGACGAUGUUGCCUGACAACAUGACCAGACAAUCAAUGGAUCCCCUGCCUUUUCUUUUCCUUUUCAGCUUUUUUUUUUAUUUUUUUAUUUUUUAUUUUUCAUUUUUUUAUUUAUUUUCAGCUAUUAUAUAAAGGGGGUUUGGUCCCCCUUACCCAUCCACCGUGAGAAAAAGAAAAAAAAAAAGAAGCUUGAGUUGUGUUCUUUUGUGUUUUGAAAGAAAGUUUGUGUUAGAUUAUUGUUAAUUUUUAGAUACAACUUUUAACAUUAUAUUUAUGUCUUAAAAUAUUAGAUUUUUAUUUAUUUUUGUAGUCGAUGAUUAAAAUUUAUAUUGUUUGUGUAGAUAUCGAAAUGGGUUUUUCGAUUAGAGCAAACGAUCGUACAACAAGGAUGAUUAAUGUGCCGGUAAAAAAUUUUUUAUUUUUUAUUCACAAGUAUAUUUAUAAAGUUGGACAUAAUUUAUUAUUUAAUUGAAUGAUUUUAACUAAUGUGGGAAUUUAAUAUGGUCAGGGUGAAUAUCGUGUAUUGAGGGCGCAUGUUCAUGGUGUUGAAACCCUUUUUGGAGCUCGAUUUUUUAUCUUAAAACAAAGAUGGAGUCACCACCAAUUCUUUUUAUUAGGUGUGAUUAGGUCACCUUGAGAUUUAAUCAUUUUAACAAAAGAGGUUAAUUUUACUAAAACAAUAAAUUUUCGGUCUACAAAAUCCAAGAAGUGGGUUUGAGAGUCAAUUACGUAUGAGGAAGGGUUAGCACCCUCAUAACGUCCAAAAUUAAUACCUAGUUGAUUACUUGAAGUGUUAGUGUCGAAAGUGACGAAUUCGAUAAUGAUUUUAAAAAAUACAACCCAUUUAUGCAUGCAAAUGGUAUUAUUUGAAUACGUUACUAAAAAAUAUUACUAUUUAAAUUGAACCUUACGGAGAAGGUACUCUUAUUUCAAGUUAAUCGAGAAGAAAUGGGCAUGUCCCGUAAGUCAGGCACGACAUCUCAAAUCCCCAAGAAUAAGAAUACUUGUCAUUUAAUUAUUAUCUAAAUCUUAUGUGUUUUAAUUUUUUUUUAAAGGAUAUUCGAUUAUUUUGGUUCAAAGAGAAAAUUGUACUCUAUAAGUUAGGGGCACAAUUUCUCGAAUCCCCUAAUUAAAGAGCAUCGCCUCGGUUCAAAUUGCUAAAUGUACAUUGCAUGAAAAUGAAUAGCUUCUAAUGUGACAUACUAUGGACUUAUUCGAAUAUAAUACGUUAUAUGGGAUACACGACUAUGUAUAAACAAGUUAUAUGAUAUCAUAAGAACAUAAAUAAUGCAAUAUAUCAUAACAAAAAUAAUAAUGUUGUAAAAAAUGUCAAUUAAUGCUGAUAAUAAUAAUUAAGGACAAAAUAAAAAAUUGUGUAAUUUUAAGGGGCAAAAAUAUAAAUAAAAAAAUUAAAAGUGCAGGGAAUUAAAAAAGAAAAUAAAUGUGCUGAAUAAAAUAAAUUGAGGGCUAAAUUGAAAUUUAAACCAAAUUUAAAGACCAAAUUACAAAAAAAAAAAGCAGAUAAAAGACUAAAAUGAAAUGAAAUAGAAAAAAAAAUAAGGACCUAGUAAGUUAUUUUCCCCACCCCAUACAAGUGUCAUCCCCUUAAUGGGUCAAUAGUGGGUCAAGGGACUGAUUUGUAAGAAAAUGAAAUCAAAGGGGUAAAAAUAAAAUAAAUAGCAAGUGAUAUGGGACGAUAUUGAAAUAGGAAAAAAAUACGAAAGGGCAUAGCCAGCAAUUUGCCCAACCCUUCAAAAACACAUGGAUCUUGGAGAGGUUCGGGUCUGAUUGUUGGGUUAAGCUUGAAAUGACGUCAUUUUGGGCAUUAUAAAUCACCUCCAAAACGACGUCACAUAAUACCCCUAUAUAAAUUUAAAAAAAUAAAAAAGAAAUCAUUAUUAACCCUGUUUAAAAAAAAACUCAUUUCUCCUUCUUCUUCUUUUUUUCUCAAAGCUCCCCUCCCCUUUGGUCACCGAUCAUUGGCGACAGAGACCGCGUCCUCUGGUGGUUAGAGAUUUCAAAAAAAUUCCUUUUUUAACCCUUCGAGAGCCCUAGAAACAGAUCUAGGGUCGAAACCUUUCAAAACCUUAGCUAAAACCCAACAAGAACCCCAAAACCCUUUGGCUUCCCUUUCUCUGUCGAGGCUGUCAACGAACCCUAAUGGGUUUGAAGACCCUUCGAAUCGACAGAGAGCCACCCAUGACAAUGGUAGAAGAUGAAGCGACAAGGUAAAGUUUUUUUAAACCUUGCUUUUUAUUAACUUUUUUAAAGAAAUAAAAUAGAAGAUUAACUAAAAGAACCACCUUUUUUUUAAACUUGAUUUUCUUUUUUUGGUAUUCUCUGUUGAAUCUUGAAGAGCAGUGAUACAAAGUUUUUGUUCUUGGCUUUUAUAGCCAAAUACACUAUAUUUUAUAUUAUUUUCCGUUCAUUUUUGUUCUCUCUAUUAUGCUCCAUGUUUCUGUUUCUGCUUUUGUUUUUUUUUCUUUUUUUCACCAAAGGGGACUUAGGAUUUUCUUUUUUCUGUUUAGGUUUUAGGAUUUGGGCUAUUGGGCUUCGAGUUGUUGUAUUUGGGCCUUGGGUCAAGUUUAAUAGGGUUAGCAGAUGGAUUUGGGUCAUUGGGCUUGUAAUUUGUGUCAUUCAGGUUUAAUAUUUAGGUCGUUUUCUUUGUAAAUGGACUGUUAGGGACUUUUAUUUGUUUUGAUUUAUUUUGGUUUUAUUAGGGCUGGACAAAAUUUGGCCCUUAUACAUGGUUCGAGCUACUGGUUGGACGAAUGGAUUAUGUCAUAUUUGGAUGCUGACGAUUUUGGAUCAACAACAUUGAUGCAGAUGCUUGAGUUGAUGGGCAAUUUAAUAUCUACAUUGGUUGAACAGUAGCGCUCUGAGACACACAAAUUUCAUUUGCCAUGUGCGGAGUGCACCAUCACACUGGAAGAUGUCGCAUUGUAACUUGGGCUUCUAGUUGGCAGUUAUGUGAUCACGGUUUCAAGUAAAGUGUUCAAACCUGCAGUGUUCUGCUAUCAAUUGAUUGGACGCUCACCUUGUGAUGGUGAAGUUAGAUUUAUGAGUUCAAAAUUUUCUUAGUUGGAAGAAAAUUUUGAAACCUUAUUGAGUAGUGCCAUUAAGUUGGAGGCGGUGUGCAUUGCUCGAGCGUAUGUACUGCAGUAUAUAAGGGGCACUUAUGUCGAACACAAAUAAUAAAGUCCACUUGAUGUACUAGCCCUUAUUGUCUGAUUUGGAAGCUGCUUGUAUGUAUAGUUGGGGUUCAACAAUAUUAGCAACGUUGUAUCGUGACUUUUGUCGGGCAACAGAGCAUGAAACACAAGAUAAAUGCGGGUGUCUGAUAUUGCUGUAGUCUUUGGCGCUAUACAGGAUGCCAUUUUUGACAUCAAUGAAUCACUAAACACACAUGUUCCCACUUAUAAAUAAGUAAAAAAAAAAUAAAACUUAGAUCAAGAAUUGCUUUUUUAUGAAAAUGUGUCCUAACAAGUUUGCUUUAUUUUUAUAUGGUAUAUUUGUCUGGAUAUCGAGAAGUUCGAAACCCUCGUUAUCUAGCGACAGAUUGUUGAGGCACAUGCUAGGGAGGGAGUAAAUUUUGUUUCCUAAAACAAAGUUAUAUUAAUGUUAUGUAAUUACUUUAUUUAUUUAUGUUAUUUGAAUCAUGUCACUACAACCAAGUUAUUAAUUUUGCAAUUCAUGUGGAUGUCAUAUAUUGUGUCGAACGUUGUGACUGUCACUCAUGUAGUGCAUUAAUGCACUCGUGCUGAAUUUUUCAAUAGUUGAGUGGUAUAAUGGAGAUUGAGUUUUACGACAAUUCAAGUGCAAAUAACAUGUUCCAAAACAUUCCACAGAAUUCUAAAAAUAUCCACGGAAAUAAAUAAAAAGAGAGGAAAAGAUGCAAAGAUUUAGGCAUUUGAGUAUUUUUAUCCAUGUCAAGCUUGGGCAAAAAUAUAAACCAGUUUUCUAGGUCAAGCCAAGUUUGAGCCUAAAUUUUUUACUUGACCUAGCCUAGCUCAUGGACAAAUAACGAAUUUAGGUUUAGGGGAGGAAAUGAGUGAGAUGCAUGUGGCCGUUCACAUUGGUGGUGGUGCCGUGUUCACGUUAUGGCCUGUCAGAUGGCGACAUCUGGAACCCUAACGAAAACAUAAACAUAAUGUGGGCUUGGGUCUUUGGCCUCUAAUGAAAAUGGACCAAUAAAAGAAACAAAUUAUAUAGACUCUUAUUAAAACGAUAAAAGAAACACUAAUUUGGGCUUCUAACAUUUAAUUUGAGUUUAAAACAUAUUCAAUUCUUUUUGGACUUUUAAAAGGAAAAGAAAAGUAGGUUUGGGCUUAUUUUAAAAAAUUAAAACCCAAAUAUAAAAUUUUCAUUUUAGGUUUUGCGAAACAAAAUUAAUUUAUUUCACAAAAUAUUUAUUUAAAAAUAGAUUACUUUGUGAAAAUAAAUUUAUUUUUAUCUUUAAACAAGAGCUUGAUUUAUUAUUAUUAUUAUUUAAAAUUUAAGUCAAAGGGAAUUAUUUUAAUCCAUUUUAAAAUUUAAGUUUGGAGAAAAUUAAGUGUGUACAAAAUGUAACUCUUAAAAUAUAAAAAUAAUUAAUUGAUUAAUAAUUUAAAGUAAUAUUAGAAACAAAUUGAAAAAUUGGAACUACCAAAGAGAAAAUUAAAUGGAAAUACUAUUAGGGAUUCCCCUUUCAUUAAUAUCCAUCUUCUCAGGUUGAUGUUUCCCUUUCUCCUUAGAUAUUGGAGGCAUGGGUUUUGAUGUAUCGGGGUACAAGAGCUUGUACGGAAUCUUUGCAUGUCCCCACCUAUUCAUUAAGAUGUAUUCUUUAUUCCUCUCCUUUAUAUUUCGCUCUAUUGCUUCAAGGUUUUCCCUAAAUUCUUUAAACUUUUUCUGAAUUAUAGACUGAUCCUCAAUCAAUGGCCACUCUUUUUGGGGUGAUGUUUGACCCAAAUAAACCUCUUCUGAUGUAUGUCGUGACAGAAGAUCCAUUACCGCAAUUGCCAACUUCAUUUGGAACUUAUCAGGCAACAUCUCCUCCACGAACUUCAUGAUAUUCACUUCUUCAUAGACUUCUUCCUCUUUUGGGAGGAAUUUUCUCAAUAACAUGGGACGAUUUGGUGGCCAACCCCCGUAUCCAUACUGUCCGAAGUUCACUGCUGCAUGCAAUCCUGAAGUGAUCCAUAUAAGAGUUGUCAGAGCUUUUACGAGGCUUUCGAAUGUAUUAAUGUCGUACCAUCCCUCAUUUCGAUCUUUAUGUCCUCUCGUUUUGAUUUCAUUCCACCAUUCUUGGAUUUCCUCAUCUUCCUUCACAUCAUUGUCGUUAUGGUAGAAAACAUUGCAGUAUUCUGUCACCCAUGUUUCAAUGGCGGUCCAUAUCUCAAUUCCAUCUUUUGCAUAGGGAUAGUCUUCUAAAACCAGCUCCACCUCAGCGUCAACCUCAAACAUCGUCUGUUCUGCACCAGUCGCCGCCUUGUUGCUUGAUUUGUCUCUCCCGACCUGCUCCAUUGGCCCCGAUACAACCUCAUCUCUGACUCUGCGUUUCGCCAUACCUCUGAAAAUGUUAUGGUCCUCAUCGUUAGUUGUACAACUUGGAACAUUUAAAGGAAGUGAAUCCAUUCAAUUCUAAUGGAUUCAAGAAUUACCAACCUUUCGAGAAGGUCUUCAGGAAGAGCCUGCUUAUCAAAUCUCCAUUCUUUAUACAAGUGAGAAGACAAUUCCAUGGAGUAUUCACCAGUAAAAAGAAGAGUCUCCAGAAUCCCUCCAGCAUUAAGGAAGACGGCUCGAGCCAAUGCAUUUAUAUGCAGUGUGUCUUUGAAAUGAGGAUCCAAUAGCCUAUGGAUUGGAUGCAUUACGCUCAACUGUCUUCUCGUCGCAAUUAUGAAUGGCUCAACUACUGCAUGUGUAUGCAACCUUGAUUUGGAUGCAUUGGCACAUCAAAACAAACAUAUAAAUUUAACAGAUACGAAAUUAAUUGGGUUAAUUUAAUGAUUACUACUUACCAAUGGCUAACUAACUGGUGGUAAGCUGCAUCGUUGGAUGCAACGUGAAAUUUUGCAAACUCCCAUAUUAAAUCAUUUUCUGGAACAAGGAACAUGCUGCAGCCAUCGUCAGAGUCUUCAGACAAGCUUAGUUCUAUUGCUACUGGUUUAAUCGUUUCAUACGGUCGUUCAUCUGCAAUUAGUAUCGUUCGAGUUGCGUAAGCGCAAACACCUUUCCCGUUUAUCAUUUUCAGAAAUUGCUCAAGGUAAUGGUGAUCCAAGAUGAAUGCGCUACUGGCUUUGAUUGCCUGCCAUAUAGUGUUAUGAAUGCAUCCAUAAAGUAGUUAAUUUGAAAGGAAAAGAAAUACAUAUCUCUGCAAAAUGAUCUUGAACAAUCUAGUUUUCUUUUUUAUACCUCUUCUACAUCAACUUCAAGAGCUUUGAGAUCAUUCCGGUUACCCUGGUACUUUUUCUGAAAACUUUCCAUUAGAAGUGAGAACUCCUCCUUCUGCAACGUUUAUAAUGUUAGAGAUUCCAACCUAUUAAAUCUUAAGGCUCAAAAAUUAUACAUUAUAAACCUAGGAAAGAGAUACCUUCAAGCGCCGGAUUCGAACAGGAUUUGUUCCUGCAAGCAUUUGGCGACCAAACUCCGUGUCCGCAAAAGAAGCGAAUUUUUCCUCUUACAACAACAUAAAUCGUUUCAAUAAACGUAUCUUUAAUCAUAUAUCAUGGUUAUUGUGAUUGCAGACCUCGUGAUAAAUAGAAAAACAUCUAUAGCAGUUAUAAGUACAUGUUUCCUACCUGCUAUAAUUGAAGGCAAUUGAGCACUGACAUGUUGUCUUUUCAGAGCAAGAGUGGCAACAACUUGGUCAAGAAUUUCCUUGGGUACCAAUUUUUCCAGCCGCUGCUUGUCCGAAUCAUCCAGUUCUUCCACUUCUUUGUCUGGAAAAAAGCCUAUAAUGUCUUCAAAAAUGUCUUGUUCCUCACUUGGAUCUGACCUGCUCGGACCUCCAUGAGACGAUGGUAAUUUUAGCUUUCUACAGAAAUCUAUUAUGGAUCGAAUGAAUCUAACAUCUUUCUUCGAUAUCGCUGCCUUGGGUACAAAGAAAUGUGCAACUUUGGUGACGAAGUCGGGACAUUCUCCAUCCCACAAGUGUGGGAGCGUUGGUUCCGGCGGAAGAAAUCGAAUAAGAGCCUCGACGAAGUUGUUUUUCAGCUCUUGUAGCUUUUCAUCGCUCAUUCGCUCAUCGGGUGGAACAUAAAACUGGAAGCACCUUGCUGGUCCAGACUCCCUUGAAUGGUCUACUUCACAUACAACCAAAUAUAUCAAAUGAAAGCAAUUCAAUGAAAAAUAAAUAAUUAGACAAAUUUAAAUUUAUUUAUUCAAUGGUCUAUUUAUGUCUACCGUGUUGGCAAUUAAGGUAGCCUGUUUUCAACCGACGUGGGUAUGGAAAAUUAGUGGAAUCACCCAACACGGGUCUAUCAUACAAUCGACCCUUUUCAGGAUCUCCAAGAUUGUUAUAGACAUCAUAAUCAUAAAUUCGAUCCCAUGGGUUCCAUUCACCCUUUGGUCCUGGGGCUUGCAGUUUCUGAAGUUCUUUUUUUCUCAAUUCUACUAAACCUUGUGGCGUUUUUGUCGGAAGAUAUAACUGUUAAAAGUACAACACUUCCAAUCAGAAUCAAAUAUUACAUGCAUUGAACUACAUAUAAUUUAAUUACUAAGUUAUCUCAAUUAUAAAUAUGUAAGUAUGGUAGCAUACUUGAUCAGAGAAGAAAAUCCGUUUAAAUCCGGUCUUGGUGAUGGGGUAAACCCAAGAACCACAACAGUAAUGAAACUUUCGUUCCUCGAGAAUAUUCGGAUGGUUAAUAUAAUGCAAUGUGAUGGAUUUGAGGAAAAACUCAUGCUUCUUAUCUCUAUUUUCAACAACAAAAGCUCCUGGAAUUCCGAAAUCUCGAGUCACCUCGAACUUCAAUUUGAAUUUGAUCACUUUCAUGGGCACCUUCAUGCUUAAGACUUCAUGUUUUUUCCUUUCCAGCUCUUUCCCCUUCAUUACAAAUGUAUUCUCACUUUCAAUCCCUUUUCUCGUAGCUACAAUAUAUACAUAUAUAUUCAUAUAACUACUAAUUAGAAUCAAAUUAUUACAACAUACAUUUAAAAAAAUAGAUUGAUAAUUAAAAUAUAUUUAGACUUAAAAGUCAAAAUAAAUUGCCAUUAAUACGUGUGAUGAGACUCACACUCAAAAUCCCCAAAACUUAAAUCUCAAUGUUAAUUCAAUGAUCAACCAUUUCAUAUAUUAUAAAUAUUGCUUAGAUUUUUUUGACCAUUUGCUUUUAUACAAGUAAAGGACCCUUCAAAUUAAAAAUUAUAAGCUAUAUUUUCAAAACAACUUAAAAGUAUAUGUUUUUCAAUUACGUAGUAAGAGGUAUUAUUUAUCAGAAUAAUUUACGAUAGGAUAUAUACUAAAAACUAAAGUUUUUAAGACACCAAUAAAAUUUGUCACAUCAUCAAAAUUUAAAGACAUAAAAUUAUUAUUUUACACUCAUCCCUAAAGAAAUUAUUUUAUGAACUCUUCUCGUUACAUUAUUCAUAACAUUUCAACAAUUUUUUUAUCUCAUUAACACAAAAUAUUAAUUUUUUUUUACCCUGAACUUAAAAUUUAAAAUCUCAACCCCUAAACUUAAAAUUAAAUCUAUAUAUAUAUAGCCAUGGUUGGAUGUGGUAUGACAAUACAUUGUAUAUACUUACUUGGAUCCAUGCUGUCUCGGCUGUAAAGCCGAAAAACAACAGAUGAUCCAGAGGCACAGAGAGAGAACCAAGGACUGCGAUCGAUCUCAAUUUCUCCUUGGAUAAUGUAUUUUUGAGGGUCAUGGCGAUGGCAACGUGCUUGUAGUAAUCCACAACAACCCAUGGUUUCUACCAUAAUUUGUUGCCUCCUUUUUCAGUUCCCAAGGCUUUUCCUUUUAAUCCUGUAAAAAAGAUCACCACCUGUUUGAUGAAUAAUAGCAUACAAGAUAUUUUAGAAAAGCUAUGGAACUUAAUCCGAGGUGGGGAAGGAGAGCGCAAAUAUAUAACGCUUGCAGAAGGAGUUCAUUUUUCAUGGUGGCGCGACCGAAUCCAAAGAGCUAGCCAGGCAGCCAGCCAGCCCAAUUAGCGUGGGGAAUGUUCUUGGCUUUAGUUGGGAGGUUAAGCUUUGAAUCUAAUACAUUGCCUAGCCAUUGAGUUUUCUUGUUCGCCACUUUUUUACUUUAAAUUAGAUUCCCCCACCCUCGUGUUUUCUGCUUGCUUUCCUCACUGUUUAAAAUCCUUGUUUCGUUUUAUACUGACUGUCUCCUUCUGUGCAGCAUGCAUAGAUGCUUCCAUUGUCAAUUUCUUCACAUCCAUCAGCCCACAAAUAUUCUCAUCCAUCAGCCCACAAAUAUUCUUUCUUUCAACUUGUAUGCUCCUGCAAACAAAAAUAACCCAUCUUUUCGCGUUCGAGGAAAGUGUUGAAUGUUGGCCAGCAAUGCAGCAGCAAGGAUUUAUUCAUUAUUGUGAAUCAGUAUUCUGUCACCCAUGUUUCAAUGGCGGUCCAUAACUCAAUUCCAUCUUUUGCAUAGGGAUAGUCUUCUAAAACGAGCUCCACCUCAGCGUCAACCUCAAACAUCUUCUGUUCUGCACCUGUCGCCGCCUUGUUGCUUGAUUUGUCUCUCUCGACCUGCUCCAUUGGCCCCGAUACAACCUCAUCUCUGACUCUUGGUUUCGCCAUACCUCUGAAAAUGUUAUGGUCCUCAUCGUCAGUUGUACAACUUGGAACAUUUAAAGGAAGUGAGUCCAUUCAAUUCUAAUGGAUUCAAGAACUACCAACCUUUCCAGAAGGUCUACAGAAAGGGCCUGCUUAUCAAAUCUCCAUUCUUUAUACAAGUGAGAAGACAAUUCCAUGGAGUAUUCACUAAAAGAAGAGUCUCCAGAAUCCCUCCAGCAUUAAGGAAGAUGGCUCGACCCAAUGAUUUUAUAUGCAGUGUGUCUUUGAAAUGAGGAUCCAAUAGCCUAUGGAUUGGAUAAAUUACGCUCAACUGUCUCCUUCUGGCAAUUAUGAAUGGCUCAACUACAGCACGUGUCUGCAACCUUGAUUUGGAUGCUAAUCAUGACACGUAUAAGUAUGGGUUUCUAAUCAUGACACGUUAGCAGCAUCCUUUCUGUUUUUUUUUUGGGGGGGGGGGGGGUUGGAGCUGGGUGGGAAAGAAAGAGAGAAAAAAAGCAUAAUUAUUUAUCAAUCUCUUAUACUUUUAAAAAUUUUAAAAUUUAGUCCCUUUUUCUUUUACUUUUAAUAAUUUAGUCCUUUUGUUAGAAUGUAGUCCAUCUACUUUUUGUAUUUAAUAAAUAAAGGUUAAUUGACAACAUUAUUAAUCGAUAUCUAUAAAAUUUAUUUAAUCUAUACAUAAUUUGUUUGCAACUAAAAAAACAUUAAAAUAGUUAGUUUGUAAACUUAUUUACAGUUUCAUUUAAUAUCCAAAUAUAACCCAUUUAAAGAGUUUUUUUUUUUUUACAUUUUUGCUUUAGAUAGUGUAUUUAAAAUAUUGUUAUAGAUUAUCUAGCUAAACAAGCUUUGAUCGGAACAAAUAAUUUACAAGUGUUCGAUGCUCCUCAUCCAAUGACGCACACUUUAAUGGAAUUGGACAAAAAUAAUAAUUUUUUCAUUUUCAGAAUAAUUAGUUUGAUAUUUCUUAUUUUCACCAAAAGAAAAGAUAAUUUUUGUCAUAAACAUGCCUCGGCAAUCAUUUUAACAUAUUUAUUAACCGUAAAUUAUUGCCAUAAACUUAAUUUUCAUAAUAAAAAAGUUAAUAUCAAAUAAAUUAUGGAAGAAAUUAUAAAUCCCCAUGCGUAAGCGGUGAAUUAAGUUUAAAAUACAAUUAUGACUAUAACUGAAAUUUUUUUGGUGAAUAAAACAUCAUUACAAAAAAUUCCUUCGGUAUUACAAAAAAUUAAGUGCCGCCAUUAUUACUAACAGACAUCUUAGUCAAACAAUCAGCCUUUUUGUUAUAAAUUCUGGAAACAUGUUGAAUAGAUCAUUGUAAUAAAUUAGCUAAUUAUGAAUUAAUUAUUUUGACUAAAGCAAAAUUUGACACUUUAAUAGUAUUCUCUUGUAGAACUUGUACCGCCUCUACACUGUCUGAAAAGAUAAAUAUUCUGUCAAACCCUGUAACAACCGUUUUCAGUGAAAUUAGAACGGUAGCUUCAAGAUCACAAAUUCGAAGUCGAAAUAAAAUUUAUUUUAAUAUUAUUUUAUGGUCUAUAGUAUUAUAGAAAUAUCGUAUGGAAAUUUCGUUAAGAAAUUUUACCGUUUACAUGCCAAGCUUGAUAAAAAGGACCAAAUUGUAUAAAGUGCAAAAGUUGAAUUCUAGUAGCUAAAGGUAUCAAAUAGCUAUGGAAUUUAAAAUUGGAGGUCCUUAUAUGGAAUAAACCAUUUAGAGGAGUUAGUAGAUAAAGAUGAUUAUUCAUCAUUGGAAUUUAGUAAAUUAUUAAGGUUAAUUUUGGAAAGUAAAUGAUAAAAUGAUGAUAAAUAAAUAAAAUAAAACAAAUUUUCAUCAUUUUCAUCAUCUUUUCUAAAAUAAAACAUGGAAACCCUAGCCAUGGAAGCUUGAAGAUAGACAAGUUUAUUUUGCUUAAUUAGGUGAGUAUUAUUGUCCCAUUUUUAAUUAUGUUUCCGAGAUUGUAAUAACUUAAUCUAGCUAUCUCGAGGAUUAAUUUGCAAAACCGUUAAAGUAUUAGCGUUUUUCCAUGGAUGGGUAUAGUUGAAUUUUAAAGUUUUAUGGUAGAAAAUGAAAGGUUGUUGUUAGAUAAACAACAUUUGUAAAGAGAAUUUUGAUGAAAUUAUGAUUUAGGGACUAAAUUGAAAAGAUGAUAAAUUCACGGAAAAAUUUUGAAUUUUAUGAAAUUUAUGGGCUGCUAUUGAUAUGUAUGAAAAUCGAUUAGGCUUGAAAUAAGAAUUAAAUUGUAUGAAUUUCAUUUUCCGAGCCUAGGGACAAAAUUGUAAUUAACUAAAAGUAUAAGGGAAAAAUAGUAAUUUUACCAAAAAAUUGUAUUGGAUUGAAUUGAAUAUGAAUUAUAUUGAAUUAAGUUAAAUUCAUUCGUAUAGAUCUGGAUAGACCUAGUACAAAAUUAGAUCGAGGAAAAGAAAAAGUAUCAGAUUAGUAUCUUACAAAUCUACGUAUACUUGUCGAGGUAAGUUUGCGUAACUAAAUUGUACAUUUAUAUGUUUUAAAUUGAAUAUUGUUAUGUGUGUGAAAUGUAUAAUUGCUUUGUAAAAUAUUGAUCACAUAUCUGAUAAUUUUCGAGUCCCGUUUAAACCUUAGAAAUUCGAUAGAUACAAAUGACAUGCCAUUAGGGUUCCCGGAUUGGUUGUGGUCCUGCAUGUGUUGUGGACACACCACAGCUCUUAUGAGCUUCCCGAUACUUGGCUCUCAUAAGCUUCCCGAUAUUUGGCUCUCAUGAGCUUCCCGAUUAAUGGCUCUCUUGAGCUUCCUGAUAAAUGGCUCGUAUGAGCUUCCCGAUAUACAGCUCACAUGAGCUUCCUAUUAUAUGGCUCAAAAGAGGUUCUCGUUUACAUGCUCGUAUGAGCACAUAUGUUUAUGAAUUGAUAGAUUACUGUUUUGUACACCUCGUGUGUACUACCCGUGUAUCCAACGAUAUUUAAAUGGUUCAACGGGCAAAGUUCUGAUAUGAAACAAUAUGAGUUCAAAAUGAACAAUUACGGGUAUAUACUCGAAUUACAUGGAAAUGAGAUUACAUGAUAUAUUGAAAUAUGAUAUGGAUGAUACCUAUAUGUGAAUCUUGCCUAGUGAUUAUGUACAUCCAUGUGUAUUGGUUAUUGAAAGUGUUACAUGGCUAACAUGUUGAGGAUAUGUGUUUAGGCUUUUGGCCAAAUUGGUUUGGUUAUAUUAGCAAACUUACCUUAAAUGUGAUUAAAUGAUAAGUUAAUUUCCAUGUUAUAUGAGCUUACUAAGCAUUAAGUGCUUACUCUGUUUUAUUUUUCAUGUUUUAUAGUAAUUCGGAAGCUCAAAUUGGUUGGAAGUUGGUUAGAGCUACCUCACACUAUCUAUCAGCCUAUUUCGGUAUAUAUAGUAAAUUAAUUCUGGUUAUAAUGGCAUGUAUAGGUUAGUUUAACCAAUGUUGGCAAGUAGUUGUUUUAUUGAGAGUAGCCAUUUGAAUGGCUUGUGAUGGAUAUAUUUUGAUGUGCGUAUAAGUGACCUUACCAUGUUUGAUAUGUGUUUGAAAUGGUUGAAUGAUGAAAAUCUUAUAGGUAUAUUAAUGGUUGGUUUGAAUUGAUAUAUUUGGUAAAAUAUGCAUAUAUGUGUAUUUGGUCAAUUAGGUAAGUUUGAAUACUUGGAUUUAUGUGAUGAUAUCUAAUGUAUAAGACUUGAGUUUGGCUUGUUUUAAGAGUCUUGUUAUGGCUGAUUACUGUGCAAAAAUGUUGAGUUAGAUUGAUGCCAAAUUGGGUGAGAAAUAUGGCUAGAAAAAAAUGGGUUAUUUCGUCCACACGGGCGUGUGUCUCAACCGUGUGUGACACACAGCCAUGUGUCCCUUGUAUCUUUUAAAUUGCAAAACAGAAUGCUCACACAGCUUAGCACACGGGUGUGUGAUUUGGCCGUGUGACCCAAGUUAGAAAGCUCGUAAGUUUGGACACGGGUUGGGACACGGUCGUCUGUCCCAAUUUCGAAUGUCCACACGGCCUGAGAUACGAGCGUGUCUCUUGACUGUGUGAGACAUACGGCCUGACCACAUGGGCGUGUGUCCCCUACACCUUUGAAAAUUUUUUAUGUUUUCUAAAAAAUUUUCUGAGUACCCAGUUUAGUCCCGGCUUAUUUCUAAUAUGUAUUUUGGGCCACGAGGGCUCAUAUAAGGGACAAUAUGAUUGAUUUUAAUUGAUUUCUGAUAUGAACGUUUAAUGAUAUGAGAUGUCUGUUAUUUGAUCUGUAAAUUUUGGUAAUGCUCCAUAACCCUGUUCUGGGGACGGAUAUAGGUUAAGGGUAAAAUAGCAAUUACCAAGCCUUCCAAGAUGCUGUAAUAACCCGAAAAUUUUUACAGUAAAAUAUUAUUCGUGAUAUAGUAAAAUAAGGAAAUAAAGUGACAAAAAGGGAAUUUUUGAGCGAUGUCAAUAUUGAGAAGUAUAUUAUGAUAUAUUAAUUCAAGAAAGGACUAAAUUGCAAAGAUGAGAAAAGUCUUGUUGCACAAGAGUAAAUACUCAAAAUUUAAGGGGUUAAAGUGUAAAUAUAAAAAAUUUGAAGGACUAAUGGUGCAAAUAUUUUAAGGGUGGAAUGAUCUAGAAACCAAGAAAAAUUGAUGAAUUAGGACCAAAUUGAAUAGGUAAAAAAAUUAUGAGGGACUAAAUCGUAAUUUUAUCAAAUUAAGUGAUGACUCAAGGAUGGAAUUCUAAAAGAUCAUGAAGGGAAAAAUGGUCAAUUAGUAAGAGAGAGAAUUCUAGAAUGUAAUGAUUAUGUUGAUGAUAUUUUAAAUUAAUUAAUUAGAUAAAUAUUAUUUUAUUAAUAUUUUAUGAGAUGUUUAUUAUUAUAUUAUUAUUUAUUUAGUAUAAAAGGAAGGAAAGAUGAAGAAUUAACAACAAAUUUCCUUUCCCAUGCAAACUAACGUAAGAUAAGAAGAAGAUAAGAAGUUUGCUUUCUUUACAAUUUAGUCCUUCCACCAAAAAUUCAUUAUUUUCACCUAAAAAUUGAAAGAAUUUCCAUAGCCAUCAAGAGAGAAAGAUAGCAAGGAGAUGAUGGGGAGCAAGAAUAUCAAGUUGGAUUCAAGAAAUCGAAGCUGGAGGAGAGAGAAAAAUCAAGUUAAAGAUUGAAGUCAAUAAGAAAAGGUAAGUACAUCAAGAUUUCAAUAUGUUUUUAAGUUUGUUAUUAUUGAUAAAGCAUGGAAAUAAUGUUAUAGUAGAGUUUUCUUACAUAAGUUCCUAUGUUCUUGAUAUGUUAGUGAAGAAAAAAAUAAGAGAAAGUGAUGAGAAAUGGUGUAAAAAAAGAAAAUAAGGAUGUUAUAACAUGGUAAUUAAUAUCUUGUACUAAAACAGUUUUGGACAGUAGCAGUAGUCUAACUUUGAAAAAUCAUAAAAAAUUGUAGAUAUAUAAUUAUAGGAUGAAUAAAAUAUUAAAUUAAAGCUUAUUAAGUCUAGUUUCUUAUAGAAGAAAUUAUGUAAGAAUGGAAUUCUAAAUCAUGAGAUAUGAUGAAUUUUGUGAGACAAGGUCAGAAUGAUUUUGGGUUCCCCUGUUCUGAAUUUGUAAAAUCAUAAAAAAAUUGGAUAAAAAUAAUAGAGGCUUAAAUUUUAUGUUUAGAAUCCUGAAUGAGUCUAUUUUCAAUAGAAACAAAUAUGAACAUCAUUCGAAUUCUGUACAAGGAGAUAGUUAAUUUUUAGUGAAGAAGGGUCACAACUGUCAGACAGCAGAAUAGGGGUAACUUUAAAGAAUAAACUGUACUUAUUGACUAAACCAAAAAUUCUGAAAAUUUUACUGUAAGAAUAUAUACGAGUCUAGUUUCAGGUAAAAUUAGCUAAUCUUAAUUUGGAGUCCUAUAGCUCCAGAUAUAAAUAAUUUAGUGACUAUGACACAGAUGGACAGCUUGAAUAUUUAUAAAAGUAAAUAAUAAAGAUUAUAGAUAAUGUUACUUACAAGUGUGCUACAUACAUCAAGGAUGUGGAAUGGAGAGGAGGAGGAGGAAAACAUAUAUGAAUAUUCAUUAAGCAUGGCUAAUUUGCAUAUUUUAGGCUUAGGGACUAAAUUGAAUAAAAGUAAAACUUUAUGGGUAAUUUUGUAAAAAUGUCAGAAAUGACCAAAUUGCAUGAAAUGGAUUAUUUUAUUAUUUAAAUUACAAAAUUGAAUGAAAUUAUUAAUUUAGUUCAAGAUCGGGGGAAAACAUGUUUUAGGGAUUAAAUUGAAAAGUGUUAAAAUUAUGGAAAAUUCUGAUAUUUUAUAGAAUUCAUGGACUGUUAUCAAUAUAUAUGAGAAUAAUAGCUGCAAAUAAGGAUUAAAUUGCAAGAAUUUUAUUUUCCUGACCCUAAGGACGAAAUUGUCAUUAAUUAAAAGUUUAGGGGUAAAAUGGUAAUUUUUCCUAGAGAAUUAAUUAAAUGCAUUAGAAGAUGAAAUGAAUGAAAAUGAUGAUCAAAUUUAUUUAUAAAGAUCUGGACGACUCAAAUAUGAGACUUGAUCGUGGAAAAAGAAAAAAUAUCGGAUUAAUGAAAUUAUAAACACAAACAAGCAAUGAGGUAAGUUCGUGUAACUUGAAUUAUAUUCUUAAAUGCUUGAAAUGCAUGUUUUUUAUAUGAAUAUGAUUUGAAUGUUCAUUAUAUGGAAAUUUAUGAAACAUUGAUAUAUUUGAUAAAAUGGGAAGAAAUCACGUUUGAAUGAAAGGAAAAUUCGAUGGAUCUCUGAAAAGGAAUUGAGGGUAAAAAGGAUCUAGCCCGGACGGGUGAUCCUAUCCUGAUAUAGCCCUCCCGAAGAAUAUGUGUAAAAUGGAUUUAGUCCGGACGGGUAAUCCAAAUUAGGGUCUGAAUUUAGCCUGGACUGGUAAUUCAGAUCCAAGCUCAUUAGAGUAAUUGUCGUUGCAGGGGAUUUAGCCUGGACUGGUAAUCCCGACAAUACUCUAUGAGUUUAUAUUACAGGGGAUUUAGCCUGGACUGGUAAUCCCACUAUAAGGAUGAGGUUCGCGGGAGUGUGCUCUCUGAUAUGAAAUGUGUAAGACCAUGGUUGAAAGAUAUCAUGGCAGCCUGAUAUGAAAUGUGUAAGACCAUGGUUGAAAGAUACCAUGACAACCUGAUAUGAAAUGUGUAAGACCAUGGUUGAAAGAUACCAUGGCAACGUGAUAUGAAAUGAAUAAGACCAUGGUUGAAAGAUACCAUGGCAACAUGACAGAAAAUGAGUAAGACCAUAGUUGAAAGACACUAUGGCAUCAUGUCAAAGAUAAAUAAGACCGUGGAUGGAGACGCUCUAACAUCUGUUGAACAAUUGAUAUUCAGGUAAUAUGUAUCAGAUGACGAAUGGUUAUAUGAAAUAAUUAUGAAGAUAGAUAAACGAAAUAAGUAUAAGUACAUGGAAUAUAAUUUAUGUUAAGUUUGAUAUAAGCUAUUACCGGAAUAAAUAUACAUAAAAUAUAUGGAAAUGAUGGAGCAUGAAAUAUUGAUAUAAUGAAAUGAAUGAUAUAUGCUUAUGAAGAAACGGUAAGAGCAUGAUAUGUUUCAUGACAUGUACAUAUAUGAUUAUCUUUGAUAUGUUGAUACAAGGAAAUUAUGUAAGUUGAGACUAUUAUUAAACUCAAGUGCGAUAUAUCGAGAAAAUAGAUAUAUCAAUGUUGAAUUUAUAUGAGAUAUGUGCAAGUAUACUAACAAUGUUACUGUUUGAUGCUUAUACAAGUGUCAAACUGUUGAUUGAAUGGUAAUAUAUUUAUUUAUAUGAUGCAUUGAAUCGGUAAGCAUUUAAAUUUUUUUUUAGUGAUCUGUAAAUGGUAGUAAUGCUCCGAAACCCUGUUCUGGCAGCGGAUACGGAUUAGGGGUGCUACAAAUGCCCCAUAGUUCAGCAUCUAAAACGGAACAAAUGCCCACCAACCAGUUAAACCCAAGAAUCCAUCUGGCAUAUCUGUCACGAAUUAUUCCCCCGAUCGAAGCAAUACCAGAAUCUUCUUUUACUGCUCCAUCUGAGUAUAAUUGAAUCCAAUUUGCAAAUAUGUGUUGAACUUAAACUGGAACUUGCCUAGUGAGAACAUUUACCUUGCAUGCAGUGAUAUAGUAUUUAGCCCAAUUGUAUGAUUUAUUAAUUUUUUUAUAAUUAUUGUUAAUGAAUUAAACCCCAAAGAAAACAACCAAAACAUAAUGCAAAAUAAAGUUGGUUUGAUAUAAAAAUAUGAGUAUAUUAAAUUGUAUAUUAAUGCCCUCACCAGUCAAAAGAUUAUUAUAGAAUAUGGCUCCAAACGUUGACACUUAUUUCAUAAAGAAAAAAAAAACAUUGAUGGACUAGUUGUGAUUGGAAAAUAAUAAAAUAGCAAUAACAUCUAAAGAUAUUAAUUAUUUGGAUUAACUGAUGUUAUUAUAAAAAUAGAGAUUUAAAUUAUGUUAAAUUAAAAUAUAAAGAUUAAAUAUUAAAUAUGAUCAUAAUAAAAAUUAAAAUUAAAAUUUUACCAUUAUCUUAUAAUACUAAGAAAAAGAAAAAAAAAAUAAGUGAGUCCAAAUAUUUAAUACCCUUGAAAAUUUUGGUAAUAUUUUUUUUUUAAAUCACUCCAAAAGUUUUAAGAGAGUAGUUAGCGUCAUUAACUAUUUAAAUUAACUAAUUAUAUUAUAAAAUAUAAAGAUUAAAUUAUAUUAAAAAUUAAAAUAUAAAAAUUAAAUCUUAAAUUUAACCAUAAUAAAAAAAUCAAAAUCAUGUUUGAGAUUUUUUUUUAUAUCGAAAAAUAAAUGAGUGGGGGCCUUCCAUUGGUAGAUAAGUACAUGGAUUCUCUUGAUAAGCUUUGAAGCACAUAUGAACUGCCUUGUUAACUUGCUUGUCAUUAAAUUUUACUUGUUUCAACACAGUCUUUUUGUUAAGUAUCUUCCAUACUCUUAUUAGAUUCAUUAAGCUUGAACACUGCACAUGCUAAGUUACAAUACUUGUGCAAAUUGUCUGUGGCCUCUUGAGACAUAUCUUAUUCAGACACGUACUCAAAUUUAAGUAAAUAUAGAUUAAGAUAGUCAUUUGCCAAGAUUCUCUCAGUCAACUCGAAAUUCUUCGGAUAAUAGUCUUUUUAACUCCUUUUGCAGGUAGGAAGUGGUGAGAUAGUGAGAGGACCCCCAAGUUCAUCAAGAGAAUUUUGUUCAAGCAACAUCAUCAAGAUGUUGAUUUUUGAAAAUAUUAUAUGGUAAGGUCGUAAAUAGUUGGCUUUUCAUAGAAUGAAUGAUAUUAGGUCUUUGAGUGAAUUUGAUAUUUUGCCUCAUUGUGAACCCAUCAUCAUCGAAGAUACAAGAGUAGGGGUGAAUAUUCGAUCGAGUUGAGUCGAAUCGAUUUAAAAAAUUUCGAGUUAGUCGAGUUGAUGAAUCUUAUUUUACCAACUAAACUCAAUUUGAAAUUUUUUCGAAUCGAAUCAAGUAAAAAAAUUUCAAGUCAAGUUUACGAAUCCUAUUAUUUAUACUCAAUGUUGCGUUUACAUGGACCAGUUAUUUAACUAGUAGAUGGCGUACAAGAUUAUUUAACUACAUAAACAAUAUAAUGGCUUUGUCUUUUAACUUAAUGGGUAAACAUUUAUCAAAAUGACGUAAUUUUACAUUUUAACUUAAUAGUUUUGACUUAAAACUUUAGAAAAGGUAAACAUUUAUCAAAACGAAAUAAUUUUGUCUUUUCUUAUUCAGAUUUUUGGAUAACUCGAGUUGUGUACUUCAUAUUCAAGUUAAACCAAAAAUUUUGAUUGUUUAUUCAAACUGAUCCGAAUAACUCGAACUAUUUAAUUAAAAAAUUAAAAUUUUUAUCGAAUUUUUCGAAUCAAAUCAGAUUUUACUCACUCCUACACAAGAGUAAAGCCAUUGAAGAUAUGAUAUUACAUGCAGGACAACUUCAUUGUCACAUAUGUGAAUCUUAUUGCUUUCAAUAUUUGCAUCCCUAAUUGAAUUGCACUAACUUGAUUGAAAAAUUACAAAAAUACUAUUUUUAUAUACAAAGCAACAAUACUUGUAUGAAGUUAUUUUUGUCUUUUCAUGUUUUUAAUAAAACAAGACUAUAAUUGGAUUAAAACUUUUAACUUUACCAUUUGAUUCACAACUUCAUUUGGUUAUAAUAUAAUUUUUUUUAUAAAUAUAUUUUGUUACAUUAAUUUGUUUUCACCUGUGACAUAAUUUACACCUAUAUCUAUUAAUCUAUCUAUCAUGGAAAUAAACAUGUAAAACUUGCAUGGAUGGAAUUUUAUAUGAAAAGUAACUUGGCUCUAUUGUGUUUAACUCUGAUCCUCAAAUUGUAUUUAUUUGACAUAAUAUAAUAUAAAAUUGAGAAUGUUUCUUUAAGAAACAUAGAACUUAAAUUAUAUGGGUAAUUACAAAAAUGAAAAGUAUGCUUUCCAAAAGUGGAAUGAUCUUCAGCAAUGGAUAAUGAUGAGUGCAUGUGACCACUGGCAGAGAUACUCACAGACAGCUUAUCAUUCUCAUGGUUUUGAUGGAGUUGGUGAAGAUGGUGGCUUCAGAUCCGGGUACUACAUAGAAAAGAGGGUGAGUUUCAGUAAAAUUCAUUCAUGUAAUUUAAAGGAUUUAACAUGUAAAUUAGUCUUUGAAUUGGACCUCAAAUGAAAAUGUUCAUUUCUUUUCUAUGUAUUCAAGGGAUUGUUAAAAUGUCAUAUCGCAUUAGGGUAAGGAGAAGCGAAUAGGUGAGUGUCCGACAUGAAUAUGUUCAUAUUUUUAAACGUUCUUCCCGUACUCGUAUUCGAAUAUGCAAAGAAAAAUAAAGAUUCGGAGCAACAUAAUGCAUAAGAAAAGAGAGAAGUCAUACAUUAGGGUAAGGAGAAGAGGAGUGGGAACCAACUUUUGCAUGUGGCAUAGAUUCAGUAAGUUCAUGAUCCAUGGUUUGACUUUCUAAUAUGGGAGCAUUUGUAGAAGGGGAACCCUCUUUCUUAUUCUCAACUUGAUCAACUGCUCCAUUUACUCCGAACCCUCUAGAAAUUUUGACCUUCUUCUUCUUCUUACUUGUAAUAUGUACAGAAGGUGGCAAAAGGGUCUCCUGUAUUGCCUGCAUGAAACCAAAAAACCAUAACACAUGCAAUCCAUAUUCUAUCAUGUUAACCUAACACAAGUAAACGCAGAUAUUUUAGUAAAAAAUAAGAGUUCAGGUAACAUAUAUACGUAUACAUAUUUAAAGUAUAAAUGAGAUAUAAACUAAAGGAACCUAUGUUGCUGGCCUCAUUUUUUCUAAGUAUUUGUGACCAUCACAUAUCUGAAUAUACUCUCGUGUUGAACACAUACUCAUACUUGACACUCGUACACGGCUCUAAGGAACAAUUGGUCAAUUUUAGACAUGAGAAUGAAGGCAAACAAAGAAAGCAAUAAAAGGAAUGAGAUUUUAAAUCCAAAGUACUUCAGUCUAUCAACAAAAAAUCUCAUAUUCAGGUGAUGUUUUGUUUCAAGUUCUCUAUUAGCCAAAGGUCAAUACUAAUCUAAUUAGAUCAAUUGCUAAAUCUACCAAAAAAGAUACAAGAAUAAAACAAACAUGUACUCAAAAACAUGAUUUAGAAAGAAGGAAAAUUGCUUAAAAGAAACCAAACUAGAAACAUAAAAAUGAAACUGAAUUACUGUCCUCAGAAGUACAAAAUGUAUUCAAAACAGAGCUUUACUAAAAAGAAUCCAUGAACUCUUUGAUUCAGCCAUUUACUAAGAAACAAACAGACUUACCAGCCAUCCUUUCUUGCCCAUGACUCCAUCCCUGAUUGCAUAAGCCUCCUUAAACCCCUUCUUAUACAAUAACUCAGCUGCUUUCAAGGAAUUCCCAUCAAAACUGCCUUACACAAUAAGAGGAAACAACGAUGCAGUUAUGAAAUGGUUCUAUUACAAACAAAGCAAUUAAAGUAAAUCCCAAAGGCUUACUUGUCAAGAACACAAAUAACAGUAUUUGCAGGGUUUGGAAACUUCUCCAGGACUUUCUUCACGAACCCAUCUUCAUUUUCAGCAGUAAACUGAAGUUGAACCGUGUCCUUGUUGAGGAAACUCAAAUUUGGGGAGGCCAAAGAAGCCAGAGUCUUGUUCUUUCUAAUAUCCAAAAGCUGUGCACUUGGGUCAUCACGAAGUUUCCUAAAUGCAUCAAUGGCGGGUAUGAACUUACAUUUACUCAAGUACUGUUUAGUUAAAGGCACAACAACAAGCCAAAUGAAAGUGCAUCCAGCAACAAAAAAUGGAUUCUUGUUAAAAAACUCAUCAACCGAGACCAACACUGCUUCAAGGUUUACUUUGCCAGGCUCGGGAGAGGAUAUAACUGUGUCAGAGACGGCAAGACAACGGAAAGAAGUAAAGAGGUUAAAUAAGGUAAAAGAAACAUGGGUUUUGGCUACAGUUUGUAAAAUAGGGGAGUUUUGAAGGAUCGAGAGAGGGUUGUGAGAGGGUAGUUUAAUGGUGGGAGAUUUGGGUUGUCGAGAAAUAGAGUUUGAAGAAAUUGAUUUGAGGGUUUUGGGGUGAUUUUGGAAGGGUGGAGAAGAUGAAAGGAUGAUGGAAAAGGACUCCAUUAAUGACUGUCGAGGAAAAAACACAAGAGAGUAAAGAUGAUAAGAAUGGAAAUGACUGGGCUGACAGGGAAUCUAGCUGGCAUGGUUUUGGUUUCACCAAAUUCUAUUGAAGGCUUAAUACAGAUCUGCUGUGUUUGAGCCUUAAUUUCUUUCCAAGGCCCAAAUGGAACUUGAUAAUUUUGGUAACAUUAUAAUAAAGCUUUUUUACACAAUUAAACUAAAAAAAUAAAUAUUUAUAAAAAUGACCCAACCAGAAAAAAUAUUAUGACGGAAAUAAUCUAAAAGCUGGAGUGUCGAGCGGUGCCAGCAACCAACUCAAUCAACCUGCAAUCAUUACCUGCUGAUUGGAUCGAGGUUUAAAAAUAAUUUUUUUGGUGCCGACUUUGCAAUGGCCGACACUCGUAUGCGUAUUUCUGUAUACCUUUUGAAAGAUACGAAUAUUUUUCGGUUAAAAAAUUUUUUAUUAAGUGCCAACGUCCACGUGGCUGGCACUACCUAAAGAAAUUGAAAAAAAAAUUAGUAAUUUUUUGUGUCGGCACUGUGGUGGGAGGCACCUGUGUCAGAAAAAAAAAUUGGUCUCGUGUUUCCCAUGGCCAGGACCCAGGUAAAAAAAUUAAAUUCUUUUUUUUCAGCCUUCCCCAUCUCGGCACCUAAGGAUUUGUUAGAAUUUCUUUUUUUUGCCAGCCAUCCCUAUGCCGACACUAGUGUUUAAAAAAAAAAUUGGUCCCAACUUUUUCUUUACUAGCACCAAUAGGCUAUAUAUAUAUCUAUCUUAACAGGAAGGGAGAAAAAAAUUAUUGAGAUUACCCUGAUGAAGAGAAAAAAUGAAGAACCUUGACUUGGGUUCCUUUUGCCGAUUGCAAAUGUAUCUUGGAUACUCGUCAACGAAAAUAUGUUAUACCGAUGAGUUGUGAUAAAAAAGAUGGAACAAAGGCAUCGUCAGUAAUCCAACUAGCUGAAGAUGUUCAUUGUGGAAAUAACAUUAACUUAUUAGAUUGGAGGGCUACAAAGACCCCCCCUCGCCCCCCUCCUCGAAAAUGCCAGAGUUGUGGCAAACCAAUGUGAAGCAUGUUGAGUUAUCGGUGGGGCUACCACCUAUGAGAGAGGUGAGUUGUACAAGAAAAACAGUGAUGCAAACUGGGCAAUUAAAUCGAUUAAAUGCUACGAGUAAAGUAUAUCUCAAACACUUUCCUAGUGUUUUACAUUAUGACUCAUGGGCUUAACAAAGAUGCAUAGGCCCUUUCAGAAUUCUGAAGUGGGUAAGCCGAAGGGUUUACAAACCAGAGUUAGCAACAAUGCUCAAGGUUUACCCAAUGUUCAAUGUGAGGCAAGUCACAAUAGGAGCAAGUAAGAGUGGUGGGCUCCUACAAACGAGAUGUACAAAGGAGGGAAACAAUUCGAGUUAGACGACGACAGAAACAUAAGUCAAGACAAAUGUUUCGAGGGGCAAAACUACCAACAAAGAGAAUGGUUGGGAAUCAAUCGAGGUGUCGUGGCAAUUUCAAGACGACUUAGAUCAGUGUCAUUCCAAUGAUGCAAUAAGGACAUCUUUAGAAUGUCUCAUAGAGGCCAGCUAAUUAAAUCAAACUCAUUUAACCAACUUGGAUUGCCUCGAUUCGUGAAACAAAUGAAAAACCACAUCUACUUGAAGCCUUAAUGGCCUUACGAAGCACUCCAGUAAAACUAGAGUUACUAUGACAAAUAUUGUAAAUCCAAAGAGAUAAGAUUGUAUGAAGUUUAAAUCUCUUAAGACUCUCAUCUUGUAGAUAAGCAAGUCUUAACCAUCAAUGUAAUUUAAAUUGUAUCAUUAGAUCUGAGAAAGCUCAAUUUGGUUCGAUUUGAGUUCAUUUAUCUUUUGAGUUUGCUUUUGCUUCAUUCUAGUGCCUUAGAGAAUAUCCCUUGAAGAAUUUUAAUUUUUGAGAGAUAGGCUGACUUAGGCGGAUUUAAAUCAAAAGAAUCACCUAAAGCCGCAAGGAUUGCCAGACUAAAGUUCUGGCCCCGUAAUAUAUAUGCACACACACACCCUUGAGACCUAACUGCCAUGUAAUCACCCUUCUCAACCCUACCCCAACCCCAUAAUAGAUCACAUAAUGAAUAGUCAAAAGAGGAUCAAAAUUCAAAAUAGUCAGUGUUCAUACCAAUUCAAGACUAAGAGAAAACAUUUGUUUUGAUAAUACAACAGUCUUUCUCCUACUCUGUGGAAUCAUAGUCCCCAAAACUAGAAAUUGUGAAUACUUGAAGUAUGCAAUUUAUUAACUAUGCAACAAACUCUAUGAGAAGUCAAAAGAACGCCAUUCCACAAUCUUUUCAGCCACAUGAUCGUCUGGUAUCAUCUCGAAAAUACUAAUUUAGCAGAUCCAGAAUAUUGCUUCCCUUAUGACACAGGUUUGACUGAAAAGUAGAAAACAAAUAUUCAAUGGAAGCUAGUUUCUCAGCUUCAAAUAGAAUUAAUUACCUUGAAAGUUAUACUUUUUGACAUUUUUAAAAACGUUUACUAAAAACCUAAUGCAGCAAACAGUCUAGUUCUAAUGCACCAUUUACAUGAAAAUAUUGAGUGAUCACAAUUAUUUCUUCAUUGUACCUUGAUUUUCCUGAGUGAAAGAGAAGAAUGAAGUAUAUAAUGUUAAUACCAAAAUAUCAAAAAUAUAAAAGAUGAUCCACAUAAUGCAACAAAAAUAGAGCAAAUCUGGAAUAAUAUGCAAUACCUUCUUUUUUGUGUUUCUGGACAUCAUUAAGAUCUUCAUCUCCAUCAUGCCUCCUUUUCUGAAAUUAACUUAAUUUUAAAAAGAGGGAUUAUUUCUUGACAUUCAUGAUGACAAAUCAGUUGGCAAACUUGUGCAGGGAAACAGCAGAUACCAGUUUAUUACUGGCAACAGAAAAUUUUAUUUUUAAUGGUCGAAAGCAAAUGCUUCAUGCAUAACUUCAAAGAAACAAUGUCAUUCUUCAACAAAUAACUGAUAAAUUAGCUGGCUGAUUUUGCGUCCUUGCACAGCAUCAUAAGCUUUUAUAUCCAUGAGCUUAACAAUCCUUCCACAAUACUUGAGGCCAAAAGACCUGAUCAAGCAAUAGCUUCAAAGGAGGUAACAAACUUCCAACCCUUUUUUUCAUGGUGCUUUUUUGAGUGAAUCAUGAUGCUACUUCUAUCCUUCUUUGUUUCCUUAUCUUUAUCUUUAUGGCGGUGCUUGAGCUUCUUAUUCUCUUUAUUCUUAUCCUUUUCUCUAUCUUUGCGCUUUUUAUGCUUCUUCUCUUUUUCUUUGUCUUUGUCUUUGUCUUUGGCUUCACCCUUUGAUUUCCCAAAAAUUGUAGGAACCCCUUUUUCAUUCUACCAAAAGAACAAACUAGUUAAGAACUUCAAAUGAAGUCAUGACUAACAAAGAAAAUUUUUGUCAAUACGAGAACAUGUAUGAGCAUGAAUUUUUUACCGACUCAAUAAUCAAUGGGAAACUUAAAUAAAGCUAAUCUCAAAGAAGAAAAUUUCUUACCUCAGGCAAUUCAACAGGAGUGGUUUCUCUCAGGUCGAAAGCAUCCGUAAGAAUAUCCAGGUCAAAUGGCUGCAAGUGGACAUUAGUUUCUCUGUUAUACGAUGUAUUCUGAAUAAGCUGGCCCAACAGCAUUCCUUCUCCUUUUCUAAUUUCAGUACCUCCCACCACAGUAUGAAGAUAGUGAGUGUCUAAGAUGGACAUCGGAAGAUGUUUCUUGCAGAAGAAGUCAUGGUGAACCAGCAAGUUAUACCGACUUACAAGAUCAACAGCACCACUAAGCUCCCUUGGCCCUAAACUUUAUCUUGUCAGUUAAUAAUAAUAGUAAUAAGAAGAAGAAGAAGAAGAAGAAGAAUAUCCAAUACCAAUUAACUUUACAUGAAAUUUUAGUCAACUAACCCUCAAAUCAUCAAUCCAAGAUUUUCAUGUUAUACUAAACCAGAAUAGUGUCAAGGAAUCUAAACUUUUCUGUGAGUAAUACUAUAAGCAACAUACAUCAUGUGUGAUUUUCGCAUCAUUUGAGUAACUUAGUUAGCAAGUAACAGAUAGUGGAUAGUUUUCGAGUUAAAAAAAUAUUUACAAGAAACAUGUGCUACAUGCAUACAAUAUAUGACUGAUGAAAAAAUAUAACCAAGCAAAAUAACCAUCAUGCAUAACUUUCAGAUAUUUUACACAGAUGUAAUAUAAAAUAGGGAAUGAUGGUGACUUAUCAUAAUGAUCCCGACUGAUAUCAAAGAAAUAUCAUUAACCAUUAUUGUCUUAUGGAAAAAAAAAACAUAUAGUCUACAAACUCUGACAGUGAAGACUGAAGAGUACAAUAAUAGGUAAGAACCUAAUAGCAAACCCAGCAUCAACCAAAAAAUGCAAUGUGAAUAACAGAGUAAAACUACAAACCACAUGCUAAAGAUAUGGUACCUCUUCCAAAUUUCUGGCCUUCCGAAUCCAUGAGUUAAUGAUUCAUGAAACAUUUAACAUCAUAGCUGUAAUUUUGUAGCCAAAGUCAGGGGAAGCAUCCAUGAAUAUCAAGUAAAAGAUAACCAUAGAGGUAAACAAGAUUUAAAGAGAUCCUGAUUAACGUAAAAGCCUAUACUAUAGCACAACAAUGCUAUUCUACCAUUUUAGAAUUCAAAUGCAUCCAUGUCUGGUAAGUCCAUAUAUUUUUUAAUUUGUUCCCCUUCUCUCACAUGUGUGCAAAAGUAGCAUCUUGCAACUUUUAGGUUCUAUAGCUGAUUUUCACCUCAAAUAGAUUUCUCUAACGUAGCAAUUAAUUCCUCUAUCAUUAUCUUCCUUAAUUUCAUUUGUACUCGGAACAAAUGUAUCAUUAGUACCAAAUGCUGAAAACUUUUGCCACAGCAUAUAUGCCAUUCCCAACCAUCAUUAUCUUCAACUAAUACAGAUCUGAUGGGGAAGGAAAUCCAUGGAAGAGGGCACAGAGGCAGCCAAAUCUUCGUUCUCAAAUGUGUAAAUUUGUAUAAAGAUUGCAAGAUAAAGAUGGGUCAGUGUAAGGGUGUUGUGCAUGUCUAAGGGUAGCUGUGUAGGAUAGAACUGCUAAGUAAAAGGAAUCUCCAAACUGACCACUUUAAGGUGGAGUUGGUCAAGAAUAUCAUCAGAAGGCCGAUUUUGGACACAGGUUGGGCAAAUCUAGGAAACCUUCUACUUACCAAACAACUAGUGUCGUUUGAAUGAACAAGAAUGAGAUCCAGCCCCUCUGAAGCUCUUCUCAUACUUCAAUAAUUUAAUGAUUGACACAAUUCACAGUUGUGGAUUAAAUAUGUCAACUGUGAAGUAAAACUGAUAAAGGCCAGGUCGUUUACAUGAUAACCAUUUCAGUUCAAAACAAAAGGCCAAAUGGUUGUGGAACUAUAAGUAAUUCUAUGAAUAAAUUUACCCCAGGAAUCUUCUUUGUUUCAUAAAUUUCCAAGAAAAAUAAAGCUAAACUAUAACUAAUUCUAUGAACAAAGAAGAAGUAAGAGGAGAAAGAGAAACAUAAAAAAAAAUCAACUGAGAAACACGAGAAACGUAGAAAGAAAUCAAGACUACCACGGACUUGGAGCAAAGUUGCUGAGAUGCUUUAAAAGAUCACGAGAAAGCAAAGCACGUUCCUCUUCUUCUGUUCAGCAGUCUUCACGCCUCAGUACCAGUAAAAAGGGAAAAGAGUGCAAAAACAAAUUUGAACAAAAAUCAAAACCGAGUAAAUUUCAAACAGGAGAAAAGGAUUGAGAAUUGAGGAAUGAAAUGAAGGGAGCCCAAAAGAUUGGAAUGGAAGGGUUAGAAACAGUUGAUCAAAGAACGUUGGAGGCAACGAAAGCUGUACUUUUUCAGGGUUUUGCAGUAAGAUUAACGACCACUUUUUUGUUUGUAAAUUAUACCUCUCGGCUCAGGCUUCGGGUCCGCAGCUUCUCUGGGGGUCCGUCGGGGUGUCUUAUUUGCUGUCAAAGAGCGUGGGGUGACUCCCCCCCCCCCCCGGGGUCAAUUCCAAUUUUCUUUGGAUUCACUUAUUUAAUUAUUUUAGAAUAAAAAUAAUUUCAAAUAAUUAAAUAAAUCACGCUGGAUUGCUGAAAUUUCUAUUAAGGCUGCUUUUUACUCUAUUUUUUUUUAAUACGUUAAAUUAAAAAAUUAAUUAAUAUUUAAAAUAUUUUAUUUUAUUUUUUAAAAUUUUAUCCACAUAACAGACAAAAUAAUCCAAUAACAAAUAAAUUUUAAUCAAUGAGUUUGCUCACAAUUUUGUAAGAAAUUCCAAUUUUUAUUUUUUUUAAAUGUAAUUCAAUUUUUAAUAUAAACACAUACUUUUACCUUCAUUUAUGAUACUUUAACCUUCAUUUAUAUUAUUAGAUUAAUAUCUUCAAUAGGAUAUUUGUUACUAUCGGUAAAAAUCACUCGAAUCCAAGGUUUUUACCGAUUAUCCUCGAAUAAGUCACUGGAAACGAUUAACCCGUCUCAACAGCUCUAAUCUUGAAUCUGCCCGGAGUGAAGAUUUAGAAGCCACGAAUAGAAUAGUACUUAUAAAAUUAAACUAUCAAAUAACGGAAGCAGCAGGCAAAAAUGCCAGUUCCUCGUAUACCUAAUAAAGAAGCAAAGCCUUCAGUCUUUUUUUUUUCUUAAAUUCUAGCAGCAAAAGGAUGAAGUUUUAGAAGGAAAAAAAAAAGAACAAAAACAAAAAUUCCGAUGCUGAAUUCACCCAGUGUUUUCCUCAACCGUAGCAUCAACUUCAGCGGCUUGAUCAAUCAUCCUCAUCAGAAUCAUUAUCAACUCCGGCAGCUGAAUUCAAAGCCUUCAACCUAUCAAUCAACUUCGCCUUCCUUUCCUCGUAAGACAGCUUCUUCAGGUUGUACCUAUCAUGCAGAACCACGUCGGGAAUAAAAUCAAGUUUUCUUUCGAGAUUAUAUAACUAACUAGUUUGGUCAGUCAUGCCUGAUUUAAUAGGCUAUCUGAACUAUGUUAAUAAGUAAAUUGCAAGAAGAAAGAGAAAGAAGCUUAUACCUUUUGUGUUCCUUGGGAGGAGCCUUCUCGGAUUUCUUUGCUUCUGGACUUGCACGAAUGGCGGUAUGAACCUUCUUGUACAUUCCCUCUAUGGUGUCAGGCUCAAUGCUUCUCUUAAUGUACUCACUGAAGUGAGACUGGUACUUCUCUGGCUCAUCUUCCAUUAAAGUCUGACAACUUAACAAAGUGAGACUUGCAGACAACAAGAUAUGAAACUGUUUCCAAAUUAAGACGAGAGAGAACUUCAACACCAUCAUCACUCCCCUCUAACCACCACUUCAUAAACUUUAAACCUUACCCUCAUGUAUGCAGCAACAUGGCCACCGUAAAUGUAUUUGCGGUGAACUUCAGGAUCAAGUUGCUUACUGUCCUUGUUAAAUCCAGCAAACCUCUUGUCACCGUGAGGAAUAUCAAUUCCCCCAUCCAGAGCACCCUAAAAUGAAACAGGACUACACAUUAAAACUGAAUGAUUAGAAAAUGCAAAUGGAAGAUUGUUGAGCUAAAAGAUAAUAUCCAAGAAUAGUUUUCUUCAGCAAUAAAUGGCAUAAAAGCAUGGCCUAGCUGCUACCAUAAACAGAUAAGCUUAAAUACUCAUUGCACAAAAUUUUAUAAUAUCAAAACAAUUGUUCCAUCCACAAAAAACUCUUCUCUUUCACUUCCAGAAAUUUAACCUCAACAAAUAGGGUUUAGGGUUUAGGGUUCCAAAUACAUACCAAACUAUUUCUUUCGCUUCCAGAAAUUAACACCUCAACCUCAACAAUGUUGAGGCAUACAGAUGAGAAAUAUCAAUGCACUGAAAACUCAAUUAGCAAGCAUGAUGAUUAACAGGGAAAUUCUUAUAUUUGUGUUAUGUUUGUAUAUUUUUCUUGUAUCAUAAUCAUGGCUCAGGUAUUUAUCCAACUUUAGGCAAGUUAGAAUAUUUGUGUUAUGAUCAAAAGAUUCCACAACUUUGAUAAGACUAGGACAAAGAAAACCAAUGAGCACAACCUGAAUCAGGACCCAUAAAUAGGAAAGGGUUCCACUUACCUUGAGAACACCAAAAACACGGUUACCAGUAGUAGUUCUGAUAAGACCAACAUCAAGGAGCGCACGGAAAGGCCUCCUGGUCUCUGCUGGUUCAACAGUGAAGUCCUCCCCAGUUGCCUGCGAGCAAAUGACACAUGAUUUACAAACUUAUCAUACAUCUAAACGAAAGGUGUAAACAACCCAUAAUUCUUCAAACCUUAAAAAUAAUGGCACAUGCAUACCUCAACAUUUCCCUCAUACUCAGCAUCCAUCUCCAGUUGCUUCAGUGUUCGGCGAGCCAAGAGGAGUCCAACACAAUAAGCUGUGUUUGAAGCAUCAUCAAGUAAGAUACCACCCUCAGCCAGGGAGUAAAAAGACCAUUUGAACAUUCAUACAGAAGAAAAUGACACACCUGCAGCAUAAUUGGUAAGGCCCACUUCAAGUCCAUAGCGGGGAAGUUCAUGAGCAUAAGCUGCUGCAAGAACUAUAUCACCAGAAAUACUAGCAUGUAUAAUUUGUGCAACUAUAUCCUUAUUGGUCUAAUAAAUGUGUUAAGGUUGGAAUGUUAACCAGCGGCCCAAAAAUGUUUAUACGAAGAAUAAUGUAAAAAAAUGAAAGAAUAAUCAAUAUAGGUUAGCACAUAUAAUUGCAUACAGAAAGUCGUAGCCUCAAACAAAUUAUCAGGCUGUCAGAACAAAUUACUCACAGAAGUUGACAUAAAAAAUGGCUGCUUGCUAGUUGCUACCCACAUCAUAAACCAAAUGAAAGUGACGAAGUGGGGGCGGGGGGAAGACAGUCAGUCCAAUAUUAGGAUACAAAUCUUGCAACGAAACGAUAUUUUGGGGUAUUGUACUUGUUUUUAUCCUGAUUGAUAAGACGGUUCCUGGCCCGGUAGUCAGUCUUGCCCUCUACAAGAUUAAAAAAGUAUUAAAACAUCAAAGAAAGCAAGGACAGAUCUGCAUAUCACUAUUUAAGGUACAGACAUCAGUAUCAUACCUCGUCUUCUCUUGAACUUAACUUGAUAUCUUUUGAAGUAUGCCUUUGACUUUUGAGCUUUCACGUAAGGCUAGGCCACAAAACAAACCAACUCAGCAAAAUGAGGAAGCAUCUAUGACAACCAUUUCAAACACAAAUAAACCUAUAAAACUGUUAAGUACUAUAUUAUUUAGACUCGAAUGUAAAUGUCAUAGAGAGUAUGUUCAACAUUUUUUUCAAGUUUUUCCAUGUUUUUGGGGAUCUUGGCGGAUUUAUUUCCUGACUCCUAUGUCCAAAUAUAGAUCAAACGUAGGUAACUAAAAGAAAGAUAGCUAGUCAAGGUAAUAUAAGCAUAAGCUAAGUACUCAAGUCCCAUGCUUUUCACAAUUACAAAUAUUUUACAUUACAUCAAUACUUACCACCAUAGUUUUUCAGCUUUAAGAGAUAAUAUUAACAAUCAGUAAACAAUGUUAUCUUCUAUAAACACGUUUAUUUUCAUUUCUCUUAUGGAAGUAAAAAACGAAAUUGCAAAACAAACAACCAAACAUUUCCUAAUUCUUUCCAAUGAAAAAUAAUAAUAAACAGCUUUACUUUCUUGAUGCUUGCUUCGAUUCGGGUCAAUUCUACUAAAUAAUUCAGGAAAAAGGAAAAUGACAAAAAAAAAACUCGAAGACACUGCUUAGACUGAAGUUAAAUAUAUUACAGGAAAACAAGAGAUUAGCUCAUUCUAUUGAUUCUUUUCUCAAACAAAAUUGUAACGUCGUAAAGAAAAUGCAUCCAGUAUUUCAUGUUUUUUAUGAAUUUUAAUCAAUCAAGAACGAAGAACAAACAGGAAUCUGACAUCAAAAACGGUACAAAAACAGAUUUAAGAGAAGCUAAAUUAACAAAAAAAAAGAUAGCAAAUUAGAAAAAUAUAUAAAGAUAAUAAAGUAUUGUGGGGAGAUUGAGAUUUUACCAUAGCUUUGAGCACAGGGGUUAGCAGCCGAGCUUUGAGAGAGAGUAAAGAGAAUAGAGAUCUGUCACUAAACCCUACUGGAGUCUUUUAUAGUAAAAAAUCAACGGUGACGAUUGGUUUCAUUUAGAUGUUGAUUUCCCUAGGGUUGGUGGUGCACUCUAGGCCUGUUAAAAGGCCGAGUUAGCUGUCCAAACCCGGAAUCCCGUCAGAUAUUUGGAGGCUGACUAUUUCUAUAUUAUUAUGUUUUAUGUCACAUAGAAAUUAGAUUUAUAAUAAAUAUGUAAUUUAUAAUGUAACAUUAAAAAAUAUAUUUAAUAUUUUUAUAUUAAAAUUUUAAUAAAAAUAUAUUAAAUUAUUAUUUAUAUAUUUUAUAAAAAUUAAAAUUAUAAAUUUAAAAUAUAUUUGAAAAUGGGUUUAGAUUUUAGGGAUAGUUCCGAGUUUAAGUAAUUGAUUUAUAAUUUAAAAUUAGUAUAGUCUACCCUUUUGGACCUGAAACUCUUAGAAGAAUUUUUUUUAGGCUAUAUAUGGAAAGAUAGAAAUAAAAUGAUCACAAUUUUGGAUAUUCACCUAAUUUUGUUCAGUAUAAGUGCUUUCUUCUAAUAUUCAAGGCUCUUUAUUUUGAGGGUGUAUAUGAUUAUUGGGUAUCGAGAGGGGGAGAUAUAAAAGAAAUUACCAACUUGACUCUUAACCCAAGUGUUAUAUUUGAUUAUUUACUAAAAUCUCCUUUUGGAGGCGAAGGAUGCCCAUGCUAGAUAUUGGGUUGAUUAUUUGUUUGUAUCGAUUUAUAGAGUAAAAAUUUGAAGAUCAAAAUAUACUCUAAGCAAAGUUUUCAAAAUCGGAUUGGUGACUAAACUUACUAGGCCAUUGGUUUGUACGAUUGGAUUAAAGAAAUAAUUAAAAAAUCAUAAAAAUAAAAGAAUAUAUAUUUUAAAAAUAUCAGUUCAAUCUUUUUUUAACCUGGUUUAAUUGGUCUGUAUCGGUUCACGAAUCAAUCAACCUGAUGUCUUUCUCUAGAUCGAUACCUCGAUUGGUUCCUGAUUUGACCGGCUGGUCCAAUUCAAACAACCAUGACUCUAAAUAUCUACACUUCAUACAUCUGGAAUUUAGUCCUCCUACUUUUAUUUUCAAGAAUUCAAUUCAUCUACUUGUUGGAUUUAAAAAUUCACUUUCAAAUUUUAUACUUAUCCACGUAACAUUUUAAUUGAAAAGUUAAAUAUAUUGACUAUUUAAAUCAGUUAAUAACAUUAAAAAAAUUAUAGAAACCAAAUUAUGUUAGAAAUUCAAAUAAAAAUGAUUAAAACUGAAAAUUGAGCAUAUUAGAAGGACCAAAAUUAAAAAUAAUCAUUUUUAUAAAUAAAUAAAGAAGUAUGGUGAGUGUAUGCCAAGUGUUAGCAUGAAGAAGAUGGAGCUUCCUUUCAUAUGCCAUAUUAGAAUGAUUCCUAUCACGUUUCGGAUUGGUUAAUUAUUUUUAAGUCAAAUUACAAAGUAAAUAUUUAAAUAUUAAAAUAUACUAGGCUUCGAAUUUUCAGGAAAUUACUCUCUAUCUCUCUAUUUUUCAGUUUUAAAAAUUCAAAUCCAAUUAUUAAUAUUAUUAAAUUUUUUUAUUAAAUCUAUUAGUAUGAUAUUUUAAAAUUUAAAAAAUAUAUAUACUCACUUAUAACCAUGUAACAAAAAAAAUGGAAUUGAUUUAAAUUUAACAAAUGAUUUUAACAGUGUUUACAACUCUUAAAAGUUAAAUUAAUAUUUUAAUCAAAUGACAUUACAAAAAUUGAGGUACCUAAUUAAAUAAAAAAGUUGAAGUAUAAAGAUUAGAUCUUAAAUUCGAGUGUAGCACAUUGACUAAAAUUAAAAUUUUGCUAUUGUUAAAUGAUUUUCAAAUUGAGUGUAACAUAAGGGGGAAAAUUAAAAAUUUAUCAUUUUUCUAAAUAAUGCAAAAAUAUAAGAAGAAAAAAAAGGGGAAGUGACCCAUUAUAUAUAGGUAUGGGUAACAUAGGGAUUUAAAUUUAAAUUUUACCAUUUUUAUAAAAAGGGAAAAAAACAACACUUGUAAAUCAAGUUUAUAUAUAGGUACAUAGAUUAUAUAUUAUAUUAUAUUUAUAAUAUAAUAAAUAAAUAUCAAAUCAUGCUGAGCUUAAAUUAAAAAUUGGUUCAAAAUUUUAUUCAAGCUCAAAUUUGAGCUUAAUAUUUAUUUCAAAUUCUCUCAUAUUUCGAAUAAGUCUUUGGAUUUAAACAGAUAAUACAACUCAUGAACAUCUCUAGUUGAAACAAAUUCACACAUCAAGCAAAAAAACAAAACAAACCCUUGAUUUCAAAACUCCUUAAAUAAGGAAUAAAAAAACUCGUUAGGGCCUUGAACCUGAUAUACUAUAACAUUCUUUAACAAAUAUAUUAUCUUGUUUUUAUUAAAAUUUCCAUCAUAUAAUACAUGUCAAAAGUUAUCAACCAUAAAUAAUAUUAAAUUGAAAUCACUUGUUGAAAAGUUAAUUGCAAGUUACGUUCCAACAAGGUCGGACGAAAAUUGAUUAACAAUCUUCUCAUUUUGGAUAUUGACGUAAUGUUACAACAAAACAACACACUCCCAAUACAAAUUAAAAGCAUGGGAAAUUGGACAUGUUGAAUCAAAACAUAUUACUUCUCAUAAUACAUCCACAAAAUUACCAUGCAUUUUAAGAAAGCAAGAAUAAGUCUAUUCAAAACAAUUACAAUAAACCAAAUAGAAAAUGGUUUAAGACGUGUUAAAAGUUGUGCAACCAAAAUUCUUACUGAAAUAAAUACAAGUGGCAAGACAGGGGAUCUACAAGUGUGAAGGCUAAAGUUUACUUCCUCUAUUUGAUGUUGACUAGAAUAAGGUGUUUUAACCUUACUACAUUUCUUCAAUUUGACUUUGAUUAGAAUAAUGUUUUAACCAUAGACUUCUAUCCCAAUAACUCCUACUUACUCAACAUUUCUCCCCCCGUUUAUAAAAUAACAAAGGGAGAAAUUUUUUAUUUAUCAGCAACCUUUAAAUUAAUUUUGUAUCAAAUAACUUUAAUCUUCUCUCUGUUAAAGAAGUUGAGCUAAUUAUUGAGGAACUUCAACUAAGCCUCAAAAUGUUCAAAUAUUAUUGUCAUGUUCAUUCUUUUCUCGAUCAUUCUAGAAGUAAUAGCCGUUAAUGGUACAACAUCAUCGAACUCAAUAAUAUGGUUCGAUAGGGUUUAUAAUAGGUUCACUUGUUGCUUUUUUUAUUACAGCUGGAGGUGCAAUAACUUUUACCUCUUUCGCAAUUGUGAUUGUUUCUUCAACUUCAACAUUAACAUUAUAUUAUUAUUGUUCUAUUACUACAUUAAUGUCUUUAGUAGACUCUAACAUGAGAAACAACCUCUAGUUGUUAUUUGCCAACGAAAUUAUCUUCAAUCAUCUCAUCAAGCAAUUAAUAUCAUCAAACUUUUAUUGCAGAACAAUUGAGGCUUUCAACUCUUUUAAAGUAACAAUGAUAACCUCUUCUAUCUGGUGAUCAUUAUCACUAAUAGCGAUUAACUUUUUAGUAAUAGUUUUCUCAAAAGUAUAAUAAUUACUAACAUAAACUAAACUCAUAAUAUAAGAAACCAUCGACACUAUAAAACACAACAUUAUCACUCUUUUUUGAGAAAUAAGUUAAAGUAAUGACUCGUCCUCAUUAAGAUACCAUUUUUAACCUAUAAUACAAAUAAAAGAAUAUGAAAUAACAUCCACACCAACAAGUAGGUAUUAAUGUCAUCAAAACUUGGAUCAAUGAUACUUGGUGAUAAUAACAACUUGUUGCAACAUUAAAAACAACAAGGUUUGACUAUUUCUAUCUAUCCUCAGAAAUGGCAAGAGAUACCUGUGUAUUCAUGUCAUUAAUACCUAUCAUACUUAUAAUAACAUCUAUUUUAAUAUAAAAGAUUUAUUUUAUAUUAUAAAAAAAUAAAAUAAUUAUAAAAUUGAAUACUUGUUUGGACAAAAAAAUAAUUUAAGUACUAAUUUAAAUGUUGAAGCCAAAGUUAGAUUUCAAAAAAUGUAUUUACCUUUUAGUUUACAACUACAACCCUUACUUAAAUUUUUUUUUAAGUAACAAGUAUGAUGAAUUAUACUCAUUUAUUGUCAUAAAAAUUUCACAAUUUAAAAUUAUAGAGUUAAACUUUUAAAGUUUAACAUAAUUUAUUUUAAAUAUUUUAAUUAAUUAAAUUUCAUGAAAAAAAUAUUUAAAAACUAUUCCAUUGAAUUUUUCUUACAUCAUUAAAAGUUUUUAUAAUAUAUAUAUUAAAGUUUCUAUAAAAAUAAAUAUUAAAACUUAGAAUAAAUUACAUAAUUAGUCACUUAAUUGCAAAAACUUUCAAUUUUGUCACUAACGUCUUCAAUCACUUUUGUUCUGGUCCCCCUUCAUUGAAUUAUCAACGAAAAAUAUGACAUGACUUUUUUUAAAAUUGGUAUAAUAAUAUAUUUAGUUUUCAACACUUACACAUUCUAUAAUAUUAAUCCUAAUUUUAAAUAAUUUAAUAAAUUUCAUACUCUACAUUUACGAAUUUUAUCAAUUCGCUCUUCAAAUACAUUUAUUAGGAAAAAUCUAUUAUAGGCAACAAGAAGAUAUCGGGAGACUUCAAUUUAGUCUUAUGAAAUGGAAUAAAGGCUGGGAGAACAUCAACUUGGCUAUUGAAGGACUUGAAAAGAAGUUAUAUGAAUUUAAUUUUUUUUUCUUGUUUUCUUCUAAAUAUUUCUUACUUAAAAUAUUGUCUAAAUCUAGUCUAGAUAAAAAAUAUUAAAUUCAAGCUCGGGUCGAUCCAUCUAUAUUAUUUUUUAUAUAAAAUAAAUUUAAAAAAUACAAUAUAUUAAAUAUAUUAAAAAUAUUAAAAUAAAUAUAUAUCAAUAAAUUGAAAAUAUGAAAAAAAAUUACACUUAAAAUAAUAGUAAAAUAAUUAUAACUUAGCAAGCAAAUACAUCUAAAAUAAUAACAAAAUUAACAAUAAAAUAAAAAUUAUACAAUAUCCAAAAAAAUAAUAAUAGCAAUAUAAUAACAAAAUAAAAACAAAAAAUAAAAAAAAUAUUUUUUUAGCUAAAUUUAGGUCGAAUCAGGCUCGCAUCAAAAAUUAUUACUCAAGGCCUAACCUAUUUAAAUUUUUUUUUUAAACCCAUUCUCCAAACUUAUAAUUUUACUUUUGAACAUGUCAACACGACAUAAUCAGUUAUAAUAAUAACUAGCGGUAGUUGCAUUAAAUGGGUCUGUAUUUGGUGGUUGCUCGUGUUUGAUCUAGAGGAAUUGAAAAACAUAUUUUUAAUAAUUUCAGUAGCAGUUUGCAUGCGAGAAUUGAAAAUGGAGGAUAGCUUGUUUUCUGAGUUUUAGGAAAAUUGAUUUAGGGAAAGGAAAUGACAACAUUUAAAAUUGAUUUAGGAAGAUAUGAUUAAGGAUUAAAUUGAUAAGAUUUAUAAAUAUGAAAGGUUUAAUUUAUUAAAUUAUUUAGAAUUAGAAUUAAAUUGAUAAAAUGUGAUAGAAUUGAGAACCAAAUGGGAUUAUACCAAUUUGAAAAGGUCACAUAUCAUUUGAUUUGACGGAGUAUGAAUAAAAUAGAAACGAUAAAAAAUGUUAGUAGUUAAAUAGAAAAUUUUUAUAAUUAAAUGACUAAGAUAAAAAUACACUAAUAAUUGAGGGACAAUUAUAUAAUUUCCUUAAAGUUGAAUUCAAACCAAACCUAAUAAUUAUUGGCAUCCAUUUGUCCGUAUAAUAUUUUUCUUUGAAAAAAUCUAUCAGAAAUAUAAAAAUGAAAAAGUUACUUCAGAUAUUUUAUGAGGGCUAUGUGUGUAUAUAUAUAUAUCUCUUUAUUUCUUGCAAUUUAUUAUUACAGCUCGGUAAUAAAAGGGCAAGCGGAUUAAAUUUAAAAGAAUUAAAAAGGGGAAAAAAAAAGAGAGCAUCUUAAAGCAUGUUAAAAAGACAGAAAAACCUGUCACUUUCUCGGGAAAAAAGUGAAAAAAGAAAAAGAAAAAAAAGGAAUCGCAUUUUUAGGUUGGCAAUUGAAGAACAACUCUCCUCCAUUUCUAUCCCUUUGCGAGAAGCCACCCUUUCCUUCUCCCUUUUGUUCUCUGAUUAAUUACAAUUGUCCCAGCAUAGAUUUAACAUCACAAAUAAUAGAUAAAUUUCCAAUUCAUUAGCUCACAUCGUUAGAAUUCGAGAGAAACAGAAAGGAUUUUAGCUUUUUGUUAUAUAUGAUUAAUGGCUGCGAGUGCGAAUCCGACGGGGAAUCAUCAGGAAGGUUCGUCGAACCAGAACGUAACGCCUUCUCCUCCUCCAACUGCCAAUGGUGUUGCCGUCAAUUCGAACAAUAGUGGGGGCAAUACAUCGACCGCCGCCGCCGCCGCCGUCUCGGCUGACACGCAGUCCGCGUUGAGGCACAACCCUGGCAUCUCCCUCGACUGGACUCCUGAAGAACAAACGAUGCUCGAAGAUUUGCUCGUCAAGUAAGCUUAAGUUCCCUCUCCUUCUCGAACACUUCAUUUUGUACCUCUUUAAUCGUUUUGUUUCUUUCGUUUGCUUUUACUUGUAUGGAACUUGUUACUCACUCUUUAAUUUAAUAAGCUUAAAAAAAUCAGUGGGAACUGGAAAUAUCAUUUACACAUUUAUUAUUGAUUUUCAAAUUUUAUACAUGAUUCAAAGAUGUACUUGUCUUUUUUGAUGUGCGAAUUUUUCAGUUUUAGCGACUAUGUUUGUUUCUCAAUUAUGAUUUUGUAGGUUUGAGGGAAUUGAAGAGAAACUUUUGUUCUUCCUUUAUUCCUUUGAUCCCCUUGAUGAACUUGCAUUGUUUCGUACUUUAAAACCAAGGAGUUCUUUGCACAAAAGACAUUUGGCUAACUAUGAUUGGACAUGUCUUCGUUUUGGUAAAACAUGCUUCCAUGUUACCUAGUUUUUCUUCCUUGGCCAAACUUUAUGCUAGAUACAGUAUCAUGGACUCUCCGUUUAAGUGAUGUGGUUUGAGACAGACCAAUAAAAUAUUGUUCCAUAAUAUUCUGCAGUCUUGGGUUGAAAGAUGGUUGGUGAGUACAAUAGUGUUGCUUGAGUUGCUAUGAAUUAGAAUACUAUCGUUUGCCAGUUUCAGUUCAUUACGAGGAGCUUGCUCUCUAACACUAUCCAAUAAUUCGUGGCAUUGUGACCACAUAAAUUUGUGGAGUGGCUUCUUUUUCACCAUCUUGAUGUUUAGUUCAAUAAAAGCUAUUUCACUUGUUACUUGCAUUUAUGUUGUUGUGAUAUUGUAGAACGAGUAAUAUUUCCAAGGUAUAACUAUUAGCGUGCUGGCUCCAGUUAAAGUGGCCUGUUUCUUAUUUAGUCUAUAGUUGAUCUGGUGGUUGUCCGUCUAAACUCCUCAUAUAGCUGUCCCGUCAGAAAUCUAAAGUAUGCUUAAUUGUGAUGCUGGCUUAUAUAAUAGCUUCUGUUAUAUAUGUUACUCUUUUUGUUAAUUUACUUUGCCAAAAAUUACUAAUGUGUUUUCUCUAGGUUGAGUUUUGGGCAUAUUUGCUUUUUUUCCUGUUUAUUUUUUGGGUCUCCUAUUGUUUUCCUUGUAUAUUUCUUCACUUGAUUUUGAUUACUGAAGGCUUGAUCAAUAUCUCUGUUUGCAGGUAUACCUCUGAUUCAACCAUAGUUCGCUAUGCUAAGAUCGCAAUGCAGUUGAAGGACAAAACAGUUCGGGAGGUGGCACUGCGUUGUAGAUGGAUGACUGUAAGUUGGUAACAACUUGAUUAAUUUAAAUCAAAUGUUUCAUUUAAUGUGAAUGUCAAGAGUUUCUCUUUAGAGCUUUUGUGUAAAGGGAUGUAUUUGUCCUGAUUUUAUUGGAGGAAGAACCCAAAAUCUGGUAUGUUUGACAUGUAGUCCUUACCACAGGGUAGAGACAGGACUACUAAUAAUGAGGUGGUACUUACUAUAAGCUUAUUGAUGCCUAAUUUAUAUUUCUAAAAUGCAUUAAAUUGCAAUGACAUUAAACUCAAUUCCAGCUUUAAUCUUUGUCCUAGACUUUUUUAAGAAAUGAAUUUUAGAUUAUGUUUCAUAUCAUAUUAAAAAUUCUACUUAUCUAGAGCUAUAAGAUUCUAAUUAAAGUUCAGUGUAUUAUAGCAGAAAGAAAGAUGUCUAACAUUCUUCAAUGGCAUGAUAAUAAUCGUGGAUCAUUAUUCAUGGAUAAAACAAUUAGCUACUGAUUGUGUUUAUGACUGACUUUUCUUGAGUCCUUGUUUAGUUGAUUAUCUGCCUUCAGAAAACUACUGUAUGAGAUAGGUUUUCAACUAAUUCUUAUGUUUUUCUCCUGCUAUUUCUUGAUGGAUGCCUUAUCUUUUUCUAAUUCGUUUGUCAUCUGGAAAAGUUCUAUAGCUCAUUGGAAAAAAGGUCUAUAGCUAGUUUGGCUGCUAGCAUUCCUCUUUAAAAAGAUUGUUCUAUUCUGUAAUUUUGUAUAGCAUAAUGUCUGUAGAAUGUUUCAUAAUCAUUUUGUUUGUAUUUGUAGUAAAUAUGCAUAUAUAUAUGCAUUGUAUUUGUGUGCCAAAAAAUCACCUCGUUGAAUAUGCUUGCAGAAAAAGGAAAAUGGCAAACGAAGGAAGGAGGAUCAUUCAGCAAGGAAAAAUAAAGACCAAAGGGUAUUUUUUUUUUUUUUCAGAAUCUUCAUGCUAGUACAAUUGAUAUGUUCAAUGUACUUAUAAACUGCUUUAUAUUUCACAAUUGUUCCUUAAAGUAUGUCUUCGGAAGAAAGUUCUUUCCCUGUGAUCGUUUCUUGAAUGAAAUUACCUAGCCCGUUUGGUAACUUUUGUAGUUUCUUAUUCUCUCUAUGAAUUCUAAAUCUGUUUCCUAUGGUCACUGAGUUUGUAGUUUCUAAAUCUGUUUCUCUAUGAAUUCUAAAGCCCGUUUAGGCUUUCUUGACAUGACAGUUGCUUCAAAUAUAUAUAUCACUCACUACUCCUGUGAUUGUUAUACACUCAUCAUCCUUCAUUACACAUGCAUAUUGAAGUUCUUGAAAUAAAGGUGUGCCUGAAAUGAUUCAAGCAGGAGGCAACCAGAUAACAAAUCAAGGUUACAUAAGUGGCUGGUAUAUGUAACACAAUUAUGUAAUUUCCACUGUGCCUUAGGUGCAUGUUUAAUUGACUAUCUGAUAAAUAAAGCUUGAAGUCUUGGGCAUAGCUAGAUAUGGUUGAAAGUUAAAACUUGUGCAGAGAAGGUCUACUCCAUAGCGUGUUCAACCCAGAUAGAUCUUUUGCAUGAUAUUCCACACUAAUUCUUUCUUUUGUUUUUUUUUCAAAGAAAUUUCUUUAUGGUAUUAGGUGUUUUUGUCAAUGCUUUAGCUUAUCAUUGUUAAGCUCAGUUGGUGAUGGGAGUGGAACUGCUAUUCCUUCCCAUUAAAAGUUUCCUUAGCCCUAAGUGUGUAAUUGAGCCGAGCUGAACCCAAAUAGUGGCAAGCUCAAGCUCGACUUGAAAUUCGGGGCUUGAUACUCAGCUCGGGGUCAAUUGAGCAUCAAUUUCUAAGCUCGAGCUUGGCUUGUGACAUAAUUGAGCUACUCAAGCUCGAGCUUGAUUAAGUUCAUUCAUAGUUGGAUUAGCAUUGUGAGCUGUUCAAAUAGACUAUUAUAGUGCUUGAAUUUGGUUCGACCGAUAGCUCAAGCUGCUUGAGCUUGAGUUUCGUUCAAUAAUCACCAAAUUGAAUUUGAGUUUUUUUUAGUUAAAUUUGAAUAGCUUGUGAACACCCGUGUCUCAUUUACACCUCUAGUCAGUCCUCUUGUUUAUGCAUUCAUCUAUUUGCAUCUCAUUUCUUUUCUUAGUAGGCUACUGUUGUUUUUGUAACCUCAAGUUUGAUAGCGACAUUGUUUCACAGGAGAAGGGUAUGGAUACUUCGGCAAAGUCUACACCUCAUUUAACAACUAGACCUAAUGGUCCUUCAUAUGCUCUACCAAUGAUCCCUAUGGACAAUGAUGAUGGCAUCCCAUAUGAAGGUUUGGUUAAAACAUAUAUUAGAGAGGACUUUACUGUUUUCCAAUAUAAAAAUUACAGCUGGGCAGAAACUUUGAGCUGAAAAUUUUAUGCUCAAUCAGCGGAAAUAAAAUAGCCAUGUUUUUAUUUUAAAAAUUAUUCAUUAGCAUGCACCGUAAUUCUUUGGAGCUGACAAGAGUCAUGGGCACGUAGAGCAUAAACCUUACAUUGAGUUUAAAAUUUACCAACAGAAAAGUGUAUAAUCAAUUUGCUUUCUUUACACUUUUUUUUAAAAAAAAAAAUUAAGAAUUUGAAUUGUCUUUUCAGCCAUUGGUGGUGUGACGGGAGAACUGUUUGAGCAAAACGCUCAAAUGUUUAUUCAGAUUUCUGCAAAUUUCGCAGCUUUCCAGGUGAUGCAUAUAGUUUCAAUAGAAUUUUCUCCAUAAUUAUGUGCUACAGAGACCUGCUCUUUUUCUGAGCAAAUAUGUUCUAAUUUUGCAUUCAUUAGUGCUGCUGUUGCUUCAUUUCAUUUUAUGUGGUUGAGAUCUCCCUCUCUCUCUUUUGGUUUUUAUCUUGUCAAAUAAAUCAUAUUUCGUUGGAGUUGAAAUCUUUAUAUUAUAUUCCUCUAGAACUUAAUAUUUUUUUAAUCCCUUGCUUAUAUGUGGUCAUUGUUGAUUUUGAUUGAAAGUGGCAGCAGGGUAAAAUAAUGGAAUGAAAGGGGGGGAAAUCAACUUCAUGUACUUAAUCCCCUAAUAGCUAAUGGCUACUUUAUUGAUUGAUAUUGUUUCCAUUUAUUUUCCAUCCAGGUACAUGAUAAUAUAAAUCUCUUAUGCAAAGCCCGGGACAAUAUCCUCACGAUCAUGAAUGAGUAUGUACCUCAAUGAUUUGAUUUUUCUGUUUUGUCCAAAUUAGAGAUUUCUUUAAUAUAUGUUUUAUGCUAAUAGGACUUCAUCAUAAUUGCUUUUUUAUUGCACGAGUGCAAGUCUAGAAUCAUUCAUUUCCAUGUGAUGUGAAAUGGUAUUUUUAUGGCAGUCAUGGACUCUUUUUCUUGUCAACAGUACAUUCUAUUAAUUUAUUUAGUUUCCUUCAUAGGAAAUGAUGAACAGAAAAAGCAGUCUAGGCUGGCAAGCACUGUUUUAAUGGUAUUAUAGGGGAGGGCAUUUCACAUGUUCUAAUAGCAAACUAAAACUAAUUUCUUAGUAAUGAAAAUGAGAAAAUGAUCCUAGUACUUGUCAAUCUGAGGCAAUAGCCGUAAAAUUUUCUGUUGAGAGUAUGGUUGGUUGUUUUGGCUUCUCAGCUUCUUUUUGGUAGCUGUUUUACUUUCCUGUGCAUGCUACUACACAUUUAUAAAAGUUUUACCUAUCAUUAAAGGACUAGCUAUUUUUCACCAUGUGAGAUGUUAAAAGUUAUAUAUCACCUGAUGCUGAUGCAAGAUAGAUGGCUUGUCGGACUAAUUAUCAAGCGACACUUAAGUUUGUUAUGUUUUUGCUGAGCAAAGUUAACAGCCACUGAUGUACAAAGAUAAUUCAUAUUUAUCAUUAUGUGAAAAUUCUGAAACCAAAAUUGAGCAGCAAGUCAAAUUUUUAGCUUUCCUACCUUGAUGUCUAAAUGCCUAUGUCAUUGUCAUUAAGAUAUUGGGUUUAUUGUCUACCCAAAGUCAAGAACUUGGAACAACUUGCGGGAUUCAAACUCAAAUUGCAUGAUAGCUAGACCCAUCCAAGGGCUGGGCUACACGUCUGACCAAUAGGUUUGGCGUCCUAAGUUGGGCUAGGAUAAGGUGUUUUUAUUUAAAACUUUAAUGAUAAUAUGGAUAUUUUUAUUUAAAUUUAAUUAUAAAUAUGAAUCUUAAUAUAAAAUAUAGCAAAAUGAGUUAUUCGGGCUUGUCUGGGUGCAGCCUGAAUGAGCUUGGGUAAGAGAUUUGAAAAUUUUCCAGGGUCCAAGCCCUGGCCGCCCAUGAGCACCUCUACCAGAAGCCGUUUGGGUGAUCAGUUUUUUCUCCCAAUAGCUGAAUUAGAGUGGAAAAUGGCAUAAGCAAAACUCCUUGGAGCAUGUAAAUAGGCUCUGUUCUGUUCUACCAUCUGGUAGAGAACAAUUUUGAAAUGACAUUUUGUUGAGGGGAGGUCAGUCUCGGACCCUCAAACAGUGGAUAUAUUGUGUCCGAGCAAUACCUCAACUAUUUGAGGGUCCAAGACUGACCUCCCCUCAACACAUUUGUCCUCCAUAUUGAUGCGUACACCUAUCCUUGUUGCAAGCUAUUUUGUUAAAUAAAUUGGCACUAGUUUCAUUUGACAUUUGGUUUGUACAGAAUUCAUUAAGCUAAGGUUGUAAGUCGUAAGGGUCGAGGAAGUGAAAAGGUUAAGACAUUUCCUGCUAUGUGUAUAUAUAUUGUUAUAGAAUUCAUAUGGUAUCCUCUUCAUAGUUUAGGCAUUGACUAAAUUAUAUAAAUUAUGCAAACGCAUGGGGGCUGACCCCCAGCUAAGCCUGAUCCUUUAUUUCUAUUUUGAUUUACCCCCGACUGGCUCUGGAGCUGCAUAGAUGAUUAGUUUUUGGAACAAGGAUGAUGAGCCUUGUAAGGACCAUGGAUCUUCAUCUCUUCCUCUCUCAAUCUCCCUAUAUUUAGUGGAAAGUCGGACAGAGAUGAUCCUUUUGUGUAGCUUACUGUUUUGAUAGAGGGGAAUGAUGAGAAAGUUCCAUCCCUCAUGAAUGCAUUAUUUAUUGUCUUAUAUAUAUUAUCUGCAGUAAUUCAACGAUUGUUUUCAUUUUUUACCAGUUUGAAUGAUCUGCCAGAGGUAAUGAAACAAAUGCCUCCGCUUCCUGUUAAGGUGAAUGAAGAACUAGCCAACAACAUCCUCGGUCAUUCAUCGCAUCAGAUGAAAUCAUGAUUCGGGGCUCUUACUGAUUUCUGACCAUUUGUCUCAGGGCACGGAAUACUCAAGUAAAAUCCGAAAGACAAGGUAAAAAAGAAAGAAAAAAGAAAAGAAUAAUCUGGCCCCCUUAUCAUUUUAUCAAAAUUAAAAUGGUUUUCCAUGUGUGUUAUUUCUGAUAAAUUAGAAUGCAAAAGUUCCAUUUUUCACCCCAUGAUUUAUAACUUUGCUUAACUUUUAUUAAUUUUAGGAACUAUUAUUAGUCAGCGUAGCUUGUGGAUAUAUAUGUAGGUGUGUAGAACGAAAUCCCUUUCUGUACUAUCAUCAUUGCUUAUAUUAGUCACUCACCCGGGCUCAGAGUUGAGUGCCGGACACCUGUUAUGUGUCGACGCAGGUAAACUCAUUCUUUAUUAAGAAUUUUUUUUCAUACAUUUAAAAGAUUUGUGUUUCGCAUGCAUAUCCGAACAUACAUCGAAUGUACCAAAUACACAAUACAUUAAACCUUGUGUAGCUGGAAAGUUUGGAAUGGUUGAUAUCACAGAAUUGUUUAGAGGAAUUACCAAAAUGUAACAUUCCUUCCCUAGAUUAGUAGGUCCAAGGAUGUUGGAUAAGUAUUCUGUAACUACAAACGAGUUCAGCUUGAAUUGUUGACAUGAAACAAUAUACUCGAAUGUUGCAAAGUUUAUAUAAUAUCAACUUUUCACGUUUUAAAAAGUUUAUAUAAGUAGCCUCAAGUUCCGAUGUAAUAAAAAUUUGAAUACAAGACUGACAUGAAUUGCUAGGUUUACAUGUUUCCUUAAUAUGACGUUAAUUUUUAUUAAUUUAAUGCAUGGUUGAUAAAAUAAUUAGACAGCUACAUAUGUGCUGACCCAAUGUGAAAUAUGGUUGACUGGAUGGAGGGUGAUUUAAUUAUUGUAAAUUCCUUAUGUAAUAGUUUCUCUCUUUUUUCGGUUUUCAGUCUAUUUUAAAAUUUAUUUCCAUUUUUGGUCUUAUUCACAUGUUUCCUUGUGAUAUAAACAAAUACAUGCCUGUGAAGUUCAAUAUUUCUUAUCGAAAUCGAGUUUUUUGUUCGGACACUAUUAAACUCGAUUAAUCAAGCUCAAUUUCUAUGAUUCGGCAUAAGUUCAAAGUGAGGUUAUUUUUACUAUUAAUUAAAAAUAAAAGAUUUUAACAGAAAGCAAACAAUAAUUAGGCCUAAGCCUACAUGUUAAUUAAAUGCUAAGAAAUUCGAACUCAGAUGAAUGAGCUCAAGCAGUUCGAGCUCAACUCAAUAACGAUUAAAUUGAAUUCAUUUUUCAUAUUAAGCUAAACUUGAAUAACUUGAGAGCAUGACUAUCUCAAUUAUACCCCUAUUCAAAAGUAAUAAUUAAAAAAAAAAUCAGUUAUUUUGCGAAUUGAAGGUAGCUAUCAACAUGGCAGGAUUACAAGUUGUUAAGUAAAACAGGAAUACAUAUUUAAGUAGGCUUCAUCACUAAACAUUUCUAAGAACGUAUAGCAAUUCAAGUAUCUGAGAAUGAAAUCCCUUAAGCACAGUGCUAAAAACUUAGAUGAUCAGCUGAAUCAUUCGGAAGACUGCGAAUCGAACCAUAGAAUACAAAACAAGGUGAAAUUUUAUGAAGCUAGUUGUUAAAAGUAAUAGAUUUUACCCAACGUAUAGAAGUUGAAUCCCACAGCAGUUCAAGUCCCUUUCCCUUGCUGAAUUUGUUGAAGAAGAGCUGCUGCCAAUUGUAAUGUUGCUUGCAAGCGUUUCUGCGGAUCGCCAUCGCCUUCUUCUGGUAGGCCGGUACCUUGCAGUUGCUGACUUCUUUGAGGUGCUUGAGAGACUGCUGCAGCUAAAUUUGAUGUCUGCUGCUGUUGUAACUGUUGCAGUUGAGAAUACUGAGAUGUUGAAAGCUCCGGAACAGGCUGGUUAUUCUGUAAACCGUAUCCCUGUGAUUGUCUCAACAUGUCGGAGUGGUGCAUUGUGUUUGCAUGUCGAAAACUCUCCCCGAUUGAUGCAUUUGGAGCAUUCCCAACCUGUCCUUGUUGCCCGAUAAGAGAUGAUGCUAGUUGUGCUAAUUGUUCCGGUUGAAGGGCAUUACUCGGCAUAGAUAAAGGGACUGAAGAUUUGAAUUCGAGCAUAGAUGGCUUGCUAUUUCCAGGAAAAGGAAUCCCAGAACUUCCAGCGGUACUAGUAUAUGUUUCUUGCACUGCUCUUGGCAUAAAUGAUUGAUUCCCUUGAAUUGCCGGAUCAAAGCUGGGAACUUGAGAGAGAGCAUUUCUGGUGACAGAAACUGGAUGCUGCUGAUCUUGAGAAGACCAGCCUGCUCCAAACAUAGCGUUUUGCUCGGGUGCAUAAUCACGCCUCUGUUCACUAUACAUGUCCGAUAUAUUUCCAACCGAAUGAGCAGAUGCGGAAAGUGAAACAGGUGGAGUUGAUGUGGCCCCAUUCCCUGGAUAGGAGAUGUCUUUAAUUCCUUGCCUACUUAAUUCAGGAUAUGUCAUAGAAGGAAAUGACCCUGAAGCUGUUGAUGGCUUUGCAUAAGAUGCAUCACCAUGAAAAGGUAACGAGUUUGCAUCACUUCUUUCAUUCAGAUGUGCAGAACCGAGAGUGGAACCAGAAUGCUCUAAUCUCAAAACAACACCUGAAAUGCUCAGUUUCCCAGGUACUUUCAGUACUUUCUCGGAAAAAUCAGAUGGAGGUACAAGAAACAAAGUGGUCAUAUCAUCUAAUUUAGCAACAGCCGCUCGCUGCUUCUCUCCCAAGUAAUUCAUGAAUUCGUUAUAGAAUCCCAUGUCGGCAUCACUUUCAGGAACAAAAAAAACAACCCAAGCACUAGAUGCUUGAUAAUAAUGCUUUGCGAGCAUGUCUAAACCUGUCCUUGCUGUGCAAUCUAAGAAUUCAGGCCUGCAGCAUCAAGGUCGGGUAAUCAGUAAUUCGAGGAAGUCCAAAGGACUGGCAGGAAACGGAAAUGGACGCUAUCAGAAAUACCAUGUGAUGCCCCAUGAAGUCGGAAAGAUUCAUUAUUUUUCAUUAGAAAAAAAAAUUCAACUUGAUUUUUGGAAGAAAUCUAAAAAAUAUUAAACAAUAAAUAUGUGCAUAAAUAGUUGCAGAAAUCCUCCUCCAUGUUGUAUCAAAUUGGACAAUAAAUAAUUAAACCUUUAAUCCAUCGACUACAAAAUGACAUUAUCUGUCAAUUUGUGGCUUGAAACAAUGAAUUGAAUAACGGAAAUAACACAGAACAACUCUAUUUCACAGGACCUACUUUAAAGCUAAUGGAGGAAUUAAUAAGAACAAAUGUUAACUAUGAGAAAGGAUUUUGUACUACUUACAGCAUCAUGUCGAGGACUUUUCCAACAGGAAAGCAGCGAGCACGACAAACGGGUGUUCCACCCUUGGCUAUUGUCCCCUCCCAUUUCCACUCUUUCAAAGAUGGCUGAUCCAUCUCCUGAGUAAAUCUUUUCCUCUCAACUACGUUUGAUUGUAGAGAACCAGAACCUACCGGAAAACCAUCGUAAGAUGGUUUCCAGUGAUCAUUCCUUUCUCCACGAGUUGGAGUGAAACUUGUUGGACGAUCCGGGAUCUGUUUACACCCCAAAGCUGCAGGCUCAAAGUUCUUAUCAAAGGCUUCAGGUUGAGGAACAUCAGAGAGCAUCCUUGGAAAAGCACGUUUUUCUUGUUCAAGAUCAGAUAAAGAGUACUCUGGUAGCUCUUUCUCAGGUGGAAAGGAACCAGUUCUCAAUUUCUUGGUUCCAUGGACGUGAUAAUGGUCUUCAGGCAUAUCCCAAGGCUCUUCAUAGAAUGCACUUUUCUGAGGUAAUUUUGGAGGAUAAUCAUGGUACCUCAUUGGACUUUUACUAUGUUCAUACAUAUCUUGUGGUACUCGAGGAUCAGGCUCCCCUUCCCCAAACCUCCAGGGUUCAUAUGUGCUUCCACCACUCCAUGAACUACCUUUCCUCUUGAAACUAUAGACAUCAACAUCACCAGAAUCGUAAUUUGACAUAUAAGGAGAUCUGAUACUUGCAUCUUCUGUUUCUGCAAAACUCCUGUCAUGCAGAAAGUUCUCAGAAGACCCCAAGCGACCAUUUGACCUGAAACGCGGAGAGUUGGGGGCAUUUACUGAGACCCUUCCACUGUUGGAUGAUCCACCCUCACUCUUUGCAAAACAAAUGUGCACACGAGGAUUCCCAAAUAACUUCCCCUGAAGAGUUUCUUUUGCCCUGCAAGCUGACGAUAAACGCCUAAAGCGAACAAAUGCAUAACUACGUCCUGGAAACACAGUAAUCUUCUCUAUCUCACCAAAGGGGGAGAAAGCCUUCCUCAAAAUCCCUUCAUCCACUUUCAAUAAAGCUGGAAAUCCUAUCCAUAAGACCUCACUAGGAUCUCCACUUCUAUCAUUCACCUUUGAUUUGUCAAGGGAAAAAUGUUCAGGACUAGCACGACGUGCUCUAUUGUCCCUUGGUGAGAAAGGUGACCCUCUUACUUUAGAACGUUGCUCAUCUCGUCGUGGCAAGUAGUCCUCAUCACGUGAUGGUGUUGAUGACUUAUCCUGUAAUUAAGAAUAUCACCAGGUAAGGGGAAAACCAACCCUUACUAAAGCAAUCUCAUAUCAUUUUAAUCCAGAUUGAUCAAGUCCAAAACAAAAAGGCUACAGAAAUCCAGUGGAUGGAUAUGGAGCAAGAAAUUAAGUUAUGCAUCAGCACGUGUAACCAUUUCCAGUAGCAAACACAUUCUACAGAUGUAUUGAACUAUGGUAUUGCAAGCUUCUGAAGCUAAUGAAAAAUAGCCAGCCACUGCACUAGUUCUACUCAAGAUCCUCCUGCCACAAUAGUUAAGCUGGAAGUAAAAACACCUAAUAGGCAUCGUAUUGGAGAUUUUUGACUAAAUUUAUUGUAAGACAUACCUUUUUGGACAUGUGAAAUGCUCUAUAGGAUAAGCCCUAAGGAUUUGUAAACUUCAUAGUAAUUUUCUUUUAACAUUCUCAUGAAUUAAUAGUUUUGACUUUUGAAAUUUAUACUUUUUUUACAAUCACUAUGCUCCCUUUUCAAAGGAUCAACUACUUAUGACCUCUAAAAAACAAUAAUAACCAAGCCUCUAAUAGACUACUACAAAAUUUGAUGGGUGGCGAUUUAUGUUCAUUAUGAGCACUUGCUCUAUUCAAUCACAUGCAUACUCCAAAUGUCCUAACAAAUAGUACAAAAGCAACUAAACUUCCAUCAAGCAAGCCCCAGUAAAGAAAUAUGAUGCCCCUAGUGCUCAAAGUAUGGGUCAGAAACAUUGGUAAGCUAACAACACUUUCCUUUACACAAAAAGGACAUCUCCCUGCCCUAACAACAAAAUAUUUGCACACCCACACACAUCUCAUCAUAAGUGAAAACUAUGCCAUGGAUUCACAGCACAGUAACAAACAUCAUUGCAUCGUAACUGUGAGUCUGCCACAAGCACAUGUAUGCCUUAAAGUUUGCUGAAAAGACAGACAAAGAACAUAUAAACCAUGCUGUGAAACUGAGAGAUGCAUCAUCAUAAGUAGAAAACAUAAAUCUUGCGAAAAUACACGUCUUUUCAUCACUUCGAUCACUGAGGUUUGUAGAACAGUGAGUCAACAAUAGUUUCACAGUCCUGUACACCUUGCCCAAAGAACUCUUACCACAAGAUAUUUCAUAUUGGAGUUUUGAGUUCUGAGAAUAUUAAAUAUGGAAAGCAAUGGCAGCCUGCUCAUUGUAUAAAUCUUGACUGAUAUGCACAUUGAUUUUGUUUAUACUUGGAAUAAUUCAAUUAUAAUCUUGAAGACAUAACAGCUACAUUCAGUACUACCUAGAACUUCUGAUUUCUUUUCUUUUCUUUUAAUUGUCCUUUUUGGCAGGAAUCGAAUCUUGAAAAACUAGACAGGCGUAUAAGAUAAUAACUAUGAUAUUAAUGAUCAAUUCAACACAAAAAAGUUACUUUUCUCUUAGUAAUUUACAAUUUGAACUUAACUUAAGGGGUUGUUUUAGAUUCCAUAUAGGUAAUAAGUAGAAUGAAAUAUAUAGUAAAAGUAAUGACUAAUUAUCAUUGAAUUCCAAGGUUUACAAACAGCCCUCCCCCCUCAUAAUGCUAAUGUUCACAAGAUUAGCAAUGUGUCCUGAGGCAAAUGAAUGGCAUGAGGAAGACGGAGUACUCGUUUGUAUCUUAUGUUGCAUGAUGCAUUGAGUGGAUAGUGAUUCUGGAUUUAUGCUGUCCCUGCUAAAAUGGAAACAUUUCAGAGAAAAUACAGAUAUGGAACCUGGAAGCAAGCUUGACUGUUAGUUGGCACAGACUUUGGAGACUUUGUAGAUCAGGUAAUGGCCCUGAAUUUAUGGCUCUUGUUGGCACUGGUUAUGCCAUCUGUUCUUACUACUAUCUAUUAUCAUAAAUCAAUGCCAAUGAUUUUCCUUCUACACCUUCCACUUUCCCAUGCAGUGCAUGAUUAAGUUUUUGAAAUUUCAACAUAGAAUGGUGCUUCUAUCCAAAAUCUAGUAAUCAUCAAUUCCAGUCGCUUUUAUCCAUUUCUCUUGGUUCCAUCUUUCCUAUCAGACUUUAUCUUUAAGACAUUUAAUUAUUUCAUUAUUCUUGAUGUGUCCAUCAACAAGGGCACAUAUUAGGACUCAAGUAAGAUUUAUUGCUAGCAAAGAAAAGGUUAAUGCCCCCUGAAACCUGUUAACAUUACAUUAUCAUCAGUUAUUCACUCUUACUUAAACACAAACCAAGGUAUACUUCAAGAUGUCAGCAGACAUGUGAGUAUUCUAGACCCCAUAGCACAAAAAAGGCCUAGAAUAAUUAUUGGAAAGACAAACUACUUCACUAGAAAACCUAUUUUAUUUUCAAGCGUCUGCAGGUGUGAGCAUAACUAUGGAUAUGGAGGUUAAGGAACAUAUUUUAUGCAGGAGAAAUAAAAGAGCUGUCUUGUGUCAGUUUUCUAUUAUUUCUUGUAGAAAGUUUUCAGAUUGCUGCACAGGAUACAAUUCCAGUAUCAAUAGCAUUGAUGAUGACACUGUUAUGUACAUUGUUCUAGGUCAAUAAUCUUUAUCCAUCAUAUUCAACAAUUUAACUUCCAAAAGCUGUUUUCCCAGCGAGAUUAAGUGUGAUGAAUUGAUCUAAAUAAGUAUUGUAGCAUCUAUUCACAUUACCUGUUUUGCUUGGCAAUAUGCAUGAAAAAAUUGCACAGGAUGGCAUCAGACUGAGCAACAUUGAACGCAUGACUAGGUUCCAGAAUAAGACACCAAUUAAUUGGUCUGAAAUUGAUGAAAAUUAACUGCUAAUCAAGUUUUCCAAGUCGCUAAAAGCAACAACCUGACAUUAAAUGGAUUGUAACCGUGCAAUUUAUGCUGAGUGCUUGGAAAGAACGGCAGAGCAUAUAGCAAAGCAAGGAAGACAGAUGACAAAAGAAUGCAUCCCUUGUAAGAAGAACCCACUUAGGGUUUUAUGGUGAAGGAAAUGUCUUUUGAAAUCUGAGUGGUGCAGUGGAAGUGAACAGCACUGUUCCAAAAACUGCAUCUUGGAAGAAAAUGCAACCAACACAUUGUGAUCAUGGAAGUGGGCAGAAAGAACUAUUACUCUUAUUUUGAUUUUUUUAUGUGAUUGUUCUUGACAUAAUUGAGAUUUAUGAACCUGAUAAUGUACAGUUAUGGUUAUGAAUACUCUAAGGCACGAAACUAAUUGCCAGACCAGGAAAGUUUUGUAGGAUGUUUAUGUAAUUGGGAAGAGCAUGCUAAGCCUUAUUAAACAUCUUAACACAUGAAGCUCACUUCAGUUUUUAUCAGUUGCUAUUUACAGCAAACUUUGCAGAUGAAAUGGUGCUGUGGUGGAGGAUAUUAGUUUCUUAAAGUUGCCGCUAUUGAGAGAAGUAAACAAAUUGUAAAGAACUUCCUCACGAAGAACUAUAUAAUUUAAGUGAAAUAGAAUCUUGAGUAUGAUGUUUUCCCUUUAUUCCUGACAUGAUAUUUGUUGUUAUGGAAUGAAUCUCCAAGAAUAUAAGCAUCUGAGGUCAUUUGGGUUGCGGAGCUCCAAUGUUUCCAUUAUCUCUAACCAGAAACUUUGAUGGAAAUUGCUAGGAAUCCACAACCAAUUGUUCAAUUAAAUGGACUGCAAAUACUAUUUUCUUUAUUUACAGGCUCUUGGUUGCUAGUUCUGCUGUUUGCUUGUGCACUCUCAAACUUUCUUAAAAAGAAAAAGGCUAUUGAAACACAAAAUCACAUUUUAUUUACAAUGACCAAUCAAAUACUUGUAAAAGAAAAGACCAAUCAAAUAACAAUAUUAAACACACCCAAAUAUAAUUGCUCAAUAAAAAAAAAAUUGUAUUCUAUUACGAAGCAAGUUGAACUUUUUGUGUUAAGGAAACAGGGCUACUGCUUUUCGGUUCCAUAAGCAGCAAAGCAAGCAGCUAAACUAAUAACAACCAAACAGAGCCUUAGUUUAAAGCCAAGUUAAUAUCCUUUUCCCAAUUCUAUUUUAAUCUUCAGCUUCUAUUUUUUCUUUCAUGUGGUUGAAUUAUGUUUAUUUUAAGGUCGUGAACUUCUUUUAACUUCCCUGGCAAUCAUCAGCUACUAAACACACAAAUUUGGAAGUUCAAUCAAACUUAAAUUAAUUCCAGAAAGACAAAAAAGUAAUAUUAGUAAUGGUUCAAGACUAACCGCCUUGGCAAACUCAAUCCUAAGCGGAUUCCCCGCUACGGGAAAACCUUGGAGCGCCUUCAUGGCGGAAAUAGCUUCUUCUUCGUUCAUGAAAUUAAUAAAAGCGUAGCUUCGACCAGGCUGGAAUGCCACGCUCUCUAGUUCGCCAAACUGCAAGAAGUGAUCUGUGAGGUCCGGCUCUAGUAUACUGUGCGAUAGAUUCCCCACCCAAAGGUGUCUCGAAGGAGGCGCAUUACCCCGACUUGAAAUCCCCGACGGCGGAUGGUCACGCCGCGAUCUGUCCCUGCCUCCGCGACCAGACUGAAAACAAUUCAUUGAAAUAAUAAAACGAUGAGAGAUUAUCAAAGUGAAAAUAUGAUAAAAGCAGAUAAGAUUGGAGUUGGCAGAUAACUGACCAUGGCGGAUUCUCAGAAGAAUUUAGAUUUUUUUUUUCUCGGAUCGAUUUAGGGUUUGAAAAUCAAUAAAAUUGGGACAGAGACGUAGGGAAAGAAAAUUCUUCUUUGUUAAUUUUAUUUUUUGGGGUUUGGGAUUUGCUGAAAAAUAAAAUGUUUUUUAAAAGGGUGGUGACGUGGCAAUCCCAAACUCCCACCAUAAUUUUCCUUUAUCUUUUCGUGUUUUCGCUUUUAUUUUCAAUCAAAUGGUAAAAGCCGUAAAGGUAAUUCGAAAUUUCUAUUUUUAAUUUUUAAUUUAAAUUUACAGUUGAAGGGAUUUUAUAUAAUAAAAAAUCAACAAUUUAAUUAUUAAUUUGAAAUUCAAAAUAACUAAAAGUAGGGAAUACAAAUUAUCGAUCAAAUUAAAUUGAAUCAAAUUAUUUCUAUUUAAUUAAAUUUUAGUUUGUAGGUUUGGAUGGGCGGUGGGGGUGUGGUUCGAUGUAGUACGUCUAAUUUAUUUUUUAUUUAAUGUUACAGUAUCGCUAUAUCAUCUAAUCUCAUCACCACCAUUGUUUUUACACUAACCUCAGGUAAACGCACCACCCAUCCAAAUCUACCCUUAGUCUUGUUUUGAUUUUCCAAAUCGAAUAAAUUGACUAAAUACCUUUAAAUUAGUCAAAUUACUACAUUUCAUUCAAAUUAGUCAAAAAAAAUUAUAUUUUCGUGAUAGUUUUAUCCUUCAUGUUUGGGGCUUGUGUUUUUUCAAUCUAUAUUCUCUCAUCUCAUUGAGAAUGCAAUGUAAUAUUCUUUGAACUCAUGUUAGAUUUUGCCAUAAAAUUCUCAUAUUUGAAUUUCUUUGAGAUGUUGAUUAGUAUUUUCAAUAGUGUCAAGGUUUCAUAAUAUAUGAAAUAAUCUCAAUAUUAUGUAUUCCUCGAGUAAUCUUUUUUUUUGAAAAUUUUACCAUUAUUUUUAAUGACUUUAAUUCAUUUUACCUAAACUAUAACAAAAUAAUAAUAACAACAAAUAAAUCAAAUUUCUUUUGAUAUAUUAUUCAAGUAACAUUUCAAUUAUAUCAUCCUGAUUAACCAAAGACUUUGUCCCCCUUGAUGACAAUGGGUACAACAAAAAACCGAAGCAAAAGAGUCGAUUACCUUUUCCAUUACAAAAUUGUUAAUAAACCGUAAUAUAUACAUAUUUUUACCCUAAGCAUGGCAUAUUUAUGGAUGAUUUUUCCUUGUUUUUAUUAAAUUCGAUGAUCCUAAUCUUUUAAAUUCAUGUUGUAUACUCAGGAAAGCUUAGGAUAGCAAAAAGAGCGAGAAACGAGCUAAAAACAGACCAAAUGGGCCUAAAAUAGUGUUUCACACGGUCUAAGCACUUCCACACGGGUGAUCCACACGCCCGUGUGUGACACACGGGUAUACCACACGCCCGUGUGUCAUGGCCGUGUCGACAUUAAUCCAAGUCAAAAUUGCACACAACCUGAGCACCUUCGCACGGGCAUGGCAUACGGUCGUGUCCUUAUCGAGCCCAAGUCUAGUUCUAAUUGGAAAAGGCUAAUUUUAGGCUAUUUUGGGCUUUCGAAAGUCUAUAUAAACACCCGAGAAGAGGAUUAGGGGGACGCACAGCGUUGGAGGUAGAAAGUACUCAAGAAUAGCCAUCGGAAUCACCUUGGAGCCAGGAUCUACAUCAAUACUGAAGAUUUCCAUCCAAUUUGCUAGAAGUUCUUUGGGUUUCUUUAUGUUUUGUUGUUUUCCAAACUUUGAAAUGUUUUCCAUUAUUAUUAUGAACUAAACUCCCAAAAUACCUAAGGGAGAUGAACCCUAUGACGAAUCUUAUUACUAUUUGAAUUAUAUGAUAAAAACUUAUUCUUAUUUUUAAUUGUGAGUUCUAAAUUCUUGUUUUAAUAUUCAGGGGUAUUAAUUCAGGUUUUGAUAUGCUUAAUCAGUGGAGCAAAAGUCCCUGUUUAAGAGUAGAUCAUUCAUAAUUAAGCGGAGUUGAAUGCAAUCCUAGGGAUAGGACGACAUAAAUCUGCCGAAUUAGAGUCAAAUCUAAUAAGGGAAUCCAUAGACCGAGUUAAUGCGACAAUAGGGGUUUUAAUUAGAAAGAGAUUUCAAUUAAUCAACCUAAAGUCAGUUGUUCUUAGUCUCGAGAGAGAUAUUAACAUAAAUUAGGAAUUUCUACGGAUUAAGUUAAGUGAAUAAAUUGUCUAAUUCAGAAAUAAUAAGUGAAGUCUAGGUGGAUUUUUCCUUGGAUAUUGUCUUCUCCAUCGGUUUUUCCUAAAGUAUUUUCCAAACUUCAUCUUUGUCGUAAUCUUAGUUAAUUAGAUAAUUAGUUUUAGUUUAAAAACACACUUUAAUUCUUAGGCUAGAUAAUAAAAAUAUAGUAAUUACUAGUACUUUUAGUCUUCGUGGAUACGAUAUUUCCGAUCUCACCAGAACUAUACUACUAUUCGAUAGGUGCACUUGCCUUAGUCGAAUUUAUAGUUAGUUUCACGACCAUCAAGUUUUUGGCGUCGUUGUCGGGGACUAAAAUAUUAGGAACGCUUAAUUUUUAUUACUUUAACCAUUAUUUUUAUUUUUAUUUAAUUUUGUUUUGAUUUACUAAAUUUUCUUUUAUUUACUUCUAGCAGGUUUUAAUAGUUUAUGACUAGAAGAAACCCAUCAGGACCCCUACUUUUUGAUAGUGAGAUAGAAAACACAGCUUGUAGAAACCAAAGAGAAAUAAGGCGAAGCCUAUGAUACAUAAAGGAAGGGCAAGAGGACGAUAUUCAAACCACAACCGAGUAGAUAGCUGAUAAUCAAGAUAAUCCAUUACCUCAUGUGGCUGUUGCGAACCUAGUAAAUCAGAACCCUGUUCCUCGUACUAUGUAUGAUUAUGCUAAACCUACUUUAACAAGAACUGAAUCGAGUAUAGUUAGGCCUGUUAUUGCUGCAAAUAAUUUUGAACUGAAACCUAACACAAUUCAAAUGAUACAAUAGUUUGUUCAAUUUAAUAGAUUGCAGGAUAAGGAUCCAAACACUCAUUUAGCAAACUUUUUGGAAUUUUGCGACACUUUUAAGAUUAAUGGCAUUUCUGACGAUGCCAUUCGUCUUCGGUUGUUUCCAUUCUCAUUGAGGAACAAAGCUAAACAGUGGUUAAACUCGUUACCAUGAGGGUCAAUCACAACUUGGGAACAAAUGACCGAAAAUUUUUUAUUAAAAUAUUUUUCGCUGGCUAAAAUGACUAAAUUAAGGAAUGAUAUCUCUUCUUUUGUGCAGAUAGAUUUAGAAACUCUUUAUGAUGCAUGAGAGAGGUACAAUGACUUAUUGAGAAGGUGCCCUCACCAUGGGUUACCUCUAUGUUUACAGGUUCAAACUUUUCACAACGGUCUGAGUCCCUCAACUAGACAGAUGAUUGACGCAACUGUUGGUGGAACUAUUAAUAAUAAGACACCUGAAGAGGCUUAUGAGUUUAUAGAAGAAAUGUCACUCAAAAAUUAUCAAUGGCAAGUUAUGAAGAUAAAGCCGACGAAAGCGGUUGGCGUUUUUAAUGUUGAUUCGGUUCCUAUGCUCUCUAAUCAGGUAGAACUUUUGAAUAGAAAAAUUGAUGGUUUACUUGGUUCUUCACGGGUUCAUCCAGUGAUGCAGUGCGAUGCAAGUGAAGGUGGAACGAGUAAUUCAGAAUACCUACCCUAUGGCCACAACAUGGAAAAUGAACAAAUGAAUUAUAUGGGUAAUAAUCCUAAUCCUCAAAAUAAUCUCUAUAGUAACACUUACAAUGUAGAUUGGAGGAACCACCCAAAUUUCUUCUGGGGAGGCCAAGGGAAUCAAAGGCCACCACCCCCUCCAGGCUUCCAAUAACAACCUUACCAGUAAGAGAAAAAGCCGAACUUUGAGGAGAUGAUGACAAAAUUUAUUUCAGUAGCAGAAAUCCAUUUUCAAAACACUGAAACUGCACUUAAAAAUCAGCAAGCAUCGAUCCAAGGGCUCGAGAAUCAAAUUGGAUAGCUGGUUAAGAUGAUUUCAGAGAGACCACUAGGAAGUCUACCUAGUAACACCGAACCCAAUCCAAAAGAGCAUGUGAAAGCAGUUACACUAAGGAGUGGGAAAAUGUUAGCUGAAUCUGAAAAGAAGCCACCACAAUAAGCUGACAGAAACGAAGGAGAGGAGGUAAAACCCGAAAACAAUGACAAUCCAAUGCCAAAGGAAUAUAAACCACCAAUCCCAUAUCCAGCAAAGUUGAAAAAAGACUGCAUAGAUGCACAAUUCGGUAAAUCUCUUGAACUUUUUAAACAACUGCAUAUUAACUUACCUUUUGUUGAAGUUAUAUCGUAAAUGCCUAUAUAUGCAAAAUUUUUAAAGGAGCUUCUAACAAAUAAAAAGAAGUUUAAAGACCUAUCUAUAGUGGAAUUUAACGAUGAGUGCUCGGCCAUACUCUAAAAUAAAUUGCCAACCAAACUAAAAGAUCUAGGAAGUUUUACAAUUCCCUGCUUAAUUGGUAGUUUGAAUGUUGAGAAGGCACUAGCUGAUUUAGACGCUAGCAUUAAUUUGAUGCCAUAUAAAAUGUUUAAACAACUUGGUCUUGGGGAACCUAAACCCACUAGGAUGAGUAUUCAACUAGCUGAUAGAUCUGUUAAAUAUCCUAAGGGUAUUAUAGAGGACGUACUUGUAAAAGUAGAUAAAUUUAUAUUUCCUGUUGAUUUCAUUGUGCUUGACAUGGAUGAAGAUGUUGAAGUGCCUUUAAUCUUAGGUCGUCCAUUCUUAGCCACUGUUAGGGUUGUUAUUGAUGUGGGUGAUGGUAAACUUGUCCUUAGAGUAGAUGACGAGGAGGUUAUUUUUAAAAUUUAUGAUGCCAUAAGAUUUUCUAGGGAAUAGGAUGACUCAUGUUAUUUUAUUGACUCUAUUGAUCAUGCUCCUCAAGAUUCUUUUUAGGAAAUUGUACAUAAGAACACGUUGGAACUGUGUAUUACCCAAUGAGAGAAGGUAGAUGAUGAUGAUUCUGAGAUAGGUAAGAUAAAAACUGAACUAAAUUCCAAUGAACCCUUCCCAAGGCAAGCAGAAUAUGAGGGUAUUAAGGCAAACAAUGAACUUAAGCAAAAACCCUCUAUUGAGGAACCUCCAAAACUGGAACUUAACCAAUGAUUAUUGCUUCUAACUUGCAACCUAAGGAGAAAGAGGAAUUACUCAAAGUAUCAAGAGAGUAUAAAAGGGCCAUAGCUUGGAAAAUUUCUGACAUUAAAGGGAUCAGCCCUUCUUUUUGUACCCACAAAAUUUUAAUAGAAGAUGAAUAUAAGCCAUGUGUACAAGCUCAAAGACGACUGAACCCAAACAUGAAAGAAGUUGUUAAAGCUGAGGUAAUUAAACUCCUAGAUGCUGGAAUUAUUUAUCUUAUUUCUGACAGUUCUUGAGUAAGUCCAGUGCAGGUUGUUUCUAAGAAAUGAGGCAUGACUGUUGUAGCCAAUGAGAAGAAUUAAUUAAUCCCAAAAAACACAGUCACAGGUUGGAGAGUUUGCAUUGACUAUAGGAAACUGAAUGAUGCCACGAGAAAAGAUCACUUCCCUCUGCCAUUCAUUGACCAAAUGUUGGAAAGAUUAUCAGGGCACAUGUACUACUGCUUUUUAGACGGACUCUCUAGUUAUUUUCAAAUCCCAAUAGCUUCUGAAGAUUAAGAAAAGACGACAUUUACAUGUCCAUACGGUACGUUUGCUUAUCGUAGAGUACCUUUUGGAUUUUAUAAUGCUCCUGCUACUUUUCAACGCUGUAUGAUAGCCAUUUUUGACGAACUCGUAGAAGACAUCAUGGAGGUAUUUAUUGAUGAUUUAUCGGUAUUUGGUAACUCUUUCCAUCUUUACCUUAAAAAUUUAAAACGAGUUUUAAUAAUAUGUGAGGAAACGAACCUUGUGCUUAACUGGGAAAAAUGUCACUUUAUGGUUCAAAAAGGUAUUGUGUUAGGACAUAAAAUUUCUAGUAAAGAGAUUGAGGUUGAUAAAUCUAAAAUUAAAAUCAUUGAAAAACUACCUCCCCAUAGUUCGGUUAAGGCUAUUAGAAGCUUUUUAGGACAUGCUGGGUUUUAUAGAAGAUUUAUUAAAGACUUUUCUAAAAUAUCUAAGCCUUUGACUAAAUUACUACAAAAAUAUGUGCUCUUUAAUUUCGAUCAGGAAUGUUUAGAAGCGUUUAAUACUUUAAAGGAUAAAUUGAUUAAUGCUUCAAUUAUAAUCGUGCCUGAUUGGAAUUUACCUUUCGAACUAAUGUGCGAUGUGAGUGACUUUGCAGUAGGUGCAGUUUUGGGACAGCGAAGAGACAAGCAUUUUCAACCUAUCUAUUAUACUAGCAAAACUUUGACAGCCACACAAGAGAACUAUACCACCACGAAGAAAGAGCUACUAGCAUUGGUUUUUGCAUUCGAUAAGUUUAGGUCAUAUCUAAUAUUUUCUAGAGUUGUCGUUUAUACUGACCAUCCUGCUCUUCGCUACCUUUUAACUAAGACUGAUGCAAAACCUCGACUCAUUCGAUGGAUUCUGUUAUUGCAGGAAUUUGACUUGGAGAUUCAAGAUAAGAAAGGAGCUGAAAAUCUCGCUGCUGAUCAUCUUUCCAGGCUUGAAAAUUCAAGUACCAAAGAGCAAGAUGAAGUUGAAAUAAAUGAUUCGUUCCCUGAAGAACAAUUCUUUGCUAUAUCUGAUUCUGCAGUAUUUGGUUUGCAGACAUUGCGAAUUUUUUAGCCGCUAACAUUAUCCCAAAAGGGUUGACACAUCAGCAAAAGAAGCGACCUUUUUCUUUUCCGUAUAUAUGCAGAUCAAGUCAUUAGGAGAUGCUUUAAAAGGUCAGAAGCAUUGAAAAUCUUGGAACAUUGCCACUCAGGAUCGAUUGGAGGACAUUACAGUGGAACUAAAACCGCAUUUAAAUCGCUUAAAUUAGGUUUUUAUUGGCCCACGCUAUUCAAAGAAGCCAACGGGUAUGUUACUUCCUGUGACAAAUGCCAACGGACAUGUAAUAUCUCCAAACGUGAUGAAAUGACUCAAACAUAUAUGCUUUUAUGUGAAAUAUUUGACGUGUGGAAAGGAUUCAAACAUAUAUGCUUUUAUGUGAAAUAUUUGACGUGUGGGGUAUCAAUUUUAUGGGUCCUUUUCCUAGUUUAUUUGGGAAUAAAUACAUCUUAGUAGCCGUCGAUUAUAUGUCCAAAUGGGUGGAAGCCCAAGCUUUACCUACUAAUGAUGCUAGAGUGGUAGUACGAUUACUUAAGUAACUCUUCUCUUGAUUUGGAACACCUAGAGCAAUUAUCAGUAUAGGGAUACUCAUUUUUGUAACGCCCAAUUUGAUAAGACCCUUAAGAAAUACGGAGUUUACCACAGAAUAGCUACCCCUUACCAUCCUCAAACUAGUGGACAAGUCGAAGUAGCAAACCGACAGCUUAAACGUAUCCUAGAAAAAGAAUCAAACAGGAAGGAUUGGGCGAUGAAAGUAGAUGAUGCUUUAUGGGCUUAUAGAACUGCUUUUAAGACCCCCAUAGGAACAUCCCCUUACAGACUUGUUUAUGGAAAAAGUUGUCAUCUACCAUUUUUGUUAGAACACAAGGCAUUCUGGGCUAUAAAGUUUUUAAACUUUGAUCUCAAACCUGUAAGUGAAAACAGGUUGAUGCAGUUGAACGAGUUAGAUGAGUGGCGAACUAAUGCAUAUGAGAAUUCAUGCCUAUACAAGGAAGCCACAAAAUGCCUCCAUGAUGCCCGUUUAAAGCAACACAAGCAAUUUGAAGCUGGAGAUCUUGUCUUACUAUACAACUCAAGGCUCAAAUUGUUUCCUGGGAAGCUAAAAUCACGAUGGUCAAGUCCAUUCGUCGUCCAAACUGUUUUUCCAUAUGGCACAGUAGAGGUAAGUCGUCUAACUCACGGCACCUUCAAGGUAAAUAGACAUCGUCUUAAACUUUAUAACGGUGAGGAUUUUAAGGAUAAUAAAGAUGAGCUAUGGCUCCACGAACUUGCCUAAAUAUGUCACAGGGUAAAGUCGACCUUAGACUUUAAAUAAGUGCUUCUUGGAAGGCAACCCAAGCACUAACCUCAUUAAAUAGGGUUUAAUUUUUCUUUAACUGUUCAACAGUUCAACUGCAGGUAAUUUUGACAUUUGACAGGGGCGAACACGGCCUAGACCCACGGGCGUGUCCUAGGCCGUGUGACACCCACGGAGUGGAGACACAGGCAUGCUCGGAAUUGUGUAAACCUUAAGCACUUUAAUGAGACGAUCAACAGUAUUGAACACGGCCCGGACCCACGGGUGUGGACAAGGCCGUGCUGAAAUAGGACUAAUAUUUUUUUCCAAAACAGAGGCACACGGGCUGCGACAAAUGAGCCACAGCCGUGCGAUACGGCGUGUGAAGCCCACAAUUGAGGGACACGACCUUACCACACACCGUGGUGAAACUGCACCUUAAAUUACCCAAAAUUUAGCAGAGACACGGCCUACGAUAAAAAAAACCACCACCGUGUGAGUCGACUGUGAGAGCCACACGGCCUGAUAUACUGGCGUGCGUGAGGUUGUGUGAGGACUUGCCCAAAAAUCGAAACAAUAAACGAAGUUAGGAUAGAACACGAGUGAAAGCCACGGUCGUGCUUAAGGGCCGUGCACAAUCUUGACUAAUGGACACGGGCGUAGAAGAAACAAAGGGAGCACCACAUGACCAUACGAUGUGGCCAUGUAGGGCACACGACCCAGGAACACGGGCCGUGUUCUCAGGCUGUGUGCGACACUGACUUGAAACAUCAACCUAUAAGCUUAAAUAAGGAACACGAGUGUGGGAGAAGUGAACGAACAUACACACGGCCGUGCAACGUGGCCUUGUGAACCACACGGGCUAGGGACACGGGCAUGUUGUAGGACCCUUGUACUAGUCUGACUACGAUUUCAUGAAAAACACGGGCUAAGGACACACCACAAGGGCAUGUGCCACGGCCAUGUGGCCCAACACGGGGCUUACACGAUCGUGGGCCCCAUUUUAAACCCAACCCCUAACCCUAAUUUCCCCCUUCCCUAUUUAAACCAUUCUUUUCCCUAUUCAUCCCAUCACCGCCGCAACCCCCCUUUACACCGUCCGACCACCCCCUAAGCCGAGCCAACAAUGCCCCUAGGCCGCAUCCGUCGUGCCAUUUCUUUCUCCCAAUCGACCCACCACCGACCCUCAUCGGUUACAUCUUAUAUCAUCCUCUUCUUUUCUUUGUUUUCUUUUAUUUUUAUUCUUUCUUUUAUUUUAAUUUUGUCUCUCUUUUAUUCAGCCUUUAUUUAUUUACAUUUAUUUUCACUUUAUUAUGUGAUUAUUAUUUAGUUUAGACGAUUAUUCUUAUUAGUUUGGAAUUCAUUGCCAUGUUUUAUUCUACCAUACUGCUUAUAGGAUCAUCCUUACCAUGCUGCUUAUAGGAUCAUCCUUACUCACUAUUAGGUGCUUUGAAUUUUUAGUUUAGUUUAGUAUAGUUACUAAUCCUUUAUUAUGGCUAAUUUAAUUAGUAUACUAAUGGCUUAGGUAGUAUCCCAUAUAGGACUCGAUUCUACACUUUGAUCAUUUUUCUUAUUAGUAUUUAUUUUCUCACACAUUUAGUCCUAUCCCCAUAUCCUAUCCCACGAUGUAUUUGAUUGGUAUUCCAAAUUUAGUUAUAUCAAUGUUCUAUCUUUUUCAGAUACACUAUGACAAAUACUCUUGGGAAAAAGGCAGUCGUCCCAGUCAAUAAGAAAAGAAAAGGGUCAGGUGCGACCUCCUCGAGUGCAAACACUAAAGUGCGCCACCCUUUUCUCCAGUUCCCACCGGGCCUUCAGGAGGAACUAUUUCAGAUACUACGAGCCCGACCCCUUGGUGUAGGCCGAUGUAUCAAUUGGGCUGCACUAGAACAGAUACACCUAGCUGACGCUAUUCGAGCUCUUCUCGCUACUGCCCCUUGGGACCAGUUCUUUGACAUCAUCGAACGGACUUAUCUGGAGUUCACCCUGGAACUAUGCUCGACAUUUCAUCUCCAGGUCGUCACGACAGAAUUUGACGACCUAGACACUGUUCAGUUUAGACUUGGUGGUUUCUUACGUCAGCUCAGUGUACUAGAGUUUAGUAUGGCCUUGGGGUUGUAUACGAACGAGUUUAUGGAGACCGACCAUUUCUCCCACCUCAACCGCUACACACAUCGUUCACCUGGAUCAUGUUGGGUCGACCUCCACCUUGCUACAGGCAUUUAUGAUCCUAGCCGAUCGAAGGCAUCGGCUCUACCUCCAGCUCUGCGCUAUCUGUACGUCAUUUCGGCACACACAUUAAUGAGGAGGCUAGAAGGCACUGGCGUCAUCAACACUCACGACGCAUAUUUCCUGUGGAGCAUGAGCCAUGGGCACACUUUUGAUCUCGUAUAUUUUGUUGCCCUUGCCUUCCGCCACUAGACAGAACGACACUGAAAUAGAGUCAUCAGCAUCGGCUCAUAUGUGACUAGUUUAGCACGAUAUUUUAGGCUCCUGAGUACAGUGGCGCAGUCUUCAUCGCUCACUCUUAUUGGUCAGAUGUCCCCACAGGGCAUCCAAAGUAUGCUCUAUAUGCGAAUGAUUGAGCGUCGUUGUGGGUUCGACCCUCCUUAGUACCGACUUGCACGAGCUACCGAUAAGGAUGACGCUGAGUAUAUUCCUAAUGAUAUCCCUGCAUUUCAGAAGGACCCACCUUCAUAGCCACCACCGAGUUACUGACCAGUUCAUGCAGCUGCUUUAAUAUCUGAAGUUUCUAACCACCUUCAUCGCUUUGAACAGUAUUGCACUCAGCGAUUCGACAAUAUCGAGGUGACGCUACAACAAAUCUACCAAUAUUUUCACAUCUCGCCUCCAGCACCACCACCUCAUGAUCCAACUGUCGACGAGGACUAUUAAGUCCAUCUACCUUUUAAAUUGCUUUUCUUUUUCUUUUAUCUUUAUUUUGGCAUUUCUUUUGUACUUUAGGUAUCAAUUACUUACAAGACUUUUAUUAGUAUAAUUUGAAUUUUACUUUAUCUAGUUAUUUCAUUAUUCCUAAUCAUAAUAACCAUAUACAUAUAAAUCCCUUAAAUAUUAUCAAUGGCAUCGCAGUUUCAAAACAUUUAGUCGAUGGAUACUAUUAAGGUAUACACAUACAAUCAUCCACGACUACCAUGUCCUGCUCGACUAUGACCAUAGCCACCACGACACCAACCACCACGAUAACCUCUUCACUGGGCACUGUGAUUGUGGAACCCAACCUCUACCACCACCUUUACCUCUAUCUACAUGUCACAUACACAUCACUUUCAAUGCUUCUAAACCUGUUUCCGCUCUUUCAAGGAUUACAUCCAAAUUUAGGUCAGUUUUGAUUCUCUCCCUCUCUUCUAAUCUAAUGCUUAUAUUGCUAUUAUCUAUCUCUGUACAUUGAGGACAAUGUACACCUUAAGUAUGUGGAGGUUAUUUAUGUGAUUAUCAGAAAAUCCCUGAAUUUUUUUUAUCUUGUUCUUAAAUAAUCUUCUCAGAUCAUUAUUAGAGUAAUUUUGAUUGAUCUAUGAUUUUUAUUGAUAUGUUUUGAAUUAAACCAUAGGUGAUUGUGCAUUAAUUGUUUUAACUUUAAGAUAUUAGGGAAUCAAGAAUGAUGAGUUGACUUUUGAGAAAUAAAAUUGCUAGGUUAUUUCCCUGAAUUGAUGUAUUAUCUUGAAGUUUUGAAUUUACAUGAUUGACAUCAAAAACCCAUAAUUUUUGUGAGAUUUUGAGCCUUUAGAGCAUAUAUCUUUCUUGCUCACUGAUUUUAUUGGUUAUGAGUGUGUGAACAUUGAUUUGUUAUUUUAGAACUUGCAUUGAUUAUACAUGUCAAGACCACACCUUUGAUUUGAUAUACGAAAAUGAUAAAUGUACUUAGGUUUUAACCCACCUACCCCAUAAAAAGCCUACCCAUAUAAUUGACCCCUAGUGAACCCCUUUGAGCCUUAACUAUUAUUUCUUGAAUUUUUCCCUUUAAUAUUAACCCAUAACUUAAUCUUUUUUGAUUCAUUAAGAAUUUUCACCUUUUUAUUUACUCCAUUUUUAUCGAGAUUUAAUUUGAUUAGUUACCUUUUUCUUUGUCGUUUAUUCCUGUUGCUGAAUUAUUUCUUAUUAUGUAUUUUUCAUACUUAUUCUUAUUCUUAAAAAAAAAGCUCACUUCAUUUAUUUUGGAUAGUUUGACUUCUGGCACUUGUUUGUAAUUCAGUAAUUAGCUUUAUUUUUCUAAGUUUGGUAAUUUAUUGAGUUAAUCUCGAUUCUAACCCUCCUUUUCAGCCUUAAUCCACAAUCCUAACCCAAGCCCUAUUACAACCCUAUUAAAGACCUUUUGAUUUGUGUAUCAUCUUAUUCAUAGUGGUGGAGAUUUGAUUUUCAUGCAAGCUUAUGGUAAUAACUUUUCAUGUUUGACUAUUGAGUGCUUAAUUGUUAAACCUUAAACAUUUUGAGUGAUUUGAGUGAAUCUUUAGUGAGGAUGUCAACCCUUUUCAAUUUGGAAUUAAAGAUAACUACUUAGAUAAAGGGGGAUGCCUAUGAUUUUAUGAUUAAAAUGCUCAAUUUGGAUUGUUUGUGACUUUAAUGUUCUUCUAGUUAAACUCUUAAUGUAUGAUUACUUGUGGAUUAUUUCGAAUAUUAUUGAUGAAAAUUAUAAGUUGAGAAGGACUUAUUUUAAUUUUGAGUUGAAGAUUUUGCUUGAGGAUAAGCAAAUGCUUAAGCGUGGGGAUAUUUGAUAAACUGUAAUAUAUACAUAUUUUUACCCCAUGCUUGGCAUAUUUAUGGAUGAUUUUUCCUUGGUUUUAUUGAAUUCGAUGCUCCUAAUCCUUUAAAUUUAUGUUGUAUACUCAGGAAAGCUUAGGAUAGCAAAAAGAGCAAAAAACGAGCCAAAAAUGGACCAAAUAGACUUAAAACAGUGUUUCACAUGGUCUAAGCACUUCCACACGAGUGAUCUACACGCCCGUGUGUCAUACCCAUGUCGAUAUUAAUCCAAGUCAGAAUUGCACACGGCCUGAGCACCUUCACACGGGCAUGGCACACGGUCGUGUCCCUAUCGAGCCCAAGUCUAGUUCUACUCAGAAAAGGCUAAUUUUGGGCUAUUUUGGGCAUUCAAAAGUCUAUAUAAACACCCAAGAAGAGGAUUAGGGGGACGCACAGAGUUGGAGGCAGAAAGUACUCAAGAACAGCCAUCGGAAUCACCUCGGAGCCAGGAUCUACAUCAAGACUGAAUAUUUCCAUCCAAUUUGCUAGAAGUUCUUUGGGUUUCUUUAUGUUUUGUCGUUUUCCAAACUUUGAGAUGUUUUCCAUUAUUAUUAUGAACUAAACUCCCAAAAUACCUAAGGGAGAUGAAUCCUAUGACGAAUCUUAUUACUAUUUGAAUUAUAUGAUAAAGACUUAUUCUUAUUCUUAAUUGUGAGUUCUAAAUUCUUGUUUUAAUAUUCAGGGGUAUUAAUUCAAGUUUUAAUGUGCUUAAUCAGUGGAGCAAAAGUCCCUGUUUAAGAGUAGAUCAUUCAUAAUUAAGCGGAGUUGAAUGCAAUCCUAGAGAUAGGACGACAUAAAUUUGCCGGAUUAGAGUCAAAUCUAAUAAGGGAAUCCAUAAACCGAGUUAAUGCGACAAUAGGGGUUUUAAUUAGAAAGAGAUUUCAAUUAAUCAACCUAAAGUCAGUUGUUCUUAGUCUCGAUAGAGAUAUUAACAUAAAUUAGGGAUUUCUACGAAUUAAGUUAAGUGAAUAAAUAGGCUUAAAACAGUGUUUCACAUGGUCUAAGCACUUCCACACGAGUGAUCCACACGCCCGUGUGUCAUACCCGUGUCGACAUUAAUCCAAGUCAGAAUUGCACACGGCCUGAGCACCUUCACACGGGCAUGGCACACGGCCGUGUCCCUAUCGAGCCCAAGUCUAGUUCUACUCGAAAAAGGCUAAUUUUGGGCUAUUUUGGGCAUUCAAAAGUCUAUAUAAAUACCCAAGAAGAGGAUUAUGGGGACACACAGAUUUGGAGGCAGAAAGUACUCAAGAACAGCCAUCGGAAUCACCUCGGAGCCAGGAUCUACAUCAAGACUGAAUAUUUCCAUCCAAUUUGCUAGAAGUUCUUUGGGUUUCUUUAUGUUUUGUCGUUUUCUAAACUUUGAGAUGUUUUCCAUUAUUAUUAUGAACUAAAUUCCCAAAAUACCUAAGGGAGAUGAACCCUAUGACAAAUCUUAUUACUAUUUGAAUUAUAUGAUAAAUACUUAUUCUUAUUCUUAAUUGUGAGUUCUAAAUUCUUAUUUUAAUAUUCAGGGGUAUUAAUUCAAGUUUUAAUGUGCUUAAUCAGUGGAGCAAAAGUCCCUAUUUAAGAGUAGAUCAUUCAUAAUUAAGCGGAGUUGAAUGCAGUCCUAGAGAUAGGACGACAUAAAUUUGCCGGAUUAGAGUCAAAUCUAAUAAGGGAAUCCAUAAACCGAGUUAAUGCGACAAUAGGGGUUUUAAUUAGAAAGAGAUUUCAAUUAAUCAACCUAAAGUCAGUUGUUCUUAAUCUCGAUAGAGAUAUUAGCAUAAACUAGGGAUUUCUACGGAUUAAGUUAAGUGAAUAAAUUGUCUAAUUCAGAAGUAAUAAAUGAAGUCUAGGUGGAUUCUUCCUUGGGUAUUGUCUUCUCCAUUGGUUUUUCCUAAAGUAUUUUCCAAACUUCAUCUUUGUCGUAAUCUUAGUUAAUUAGAUAAUUAGUUUUAGUUUAAAAACACACUUUAAUUCUUAGGCUAGAUAAUAAAAAUAUAGUAAUUACUAGUACUUUUAGUCCUCGUGGAUACAAUAUUUCCGGUCUUACCAGAACUAUAGUAUUAUUCGAUAGGUGCACUUGCUUUAGUCGAAUUUAUAGUUAGUUUCACGACUAUCAAGUUUUUGACGCCGUUGUCGGGGACUAAGAUAUUAGGAAUCUUUAAUUUUUAUUACUUUAGCCAUUAUUUUUAUUUUUAUUUAAUUUUAUUUUGAUUUACUAAAUUUUCUUUUAUUUACUUCUAGCAUGUUUUUAUAGUUUAUGACUAGAAGAAACCCGUCAGGACCCCUACUUUUUGAUAGUGAGAUAGAAAACACAACUUGUAGAAACCAAAGAGAAAUAAGGUGAAGCCUACGAUACAUAAAGGAAGGGCAAGAGGACGAUAUUCAAACUACAACCGAGGAGAUGACUGAUAAUCAAGAUAAUCCGUUACCUCCUGUGGCUAUUGCGAACCCAGUAAAUCAGAACUCUGCUUCUCGUACCAUGUAUGAUUAUGCUAAACCUACUUUAAUAGGAACUGAAUCGAGUAAAGUUAGGCCUGCUGUUGCUGCAAAUAAUUUUGAACUGAAACCUUACACAAUUCAAAUGAUACAAUAGUUUGUUCAGUUUGAUGGUUUGCAGGACAAGGAUCCAAACACUCAUUCAGCAAACGAAGAAUGAAACAUAGCUAAGCAAUUAGUUCAAAUCAAAUCUCGACAAAAAUAGUGAUCAAAUUAAGGGAUUCAACAAUGAUGAGUUGUGGGUUAAUAUUGAGGGUAAAUCAAUUAAUGGCUUGUUAAGCUCAAAGGGGACCACUAAGGGUUAAUUAUGAAGGUAGGCUUUUGUGCAGUGAGUGGGUUAAACCUAAGUACCUUUAUCAUCUCGACAUAUCAAAUCAAAUGGUGUGGUCUUGACACGCAUAAUCAAGCAAGUUCUAGAAUAACAAAUCAAUAUUGAUGUACUCAUAAUAAAAGUGAGCAUGAAAGAAAUAACAUAUGCUCUAAAGGCUCAAGAUCUGACAAAAAUUAUGGUUUUUUUUAUGUUUAAACUUGUGAAUUUCAACUCAAGGUAAUAUUUAAACUUGGGGAAACAACCUAAAAAAUUUUAAUUCUCAAAAAUCAACUUAUCAUGCUUGAUUCCCUAAUGUUUUAAAGUUUAAACGAUAAAUGCAUAAAUGCUUAUGUUUUAAUUCAAGACAUAUCAAUAAAAAUCAUAACUUAAUAAAAAUUCAUUCUAAUAGUGGUAUGAGAAGAUCACAUGAGAACAAAACAGAAUUCAGGGAUUUCUGAUAAUGAUAUAAAAGACCCUCUACACUUAAGAUGUACAUUGCCUUCAAUGUACAAAGAUAGAUAUAUUGAAAAAUCUAGAUCUAUAAUCAUAAGAUAGAGAGAGAAGUGAAACUUCCUGAAUGAUGAAGGAACUCAUUGAAUUGGAGUUAUGGAGAAUAAUUAGCCAAGGCAAUGAUGAGAGUGGAAGAGGAUACUCCGGUGGUGGUAGAGGUUGGGUUCCAUAACCAUAGUGUCCAGCGAAGAGGUUAUCGUGGUGGUCGGGCAGGAUUUAGCAGUCGUGGAGAACCUUUUCCACUGGAGUUGCAAGUUCCUAACUAAUAGUGAGCCUUGGAGCUCCUUAUAACUGUGAUAGAAUUAGGAACUUUUUAGGAAAUAUAAAAAAACAUACUUACUCGUAAAGAAAUAGCCAAAUAAAAAUUAUAAAAUCUCAAGAUAAAAUAGUAUUAAAAGGAAAUAAAAAGUAAUUUCAAAAUAUAAAGAUGAAAAUAAAAUAAAUAAUAGGUGUUUAUAAAGAAAUUGGGGUACAUGACCGUGGGGGAUGCCCGUGUGCCCUCAUUUCAGCCCGUGCGUUUCGUGGUUUUCGAAAUUGGGCAUAUUGGUGCACACGGUCAUGUUGCACGGCUGUGUCAUUCUUUGUUCGCUUCUCCCACACCCGUGUAUGCAGACGCACGCCCGUGUUAUUUUGACAGGCUCGACCACGGUCGAUGGGCGCGGUCGUGUCGCACGCCCGUGUUAAUUUGGCAAGAUAGCCCACGACCAUGUCGUACGGCCGUGGCAACUUAUAGGGUCCUGUGUUGGGGAAAUGUUUUUGCUCUGUUUUCACAUGGCCGUAUCGUACGACCGUGUUGCAUCCUGUAGUAUGUGCAUGGCCUACGGCAUGCCCGUGUGCCUGGUCAUGUGGUUUUGAAAAUCCUAUGUUCAGUUACUCGUUCAGUGGCUCGGGUUGUCUCCCGAGAAGCGCUUAUUUAUAGUUUAAGCUCGACUUUACCUUGUGGGUAUAUUUAGGUAACUUUGUGGAGCCGUAGCUCCUCUUUAUCGUCUUUGAAAUUCUCACCGUUAUAAAUUUUGAGACAAUGUCCAUUUACCUUAAAAGUACCUUGUGAUGGAUGACUUACCUCUACUGUGCCAUAUGGAAACACAGUUUGAACUAAGAAAAAACCUGACCAUCAUGAUUUAAGCUUUUCAGGAAACAAUUUGAGCCUCGAGUUAUAUAAUAGAACAAGAUCUCCAACUUUAAAUUGCCUUCGUUGCUUCAAACGGACGUCGUAGCAGCGCUUUGUCACUUCCUUAUAUAGGCACAAAUUUUCAUAUGCAUUGGCUCGACACUCAUCUAACUAGUUCAACUGCAUCAACCUAUUUUCUCCUGCAAGUUUAGGGUCAAGGUUUAGAAAUUUUAUAGCCCAGAAUGCCUUGUGUUCUAACUCAAACAGUAGAUGACAACUUUUCCCAUAAACAAGUCUGUAAGGUGAUGUUCCUAUGGGAGUCUUAAAAGCAGUUCUAUAAGUCCAUAAAGUAUCAUCUACUUUCAUCACCCAAUCCUUCCCGUUUAAUUCUACUGUCUUUUCUAGGAUACGUUUAAGCUUUCAGUUCGCUACUUCGACUUGGCCACUAGUUUGAGGGUGAUAAGGGGUAGCUGUUCUGUAAAGAACUCCGUAUUUCUUAAGGGUCUUGUCAAAUUGGGCGUUACAAAAAUGAAUACCCCUAUCACUAAUAAUUGCUCUAGGUGUACUAAAUCGAGAGAAAAGUUUAUUAAGGAAUCGUACUACUACUCUAGCAUCAUUAGUAGGUAAAGCUUGGGCUUCAACCCAUUUGGACAUAUAAUCAACAACUACUAAGAUGUAUUUAUUCCUGAAUGAACUAGGGAAUGGACCAAUGAAGUCGAUACCCCAAACGUAAAAUAUUUCACAUGAGAGCAUAUAUGUCCGAGGCAUUUCAUCAUGUUUGGAUAUAUUACCUGUCAUUUGACAUUUGUCACAAGAAGUAACAUACCUGUUGGAGUUUUUCAAUAGAGUGGGCCAAUAAAAACUUGAUUCGAGGACUUUAUGCGCGGUUUUAUUUCCUCCGUAAUGUCCUCUAGUCGGUCCUAAGUGGUAAUGUUCCAAGAUUUUCAAUGCUUCUGUCCUUGUAACGCAUCUCCUAAUGAUUUGACCUGCACAUUUACGGAAAAGAAAAGGGUCUUUCAAGAAGUAGUUUUUCACAUCAGUGAAGAAUCGUUUCUUUUGCUGAUGUGUCAACCCUUUUGGGAUAACAUUAGAGGCUAAAAAAUUUGCAAUAUCUGCAAACCAAGGUACCUCAGAAUCAAAUAUAGCAAAAAAUUGUUCUUCAGAGAAUGAAUCAUUUAUUUCAAUGUCAUCUGGCUCUUUGGUACUUGAGUUUUCAAGCCUGGAGAGAUGGUCAGCCGCGAGAUUUUCAGCUCCUUUCUUAUCAUUAAUCUCUAAGUCAAAUUCCUGCAAUAAUAAGAUCAGUCGAAUGAGUCAAGGUUUUGCAUCAGUUUUAGUCAAAAGGUGGCGAAGAGGGGAAUGGUCAGUAUAAACGACAACUUUAGACAAUAUUAAAUAUGGCCUAAAUUUAUCGAAUGCAAAAACCACAGCUAGCAGCUCUUUUUCCGUAGUGGUAUAAUUUUCUUAUGCGGCUGUUGUUGUAGGCCAAUUUUAACCCAUUUACAUCAAAAUCCAAUUUAACCUUACCUAACCCACCAAAAUUAAACCCAAAACCCAAAAUCUUAACUACCCAAAGCCCAAUUUACAUCAAAACCCCAAUGGCCCAAACCCUAAGCCCAAAUCAAAAUAAAAAAAUCCUAGCCCACAACCUAAACUUUUCUCAACUAAAUCCUAGCCUUUGCCACCACCAACUCCACUAGCCACACUUGCUCCACCACCAACUCCACUAGCCACACUUGCUCCACCACCUACUCCACUAGCCACACUUGCUCCACCACCUACUCCAUUAGCCACACUUGCUCCACCACCACUUGUACCUACAAAUGAAAACAUAAACAAUAAAAAAUAUUUGGUAAAUGGCUAUAUAAGCCUUCUCAUAUUUUGUAUUUAGGAGAGGAAGAAGUUUUGGAGGAGAAAGUUAUUGUAAAGGAUUUUUGAGAGGUUUUUUUCGAGUAAUCAAGGAGAAGAGUUAUUGAGGCUAGUUUUUGGAGAGGCUAGUUUUUUUUUUGGAGAUUGAUCAAAUAUCAAAGCAAAAGAGGUUUAUUGGUCUAUUCUCGUUUUAAGUUCUUUGUUUGCUUAUUAUUUUCCUUUCAGGUUUAUUUUGUUUCUUUUAUACGAAAGUAAAAAUAAAAGGAGGAAGCUUUCCCAUUUUUACCAAAAAAGUUUUUUUUUGAAGUCCGGCUGCCGUGUACGGUGGCACCGACGGUGGUCGGCGGCGGCCCGGUGACCAGACGGUGGCCGGCCUUGUGGCCGGAAAUCACCCACUCACUCCCUCUCUUUUUUUGUUAUUAUUAUAUUUUUUAAUAUUAUAUUAUAUAUAUAUUCUUUUAAUAUAUUAGGUAUAUUCUAAAUUCUAUAUUACGUAUAUAUAUUAUACUAUUUUAUGUAUAUAUCUUUAAUACUAUAUUAUUUAUAUUUUUUUUUCUACAUGUUAUCUUAUGUAUAUAUUUUAAUUAUAUUAUGUAUGUAUUUUUUACACUAUAUUAUGUACAUAUUUUUUUUAUAUCUAUUUCAUACAUAUGUAUAUAUUAUAUAUAUCUUAACAUUACUAGUUAUAUUUUCACUAUUUUAUGUAUAUACUUCAAACACUAUAUAUAGUAUAUUUCUAACACUAUUACUAUUUAUAAAUAUAUAUAUAUUUUACGUACAUACUCUUAAUAUCUUUAUUAUGUAUAUAUUCGUUGUUUUUAUUUCACAUUGGAUACUAUUAUUACGUUUAAUAUAUCGCAUGCAUUGUUAUUAUUUUAAUAUUGUUGUCAUAUUUAUUAUUUGUUUCAAUGUAUUUCCAACUCGUUUAUUUUUGUCUCCCGCCUAUUUUAUAUCAUUUUGUUGUUCAUUACUUUAAAGAUUUUUAUUCAUGUUUUUACUAAUUUAAAUAAAUAAGGCAAUGUUUCGCAUUUUGGAACAUCGAAGAAUUGUGCCCUAACUUACGGGGUUUCGAUUCUCUUGUUGGUUCUAAAUAGCUAAAUAUCCUUUUGAGUUUUGAAAUGCACGGAUUUCCAAUUUAAAUUAAAAGACGACCUUGUGCUUGGGAAUUCAUGGUAUUGUGUCCUAACUUACGGGAUGUGAUACUCCGAUAUCUCGAGAUAAGGAAAUCUUUAAACAAAUCGAUUUAAGCUAAUUCAAGAAUUUUAAAAUUAGUAUUAAUAGAAAAGAUCGUAUUUCAAGUCCCUUCCCGAUUUUUAAUUUUUGGACAUUAAGACACUAACUAAUCAAUUCGGUACCAAUUUUUUGGGGGUGUCGAGGGUGCUAAUCCUUCCUCGCACGUAACCGACUCCCGAACUCAUUGUCUAAAGUUUCGUAGACCAAAGGCCCUAUUUUAGUAAACUAAAAUUGAUUUAUUAAAACAAAGGUGAUCCGAUCACACCUGAUAAAAGAUUGGUGGCGACUCCCGUUUUAAUUUUCAUUUUCAAACAAAGUCGAUCCCUGUUUUCAAAAGAAUGGUUUCGACAGCUUGACGACUCCACUGGGGAAUUCGAGAGUCGAGCCUUAAAUUGAUUUUUUUUUUGUCUUUUUUCAAAAAUCGAAAAUCGAUUUCAAAUUUACUGCAUUGCAUGUUGUCUGUUAUUUUCGCGACUCUCUUCAUAAUAUGCUUGCUUUAAGUGGUUUAAUUCUUUGAGGUAUCUUUGCAUAUCGCAUCGCAUUAUUGGUCGAUUUCACCCUCUUAAGUGGAAGUGAAAAACUACUCAUUCGUGAGGUCUUCACCUCCGUAUAGGAUAGUGGAUCGCUUUCGGGAUACAUCUGUACCUGUUUCUUCGUGGGGUUUUCACCUCCGUAUAGCCAUAGGGAAAUGUAUUCCCCUGAAUCAAACUCGGUCUAUAUGAACCUAUAAUGGGUGAGGAUCGAGGAAUCUGCUGGUUCAGGUACCUUUACUUUAGAACCAAACUACAUGUAAUGAGCCCUAGGAGCCUACCCUAGGUAGAACCACACCAAACCCUAGUGGUUACCUGAUUAGGUGCUUAUUUACUCACUAUUUGCUUUGAAUUCUAUUCUUUGUAUAUAAUACUAACUUGUUGUAUUUUGAUCAUUUCCGCAUGACAUUUCAUCAUAAAAGGGUGUUGAUUUACGUUCGGUUACUAAUUAGAAGAGUUUAGGAUGGAAAAAGGAUAUCUUGAUAGAAUGGAGGAUAAUGCGGCCGUCCGAGUGUGGUCUGAGAGAACACAACAGGAGAAAGGAGAUAGUUUGACCGAGGGAUAUGAAUCGAAGUUGUGGGAUUUCACUCGCAUCAGUGUGACUCAGAACGACCUGCAAGAGUUAAGAGAUAUAUGGAAUAGUUGGAAUGGCGAAGCCAAACAACUCUUUUACUGUAACUAUGGUGACCUACCCUAUUUGCUUGAUGUAAAGGUGGACAAGUACUUGUUCCGGGCCCUCGCGCAAUUUUGGAACCCCGCUUACAGUUGCUUCACUUUCGGAGGAGUUGAUUCAGUACCUACGGUGGAGGAAUACAUGGCGUUACUUAAUUGCCUGAAGAUUCAGGCCGAUAGGGCCUAUUCAAGACCUGUUAAUGUCCCUCCCUUUUUGAAGAAAUUGAUGAAUAUCACGGGGAUGAGCGAGCAAUGGGUUGCGACCUGCAUCAAGCAAAAAGGGGAUAGUAAAUGUAUUCCUUGGAGGAAUUUGAGGGAUUUUAUUCUUGCGCACCCGGAUUCGAAAAAAAUGGUUGAUGUUUUUGCCUUAAGUCUCUACGGUUUGAUUGUCUUUCCUAAAGCACUUGGACACAUAGAUGAAGUCAUCUCAGAUUUAUUCGAUCGACUUAAUAAAGGUACCACACCCGUCCCGGCAAUCCUAGCAGAAACUUUUCGAUCCUUGAAUACAUGCCGGAGAGCGGGCGAGGGAAGAUUUAUUGGUUGCGCACAGCUUCUUUUGGCUUGGUUCCACAAUCAUUUUUGGAAGGUGGAGAAGGUCUCCUAUCGGGUAUUCUCUAAGGAUUAUUCCCCAUUAAGAGAAUUAGUGGCCACAUCGAGGCGGGACGACAUCUCCGAAGAGAGGUGGAUAACUAUUCUCCAAAAUUUACAGGCCGAAGACGUUGAAUGGAGGGCUCCGUGGUUGAUUUCUGACGAGAUCUUAUAUAGGUGCGGUGAUUUUGACUGGGUCUUUCUGGCUGGAAUAUGAGGAGCCAUUGGAUACGCUCCAUUAAUGGUGUUAAGGCAGUAUCGAUCAAGGCAGUUUAUACCGGUGACACAAGGGUUGGCACAAUGUGAGUUCCCCUAUAAAGAAAACAAUUAUAAAAAGAUGGUUCGCGAGAUAUCAGAUGCAUGGAACCAAACUCGAAGAAUGAAAGGAUUCACUGCAGGCCCGAUGACAACCCCCGAGUAUGAAUGGUGGUGGGGUAGGAGAGUCAACGAUAACAUCCCUAGGCAGAAUCAAGGGAACACACAACCGACAGAGGAGCAUUUACGAGUCAUCCCAUCCGAGUUAGAGAUCAUUAAGCAAGAUUUUGAGAAAAGAAACUCGGAGUUGGGGAAGAAGAUAGAGCAGCUAGAAGAAGAUAAAAUGAAGUUGGGGUUAGACGUCGAUAUCCACAAGCUAGAGGCCGAGAAGUUAAGGAAAGGAAAGAACAAGGCCGAGGAAGAUUUAGAUAGUCUGAAAACCGAUUACAAGAAGCUUCGUAUAACAAUAAAAACUGUCGGAUUAGGUAAAACGUCGGAGCAAUGGCGUGAGAUUAAAGAGGAAAAGACUAGAGCCGACCAUUGGGAGAAAAGAUUUCAAGAUGCCCGAGUACGAGAGGACACUCUGAAGAAGAUUUUGUUAGAAACCCAAAAUGAAAAGGAGAAGUUACGAGCUCGGGUGGCUGAAUUAGAAAGAUUACUUCAGCAACAUCAUAGCCAUAAUUUGAUAAUUAAGCUAAAGGCUAGUCUGAGUAGGAUCGAAGAGUUGAAAGGGAAAAUAGAAGAACUCGAGACCGCACUGAGAGAUAUCAAAAUUCGAGUGGAACUUCUUGAGACAAACAACGACCAUUACAGAAAACAGCUUCACCACUCUCAAAACCAGAUUAGAGAUAGAGACUAUGUCAUGGGCGAAGCUAUAGCUCAGGUUCGGGAGAUAGCUGAUCACUUGCAAACCUUGGCAGUUCAGGCUGAUAUAUUGAGCUUAAAGUACGAGUUAGAAUCAGACCGAGGCUGAAGCUUAGCUUGGCUUCUUAGGAAAGUUAAUACUUUGGGCAUUAGGGCGAAGUCGUAUAUGUAAUCAUCCGUUCUAUGUAAAGAAAUUUUUCUUCUAGUGAAGUUCUUCUAAUGAAAUUGAAUUGGAAUCAACGCCUCUUUUUGCAUCCAUUCAUCCAUUCAUUGCAUAUACAUAUCCCAUUAUCAUUCGCUAAGGAUAGAAUCAUAUAAUUCGCAGUUGCAACACUUCAAAUCUGGAACCACGUCAUUCGUAUAAAACGCAUCGACAAGCUAGAGCAAUGGAGGCUGAGUUCAAUGAAAGAAUCGAAAGGAUGGAAAGAGUCCAGAAGGAAUUACAAGAACAACUGGCUAAGUCAUAGCAAGAAACGAGGGAUUUGAUAGUAAGAUCUCGAGAGGAAUCACUUGAACAAAAGGAUCAAAUGGCUAGAAUGGUGGAGAUGAUAUCAGUUUUGGUCAAAGGAAAAUGACCCACGCAGAACCCCGACAGUAUGGAACCUCAAUCAAGAAUUAAUCAUAACCAGGAUCCACUCUAUCCCCCAGGAUUCACUCCACCACAUGCCCACGUAGCACAAAGAGGGUAUACUGAAGGGGAAUCCACAGGCUUGGAACAACGACCUAUGCCAUUUGCUCAUCUAGGGCAAGGAAUAUUUAUGUCAAAUCCCGGAGCAACCCCUGCCAAUCCUGUAGCUCCAGAUUUAGAUGAUCCAGUCGAAAUAACUAAGUUGAAAAUAGAUGAUCAUGAGGCUCAAGAGAAGUAUAGGAAUUUGGAAGAAAAACUCAAGGCAAUAGAAGGCACUGAAGUCUUCUCGGUACUAGGUGCUAAAAAACUCAGUUUGGUACCUGACCUAAUCCUGCCUCCGAAGUUCAAGGUGCCUGAUUUCAAAAAGUACGAUGGGACAAGAUGUCCAAAAGCACAUAUUGUCAUGUUUUGCCGAAAAAUAACUGGUUACGUGAACGAAGAUAAGCUACUUGUACAUUGUUUUCAAGACUGUCUAGUAGGAUCGGCUCUUCGGUGGUACAACCAGCUCAGUAAGGAAAGGAUCCGAUCUUGGGAAGACUUGGCGUUGGCAUUCUGUGAGCAGUACAAGCAUGUAUCAGAUAUGGUGCCUGAUCGGAUGACUUUACAAAUGAUGGAGAAAAAGCCAUCAGAAACUUUUAGACAGUACGCGCAGAGAUGGAGGGACGUCUCAGCCCAAGUGGAACCCCCACUAAUGAAAACGGAGAUAACCGUCCUUUUUAUCAACACCUUAAAGACGCCGUUUUAUGACAAACUAGUGGGAAGCACCACGAAGGAAUUCGCGGAUAUUGUAAUAUCUGGUGAGCUUAUAAAGAAUGUCGUCAAGAGUGGUAGAAUGGAAGGUCAAGAAAGUUCAAGAAGGGUAGCACCCAUGAAGAAGAAAGAACCAGAAGCCUACAUGGUGGAAAUGGGAAGUCGUUAUGCCCCUAAUCCAUAUCCAAACCAACCCCGACCUCGAAGUUAUCCACCUCCAAAUUUCUAUUAUCCCCCUCAAACCCCUUACUACCAAGUACCACCUCCUUCCUACCCUGUAUAUGCCACGAACAACCAAAGACCCGUCACCACAUUCCCACAAAACAUGGUACCCGCUCAAAGCCAGCCCACAAAUGAACCAAGACCAGCAAGGCCUAAUCCCGAGAGACCGUAAUUUACUCCUAUCCCUGUGUCGUAUGGGGAGUUACACCCAAAACUUCUGGAGAAACAGCUGAUUUCUCCCCAUUACAUGGCACCCCUUAAACCUCCAUACCCAAAGUGGUACGAUCCAAACGCUAGUUGUGCACACCACGCGGGGAACCAGGGGCAUUCCACGGAGAUUUGCCUAGCCUUUAAGAGGAGAGUUCAAGGACUUAUUGACGCUGAUAUCCUACGGUUUGAUAGUACCAGUAACGUAACUGGGAACCCGUUCCCUAACCAUGCUGAAGGGAAUAUGAGCACAGUGGGGAAAGAGGACGAAUGGAAAGUCAGAAGAUGUGUUUCGGAAAUAAGGACGCCUCUGCAGAAAAUUUGGGAGGUACUGGUUAAGAAAGGAUUGCUUUGUCACCCCGAUAGAAUUCUCGGAGAAGAAGGUCAAAGUUUUUGCAAUUUCCAUGGAAUUGUGGUAGGACACGACAUUCAGUCGCGUGAGGAAUUUAAAAGGUUGCCUCAAGACCGGAUGGAUAAUAAAGAGAUUAAGGUCCUUAACAAGAGGGAAGAUACCAACGAAAGAGAAGUAUGCACCUCUGACAACCAGUCAUCAGGUCUCCCUUAUAGCGCGGAUCGACCGUUAAUAAUUUAUUACGACGCGACGAAAGAGCCAGUGAAACCAAAAAUGAUAAUCGAAGUACCGCCUCCUUUCCCGUACAAGGACGACAAAGCCGUACCAUGGAAAUAUGACGUCAAUAUCGUCACAUCGAAAGAUGAAAAGCUCAAAGCCAUAACUGGAGAUGUUGGAGAGAUAGGUCAUUUUACCCGAAGUGGAAGAUGUUAUUCGAAAGAGGUCGAACCAGUGAAGAAGAACAGUGACUGAAAGCAAAAAGGGAAAGCAGUGAUGCAUGAGGCCGAAGUCGAGCAAGAAAUUCCACCCGUGCAAGAAACUAAAAAGCCUGUGGAUGAAGAAGAAGCACAGGAGUUCUUGAAAUUUAUCAAACACAGUGAAUACAAUGUGGUGGAACAAUUGAAUAAGUAACUAGAAUGAAUCUCGGUUUUAUCUCUGCUGCUAAAGGUGGAUAAUUUUAUUUCUUUUAGUGAUGACGAAAUACCACCCAAUGGUAGCGGCUCCGUGAAAGCACUACAUGUUACGACGCGUUGCAAGGGCUACAUAAUACCGAAUGUGAUUAUCGAUAAUGGCUUGGCACUCAAUGUCAUGCCUUUGGCCACGCUUUCUAGAAUUCUGAUAGAUCUGUCCUUUUUAAGGCCCUGUCAUUCCACGGUAAGGGCAUUCGAUGGGACAAGGCGUGAAGUUAUGGGAAAGAUUGAUAUCCCUUUAGAAGUGGGCCCUUACAUUUACAAUGUCGAGUUCCAAGUUAUGGACAUCACAUCCUUAUAUAACUGUCUUCUUGGAAGGCCCUGGAUCCAUUCUGCUGAAGCAGUUCCAUCCUCUCUCCAUCAUGGAUGGUUGUUUGGUUACUGUCGAGGGAGAAGAAGACAUUAUCGCAUCUAUCUCUGCUGAUGCGCCAUAUCUUGAAGUAAGCAAAGACGCAGUGGAGUGUUCCUUCCGAUCUCUUGAAUUUGUUAAUGCCACUUUUAUCGCUGAGGGAAAUAGAAUUUUGGUGCCAAAACUAUCAAGAAAUACCAGAAUGGGUGUCAAGUUGACUAUAGGAAGGGGAGCUCGAGCGAGAAGAAGUUUAGGGAGAUAUCUGCAAGGAAUAGUCAGGGCUCUAAAGCCAGUACACCACAAGGCUCGAUACAGUUUAGGGUUCUAGCCGGACAUGCGUCAAAGAAGAAAUUAGUGGAAGGAAGAUCAGGAAAGAAGGAUCGCGAGAACAUUAGGCCGAGAACCAGAAUGGGAGCCCAUGAAAUUCCCUCAUUUGUCAAGAACAUUUACGUCUGCGGGAAUGAUAUACCCAGGGCAGUAUAGUGCACAAAGCACAAUGUUAAUGAUCGAAGAGAGUUUUCAGAAUAUCAGUAUAAAUGUCAUUGACAAAGGAGCUGACGCGAAUAAAGACGUCUCAAAGAUACGCCAUUGUCUCCCGGGUUUCAUGUUGAACAAUUGGACUGCCGAGGAUCUUCUUGUAGUUUAUAAGUCUUCAGAGUAAUGCUCAAAUGUUAACAUUCUGUUAUGUCCUUAGAUAUAAUAGAAUUCUUUUGUAAGAGCUUGCAUUCGCUCUUUAUCAUUUAAAUGAAUAUUAAUAAAGAUGCAUUUUGUCACGAUUUUUUUGCAUUAUCACUAAUUCCAUAAUCAUUUCAUAGCCUAUCUUUACAUUUGCCUCAUGCCAUACCAUAACAUUCAGUUUGUUGGUUUCAAUACUUGGAUGCCCCUCUAUAGUUUCCUUUUCCAUUCAACUUUCAGGUGCUCAGAUAUCAAUUGCAUGAACAAACCCGUUACGAGUCCUGAAAUCGAUUUUGAGAAGGCUGUUUGUUUAGGAGAAUUCGAAGCCGAAGAAAAUGCUGAAGACUAUGUCUCGUCUCCUGACUUGCUAAGAAUGGUGGAACAAUAGGAUAAACAGAUUUUGCCUCAUCAAGAGUUUGUUGAAACAAUAAACUUGGGAGCUGAAGAAAGGAAGCAAGAAGUGAAGAUUGGGACCUCUAUUUUAGGGGGCACCAGGCUUAAUUUGAUUACUUUGCUCCAUGAGUACAAAGAUGUAUUCGCAUGGUCAUAUCAAGAUAUGUCAGGAUUGGAUGAAGAUGUAGUGGUCCAUAAGCUCCCAUUGAAGCCAGAAUGCAAACCCAUUCAACAAAAGCUAAGACGGAUGAGACCUGAGAUGUUGUUGAAAAUAAAAGAGGAAGUCAAGAAGCAAUUUGAUGCUGGCUUCCUACAAACCUCCAAAUAUCCAGAGUGGGUGGCCAACAUAGUUCCGGUACCAAAGAAAGACGGCAAAGUACGAAUGUACGUGGAUUAUCGUGACCUGAAUCGAGUAAGUCCCAAAGAUAAUUUUCCCUUACCACACAUUGAUACGUUGGUGGAUAACAUAGCAAAACAUUCAUUGUUUUCUUUCAUGAAUGGAUUAUCGGGGUAUAAUCAGAUCAAGAUGGCCCCUGAAGAUAUGGAGAAAACUACCUUCGUAACAAUGUGGGGAACAUUCUACUACAAGGUGAUGCCAUUUGGGUUAAAAAUUGCUGGGGCAACAUAUCAGAGGGCUAUGGUGACGUUAUUCUAUGACAUGAUGCAUAAAGAAAUAGAGGUCUAUGUCGACGAUAUGAUUGCUAAAUCCCGAGGGGAAGAAGAGCAUGUAGUAAACCUGAAGAAGUUGUUCGACAGACUGAGAAAGUUCCAGCUAAAGCUCAAUCCGGCCAAAUGUACGUUUGGGGCUACCUCAGGAAAAUUACUUGGCUUCAUUGUCAGCGAGAGAGGCAUUGAAGUUGAUCCAGAUAAAAUAAAAGCCAUUCAAGAGUUACCACCUCCGCGCACGCAAAAGGAAGUCAGAGGAUUUUUAGGGAAAUUAAACUACAUCGCCCGAUUUAUCGCUCAACUUACCAACCAAUGUGACCCAAUCUUUUGACUCCUUCGAAAACAUAAUCCCGGGGAAUGGAAUGAGGAGUGCCAAGUGGCUUUUAACAAGAUAAAACAGUAUUUGUCUAGUCCUCCAGUGCUAGUACCACUAAUGCCGGAAAGACCAUUGAUAUUGUAUUUAACUGUGUUCGAGAAUUCAAUGGGUUGCGUACUGGGGCAAAAUGACGAGUCCGGAAAGAAAGAAAAGGCGAUCUACUACCUCAGCAAAAAGUUCACUGAAUAUGAGGCAAAGUAUUCGUCCAUAGAAAAAUACUGUUGCGCUCUGGUUUGGGUAGCUCGAAGACUCAGGCAAUAUAUGCUGUAUCAUACGACAUGGCUAAUUUCAAAGUUGGACCCAAUAAAGUACAUGAUGGAAUCACCUGCACUCUCAAGAAGAAUGGCACGAUGACAGAUCUUACUAUCAGAAUAUGAUAUCGUCUAUGUGAGCCAAAAGUCGAUAAAAGGGAGUGUAAUAGUUGACUUCUUAGCAACUCGAACAACGGAGGAAUACGAGCCAUGGAGAUUUGAUUUCCCAAAUGAAGACUUGAUGUGUAUUACAGAAAAAGAAUGUGAGUCAUCAAAAAAAAAGUCAUGGAAGAUGAGUUUUGAUGGUGCAUCGAAUGCAUUGGGGAAUGGGAUUGGAGCAGUCUUAGUAUCACCAGAAGGAAACCAUUACCCACUCACUGCCAGGCUGAACUUUUUCUGUACCAAUAACAUAGCAGAGAUUCGAAACUGGUCAAAUACAGUGAUCUAGUGGCAGAGCUGAUUAAAGAAUUCGAAGAAAUAACUUUUAAUUACCUCCCACGAGAAGAAAACUAAUUGGCUGAUGCCUUGGCCACAUUGGCUUCAAUGUUCAAAGCAAACAGAGAAACAAAAAUAAUGCCUCUUCAAAUGAGCAUAUAUGAAGUCCCUGCACAUUGUUUCAGCAUUGAAAAAGAGCCAGAUGGACGGCCAUGGUUCCGUGAUAUCUUAGAAUAUAUCAAGAACCAAAAGUAUCCUGAACAAGCAAAUGAGAAUGACAAAAGAACAAUCAGAAGAAUGGCAGCGAGAUUUUUUCUUGAUGGGAACAUCUUGUACAAAAGAGGAAAAGAUCAAGUACUCUUGAGAUGCGUAGAUGCUGUUGAAGCCAGAAAAAUACUUGAAGAUGUCCAUGAGGGAAUUUGUGGGACACAUGCCAAUGGUUUCACUAUGGCCAGGAAGAUUAUGAGACUCGGUUACUACUAGCUGACGAUGGAAAGCGACUGCAUUAGUUUUGCAAGAAAAUGCCACAAAUUUCAAAUUUAUGGCGAUAAGAUUCAUGUAGCCCCUUCGCCCCUUCAUGUCAUGACUUCUCCGUGACCCUUUUCUAUGUGGGGCAUGGGUGUUAUAGGGCCAAUUUCCCCAAAAGCUUCUAAUGGCCACUAGUUCAUUUUUGUGGUUAUUGAUUACUUCACAAAAUGGAUAGAAGCUGCUUCGUUUGCCAAUGUGACAAAGACUGUAGUUUGCAGAUUUUUGAAAAAGGAAAUCAUUUGUCGAUAUGGUGUUCCUGAGAGAAUCAUUUCAGAUAACGCCUUGAAUCUAAACAACAAAAUGAUGAAGGAAGUGUGUGAGCAGUUUCAAAUAAAGCAUCAUAACUCGUCACCCUAUCACCCGAAAAUGAACGGAGCUGUUGAAGCAGCCAACAAGAAUAUUAAGAAGAUUAUUGGAAAAUGACUGAGACAUAUAAAGAUUGGCACGAGAAGCUACCAUUUGCUUUGUAUGCAUAUCGCACAUCUGUAUGGACAUCUACGGGGGCAACUUCUUUCUCUCUGGUCUAUGGAAUAGAAGUUGUGCUACCUAUCGAAGUUGAGAUCCCCUCUUUACGAGUCUUAAUGGAUUCGAAACUAGAGGAAGCAGAAUGGGUUCGAGCUCGAUAUGACCAGUUAAACCUCAUCGAAGAAAAACGCUUAAAGGCAAUUUGUCACGGACAGAUGUACUAGAAGAGAAUGAUCGCGGCCCAUGACAAGAAAAUACGGCCAAGAGAAUUCCACGAAGGAGAACUCGUGCUGAGAAAGAUUCUUCCAAUACAGAAGGACUUACGAGGAAAAUGGGCACCAAAUUGGGAAGGACCAUAUGUCGUAAAGAAGGCAUUCUCGGGCGGAGCUUUGAUUCUCACUGAAAUGGAUGGGAAGGAGUUACCGAAUCCAGUGAAUUCAGAUGCUGUGAAGAAAUAUUAUGCUUAAAAAAGGAAAAUCAAGAUGAAAACCCAAAAAGGGGCAUCUUAAAAAAAAGAGAAAAGAAAAGAAAAAAGAAAAAGAGAGAGAGAUCAACGUAAAAACCCGAAAAGGAUGUCUUGAUUAAUACAAAAGAUUAGGAUGAAAACCCUAAAGGGCGUUCUAAUGAAGCAAGCACUGGCUUAAAAAGUAAGGCGUUUUGAACGGUGGGUUAAACAGAGAGACUACAGUAUUUGAAGCAUUUCUGAAAACUCUAAAUCUCUUACGCAAGAAAGCCAUGCUCGAAAAGAUUCUUGAUUGAGGAACGUGGAAGAGUUCAUGCGUUGAAUAUCUAGAGCAUUUGUAUUUGUUGAAAUGCGAUCCCCUUUCUCUUUAUGACACUUUUUUUUACUAGCAUUGAUUAACUUUCUUUGUUUGCUACAUUUGAAAUGAAUAAAUGUGAGGUAUCCUUUUGUUCCUAACUGACCAUUUUCAUGCAGCUCAUUAUGUGGUUCAUUUACAUGAUAAAUAGUGAAAUGAUAUACUCUAAACAAAAGAAGUGUUAAGCAUUACCCGGACAAGAAUUUGAUAAGUACAAGAGCCUCAAAGCAAGGACAAAGUUUAACCAGGGGUAAAAGAGCGAUAUCUGAGAAACGCAGAUUAGUCGUGAAGCUAGAGGAUGGGUACAGGGCCUGAAGAGAAAGUCAAGAGUCAAAACAAUAAACGCAGAUCAUCAAAAAUCAUGACGGAAAGGGACAUAUGACAAGCAAGCCCAAGGCACAUAGCAUGAUCAUGUAGGCAUAAAGGCAUUUAAGGCAAACAUGUGCAUUUCAUGAUAACAUCAUGCAUGACAUAUACAUAUACUUCAGCAGAACAAGAGAUUUCGAUGAUAGCUAUACUGAAUCAAAGGAAAGGACACCUGAGUUCCACCAGAUGACAUCUUUUGGUAUUUUGAUGUUUUUAUUUCUAUCUUUCAAAAAAAUCAACUCAUCUUUUGGUAUUUUCAAUUUCUGUUUUUUCAAUUUAUGCUUUUCAAAAAUCAACUCAUAUUGCGAGAGGUGAGCUGAGCCUCGGGGCACGCCGAGGUAUUUUUAAUUUCUAUUUUUCAAUUUUUGUUUUUAAUUUCUUUUUUUCAAAAAUCAACUCAUAUUACGAGAGGUGAGUUGAGCCUCAGGGCACGCUGAGGUAUUUUCAAUUUCUGUUUUUCAAUUUUUGCCUUACAAAUUCUGCUUUUCAAUCAACUCAUAUUGCGAGAGGUGAGUUGAGCCUCAGGACACGCUGAGGUAUUUUCAUUUUUCAUUUUUUUAAUUUAUGUUUCUAAAAAAAUUAACUCAUAUUGUGAGAAGUGAGUUGAGCCUCAGGACACGCUGAGGUAAUUUCAAUUUUUGUUUGUCAAAACUCAACUCAUAUUGCAAGAGGUGAGUUGAGCCUCAAGACACGUUGAGGUAUUUUCAAUUUCUAUUUUUCAAAAAAAUCAACUCAUAUUGCGAUAGGUGAGUUGAGCCUCAGGACACGCUGAGGUAAUUUCAAUUUUUGUUUGUCAAAAAUCAACUUAUAUUGCGAGAGGUGAGUUGAGCCUCAAGACACGUUGAGGUAUUUUCAAUUUCUGUCUUUAAAAAAAAAUCAGCUCAUAUUGCGAGAGGUGAGUUGAACCUCAAGACACGUUGAGGUAUUUUCAAUUUCUGUUUUUUCAAAAAAAUCAACUCAUAUUGCGAUAGGUGAGUUGAACCUCAAGACGCUGAGGUAAUUUCAAUUUUUGUUUGUCAAAAAUCAACUCAUAUUGCGAGAGGUGAGUUGAGCCUCAAGACACGUUGAGGUAUUUUCAAUUUCUGUCUUUCAAAAAAAAUCAGCUCAUAUUGCGAGAGGUGAGUUGAACCUCAAGACGCUGAGGUGUUUUCCAUUUCUGUUCUUCAAUUUCUGUGUUUCAAAAAAAUCAGCUCAUAUUGCGAGUGGUGAGUUGAGCAUUGACUCACACGCUGAGGUAUUUUCAAAUUCUGUUUUUCAAAUUUUGUUUUUCUAAAAAAAUCAACUCAUAUUACGAGAGGUGAGUUCAGCCUCAGGACACGCUAAGAUAUUUUCAAAUUAUUUUUUUUCAAUUUAUGUUUGUCAAAAAAAUCAACUCAUAUUCCGAGAGGUGAGUUGAACCUCAGAUCACACGCCGAGGUAUUUUCAAUUGAUUUUUAUUUUUAUUUUUUUUUCAAUUUAUGCUUUGCAAAAAUCAACUCAUAUUACAAGAGGUGAGUUGAGCCUCGGGUCACAUACUGAGGUAUUUUCAAAAUCUGUUUUACAAAUUUUGUUUUAAAAAUUAACUCAUAUUGCGAGAAGUGAGUUGAGCCUUGGCUCACGUGCUGAGCUAUUUUCAAUUUCUGUUUUUAAUGUUUAGUUUUAAAGAGUCAAUUCAUAUUGCGAGAAAUGAGUUAAGCUCAGCAUCACAUGCCGAGUAAAGAAUAAAGAAUGGAAUUAAUCGAAGACACAGAUUUUAUAUCCCUGAAGUUACAGUGAAGCUAGUUGAAGUUGCAGUGGAGCUGAUCGAUGAUAUCAGAUCUUACCUUUCUAAAAGUUGCAGAAGAGAAGACCACAAAUUUUAUCUGACUAAAACGAUGGAAGAGCAGAUUAAAGCUGUAGAUCUUAUCUUUUUGAAGUCACCUUGGAGUAAAUCGAAGCUACAAGGCAUAUAUCAGAAGAUGCAGUGGAUUUGAUCAAGACAACAAGAUACAGUGGUUUGGAAAGAGACUACUUGGAUGAGAAGAGCACCAAAGAAGUCCAUACUUAGUAAGACUGGGCAAAAUUGGCCUUUCUUUGUGUCUUUGCUUUAUUCCCGUUACACGAUAAUAAGCAAAGAAGGCAGCUGUUGUAGGCCAAUUUUAACCCAUUUACAUCAAAACCCAAUUAACAUUACCUAACCCACCAAAAUUAAACCUAAAACCCAAAAUCUUAACUACCCAAAGCCCAAUUUACAUCAAAACCCUAAUGGCCCAAACCCUAAGCCCAAAUCAAAAUAAAAAAACCCUAGCCCACAACCUAAACUUUUCUCAACUAAAUCCUAGCCAUUGCCACCACCAACUCCACUAGCCACACUUGCUCCACCACCUACUCCACUAGCCACACUUGCUCCACCACCUACUCCAUUAGCCACACUUGCUCCACCACCACUUGUACCUACAAAUGAAGACAUAAACAAUAAAAAAUAUUUGGUAAAUGGCUAUAUAAGCCUUCUCAUAUUUUGUAUUUAGGAGAGGAAGAAGUUUUGGAGGAGAAAGUUAUUGUAAAGGAUUUUUGAGAGGUUUUUUGAGAGUAAUCAAGGAAAAGAGUUAUUGUAAAGGCUAAUUUUUGGAGAGGCUUGUUUUUUUUUGGAGAUUAAUCAAAUAUCAAAGCAAAAGAGGUUUAUUGGUCUAUUCUUGUUUUAAGUUCUUUGUUUGCUUAUUGUUUUCCUUUCAGUUUUAUUUUGUUUCUUUUAUACGAAAGUAAAAAUAAAAGGAGGAAGCUUUCCCAUUUUUACCGAAAAAGUUUUUUUUGAGGUCCGGCUGCCGUGUACGGUGGCACCGACGGUGGCCGGUGGCGGUCUGGUGACCGGACGGUGGCCGGCCUUGUGGCCGGAAAUCACCCACUCUCUCCCUCUUUUUUUUGUUAUUAUUAUAUUUUUUAAUAUUAUAUUAUAUAUAUAUUCUUUUAAUAUAUUAGGUAUAUUCUAAAUUCUAUAUUACGUAUAUAUAUUAUACUAUUUUAUGUAUAUAUCUUUAAUACUAUAUUAUUUAUAUAUUUUUUUCUACAUUGUAUCUUAUGUAUAUAUUUUAAUUAUAUUAUGUAUGUAUUUUUUACACUAUAUUAUGUACAUAUUUUUUUAUAUCUAUUUCAUACAUAUGUAUAUAUUAUAUAUAUCUUAACAUUACUAGUUAUAUUUUCACUAUUUUAUGUAUAUACUUCAAACACUAUAUAUAGUAUAUUUCUAACACUAUUACUAUUUAUAAAUAUAUAUUUUACAUACAUACUCUUAAUAUCUUUAUUAUGUAUAUAUUCGUUGUUUUUAUUUCAUAUUGGAUACUAUUAUUACGUUUAAUAUAUCGCAUGCAUUGUUAUUAUUUUAAUAUUGUUGUCAUAUUUAUUAUCGGUUUCAAUGUAUUUCCAACUCGUUUAUUUUUGUCUCCCGCAUAUUUUAUAUCAUUCUGUUGUUCAUUACUUUAAAGAUUUUUAUUCAUGUUUUUACUAAUUUCAAUAAAUAAGGCAAUGUUUCGCAUUUUGGAACAUCGAAGAAUUGUGCCCUAACUUACGGGGUUUCGAUUCUCUUGUUGGUUCUAAAUAGCUAAAUAUCCUUUUUGAUUUUUGAAAUGCACGGAUUUCCAAUUUAAAUUAAAAGACGACCUUGUGCUCAGGAAUUCAUGGUAUUGUAUCCUAACUUACGGGAUGUGAUACUCCGAUAUCUCGAGAUAAGGAAAUUUUUAAAAAAAUCGAUUUAAGCUAAUUCAAGAAUUUUAAAAUCAGUAUUAAUAGAAAAGAUCGUAUUUCAAGUCCCUUCCCGAUUUUUAAUUUUCGACAUUAAGACACUAACUAAUCAAUUCGGUACCAAUUUUUUGGGCGUGUCGAGGGUGCUAAUCCUUCCUCGCACGUAACCAACUCCCGAACUCAUUCUCUCAAGUUUCGUAGACCAAAGGCCCUGUUUUAGUAAACUAAAAUUGAUUUAUUAAAAUAAAGGUGAUCCGAUCACACCUGAUAAAAGAUUGGUGGCGACUCCCGUUUUAAUUUUCAUUUUCAAACAAAGUCGAUCCCCGUUUUUAAAAGAAUGGUUUCGACAGCUGUCAAAGUUCUGCUAGCAUAAUAGAUAGGUUGAAAAUGUUUAUCUCUUCGCUGUCCUAAAACUGCACCUACUGCAAAAUCACCUGCAUCGCACAUUCCAAUCAGGUGCAAUUAUAAUUGGAGCUUUAGUCAGUUUAUCCUUUAAAGCACUAAAUGCUUCUAAAUACUCCUGAUCGAAAUUAAAAAACACGUCUUUUUGUAGUAAUUUAGUCAAAGGCUUAGCUAUUUUAGAAAACUCUUUAAUAAAUCUUCUAUAAAACCCAGCAUGUCCUAAAAAGCUUCUAAUAGUCUUAACCGAAUUAGGGGGAGGUAGUUUUUCAAUGGUUUUAAUUUUAAAUUUAUCAACCUCAAUCCCUCUACUAGAAAUUUUAUGUUCUAACACAAUAUCUUCUUGAACCAUAAAGUGACAUUUUUCCCAGUUAAGUACAAGGUUUGUUUCCUCACAUCUUAUUAACACUCGUUUUAAGUUUUUAAGGUAAAGAUGGAAAGAGUUACCGAAAAUUGAGAAAUCAUCCAUAAAUACCUCCAUGACGUCUUCACGAGUUCGUUAAAAAUAGCCAUUAUGCAGCGUUGAAAAGUAGCAGGAGCAUUACAUAAUCCAAAAGGCAUUCUACGAUAAGCAAACGUACCGUAUGGACAUGUAAAUGUCGUGUUUUCUUAAUCUUCAGGAGCUAUUAGGAUUUGAAAAAUAGCCAGAGAGUCUGUCUAAAAAGCAGUAGUACUUGUGCCCUGAAAAUCUUUCCAACAUUUGGUCAAUGAAUGGAAGGGGGAAGUGAUCUUUUCUCGUGGCGUCAUUUAGCUUCCUAUAAUCAAUGCACACAUUCCAACCUGUGACUAUCCUUGUUGAGAUUAAUUCAUUCUUCUCAUUGGCUAUAAUAGUCAUGCCUCCUUUUUUAGGAACAACCUGCACCGGAUUCACCCAAGAACUGUCAAAAAUAGGAUAAAUAAUUCUAGCAUUUAGGAGUUUAAUUACCUCAGCUUUUACAACUUCCUUCAUGUUUGGGUUCAGUCAUUUUUGGGCUUGCAUGCAUGGUUUAUAUUCAUCCUCCAUUAAAAUUUUGCGGGUGCAAAAAGAAAGGCUGAUCCCUUUAAUGUCAGAAAUUUUCCAAGUUAUGGCCCUUUUAUGCUCUCUUAAUACUUGGAGUAAUUCCUCUUUCUCCUUGGGUUGCAAGUUGGAUGCAAUAAUUACCGGUAAUAUAGAAUUAUUUCCAAGGAAUGCAUAUUCCAAGUAUUCAGCAAUUGUUUAAGUUCUAGUUUGGGAGGUUCUUCAACAGAGGGUUUUUGCUUAAGUUUAUCUUUUACCUUAAUUCCCUAAUAUUCUGCUAGUUUUGGAGAGGUUUCAUUGGAGUUUAGUUCGGUUCCUAUCUCAGAAUCAUCAUUCACCCCCUCUCCUUGGGCGAGACACAGUUCCAUCGUGUCAUUGUGUAUGAUUUCCUCAAAAGAAUCUUGAGUAGCAUGAUCAAUAGAGUCGAUAAAAUAACAUGAGUCAUCCUGUUCCCUAGAAAAUCUCAUGGCAUCAUAAAUUUUAAAAAUAAUCUCUUCCUCACCUACUCUAAGUACCAAUUUACCAUCACCUACAUCAAUUACAGCCCUAGCAAUGGCUAAAAAUAGCGACCUAAGAUUAAAGGCACCUAAACAUCUUCAUCCAUGUCAAGCAUAACGAAACCAAUAGGGAAUAUAAAUUUAUCUACUUUUACAAGUACGUCCUCUAUAAUUCCCCUAGGAUAUUUAACAGAUCUAUCAACUAAUUGAAUUCUCAUCCUAGUGGGUUUAGGUUCCCCAAGACUAAGUUGUUUAAACAUUUUAUAUGGCAUCAAAUUAAUGCUGGCGCCUAAAUUAGCUAGUGCUUUAUCAAUAUUCAAACUACCAGUUAAGCAGGGAAUAGUAAAACUUCCUGGAUAUUUCAGUUUGGUUGGCAGUUUAUUUUGAAGUAUGGUUGAGCACUCCUCAUUAAGUUCCACUGUAGAUAAGUCUUCAAACUUCAUUUUGUUUGUUAGAAGCUCCUUUAAAAAUUUUGCAUAUGUAAGCAUCUGCGAUAUAACUUCAACAAAAGGUAAGUUAAUAUGCAGUUGUUUAAAAAGUUCAAAAAAUUUACCAAAUUGUGCAUCCAUGCGAUCUUUCUUCAACUUUGUUGGGUAUGAGAUUGGUGGUUUAUAUUCUUUUGGCAUUAGAUUGUCAUUGUUUUUGGGUUCGACCUCCUUUCUGUCAGCUUCUUGUGGUGGCUUCUUUUCAGAUUCAGCUAACACUUUCCCACUCCUUAGUGUAACUGCUUUCACGUGAUCUUUUGAGUUGAGUUCAGUGUUAAUAGGUAGGCUUUCUUGUGGUCGUUCGGAUAUUAAUUUGGCAAGCUGUCGUAUCUAAAUUUCGAGCCAAUGAAUCUUCGAUUGUUCAUUUUUAAGUGCUGUCUCAGUAUUCUAAAAACAAGUUUCUGACACCGAGAUGAAUUUUGUUAGCAUCUCCUCAAGGUUCGACUUUUUCUUUUGUUAGUAGGGUGGUUGUUAGAAGCUUAGAGGUGGUGGUCUCUGAUUUCCUUGGCCUCCCCAUGAGAAAUUUGGGUGGUUCCUUCAUCCUGCAUUGUAAGUAUUACUAUAAGGAUUAUUUUGAGAUCGAGGAUUAUUACCCAUGUAAUUUAACUGCUCAUUCUUCAUGUUGUGGCCAUAGGGUGGGUAUUCUGAAUUGCUGGAUCCACUUCCAUUUGCUUCGCACUGCAUUACUGGGUGAAUCUGUGAAGAAUCAAGAAAACCGUCAAUUUUUCUAUUCAAAAUUUCUACCUGAUUAGAGAGCAUGGUGACCGAAUUGACGUUAAAAACGCCGGCUGUUUUCGUUGGUUUUGUCCUCAUGACUUGCCACUGAUACUUAUUCAGUCAAAUCUUUUCUAUAAAUUCAUAAGCAUCCUCAGGUGUCUUAUUAUUGAUAGUUCCACCAGCGGCUGCGUCAAUCAUCUAUCGAGUCGAAGGAUUCAGGCCAUUGUGAAAUGUUUGAACCUGUAGCCAGAGUGGUAACCCAUAGUGAGGGCACCUUCGCAAAAGGUUAUUUUAUCUCUCCCAUGCAUCAUAGAGUGUUUCUAAAUCCAUUUGCACAAAAGAUGAGAUAUCAUUACAUAAUUUGGUUGUUUUAGCCGAAAAAUUUUUUUUAAUAAAAACUUUUUAGUCAUUUGUUCCCAAGUAGUGAUUGACCCUCGUGGUAACGAGUUCAACCACUGUUUAACUUUAUUCCUCAAUGAAAAAGGGAAUAACCGAAAGCGAAUGGCAUCAUCAGAAACGCCAUUGAUUUUAAAAGUGUCGCAAAAUUCUAAAAAAUUCGCCAAAUGAGCGUUUGGGUCCUCGUCCUGCAAACUAUCAAAGUAAACAAACUGUUGGAUCAUUUGAAUGGCAGUUCAAAAUUAUUCGCAACAAUAGCAGGCCUAACUAUGCUCGAUUCAGUUCCUGUUAAAGAAGGUUUAACAUAAUCAUACAUAGUACGUGGAGUAGGAUUCUGAUUAAUUGGAUCAGCGGCAAUCGCAGGAGGUAGCGAAUUUUUCUGGUUUUCAGCCAUCUCCUUGGUUGUGGUUGAAGUAUCAUCCUCUUGCUUUUCCUCUGUGUAUCAUAAGCUUCGUCUUAUUUCUCUUCAGUUUUUACGAACUGUGCGAUCGAUCUCACUAUCAAACAGUAAUGGUCCCGAUGAGUUUCUUCUAGUCAUGCACUAUAAAAACCUGUCAGGAACGAAUAAAAGAAAAGAUUAGAAAAGAAAAUAAAAAUUUAAAUUGUAAAUAAAGUAAAUGGCUAAAGUAAUAAAAAUUGAGUGUUCUUAAUACCUUAGUUCCCCGGCAAUAGCGCCAAAAACUUGAUACGUGAUAUUCGUGACAGGUUUUAAAGAUUUAUAAUUAAUCGUUCUUGAAACUAACUAUUAUCACGAUGAAGGCAAGUGUACCUAUCAAACAAUAGUAUAGCUUUAGCAAGACCGGUUUGUCAAACCCAAAGGAACCAAGAGUACUAGUAAUUACUUCCUUUUUAUUAUCUAGCCUAAAAAUUAAGGGGUUUGUUUAUCUAAACUAAUUAGCUAAACUAAGGAUGCACAGAGAGAAAUUGGGGAAAACUUUUGGGAAAAUUCAAUUUAUUAAGACAAUACCUAAGGAAAAAUCCACCUAAACUUCACUUGUUAUUUGACUCUGAAUCAGACAAUUUAUUCAUUUGACUUGAUCCGUAGAAAUCCCUAAGUUAUACUAUUAUCUCUCUCGAGACUAAUAACGUCUAACCAUAAGUUGAUUAAUUGAAAACUCAUUCUAAUUAACUCCCUAGUGUUGCAUUAACUCGAUCUAUGAAUCCCCUUAUUAGGUUUCACCCUAAUCUGGCAAAAUCCUAUCACCCUAUCUCUAGGCGUGCAAUCAACUCCACUUAAUUAUGACAAAUUUACUCUUAGACAGGGUCUUUUCCUCCUCUGAAUAAGAGUAUUAACUUGAAUCAAUAUCCUGGAAUAUUAAAACAAGAAUUAAGAACACAUAAUUAAGAAAAAGUCAAAUAUUUAUCAUACAAUUCAGAUAAUAAUAACAAGAUCUGUUUUAGGUUUCAUUCCCCUUAGGUAUUUAGGGGGUUUAGUUCAUAAUUGUGAAAGAAAACAUCUCAAAAGAAUAAAUAUAACAAAACAUAAAGAAAAUCCAAAACCCCUAAAUGGAAAUUGAAGGGAGAUCUUCAGUCUUGACGAUGAAUCUGACUUCUGAGAUAGAUCAAUUGGCUUCCCUUGAGUAAUUCCUUGCCUCUCACUCUGUGUGUCUCAUUUUGUUCCUCCUUUAGGGUGUUUAUAUAGGCUUUAGAAUGCCUAAGAACCCUUAAAAUUGGCCUUUUUCUGAAUAGAACUAAACUUGGGCUCGACAGGGACACGCCCGUGUGACACGCCCAUGUGUGAGUUGGCUUAGGCCGUGUUCAAGGCUGUUAAAUAGACGCGAACAUGUGGUCUACCCGUAUAAGUCGUGCUCGAUUUUGCCAUGAAGACACGGCCGUGUGAUCAACCCGUGUAAGGAGGUCCAAGCCGUGUUAGAGCCUGUUAACAUUACACGGGCGUGUGGUCUGCCCGUGUAAGGAAGUCCAGGUCGUGUUGAUUUCACAUGUUGGUCCAUUUUCUUCAUUUUUGGCCCGUUUCUUGCUCUUUUUACUCUCCUAUGAUCACCUAAGUAUAAAAUAUGAAAUUAAAGAAUUAGGAGCAUCGAAUUCACCAAAUAUUAGGAGAAACCAUCCAUAAAUGUGCUAAGCAUAGGAUAAAAAUAUGUAUAAAUUACGGUUUAUCAUAAACGCACAUUGCUAAAUGUCACAUUCGUUUUUAUUCAAAGUAAGGCAAUAUUUCACGUUUCGGGAAUUCAAGAAAUCGUACCCUAAUUUAUUGGGUUUCGAUUUUCUUGUUAAACCUAAAAAGCCAAAUAUCCUUUUAGAUUUCAAAAUACACAAAUUAUCGAUAAAGAUUAAGGGCAAAAUUGCUCCCGAAGAUUUAUACGUCGCGUCCUAACCUACGGGAUGUGACACCUUACUAUCUCGGGACGAGUAAGUCUUUGAUGCUCGUUUCAACGUAAUUCAAACGUUUUAAAAUUAGCAUUCAUAAAAUGGAUUGUAUUUUAAAAUUUAUUUUAAAAUCUUUUCAACUUUCAACAUUAAGACAUUGAUUAAUCGAUUAGGUACCAAUUUUGGGCGUGACGAGGGUGCUAAUCCUUCCUUGCACGUAACCGACUCCCGAAACCAUUUCCUUAAUUUUCGUAGACCAAAAUCAUUGAUUUUAAUAAAUCGAAAUAUUUUAUCAAAACGACCAAAUUUCUAGAUGAUCCAAUCACACCUAAAUAAAAAUUAUUGGUGGCGACUCAAUUUUCGAUUUUUUAAAAUAGGCAACGCCCUUUAUUCAAAAAAAUGGUUUCAACACUUGAUAUUUUGAGAUAUUUUUUUGGGAUAAAAGGGAACUCGUAACUCUUUUGAAACUAACGUCAACAACUUUAAAUCCCUUUUUCUUUGCCUUUUCCACUUAUUUUUCAAUUUUUCCCUUUACAAAUUGUUUCUGCCCACACUUUAAAUCGAGUUCGAGACUUGACAAUUCUAAGAUUAUCAUCUAAAAUUGUAGAUUGAAAUCUUCACAAAUAAUUGUAUAAUAAAAUCUUCAAAAAAAAAUGCAUAAUAAACAUCCUAUCAGGCGGGUUAGAAAAUUUGAAAAAGUUGAUAUUCUAUAUUAAUCAAACAAUUAUCAAAAUUGAAAAAAAAAAUCGAUCAAAUUAAAAGAAACCCAAAAGGGUUGAGCAUGUUUUGAAUAAUCAAAGCUUGAGAUAUGUCAGUUGGUGACGGGAAAAUUGCCACCAGUAGUACCAAGAGUGGAAGCUGAAGUGAAACAUGAAUGUCACUAAGCAUCUCCAACAUUAGUAAUGUUCUAACGCCUACACACCUUCACUUCCUCCAAGUCCAUCUCUUGCCGUAUUUUUUGGUCGAUAAUCACCACCACACCGACACUACUUCAUUCUCUUUUUGUUGCAAUGUUUAAAAUCUCGCGAUAAUAUCAGUCCGUCAUUCACUUUGAAAAAGUGACCAACGGUCAAUCUUAUCUAUUUUGCUGGUGGUUUAGAAAAAAAAUACAAUUUUAGGCUAAAAUACAAUGGUCGAUUUAAAAUUUCCUUUUAAAAAAGGAAUUGUAUGUUUAGUAGGCAUGCGAACAGACUGACUGUAUAUAGCAAACUCCCUUUUAAUUCGGACACCAUUCUUGCUUACAACCUCUAGAAUCGAGAUUUUUCCUCCAUGGAAUCACUAACUUUCCUGCUUGUUUCCCCUUCAUUCCAUCUCUUUUCCCAGAAACCAAACACCCCUUCAAAGUUUAAUCUCCAUUGCUUACUCUUUACUCACCAUUUUCUUGUUUUUUGCCAAGACCAAUCUCAGCUGGUUUUGCUGUCAAUCUCAAAGGUAACCUUUCUGUUUUUCCAUGAUCAAUCCUAGGAUACCAUUUUUGAAGGUUACAAGAGAAAUUGAAUAAUCGAUCCCAUUUGAAUGCAAAAACUAAGGGUUAUAUAUUAUCCCUUGAAGUUGCUCAACGAUGGCGUUUCAUUUCCCCAUUAGAGCUCAAUCAGCUCGAAAUUCCGCCAUUUAUGCAGAGAGAAUAACCGAAGAACCUCCCCCUCAAAUAAACAACAAACACUCACAAACCACCGUCACGUUGAUGUACCAAACCAACAUGGCUGGCUAUUGGCGUAACGUUACCAUCAUUUGGUGCAAGAACGUCAUGAACUAUUCUCUCAACAUCAUGGUGAACAACACGGAAGGCGACAACGUCCAUUCAACUUGUAAGAUCGAGCUUAAACCAUGGCAUUUUUGGAGCAGAAAAGGGUACAAAUCAUUUGAAGUUGAAGGCAAACCAGUUGAUGUUUAUUGGGAUCUUCGUUCAGCCAAAUUCACAAGUGGCCCCGAACCAGUUUCGGAUUACUACGUCGCCUUAGUUUCAGAUGAAGAAGUUGUUUUAUUACUCGGAGAUUACCGUAAAAAAGCUUACAAAAGAACCAAAUCAAGGCCAGCUUUGGUUGAACCAGUACUGUUUUACAAAAAAGAAAACGUUUUCGCCAAGAAAAGCUUUGCGACGAGAGCUAAAUUCGACGAGAAAAGGAAAGAACACGACAUCGUCGUCGAGAGCUCAACGACCGGUCUAAAAGAUCCUGAAAUGUGGAUUAGUAUGGAUGGGGUUGUUUUAAUUCAUGUGAAGAAUUUGCAGUGGAAGUUUCGAGGGAACCAAACGGUUCUUGUCGAUAAACAACAGGUUCAAGUGAUGUGGGAUGUUCAUGAUUGGUUUUUUAGUAGCCCUGGAACUGGUCAUGGAUUGUUUAUAUUUAAACCCAUACCGGCUGAAUUAGCCGAUUGUAGUGAUAAAGAAGGAAGUAGCCAUGGCGGUGACAGUGAUACCAGUACUGGAAGCUUGUAUUAUUCGACGAGAAGCCCUACAGUGACGACAGCGGAAUUCAGCUUGUUUCUUUAUGCAUGGAAGAUUGAGUGAGUUGUUGUUGUUGUUUUUUUUUUAAUUUUAAUGUUGCAAUUGCUAGGGAGAAAAAAACAAAAAUGUGCAGGCAAAUUCUCUGCAUGUAUAUAUAUGUUGUAUUCUUUGAGUAUUGUAAAUUAUAUACUCUUAUAAUUUGUUUGGAAAUUAAAGUUAAUUAGAAGAUAGGCAAUAUAGGCAAUUUGACCCAUUCAGAGAUGUAUAUAUAUAUUGAAAAGUGAAAUCAAUUAAAGAAAAUUCAAGAACCAAUACAAGAUAAAGGAAGCAAGUGGGCACCCCUGAGCUCAACAAUGGCAGCCAGACACACCCAACAGGGAACACAACAAAAUAAACACUGGAUAGGAAGGUAAAUUAAAAAACAAUCACCAAUUCAUUGGAUCUAUUAAUCCCAAUUCUGGCGAGCAGAUCAGCCUCAAUAUUGAAGGCCCUCGGGAUAUGGCGGAUAAACCACUUCGAAGUAAAGAAAAUGUUCAAGGCUUCUUUGACGGCAACCACUUCUGCCAGCAAAGGCGCACAUACCCCAACAACUUUAGAGACUACCAACCGAGUAUUCCCUUUCUCAUCACGAAGGAUCCCCCUACCCCACCAAACCCCGAAGAGCCCGAAACUGCCCCAUCAACAUUGAACUUAAGAAAGCCUAAAGGCGGAGGAGACCAGCAUCUAAACUUGUUCUUAUUCAACAGCUUCGCAUGCCGAUUCACACUACUUGGAUUAGAGCAAAUGUCAAGAACAAAAACAUAAGGUGAGGGGAAUUCGGCUUUAUACCACCAGGCAACGCAAAACAGGAUUAUCUCUUUAAGUUGGAAAGCAUCAAACGUUUUUCCCCUAAAGGUCAGUUCAUUCCUAUACAGCCAAGUCGACCAAACAAUAGAAAAGAACAGCAUGGACCACAUCACUUCACUAGAAAAUCUUGGAUGAGCAAACCAUCAAGACUGAAUAAACGAUACUGGAUCGGAAGGGUGCACAAUAAAGACCUGCCAUAGAUUACAAAAAUGUCGCCAAACCAACUUUACAAAAAAAAAAUUAAGGCUCCAUUUGUUUUACUAAAAUUAACUUCCGAAAAUUUAUUUCUGAAAAAUGAUUUAUUUUUCUGAAAAAAUUAAUAUUUUUGGUUGUUUGAAGUAAUCUAUGUAAAAUAUUUUUUGUUGUGUGGUAAAUUUCUUAAAAAUAUUUUAUAAAAGUUAUUUUCAAUUAAACAAAUAUACAUUUGAGAUUUUUUUAUUUUUUUCAUUGUUUAAUUGAAUUUAUUUUUAUCUAUAAUUUUAUAUUUUAUUAAAAAUAUUAAGUUAAAUUCAGAUUAAUUACAACGCUAUUUUUUAAUUACAUGACUAUUAAGUGAGUAUUUUUAUUUAAAAAUGUGACAUCAAUAAAAUUGACAAAAAAAAUUAACGAUAUCAACAAUUGGACUUGAUUUUUAAAUUUGAAAAGUAAAAGGACUAAAUUCUUGAAAAUAAAAGUACAAAGACUAAAUUACAAAUAUGUGAAGUGUACAUAAACUUAUGACAUAUUUUGACCUUUAUAGUAUAAAACAUUUAUUAUUAAUAUAUUUAUAAUUGUAAUAAAUAUUUAUUAUUAAAUAUUAAUAUUGAAUAUUUUCAAUAAUAUGUGAAUAAUAUUAUUUAAAAUUAUUAUUUUUAAAAUUUAUUAUUAAAAUAAAAUUGAAAUAUUAAAUAAUUUAUUAAAAUAAUAAAUUAUAUUUAUUAUAUGAAUAAUUUAUUAUACGACUAAAUAUAAAUAAUUAAAUAUGUAUGUUUAAUAAUAUUGAAAAAUAUAAUAUUUUAAAUAUUUUUAAAAAUAAAAAUAAAAUUUAUUAUCAAUAUAAUAAUAUUAAGCUUGAUUUUAAGUUAACUUUUAUAUAAAAAUAAAAUUAUCUAUAGAUGAAUUAUUUUCUCGAGAAUGACUUACGCUUUUCAAAAUAGUAAGUCAUUUUACAGGAAAAAUGACUUAUUUUACCUUGACCUGUAAGUCAUUUUCUGUUGACUAAACUAUUUUCUAUGAACCAAACAUGAAAAAAUGUAGAAAAUAUUUUUCAUAAAACAUUUAUAUAUAAACAAUCGAACCUAAGCUAGAAACAAAUUCAAUGUCACCAUGGCAGAAAGAACACGUCAUCAAAUCAUCGGGAAUAACUCCUCUUUUCACCAAUUCAGCCUUUACUGGGACCCUUCCAUGAACCACAUGAAGAAUACAACUUUUGGGGGAGCAAUACCAUUACAAAUGAACUUUCUCCAAUCGAAAGAUAAAGUAGAGUUGGAUCAAACCGUAUUACAGAAAGAUUUCACAGAGAAAAAACCAUCACUGGAUCUAAUAAGCAUGAGCCUUACCAUAUCAUAACAUCUUUGACUUAAUUUUAUCGACAAUUGGUUUCCAUAAACCCGAGUCGUUUUUCCUACAGCCAAGCAGACUUGAACCAUCAGAGCUUCCUUAUAAGUUCUCUUGUCUCUCCCGGUACUCCACGCUGUACUCUUACCUUUUCUCGACUGAUAGUGGAUAUUUGUUAUUGAGCCACUGUUGUCACCUUUGGAUCCUGUAAAGGUCACUCUUGCCCUCUAAUACCUCACCUUGAAAACUCGGACAGUUCAUUCGUCCGUCAAUCACAUGAUUAUCGCUUUUAUCUAUCGCAGUUUUCAUGUCCUUUUCGUUUGAAAACCUGACAAAAGCAAAGGUAGAAAAAGGAUAAUUCUUCCUUUUGUUCUUGUACGCAAUGUAUAGGUCAGUAACCUUUCCAUAAUAGUUGAACACUUCUUGCAAUGCUGAUCUUGACACUCUCCUGCUAAGAUUGUAAACUCUUGAUGACUUCUUUCUAGAGCACGCCGCUUCCCUUUACAUCCCAUUGUUGCUUCCUCCCCGAUCUUCCGAAGAUAUAUAUAUUAGAUAAGGUUUAUUAUGGUGCUAUGAUGUUUACUAAAUUAACUAAUAAAUUAAUUAAGAGAAGUGUACUUAUCUAUUAACAGUAUAGCUAUAGUGAGCAUAGAUACCAUUUCCUCAAGGAGUACAAUUACAAGUAAUUAUCAUAUUUCUAUUAUUUAACUUAAUACUUUAAUAGGCUUAAUUAAAUUUAAAUUAAAAUAUCUAAAUUAACUAAUGAAUACACCAAAAGUAAAACAUAAAAACAAUCAAAUAUCAACCAAGUGACAAAAUAAUACUUACCUAAGAAUCCACUUAGAUUUCAUCUAUAAUUCUCAAUUUAAUUUAUACAAUUUCUUCUUAACUCUUUGAUCUAUAGAAAUCUCUAAUUUAUAUUAAUAUCUUUUUCGAGCAUAAGAGCAAUUAACUCUAAGUUAAUUAAUUGAAAUUUCUUUCUAAUUAAAACUUUUAUUAUCGCAUUAAUUCGCUCUAUGGAUCCCCUAUUAAAUUUGAGUACUCUAAUUUGUUGGAUUUAUGUCGUCUUCUUUCUUGGUUUGCAUUCAACUCCAUUCAAUUAUGGAAGAUCUAAUCAUAAAAAGGGCCUAUUCAACCUCAGAAUCAACCCAAUAAUAAUUAAGCGUUCAUAAUUGAAAACAAAAAAACCAGAAUUUUAUUGCAUAAACUAGAAAUCAAACAAUAGAAUUCAUCCUAAGGUUCAUAUCUCUUAGGUAUUAAGACAAUUAGUUCAUAAUUGCAAGAAUAAACACCAAAAAAAUACAAUAUAACAACCAAAAUAAAAGAAAUUCAUUAUAACCCCCUUGAAAAUCAAUUUGAUUUCUUGAAUAUUGAUGGAAAACAGCUUGAAAAUCGGAUUCAAUGGUACUUUUUGGGUAAUUUUCAUGCUAUCUCUUGACGACUUCUUCUUGAUUCCUUUAUUUCUUUAUUUAAGGCUUCUUAAAAUGUCAAGAAAAAAAAACUUAAAAAUCGAAACUUCCAGCUAUUACCACACAUGAUUCUCAAAAUCGAUACGCCUUGUACACACGCUCGUGUGGAUCACACAAUUCAUAACUUUCCAUUUUUUACCUUGGGAAAAAAAGUUGUCCUUUUAUAGGAACGAAUCACCCUACUUGAAGCAGAAGUGAUUAUUCGGUAGAUCAUUGGAAUGUACUUAUAAUCCUCCCCCGAAUGAUUAUCAUCCAAAUAUUGUUACCGAGGAAGGCUUGUUAGUUAACUGGGUAGCUGGCUUUGUUAGUGCUCAUAAUAUGGAUACACACCUGCAUGGAAUUGCGGGGGUACAAAAGGGAACGUCUGGAUUUCAUUUGGAAUUUGAUCUUGAUCUUCCUAUGGUGAAUAAGUAUUUAGACCGCCUGAAAGAUGAGUACGAAAUUCCUGACCAGUGAUGGGAAGGUGAGAAUCGCAAAAGAAUGGUUCAAGAGAAUAAUGGCCAAUAGAAGGUUAGAGGCUAACAUAUUAAUACAUAAACUUUAUGUAUGUUUAAAACAAAGAAAUAAAUAAAGUGGCUAAUCAUUAUCUUUGAUUGGCCUAAACAAUAUUAAUCAUAUUUCCUAUUUUACUUGUAUUUCUUCGUGUUUGGUUUAUUUGUCAUGAAUGUUUAUUUCAUAUGUAAAAGACUCAAAUCGUGGUAGCAUAGUAGUGAUUUUCUCCUGUUAAGAAUGUGUGAGUUGUAGUAGUGAUUUUCUCUUGUACAACAUAUAAAGCUAUAGAUUUAGUCCAUAUUUUCUAAUUUAAUCUAUCUUGGUCCCUAUAUUUCUAAAAUUUAAAAUUUAUGUCUUAACAAAAACAACCCUUGUUAAAUUUAUUAAUAGGAUUUUUUUGAGUAAUAUAUGAAAAUAGCAAGUUGACACGACUUUACACAUGUGAUAAUAUGUUUAUCGUAUAAGAUUUUGAGAAUAUCAUAACUUAAUAUGUGAAUCUAAUGAUUAUAAGAUUUUAAAAAAGUUUGACCCCUACUCUUUUAUUGGGUCGAUCUUGUUAUUUUUUAAUAAAAACUCUAAAGUUUUAAAAUUUUUAUGAAUUUUGCUUAUAAUUUUUAUGAUUUUCUAAUAAUUUUUAAAAUUUAAAAGAGCUUAAUUGAUUUUUUUUAAUGUGUUACAAAAGCCUUUUUGACCCUUUAGCCUUAUUAGUUUCAAAAUUUUCUAUUUUACUUUCAAUCAAAGAGUAGGGAUUAAAUUGAAUAAAAGUAUAAAGGUUGAGGGUUAAAUUUUUUAUUAUACCUUAUAUAUAAACAAUAAAAUUUAAUUGAGGGGUUGUUUUUCUCACUUAUCUAACAUACAGAGGCUAAUUUGCCCAUUUUCUCAGUAAAGGGACUAAACUGAAAUCCAAAAUAUAGUACAGGGAAUUUUGUGAUACUUUUACCUAUUUAUGUUAUUUAUAUUGUCAAGUAUAAUAUUUCUUUUAUAAAAUUUUUAAAACAUUAUGUAUUUAUUUUUUAAGAUUUUUUAGAGUUAGAGAAUAAAUCAAUAGAACACAUAGAGUUGAGGGCUAUUUUUUUUUUAAAUUAAAAUCAAAUUGAUAGAACUGUAUACAUUAACAUUUCUUUAAUGAUAAAAAAUAAAAAUUAUAAAAAUGGCAAAAAAAGAUAAAUGAAAAGAAUUUAGUUGAAAUUAAAAGUGCUCAUGGAUCGGAGUGGGCUCAUACAAUGUAUCUAUAUCAAUUUUCCAAGCCCAGCCUGGUCUAGUCCAAAAAAUAAACUUAUUUUUUUUGCCCAAGUUCGACGCAAUUUAAGAAAUGUAAACCCGGCCCGUCCCGUCCAUAUUUGAGUUUUUUAGAUUAAUUUUUAUUUAAGAAUAUGUUUUAAAAAAAUUAUAAUACACUAAAUGCACUAAAAUUACUAAAAUAAAAGUUUUUUAACCCAUUAAAAAUAUAUUAAAAAAUAUUUAUAUUAAAAAUAUUACCAUAAAUCUAAUAAAUAUUUUAUUAUAUUAAAAAUAAAUACAAUAAAUAUUUUAUUAUAUUAAAUAUAAAUUUUAAAAUUUUAUAUUUUGGGUUGAGUUAUUUAGUUAGGUAAGGUAUUUUUUAAGUUUGGGGAUGAAUUUAAUUGUUAUUUAGUUAGUGAUUUAAUAUAAAUAUAAUUUAUAAAAUUAUUACUUGAAAUUAAUAAUAUUGUUAUAAAAAUGUAAAAAAAAAUUUAAGAGUAAUUAAAAAUUGUAAAAAAUUAUUUAAAAUUUUAAAAAAAUUAAAAUAUAAAAAUUGUUAAAAGUUGUUAAAAAUUGUUAAAAAUAUUUAAUUUUUUAAAAAUCAUUAAAAAUUUUAAAAAUUAUGAAAAUUAGAAAAAAGUUUUAAAAAAAUUUCAAAAUUAUCAACCAACUCACCUCAAUAAAUGUUGUAAUUCAAUGAUAGCUACAACUUACCUAACUCUCAGGAUUUUUUCCAUAGUGAUUGAUAAACUUAUUUAUGGGUAGAGUUAUAUGUCCAAACUCGAAGACUCGGCCAAAAAAUAAGAGAGUUUAGACAAAAAAAUGAGACUCAAAAAAUGAACUUGAGUAAAAUUUAAGGCUCGUUUUCUAUAAAAGUUGGGCCUUGGGCAAGUUUUUUUUUUGCAGCUUGAUCAAAUUCAGCCUGAAUAUAUUAUGUUAUAAAAAUAAUUAUAUUGAUUAUGUAUGAUAAAUAAAAUAAUUGUAUAUAUUUAUAUUUAUAUUAAAUCACUAAUUCAAUAAUAAUUAAACCCAUUACCCAAAACCUUAAAAAAACUUUACUAAACUAAAUAACCCAACCCAAAAUAUAAAAAUUUUAAAAUCAUAUUUAAUACAAUUUAAUAUUUAUUAUAUUUAUUUUUAUGUUUUUAAUAUAAAAAAUAUUUAUUAUAUUUAUGAUAGUGUUUUUUAAUAUAUUUUUAAUGUGUUAGAAAACUUUUAUUUUAGUUGUUUUUAGUCCAUUUAGUGUAUUAUAUUUUUUUUAAAAAUAUUUUUAAAUAAAAACUAUUCUAAAAAAGUCAAAUAUGGGUGGGUCGGGCUCGAGUUUACCUUUCUUAAAUCAGGUCAGACUUUGACAAAAAAAAUAAGCCCAUUUUUUGAGUCUGACCAAACCUAAAUUUAAAAAAUUUAUUUAGAUAUCUUGCAUGGGCCCAACUUAGCCUAUGAGCACAUCUAAUUAUUAAUAGCUAUGUUUAAGUUCAUCAUACAAGCUCCACUAAAUUUGAAAUUAUCACUUUCACAUUGCAUACCCAAUAAAUGAGUAUAAGUCAAAUUUUUUAAAAAUAUUAUAACCAUUAGAUUUUAAUGGAUCAAUAUUGUUAUUUUUUAAUAAAGAAUUUACAAUUUAAAAAAAAUAUAAUUUUUUAAUAUUUUUUAAUAUUUUUUAAACUUUAAAAGAGGUUAAUUGAUUUUUUUCAAAGUUCUUACUAGGGUUUUUUUUUUUUUACAUCCUAGUCUUAUUAGUUUUAGAAAUUUUUAAUUUACUUCCAAUAAAAGAGUAGAGGUCAAAUUGAAUAAAUUUGUAAAGGUUAAGAGUUAAAUUUAUUAUUAUACCUUAUAUAUAAACACCAAUUUGUUUUGUUCCUCAUAUAAUGCGAGAAAACUAGCUCAAUAUAAACAUGAGAGUUAAAUUUAUUAUUAUACCUUAUAUAUAAAAUACAUAUACCUAUACCAUAAACAUGAGAACUGAAAUUGAGGUAUUAGUUCAAUAUAAGCAUCGAUCCUAGGAUAUAACUAUUUUUUGAAUAGAUUCUAUAAAUAAUUUUUUUAACGAUCUUAUUAUAAGUUCUGAUCAUAUCUGUUUUUUUUUUUUACACAAUGCCUAAAAAUAUUCAUAACUCCUCUUCAAUUCAUAAAUAAGAGGAUAGUACGUUUCAGCGUACUCAAACUUACAUCAUCCUAUACUAACAAUAAUACUCGUACGAAUCGAGUUAAACUUAAUUAACUAAUAAACAAAAUCUUAAAAUUAUUAUUUCUCCGUAAAUUAAAACUAAAAUUUGAGACGUGAAUGAACUAAAGUUUCAUUGGCCUUAAAGCCACGGCUUUAUAACCACACUUUCAUUAUAUAUUUUUCAUUAUUUACUUUCAAACAAAGCAAUUGAAUAUAUGAAUAUUAUUAUUAAUACAAUAAAUUUAAGUAUAUUAAAACGUGUAAUUCUUUUAUUUGUGAAUUUAUGAAAAAGGGUUACAUCCACAUUUCACGCUAUAGAUUUGGACCCAACUUGUUUUGGUCUUCUCCUAUUUGUCAUUUUGUCAAAAAUGGUUGCAUCCACAUUUCACACUAUAGAUUUGGACCCAACUUUUUUUGGUCAUUAUUAUUCCCACGGAAACAAAAUCAUUUAAACUUAAAACGACAAAAAUGUCUAAAUAUUCAAUGAUUUUAUGUUCGCCUUAUGUGUUGUUUUUUAUUUACUUUGAAACAAAAUAAUUGAAAUAUAAUGAGACAGAAAUGUCUAUUUGUAAAAAUUGCUGCGUCCAUACUUUCACAUGGUGGAUUUGGAUUGUUCGUUUAUUUUCAAAAUAAUUUUAAUUUAAAAUGUCAAAAAUGUUACCCACUUUAGCACCAGUACUAUUCUGUCCCUAUAGUCUCCACUUCUUCUUCUUUUUCCUUUUUUUUUUCUUUCAUUUUCAAUAGAUUUCGGAUUUUUUAUAAAAUUAACCCAACAAAAUUAAUUAAUUACUUAAAUAAUUUAUUUUUUUAAAAAAUAUAAAAGUAACCUAAAAUUUAUAAUAAAAGUUAGUGAAGCCAAAGUAUUUGGCACUAUCAAUAUGUCACGUCAACAGGAUAAAAAAUUAUUUUUUUGUGAAACUAUGUAGAAUGGCGUCACUUAUAUAAAUAUUAAGAAAAUACUGUAUUUUAAAAAAAUUUUAACAAAUUUAUCUUUUUCUAGUCGAGUCAAAUAAUUUGACGCCACCUAAUUCUAACACCUUAUUCUGUUGCCUAUUGUUGCCUAUAUCCAACACCCUUUUUCUAAUUUUUUUUAUUUGUUUUUCAUUUUUUUCCUUUUUCUCAUUUUUUUAUUUGUUUGUCCUUUUUCUUUUUUUUAUUCGUUUUCUUUUUUUUAACUUUUUCAGUUUUUUAUUUAUUUGUCCUUUAUUUGUUUUUUUAUUUAUUUGUCCUUUAUUUAUUUUAUAAUAUUUUAAAUAUAUAAUUUAAAUGUUUUAUAAUAUUAUUUUUUAAAAAAUUUAAAUAUAUUUUUAAAAUUAUUAUUUUUUAAAGAUAUUCAAAUGUUUUUUAAUUAUAUUUAAAAUUUUUAUAAAUAAUAUUUUAUUUGGUGGAGCCAUAAUGACUCCACCACUUUAUUGCAAGUGUAGUUUUUUUUUAAAUGUGUUUUUUUAAUAUAAAAAAUUUAAAUUUUGAUAUUUUAUUUUGGUGGAGCCAUAAUUUAACAUACAUAGAAUGGUGAAAUUGUUGUGUUUUGUAGGAGAGUUCAAAAAUUCUGUUGAAGAUGAAUAAUGAUGUGUUUUUGGUGUACGUUCUUUUUUAUGGUGAAAUUGUAGAAGGUGAUGUUGGUUAUGUAUUUCAAGGUCAGCAAAAAGUAGGGUUGCGAUUCAAAAAAAAUGUUAAGCUGGCAAAACUGAAAAUGAAGAUCAAUGCGAAAAUAGAUAUCCGUUGUGGAAUGGCGAUAUCCAAAUUAUUUUACAAGUUUCUAAUCUCUACAGAUCCGUUGAAAUUUUGUGAGAUGUAAAUGUUACUAGAAGUGAGAACCCCCAACCAGUUGAGUUAUUUGUUGAGUUAGUAAACUUAGAGCCUGUUGAAAAUGUUAGUCCAAUAAGUCAACAUCGCGUAUUUGAUUUUAAUCUUAAUAUCGGAUGGACAGACCAGUUAGAAUACAGAGGGACAUCAUAGAUACCCGAAAAUUCAAAUUAUAGUAGGAGUUUGUAUAACAACCCUACCUUCGGUCCCGUCUACAAAUACAUCCGGAGGUGAUAAUAAGCAUAGAGGCAGACGUCGAAGAAAAGACCAGUAAUAGUGAAGAUUCAUAUCAGGACGUUGAAGAUUUUAGUAACCCCGAUGUUGAUGAGGUUUCGGAUAAUAUCGAUGAUAAAGGCUCGAAAGAGGUUGAAGAUGUUCACAACCCUUCAUCUAAUAACCCAAGUCUUGGCGUUGUUUUACGAAAUGAACCUGAGGGCGAAACUAUCCAGAUGCAGCGCAUGCAUCUAAGUUCCCUGAGUAUGCCGAUAUAGUACCUGCUCAUAGAUUGGCAUCAAAUUCGUAGUUGGAGGAGUUGUUCGUUGGGCAACAGUUCAAUAAUAAGGCAGACUGUGUGUUUGCUAUCAAACAGUAUAACAUGAAAUUGUCGAUUGAUUACAAGGUUGCUAAGUCUACACCGACAUUUUAUGUAGGGGAAUGUUGGAGAGCUAACGAUAGGUGUUGUUGGCAGGUUCGGGCUGCGUUUAUACAGGUGACUCAAUAGUGGUAAAUACGAAAAUAAGAAGGGCGCCAUACAUGCAUUGUCGUACGUAUGUCUCAAGACCACCAGAAAUUGGAUGCCAAAAGUAUUUGCAAUUGUAUCAUGCCACUAGUGAAAGAUAGCCCAAUCAUUCCUAUGUUGACAUUGAUUGCGGACAUGCAAGCCUGAUUCCAGUACAGAGUGUCAUACAGGAAAGCGUUGUGGGUGAAACAAAUGGCCAUGCAACAAUUGUAGGGGGACUGGGAUGAACCAUACAAUGAACUUCAAUGUUGGAUUUCAGCGAUGGUGGAGUAUGUCUUAGGAACUAUUAUGGAUUUGCAAACAUUGCCUUAUAGAGACCCGAAUAGAUAAUUGGAACUGAGAAGAAGAGUUUUCCGUCGAUUGUUCUGGAGUUUCAAUCCAUGUGUUAGGGCCUUCUCCCACCACAAAUUGCUAGUGUAGUUUGAUGGAAUAUGGCUUUAUGGAAAAGACAUGCAGAUACUUCUGAUUGCGAUUGCACAAGACGGUAACAGAAAUGUACUACCGGUUGCUUUCACCAUCAUGGAGUCGGAGAACUCUGAAUCAUAAGCAUAUUUUAUUCGGAACAUGCGGAGGCAUGUUGUUAAGCAAAACAACAUUUGUAUUAUCUCUGACAAAUUGAAGGGUCUUAUUGUUGCGAUUCGGCAAUUCAAGAUUCCGUGGAGGUCUGUUUACUGUAUUAUUCACUCGCUGUCAACUUCUACAAUAAGUACAAGAAUAAAAAUUGGUGCAAACAAAUUGUGAACAUAGUUAAAAAUAUCGUAUUUAAAUUCGUAUUUGUAAAUAUUUCGAGUCCAUUUCCUAAUUAGGAUGGUAACGUGUUUUAUCGAAAUACAUACAUAAGAUACGAGCUGGAAGCACACCGAUUUAGAUAUAAGUUGGCGAUGUUAGAGAUUAAUAUGCCGAGGUCUAAACCUUCUAUCAGAUAGUGGUUGGAUAGCAUGGAGUCGUGGCAAUAGGCUCAAUGGUUUGACGAGGGAUAUCAAUACGGUCAUAUGAUAACUAACCUCAUUGAUGCUAUUAACUUUGUCUCGAUGCAUACGCGUCACUUGCCAAUUUUAGCCCUUUUUUCAACCACAUUUUACAGGCUAGCAACCUUAAUACCAAAAAUGAGGUGGAAACAAGCAAAACAGUUGGAGGCAGAACACGUGCAUGUCAAAAAUAUCAGGGAUGCCAUGAAAAAGAACGCUCAAAUGGCUAGGUUGAUGAAUGCAAAACUGUAUUACUAAAAUUUAGAAACUUUUCAAGUGACAGAGUACAUCGGUCAUCGGUUAGGGAUCUCGCCACGAUCCUACGGAGUUGAUAUCUGAAACAAGCUGUGUGAGUGUGAGAUGUUCCAUAAACUAUGGUACCCGUGUGCGCAUGUGGUUGCAACGUGUGCUACUUACAGUUUGAAUGUUGAACAAUAUAUCGAUGAUAUGUGCACACUUAAAUGUACAUUGCAUAUUUGAGGUAAUGAGUUCCUUGUAUUAAGGGAUGUAUCAACAUAGGAAGUGCAACCGCCUAUGUUCCAGAUGUUGCCAAAUCGGUCACUACGUAGGAAAGUUAAAAGCCGACCAACAACAAUGAGGAUUCGAAACGACAUGGAUAUCAGAGAACAGGUUGAUCCAAAGCGUUGCACCAUAUAUAGAAUAGUUGGCUACAAUCGGAGCAAAUGUCCUCGUGGGAACGUCUAUACUGUUCAAUCUUCAUGAUCUGAAAAAAAUUAAAAUUUGUACCCUAUGUUUGCAUUUCAUGGUCUUUUGAAAAAAAAAGUUUGUAUUGUUUAGUGUUAAGCUUUUAUUUAAAAUUAACUGUUGCAACUUUUAGUACUUUAAAAGAUAUUAUAAAUUAUACAAAAAAAGAUUAUACAUAAGUUGUGGAAUUAUAAACCAACACAACAAAUAUUAUAUAACAUUUAAAAUUUACAUGUAUCAAAAUUGGAAUGAACUGUGAGUAGUAUCGUCAUUUAGGGUAUAGCGAUUUACGGGCCUCCGUUGAUGGGAUAGACGUUGGGGUACUGUACACAUCAGGAGGAUCAAUAGCUAGAUCAAACGUGACCUGAGGCGGGGUAGAGUACAUGUUAUUAACAAACAUAUCAAAUGAUAGCGGUGGUUACUUUGGAUGAUAUGAACUCGAACCACCCAUAUUCUAGUGAUAUGAACUGCUCUACAACCCAUUACAAAAAACGUCAAUCCAUUGGUCUAAUGUGUUCAAAGGUUGGUCCGUCGAGUCGGGCUCCGCCAUAUAUUGAUCAUUUAGUUCCCCCGUAGGUUGAAUUCCACGUCUGUAAUCAUGAUUCGGUACUAUCAUAAGUUGCCCACCAUAUAAAUAAACACAUCAUCAAGUCAUGUACCACUAUAUGUAUUCAGUCGAGGGACUGAAGCCAAACAUGUAGGAGUGCAUCUCAAGUCACUUGUCGUACCGGGCAUUUCAUAGUGCUACAUAACAUUGAUGUUUCACGCUCCAAUCUAUUGUAUGUUUCCCCUUCAUGGUCUUACCGUGGACAUCAACAAAUUGUUGUGGCUCGACCGACACAAAUUAUCUACACCCCAACUGUCGCAUAACUCGAUCAGCGCUGUACCACUCAAAGGUUGAGAAGUUGAGCACCGACAUGUUAAUGCACCACACAUGGGCUUCGGCAUGAACCCAUUGAGGAAUAAGGGUUGUCAUGUUCGGUGUAGAAUAUGACAUCCAUAAGAACUGCACAAUAUAACAUAAUGAGUCAAGUCACAUCACAUACUACAAGUGGAUAAGUUAAAUCAACGUUACUUAAACCAUAUUUAUAUAUAUUACUUUCUCUCUGGCGGCCGCCUCUAUCAUUUGGCAGUAAAUUAUUAAUGUCUGGCUCGCACCAAUUUCUGGAGACGUGUCCCAUCUGAAAUCGAAAUAAACAUGUUAGCAGUUAAACUUGGAAAAAUUAUCCAUACUUAUGAGUCGUUAAAUGUUAAGUAUAAUUUUGCUUUUACCUAUUUACAAGUGGCCACAAAUAUGGUUGGUGCCUAACAGCCACUAGAAACAAUAUCCUGUAUAGAGCCCAAGAUUGCAGUAGACCCAAACAACCAGCCAUGUUACUAACCCCAUGUUUUGUUGCUUGGCAAAGCUCACGGUACAAUAUGGCCAACACUGCUGAUCCCCAGCUGUAAGUAUCGGCACGAGAGAAAUCCUCCAAUAGAGGAAGUAUUUUAAGUGGACCCUAAGUACCCCCGAUCAGCUGCAUAAUAUAGGCUCGAGCAGCACAUAUCACCUCGUGUUUAAUGGCGGUGCUCGAUAACUUCUUAAAAUUUAUUCUCAACCAUACCAAUGUCAAGCAUGUGAAAUUUUGUUCCCCAUCACUAGGGGACCGUCCAAGCAACCUAUGGCAUAGUACUGAAGGUUUCAACACUUUGCUUCAGUCCGUGACCACAGCACCGUCAACUCGCAACCCAAGUUGCAUAGCGACGUCUUCCAAUGCGAUAGUGCGCUCCCCGCACAACAUAAUGAAGGCGUGGGUCUCUGUACACCACCGCUCAACCAAGGCGGAUAUUAAGUUCGCCCUCAAGUUAAACCUUUGGAUCAAUGCAACGUCCCCAAAUCCCGCCAACUGUAAGUAUGACAUGAUCCGCUUGUCCGGAUCGUACUUAGGAAAAUGAAACUGCGACCUCAAAACCCGAUACUCAUCCUGUAUGGUAAAAUUUUUAUAAAAAUAUGAUAAAUCAAUUAUCUAUAUAAUUUAAACAUAAAAUUCUAUAUUGAAGAGUAAAACUGCCAACGUAGCCAUUCUAAGUAUUUUUUAUUUAAGUUAAAUUAAAUGAGUAAUAAAAUAUUAAUAAUAGAAUGAAGAUUUCCUAAUCUCUUUGAAGCUUAAGUACCAUUAAUUCUCUUUCAUUAUUAUGUCCUAAUUAUAGUUAAGCUUUAAACAAAAGGCAACAUAUAACUACAAAAAGUACAUAAAAAAAUAUCCUAAAAAAAUAUAGGUGGUAUAGGUAAAUAUAAAAAUAAAAAAGACUUAUUUUUAUUGAAUUAAUAUCUAUAGUAAUACAUAGAGUUUUACAUAUAAUAUAAACUAGACAUAUUCAAACUCGAAAUUUUAUCUUACAUGCGAGAACUUUUAUAAAAAAAAAUAUAUUCACUUAUUAAAGAUAAAUUUAAUUGCAACUCUAAUAAUUUCGAGUUUGAUUCAAUCUGAUUUGAACACUUAUAAUAUGAUAUAUAGAUUAGUUGAAGCCAAAUUAAUAUAUAUUCGUAGUUUCCUCAUGUGAAUGCAAUUUUUAGUUUUUAUUUAGGUGGUGUCAAAUUAGUGGAAGACAAAUAUAACUUUUUUGUAUCCCACAAAUGAAACCAAGUACAACAACAAUACAAAAUUAAGGAGAAAGGUUGUCAUAUUUAAAAAAUUAAUAUAUAAAUUUAUGAAUGUAUCAUAAAUUAAAAAAAUUAUUAUUAACAUGUAGAGAUCAAUUUCAUGCAAAAAUGAGUUAAAAAGGGUUAAUAACAACCAAACAGAGAUCAAUUUCAUGUAAUCAAAACAAGUUAAGCAAAGUAGCGCUUAGCAAGAAAAAACGAGAAACUAAAAUGAAUCUUCUAUUUAAUUUAUAAUUAAUUUUACUGUUUCGUUGAUCAUCGAUGAAGUGUGAUCCGUACUUGCUCCAGAAGACAUUUUGAUAUCUGUAUAAUUUAAAAAAAUACAUAAAUUAAAUAUAAUUAAUCAUUAUAUUACAAUAACUAUAAAAUAUAAAUACAAAAUACAAACUAUAAAUACCUUACUAGGUUUUUUUUUUUCUCUCUUUUCUUCAUUCUCUUCUUCUACAAAAUAUUUGAAGAGGGGACAAAAUCUCACCUUCUUAAAUAAAAACGUUCUUCUUCUCAUCUUCUUCUUUAAAAAAAACUAACAAUUAUUAGACAUUAUAAACCUAAUGACUAAUUACAUCGCUGACAUCACUGACAUGAUGUGACAAGUCAUAAUAUAUAUUUUUAAUCUUUUAAUAUAUAUUUUUAAAAAGCCAUAGUUUUUUUAACAAAUAAUUCAUUUUUUAUUUUUUUCCAAUAAAUUCAACUUUCACCUUUUUUUUUUCAAUUUUUUUUAUCCUCCAUUUUUUUUAUUUCUAUUAAAAAUGUCACUUUAAUUUUUUUAAUUUCAUGUUACAUAAAGUAUUUACAGGCUUUCUUAUAAAACUAACCCAAAAAAAUAAUUACUUACAUAAAUGACCCUAUUUUUUUAUAAAAUAUGUAAAAAAACCUAAAAUCUAGAGUAAAUAUACAAAUAAACAUAAAAUAUUAUAAAACAAAUAAAGAAAAGAAAAAACAAAUAAAGGACAAAUAAAUAAAUAAAAACUGAAAAAGUAAAUAAAGAAAAACAAAUAAAAAUGGAAAAAGGACAAACAAAUAAAAAAUCAGAGAAUGGAAAAAUAUGAAAAACAAAUAAAAAAAAUCAAGAAAAGGGUGUUGGAAUAGGCAGCAGAAUAGGGUGUUGGAAUUUAGUAGCACCAAAUUAUUUCACUCCAUCAGAAAAAGGUAAAUUUGCUUAAAGCCCCUCUAUUUCUUCAAAAAUCGUAGUAUUUCUUUAAUAUUUAUACAUGUGGCGCCAUUCUACAUGACUCUACCAAAAAAUUAAUUUUUUAUCCCGAUUGCUGAUGUGGCAUGUUGCUGGGGCCAAACACUUUGGCUCCACCAACUUUUACUGUAGAUUUUUGAUUAUUUUUGUAUUUUAUAAAAAAAAAGGUCAUUUAAGUAAUCAAUUACUUUUUUCGGGUUAGUUUUAUAAAAAAGUCAUAGAUUUCGUGAUUUUUUUAGGCUUCAUUUGAUUCUCUGAAAAUGCUUUCCAAAAAAUGAUUUCAAGAAAAUGAUAUAUUUUUCUAGAAAAGCUAAUAUUUUCUAGUGUUUGGAUGAAUCUAUGUAAAAUAUUUUCUAUUAUUUGGCAGAUUUCCUGAAAAUAUUUUAUAAAAUUCGUUUUUCAAUGAAAUAAGCAUACAUUUGAGAUUUAUGAUAAAGAGUUUAAAUGAAGUAGUGAAUUGAUUACAAAGUGAUGUUAAUGUGACAUUAUAGUAAAUAAUGAAUCUUCAUGAUGUUAAGGAUUAAAUUGUAAACUUUGUGAAAUUUAUAAUUGAAACAUCCUAGUGCUUUGAUCCGAUGUUUGAGUCGGGUAUAGGGUGUUACAAUGAAAAAAAUUGGUAAGACAUUUUACAGGAACAAUGAGGUAAUUUUACGUUGACAGGAAAAUCUUUUAGGUUGACCAUCCUAUUUUACAUGAAACAAACAUCGGAAAAAACUAAAUAUAUUUUUCGUAAAAAACUUUUACAUUGAAACAAACGAAACCUUAAUGAAUGAGUUUCACUAGAUGUUAGAGAAAACAUGUGCAUAAAUAAAUUCCGUUUACUUACAUGUGCAUAAAUAAAUUCCGUUUAGUUACUUUGAAGUGGUAAUGGUAAUAAUCAAUUUGUUCUAUUUUCUUUAAAAGCGAUAGAUUUUAGUGUUAAAAGUUUUUAAUGUUUUUGUUUUCGAAAUUUUCGUUUUCAAGCAGUUUUGGUGAAAGUUAAGCCAACAUAACAUCUAUUAAUUUAGUUUUGGGAUUGGUUUUGUGCAUCACCAUUGUUGCAUGCAUGGUCUUUCGGGAACCUAUGGCAUUGUUAUUAACUAGACUUCAUUGUCAACAUAGUCUGAUGGUAAAGAGGCUAGGAUAUUAUUACUAGCAGUUGAUUACGAUGGUGUAUCUCUAAUACUAUUUUGGUGUUGUUAGUUUAGCGAUCGGUAUUGCGCACAUCUCUUCUCCACUAGGAUUUUAUGACAGUCGCUGCAUGCAACUUUAGAAUAAUGAGAAAAUUUUAUUCUAAAUGGGUGCCUUUUCUUGUUUGUCUCUUUGAUUGUUAUUUGUUUAGUGAGCUGUGUUGUCAUUUUAAUUUGUCACUUCAAUAAUUGUUACGUCAUAUUGCUCUUUUGAAUGAAAGAAAUUACUCUUUCUUUAAAAAAGGACAAAAAUGUCAAUUUGUAAAUAUUGGUUCUCAGAUAAUUUGAUUAAUUGUUUUUAUAAUAAGUCAAAAUAUCACUUGGUAUAUAACAACUCAUUUUUUAGUGGUAUCAAAAAUAAUGGUUUUGGAACCUCGUUUUUUUUAUGAUAAGUUAGUAAAUGUUAUUAUUUAAUAUUUAUGAGUCUAUUUUAGUAUUAUAUUGAAUUUUGGGGAACGGAUUUAGGGUUUGAGGAUUUUAAAUUGGACACGGUCGUGUUAAGGCCCCGUGUUGGGCCACACGGCUGUGUCACACGCUCGUGUGGCACAAGUUUAGCCCGUGUUAAUAUUGAAUGUCCAUUCGUCACACAGCCGUAUCGCACGGCCAUGUGCUACGUUGUUCGCUUCUCCCACACUCGUGUGGUCUCCCACACGCCCCGUGUGUACGAACACACGGCCGUGUGACUUACCCGUGUAACUCUCUGACUUGUUUAAAAUUUGAAAUUUUAGCUCCAGUUUUCACACAGCCUAGGACACCCCCCGUGUGUCUAGGCUGUGUGGUCCACACGGUCGUGUCGCACGCCCGUAUGGCUCUAUCGCAAGCCGUGUGGCUCGAUACUUGGGGAUUUUUUUUAGCCCUGUUUCCACACGGCCAAGGACACGCUUGUGUGUCCAGGCCGUGUGGGUCACUGUUGUAACGACCCAAACUUUAAGGUCAUUAGAAAAGUAUAUUUUCGGGCCUCCAUUUCUGAAAAAUGGAUUCGUAAAUAUUUAUUAAAAAUAUUUACGAAGUUAAGUGAGUGAUUAAUUUAAAGUUUAAUGAAGUGAAUUAACUUAAAUUAAGGAUAAUUAGAUAAAAGGAUUAAAUUGAAUGAAGAGUGAAAGUUUAAUUAUAGAAUAAAGAAAAGUAAAGGGACUAAAUAGGCAAAUAAGCCAAAAAAGAGUGCCAAGUGUAUGGCACAAAUAAAAUACAUGUGUAAUUAAUAUAAUACAUACAUUUGUAAUACAUGUAUGUAUUUACUUAUUAUUUAAGUAAAUAAUUAAUGUAUUUAUUAUUAUUAAAUCGAUAUUAUAUGAUAAAUAAAUUAAAUAUAAGACAAGGGUAUGGUAAAAAUAAUUUAUAUGUGUACCAAUAGUAUACAUACACUUGUAAUACACAUAUAUGUUUGCUUAUUAUAUAAGUAUAUUAUAUAUUAUUAUUAAAAGUAAAGUAAAUAAAAAGGAAAUAAAAGAAAGAAAUAGAAUGAGAAGAAAUAGUAUGUGGAACGAAACAGGGGAAGGAAGAAAGAAAAAGAGAAAAGAAAGAAGAAAGAAGAAAAGAGAAAAAUUAAAGGUUUGAAGUUUGGAAGUUUAAUAGGUAAGUCAAUUUAGCCCUUUUUUAUUUAAUUUUGAUGUUUUAGAAGCUUUAGAAUAAGAUUUUGAUGAAGUUAAGUUGAUAUUUUGAAAGAUAGUUAAUUAUUAAACAUUGUUCAUAUUGAGCAAAAAGAUGAAUUAAGGGCUAAAUUGAUAGGAAUUCAAGUUAGAAGUGAAAUAAGGAUUAAAUUGUAAAGUAAUUCAUAAGCUUUGAAUGGUAAUGGUUAAAUUGAAAGAAAUUCAAAAUUAUAGCUUUAUGCUGAAAUUAGUUUGAAGUGGAAGUUGAAUAAAAAUAUUGAGUUAAAUAUGAAGAAUAAAAGUUAGUCUCAGUUUAGGGACUAAAUUGGAAUUAAGGUAAAAGUUGGAUAGAAAUUGAAAUAUUCAAUGUGAAAAAUUUAAUGAUAAUGUAUUAAUAAUAUUUAAUUAAUUCCCGUAGCUAAUGAUGUCUUGAAAAAUCUCGGUUAAGCGAGGAUAAGGCGAAGACAACGGGAGUUAGCUCGGAAACCACGGUUUGUAUUUCUAUAAACCGAAUCUAAUAAUUAUUUGUUGAAUUUAUUAUUUAUAUGAAUGGUAAGUAUUAUUAUUAUUAUUAUUAUUAUUAUUAUUAUUAUGGUAUUGAAUUGAAUAAAAAUUCAUGAAUUAUUAGUGAUUAUUGAUAUUGAAUAGAAUAUGUGAAUAUUGAGUGGAAAAUUGAAAAAUGUAUAUUGCAUUGAAAUUGAUUUGCUUGUGGAUUGAUAUGGAAAAAUGUAUUAAAUUGAAUUGAAAUUAAAUUACAAAUGAAAUUGAAAAUUUGAAAGUUUAUUGAAAUCCCUAUUAACCAUAUUGGGCUAGUCGAAUAUAGUUGGCAUGCCAUAGGAUUGGAAGUGUUCAGGGAUAUUCCGACUGUGUGUCGAUGAGAUACUAUAUGUGUCGACUACUGUGACUGUUCUGGAUUCGUUCCGAAGAGGUACUCCAUACCUGACCGUUACUGUUACUGUUACUGUUCCGGAUUUGUUCCGAUGAGGUACUUUGUGUACCGCUACUGUUACUGUUACUGUUACUGUUACUGUUACCCUUACGGCGUAUUCCGACUUUGGCCGCUGAAACACUGUAUACUAUCCCCGAUGUGUGGGUUGGGUUCAUGUAUCCGUCCAGGUCCGAGUCAUGUUAAUAGGGGUAAUAAAAAGUAUUAAAGACUGUCUGCUACUAAAUAAUUAACUGUUACAGAAUAAAUGACUGAUACUGAAUAAAUGAAUAUUACUGAUUAACCGAUUAUUACUGUUGACUGACUGGUACUGAACGAUAAAGAUAAAUUGGUUGUUACCAAAGAAUAUUGACUGUUAUUGAAAUGAGAUAGUACAGAAUAUUGAAUGAAAGGUGAAUAAUAUUAUUACUCAAAUGAAUUAUAAAUAAAAGUACUGAAAAACUAAUUGUUACUGAAUAAUAGACUGCUAUUGAAUGUAUGAAUGAUAAUGAACACAGGUUAUUAUUGAAUAAAUAAGAAAAAUCGACGAAUAAUGAAUAAACAUUGAAACUGUAUACAUUUCAUCGAAAGUGAUUAACAAGAUCUUAGGAUUAUAUAUAAAAAAACAAAUGAUUGAACUAUUAGGAGUAAUAGAUUGAACUCUAAUGGUUCAUUGAUACAUGAUUUAUUAUUGACUUAAGUAUUGAUUUAUAAAAAUACCGCUGAGUUCAUACUCAGCGUACAGUUUGUUUCCGUGCGCAGGUUAGGUUAAAGACAGAUCGUCGAAUCAGCAUCAUAAGCCGAUCCCGAACUCAAAAAGGUAAAGCAUGUUAAUUAUCGGUAAUGGCAUGUACCUAGGAUGUCUUAAGUUGUGAUUGUAAUAGUGAAGUAAGCAAAUUGAUAAUUGAUAAUGAUACAUGAUAAGUGUUUAAAGUUAAGUAUUAGAUAAUAUAUAAAAUGCGUUUGGAUUGGUUUAAUAUUGGUAUUUGUAUUGGUUGUGGAUUGAAAUUUUCAGGAUUGGUAAAUUUUUAAAAUACAAGGUUCAUUUUGAGUUCACAUAGUUUGUCACACGCGAGUGUGCCUUGGUUGCCACGGUCAUGUCUUAAAGUCAGUUUAGUACACGGGCAGACCACAGGACAUGUGUCAUAGUUGUGUUUAAAAGUUAGUGUUGCACACAGGUUGAGGACACAGGCGUGUCCCGUGCUGCACGGGCAUGUUAAAUUAGCCACACGGGCAUGUGGUACUGUUUAAAAGAAGAAAAUUUAAAAUUCAACGAAAAGUUUACUAAGCUUUAGGAUCGAAUCCUGGUUUGUUUUAAUCACACUUGUAAAGUACUGUGGACCUAUUAAAAUUAUAUUUAGAUGGAUAUAUUGCAUUUAUACUUGUUUAUGUGCAAAUGUACUGUAACGACUGGUAAUACUCUGGAAUCCUGUUCCGGUAACGGGACGAGGUUAAGGGUGUUACAACUGUUCCUGCAUAAAAACACAAAAAAUAGAUAAAAUAAACUAGUUAAUAGUGUGAGUGCUCGGGUUGCCUCCCGAGAAGUGCAUAUUUAGAGUCUAUGCUCGACUUACCUCUUCAUUCGCAUGGUCAUGGCAGAUCACAGAGUCGAGACUCCUCUUUCUCACUUUUAAUUCUAUUAUCCACAUAAAGUCAAAGUCAAUUAAUAUUUACCUUAAACAUGCCAAAUUGAGAAUGAUUUACCUCGACUGUACUGUACAGCCCAAAUUUUGCCCGGGCUAAAAAGCCCAACAUCUAAAAACCCAACAGCCCAAAACCCAACAACCUCCAAAGCCCAAUCACCUAAACCCUAAUGGCCCAUUUAUGAAAUAAAAAAAAUAAAUAAAAAUCCAAAUAUCUUCACUCCAACCACCCCACUGAACCACUCCACUAAACCACUCCAACCACCCCACUAAACCACCCCAACCACCCCACUAAACCACUCCACUAAACCAUCCCAACCACUCCACUUGCCUACAAAAAAAUUAGUUGUAAAAUUUGGCUAUAAAAGCCAUUCAAGACUAUGUUAGAAAAGGGGGAUUUUUUUUUUGGAAAGGCUAGUUUUUGGAGAUUAAUCAAAAGAUCAAAGCAAAAGAGGUUUCUUUUGUCUAUUCUCAUCUUAAGUUCUUUGUUUGUUUAUUGUUUUUCUUUCAAUUUUAUUUUGUUUUUUUUAUACGAAAGUAAAAAUAAAAGUAAGAAGCUUACCCAUAUUUUCAUUACCGAAAAAGUUUUUUUUUGAGGUCCGGCCGCCGUGUACGGUGGUGCUGACGGCGGCCCGUGGAGGUCCGUGACCAGAGCAAAGCAGGACCAAUGGUCGGAUUUAGAAGGGAGGGAGAGAGUGUUAUUUUUAAUAUUGUUAUUAUUUUCUAUUAUUAUUAUUAUUAUUACUAAUACCACUAUUAUCAUCAUUAUUACUAUUAUAUUAUAAUACAUUUUCAUUAUUAUUACUAUUGUGGUUUUACUAUUAUUAUUAUUAUAUUUUCUUUUUUUUUGUAUUUACUUAUACGUUAUUAUUUUUUAUAUUAACUAAUUUAAUAAAUAUAUAUUUUUUAGCAUAUUUAUUUUAUUUACAUAUCAUUACUUUUUUUUAUUAUUUCAUCAUCUAUUCUACUUAUAGUUUUUUAAAUAGUUCCAAACAUUUAGCUUAUUCAUUAUUUCCCUUUCUUAUUAUUUGUUCGACUCAUUUAUCUUACCUUCGUAUUUAUCGUUACUAUUCAUAUUUGUGUUUAUGUUUAUCUUGUUAUAGUUAUUGAUUUUUAUUUGUUAUGCGUUCUUUAUUAUCUCGUUCCAUCACGAAUUUAGGUUUUAUCUAACCCAAUAAUAAUUCUUUCAUAAAAAUAAAUAUUCCGUAUUUGAUAAUUCGAGACAAUCAUGCCCUAACUUACUGGGUUUUGACUUUUCUCAUUUAAUCUAAAUACAAAUACUCUUUUAAAUUGCAAUACGAGUUUUGAAUAAUACUUAUUUUCGGAAGUACGAGGUGUUGUGCCCUAACUUACUGGGUAUAACACUUCGUUACCUCGAAGUAAGAAUUUGUUUUAAAAUAAAGGCAGUAUUCGGUAUUAGGAAAUUCGAGAAAACGUGCCCUAACUUACUGGGUUUCGACUUUUCUUGAUCCUAAAUAACCGAACAACCUUUUAAAAAAAAUUUAGAAUAUAUGAAUUUUAAAUAAAGGCAAGCUCAUUCUCAAAGUUUGAGAUGUCGUGUCUUAACUUACUGGGCGUGACAUUUUAUUACUUCGAGAUGAGAGAGUCUUUAACGUUUGUUUUAAUCUAUUCGGUCAUUUUCAAAUUAGCGUUUUUUCGAAGAGGGAUCGUAUUUCAAUGUUUUUCAAGCUUUCAAUUUUUGACACUAAGAUAUUAAUUAAUCAACUAGGUACCAAUUUUUGGGCGCUACGAGGGUGCUAAUCCUUCCUCGUGCGUAACCGACUCCCGAACCUGUUUUCUUGAUUUACGUGGACCAAAAUCGUUGUUUAAAUAAAUCAAACCAUUUAUUAAAAACAACCACUUUUACAAGGUGAUCCAAUCACACCUAAAAAGAUUGGUGGCGACUCCCGUUUUCAUUUUUCUCCAAGUCGAUACCCUUUUUUUUUUUUAAAAAUGGUUACGACAGCUUGGCGACUCCACUGAGGACUUUUUAUAAAAGAGUCAAGCCACAAGUUGAUUAACUUUUGUCUUUUUUUCGAAAGUUGAGAAUUUGGUUUUGAUAUACGAUCUCUUCAUUGAGCUUCACCCGUUUUUCGUACUGUUUUCAUCAUUUUAUUCCUAUUUUUUUUAAUCGUUUCAAGUUUUAUGCAUAUAUCUUCUCGCAUUGCAUUGCAUGACCGUUGUGGUCACACCUUUAAGUGGGAGUGAAAAACUACGCCUUCGUGAGGUUUUCGCCUCCGUGCAGGAUAGUGGAUCACUUUCGGAAUACAUCCGUACCUAUGGUUUCGUGAGAUUUUCAUCUCUGUGUAGCCAUAGGGAAAUGUAUUCCCCUGAAUUGAACUCGAUUCAAAUGAGCCUAUAAUGAGUGAGGAUCGAGGAAUCUGCUGAUUCAGGUACCUCAAACUUUAGAACCAACCUCAUAUAGAAAAACUGUAAGAACCCAACUUAGUUAGGAUUAAACCUUAGAUAUUACCCUUAUAAACUAUCGUUGAGGUUUAUUGAUAUCAUGCAAUACUGACUACUUCCUUUCUUUUGUUUGCAUAUCAUUUUGCAUUUAUAAAGGUAUCGAUUCACGGUCAGUUUCUAAGUUAGGAAGUUUUAUUAUGGAAAACGGACUUCUUGAUAGAGUGGAGGACAACGCCGAUGUUCAUAAAUGGUCAGAGCAAACUCAAUUAGAAAAGGGAGACAGUAUAGCUAUAGGAUAUGUGUCGGAGCUGCCAAAUUAUACUCGUAUAAGUGUCACACAAUAAUCUCCAAGAGCUUAAGGAAAUUUGGGAUCAGUGGGGCAAUGGGACCAAGUAGUUAUUCUACGACAAUUACGGAGAUUUACCUUGCUUACUCGAUAUUCAGGUAAAUGAGCACUUAUUCCGAGCCCUUGCUCAGUUUUGGAACCCGGCGUACAGCUGUUUCACCUUUGGAUAAGUAGACUUGGUACCUACCGUAGAGGAGUACACCGCCUUACUUCGUUGUCCCAAGUUUCAGAGUAAUAGGAUUUAUUCUCGAGCUGCUUGUGUCCCUACCUUUUGGAAAAAAUUAAUGGCCAUUACGGGGAUGAGCGAGCAGUGGGUCACGGCCAGAAUUAAAGAGAAAGGUGAGUGCAAGUGCAUCUCAUAGGGCGUUUUGAAAAAUUUGAUUUUGACACACCCUGAUGAGACGAAGAAGGUAGACAUUUUUGCCUUAAGUAUGUAUGGACUGAUGGUUUUCCCUAGGGCUUUGGGAUAUGUGGACGAGGCAACCACGGAUCUUUUUCAUCGACUCAGCAAAAUGGUCACUUCUGUCCCUGCGAUUUUGGCGGAAACAUUCAGGUCCUUAGGUGCAUGUAGGAGGGCUGGCGCAGGCAGGUUUAUAGGAUGUGCUCAGUUACUUUUGGCUUGGUUCUACAGUCACUUUCGAUUGAUUGAUAGGACUGUUUAUCGAGUUUUCUUUGAGAACUACUCCCCAAUGAAAGAUAUAGUAGCCUCGUCUAGAAAAGUGGAUGUGCUGGAGGAGAAUUGGAUAGUAUUACUUCGGAAUCUUCAGUCGAAGGAUGUGAAAUGGAGAGCUCCAUGGAUAGUUCCUGGUGAGAUACUUUAUCGAUGUGGCAGCUUUAAUUGGGUUCCCCUGUUGGGACUUUGGGGUGCCAUUGGUUAUGCCAUUUUGCUCGUGCUGAGGCAGCAUGGACUGAGACAGUUCGUACCAGUGACUCAGGGGUUAGCUCAAAGUGAGUUUGUAUAUAGAGGAGCCGAUUACAAGAGGAAGGUUAGCGAAGUUUCUAGUGCUUGGAACAAGACUUAUCGAUUGAAGGGAGUGGCCAUUAAUCCUACUAUGACACCGGAGUAUGUCGAGUGGAGGAGUAGAAGGAUUAACGAUAAUAUCCCUAUGACAAAAAUGGAGGAAGUUCGACCAAUGGAGGAAUAUCUACAAGUGAUACCCUCGGAGCUUGAUAUCAUGAAGCAAGAAUUUAAGAGAAAGAAUUUGGAACUCGAAAAGAAGAUAGAAAAGCUUGAGGAGGAGAAGAUGUACCUAAGUCUAGAUGUCGACCUGCAAAAGAAGGAGGUUGAAAAGGUUAGGAAAGAAAAGAGGAAGGUUGAGUAAGACCGAGAUGAUUUAAAAGAAAAGUAUAAGAAGGCACAAGUAUCUUUGAAGCGAGUGGGGUUAGGAAGGUCUUUAGAACAGUGGCAGAAAGAAGUUCAAGAGGAAAAAGUUAGAGCCGAAUACUGGGAGAAGAAGUGCCAAGAAAUGCGGUCGCAGAAUUUGACAUUAGAGAGAGAGAAUAAAGGGUUGAAGACUGAGCUUGGAAGAUUUCUUCGUCGGCAUAGAAAUCAUAAUCCUACGGUCGAGUUAAAAGAGCUAAAAAGUAAGGUUGAAGAUUUGGAAGCGGCAUUGCCUGGUAGUGAACUUCGUAUUGAACAAUUCGAGGUGCAAGAAGAUUGUCUCAAGUCAAAGAUAGGGAUUAUAUUAUUGGAGAGGCAAUAGCCCAGAUCCGAGAGGUUGCUGAAUCUGUUCAAGACUUAGCAGUACGAGCUGAUGCUUUGAGCAUGAUGUAUGAGUCAACGUCUGAUAAAGGUCAAGAGUUAGCCCUUUUAUUAGAUAAAGUUAGAACUUUGGACAUUAGGGCAAAGGCAUAUAUGUAAUCCAUUUAUAUGUAAAGAUAUUCUUUUUCUAAAUAAAGUUUUCUAAAUGAGAUUGAAUCGAGAUCGAUACCUUUUUGCAUUCAUGCAUUUGCAUUACAUUACAUCAAAGAAAAGAAAAUGUUGAUUCGAAAUUCGAUUCCUAAAUAGAAUAGUUUGUCAUAAGGAAACGAAUUUCUUGAAAAAGUGGAUUCUAGUGUCGUCGUCUGAAUAUAGCUCAAGUAAACACGAUGAGAGAAAGCUGAUAAUCCACAGAGGAAUACAUGAUGUAAUUGCCAGAGAUUCAAGCCAACAAAGGUUAUCCAAGAGCAUGACGAGAGAAAGCCGGAAGUCCACGAAGGAAUACAUGAAUUGAUUUAAUUGCCAACGAAGAUUAUUCAAGAGCCGACACUUUUUGAUGAGUAUCAUGAAGAUAAGCGAGCAAGAGAUCGAGGCUCAGAUUAAGCAACAAGGAGCUAGCAGAUGCAUCUUUUAGAGAAUUUACAAGAUUCGACCAUGAAGAAAAGAUCAGCGUUUACUUGGACUAUGAAGGGAAAGACCGCAUAUGUAAUCUAUUUUCAUGUAAAGAAAUCUAUUUUCUAGAAAAGUUAUUCUAAUAGAAUUGAAUUCAAGAUCAACAUCUCCUUUUCUUUUUGCAUUCAUGCAUUUGCAUUACAUCACAUCAUAUGCAUUCAAAAUUAUAGAAAGACCCUAAUUAGUUAAAGUUUACUUCUAGAGAGGUAGAAAAGGAAAAUCUGGAAAUCACACAUCCCUACGGCACUCGUACUAAAACUAAGAGUAUGGAUCAAAGGUUCGAACAAUUGCAAAAGGAUAUGCAAGACCAAUUGCAAGAGCAGUUGGCCAAGAUGCAGAAUGACAUGAGGGAACAAAUGCUUGAGGUUCAGAGGAGUAUGAUGGCUGAAAUGGCUCAGCUUCUAAGGGCCACUGAUAAAGGGAAGACCCUCAUGGCUAUCACUGGUGAGGAGGAUGAGGAUCAUCCUCUGGGUUUCACUCCGCCACGUGUGCCACUGCAAACUGAGGUACCUCCUAGAAGGCCAUCUUUUACUGUAAGACCUCAACAUGGGCCGGUUGAUGCUGGAAUCCUCGUGAAUUUCCCAUCUGGGUCGGAAAAUAACGUGGGCGAUAGCCUGAUCAACCCUGUCACUCCUGAUCUAGAUAUGAUGGAGAGGGAAAGAAUGGCAACUGAAUCCUCAAAACAGUUGGAGGAUCGUUGCAAGUGGUUGGAAGAGAAAUUUAGGAUUUUGGAAGGCGCUAGCAAUCAUCAAGGGAUUGAUGCCAAAGACUUAAGUUUGGUCCCAGACUUGGUGCUUCCUCAUAAAUUUAAGAUGCCGGAGUUUGAAAAGUAUAACGGGACUACUUGCCCAGAGGCACACAUAACAAUGUUUUGUAGGAGAAUGACUGGGUAUGUGAACAAUGAUCAACUAUUGAUCUAUUGUUUUCAAGACAGCUUAGUAGGAGCAGCGGCUAGGUGGUACAAUCAGUUGAGUCGUGCAAGAAUCGGUUCAUGGAGAGAUCUUGCACAAGCCUUCAUGCAACAGUACAACAAUGUGACUGAUAUCAUGCCAGACAGGAUUACGCUUCAAAACAUGGAGAAGAAGCCUAAUGAAAAUUUUAGGCAAUACGCACAACAAUGGAGGGAAGUAGCAAUGCGAGUACAGCCACCACUGUUGGAAAAGAAGACCACCAUGUUAUUUAUCAACACUCUGAAGGCGACAUUCAUCACUCACAUGAUUGGAAGCACCACGAAAAGUUUCGCGGAUAUAAUUAUGGCAGGAGAGAUGAUUGAGAGCGCCGUAAGUGGCGGUAAAAUUGAGGGGGAAACGACUAAAAGAUCAGCCCCAAGGAGAAAAGACAAUGAGGUGAAUAGUCUCAACUCGAGGGCAAUCACAGUUGGUCAACCCAAAGCAGCUAUGGUCGAACAACAAAAUACCCAAAGACAGGAAUCGGGCAUAAGAUAAAAUUCGAAAAGAAUGCAAUUUACGCCUAUCCCUGUGACGUAUCGUGAGCUUUAUCAAAGCUUGUAUGAUGCACAUUCCAUUGCUCCAUUUCACUUGAAACCACUACAGCCACCGUACCCCAGAUGGUAUGCAAAUGCUAAAUGCAAAUAUCAUGCGGGAAUACCGGGGCAUUCGAUCGAACACUGCACCAGAUUCAAGAAAGCCGUGGAGAGGCUUAUCAAGAUGGGGGUUGUGAAAUUUGACAGUACCCUUAAUGUCGAAAAUUCAUUACCAGAUCAUGGCAAUCGAGGAGUGAAUGCCAUUGAUGAAACAAUGGAAGGAAAAAUCAAGGAAGAUAUUGCUGAAGUGAAAACACCCAUGAAAGUAGUAUGGGAGGAAAUGGCGAAGAGAGGUAUGUUGACCUUUGGAAAAGGUAGAAGAGGAAUAGAGAAUUAUUGUGAAUUCCAUGGAGAGGUGGGUCAUGUGAUCCAAAAUUGUGAGGAGUUCAAGGCCAUGGUGCAAGGCCUUAUGUUUGACAAAGAGCUACAGAUUUUUUAGGGUAGUUCUGGCAAAAGACAAAUAUGUGUGCUGGAAAAUGAACAACAAGGAACCAGUCGACCAAGAAUUAUUAUUUCCUUACCGGGGAAUAAGGAAGUGGGGACACGAACUGGUCCCAAGAUCGUCAUCCAUAAACUCACUCAUUUCCCUUACAAGGAUGACAAGAGGGUGCUAUGGAGCUCUGAUUGCAGUAUAACAGUACCUGAGGGGGAGAGCAUAGCCAGUGCACCUAGGAGUGAGCAAAAUGAAGGUUCCCAUACGCGAAGUGGGAAGCGCUAUAAUGGGGGGCAUCAGAGUGGAGCCCACGAAAGCAAAGGAUGUUGACGUUGAGAAGAAGAAAGAGGUUGAAAUCCCUAUCAAAGAGCCAGUAAAGGAAGUGGAGGCUAAGGAGUUUCUAAAAUUCCUUAAGCAUAGCGAGUACAGUGUGGUCGAUCAGUUGCAUAAACAGCCGGUGUGUAUAUCAGUAUUAGCCUUACUUCUGAGUUUUGAGGUGCAUCGGGAUGCAUUGUUGAAGGUACUUAACGAAACAUAUGUCACCUAUGACAUAUUCGUUAACAAGUUGGACCAGUUGGUAAAUAACAUCAGUGCGGACAAUUUCAUCUACUUGAAUGGUGAUGAAAUUCCACCUGGGGGCAAAGGGUCAACCAAAGCCUUGAACAUUACUACUCGGUGCAAGGGAUACACGCUGCCAAGUGUACUUGUUGAUAACGGGUCUGCUUUGAACAGAUUACCCAUUGACGGUUCGCAUAUGAAAACAUGUCACAACAUGGUAAGAGCCUUUGAUGGAACUGAAAGGAAAGUGAUGGGACGAAUCGGCAUCCCUUUGGAAAUUGGACCAAAUACAUAUGAAGUUGAUUUCUUGGUAAUGGAUAUCAAGCCCUCCUAUAAUUGUUUAUUGGGGAGGCCAUGGAUACACUCGGCAGGAGCGGUGCUUUCCUCAUUGCACCAAAAAUUAAAGUUAGUAACAGAUGGACGGUUAAUAACCAUCAACGCGGAGGAAGACAUUAUAGCAGCAGUCACUAGCAAGGCCUCUUAUGUCGAGGCGAAUGAAAAAGCUAUUGAGUGUUCUUUUCGCUCUUUAGAAAUCAUCAAUGCAACCUUCAUUUUGGAAGGAAAUGAGGUGUCGGUACCCAAAAUGUCUAGAGCCACAAGGAUGGCCCUGCAAAUGAUGAUGGGAAAAGGGGCAUUACUAGGAAAAGGACUAGGAAGACAGUUGCAAGGAGGGAUUCAAAUCCCUAAACUGAUUGAGAAGAAAGAUCGCUCUGGUUUGGGCUUUAAGCCAGACCAUAAGCACAAAAAGCAGGAGAUGGAGAGGCGCCAAGCAAGAAGGAAGGCGCGUUUGAACGGAGGUGAAGUGGAGUGGGAACCGAUGACAUUCCUACAUAUAUCCAAAUCCUUUAAGUCAAGAGGGUUACUGAUAGAAAAGAGUCAUCAAAUUAAUACUGUGCACGAUGAGGGAUUGGAGAAAGAAAGUUUCGAGGACAUUCAUCGUCACGAGCCAGGGAGCUCUCUGAAUAGUUGGACUGCUGAAUACCUUCCUGUAGUCUUUAGGAAUUUUUCAGAGUCUCUAGAUAUGAAUGAUAUGAGCACUGAUACUACCACUCCUGAUUUCUCUUACGAGCAAGAUAUGUGUUUAGAGGAAUCUCAGAAUUUUGAAGAUGUUCAAGAUUGUGACGUAUCCCUCGAUCUGUUAAGAAUGGUAAAGCAGGAGGAGAAAUAAAUCACGCCACAUGAGAAAGAGGAAAUAGAGAAUAUAGCCCUAGAGGAAGGGAAGGAGUUGAAAAUUGGAACACUAAUUACUGAGGAAACAAGGCAUAGUCUGGUUGAGUUGCUUCGAGAGUUUAAGGAUAUCUUCGCCUGGUCAUAUCAGGACAUGCCCGGAUUGAGUACUGACAUUGUAGUACAUCGUCUUUCGAUAAGGCAGGAUUGUAAGCCAGUCCAACAGAAGUUGCAGAGAAUGCGGCCGGACAUUGUUCUAAAAAUAAAAGAUGAGGUUAAGAAGCAGUUCGAUGCAGGGUUCUUACAAGAAGUGAAAUACUCCGAAUGGGUAGCUAGCAUUGUACCAGUUCCUAAGAAAGAUGGGAAGGUACGAAUGUGUGUUGAUUACAGAGAUUUAAAUAAAGCUAGCCCCAAAGAUAAUUUCCCUCUGCCACACAUAGACACUUUGGUGGACAACACAGCAGGAUAUUCGUUGUUUUCCUUCAUGGAUGGUUUCUCAGGAUACAAUCAAAUAAAGAUGCAUCCAGAGGACAUGGAUAAAACCACCUUUAUAACCUUAUGGGGCACCUUUUGCUACAAAGUAAUACCGUUUGGACUGAAGAACGCAGGGGCAACAUACCAGCGGGCCAUGGUAAACUUAUUCCACGACAUGAUGCAUAAAGAUAUUGAGGUAUACGUUAAUGAUAUGAUUGCCAAGUCGCAUACAGAAAAAGAGCCCAUUGAGGUCUUGAGAAGAUUGUUCUUGAGGUUGAGAAAAUUUCAGUUGAAGCUCAAUCCAGCAAAGUGUACCUUUGGAGCCAGAUCGGGAAAGUUAUUAGGCUUCGUAGUCAGUGAAAAGGGAAUUGAGGUUGACUCAGACAAGGUCAGAGCCAUACGAGAGUUACCUCCACCACGUACUCAGAAGGAAGUUCGAGGAUUCCUAAGAAGGUUGAAUUACAUCGCUCGGUUCAUUUCACAACUAACCGAAAAAUGUGACCCUAUCUUUCGCCUCCUCAGAAAGCACAAUCAAGUUACUUGGGAUGAGGAAUGCCAUAAUGCUUUUGAAAAGGUUAAGCAGUAUUUGUUGAAUGCUCCGGGUUUAUCUCCACCUAGCCUAGAUAAGCCGUUAAUACUGUACUUGUCAGUGUUCAGUAAUUCUAUGGGAUGUGUGCUUGGCCAGCAUGACGAGUCAGGGAAAAAGAAGAAGGCAAUAUAUUAUCUCAGUAAGAAGUUCACUGACUGUAAGAUGAGAUAUUCACCGAUUGAAAAGUUGUGUUGUGCUCUGAUUUGAACAACUCGGAGAUUAAGACAGUACAUGUUAUACCAUACCACUUGGCUCAUCUUAAAGCUUGAUCCAUUGAAAUACAUGAUGGAGUCAACGGCUUUGAAUGGAUGAAUGGCGAGAUGGUAAAUUUUGCUUUCAGAAUUUGAUAUAAUCUACAUAAGUCAGAAGGCUAUCAAAUGAAGUACGGUAGCAGAUUUCUUAGCCAGUAGGGCUCUAGAGGAUUAUGAGCCAUUGAACUUUGAUUUUCCAAAUGAGGAGUUGAUGUGUAUAGCAACGGCCGAAGAUUCUUCUUGGAAGCUCAAUUUUGAUAGGGCUUCUAAUGCAGUCGAAAAUGGAAUUAGGGCAAUCUUGGUAUCUCCCAAUGGUAAUCACUACCCUUUCACGUGCAAGUUAGACUUUGAUUGCACGAACAAUAUGGCUGAGUAUGAAGCGUGCAUCAUGGGACUACAAGCAGCUAUAGAGCGAGGUAUAAAAACCUUAAAAGUAUAUGGAGAUUCUGCGUUGGUAAUUUAUCAACUCAGAGGUGAAUGAGAAACAAGGGACCCUAAAUUGAUCAAUUAUCGAAAGGUAGUUUUGGGGUUACUUGAGGAGUUUGAUGACAUCACUUUCAAUUAUCUCCCGCGAGACGAAAAUCAGAUGGCAGAUGCUUUAGAAACCUUGGCCUUAAUGAUUAAGGCGAAUAAAGAAGAAGAGAUAAGACCAAUUCAAAUGAGUGUCUACAAGGCUCCAGCACAUUGUUGCAACAUUGAGAAGGAAGAAGAUGAUGAUAACCCUUGGUAUCAGGAUAUAUUACGAUAUGUGAGGGAUCGUAAAUACCCUGAACAAGCCAAUGAAAAUGACAAACGAACGUUGAGAAGGCUAGCUUGCGACUAUGUCUUAGACGGGGAUAUCCUGUACAAGAGAAGGAAAGACUAAGUACUUUUGAGAUGUGUUGAUGCCGUAGAAGCUAAGCUAAUUUUAGAAGAAGUUCAUGAAGGCGUAUGCGGGACAUAUGCAAAUAGGUUCACGAUGGCUAGAAAAAUCAUGAGAUUUGGAUAUUACUGGGCUACCAUGGAAGAGGAUUGUAUCAACUACGCCAAGAAAUGUCAUAAAUGUCAGAUUUAUGGAGACAAGAUACAUGUACCACCUUUACCUCUACAUGUUAUGACUUCUCCAUGGCCCUUUUCCAUGUGGGGCAUGGAUGUCAUUGGACCAAUAUCACCGAAGGCUUCAAAUGGACAUCGGUUUAUCUUCGUGGUCAUUGACUACUUCACAAAAUGGGUAGAGGCCACUUCUUACGCAAAUGUUACUAAGUCAGCUGUGAGUCGAUUUUUAAAGAAAGAGAUCAUUUGUCGGUAUAGGAUGCCUGAAAGGAUCAUAUCAGACAAUGCAUUGAACUUGAACAACAAAAUGAUAGCAGAAGUUUGCAACCAGUUCAAGAUUAAGCAUCACAAUUCUUCCCCCUAUCGUCCAAAAAUGAAUGGGGCAGUAGAAGCUGCCAACAAAAACAUUAAGAAUAUAGUGGGGAAAAUGACUGAGACCUAUAGAGAUUUGCAUGAGAAGUUACCGUUUGCACUCCUGGCCUAUCGAACAUCUGUCAGAACCUCUACCGGGGUAACCCCAUUCUCGUUGGUUUAUGGGAUGGAAGCAGUGUUACCUAUUGAAGUAGAAAUACCUUCUCUUCAAAUUUUGAAUGAAAUAAGGUUAGAUGAAGCUGAAUGGGUUCAAUCCCGAUAUGACCAGUUGAACUUGAUUGAGGAAAAGAGGCUAAGAGCCAUUCGGCAUGGUCAGAUGUAUCAGAAGCGAAUGAUGCGAGCUUAUGACAAGAAAGUUCAACCCAGAGAGUUCCACGAGGGAGACCUUGUACUGAAAAAGAUUCUUCCUAUUCAAAAAGAUUUUAGGGGGAAAUGGAUGCCGAAUUGGGAAGGGCCGUAUGUCAUGAAGAAAGCUUUCUCCGGCAGUGCAUUGAUCUUAAUGGAAAUGGAUGGAAAAAGUUUACCCAACCCAGUGAACUCAGACUCAGUUAAAAAAUACUUUGUUUACAAGAGAAGAGAAUCCAAGGUGAAAACCCGUAAAGGGCGCCUUGAGAUUAAAAAAAACGGAGAGGCCAAGGUGAGAACCCGCAAAGGGCACCUUGUGACCAAAGGGGUUUUGAGUUGAAAACCCGAAAGAGUAGCUCAAAUUUUAAAGAGUACACAGUGAUCUUGCUAUAUUUGAAGGGCGAAGCACAUUGCAUAUUGGGGCAUUAAUGAAGUACUUUGGAUCUUUUUAAACACAUGUUGAACUCAAGAAAGACUUCAUGGAGCUGGUGUAUAGGCACUCAAGCAGCAAUAUCUUGAGCAUCUAACUUUUAUCCUGUUUUCUAUCUUUAGAUUUUGUUCCUUCCUAAAGAUAGGCUUUCAGAUUAAUUUCCUUUUAGGGUAAUAGGCCGCAGCAUAGCAGAUCUGGCCAAAGCAGAUCCAAGAUGGUUUGGCAUCCUUGUGCUUACAAGGAGCAAAUCGAAAACAUAGCUGAUUUGGCUUUCGCGUGCUUACGCUAAAGCAAGUCUAAGAUGAUUUGGCAUCUCUGUAUUGUCAGAGAACAAGUCGAAGUCUGGCAUCUCCAUUUCGACGGAGAGCAGAUACAUAGCAGAUCUGGCCUUCAGAUAUUUAUACUGAAGUAAGAUCCAAGAUGAUUUGGCAUCCUUGUGUUUACAAUGAGCAAAUCGAGGACAUAGCUGAUUUGGCUUUCGCAUGCUUACGCUAAAGCAAGUCUAAGAUGAUUUGGCAUCUCUGUAUUGUUAGAGAACAAGUCGAAGUCUGGCAUCUCCAUUUCGACGGAGAGCAAAUACAUAGCAGAUCUGGCCUUCAGAUGUUUAUACUGAAGCAAGAUCCAAGAUGAUUUGGCAUCCUUGUGCUUACAAGGAGUAAAUCGAAGGCAUAGUUGAUUUGGCUUUCGUGUGCUUAUGCUAAAGCAAGUCUAAGAUGAUUUGGCAUCUCUGUAUUGUCAGAGAACAAGCCAAAGUCAGGCAUCUCCAUUUCGACGGAGAGCAGAUACAUAGCAGAUCUGGCCUUCAGAUGUUUACACCGAAGCAAGAUCCAAGAUGAUUUGGCAUCCUUGUGCUUACAAGGAACAAAUUGAAGAAGCAGAUUUGGCGUCUCUGUGCUCGACGGGGAGCAGAUUGAAGAUAUCAACAUGACAGUCAUGAGUUUGCAAGGAGUAGAUUAAUGAAGCAAAAUUGGCGUCUCUAUAUUAGACGGGGAGCAGAUCAAAGAUAGCAGAUAUUGCCUUCCUGAGUUGCAGUGAAACAGAUUGAAGCCGUCAAGAGGCAAUUUAAAGAAGAUCAAGGAUCAAGAACUCAAGACUCGGCGAGUCCAGGCAAAAUUGGUCUUUUUAUAGUCUUUGCUCUGUUCACGUUCAACGACAACAAGCAAAGAGGGGCAGCUGUACAGCCCAAAUUUUGCCCGGGCCAAAAAGCCCAACAUCUAAAAACCCAACAGCCCAAAACCCAACAACCUCCAAAGCUCAAUCACUUAAACCCUAAUGGCCCAUUUAUGAAAUAAAAAAAAUAAAUAAAAAUCCAAAUAUCUUCACUCCAACCACCCCACUAAACCACUCCACUAAACCACUCCAACCACCCCACUAAACCACCCCAACCACCCCACUAAACCACUCCACUAAACCAUCCCAACCACUCCACUUGCCUACAAAAAAAUUAGUUGUAAAAUUUGGAUAUAAAAGCCAUUCAAGACUAUGUUAGAAAAGGGGGAUUUUUUUUUUGGAAAGGCUAGUUUUUGGAGAUUAAUCAAAAGAUCAAAGUAAAAGAGGUUUCUUUUGUCUAUUCUCAUCUUAAGUUCUUUGUUUGUUUAUUGUUUUUCUUUCAAUUUUAUUUUGUUUUUUUUAUACGGAAGUAAAAAUAAAAGUAAGAAGCUUACUCAUAUUUUCAUUACCGAAAAAGUUUUUUUUGAGGUCCGGCCGCCGUGUACGGUGGUGCUGACGGCGGCCCGUGGAGGUCCGUGACCAGAGCAAAGCAGAACCAAUGGUCGGAUUUAGAAGGGAGGGAGAGAGUGUUAUUUUUAAUAUUGUUAUUAUUUUCUAUUAUUAUUACUAAUACCACUAUUAUCAUCAUUAUUACUAUUAUAUUAUAAUACAUUUUCAUUAUUAUUACUAUUGUGGUUUUACUAUUAUUAUUAUAUUUUCUUUUUUUUUGUAUUUACUUAUACGUUAUUAUUUUUUAUAUUAACUAAUUUAAUAAAUAUAUAUUUUUUAGCAUAUUUAUUUUAUUUACAUAUCAUUACUUUUUUUAUUAUUAUUUCAUCAUCUAUUCUACUUAUAGUUUUUUAGAUAGUUCCAAACAUUUAGCUUAUUCAUUAUUUCCCUUUCUUAUUAUUUGUUCGACUCAUUUAUCUUACCUUCGUAUUUAUCGUUACUAUUCAUAUUUGUGUUUAUGUUUACCUUGUUAUAGUUAUUGAUUUUUAUUUGUUAUGCGUUCUUUAUUAUCUCGUUCCAUCACGAAUUUAGGUUUUAUCUAACCCAAUAAUAAUUCUUUCAUAAAAAUAAAUAUUCCGUAUUUGAUAAUUCGAGACAAUCAUGCCCUAACUUACUGGGUUUUGACUUUUCUCAUUUAAUCUAAAUACGAAUACUCUUUUAAAUUGCAAUACGAGUUUUGAAUAAUACUUAUUUUCGGAAGUACGAGGUGUUGUGCCCUAACUUACUGGGUAUAACACUUCGUUACCUCGAAGUAAGAAUUUGUUUUAAAAUAAAGGCAGUAUUCGGUAUUAGGAAAUUCGAGAAAACGUGCCCUAACUUACUGGGUUUCGACUUUUCUUGAUCCUAAAUAACCGAACAACCUUUUAAAAAAAAUUAGAAUAUAUGAAUUUUAAAUAAAGGCAAGCUCAUUUUCAAAGUUUGAGAUGUCGUGUCUUAACUUACUGGGUGUGACAUUUUAUUACUUCGAGAUGAGAGAGUCUUUAACGUUUGUUUUAAUCUAUUCGGUCAUUUUCAAAUUAGCGUUUUUACGAAGAGGGAUCGUAUUUCAAUGUCUUUCAAGCUUUCAAUUUUCGACACUAAGAUAUUAAUUAAUCAACUAGGUACCAAUUUUUGGGUGCUACGAGGGUGCUAAUCCUUCCUCAUGCAUAACCGACUCCCGAACCUAUUUUCUUGAUUUACGUGGACCAAAAUCGUUGUUUAAAUAAAUCAAACCAUUUAUUAAAAACAACCACUUUUACAAGGUGAUCCAAUCACACCUAAAAAGAUUGAUGGCGACUCUCGUUUUCAUUUUUCUCCAAGUCGAUUCCCGUUUUUUUUUUAAAAUGGUUAUGAUAUGUACCGUAUGGGAAAACAUUCAGUACCGUGAAAGGAAUUACUCUGUUUGUAUUAAGCUUUGAAGGAACAAUUCGGGGGUCCUUUUCAUCUAACAAUACUUUAUCCCCGACCUUAAAUUGCUUUGUUUUAUCCCUACGCUCAUCAUGGCGUCGCUUUGAUUCAUCGUGUACUUUUGAUUUCUCCUUGACAUGUGUUCGCCAUUUGUUUAAUUCAUCGAUCUGAAGCAUUCGUUCUUCGUGAGUCGCUCUGUUUUUGUCAAAUGGAUUAGAAUGUGGCUCCAUUACAUUCUUUCUAGGGGUUUCUUCAAAAGAAGUUUAAGCCAUAAUGUUAUUCAUAUCAACAGAACUUGUAUAGCCAUCUUACUUACUAGAUAAUUUAGUCGAAUCACAAGCUUGGAGAGUAAUCGUGUAAUCUCCUACACGAAGUAUUAGUUCUCCUAUGCCAAUAUCAAUGAUAGUCCCAGCAGUUGCUAAAAAGGGUCGUCUUAAAAUUAAAGGCACGUCACUAUCCUCUUCCAUAUAUAAAACAACAAAAUCAAUUGGGAUUAUAAAUUUAUCAAUUUUGACUAGAACAUUUUCAAUGAUACCCCUAGGAAACCUAAUUAUUUUAUCAACCAGUUGAAUGCUCAUCCUAGUUUGUUUUGGUUUCCUAAGGCCUAGUUGUUUAAACAUUUUAUAGGGCAUAACAUUAAUGCUCGCCCCUAAAUCAGCUAAAGCAUUGUUAACAUUCAAACUACCAAUUAAACAAGGAAUUGUAAAACUCCCUAGAUCUUUCAGUUUGUUGAGUAACUUGUUUUGUAGAAUAGUUGAGCAGACUGCAUUUAACUCCACAUAUGAUGACUCAUCUAACUUCCAUUUAUUUGUCAGAAGUUCUUUUAAAAAUUUAACUGCGUUUAGCAUUUGUGAAAGAGCUUCAAUGAACGGUAAGUUAAUAUGUAAUUUUUUAAGUAGUUUAAAGAAUUUACCGAAUUGUUUGUCUGUGUGGUCUUUCAUUUUUGCAUUAGGAUAUGGUACAAGAGGUUUAUAUUCUUUGUUUACCAACUUUUGUGUGCCGUGAUUCAUCUCAUCGUUACCAUUACUUACCACAGCUUCGUUCCUCAUUUCAAAUUUAGAUUCAACUAACCCUUCUUCGUCGCGCACAGUGAUGGAAUGGAGUUGCUCCCUUAGGUUAGUUUCUGUGUUAUUAGGUAUGCUACCUUGUGAUCGUUCAAAAAUCAACUUAGCGAGCUAUCCUAUUUGAGUUUCGAGCCCUUGAAUUGAUGCUUGCUGAUUCUUAAGCACUGUUUCGAUAUUCUGAAAACAAGUUUCUGACACCGAGAUGAAUUUUGUGAGCAUCUCUUCGAGGUUUGGUUUCUUCUCUUGUUGAUAAGGUGGUUGUUGAAAACCUGGAGGAUGCUGUGGUUUUUGAUUUCCUUGACCACUCUAUGAGAAAUUAGGAUGGUUCCUUCAACCUGCAUUAAAAGUGUUACUAUACGAAUUAUUUUGAGGUCUAGAAUUAUUAUCUAUAUAGUGGACUUGUUCCUUCUCUUUGCUAGGGUUGAAGGAUGGAUAAUCUGUGUUGUGCACUCUUCUUCCAUUUGAAUCACACCUCAUCACUAGAUGUACCUGAGUAGAACCAUACAAACCAUCAAUCUUUUUAUUUAAAAGUUUUACCUGGUUGAUAGUAUAGUGACCGCGUCAAGGUUGAAAACACCAACUAUUUUUGUCGGCUUUGUUCUCAUGACUUGCCACUGAUAGUUACUCAGUGACAUCUCUUCAAUAAAUUUAUAAGCCUCUUUAGGUGUUUUGUUGUUUAAAGUUCCACCAGCAGAUGCGUCGAUAAGUUGCCUUGUUAAGGGGUUCACACCAUUAUAAAAAGUCUGAACCUGCAGCCAUAGAGGUAACCCAUGAUGAGGACACCUUCUUAAUAAGUCAUUGUAUCUCUCCCAUGCAUCAUAAAGAGUUUCUAGAUCCAUCUGUACAAAAGAAGAGAUAUCAUUCCUUAAUUUAGCCAUUUUAGCCGGUGAAAAAUAUUUAAGUAAAAAUUUUUCGGUCAUUUGUUCCCAAGUAGUGAUUAAUCCUCGUGGUAACAAGUUCAACCACUGUUUAGCCUUAUUCCUUAAUGAAAAAGGAAAUAACCGAAGGCGAAUGGCAUCGUCAGAAACACCAUUAAUUUUAAAUAUGUUGCAGAAUUCCAGAAAAUUUGCUAAAUGAGUGUUUGGAUCCUCGUCUUGCAAACCAUCAAACUGAACAAACUGUUGUAUCAUUUGAAUCGUGUUAGGUUUUAGUUCAAAAUUAUUUGUAGAAACAACAGGUCCAACUAUACUCGAUUCAGUUCAUGUUAAAGUAGGUUUAGCAUAAUCAUACAUAGUACGAGGAGCGGGAUUCUGAUCUACUGGAUUUGCAGCAACCACAGGAGGCAGCGGAUUAUUCUGAUUUUCAUCCAUCUCCUCGGUAUUAGUGCGAAUAUUGCCCCCUCGCUCUUCCUCUAUGUAUUGUAGACUUCGCCUUAUUUCUCUUCAAUUUCUGCGAGCUGUGCUCUCGAUCUCACUAUCAAAAAGCAAAGGUCCUGAUGGGUUUCUUCUAAUCAUAAACUAUAAAAACCUGCCAGAAGUAAAUAAAAGAAAAUUUAGUAAUUAAAUUGAAACAAAAAUAAAAAAUGGAUAAAGUAAUAAAAAUUAAGCGUUCCUAAUAUCUUAGUUCCCCGGAAACGGUGCCAAAAACUUGAUGGUCGUGAAACUAACUCAAAAUUCGACUAAGGCAAUUGCACCUAUCGAACAGUAGUAUAGCUAUGGUGAGACCGGGAAUAUCAUAUACACGAGGACUAAAAGUACUAGUAAUUACUAUCUUUUUAUUAUCUAGCUUAACAAUUAAGAGAGUGUUUUAUCUAAGACUAAUUAUCUAAUUAACUAAGAUUAUGACAAAGAUUAAGGUUGGAAAAUACUUUUGGAAAACCGAUGGAAAAGACAAUACCCAAGGAAGAAUCCACCUAGACUUCACUUAUCACUUCUGAAUUAGAUGAUUUAUUCACUUGACUUAAUCCGUAGAAAUCCUUGAUUUAUGUUAAUAUCUCUCUCGAGACUAAGAAUAACUGACUCUAGGUUGGUUAAUCGAAAUCUCUUUCUAAUUAAAACCCCUAUUGUCGUAUUAACUCGAUCUAUAGAUUCCAUUAUUAGAUUUGACUCUAAUCCGGCAGAUUUAUGUCGUCCUAUCUCUAGGAUUGCAUGCAACUCCGCUUAAUUAUGAAUGAUCUACUCUUAAAUAGGGACUUUUGCUCCACUGAAUAAGCACAUCAAAACCUAAAUUAAUAUCCUGGAAUAUUAAAGCAAGGGUUAAAACUCACAAUUAAGAAUAAGAACAAGUAUUUAUCAUAUAAUUCAAAUAGUAAUAAGAUUCGUCUUAGGUUUCAUCUCCCUUAGGUAUUUAGGGAGUUUAGUUCAUAAUAAUGGAAAACAUCUCAAUAUUGGGAAAACAACAAAACAUAAAGAAACCCAAAGAACUUCUAGGGAAAUUGAAUGGAGAUCUUCAGUCUUGAAGUAGAUCCUACUUCCGAGCUGAUUCCGAUGGCUAUCCUUAAAUAUUUUCUGCCUUCCACUCUGCGUGUCCUCUUUGAUCUUAUUCAAGGGUGUUUAUAUAGGCUUUGGAAUGCCCAAAAUAGCCUAAAAUUACCCUUUUCUGAAUAGAAUUAGACUUUGGUUCGACAGGGACACGGCCGUGUGCCACGCCCGUGUGAAGGUGCUCAGGCCGUGUGCAAUUCAGACUUGGUUUAAUGUCGACACGGCCAUGCCACACGGGCGUGUGGCCUGCUCAUGUGUCACACACGGGCGUGUGGUUUACCAAUGUGAAAAUGCUUAGGCCGUGUGAAACACUGAAGUAGGCCCAAUUUGUCCGUUUUUGGCCUGUUUCAUGCUCUUUUUGCUAAACCGUAUACUAAAUCAUCCAAAAAUAUGCCAAGCAUAGGAUAAAAAUAUGUAUAUAUUAUGGUUUAUCAGAAUUACCCUGAUGAAACUUCAUAAAUGUAACAGCCUAAUUUUCAGUGGUGUCGGAAUAGUGAUUCGAGAUCACUGAAUCAGACAAAUGAGUAGGAAAUAUUAUUAAUUUAGUGAGUAUAAGUUAAAUGUGAAGUUAGGAAAAAUUUUGAAGUAGUUAAUAGUGUACUAAAAAUAAAUAUUAAAAUAAUUAGAAUCGAAAACGAGGUAUCGAGACCUCGAGAAUUUUAAAUUGAGCCAUAAAUAUUUUUAUAAAUAUUUAUGGAGUGUUAAUAAGUCAGCAUUAAAGUUUCGUCAAGAAAUUUUAAAGUUCUGAUAGUUAAUUGAACAAAAAGGACUAAAUUGUAUUAAAUACAAAAUUGUGGGAAAUGAUUAAAUAGCUUAAAUGAUAAAAGAAAGAGAGUUUAAAAGGAAAAUAGACCCAAGGUCUCUUUGGGCGGACGGCAAUGGCAUGAAAUCAGCAAGAAAAUAAGGAGAAUUAAGGGAAAAAUUGGAAAAUUACAAAAUUUACUUAAUAAAGCUAGGACUAAAGUGGAAUUAUCUAGAUUUCUCUUUAUUUUUCUGCAUUCUCAUCAGCAAAAACACCAUGGAAGAGUUCCCUUAAGCUGGUUUUUCAUAUUUUUACUUCAAGUAAGUUCAAUUAUUGAUUUUUUCUUGAAUUUUUUGUGUUUUUGUGACUUUUACAACUAGGUCCACUUGUUAAAUUCAUUAGUUUUUGAUUCUAUGAAAGAAAUUGAAAGUUGCUAUGAAUAUGUUAUGAAAGUAUAUGAUGAUUUGGCAUGGAAUUAGAGCUUUAAAUUGUUUAUAUGCUGAUUUUAUUGAAAGAAUUGAAUAGAAAGUGAAUGUUUGAGACCUAAUUGUAAAAGAGUUUGAUGUUAGAGUUUUAUGUAGAAAUUCUGAAUUUUAAUAGUUAUGAAAUAACUUAUAAUGUCUAGGAAAAGUAUUAAUUGAGAAAAUUAUCUUAAUUGAGGGGUUAAUUGAGUAAGGACUGAAUUGUAUGAAUUGUGAACUUUGGGGCAAAAUGGAAAUCAACAUUUUGCACUAAAACUGUUUUGGACAGCAGCAGUAGUCUAACUUUUAAAAAUCACCAAAAAUUGUAGAAAUGAAAUUAGAGGAUGGAUAAAAUAUGAAAUUAAAGCUUAUUGAGUCUAGUUUGUUAUAGAAGAAAUGAUGUAAGCAAUGGAAUUGUAAAUCAUGAGAUAUGAUAAAUUUUGUGAGAUAAGGUCAGAAUGAUUUCGGGUUCCCCUGUUCUGACUUUGUAAAAUCAUAAAAAAUUGGAUAAAAAUAAUUAUGGGCUUAAAUUUAUAUGUUUAGAAUCCUGAAUGAGUCUAUUUUCAAUAGAAGCAAAUAGGAACAUCAUUCAAAUCCUGUACAAGGAGAUAAUUAAUUUUUAGUGAAGAAGGGUCGGAACUGUCAGACAGCAGAACAGGGGAGACUUCAAUGAAUAAACUGUAUUAAUUGGCCCAACCAAAAAUUAUGAAAUUUUUAUGGUAAGAAUAUAUGUGAGUCUAGUUUUAGAAAAAAUUAGCAGAUCUUAAUUUGGACUUCUGUAGCUUCAGAUAUAAAUAAUUUAGUGACUAUGACACGGGUGGAUAGCUUGAAUAUUCACAUAAGUAAUUAGUGAAAAUUAUGGAUAAAGUUACUUACAAGUGUGUUAUUUAUACCAAGGAUGUGGAUGGAGAGGAGGAGGAGGAAAAAAUAUAUGAAUGACUCCUGUAUAAAUUGAUCACAUGUCCGAUUAUAAUCGAUAAGUGUUGGAUUAGAAAUGAUAUAAAGUUUUAUUUGGAAUAUUUAUUAUGAAAUUAUGAUUAUCGUUAUAAUACAAAAAUUGAACUUGUGAGUUUAUAUGGCUAAAUUUUGGUGAUUAUUUGUUAAUUUUAUGAAUUUCAUGAUGUGUUAUUUCAUAUGUAUUGAUGAUAAAAUCGUGAAUAAUGUAAAAGCAUGAAAAUUGAAUAAAUGAUCAAAUUGAGCAUUUCAGUUCAGUGACAAGAUUAAUUGAAGGAAAAGACCAUGGUUGGACCAUGGCAACAAGUGAUAAGUGAUAGCUUCGGCUACACUUAUCUGAUCAAGGACAAAUGACAAGUGAAAAGUGGUAGCUUCAGCUACCUGAUCAGUGAAAAGUGGUAGCUUCUGCUACCUGAUCAGUGAAAAGUGGUAGCUCCGGUUACCUGAUCAGUGAAAAAUGGUAGCUCCGGUUACCUGAUUAGUGAAUAGUGGUAGCUUCGGCUACAAGUGACAAGUGAUUUCCGUAUAAGACCAUAUUUGGGAUAUGGCAUCGGUGUGAUAUAUGCUACUGUAUAAGACCAUAUCUGGGAUAUGGCAUCAGUGAGAUAUGUUGAUACGUGUAUGACCAUAGCUGGGCUAUGGCAUCGAUAUGUGAUAUGUGAUUACGUGUAAGACCAUAGCUGGGCUAUGGCAUCGAUAUAUGAAUAUGUGUAAGAUCAUAGCUGGGCUAUGGCAUCAUUAUGUGAAGAUGUGUAAGACCAUAGUUGAACUAUGGCAUUGAGAAAAUGAAGUACUCAAUUCCGUAAGACGUUCACUAAUUUGAUAUGUAUUGAUAAUUCAAACGUAUUAAUGUAUAAAGUUCCGACAUGGAAUAAAUUGAAUACGAGACAAAUAAUUAUGAAAUUGAACUUGGAAUUCAUGAAAAUGACGGUUAUUGAUAUAUGGAGACAUGAGACAUUGGUAUAUGAAUAUGGAAAAUGUUUGAUAAAUGUGUUUAUUCAUAAUUAUGGAAUUAUAUACCUCAUGUUUACUACUUGCAUAAAGAUGAUAUUUCAAAUACUUUAGUUAUUUAAGCUUAAAUAUGAAACAGUAUGAAAUCAAGAUAAGUUGUUAUAAAAAUAUAUUUAGAUUACAGAGAUAUGGCUGAUAUAUGUUGUAUGAUUACAUAACGUGAAAUUGUGUAUAUAUAUGAGAAAUUUAAUGAGAAAUAAGCCCAUACACAUUUCUUGUUAUUUAUCUGAAGUGUACGACUGACAAGGGUGAUGAAGUUAUAAACAGAGAGUUACACGGGUUGAAAACACGGGCGUGUGACUCUCCAAAGUGUGAAAAUUUUCUAAGUGUUGCAAAAGUUUCAUAUGUUUACGGUUUGGUCCUGAGCCACCCUGAAUGUAUGUUUUGGGCCCCAUAGGCCCAUAUAAGAGACCUUAAAUAUAUGUAUGAAAGUUUUUAAUUUAGAAGAAAUUUUAUGGAUGAUUUUUACAUGAUUGAUCAUAUUAAGUUCGGUAAUGCCUCCCACCCUAUUCUAGGCUCGAAAUAGGGGUAGGGGGUGUUACACUAAAUGUAUCAUACACAUGGUUAGAGGUUGAUUUCCAAUGAUUCCAAUAUCCAACAUUUGUUGUGGGCUCGAAGAUACAUGUGACAUAAGUUUAGCUUGGAAAAGUAACCUGAUGCUGUUUUAUAGGUUUAGCUUGGACAAGUAAUCUUAUAUGUAUAUACAGAAUUGACCAACUCUCUGAUAUGUCGAUAAAGGUUUAGCCCGAAUGGGUAACCUGACACUAACAUAUGUUCUGCUUGAACAAGCAACCCGAGGUGUUUAAAGGUUUAGCUUGAAUGGGUAACCUAACCAGUACAUUACAACUUUGGCCAAACUACUUGAUGUGUUAAUAAAAGUUUUACCCCGGACGGGUAACUUGAUGUUGGAAAAACAGGUUUGGCAAAGCAGCGAAAAAUAGUUUUAAAGAAAAAAUAAAGAUUUUAAAUUUUUUUCAAAAACUAGAACUUAUUUGUGAUAUCUAAAGUAAUAAACACUUAAUCAAAAUUGUGCAUUUUCAAUUUGUUUAGGAUAAACGCUUCGAGUAGUCUUCUCCACUAUUCUCAAACUCACGUCUGCUGAGUGUGGGCUCAUUUCGAAUCAGAAAUUUUUUUCAAAAAAUUACCAGUGGGGUAAUUUCGUAAAUUCUCUAAACUUGAGGUCAAGUUGUAAAUAUGAAAAAUAUUUCAAAAAUUUUCUGAAAUAAUUUUUUCAAAUAAUUUUCUCUCUACAACUUUUACUUUAAUUCAAAUGUGUGAAAAAUAAUGACUCAUAACUCUUUUUAUAUGAGGAGCAAUUAUAAUUAAACUUAAUCACUUUAAUAAUAAAUUAAAUUAAAUAUUUAUCUUUUAGAAAAAGAUAAAUAUUUAAUUUAAUAUUAAAACUAUUAAAAUAAUAUUAUUUUUGGAAUAGUUAAUUUGAAAUCAAAUUAUCCGGUAGAGUCCCAGUAGGAGUGUAAUUUUUCCACUACUUAACCACCGAAUAGUCACUGCCACCAACCAUCUACCAGCCACUAGAAUGUCGUUGUUGCAGUAGCCGACACCGCAAUGCUCGAUGGUGCAGACACGGUACCCUCACAGUACCCUGAGUCGAUUUGGUCCGGGCUAAUGACUGCCCGACCGGUCUGGUCUAGCCACCGAUUGGACCGUCAGCCCGAUUUCAGAUACCAGGCCUGGUUUGACUAGUUAUUGGGUCUCGAUCUCAAUUUUGGGUUCUCGAUCCCAAUUUUUUAUCUCAAGUCCAAUUUUUAAGUUCAAUUACCUAUUGGGCCAAUUGUCUGGCUUGCAAAUUAACUUCCAAAAAUAUCAUAUUAAUUUUAAUUGAUUUGAUUAAUUUAAUUUUACUUGAUCAAAAUUAAUUUUUCUAAAAAUCACUUAGAUUUUCCAAAUUAAUUUUUCAAAAAAAAUUCUUUAAUCAAAUUCUCUAAUUGAACAAUUCUCACGACCACCUAAUUUAAUUCCACAUCGAAUAAAUCGACUCAAUUAAAUUAUUCCCAAAGUCGUAGAAUUUUCUUCUGAUUCAAAUGCAAUUCGGUCAAGCUUUUGUUGAGUUAGCGGAAGGACCAAUCGGAUAUAUACAAUUAGGCUCUAGUGUGCAAUUAUGUCCAGAAGCAUAAUUCUGAUAAUUCGCAAUUACUUUAUCAUGAAGUUAGUCCAUAAGAAGUACCAUGAUUGAAAACUCCUUAUUGUAUACUCUUUAAGAAAGCAAUUCAUCCAACUAAUUUGUCCAAUGGCCUUGUCAUGUGUGUGUUACCCUCAUAUGAUAUCCUUGAUUCUUUUGAGUUAAAUUUGUUCACUCAACACAACCAUAUUUUAUCUCAUUGUCACCAUAGUGUUUUCUUAAUGAUUAAUAUGAUCAUUGUCAACAAAUGACAGUGAUAAAUUGCUCGUUCGAGAACUAGCAACACGUGGCCACGUUCCAUAUUUAUCAAUCCACACAAUGCCAAUGAGAGAAUAUCAUUAACUCUUUAAUUGAGUUAUUAAUUCCAUUGUUGCUAGUAAAGUCAUGCCAUAGACAAGUUAUGUACCCAACAUACUGGCUAUAAGCUUGAUCAUCUUUAGAGCAUAAGCCUUCACUUUUAUCAAAGCACAUGAGUUGCACACGAUGAUCAAUUAUUAACUCAGGAUUUAAGUAAAUCACAACAUGAAUGUCACAAGUAAAUUAAUUCACAAACGAAUUCAGAAUUAAUUCAUCUUGGGUCCAGUCCAAUGUAUCAUUCUACCAUUGAAUACAUCUAUAUUACUACCGGUGGAGUCAACUACUCCGAUGGCCAAGACUAUUCAUCUCCCCAAUUGUAUACGACAUAAUAAUCUUUCUAAUUAUUUGAAUGAACACUCAUUUUGAUUUUUUUACGGGAUUACAGACUCGUUUAGAUUAUCUACUGAAGUAAGUUAUCUUUCUCGCAAUGUAAAUGUUUUUACAGUGCCACUUAUCAUCAAUUUGAACUUAGACAAUUAAUGAGUUAAUAUUUUUUUGUCACGGUUUUGCUAUGCAUGCAAAACAUGAAAAACAGAAACACAAAAAACAUAAUAGUGAAAUGUGAAAUUAACUUUAUUUAUUUAUUCAUUGUUCAAAUAAAUAUAAAAUAAUUACAUGUUUACUACAAUAUGAACACAUUUCCCAACAGUUUGAACGGGUUCAAAUGAUGUCAAAAGCAUUCCUUAGCCUAUUUGAUUGUUUAGUUUGAAGUAAGUACCAAAUAGCCAAAGUUGGCCAAAAACAGGUUUCUUGUCCGAUGUUGAUCUUCUCUCAUCACAACAUUGGCCAACAGAUUGUGACAUCCCAACGUUGAGUGGUCUGAUGUCAUGAAGUGACAUUUUGUUUGGCGACAUCAGAAUGUGGAGAAAAUAUCGUUAGGACGUCGACCUUAUAUUUUUCAAACUUUGUAGUUUGGUCUUUAUUUAAUCCCGAGUUAACUUUAGAGCUUAUGAAAGCUCGUAGCUCGGGAAAUAUUUAAAUUUGUUCUAAAUGAAUUGUAUUAUGAUUGGUAAUGAUUUUCGAUUUGAAUAAUCUGUUAAAGUUCUAUAACUAUUCCAUUUUGUACUGUAGCAUUUUGUAGCUUAGUAUCGAAAAUCGAGACGGGCUAGGGGUGUUACAUGGUACUUUAGUUUGACUUUAAUAUUCAAUGUAGUGCCAAAAAUGUUUUUGUGUUCAAGUUGGUAACUAAGUUUGGCUUCUAUUACACAAAAUGUGCCAUUAGACAAAGAAGUUAACUUUUUUUUUUUUCCAAUGAAUAUUUGACAUGUGAUAAAUCCAAAAUUUGACAUGUAGCGAUGAUAUGUCAUCAUCCAAAAAUCUAUGAAAAAGAAAAAAGAAAAAAGAAACAUACAUAUUAAAAACUUAUUUGUAUAUGUUUCAUAAUGUUUUAUAAAAAGACAAAUAAAAAAAUUAUAAAUGUUAUGAAUAUCUUAUUAAGUGGAUGUCCAUCAUGAUCAAGAUAAAGUUUUGAUGUACUUUAAAUUCUAAUAGUUAUUAGAAUUAGAUCUCUACUUAUUUUAUACUUCUUAUGCCUGUAAAUAGAGACUCUGAUAAAGCAUUGUAAUAACCCUUUUUUAAUCAAUAAAGUACAUUCUAUAUUGCUUUCAUAUUUUAUUUGUUCUUUAUUCUCCCUAUUUCUCUUUAUUUUAUAACAUGUUAUCAGCACAAAUAUUUUUGAACUAUCUCAUACCUUUUAGCGAUGGCGAUGAUGUUAAAGAGCUUCAGGUAUAUUUUACUAUGUUUUAUUUAUUUUUUAUUAUAAUUAGAGACUAAUUAUGACAACAUUAAUAGAUAGAUUAUGAUUUAAAAUCCACGCAUGUUUGCGAUGGUGAUUAUGAAAUAAAGAAUAUAUUGGGAUGUUUAUAAGUUCAUCCUAGUAAAUCUAUUGUAUUCCCCGAAGUGAAUGUAAACAUAAAAAUAAAAAUAAAAGAUAUACUCAUGGACCACUAAAAGUGGGAACAUAGUAAUAAAUAAGAGAACAAUGAGAGUUCUCAGGAUAACUUUUCAAAGGGUAAAGAUAACUUAUGUUAUCAAUGUGAUAUGAAAAAUUAUUGGCCACAUAUGUAGCGUAUGCCCAAAUAUUUUGUUUAUGUUAAUAUUCUUUGAGGAAUAAUAUGAAAAUGUAGUAAUGAAUUCUAUCAUUACAGAUAGAAAAUAUUUAUCUUAUUUGGUACAAAAAUAAACAAAUAUUAUUCCAAUAUUUGAUAAUACAAAAUUAGUUGAAAGCUCCAAAAGAGCUAAUAUAUCACUAUCUAAAAAACACAAAACUUGUGAUUGUGAUGGUUAAUCCAUUGGUUUUAAAAGAUAUUUAUAGUGGAUCUCAUAAUAAUAGUGAAUGAGGAAAAUAUUAUAUCUCAUAUGAAUAAAUAAAGGGGACUGGGUUACUAAUGAAUAAGAUUCAUUCUCAAAGUUUGCUAUUAAUAAAUUUUUGGGCAUUUGAAGAUUUUGACAUAUUCCUUAAAGUGAAUCUUGCAUACAAUUAUUAGAAAAUUAUAUUUAUUGACUUGGUGGCAUUAUAGACUUCAUAUUGAUUUAGACAUUUCUAGUAGUAAAUGUCACAAUAGUACUUAUAUGUGUUUAUUACUUGGUGUGACCAAUUAGACUAUCCUGGAUCUUAUAUGAUGUAAAAAUUAAUUGAGAAUUCAUAUAGACAUCCAUUAAAGAACCAGAAGAUUCUUUAAUUUAAAGAAUUCUCAUUUGUUGCUUGUUCUCAAUAAAAUUUGGUUCUUAGAAACUUACUAGCUAAAGUUAAGAUUUAAUGUCUUGCAUUUCUGAAAUGAAUAUGGGCACAUUCAUCCACCAUGUGGAUGGUUUUGAUAUUAUAUGAUUUUGGUAGAUGCAUCUACAAAAUAAUCACAUGCGUUAUCAACUCACAACUUUCUAUUUCAGCAUGAGAUUCAUGCUUGUAUUGAUUUACAUAUUGUAUGCAUCAAGCCAAUAAAUUAUAAAUACUCCCCAUUACAAUUGGUUUUUGGUCAAGAGCCAAAUAUUUUCCAUCUUACAAUUUUUGGAUGUGCGGCAUAUGUUCCAACUGCUCCACCACAAUGCAUAAGUCAUAAUAAGAGAUUGGGAAUAUAUAUUUAUAUGAGUCUUCUUAUAAUAUUUUUGAGUAAUUAAUUCGAGAUUUAAUUGUGACAUGAGUUGUCAGUUUUUUUCCAACAUUAGGGGGAGAGAAACAAUAACUUGUAAUGAGUUAGGGGGCCGGAGAGUAAUUGAACCAGAAGUUCAAUAAGGAUAACCUAUUAUAAGUUAACUGUUAGAUGUAUUUACAACCUUAAUGAGAAUAACCAAGUGUUAUAUACCAUCUAAUAUUUUAAUUUAAAUGAAAGUCCUAGUAGGACAAUCAAUUAGAAUAAAUAAUAGAUUGAUCGGUUCCAAAUAUGAAAAUUAUUCUAGAUGGUCAUAUAGUGGAGGUGGGUGCUCCAAAAGAGACCCAAGACAUAACUAAUAGGUAAAACUUCAGAAGAGAUUUAGGUACCUGAAAGUGAAUUUUAAAAUAAUGAAAAUAAUAGAUCUCAAUAAGUUAUGUUAAUUCGAGAAAAUGUGGAACCGAAUAAUAAAAGUGGUCGACAUGAUUUUGCAGGCAAUAUUAUCAUUGAAAUAAUGAAAUAAAAGGAGGAUAUUGAAUAAAUCUAUUGAUAAAUAUAGAUAUGGAAUAAAUUGAUCAAAAUAGAAAGGCACAACUCAAGUACAAUUAAAUUUGUGGAGUUUUUGGACCAGUAGUCCAAAUAUCUAAAGGUAUAAAGCCAAUGAGUUUGCAAAUGAAGUGGUUUUGCAAAAGCAAAAUAAAAAAUAUAAAGUUUUUCGCUAAGUACUGGUAUUGAUUAUGAAAAGAAAUAAUAUUCUUUUGUGGUGGAUGCAAUAACCUUUAGAUAUGUUAUUAAAUUGACAAUUUCAUAAAAGAUUUAAGUUGCGUCUAAUGGUUGUUGUUACAACCUUUAUAAAUCACUAUAUAGUAAAGUUUAUAUUAAAAUCCUCGAAGGAUUUAGAAUGCUAGAAGCAUAUUGAAAUUAUUUGGAAAUUAUUCAUUUAUAUGAAUUGAAAUAAUUUGAACAUAUGUGGUAAAUUUGAAUAGUUAAAGGAGGAUUAUAAAAUAAUCCAAAAUACCUAUUUGUGUUUUUAUAUAAGAAUCAUGAUUAAAGUUUGUUAUGAUUAUUGUUGAAUCUCCUGAAGAGAUCAAAAUAUAUUUCCCCAAAUUCCCCUCACUCAUGACUUUUAAAAGAAUGGUAAUAUAAAUGCUUAGCAAAUAUAUUCAAAUAGUCAUUUGAAAAACUAGUAUUCAAGAUUGAAGAUGUAGAAUAUGAUAAAAUAUGUGAUGUUUUCAUGAGGAGGAGUAAAUACGCGUUGUACUCUUUUUUCCUUAACCAAGGUUUUGUCCCAUUGAAUUUUUCCUGGUAAGAUUUUUAAUGAGGCAACAUAUUAUGCGUAUUAUAGAUUGUGUACUCUUUUUCCUUUAUUAGGUUUUUAUCCUACAAGGUUUUUUCUAAUAAGGUUUUAACAAGACACAUUAUCUAUCAAUGGACAUCCAAUGAGGCACAUUAUCUACUUUAAAUUCUAAUAGUUAUUAGAAUUAGAUCUCUACUUCUUUUAUAUUUCUUAUGCCUAUAAAUAGAAGCUCUGAUGAAGCAUUGUAAUCACCCUUUUUUGAUCAAUAAAGUACAUUCUAUAUUGCUUUCAUAUUUUAUUUGUUCUUUAUUCUCUCCAUCUCUCUUUAUUUUAUAACUAUAAAAAUAAAUUUUAAUUAUUAUAUAAAAAAAUUAAACAACAACCAUGAAAAUAUUCAUUAAAUCAUGUAUUCUAUUUACAUUUUUAUAAAAAUAAAAUAUAAUUUUUACAUAAAAUAAAACUUUUAAAUAAUUUUGAUUAGUUUGUCCUAAAUACCAUUUUAUGUAAUAAUAUCCAUACUUAAAGUAUCAAUCUAAACGAAUAAACAUUUGGGUGCCACAUUAAGCCAAACUUAAUUAAGGCAUCCCCUACACUCAUUUUAUUGUCGAUAAAAGCUUAAUCUUUUUAAAAUUUUUGGCUGCCUUAUUUCCAAUCGAUUAGUUAGGUAUGAACAUGUACAGCCACAUCUAUAUACCUAUAUAUAUAAUAGGAGGGUCCAAAGGACGUUAACAUGUGUAUCACUCUCUCUUUUUUAUAUUAUAAAGAAAAAUGGUGAAAUUUCAACUUUAGUCUUUAUGUUAUUCUCAAAUUUAAAUUAUAUAACAAUAGUUAAAUAUUAAUUUGAGUCUCUAUAUUACACUCAAAUUUUAAAUUUUAAUUUUUAAACUUUAAUUUUUUUAGCAUAAUUUGAUAUCUCAUUUUUUACAAUGCCAUUUAUUAACCCAAAUACUUUAUUUUGAUUAUAAUGUCGAUGUAACUCUUAAGAGUUGCUAACACUAUUAAAAUUACUUGUUAAAUUCAAGUCCAUUGCAAAUAUUUUUUUUGUUACAUAAUUAUUAAGUGAGUAUUUUUUUAAUUUUAAAAUGUCACAUCAAUGAAUUUAACAGAUGCAUUUAAUGGUAUUAACAAAUGAAUUUAAAUUUUUUAAUUUAAAAAAUAGAGGAAUUGGAUUCCUAAAAAUUAAAAAUACUAAAGCUAAAUUUCAAAUAUAUAAAAAACACAAAUAUUUAAAGUAUAUUUUAAUACUCAAUUAUUUACUCUAUAUUUAAAGCAUAGUGAAGCAUAAUAAAAUCCCUGGUAAGAUUGAAAGGACCUUCCUCCAUGCUCUUUUUUUAUCUUCAUUUACAAAAAUGGUUUAAUUUCAACUUUAGUCUUUCUAUUAUACUUAAAUUUGAAAUUUAAUCAUUAUAUUUUAAUUUUUUAAUAUACUUUAGUUUUAUAUUUUUAUAAUGUUAUUAAUUAGUCUAAAUGAUUAAUAUAGUUAAAUUUUCAAUUAAAAUGUAACGUGGUUAUAUAUAAUUUGAAUACUUUAAGGAUCUUAGAGUCAAACACAUCUUUUGAAUUUGUCUUGCUUUUUUUUUACAUUAUCAGACCAUGGUCAAAUUUCAAUUUUAGGCACUAUACUAUGCUAAAACUUGGUUUAAAUCCAUAUACUUUAAUUUUUGAUAUAAUUUGGUCCCUCUACUUCUAUAAUGUUGUUAAUUAGUCUAAAUAGUUAAUAUUAUUAACUAAUAGUUACAAUUUUGAAGUGAUUUUCUUAAGAUCAUUAUUCCAACAGUACAUUAUUCUCAACGAGUUCAAACAUGUUUUUAAGAAAAAAAAUUCACAUUAGUAUUUUCAACAUAAUGUUUAUUACAUCACUACGAAGUGAAUUUUUUUAGUUUUAAAAUGUCACGCUAUUGAAUUUAAUUGAAAAUUUAAUGGUGGUAACAACUAAACCUUAAUUUUUAAUUUUGAAAAGUAGAGGAACUAAAUUAUAAUAUUUCAUUAAAAAAUUUAAAAAAUUAAUAGUUUUCAUAAUUUUUUAAAUAAAAGUAUAAUUUUUAUAAAACAUAAAUUUCUUUAUAAAUUUUUUUUAAUAAUUUUAUAAACAAAUAAAUAAAAAUCAUGAAAAUAUUCAUUAGGUCUCGUAAAUUUCUUUUUACAUUUUUAUAAACUAAAAAAAUAUAUAUUUUACAUAAAAUAAAUAUUUAAUGAUUUUAAUAACUUUUAAUUUUUUUAGAUUUUCUAAUAUAUUCUUUAACUAUCAUCACAUUUCAAAUAUUCGUUGGACCCCAAAAAAAAAUUAAUUAUUUAUUAGAGGUACUAAUUUGUGUGACGGAAAUUAAAUUUAAGUAUCCAUUUAAACCAAUAAAAAUUCGAGUACCACAUUAAAUAUUAAGUCAAACAUAGGUAUAAAAUGGUAUAACAAUUUUUUUAAUAAUUAAGGCAUAUAUCCUUUUAUGUACGUGUUACUGUCGUUUAAGGACUAAUCUUUUCUAGUCUUCUAUAGAUUUGUAGUUAGCUCUUUCGAAAAUAUUAUUUUCAAGAUUGGGGUUCAUUAUUGAAUAGGUAGGUAGGAAGUUAGGAACAUGUAGAUUCACAUUAGUUUAUUGAUUUUUCUGUGAUAUUAAUGUUCCGAACAACUGUUUUUAUCUAUGGAUGAGUGGUCUAUAUAAAUGAACCCAACAUAGCCCAGUGAAUCACAUCUUCACUCAUAAACCACUGAAACCAAAAAGAAAAGAAAAGAAAAGAAAAGAAAAUGGUUAAGUCCGACAUGGCAUCUCAGUGGAGGGUACUGAGUGGCGAGAACGACUGGGAUGGUUUACUCCAACCACUGAAUCUCGAUCUCCGCCACUACAUUAUUCACUACGGUCAAAGGGCUGGUUCUGUUGGUGAUCUUUACAAUCAUAACAAACAUGGUGAAUUCCCCAAAGAUAAGUUUUUUGCAGAGGCCGGCCUUGAAAAAGGAAAUGAUUUCAAGUACAGCGUCACCCACUACAUUCAUGCAGAGUCAGAUAUUGUUGAGCCCUCAUGGUUUGGAUUUGUGGCAGUAACAACAGAUGAAGGAAAGGCUGUUCUUGGAAGGAGGGACAUUUUGAUUGCUUGGAGAGGAACCAUACAUUACACUGAGUGGAUUAAUGAUUUAAUCGCUAAUCCGAAAUCUGCUUCAGAAUUGUUCGGGACUGGCACUGAGGCGAAGGUGCACUCCGGUUUCUUGUCUCUUUAUACUGGAACAAGGUCAAAUUCUGCUGUUGACAACCUCAGUGCUAGACACCAGGUAAUAAUAAUACAGUAUUAUAUAAGUAUGAUUAUAUAUAUAUUAUCAAAUUCUCUCUUAUUAUUAUUAAUCUUUUUAAUACAUUAAUUUUUUAACAAUGUUGGAUCUCAUAACUCGCACCGUAAUUAUGUGUACUUCAUGCAUAUCUUAAAAUUUAUAAAAUGAUAUUCAAAAAUAAAAAUAAAUUCAAAAAAAUUAAAUAGUUAAUAUAUUUUUUAAAAAAAUUAUUAAGUAGACAUGAAUUUAAAAUAAAUAUUCUUUUAUUAUAAAAAAAACAAUUUUUUUAAAGGUUGAUGAUCUUAUUUUUAAAAGUUGGAGACAAAAUUAACACACAAAAAAGGACAAUAGCAUAAUUUAUCAUUAUGCCUGAUAUAUAUGGUUUCAUCUAUGUGUUAAUUAUAUGUGAUUGAUCUCAUACGUAGUGCAUGCACAUGUAGGUUCGAGAUGCCCUAAGAGAACUGAUGGACAAAUACAAAGACGAGGAAAUAAGCAUAACUGUUACAGGAUUCAGCUUGGGUGGAGCAUUAGCGACCCUAAAUGCAAUGGACAUCGUUGCCAAUGGAUAUAACAAGCCCAGCAGCUCCCUACUGGGUGCAAACAACCCGUGCAUGGUGACAACUUUCACAUUCGGCAGCCCUCGGGUUGGAGACUGUGGGUUCAAACAACUAUUUAAGAAACUCGUUGAUCAUCAUCAUCUUCGUCUUCUAAGAAUUAGAAAUGCCAAUGACCCGGUUCAUAAAUGGCCAUUUUGUACCCUUACCCAUGUGGGAAAAAAGUUGACCGUUUACAGCAACGAAUCACCCUACUUGAAGCAGAAGUGGCUUUUCGGAACAUUGGAAUGUACUUCUAAUCCUCGCCCGAAUGAUUAUCAUCCAAAUAUUGUUACCGAGGAAGAAAUAAUAGCCAGCAGAGGCUUGUUUUUUAACUGGGUAGCUGACUCUGUUAGUGCCCAUAAUAUGGAUGUAUACCUGCAUGGGAUUGCGGGGGUACAAGAGGGAACGUCUGGGUUUCAUUUGGAAGUUGAUCUUGAUAUUGCACUGGUGAAUAAGUAUUUAGACCGCCUGAAAGAGAAGCACGGAAUUCCUGACUAUUGGUGGGAAGGUGAGAAUCGCAAAAGAAUGGUUCAAGAGGCUAAUGGCCAUUGGAAGGUUAAAGGUUAACAUCUUAAUACAUAAGCUUUAUGUAUUUAAACCAAAAAAAAUAAAUAAAGUCGCUAAUCAUUAUCUUUGAUUGGCCUAAACAAUAUUAAUCGUAUUUCCUAUUUUACUUGUAUUUUUCUCGUGUUUGGUUUGUUGGUCAUGAAUAUUUAUCUCAUAAUUUAUGUAAUAGGUUCAUGAUAGCAUAGCAGUGAUUUUCAACUAUUAAGAAUGUGUGAGUUGUAUCGAUAAUUAUCUUUAUGUUAUGUAAUAAUAAUGACGUAAUAAAAGUUAUAUAUUGGGUAAACUCUUUAGGUGUUUUUAUGACCAAACAAACCAUUAUACAUCUCUUUAUAUAUAUAUAUACACACACACACCAUGAUAAUGAGGUGAAAUUAUUCUACUAGUGUUUGUAUUAUAUGUGUAAAUUAUGGAUUUAGUCCCUAUAUAUUUUAAUUUUAUCAAUUAGUCUUUGUACUAUUUGAAUAGGUCAAUUUUAGCUCAUGUACUUCUUUAAUUUUAAAAUUUCAAUCUUGAAGCAAAUGACAAUAAUUAAAUCUGUUUGGUUAAAUUAUGCCAUUAGGUCUAUACUAUAUGUAAAGUUAUAGGUUUAACCCAUGUUCUUCAAUUUGAUCAUUCUUGGCCCCUGUAUUUUUCAAAAUUUGAAAUUUGUCUUGACACAAACAACAAUCAUUAAUUUUAUCAAAUGAAUCUUUUUCGAGAAAUAUAUGAAAAUAACAAGCUGAUAUGACAUUAUACAUAUGAUAAUAUGUUUAUCUCAUAAGAUUUUGAUCAUAGUAUAACUAAAUAUAUGAAUCUAAUGGUUAUAAGAUUUUUUUAAAAAAAAUCUAAUGGUUAGAAGAUUUAAAUAAAAAAAUUGACCCCUACUCUUUUAUUGGGUCGGUCUUGUUAUUUUUAAUUAAAAUUUUAAAAUUUUUAUAAAUUCUUUUUAUGAAUUUUGUUCAUAACUUUUAUGAUUUUUAAUAAUUUUCAAAUUUUAAAAGAGUUUAGUUGAUUUUUUAAAUAUGUUACAAAGGCUUUUUUGACCCUUUAACAUUAUUAGUUUCAAAACUUUUUCAUUUACUUCCAAUUAAAGAGUAGGGAUUAAAUUGAAUAAAUGUGUAAAAGUUGAGGGUUAAAAUUAUUAUUAUACCUUAUAUAUGAACACCAAAAUUUAACACAGGGGCUGCUUUACUCAUCUAUCUAAUAUAUAGAGACUAAUUUGCCCAUCUUUUCAAUGAAAGGGCUAAACUGCAAUCUAAAAUAUAAUAUAAAGAGUUUGUUGUAUUUUUACCUAUUUAUGUUAUUUAUAUUGCCAAGUACAGUAAUAUCUCUUUUAUAAUUAUACAUUUAUUUUUAAUAUUUUUUUCUAUUUUUAUUUUAAAAAACUUGUUUAUAGUUAAGAAUAAGUGAAAGCGAAAUUUAUAAGAUUUUUAAAAUUCAUAUAAAAUUGAUAGAAUUUAUGCACAUAUCAUUUCUAAUGAUUUGAUUGAAUACAUAGCUUUUAGUUCGUUGUAAUUGUGAAUUUAUUGGCAUAUGAUUUUUUAUUGAUAUAAAAAUAAUAAUAUAAAUAAUAUUUAAAUAUUUUAUAAUUUUUUAAAAAUAUUUUAUAAUUAAUUGGGUUUUAAAUAAAUUUUCUAUUAUUAAUUAUAUUCAAUUUUAUAAUUUUUUAAAAUAUUAAUAUAUGUAUUAAAUAAUACUUCAAAAUUUUUUUGGUUAAAAAGGUAUUUUAAUUAUUUGAGCAUUUAUAGCUCAAAUUCUUUCUCAUUACAUUAUAGCGAGUAAAAGGGAAAAUCAAAAUUUUAACAUCAAGGGCUGCAAAUUGAAAAUUUCCAUUUGAUCUUUCCCGCGCAAAACUACUGAACUGACCAAAGUCCCACACGAAUGCACUUCAUCUCUGAACCCUAAUUCAAAAAUUCCCUAUUUUCUUUCCCUAUCACCUCACGGUUUCGCCGCACUCUCUCCUUCGCUAGAAUGGCUUCCAAAUUCCCCGACGAACCACCCUCAAACACGCAGGAAACGGACGAAGAAACCAUCGCAUUCAGGAAGAAGCUGUCGCGGCGAGUUAGUUUCGCUGAGUGCGAGAUCACCUCGGUCCACAUCUUCAACCGCGACGAUGACUACGAGUCCCCGCAGCAUUCCACUCCCACGCCAGCCUCUGAAAGGGGAAAUGAAGUGCUGGGUCUCUUUAGGGAUUUGAUUGACAGUGAUGACGAUGAUAAUGAUGAUGACGUUUUGAGUGUGGAGAAGUCGUUCUUGAGGCCGAUGGAGUCGCCUUCUCCCGGUGGAAGUAGCACAGUUGGAUCUGCUAUUUCUAAUGACGGUCGGUUUAGCUUGCAUUCUCCAUUCUUAGUAAGCAUUUGUUUUUGUUUUGACGAAGUUUAGGGUUUAUAAUUGUUUAGGCGUCAUUUGGUUGUUAUUUCCGCUUAUGAUUUUUGUUUUAGGAAGCAAAAUGCAAAAAUUGCGACUUUGAUAUCAGUUCUUCAAAAUGGAAAAAUAAGCGAGUGGCGAAAGCAUCAACCAAAUGAAGCCUAAGUAAUACGCCAUUGCUUAAAGUUUUGUGAGAUAAAAAAGUUUUUAUGUUAAAAGGAGAAUUCUAAUGGUUUCAGCUAAUGAAAAGAAUGGUUAAUGCUAAUAAAUGCCGUGUUUUGAAGUUUUUUCUGAAAUAUCUUGUUGCAGAAGACAACUUUUUCGGACCAGUGUCUGCAAACUUCAUUCAACCUGGAAGAUUAUCUGAUUCUGCUGCUUCAGAUGACAACCACGAUAUCACUAUGGAUUCAAUAACAUUUUAUAUGCACUUCCGUAGCAUUGCAGGUUCAGAGUCAGGAGAGCUCAAUACUUUAACUACCACAGGAGUUUGUCUUCCAUCUGAAGAGAAGAUGCCUUGCCAAGCUACCAUGCCGUCUGAUCUAAAAAGUUUUAUGGUGUUAAUGAAGGCGAAGAAGGUAAAGUCACCGUCACCUGUGCCUAUCAGUAAAUUUAGUGGUGGUGAAGAAUCUAAUGGCAUGAGCCUUGUUGGAGAAAGCAUGCGUAGGUAUGAUUAUGGAAAGCUCUCUCCCACAUUGGAAGCUCUUCUGGCUGAAGGCAGUAAGGAGUUUAAUGCCAUUCCUGCUUUUGAAUCUACCACUCCAAGGUCAUCAAGCGAAGUUGCCUUAUCUUAUGGUCAUAAGAAUGACUGCACGGAACUGUCAAAUUAUAGGAAUCAAGAGCUCUGCAACAUGAAUAAUCAUGAUAUGUCUGGUAAGGGCAUUUCUUUUGCUCAGGACAAAAUGAUUGAGUCAACAGGUGAUUCAGCAACCACUCUUACUGAUCAAACUAUGUGUGACUGCUCGUCAAACACUAAGGAUGGUUCAGUUGCUGAAAAUUUUGUUGGUCACCAAAUCCAAACUCCUAAUCAGCUGAAUAAAGUACGUUAUCUUAUGAAUCUGAUGUUAUCCAGAUCACUUUUCUCAAUAAUUUGGUUAUUUUCCAAUCAUUUAAAUUGGUAAAUUCAGUGAACAAAGUAUAUUCUCCUAUCAAUUGAAUGUUAAGUAAGAUUUUACUUUUCUCAAUGUUUUUGUUGUUUUCUUUUUAAUAAUUUAAUUUUGGCACUUUCAGUGAGUCGAUUUGCUUGGGGUGUAGCUACUUGCUAAACGAUGGGAUUCAUGGAGAUUUCAUUUAUACUAUGGCGUUUCCUAUCCUAACAUCUGCAGAACAAUCUCCUUUUCUUUUUGAGAUUUGGGCUAUUUAACUCUAUUCUAUUUAGGAAUUUAUCUUUGCAACUUUCAAUACAAUGACAUGCCAUACAUGGAACUACUGCCAUUGUCAACUCAUAAAGGGUUACUUCAGUAGUUUUAGCCAUACAGUUUCAUAUAUUUAUUCCAUACACUUGUAGGUGCACGACUUGAAUGAAAAUUAUAUGCUUGUUCACUGUUCAGCUAUUGCUUCUUUUUUUUUUUCAGGAAGAAAUGCAUAGGUCUCCAUUAGCAGGUUCCAUACACUCAUUAUCUGCUAAAAGACAACAAUUACUUCUGGAUACUACAAAUUCACCAAGACAUGCACUGUUUGUUACUCCGUCCCCAAAACAAUCUGGUUCUUUUUUGAGUCAGGGAAGCAUAAAACAGGGUGGGAGUUUGCCUUCUGUCCUGAAAAGUAACAUCAAAUUAAAAAAUCUGGAGUGUACUCCCCUUGGUUCUGCUUUCAAUGAUGGAAUUUUGAAGUCAAAAAUUAGAUUAUCAGAUUCCCUUUCUUCUAGAGCUUCAGCUUGUUCAUUCAGUAAAAUUAUGGAACCGAGUGAAGGUUUCCAGUGCCAACAGGUAACUGCACCCACUAUUAAUCUGGAGGAGCAGUUAUCUGGUGUUGGUCUAAAGCAGGGGGAAAUUGAUGGUCCUGUAACUCCAAAAAACAUCAGCUACUUGAGCCAAGAUGGAGGGACCACAGAGCUUUUAGAAGAUAAAGAACAUUAUGAAAAAUAUGCUGAAAGAAUGGGCAUAACUACUUCACCAUCUAAGUGCACUCACUCAGGAAAGAAAAUGAUCCAUCAUUCAAUGACUCCAGUAGAUCCUUUAGAUGGAACACAAGUAGCUUCUGCAUUUAAUUCCUCACCCAUGGGGAUCACACGUGAAAUUGGCAAAGAUAAAAGAGAUCUUGAUACAGCCUAUAAGCUUGUUUCUCCACUGGUGAAUAGGUCAUAAGAGAAGUUAUGCUCAUCAACAGAGCAUCAUAGCAGUCUGUCUGGCAAUUUAAAGCCUCAUGAUCAGGAUAACAGCAUCAUUAUUGUUUCUAGAGAGGAGCCCAACUCACUAGAAACAGUUCCUAGUAGUAAUUAUUUAACUGGAACAGCUGAAAAUAGAACACAGUCCAGCUUAUCACUUAUUAAGGCCAACCAUUUAACUGCGACUUCUAUAGUAAAAAAGUUGAAUGAAGGAGAAAGUAAUGGGCUUGAUAUGCUGAAUGCUUCUGAGAACUCUAGGAACAUCCCUGAGGGAUUUGCCUUGAAAUUGCAAUCAAGAAGCCCAGAGAAAAACAUCGAGACUGCAAUUGAAAUAACCCAGUUCAGUGGAAGUUUCAUUCAGGAACAGAUGAAAGUUUCUUCUUCUUAUGCUUCUCCAGAUGCACCUAGAAGCAAAAAUGACCAGUUGCCUUUAAAGGUAAAUAUCUUCUCUGUAUCUUCUCUUGAUUGCCUGAAUGUUUCCUAGCUCAGAAUUCAAAUUAUGCUUGACAUUUAAAGUCUGGUGCAAUGAUUGCUCAGAGCCCCUUCGGAAAGAAGCAAACUCAGAGUCCAACUUCAAAAGAGCCAAGUUGCAGCCCGUACAGGAAAGAAAUGCAUAGGGGACUGUGUGGUGAUAAUAUGCAACUACCUGUUGCAAAGGAUGUACUAUCUCUUAGCUGCCAUUCAACUAUACAAACGAUUGAUAACCAUCUUCAAAGAUCUGUGCAGGACCCAAGUCCUGACCAAGACACUCAGAACUCUUCAAAAAGCAAAAGAAUAAGUGAAGUAGUUCUUGCAGACAUGCACCCUGCAGAUAAAAAUAAGUGUAUCCAGCAGAGUCCAAAUUUUUGUGAAAUUGGAGAAAAAGAUAUGGAGCAUAUGUUGGAAUAUUCGAAUGGUAGUAACAUAGGAAAUAAAGGAAUUGAAGGUGGCAAAACAUUGCUGAAUAUGACUGAUGUAUGUGCACAAUGCCACUUAUUUGUGGCACAUUCAGGUUUGCUGAUAUAGAAUGCAAGAUUUUUCCUCUUAGUCUUCCUGUUGAAUUGAUUUGUACAACUUAUAUUGCAGAUUUCCAGCAAACUUUUGGCAGAUACAAAACAGCUACUGUCUCCUAGUUUUGAUAAACUAAAUAUAAAAGUGGUAGAUAUCUUGUUUCUGUAAUUACAACAUAUUUUUACAACAUUUUUCUAAUGCAGGUAUAAUUACUGAUAACAUCUUUCCAUAACCUAAACCCUGCGUAAUAGUUUCCUUUUCUUUUUUCUUUGCCUUGAAUGGAAUAUCCAGAUAAACAUGUUGGAAGAUAUAUUACUUCAUCAGCAGAAGGUUAAUAAGUUAGAGAUGCUCUGUUCUGAAAUCCAAUUCAAACUAGGUUCAGUAAGUAAAAUUGCCUACUUUUAUUUUAUUUUGCUGGAAUACUCAUUGCUUCCCCUACUAACCAAACUAGACUAUGUUCUUGCUUAUUCUGCCCUCAUAUAUUGCUGUUGGCAGGCAUAUGGUCAAUCCUGCAAUAUUCAGUAUAAGAGGUGCUUCUAGUUCACUCCUACAGCUUGAUUAUGAAUGCCAUUGAUAUUGGUUUCUGAAAUUAUUAAGGAAACUGGUUUAAUGUUACAAGUUGAAAAGUUGACGAAUUAAUGUCCUUGCAGUGUAGCUGAAACAAAACUAUUGCUCUAUAGAUUAGUUUAUGAAAAGGCUAAAUUGCAGUUGAUGCAAGUGAAGCGUGAAAGACUGCUGGUAUUUGCUUUUCUUUAUCUCUUUUUUUUUUGGGGGGGGGGGUGUGUUCUGCGCAAAUGUGUAUUCUUUAUCAUCUUCCUAUAUCCCUCAAUCAGAAUCAGGUACAGUUACUGAGAACUGGAGUUCGGGAGUCUCAAAUGUUGAAGUUAAAUUAUGUCAAGCAUCCAUCUGUGUUAGCUGGAAGAGACACUCAACUUGACAAUAAUACAUGUUCAGUUAGAUCUGGAGAGAACCGUGAGGUAUGCUCAUCAGUUCUGCUUUUGUUGUUAUGGAUUUCGUCUUUCUAAUUUGUCUCAAAUGAUUAGAAAGGAAAAAAGGUACUCCUCCAGAGAUAACAUUACUGCAUGCAAAUAUGAAACUGUGUUUUAUUUUAACUGAAACCCACAUUUGGGUUGAAUCCCAUAUUUUAUUGUCAGAAAGUGCUUUGAUAUCUAUCAAAGCCAUUUAGAGGCCAAAAAUUUUCUCUACUUUUUGUUGUUGCUGCUGGUAUAAGCUAUUUAUUGGCUUGUACAAAUAUCAAUUUCAAUUCGGUGUUAGAAUAUAGUUAUUUUCUCUUAACCUUUUAACAUAUCUCAAUGGUGAAGAAAUUUGAAUUAAUUAAUACAAGACUCAGGCUCAGUUUUCUUUGAAGUUUUGUUGACUUGAUUUGGAAUGUAAUAUCGUAGUUUUUUGGAUGAUUACAAAAUAUUUAUUCUUGUACAGGGAUUUAUCUUCUAUAUUUUGAGAAUUACUACUAACAUUCAGCACAGUGCAUACCAGAGGCAAUAUGUGGAGAACUCUUACAUUUGUUGUUUUGAAUGAUGUAUUAGCAUUCUCUCAGCUAUAAAUAAAAUAAUAUUCUAAACUUCAUGUGUUUUACUGUCUCUUAUGUUGUUUUAAAAGAUAUGGGCAAUUGAUAUUUGGUUAAUGGUUAAUUCUAUGCUAAAGAUUUCUUUGUGUCAUGACAGGGAACCAAUGAUAAAGUUACGACAGUGAAGCAUCAGGCUGAUGCUCUGGAGACGAAGAUAAACAAUCUAACCUAGUCUCUUUGUCCUCACUUCAAGAUAAAAGGAGAACUGAGUUGUGCGGAUACUAUUGAUUUGCUUCAUGAUCAUCUAAAGAAGAGAACUUGUUGGGGAUGUAUACGCCAGGAUAUGCAGGUCUUAUUAACUCUUAACUAUAAUUUCUUCUCAAAACAUAUUGAAAAUUAUUUUAUGUAACUGAGGCCUAACCAGUCUGUUAUUUUGUUAGUUGUGGGAGGUUGAUGUUUUGCAGAAUAGGAAUGGCUAUCAUAAUGUUAUUCUCAACUACCAUGAGUUCUUAUCUCAAAGGUUUUCUUUUUUUAAUAUAGUUCUCUUUAACCCAGACUUGUUUAUGCUUAAAGGUUUACAUUUGUCCUUAUGUUUGAUUUCAGUCUUACAUUAGACACCAGUCCAAAUUCAAGCAUUUUUGUUGGAAACAAAUUGAACGAUAUAAACAUCAGUAAGGUAACAAAGUCAACAAUUUACAUGAAGUCAUUCCCUUUUUUAUUUACCAUGCUUAUCUCUAAAAUUUUAUCUUGUUCAUUAGAACUUCCCAAACAUGGAUGCUUGUUCUGCAUUUGCUUUUGUCUUUAACCAUGAAUAUACUACGAAAUAUGUUGGGCCCAAAAGUCUGGCGCAAGAAACACAAGUAAGUACUUCUGUCUCAUAAUUUUUGCAUCUCUUGUUUUUCUUUUCUUAAGCAAAACAAAUUAUUUCAAUUUAAUUUGGCAUAAUGACUUUUUUAGCCCUCUAACUUUACAAAAAAAAUCAUUUUAGCCUUCCAUUUAAAUUUUUAUCUUUUUUAACCCUUGAACUUGCAUUUUUUGUCAAAUUACCCCAAAAUGGAUGGAAAAGUUAACAAUUGUUAAUUUUGCUGACGUGACAUACACGUGGAUUGUCUCGUGGAUGACAUGUCAAUAUUUAAUUAGCUUUUUAAAAUUAAAAAAUAUUUUUUUUUAUAAUUUUAAUGAUUUUUAAUUUUUUAUAGCUUUUUUUAAAUUUUUAAAAAAUUAAUUAAAUGCUAAUGUGUCAUCCACGAGUUAAUACACGUGUACGUCACGUUAGUAAAGUUAAAAAAUGUUUAACUUUGCCAUCUAUUUUGAGAUGAUUUGAUAAAAAUUGCAAGUUUAAGGGUUAAAAAAAUGGAGUGCUAAAAUGACUAUUUUUUGUAAAGUUAGAGGGUCAAAAAAGUCUUUAAUCCAUUUUUUACCAGAAAAGUAUGCCAUACUUGUUCUUUGAAUUUUGAUUGUACUAGAACGAAGCUAUAGUACGUAUUUUAAGUUGAGUGAUCCUAUAGUAUCUUGUAACCGUUUGUUUAACUUUGCUUUACAUUUAUUCUGGUUUGAUCUGAUUAUGCUGAGGACCAGUUCACUUUUACGAAAUCUGCUUGAUGUUAUUGAGGAAGUACAGAUAGCGCGGUUAGAAAUUAGGGGUCUGAUUCUUACUAGCUUUCAUUCUCCAUCCGGUACACUUUUAUCUCCUCUUUAUUAUGUUUCUUAAAUUUGUGGUUGUGAUGUCGUGGGCUCAAAUUCCUGCUUUGAGAAUUUGACUUUUGAUUCUUUUCUUCAGGAAAACAAAGUAGAGAUUAUGGAUGACUAGAUCAUAUUUCUGGUUUGAUAUAAUGCCAUUUGAAGCCUAUGCAUGCUUAUCCUGCUACGGAACUGUUUUACUUAUUAUUUUGUUUCUGUUUUUUGUUUUUAUUUAUUGGAAUGGAGCUUAGCGUUUUGGGCGUUCUUGUUUUUAUUUAUGAGUGGUAGGAUAUAAGUCAUAAAACUAGGGAAGGAAAAGUUUUUCUAUUUCCAGGACUCUUUCUUCAGUUAGUUUAGCAUAUUCAAGGUAAAGGCUUUUAAUGAUAGCUGGUGCAAGACCAUUCAAAGUUUUAGUGUUCCUCUCUUUUCCGAUUUGUUUAAGUGUGGUUGUAAAAAGGUUUGGCAUAGCCCACACAUGGCUUGGUGAAGUUAAAUCUUUGUGUUUUUUUAAAUAAAAAACCUAAAUCUUUGUUAAAUUUUUGCACUUACAUCGCCAAAGAAACAAUGGUAACUUCGUUAUCUUGGCUUUAUUGUUGUCAUCUGCCUCUUGAUUUCUAGAACUAUUACGAUAUAUGACUUAUAAUGCAGUAUUUUUGUCUGCUGACUGUAUAAAUUGCUUGAUUUCUUUGCUGUCCCAAAUCCUAAAUCAUUGUAAUGUCAAAUUUCCAAAUAGCAUGUUCUACAUUGGAAUGCUCAUUUGGCUUGGUUACCAUUUCUGCAUUUACCAAAGAUAUGCACAAAAUCAACCCUCUGCUUUCUCUAGUCUGUCCAAUUUUGAGUGAUAUAUGUCUUCUGAAAGAACAUAUUUUGCCAGAUUAAAACUUGAUAGCACCUCCUUUGUUCGCAGCUAAGCAGCUGGAUUUGCAGCUUGCUUUCAUUGAUUUUGAGAGUGGUGUAAAGCUGAUAAUGUCUCUCGACAUGACAUGUUUGAACUGGUAAAGUCUUGUCUAAAUUGUUUUUUCUACUUAACCAAUAAGCAUUUUGCAAAUCUGAUGCUAUGUCUUAUAGCUGAGUCAUCUGAGAUUGGAUGUAUGAUCUUUUUAUAUGGUUGAAAAUGUAUGCUCUGAGGAGAAUCUAUUAAUUUGUAACAUUAAUUCAAUAUAUCCAGAGCAUUGAUCCUUGGCAAAGAGUUUGUGAUUGCUACGUAAAUUAUGCUGAUUUUUAUAUAGUUUCUACGGAUUGGUUUGGUUCAUUAUUUUUUCUGGACUUCUAAUUAAUAAUUUUCUUUUCCUUCAAUAUAUAGGGUCUGAGUUCAGCUGGGCUAACUUUUGGACUAACUGUUCUCUGUAAACUUUUGCUUAACUCUUGCCAUAGAAGUGCAACCAAUUGUCAGCUCUUGUUACACCCACAUUUCAUAUGGCUCAGAUUGUAACAUAAUCUAGACAACUGUUGCUUUCGAGUUCAAGUAAAUUCGGUAAUUCUCUAAAUGUAGAAAUAUUAAUACUGGACAAUUUGGGAUACUUUUUUGUAUGUGCUGUCGUCAUUGUAAAAUAUAACAUUAUGCAUCAACAGGUGUCAAGGCAGAUAUGUUUUGUCGUAAUUUGUUGAAUAGUUAUACUGUCUUAUCUUGCCUCUUGAUUUCUUACAGUGGGGUUUAUCCUUCAGAGAUCCUUCCCCAUCAUUUACAGACUUCCACCAGUAGGACAGACGACUUACACUGUCCACUCUCAAUUGAAAUAAAAGCUGCAAUCAGUAAUCUUAGAGCUGGGUACUCAAGGAUAAUAAGGCUCUGUAGGUGUGUUACCCAGGUGCUGCAAUCUUCAGGCAGGUGAUUGGGGUUUUUUUAUUUAACAUCUUAAAGAAGAGAGAAAGGGCACCUACAAUUUGUCGUUCUCUCUUUGUUGCUUGAUUGAGCAUUAUAUCCUUUUUUUUGUAAGCUGCACUACAAGGUGACAGAUUUGCUCCAACAUCUUCAGAAACGGUAGAUGCAUUUCUUUCUCAUUUGUUGACCACUUUUUUUGUGGUUCCGUAAAUGUUUAUUGCAGUACCUUAAAGUAGCCAAUUUACACGAAUGCUGUGACUUUGAACCGAAAUUGCACUUUAUGUAGUAACACUUAACAGCCGUCUAUUUCCCUUUUUGCCGCUCACCUUUACUGUUUGUUUGAAUGUUUGAUUAUUCUAACUCAUUAAUGGUUGAGGACUAAUACUAUCAUGACCCAACCCAGCUCGCAGGGCAUGAGCUGUGCUGUGAAAACAUAAGUUGAAAUUGUCUUUUUUGGGCCUCAUAGGUCCCACAAUUUUUUCAUCUUCAGAUGCGUUUUCAGAAAUUCGAAUCCUUAUCACAAUACACGCAAAAAUGAUACAAUUGUUCUACUAUAUCAAUUGGAUUCCAUUUUACUAAGUGCACUCAUUUGUGGUGUAAAUGUAAUAUGGGAGUCCAAAGAGAACAAUUUCGGAUUAUGUUCUAACAAGAUAAACUUGUGUCCCAAGUUAAGUCAUGUUGUGAGGUAAAAAAACAUUGGACCUAUGGGGCUCAAAGAGGAUAAUUUUGAUUUAUGCUUUCAAAGCAUAGCCCAUGCCUUGUUAGUUGGAUUGGGUCAUGAGAUAAAAAGCUGCUUUUGUAUCUUCUACUUAAUUCAACCUAAAAGGCAUAGGUCAUGUCAUAAUAACAUAGUUUAAAAUUGUCUUUUUUAUGCCCUCAAAAGGUUUUGCCACUCUUUAAGUGUGCUUUGAGAGAUUCAAACCUACAUUGCAACAUACAAAUGAGUGUAUUUUGUAAAAUGUGUUGUGAUAUGGGCUCGAAACUCUAAAGGCACAUUAAACCUAGUGAAGGUACCAGCUUAUUUAUGUUUCGAAAAUCAAUGGUCAUGUUCAUUCGCGGAGUCUUGGAUUGAAGUGCAGAAUUUCGAACUGUUUGGACAGCGAGAAGGUUGUCCUGCCAUCCCGUGCUACAUGAGGUCAGCUAUUCUCCAUCUUUUGAAAGAAAAGGAAAAGGGUUCCCCAUUCAGUUGUUGAAUUGCUUACAUCAUUCCUGUUUGAAAUCGUAAAUAACUAGAACUAACCAUUUAAUUUAUAUGUGCUGAUGAGCUCUUUUAGCCAGUGUAGGACGUUGUAUGUGUUCUAUUAGAAAUGUCUUAGAAUUUGAUUAUCUAUCCACAGGCAGAACGGAGGCCCCUGACUCGAUUUUUGGACAGUUUAAUUUGUCCGAAAUUAGUGUUUAGGUCAUAGUUUCAUUGUAAACUUUGUUCGGCCAAGAAAAGUGUCUAGCUAGUUAUAGACGUGGAUUAUAUGUCUAACCACCAGGUACAGCUGUUCCAUUUAUUUAGUCGCCCAUGUCUUCGGGUCCCAAGAUAUUAGAAAUAAGUAUCUUACCUAGAUCUAGAAAUGUCCAUGAGCCAGGCUGAGCUUGGAAAGUAAGAGGGUUUGAGUGAAAAUAUAAUUCUAAAAAAUGAGCUUAAAUAAAAAAAGUAAGACCCGUUUAGAAAAUGGGUUGGGGCCUUAGUUAAGGCUUUUUGGGCCAAGUCGGGCCUGGCCCAAAUAUGCAAAAAAAAUUGUUAUUUUUUUUACUGUUUUUUUUUUCACUACAAUUUCACUAUUUUAUUAUUAUUAUUUAGAUAUUAUAUAACUCUUAUUUUAUUGUUAAUUUUGUUACUAUUUUAAAGACAUUUGCUCUUUAAGUUGCACAUAUCUUUGUGUUAUUCAAGUAUACAUAUUUUUCUAAUUUAUUUUCAAUUUGUUGGGAAAUAUUUAUUUUAAUAUUUUUAGUUUUUUGAUGUAUUAUAUUUUUAAAUAUAUAUAUAAAAAAUAAUUAAUACAAGCUGAGCUGGUCUCAGGUUUUUGCAUUUUUAUCCGGGCUGGGCUUGGGCAAAAUUUUAGGCUCAUUGUCCCAACCUAGCAAAUGGGCCUAAAGUUUUGGUUAGAUUCGGCUUGAAUUAGACCUGGCCUAUAGAUACCUCUACCUACAUUGUGUGGUCGUAUUGUGGAGGGAAAUUAAUUAAUCCAAAAAGUGAAACAUAGAAGAGAAAACAAGCGUGUGAUAAUGGUUUUCUGAACUAUUUUAGGUCAGAUGAGGAGGAGGAAAAGGUGUUUGCUUCGUACAAAAGACUCAUUUAUUUCAUCAUUAUCGACAAUAAGGUGUAGAUGGAGAUCUGCUUUUUUGCUUUUGCUCUUAAAGAAAUUGGCUAUGAAAUUCACGAAUGUCACUUCUCGUAAAUGAAAACAGGCAUGAAAAUUCAACGCCAGAAUUUGGAAAGAUCUACUUCAACCCUAACUGAUGUAUCAUUAAAACUAAAUCUAACAUAAAUAAAUAGAUAGCUUUACACAAUAUUUUUAGAAUCAGGUUAGUGGUUGAAAUGGUUAAGUUAUCAGUUUGCCGGUACGACUGGUUCGAUUCAAUUGUCGAUUCAAUCAAAUUUUUAGUUAGUUCAAUCAAUUUGUAUUGGUUCAAUUAGUCUAAUGCCAUUAUUCGAAAUGGUACCUUGGUUUGAUUAGUUGGUCCGGUUCGGUUCAAACAUUACAAAUUUUAGGCCAGGAUUUAUUAACAUAGUUGUUAGGGUUUAAUAUGUGUAUGACAUAGGUUCAAAUUCAAUAUAUUUAAAAUAAUGAAGUAUUGAAGUAAUGAUUUUUCGAAGCGAAAGUACUAGUUGAGUCAUAUUUGAAUGGCAAUGAUAUCGAGAAGAGAUGAAAUAUUAUUUUAAUUAAUAAUGAGAUAAUAAUAUUAUACUUAUUUUUAUUCAAAUUAAUUUUUAAAUUUGAGGAAACUAACAUUCAAAUUGUAAUCUUUAGUGAUGGUUGUGUCAAAUGUCAGAAAUUUUCACAAAGAGAAGACUUAUAUUGUCGUAAAUGGAGUGGAGAAAAAAUAUUUGGUAAGUUUAUUAAUAUUUAGAAUAAACUUGAAUUACCAUUGAAUACUUAUAUCAGAGCAAUUUUUUCCAUUUACAAAAAUAUUUUAUUGUAUGAUUUUAUUUCUUUAAAUUGACAAAAAUAUUUUAUUAUUAUUAUUAUUAUAUUAAUACAUUGAUAUUAGAAGAAUAUUUUAUGAAAGUUUAGGUUAUGUUUUAUAUUUAUGAUAAAUAAUAUUUUUAUUGUGAUUUAAAUUAUUUAAAUUUGAUUUUUUAUUGGUAUUAUUAGAUGCAUUAUUGUUCAAUAUUUAAGUGGUUUCAUUCUUCUUCUUCUUUUUUGUCAAUAAAACAUAUUCAUAAAAUGAUUGGAAAAACAUAAAAUAUCACUGUAUCAGCAGAGUAAACCACUACAGAAACAACAAAAAAAAACUUAACAAAGAUAAAUAAGUAGACAUAAAAUUAACUUUAUCAAAAUGAGGCCGAACCCAAAACUAUUUAUUUAGUACCUAAAAAAUAAUUGAUAAUUAAUUUGAUUGUUAUCUUUGUUUAGAGUUUAAUUAUGAUUUAAAGUUCUUUUAUUGUUGUAACCUUAAAAUAGUUAAUAAAUCUUAAUUAUAUUCAAUCAUUUGUAUAAUAUUAGUGUACAUUAAUUACAUGAAAUACAAAUAUAUUAUUUAAUAAAAUAAAAAAAAUAUUUGGGUAUUUAAAUUUAGUGGGUGUGAGUUGUCUGUGAGUGUGAGUAUUAACCUUUUAAUUGCACAAAACCAAAAAGUAAAAUAUAUAAAUAAAUAUAUACAAUCACAUGUAACCAACAUUAAAAAUUAUUAGUAAUACACAAAAACAUGCAUUUAAAAUUUUAAAAUUUGUCCUAUAACAUUCUCAUACCCGACCCAUUUGUCGAGUUUGAGCACUAGAAUGUUACAAACGUUGCCGAUGCAACUUCAGAGAAAUUUAGUUCAAAAACUCUUUCUAAUCAAGUUAACAUAUCAAUUUUGAGUUAAUAUAAAGUUCCCGAUUUCAUUCCAAGUUUUAUUCGAGCUUUCGUUAGCUCUUUCAAUAGUUUAUAGGCCAUUUAUGAUCUAUUUGCAAACUCUUCAUGUAACAGCCCGAUUUUUAGUGGUGACGGAACAAUGAUUUCGGGACUACAAAUUUCUGUUGAGUUGACUUGUAAAUAUUAUUUAUAGAAUAUUUACGAAGUCAUUUAAGUUGUAUUAAAAUUUGGUCUAGAAAUAUCAAUAUUUAAAUAGCUAAUUAAAGAAAAAGAACUAAAUUGUAAAAAGUGAAAAACAUAGUAAUUAUAGCAUUUAGGUUAUCAAAUAGCUUAAUUACUAAUUUAGGAGGGACUUAUGUUGUAAUUAUCCCCUAAUCAUUAACAUUGGACGCCAUUAUUGAUGAAAAUUAUUAAAUAUUACAUGUUUUAAUGGUAAAAUGGUAAAUAUUAUGAAAUCAAAACAAAAUUAAAUGAAGUAAAAGACAUUUCUUCUUCAAUCUCUCUUUUUCAUAGCCAAAAACACCAUGGAAACUUAGUUGAAGGUUCGGCCAUUUUUUGUAUCUUGCAUGUAAGUCCAUUUCGAGUCUGUUUCUCUAGGUUUUGUGUUUUUGAGAUUAUUGUAACUAGGUCUAGCUAGCUCGUACCUUCGUUUUUGAAUCUGUUAAAAGUUUUAAAAUUUUCCAUCGAUGAAUCUUGAAUGUAUUUUUAUGAUAAUUAUGUAUUUGAAGCUUUGAUUGUGCUAUUUGGUGAUUUUGUGAAGUGAUUUUUGUUAUAUUUUGAUUUAGAGAUUAAAUUGUGAAAAUGUCAAAAUUUUAGGGUUUGAUAGUGAAUUUUAUAUUUAGUAGGGAUUGUUUAAGGGCCUAGUAUAUUCGAAUAUCAUGUUGAGUUGAGAAAAAGAAAGUUAAUUUGAUGAUUCUUGGGUUAAGGGAUUAAAUUGCAAAAAUUGUAAAAGUUAGAGGUAAUUGUGUAAAUUCAAAAAAAGUAUAAAAUGUAAAAUGAAUUGGAAUGUGAAAUGUAAGCUGAUAAUUGAGAAAUUUUAUAUUUUAGAUCAAAACCCAAAUGAUACUCGUGGAAAAAAUUUAUGGAAUAGUCCCUGAACUUCUGUAACUACUACAAUUCAGUCCAGGUAAGUUCGUACAGUUUAUAAUUUAACAUCUAUAGGAAAUGUUUGAUGAUAUAAUGUGAUUUAAUAGAUAUAUUUGAUUAUAAUGGUAUAAAGUUAUUUAAGAAAAAUUGUUGAAAUUCAAUACUUGGAUCGAAUUAAACACGAGAUAGAGUAUAAUCAAGAAAUGGUAUGUUAUGGGGGAUUGGAGUGGAGAUUGUUAUGGAGUGAUAUAUAUGUAACAGUCCGAUUUAGACCCUAUUUAGAACGGUAGUUUCGGGACCACGAAUCUGAGUCAGAAAAAUAUUUUAAAAUUAUUUUCUGUGUUUAUUAUGUGUGUAUUUAUAUCUGUGAAAUUUUCGUGUUUUAACUUUGUCGUUUGAGUGUUGAUUUAAUAAAAAGGGCUUAAUCGCAUAAAAUGAAAGUUUGAUGGUUAAAUGUAAAAGGUCCAAAUUGUUGUCUUUUAAAAUGGAGGUAUUUAUAAUGCAAUUAUACCCUUGAAAUUUGGCAUGGACAAAUUAGGCCAUUAGUUAAUGGAAUGGGAAUUAUAUUAUAAAGGCUAAAUUUGUAAAUUAUGUAAAAAUAUGUAUUAAAUAAAACAUGAUAUUAAAAGCCAUUGUUCAUAUUUUCUUUUCAUGACGGAACGUCAAAAUAAGAAAUAAAAAAAUAAGGUUACAAAGGUUCAGCUAUUGUCAAGCUUAAUCAAGGUAUGUAAUUAGCUGGGUUUUUGAUAAUUUUUACGUUUUUAAGAUCGUUGCAGUGUAAUGUACAAAGCCAUGUUUGAAUUUUUGAUUUUGAUGAAUAUUUUGAGUUAUACCAUUGACGAAUAUUUGAGCUUUGUGAUGAUAGUUGAUGAAAUAUGAAAGAUAUGUUUUAGAUUAACAUGUUUUGUAUUGGAAUUUUUAAUUAUUUUGAGUAAUUAGGACUAAAUUGUAAAAAAAAAAUUGAGGGACUAAAAUGUGAAAUAAAUAAAAUGUAUGGACUUCUAUGAACAUAUGGAACAUUCGGCCUAAGCAUGGUAUGUGCAAAUUUUGCAUGUUUUGUGUUUUGAGCAAUUUGGACUAAAUUGUGAAAAGUGUAAAAUGUUAGGGGUAAAAUUAUAAUUUGCUAUUUAUGUGUUUUUGGACUAAAAUGAGUGAAAAUAUAUUUGAAUGAGUUUAAUUUGAAUAUGUUUAGAUCAAGAACCAAAAAAAUCAGAUUUGGAUCGGGGGAAAACUAAAGUUGUCGAUUAGCCAUCCUGUUCCGAUUUUCAUCGUCCGAGGUAAGUUUAUAAGCAAAUAGAUAUUGUUAAUUUUAAUUAUGUACGAGUUUAUAUACUGAAAUUAAAUUAUGUGAAAUUAUAUAUGUGAAAUUCGAAUGUACAUAUGCAUGGAAACAAAGUUUACGAGUUCAAUUCGACCGAAUUAUAAUGUCCGAAAGUCCCGUACGAACCUUAGAAAUAGCUAGGAUACAUAUGUCAUGACAUAGGAUUUUCGAUAUGUGUUCUCGUGUAAGACCACAUCUGGGACGUUGGCAUCGAUCUGUGAUUACGUGUAAGACCAUGUUUGGGACAUCGAAAUCGUAUUUGAUUCGUGUAAGACCCUGUCUAGGACGUUGGCAUUGUUUGAUAUAUGUGAUUAUCCGAGUAUCCUAUUCAAUUCCGAAUGGUUCAAUGGGCAAUGAUAAGUUGUGAACGAAAGUGUAAAACAAGCUAAAACGAUCAGGUAUGAGUUAGUUGAUUACCUAUUCGAAAAUAAGAUAAGUUGGUCAUUUGAUAUAUGAUGCAAAUUAUAUAAGUUAUUAAUGUGAACAUAUGUGCACUUGCAAAAUAUAUUCGACUAUAUGUUAUGUAUAUGCAGGUGAUGUUAUACUUUGAUUCAUGAGUAUAUGUAUACGUGUGUAAAUACAUUCGGUUAUAUAAUAAUGUUAUGUCUUUGAAAUUGAAUGAUACUUGGAAUAUGUAUAUAUGUACAAUCUGUUAAGAUAAGGUUAUUUAUGAAAGCAUAUGUUAAUUAUGAAAUGUUAAACUUGAGAUUAAAUGUGACUAUGAUAGUAUAACUUGGCUUGGUUAAAAUAAGUUGAUAAUGUCAUUAAGUUGUUAUUUGCUUAUGACUUACAAAGCUUUAAUAGCUUGCUGUGUGUUAUGUUUGCCUCUGUUUUAUAGAUUUCGAGAUUUAGUUAUGAGCUCGGGGAUCAUCAGCAAAGUCCAUCACACUAUCGACUGUUUUUGGUAUUUGAUAAGUUUAAAUUUGAACCUAUGGCAUGUAUAGGCAAGUUAAUAUGUUUGUUUUUGAAGUUGUGUAUAUAUUAAGCCAUGCGAAAAUGACUAAAAUGAUAUGUGAGUAUAUGAAACUUUAGUCAAGUAGAUAAGUGUUUUAUACAUGGAAAGUGGUUGAUGAUUUUGGACGUGGUUUGUUUGAAUUGGCCAUGGCAUAUGCAUAAGUAUGAAAUAUGUAAUACUCUGAAAAUUUUUACAGUAAGAUAUUAUCCUUGAUAUAGUAAAAUAAGGAAAUAAAGUGACAAAAAGGGAAAUUUUGAGUUAUGUCAAUAUUGAGAAGUAUAUUAUGAUAUAUUAAUUCAAGAAAGGACUAAAUUGUAAAAGUGAGAAAAGUUUUGUUGCACAAGAGUAAAUAUUCAAAAUUUGAGGGGUUAAAGUGUAAGUAUGAAAAAGUUGAAGGACCAAUAGUGUAAAUAAUUUAAGAGUGGAAUGCUCUAGAAACUAAGGAAAAUGGAUGAAUUAGGACCAAAUUGAAUAUAUGAAGAACUAUGAGGGACUAAAUUGCAAUUUUACCAAAUUAAAUUAUGACUCAAGGAUGGAAUUUUAAAAGAUAAUGAAGGGCAAAAUGGUCAAUUGGAAGAGAGAGAAAUCUAGAAAGUAAUAAUGAUGCUAGAGAUAUUUUGAUAUUUUAUAAUUAUUUAAUUAGAUAAAUAUUAUUUUAUUAAUAUUUUAAUAAGAUAUUUUAUUAUUAUUUUAUUAGUAUAUAAAGAAAGAAAGAUGAGAAAUUCUCAUCCAUAUUUUUCCCAUGCACUAACGUGAGAGAAAGAGAGGAAGAAAGAAAGUUUUGCUUUCUUUACAAUUUGGUCCUUUUACCAAAAAUUCACCAUUUUCACCCAAAAAUCAAAUGAAUUUCCAUAGCUACCAAGAGACAAAAAUGUUAAGGAGAGCAUGGGGAGUUAGAAUAUCAAGUUGGAUUCAAGAAAUAGAAGCUGGAGGAGAGAGAAAAUCAAGUUAAAGAUUAGUAUCAAUAGAACAAGGUAAGUAUAUCAAGAUUUCAAUAUGUUUUUAAGUUUGUUAUUAUUGACAAAGCAUGGAAAUAAUGUUAUAGUAGAGUUUUCUUACAUAAGGUCCUAUGUUUUUGAUAUGCUAGUGAAGAGAAAAUAAGAGAAAGUGAUGAGAAAUGGUGUAGAAAAAGAAAAUAAGGGUGUUAUAACAUGGUAAUUAAUAGCUUGCACAAAAACAGUUUGGACAGCAGCAAUUGACUAACUUUGAAAAAUCACCAUAAAUUGUAGAAAUCUAAUUAGAAGAUGAAAAAAAUAUGAAAUUAAAUCUUAUUGAGUCUAGUUUCUCAUAGAAUAAAUAUUUUAAGAAAUAAAUUUUUAAAUUUUGAGAUAUAAUGAAUUUUGUGAGACAAGGUCAGAAUGAAUUUGGGUUCCCCUGUUCUGACUUUGAAAAAUCAUAAAAAAUUGAAUAAAAAUAAUUAGGGGCUUAAAUUUAUAUGUAUAAAAUUCUGAAUGAGUCUAUUUUUAAUAGAAACAAACAAGAACAUCAUUUGUAUCCUGUAUGAGGAGAUAAUUAAUUUUUGGUGAAGAAGGGUCAGAACUGUCAGACAGCAUAAUAGGAGUAAUUUUAAAGAAUAAACUGUACUUAUUGGCUAAACAAAAAAUUUUGAAAUUUUUAUGGUAAGAAUAUAUAUGAGUCUAGAUUCAGGGAAAAUUAUAGGAUAUUAAUUUUGAGUUCUAUAGAUCCAGAUAUAAAUAAUUUAAUGACUAUGAUGCAGAUAGACAGCUUGAAUAUUCAUAAAAGUAAAUAAUAAAAAUUAUGGAUAGUAUUAUUUACAAGUGUGUUAUCUACAUUAAGGAUGUGGAAUGGAGAGGAGGAGGAGGAAAAAUAUGUAUGAAUAUUCAUCUAGCAUGGCUAAUUUUCAUAUUUUAGGCUCAGGGACUAAAUUGAAUAAAAGUAAAACUUUAUGGGCAAUUUUGUAAACAUGUCAGAAAUGACCAAAUUGCAUGAAAUAAAUGACCAAAUUGCAUGAAAUGGAUUAUUUUAUUAUUUAAAUUACAAAAUUGAAUGAAAUUAUUAAUUUAGUUCAAGAUCGGGGGAAAACAUAUUUUAGGGAUUAAAUUGAAAAGUGUUGAAAUUAUGAAAAAUUCUAAUAUUUUAUAGAAUUCAUGGAUUGUUAUCAAUAUAUAUGAGAAUAAUAGCUGGAAAUAAGGAUUAAAUUGUAAGAAUUUUAUUUUCCUGACCCUAAGGAUGAAAUCGUCAUUAAUUAAAAGUUUAGGGGCAAAAUGGUAAUUUUGCCUAGAGCAUUAAUUAAAUGCAUUAGAAUAUGAAAUGAAUGAAAAUGAUGAUCAAAUUUAUUUAUAAAGAUCCGGACGACUCAAAUAUGAGACUUGAUUGUGGAAAAGAAAAGAUAUCAGAUUAAUGAAAUUAUAAACACAAACAAGCAAUGAGGUAAGUUCGUGUAACUUGAAUUAUAUUCUUAAAUGCUUGAGAUUGUAUGUUAUUGAUGUGAAUAUGAUUUGAAUGUUCAUUGUAUGAAAAUUUAUGAAACAUUGAUAUAUUUGAUAAAAUGGGAAGAAAUCCCGGUUGAAUGAAAGGAAAAUUCGAUGGAUCUCUGAAAAGGAAUUGACGGUAAAAAGGAUCUAGCCCGGACGGGUGAUCUUAUCUUGAUAUAGCCCUCCCGAAGAAUAUGUGUAAAAUGGAUUUAGCCUGGACGGGUAAUCCGAAUUAGGGUCUGAAUUUAGCCUGGACUGGUAAUUCAGAUCUAAGCUCAUUAGAGUAAUUGUCGUUGCAGGGGAUUUAGCCUGGACUGGUAAUCCCACUGUAAGGAUGAGGUUCGCGGGAGUGUGCUCUCUGAUAUGAAAUGUGUAAGACCAUGGUUGAAAGAUACCAUGGCAACCUAUGUGUAAGACCAUGGUUGAAAGAUACCAUGGCAACCUGAUAUGAAAUGUGUAAGACCAUGGUUGAAAGAUACCAUGGCAACCUGAUAUGAGAUGUGUAAGACCAUGGUUGAAAGAUACCAUGGCAACGUGACAUGAAAAGAAUAAGACCAUGGUUGAAAGAUACCAUGGCAACAUGACAGAAAAUGAGUAAGACCAUAGUUGAAAGACACUAUGGCAUCACGUCAAAGAUAAAUAAGACCGUGGAUGGGAGACGCUAUAACAUCUGUUGAACAAUUGAUAUUCAGGUAAAAUGUAUCAGAUGAAGAAUGGUUAUAUGAAAUGGUUGUGUGAAAUGUUUACAAGAACUGGUCAUAUGGAAAUAUAUGUACAAAAGCGUUGUAUGAAAUAAUUAUGAAAAUGGAUAAACAAAAUAAGUAUAAGUACAUGGAAUAUAAUUUAUGUUAAGUUUCAUAUAAGCUAUUACCAGAAUAAAUAUACAUAAAAUAUAUGAAAAUGAUGGAGCAUAAAAUAUUGAUAUAAUGAAAUGAAUGAUAAAUGCUUGUGAAGAAACGGUAAGAGCAUGAUAUGUUUCAUGACAUGUACAUAUAUGAUUAUCUUUGAUAUGUUGAUACAAGGAAAUUAUGUAAGUUGAGACUAUUAUUAAACUAAAGUGCGACAUGUCGAGAAAAUAUAUAUAUCAAUGUUGAAUUUAUAUGAGAUAAGAGCAAGUAUACUAACAAUGUUGUUGUUUGAUGCUUAUACAAGUGCCAAACUGUUGAUUGAACGGUAAUAUAUUUAUUUUAUAUGAUGCAUUGAAUCGGUAAGUAUUUUAAUUUUUUUAAGUUAUCUGCAAAUGGUAGUAAUACUCCGAAACCCUAUCCUGGCAGCGGAUACGGGUUAGGGGUGUUACAAAAUAUGUUUGUUAUGUUAUUCAUGAUUAAAAUGAUUCAAUUUUGACUGAUAUUUGGUAGGAAGGGUUUAACUUGGUUGUCGAAUGUACUCAGUUAAAUGUUGAAAUUAGGUAAGGAAUAUACUUGAUUGAUGAUUCGGUACUUGCACAUAUAAAUAUAUUUUGGCACAUAAUGUGGUGAUGAUAUAUGCAUAUACGUUAUCUCAAGGUAUAUAUGUGUUGUGGUACUUGAUUAUGUGUUUUGAUAAUGGAGUAAAUGAUGUAUGUUAUUGAGUUAAAAUAUGUAAUGUAUUAGUUAGUAAUAUGUAUGCCAUAUACAUAUAUAGUGUGCUUGGUAUAUGCUCACGGUUUUAAAGUAAUGAUGUAAAUAGAUAAUGGUUAAUCAUUUUGGGAAGCUUUUCAUAUUAGAUAUAUGUAUAUACAUAUAUGUAUUUCGUUGUGUCUUAAAAUUUGGUUUACUUGGAACUCAUGAUUUGUACUAUGAAUUAGUUUAAGUUAUUAAAUUUAAUACAAGGAAUAUAUGUUUGUCAUGUUUGUUAUAAUUUUCGGUAAAAUGGAUAAAGUUCAGUAUAAUGUAUAUUCGGUUGUAGUACUAAAUCAUUUUAUAAGUGUUUAUGGCAUAUUUAUGUGAUGGAGUAGUAUGAUCAUGUGUAUUUGGUUACGUAAGAUUAAUUUAUGAAUGGUUUUUGGUAUGUGAAGGAGAUGUAAUUUAGUUUGUAUGUUUUGCUCAAUUAAUAGUUCAUAAAGAUAUGUUUGAUAUUUGCCAAGUUAGACAGAUUUAAUGGCAUGUAUUCGAUAUAUGAGUUUGAAUGUCUUAAUGUUUGUAUAUAGAAUUUGUUAUGAAAAUAUUUAUUUUAAAAUUUGAUUAUUUGAACAUUAUAAAAGAGAUAUAUAUAUAAUUCAUAUAAUUGAAUUUAUAUUAUCUUAAACGUGUAUAAUAAUGAAUGACUUCCUUAAGCUAUGAAUUGUUCGGUAAUGCCUUAUAACCUUAAUCUGGUGACGGAUACGGAUUAGGGGUGUUACAUUUGAUAUAUGUUUUAAGAGUAGACUGAGGUUUAUCAUUUGUUGCGAACUCUCGUAUUAUACUCCCUGUUUCGGUGUGUUUCGGUUGGACUAGCUCUUCAGAGCCACAUUGGUGUGUUUUCGAAUGGAUUAACUCUUAUAAGCAUUGAUGUGUUUUUGGAUGAAUUAGCUCUUAUGAGAAUUGAUGUAUUUUUGGAUGGAUUAGCUCUUAUGAGUAUCUGGUGUGUUUCGGUCAGAAUAACGAUGUACUCUUAUUUGUAAGUCGUUCAUCAGAUUGUAAAUCUCAGUAAGGUAACUUGUUUAGUGAUUUUGAUAUUUUUAUCAUGUAUUUGAGUUUUGAAUUAAAUUUUACAAUUCAUCAGUUAAGAUUGUGGAUGACAGGGAACACAAAUGGUUGUAUAUUUAUUUGAUUUAUUGUACUUACUUUAGUAAGAUUUAUCGUUUUAGUACGUCAAACUUACUAAGCUUCAAUGAGCUUACUUGUGUUAUUCCUGUUCUUGUAGAUACACUGAAGGUUGGACGGUCGGAUCAGCACUCAAGUCACACUAUCCACUAAUUUUCGGUAAUUUUUGGAACGUUCUUUUCGGAUUAUAUGGCAUGUAAUAGGCUUGUAUGUCUUUGGCAUGUAAUAGGCUUGUAUGUCUUUACUAUUGUUUUGGAUAUGUAAAAUGUUAAAGAAUGGUAUUAAGUUCAAAUAGUCAACUUAUAUGAUAUAUGUGAAUGCGGUAAGAUGUUUUAAUGCAAAUAUGUGGUAUGUGUUAAUGAAAUGUUGUGUUUGAGGUGUCUAUGAUAGGCACAUUGGUUAGAUGUUAAAUUUUGUGAAUUUAUAAGUUGCGAAUAAUGAUUCAUUUUGAUGUAUAAUUGUAUAUAUUUUUGGUAUCAAUAAGGAUACAUUGGUUAGGCACUUAGGAUGGUUGAUUUAACAUAUUUUUAGCUUGUUUAAUGUCAGUUUGAAUAGGUCUUUUGGCUGGUAAAUGGAUUAUUUAAAGUCCAAAUAAGUUGAAUUGGUAAAUUGUUGUUUAAGGUUCAUUUUAGGUCCACGCGGCCGUGUGUCAUCAGAUGAGUUCUUUAGGGUGCAAGUCAAUAAGUUACACGACCUAACACACGGCCUAGCACACAGGCGUGACACGACCUGCCACACGGACGUGUGACACGGCCAUGUGUCCCUAAUUCGAUAGUUACAUGGCCUGAGACACACAACCUGGCCACACGGUCAUGUGACCCUUAUUUUGCAAAUUUUUCAUUUUUUUCCUAAACUUUCCAAACUGUUUCAAAUUGGUCUCAAAUGUUUUUAAGUUAUUCUUAGGGCCCCGAGGGCUCGAUUCAAGGACAGUAUGCAUGCGUAUGAAUAUUUUAUGAUGUGAUUGUAAUAUUGAAUGACAUAUUGUUCAAAUGUUUUUGAUUGUUUAGUAAUACUCCGUAACCCUAAUCUGAUGGCGGAGAAGAGUUAGGAGUGUUGCAUUUCAAACUUCAAGGGCGACGUCGGGAUCUUCAAGUCUCGAUGUGAUCGUCUAACUUGGGUCAUCGCAACAUGCACUCUGUUUUAUCAAUUUCUCAAUGUUUACAAUUUUUGUUACAAUCUAGUACCACCUUCCUAUUUCACUUUUUACUUCGUUCACCAAAUCAUUCUUUCAUAUAACCUAUUCUCAACUUUUCGCAUCAUACAAUUCUACUAAAAUACUAUAGCUACAUUUUUUUUUUACAAUUUAAUCACUAUACCAUAUAAUUCACUAUUACUCAUAUGUAUGUACUCCCAAUUUCAACACCAUAUGAUUCUCAAUCAAAUUAUAAGAUUACACAACUAUUAAAGUUUUACAAAUAAGUCCAUUCAUACAUUAUAUAACAAUUAUUUAUUUAAUGCUUCAACAAAUCAUUUAAACUACUCUUGUAUAUAUUAGCAAAUCUUUCACUUAUAACAAUUUCUUAGCAUUUCACAACCUUUAUGUAUAUAUAUGAACAUUUGAUUUUUGAGCAUAGCAAGCUUAGGUAACGUUAAUUAUGAUUUCACUAAUAACAUGUAUAAUUUUACAAAGGCUAUCUACUUGGAUAGCAAUCACUAAAUUAUUUAUAUCUUGGUCUACAAUAUUCCAAAUUAAGAUUCACUUAUUGUUUUUUAAACUAGACUCAAUGAAAAUUUUACCAUAAAAAUUUUAGAAUUUUCACUUUAAUCAAUUAAUACAGUAAAAUUUUUCCCUGUUCUACUGCUAGACCCUUCUCCACUAAAAAUUAAUUAUCUUUCAGUGCAAGACUCACAUUAUGUUUUCAUUUGUUUCCCUUGAAAGUAGACUCAUCAAUAUUUUAAGCAUAUAAAUUUCAUCUCCUAACAUUUUUGUACAAUUUGUAACGAUUUUUCAAAGUCAGAACAAGAGAACCUGAAUUUAUUCUAACCUGUCUCAUAAGAAUUAAUAUCUCAUAAUCUACAAUUCUAUUGCUUAUACCGUUUAUUUUAUGAAAAACUAGACUCAAUAUACCACACUCAAGGCACCAAAUCCAACAGUAUAUGCUUAUGAAUGAAAGAUGAUAUGACAAGCUCAUGUGUACAUAGUAUGAAUUGUAUGUUUAGAUACUUAUGUAAUGAAUUGAAGUGCAAAAUGGAUAUGUGCAAGUUAUGUGAUCAUAAAUUUUUUUAUAUGAAUAUGUAUGUGAUUUGGCUUGAAUUGGAUUAGAGUAGAAUGUUUGUAUUGAUAUAAAUAUACUUGUACUAAAUUGACUUGAAUUAUGAAAAUAUUAUUGCACAGAUAUAAGCAAAUCUCGAGCAAAAGACAAUAGAGAAAAAUGGAUCAUAGGAUUUUAACAACACAUUCCAUUUGCUACAAACAUUGAGAGAGAAAGAAUCAUGGGCGAUGGUUUUCUUUUUAGCAAUUCAUCAUAACAUCAAGAAAGUUGAAGCCAAAAUAGAUGCAACUACCAUGAUAAAUUUAAUUACAUAAUACUUCUAAGUUUAAUCCUUCUUUUACUACUUAAUAUCUAUUGAUGUUAGGACUCUCACACAUGUCUUCUGAAAGAGAAACCUUUAUAUCAAUGCUCUUGCUAGAAGCAACUUCCACACUUAAUCUUCCUUGAAUAUGUUAUAUUUUAAUGACUCUAGUUUGUAUGUGAAAUCUUUAUUGCCACUGUUGCACAAUGAUGCUAAUGGUAUGGCUGUAGUUCUCACUUUUUUCCUAGUUUUUAAUACCAUGUACUCCUUUCUACUUUUUAACAUAAAUAUUUUAUAAAAUAUAGUAUUUUAAUUAUAGGAGGGACCAAGUAAAAGGCAGGGCCUGACUUUCCCUUUUCAUGAUUGAAAAGGACAAGGCCCCACUUUUCAUUUCCCAUUUUACCCUUUACAUUUAUUUUCAUAUCAUUUUUUAUUUUCUCUCUCUGCACUUUUUAUCAGCUUAUGUCAUCACAUUUCCCGUAUACGCCUACCAAUUUCUAUCUCUUUACACUUUUCAUUAACUCGAAACAGAGAAAAAGCGAGAGAGAGAGAGAGAUUCUGGAAAGCUCUUUGUUCAAGGGUUUCUCGUUGGUAAUUCCUUUUUUUUUUCUAUAAAUUUUCAAAUUUGUUAUUACUGCUACUGACCGAUCUAGUGUCACCAUCUUCUUUGGUUUUUUCACGGUAAAUUUCUUCUUCUUUUUCUAUUUUAGUUUUUAAUCUGAUUUCCCUUUCUGGGUCUUUUAUUUUUAUUUUUGUCUUCACUCGAUUUUGAUUUUAUUUCUGGGUUUUAGAUUUAGUUUUAUUUUUGGGUUUAGUAUUUCUGGGUCUCUUGGUUUGAAUAAGAUCCUUUUAUUUUCAAAACUUAAUCUGUUUUGUGUUGUGUAAUUUUGUUUUGAUUAUGGAGUUUAAUUAUGUGGGCUAAACUUAAAAAUUUUAUUUUCCAUUUGUUUAUGAUAAAUUUUACUCAUUUUUUUGGAUAUUUUAUUUGAUUUCUGGUACUUUUUUUUACAUUCUUUAAAAUGUAAUUAAUUUUGCUUAUGAUUCUGUUCUAGGAAUGCUUGCUCCUCUGCUUUUUGCUUUUCAUUAAGUGUUGAAAUGGAUAUUCCUUUUUUUUUUCUUUUCACUUUUUCCCUUUUAUUUUCUUAUUUUAUCUUGACUGUUGUAGUCGUCAUGGAUGACUCUCUAAAAUUUGGUGUUUGUACGUUUACACAUUCAAUAAAUGAUCGUUUAUUUGCUUCUGAGUGCUUCAAACUGUUUACUUUUUUGGCUGACAUAUAGAAAAAUGGAAAUGUUUACCCUUAAUCAGUGCUGUUUCAUGUGAUCACUUCCAUGUUACUGACCCUGUUGCUAUAAUCAAUUUAUGUGCAAAUUUGAAGUAAAUGGAACUUUCCAUUUUGAUAUUCCAUUUUUCUUGUUGGUUUCGCUUACUUUUUAAAUCAGAAGUAAACUGAGUUCCCUUGUAACAGCGACCUUUCUUUUCCCUAUAUGUGACAGGUAUUGAAGUGCACGAAGAAAUAGCAGAGUCGGUGAUCAUGGAGAAGCUACUUGCCAUGGUUUAUAUAUAUUCUGCUUAUAGUCCGUAAAUUUUUGGAGAAAAGUUAUAGGUUUUGUUGUGGUGGAGUGCUGUGAUUGCAAACAUGGGUUACAAUUGCGAUUUCUGUGGGCAUCAAAGGCCUGUGGUAUAUUGCCGGUCUGAUGCAGCAUGUUUAUGUUUAUCAUGUGAUCGAAAUGUCCAUUCUGCUAAUGCACUGUCGAGACGCCAUUCAAGAACAUUAUUAUGUGAGAGAUGCAAUUCACAGCCUGCUUUGGUUAGGUGUACAGAGGAAAGGGUUUCCCUAUGCGAAAACUGUGAUUGGAUAGGUCAUGGUACAUCUACCUCGAAUUCGACACAUAAGAGGCAAACAAUUAAUUGUUACUCUGGUUGUCCAUCAUCUGCGGAACUUUCUUCCUUAUGGCCAUUUUUUUGGCAGUCCCCUUCACCGGGUGAAUCUACUUGUGAGAAGGAAUUAGGUCUAAUGAGCAUCACUGAGAAUAUUGAAACGACUUCCUGGGGCCCUACAGGGAACACUGUUAGCCAGAAUAAGAAUAGUGAUGGUGUUGCAGAAGUUAAUAAUGACAAUAAUGCGGAUAUGGGAAGUGGCUGGGAUGGGUCUUCUUCAAUUCUGGAACUAAGAUCUCCACCACCUCUAGAUCAGCCAGCUGGAGUAACUGAUACGUCAUUGCCCAAGGUAAAUGACGAAUUAGGAAUUUAUCAUUAGAGAAUCAAGAUAACUGUUAUUGAGGUACUUUCGAGCCCUUGUUAUUUAAGUUUCAUGGGGCAGUAUCAAAGAAAUAUGAUAACAUUUCGAGAUCAAUUUAUUCUUCUGUUGUGCUUUAUGUUGAAAAAUAUAAGAGCAGAUGCUCAGUGAUAACUGUUCUUUCUGCUUAGGGAACAAGCUUGAGGUUAAAGUGACAUCAUUUUUUCGAGAUUAGUUCCUUCUGCAGAAGAACUUAUGCUGAUUUUGUUCCUUGCUUUCUUGAUUAUGUUUUAUAGUGGAAAUCAAAGGUCCAUCUAAAGUAUAUUUUAGAGCAACUUAAGUUUUAGGGUGAUAUUGCAGAAAACUAGUGACGCAUAUGAUUUUGAAAUCAAUAACCUCAUCCUUUAUUAUAUUUGUCAUCUUUGCCUAUAUGUGCCAUGUGUUUCUAAAUUUGGACUCCAGACACUUAUUUCACACACUCAAAUGACUUUCUGGAUUGUACGCUAAUGCCACCUGUCUGGGCCGAGGUUAUCUUGGAAGUUAUCAAGAUUUCAUUUUAUUCAUAAAAAGAGUGAUUAGAAUAAUUUAUUCCAUUUUAGGAAUAUUUGCUAAUUUCUACUUUAUUAACUUGUAGGUAUCUUGCCCUCAAACAAAACGUCCAUUGCUUUGUGAAGAUGAUCUCUAUGAUGACUUCAACAUGGAUGAAGUUGAUUUGAACCUUGAUGAUUAUGAAGAACUCUUUGGAGUAGCUCUCAAUCACUCAGAAGAACUUUUUGAGAAUGGUGGAAUUGACAGCUUAUUCAGGACGAAUGACUUGUCUGCUGCUGAUUCCGACUGUCGUGGUGCUGUGGCUGCUGAGGUUCUCUCUUCUCUUUUGAUCUUUCUUUGUGGUGUCUGAAUUGUCUUUUUCUGAUGAUAGUAUUGUCAUUUUUCUAGAAUAUUUUUGUGUUGUUAUGAUGUAGAACAAUUACUAUAUUUUCGGUUAUCAUUUUUUUUUCUCAAUUUGAAAAUGGAAGUAUUCCUUGCCAAUUUUAAAAUGGAGAAAGGUUUUCUGAUAUGGUACCGAGAAUCUUCAAUUAUGAUGUGAUAAAUUUACCACACCAAAGCUUGUCAUCUUUCUACAUCUUCAUUUUGCAGUUUGCAUGGUGAUCAAAGAUGCAUAUCCCUUUUCUACUCGGUUCUGUAGUAUUUAUAGGAAAACAACAAGUUCAGACAUGAUUUAUGUACCGAAAGAAAAUUUAUUGUCCUAUUUGCAGAGCCUUCAUGGCAAAUUGUGAUUACUCUUUUGACAGAGUUGAUCAAUAGCCAUAAUUGAUGAUGAGAUUAUUGAUUCCUCAAGUUUACAAAUAGAUUAGCAUUUGAUCUUUCAGAGUCAUCAUCUUGGUAAUUAAUGAAUUUUCUUCUUGUAAAUUAUGUAUGUGACAACAGUUUGCUUAACAGCAUUGACAAUUUAAUGUGCUUGGAUGUUACAUGCUUGUUUUGUCUUCCUUACGAAUCACACUUUCAAUAAUGCCUGCCCCUGAGAAUUUCAAGUUCUUGGUAAAUGUUCUUAUGGUCAGUAACUGAAUGUUUUUGUGCAGGGCUCAUCUGUUGGACUUGUCAACGCAAUCCAGCCAGCAUGCAGCAAUGGGGCAUCUGCUGAUUCUGUGAUGAGCAAUAAAACUGAUUCAGUGCUUUGUUUCACUGGAAGGCAGGCUCAUUCAAGCCUCUCAUUUUCUGGCCUUACUGGAGAGAGCAGCGGAGCAGAUUACCAAGAUUGUGGGGCUUCAUCAAUGCUUCUAAUGGGAGAGCCUCCUUGGUGCCCUCCAUGUACUGAGAGCUCCUUCCAAUCAUCAACUCGAAGCAAUGCUGUAAUGCGUUACAAGGAAAAGAAGAAGACACGGAAGUAAGCAUAUGCCAAUAACCCAUAUAAGGAAACGUGUCACCUGACAUGUCUAUUAGGUUGAUGGCUUUACAAAUUUCUGGAACUUACUGGUCUUCCUUUUAAUUCCUCCCUGCUUCUAAAUUUAUAGUUCCGUGGAUGUCAAUUUAGUACAAACUAAGUACAUAAUCAUGUCUUCAUUCUUGUUGCUGUAUUGCUCUUUCUAACUUCUCUCAUGAGGACUUUUUGUAUUUGCCUUCUAGUUUCAAUUUAUUAUGUGCUUUUCUAUACAAGACAGAACAACACAACUCUGACAUGCCUGCUCCAGAUAAAUAUAUUUAAAUCGUUUUAACAUUUUUUUUUAGUGGUAUAAUUGUUUCUCGGUGUCCUAAUCUGUAUACUGUGCAGUUUAGAUACUAUUCAUGCUAUUGAAGGAUUUCAUGUCACUGUGGUGCUCUCUAGUAAGGAAUGUGGAUUUGCAUUCCUGAGUCUUCAUAUGUGUAUAUUUUUCAACAAUUCAUUUAGAAAGUUGAUUGAUAUAAAUUCUAAGCUCUUGGUCUUAAUGUUUUAUUUACCGCUAGUCUCGUUUGCAAGUUGCAACCCUCAUUCUUUCAGUAUAUAAUUAUUCCAUCUGUUCAAGGAGUUUAUAUGUUUUAACUUCGUCCUUGUUGCAUGACAGGUUUGAGAAGCGAGUGAGAUAUGCAUCUCGCAAAGCAAGGGCCGAUGUGAGAAAGCGUGUGAAGGGACGCUUUGUCAAAGCCGGUGAUGCCUACGAUUAUGAUCCAUUGAACCAAACCCAAAGCUUCUGAGAGUAAGGUUUUCCAACCAUGCUCUAUUAGUUUGAAAAAAUUGGUCUAUUUAUAAUUAGUAGUUAAAAUGACAGAUUGGUUGGUUGUCUCACAGUGCUCCAGGUUUAUACAGGAGAAGUUGGAUACAAAAAAAAUACCAUGAAUAAAUCGCCGAGACCUGGUUCUCCAUUACCAUAAAAAAAAGACUGAUGGAUGGCGAGAUAGGUCAGUCACAUCUGCCAGCCAUUGCAAUCGAGCAAGUUCGCCUGCUCAGUGUUGGGUAUGUUGACAAUUAUAUAUUCCUUCAUCUGGUUGUCAGCACUUUUAUAAAAGCUGCAGAUGCUGUUGCCGCCGCCACUGACAUGCUAAGCUGGACUUACAAUGUCAAGUCACAGGCAACAGCAUGCAGCUAUAAUUUUGCCCUUCGAUUUCUGUUUUCUUUUGUGGGUAUUUUAUUAUUAUUAUUAUUAUUGAAAUGUAUAGCUUAAGAUCUUUGUAUGCACAGUUGAGAAUUUUAAUGGCUGCUUUCCCGUUGCCCGAGUAAUAGGUGGUAGGUCUUACAUGCACUUGUAAUUUUCCCAUCCUUAUCUUUUUCUGGUAUUAUUUAUAUGUUAAUACAAAUUAAUCUAUUGUCAAAAAAAUUUUUAAGAUCAUCAAGAUUUUGACUCUAACGAGAUUUGGAGAUGAUGUCAUUAUGUUACUCAAAGCUCAGUUUUGAUCAUCGAGAUUCUAUUUUAUCUUAUAAAAUACGAAGGCAAAACCAGUUGCAUGGGUUGAUGGUGAUUGAGAUUGAUCAUAUAGUGUGUUAAGAGUAUUUCAUGAAAUAACAUUGUUUUAUCAAUAAAGGCAAUUCUAUUAUGAUGUUACGUUUAUACUUUUGUGUAUCAAAUAAACUGUAUAAUAAUGAUGUCUUUAUGAUUAUUCUUGAAUUGUCACUAGCCAAGCAACAAUGGUAUGUCAAGACCAGGUGAUAAGAUGUUGUCAUUGGGGAACAAUUACUGAACUAAGUCAUUGGGGAACAAUUACUGAACUAACACAUUACGAGAAUGUUCUCAGACUAUUAUAUAAAAAUCACAUUACUGAACUAAGUCAUUGGGAAACAAUUACUGAACUAACACAUUACGAGAAUGUUCUCAGACUAUUAUAUAAAAAUCACAUCAAUUCUCGUAGUGAUAAUGGUGUAUAUGAUACUUGAACUUAAGGUUAUCAUAGUUCUCAAUAUCAGUAGUUGUAUAUUUUAAUGCCGCUAAACAUUUUUUAUUUUAGAGCCUAUUGUUGGAUAUACCACAAACUAUAUAGUGAGAUUUGAGUAAUGGAGAUAUGAUUUGUUCCUUCUUCGUUUGAUAUCUUAGUCCACCAAUAGAAUUAAAUUAAAAAAUGUAUGACUAUGUUCAAAUUAAUCGGUAUAAGAUAUUAUACUUAUUUGUAUAUCAUAAUGUUUUUUUUAUAUUUAAGGAACAAGAAAUUAAACUAUACAGGUAUGUUAGAUUCAUGAUUUAUGUUCAGUCUAGACAUUACAUGUAAAGAGAUGGACUAUAUAGUAACAUUAUUACAAAAAAAAAAUUGUCAAAUUAUAAUUUUUUACAACUUAAAUAACAGAGAUACAUUGUUAGAUGCAACUCAUUUUGUAAUAUUAAAAUUGUUUUACUAUUGCUGAUAAGCAGGGAAGACCUUUAAAUGAAACGGGGAGUUUUAAUAGAACAAUUAAAAGGAGUGUAGUGGGGAAUAAGUUAAACGGUGCGUUUAGUAUAAAAAACUGAAUUGGCCACGCUGUCUUUCUGUUUUGCUCUUGCUAGUUUUCCUUUUAUUAAGCGAGAGUUGUAUGGAAGUUGGUUAAGAAAAUACAGAAGUAAAUUCAAAAUUCUCUCUUCUUCUUCGUUCUUUUCUACUUCUUUUCUCGGAAUUCUUCUACUUCAAUUUACGGUCGUAACAAAGGUAUCAAAGCUUUUACGAUCCCACAAUGGCUGGUGACGGUGUUUCAACACGUUUGCAGAAAGAGGUUGGGGGUAUGCAGCAGGAAAUUUCAAAAAUUCAAGAGGAGAUCACUCGUUUGGAGACCAAGAUGGAAACUCGAUUCCAGGAAUUUAAAGAGGAAUUUCGUGGCGACUUACAGGCCUUGUUAGGUCAAUAUUUUGGUCCUCCACCACCUAAGGGUCCUUCAACGACUGGGGCUGUGGACAAGGGCAAAGGAGUCUUAGGGGCACCCCCUGGGUUUUUGCCUAAGGAUAAUGAGCUACCUCCGAGUCCAGCUGAUCAAAAUGUUGCUGAUGGGAGUAGUGUGCACUUUCGACAUCAACUUUCUGUGGCCGGAAUGUCUGUGAAAGCCAGUAAGUUGGAAUGUCCUAAGUUUGAUGGAACCGAUUUUCGGGGAUGGUGGACUAAGCUGGAGCAAUACUUUGAGGCAGAGGGUACUCCAGAGUCUAGCAAGGUUCAGGUAGUGAUGCUGAACUUAGAAGGUCGUGCACUGGAAUGGCAUCAUUUUUAUUCUCAACGGAAUGGGGGCUUGCAAAUGCUAGCUUGGCCAGCCUAUAUGAAGAGUCGGCAAGAUCGCUUUGGCUUUGGGUAGUUUGGAAAUCCUAUGGGGAGUUGGUCAACCUCAAACAACAAGGUACGGUCGAGCAAUACCAAGAUAUAUUUGUAAGUCUAUUGAAUCAACUGCAUUUGCCGGAGUCAUAUGCUCUUAGUAUUUUCCUUAGCAAUUUGAAGGUUGAAAUUGGGCAUUACCUGGAUUUGUUUGAACCAUCUAUAUUGACGGAGGCCUUUCAAUUAGCUCGCAAAAUUGAAGUGCUUCUUUCAUCAUCCGUAAGACGACCCACACCAUCAGGGGUUAGUUCACCUCGAUUUUCUCCUCUUCUAUCAUAUCAACUCAUUCUUCAGCUCCUGCUAGGGCGAUUCCAGUGUCUCAGUCUGCCAGUGGUCCAUCGACCAACAAGCCGAGGUCUAGGUCCAUAUCACCUGCUUUGAUGGCUGAGCGUAAACAAAAGGGUCUAUGUUUCUGGUGUAGGGUCAAAUAACAUGCUGGACACAAAUGCAUGAAAUCUCAAUUGUACCAAUUUUUGCUCGAACCUCUUUCUGAUAGUGAGACAGAGGAAUUCCAAGAAUGUUCUGAUAAACUCGAAGAGGGAGGGACGGAUGAAGAGGCCUCCAAAUCACCUGUAAUUUCGUUACAUGCCCUUAUUGGGUUACAAAGGCAUAACACCAUGUGGGUGGCUACUAAAGUAGGCUCUAAUUGGGCUAUUAUUUUGGUUGAUUCAGGAAGUACGCAUAAUUUUAUCGACAUCAAAUUGGCCAACAGAUUAUCUUUAUCGAUCAUCAAUCAAGAGCAGUUGAAGGUUUUGGUCGCAAAUGGGAGCUGUUUGUUUACGAGAGGAAUAUGUAAGGGGCUUUCUUGGGAGGUGCAGAACCAUAGGUUUGAGACAGACUUUAUGGUCUUGCCCUUGAAGGGCUGUGAUAUGGUCUUGGGCAUUCAGUGGCUACUGUCUUUAGGAGAUAUUGUUUGGAACUUUAGUUCCUUGACUAUGUAGUUCGUUAUUGGGGGCGUACCCUGUGUUAUACAAGGCAUUGUUCCUGGUUCAUUGACAACAGCGAACAGUGAGUUGAAUCCAAGUGUUUUGCGACGAUGGGGCAAUCGUUGGGUCCUUAUACAAUAGUUUUGAGUUCACCUGCUCAAGUGACAUUGUCAGUCCAAGGAGUUAGGGAAUCUGAGGAUCAACUUCAAGGCUUGUUGACAGAAUUUGAUGACAUCUUUCAGGUACUAAAAGGACUUUCUUCACCCCGGCUACACGAUCACAGAAUCCCUCUAAAGGAUGAAGGGGUUGUGGUUAAGAUACGACCCUACCGAUAUCCGGCUGUCCAAAAGACUGAGAUGGAUAAGUUGAUUCAAGAGAUGCUUUAAGCUGGAAUAAUUCGAGACAGUAAUAGCUCAUUUGCUUAUCCUAUAGUGAUGGUUAAAAAAAUAAUAGUAGUUGGAGGUUGUGCGUCGACUAUAGGCAAUUGAACCAACAUACAAUUAAAGACCGAUUCCCUAUUCCUAUAAUUGAGGAGUUGCUGGAUGAGCUCGGGGAAGCUCGAAUAUUCUCCAAACUGGAUUUGCGGUCUGGUUAUCACCAAAUUCGCAUGUGGGAACCCGAGUCUAUAAAACAGCCUUUCGGACGCAUGAAGGGCAUUAUGAAUUUCUCGUGAUGCCUUUCGGCCUCACUAAUGCACCUUAUAGUUUCCAAGCUCUCAUAAAUUUUGUAUUCAAGCCUUUGUUGCGAAAAUUUGUACUAGUAUUCUUCGAUGACAUACUAGUGUAUUCGAAGUCUUGGUAUGAGCAUCUUCAGCACUUGAGAACAGUCCUGCUAAUACUCUGGGAACAACAGCUUUACGCUAGAAAGUCUAAGUGUUGUUUUUGUUCCUCUCAAAUUCAUUACUUGGGACAUGUCCUACAUGCGGGAACAGUUUUCAUGGAUAAAAGUAAGGUCGAAUACAUCUCUUCUUGGCCCGUUCCGAGAUCAGUAAAAGAGUUGAGAAGUUUUCUUGGACUCUCUGGCUACUACCAAAGAUUUAUACGAGAUUAUGGAACCUUAGCCAGACCACUUACAGACUUGUUAAAAAAAGAUGGAUGGGGGUGGUCCGAACAGGCAACGGUGGCUUUUCAAACGUUAAAAGAUGCUUUGAGCGCUGCUUCCAUCCUGGUCCUUCCUAAUUUCCAGCUUGAGUUCAUAGUUGAUACGGAUGCAAGUGGUUUUGGAAUUGGGGCAGUAUUGCAGCAACUCGAACGACUAGUUGCUUUCUUUAGCAAGGCUCUCGGUGUGCGUCAUCAAGAUCUAUCGAUUUAUGAAAAGAAAUUUAGCGGUUCUGUUGGCUGUUCGGAAAUGACAUACAUAUUUGGUUGGAAGACACUUUAAAAUUCACAUUGAUCAUCAGAGUUUGCGGUUCUUAUCUGAUCAGGUGGUUGUCACUCCUUUCCAACAAAGAUGGGUCGCCAAAAUGUUAGGAUAUGAUUUUAAAGUUUCUUAUAGGAAGGGGAUCAACAAUCGGGUGGUGGAUGCUCUCUCUCAACAACCACAGUUAGAGCAUUGUCAAUAUUAUCAGCUCUCAACUAGUUCUGUCAUCUCCAGUCUUUCGGAGAGGGUGCGCCAAUCGUAUGCAAAUGAUGAUAAGUUGCAGAAAGUCAUACAAAAUAUUCAGCAAUCUCAUGGUCUUGACCACAAGUACUCCUGGGAUGGUAGAUUUUUGCUCCAGAAGGGAAAGAUUAUGGUGGGUAAUAUUCGACACCUGCGAUUUGAGUUGUUUCUUCAUUUUCAUGCUAGUGCCAUGGGUGGGCACUCCGGGGUGCACGUUACCAAGAAACGCAUCUCCAAUUUGCUAUACUGGAAAGGUCUCACCAUCGAUGUUAAGAGAUAGAUUCGCGAAUGUGUGGUCUGCCAGCAUUGUAAGGGUGAGACAGUGGCUUCUCCUAGUCUCUUGCAGCCGUUACCAGUACCUGAUCGGGCUUGGUCUGUUGUUAGUUUGGAUUUUAUUGAAGGCUUACCAAACUCUGACAGGAAGAAUUCCAUUCUUGUUGUAGUUGACCACCUUACCAAGUAUGGUCACUUCUUCGCUUUGUCUUAUACGUUUACAGCUAAAGAGGUGGCCCGAGAGUACUUGACUCAUGUCUACAAGCUGCAUGGCAUGCCGGAUUCCAUCAUUUCCGACCGCGACAAAAUUUUUGUUAGUAGUUUUUGGCAGGAGUUGUUUCGGUGAGCUGGUACCAAACUUCUCUUAUCCACAGCCUAUCACCCACAGACGGAUGGCCAGACGGAAGUUUUGAAUAGGUGCCUUGAGAAUUAUUUACGUUGUAUGACCGGUGAAACGCCAAGCCAUUAGUCUCAGUGGCUACCACUUGCUGAAUGGUGGUAUAAUUCGUCGUUUCACUCUUCGAUUCAGCUCACUCCAUAUGAGGCCUUGUAUGACCAGUCUCCACCUAUGCACAUGCCCUAUCUUGCCGACGCCUCUGCAGUGGCAGUAGUGGAUCGCACUCUGCAGGCUAGAGAAGCUGCGAGGAAGUUACUACAGUUUUGUCUUAAGAAAGCUCAAACUCGUAUGAAGCAUUUUGCUGAUAAGCACCGAUCUAAGAGAGUUUUUCAAAUUGGAGAUUUGGUUUAUUUGCGUUUGCAACCCUAUAGGCAGCAGACGGUUCAAAAGAUUCUCAAUCAGAAAUUAUCCCCUAAAUAUUAUGGCCCUUUCCCUAUGGUUAAGAAGAUAGGCGAGGUGGCUUACACUCUCUAACUUCCUCAAGGGUCUUGUAUUCAUCCAACUUUUCACGUCUCGCAGUUGAAGAAACAUGUUGGAUCGGCUCCUAUUCAAGCUCACCUGCCACUGGUGGAUGUUUAUGGUGCUCUGCCGAAGGAACCGGCCCGAAGUGUAGAUAGAAGGAUCGUCAAGAAAGGAAAUCAGGCGGUGACUGAAGUACUCAUUGAAUAGAUUAAUUCGUUUCCGGAAGAUGCAACGUGGGAGUCACUCACCAUGAUUCAGUCCAAAUUUCCUAACUUCCAUCAUUGAGGACAAGGAUCUCGUUUUGGGGGGAAGUAUUGUUACGAGCUAAUUGUAAGCAGUGAAGGCCUUUAAAUGAAACGGGGAGUUUUAAUAGAACAAUUAAAAGGAGUGUAGUGGGGAAUAAGUUAAAUGGUGCGUUUAGUAUAAAAAACUGAAUUGGCCACGCUGUCUUUCUGUUUUGCUCUUGCUAGUUUUCCUUUUAUUAAGCGUGAGUUGUAUGGAAGUUGGUUAAGAAAAUAUAGAAGUAAAUUCAGAAUUCUCUCUUCUUCUCCGUUCUUCUCUACUUCUUUUCUCAGAAUUCUUCUACUUCAAUUUACGGUCGUAACAUAAUAUUACAAGAUCCUACAUAGUUGCACCUUAUAAUCGAAACGGUGGAUGAUAAUAAGUCGGUCCGUUAUAGUAGUAAAUCUUUCGAUCUCAAAUUUUUUUUGGGGGUUUUGAUUUUGCGAAAACCAGCUAAGGUUGAGGAUAUUUCUGAUUUUUGGUUGCAAAAUCAGUGAAAUUAGCUAUUUUAAAAUCAAAUUUUGGAAAAGAAAAAAAAAAGCCUAAAACAACGAAAAUGAAAGGAGAUUUUUGAGUUUUUCUUUUUAAAUUAGUUAAGGGUUAUUAUCAGAUAAUUAAUAUUGUUGUUUAUUUUUUAUAUUUUCAAGAUUGCUGCGAGGGAAGGCUUUUUAUUUUGAAUAAUAAUAAAUAUUGGGCAAAUUACCUUUUAGUCCUUAUAGGUGGGAAAAUUGAUUGAUGACAAAUUAAAUGAUGUGGCAAAAAUUUCCACGUGUCAUCUCUUUAUUAGUUUGAUGCAAUCUCAUUAACGGUGUUAAAGGCAAGUAUCAUUUUACUAAACAAAAUUAAAAUUUAAGUAUCAAAAUGAAUAACUUGAAAGUAUAGAUAUCAAAUUGAUAAAUUUAUUAAAGUAUAGAAGUAAAUCUUAGAACACUUUUCAACCACAAUCAAUGAUAAGUUAACAUAAAUAGACGAUAAAUCAAUUAAUGCGGUCAACCGUUAACGACCACAUCAUCAAUCAUAUAGGUAAAGACAAAUAUAUGAAAAAAAAAAGGGAUAUUUGAUCUAAAGGUGUUAAUGAACUGAGCAGCCGAACUUGCUUUAGGUCGAGCUUAAGUUUAAUACUUUUAGGCUCAAUUUGGCUCGUGUUACUAUUAAAAAAUAUAAUUUCUUAUAUUUAUAUUUAUAUUUUUUAAACAAUAAGUCAAUUUGAGUGAUUGAGCCCGAAACCAUACUUAUAACUUUUUUGAAAUCAAACUUAAAUCAAUCUCGAUCUCAACCAGAAAAUCACAAAAUGGUGCCUAAAACUUUUAUAUACCAUUUUUGGUAUAUAAAAAAAACCCUAAGUAAAAAAAUGGACUGAAUUACAUAUAAAUUUUGUUUUUUAAAUAAUUAUUGGAUUAGGUCAUUUUUUUGUAAAAUUACGGGAUUGAGCCCAAAAAACAAAAAAUGCUUCUAGCUGGAAACGUUUUUAGCUGAUUUCCUAAAAAACACUUCCAUUUGGAAGCAUUUUCCCCCAACGGUCACUCCUAAUGGCUAUUUAAUUAGUCAUUGAAACCAACGGCUCUCCCUCCCAAACGACCAUAACUUUUUUUCUAUAUAAACCCCUCCCUUUCAUUUUAUUUUUCAAUUCAAUCUCAACUAUCUCUCUCACAUUCUCAAAUCUCUUUAAAUUCCCUUUUAAUUUCUCACUCAAAUUUUAUUUCUCUCUCAACUCUUAUUAUUAUUAUUAUUAAAAUUGUAUUAAGAUUUUCGUAAAUUAUUUUUUCUAUUACAAUUUAUUUCGUGUUUUUUGAAAUUAGCAAUGACAAAAUCUCUAAUCCGUUUGGAUGACCAGCACAUUUCAAUCGAUCAAUUGCAAAUUGUAAGAAUUUUUUUAUUAUAUUGAAUCUAAUUUAAUUUAAAUAUUUUCUUGUUAUAUUGGAAUUUAGUAUUUUGUAUUUUUUUUAUAUAUAUAGGCGGAAUAUCAAAUUUUAGAGACAUAUAUUCGUAAUCUACCCGCUUCUCUAUCACCCUUAAUCGAACCCUAUUUGAGAGAUGUGGGAUUUUUGCACAUGGCCCUUAUGGGUAAGGGGUGUAAAUUGGACCCUACACUUGUAAGCACGUUGGUGGAAAUGUAGAGACCUGAGACGCACACAUUCUAUCUUCCAUGCGGCAAGUGUACUAUCAUUCUAGAGGAUGAACAUUUAUAGCUCGGGUUAUCGGUGGAUAGGCCAGUAGUGACUAGGUCAAUUUACGCAGUCGAUUGGAGAGACGUAUGCGAGCAACUUUUGGGGAGGGUUUCGAAAAUGAUUUAUGGAGCUUGGAUAGAUAUGAAUUGGUUAAGAAGAAAUUUUGGUGGGCUGAAUGAGGAUUCAAGUGAAGUUCAAAGAAAACAACGUGUUCAGGAGUACAUCCUUAUGAUCAUCGGGGAUCUCCUAAUGCCCAAUAAGUCAAGAAAUUUUGUCCAUCUAAGGUGGCUACUAAAGCUCAUCUACUUUAGAGAAGCAUGUGAACUUAAUUGGAGGUUAAUUGUGUUGACAACAUUGUACCAGGAGAUGUGUCGGGCGACGAAACCAUAAAAAAUUAAAAUCAGUGGUUGUAUGCUUCUACUGCAAUCAUAGGCAUAGUACUGGCUGCCGUUUUUACUUCAUCGAGUGAACUAUGUAACAUCCCAAAAUAGGGCUUAGUCGGAAUAGUAGUUUUGAAACCAUAAAUCUGAGGUUAAAAAAUUAUUUUAACAUUAUUUUCUGUAUUAUAGCAUGAUUAUAUGAGUGCAUGAAAAUUUUGGUGAAUUAAUUUUAACGUUUGUGAGCUUAAUUAAAAAAGACUAAAUCGCAUAAAGGGCAAAAGUUUUAUUUUACUACCCAAAUAUGUUAAAUAGCUAGAGAACCAAAAUUGGAGGUAUUUAAAGUGCAAAUAGGUUAUUUGGGGAGUGAUGGCCGGCCAUAGGGACAAGAAAAUUUGAAAAGUCAACAUUUUGUGGCAUUAGGUGACUUGUUUUGGUAAUAAAAUAAAAUAAAGAACAAGUUGUCAUCUUUUUCAUUUCUUCUCUUUCUUCCACCAAAAAUGGCAACAAUCAUGGGGUUUUGAGAGCUUAGAUUUUCAGCCACUUAGUUCCCUUGCAAGUAAGUGAUUUUGAUGGUCAUUUUUUAUGAUUUUUGUAUUUUUGGAACCCUCGUAGCUUAAUCUAGCUAAUGGGAGCAUUAUUUUGCAAAAUGGUUGAAAGUAUAAGGUUUUUCCAUGUGAAUAUUUCUGUUUUUUGCUGAAUUUUUAUGGAAAAAAAUAAGUCAUGGUUGUGUAAUAAACAACUUUUGUGAAAGGAUUUUCAUGAAAAACACCUAAAUGGACCUUUUUGUAAAGGUUGAUAAAAAGGUGAUAAGUGUGUGAAAUGAAUGAAAUUGUGGGCUGCUAUAAGCCUAAAAUAAAUUCAGAUAGGCUUGAUUAAUAAAGAAAUUCAAUAAAAAUCGAUUUACGAGCCUAGGGGUAAAAUUGUAAUUUUUGGGAAAGUCUAGGGGCAAAAUAGUUAUUUUGCUAAAGUAUAAAUUAUGGAAUGUAUUAUUUAAUGUGAUGAUUAAAGUAGUGAAUAACCGAGAUUUGAGCUUAAAUAAAAAAGUAUAAGGUUAUGGACUAAAAUGGCGUAAUUAGCCGGAAUUGCAUUCGAGCUAAGACCGUGUGAUUAAAUAAGCAUGAUAUCCAUGUUAUUGUUAAUAUACUUGAAACCUAUCUUGCUAUUAUUGUAUUGUGAUGGUCGUGAAACUAACUAAAAAUUUGACUAAGGCAAGCACACCUAUCAAACAGUAGUAUAGUUAUGGUGAGACCGGAAAUAUCGUAUCCACAAGGACUAAAAGUACUAAUAAUUACUUUCUUUUUAUUAUCUAGCUUAAGAAUUAAAGGAUGUUUUUUAACUAAAACUAAUUAUCUAAUUAACUAAGAUUACGACAGAGAUUAAAGUUGGAAAUACUUUUUAGAAAACCGAUGGAGAAGACAAUAUCCAAGGAAGAAUCCACCUAGACUUCACUUAUCACUUCUGAAUUAGACGAUUUAUUCACUUGACUCAAUUCGUAGGAAUCCCUGAUUUAUGUUAAUAUCUCUAUCGAGACUAAAACCAACUGACUCUAGGUUGAUUAAUCGAAAUCUCUUUCUAAUUAAAACCCGUAUUUCGCAUUAACUUGAUCUAUGGAUUCCCUUAUUAGAUUUGACUCUAAUCCGGCAGAUUUAUGUCAUCAUAUCUCUAGGAUUGCAUGCAACUCCGCUUACUUAUGAAUGAUCUACUCUUAAACAUAAACUUUUGCUCCACUGAAUAAGAACAUCAAAACCUGAAUUAAUAUCCUGGAAUAUUAAAGUAAGAAUUAAAACUCACAAUUAAGAAUAAGAACAAGUAUUUAUCAUAUAAUUCAAAUAGAAAUAAAAUCCGUCCUAGGUUUCAUCUUUCUUAGGUAUUUAGGGAGUUUAGUUCAUAAUAAUGGAAAACAUCUCAAGAUUGAGAAAACAACAAAACAUAAAGAAACCUAAAGAACUUCUAAGGAAAUUGAAUGGAGAUCUUCAGUCUUGAAUUAGAUCCUGCUUCCGAGCUGAUUUCGAUGUCUGUCCUUGAGUAUUUUCUCCUUUCUACUUUGCGUCCCCCUGUCCUUGAGUAUUUUCUCCUUUCUACUCUGCGUCCCCCUUUGAUCAUCUUCUAGGGUGUUUAUAUAGACUUUAGAAUGCCCAAAAUAGCCCAAAAUUAGCCUUCUCUGAAUAGAAUUAGACUUUAGCUCGAUAGGGACACGACUGUGUGCCAUUCCCGUGUGAAGGUGCUCAGGCCAUGUACAAUUCUGGCUUGGUUUAAUGUCGAUACAGCCAUGACACACAGGCAUGUGGCCUACCUGCGUGUCACACACGGGCGUGUAGAUUACCUAUGUGGAAGUACCUGGCCGUGUGAAACACUGAAUUAGGCCCAAUUUGUCCGUUUUUGGCCCAUUUCUUGUUCUUUUGCUAUCCUAAGCUCUCCUGAGUAUAAAACAUGAAAUUAAAGGAUUAGGAGCAUCAAAUUCAUUAAAUCUUAUGAUAAUCCUUCCAAAAAUAUGCCACUCAUAGGGUAAAAACAUGUAUAUAUUAUGGUUUAUCAAAUAUCUUCACACUUAAGCAUUUGCUUAUCCUCAAGCAAAAUUCUCAACUCACAAUUAAAAUUAAUUCUUCUUAACUUAUAAUUCUUAUCAAUAAUGUAUCGAAGUAAACCACAAGUAAUCAUAUAUUGAGAGUUUAACUAAAAGAACAUUAAAGUUUCACACAAUUCAAGUUGAGCAUUUUAAUCAUAAAAUCAAAGGUAUCCCCCUUUUAUCUAAGUAAUUACCUUUAAUUCCAAAUCGACAAGGGUUGACAUCUUUAUUAAAGAUUCACUCAAAUCACUCAAAGUGUUUAAAGUUCAAUAAUUAAGCGCUCAAUAGUCAAACCUAAAAAGUUAUUACCAUAGGCUUGCAUGAAAAUCAAAUCUCCACCACUCUAAAUGAGAUGAUACACAAAUCAAAAGAUCUUUAAUAGGGUUGUAAUGGGGCUUGGGUUAAAGGUGUGGAUAAACGCUGAAAAAGAGGGUUAGAAUCGAGAUUAAUUCAAUAAAUUAUCAAACUUAGAAAAAUAAAGCUAAUUACUGAAUUACAAACAAAUGCCAAAAUUAAAACCAUUCGGAACUAGUCAAGUGAGCUUUUUCUUACUAUAAUACUUUAACUUAUCCAAGCUCUUUAUAAUAUGAAUAUAAAUAUACGAUUUUUUUUAAAGAACAAGAACAAGUACAGUAAUGGAAAGUACAUAAUAAGAAAUAAUUCAGCCACUGGAGUGAACGAUCAUAGUUAGGUAACUAAUCAAAUCAAAUCUCGAUAAAAAAGACUCAAUGAAAAGGGAGAAAUUCUUAACGAAUCAAAAAGGGUUAAUUGUGGAUUAACAUUAAGGGGAAAAUCAAGAACAAUGGUUAAGACUCAAAGGGGUUCAUUAAGGGUCAAUUAUGUGGUAGGCUUUUUAUGGGGUAAGUGGGUUAAAGCCUAAGUGCCUUUAUCAUCUCGGUAUAUCAAAUCAAUGGUGUGGUCUCGACAUGUACAAUCAAAGCAAGUUCUAGAAUAACAAAUCAGUAUUAACACACUCAUAAGCAACAAUAAAAGUGAGCAAGAAAGGAUAUAUGCUCUAAAGGUUUAAGAUCUCACAAAAAUUAUGGCUUUUGAUGUUAAUCCUGUGAAUUUAAAAUUUUCAAGAUAAUACCUCAAUUCAGGGAAACAACUUAGCAAUUUUAAUUCUCAAAAGUCAACUUAUCAUGCUUGAUUCUCUAAUAUCUUAAAGUUAAACAAUCAAUGCACAGUUACCUAUGAUUUGAUUCAAAACAUAUUAAUAAAAAUUAUAAAUAAAUCAAAAUUUACUCUAAUAAUAAUAUGAGAAAAUUAUUUGAGAACAAGCUAAAAAUUCAGGAAUAUAAAUAACCUCCUCACACUUAAGAUGUUCAUUGUCCUCAAUGUACAAAUAUAGAUAGAUAAUAGACGUAUAAUAUCAUAAGAGAGGGAGAGAAACGAAACUGCCCUGAAUUUUUGGAGGCAAUUCUUGGAAUAAUGAAAGUGAAAAUUGUAGAUAUGGCUAAUAAUGUGCAUAAGUCGGAGUUACUAUUAAGAAAAAAAAUACAACUGUGAAGAGAAUUAAAGGGUUACUCGAUAAUAGCCAUAAAAAUAAACAUAGUUAAAAAGUAUAAAUGCCAAGUCUUUAGAACUAAAAUAAAAAUAAAAAUGAAAAUGAAAAUAAAGCGAAAAAUAAAAUAUAAAAUAAAUAGACUCAAAAGCCCUCAUCGGUAGAUGGAUCUUGAGGUGGUGGUGGUGGAGGCGAGAUGUUGAAGUGCUGGUAGAUCUGCUGCAGAGCCGCCUUGAUGCUGUCGAACCUCGCAAAACACUGUUGCUCGAAUCUAGUGAGUCACUCGAAUAUACUGGUCAAAGUGGCUGCAGGAGGUCGACGACUUGGUGGUGGCAGUGGGUGUGGGUCCUCGUGAGGGGGUGAGACAUCAUCAGUAAUAUCCUCUGGCUCAUCCUAGUCAUCAGAGUGAACGAGUCUGUACUAAGGAGGGUCGAAUCCACAGUGUCGCUCUAUCAUCCUCAUGUGGAUCAUACUGGAAAUUCUUUGAGGAGAUAUCUGGCCUACUAUGUGAGUAUCGAAGACAUCUUGGGAGUGUCAAAGAGGCUGAAGUGUCGAGUUAGGCAAAUUACGUAGGGAUCAAGGCAGAUGGGGCCCAUCCUAUGGUGAUCUAUCUGGUGGCGAAAAGCAAGGGCAAUAAAGUAUGCUAAAUCGAAUACAUGGCCAGUAGCCAUGCUCCAUAAAAAGUAAGCAUCAGUAGUGCUAACGACGCCGGUGCUCUCUCUCCUUCCAGUCAAGGUGUGAGCCAAGAUGGCAUGGAUGUAGCAUAGUGUUGGAGGAAAAGAAGUCACCUUUGAGCGACUUGCAUCAUAGGGAACAGUACUCACCGUAAGGUCAGUCCAACAGCAGGGAGGUGAGUGGUGUAUGUGUUGGUAAAGAUGUAGAAAAGCAUCGGAAGCCAUAAACUCCUCCGUGUAGAGGCCCAAAGUAACUCCAAACUCUAGUACACUCAUGUGUCUUACGAGUCUACCCAGUCUGAAAAUGAUAGACUGGCCUCGUCGUAGGUAUUCAUCAUGUGCUGAAGAUGGAAAGUAGUGCAAAAUUCCAAGGUAAGCUCCGAAUAGGUGGGCUCGAUAAUAAAAAAAAAAUCGAUCCCACGGGGCAGUAGUGAGAUGGAAUUGAACAAGGUGGGCAAGUUGGACCUGCUCCAAGGCGGUCCAAUCUAUGCAGCGGCCUACUCCUAAUGGUCGUAUUCGAAGAAGCUAAAAUAAGUCGUCCUGUGGGCUUGUCGAGAAUCGAAGCAAAGGGUGACGAGCUUUGGUUGAGGCACUCGAGUAGGUUGCCCUAGAACCCUUCCGUUUUUUCGAAGCGGGGACGACAAUUUUCUUGCCUCGUGUGUUUUUCAUAGUAUUCCUGAAAAUGAUAGAAGUCAAAAACAGUACCAAAUAUUCAACCACAAGCCAAAGGAAAAAAAUAAGAAUCUAAAUACUAAAAAUAAAUCUAUAGUCCUAAAAAGAAUAUGCCCUAACAGUAAUCCUAGCAAAGACCAAAAUAAUAGAAAAAUAUAUAGGAACAUAACAAUAGCACUAAGAAAUAAAUAUUAAGAAAAAGAUCAUGGAGAAAACAAGAUAAAGUAAAAUAUAGGAAAAUAAAAAUACUAAAAAUAAUAAAAUAGGAGAAAAAAAAGAUAAAAAAUGAAAGAAUAAAAAAACUAAAAUAAAAUAAAACAAAGUAAUAAAAAUAAUAAUCAUAAUAAAUAACAAAUAUAAUGAAGAAUAACAGUAAUAAUAAUGAAGACUAAUAAAACAUAAAUAAAUAAAUAAAAUUGACUAAAAUUAAAAUGGAAUAACAACUAAGAAAUAAAGAAAGAAAUAAGUAAAACUGGAAUAAAAUAAAUGUGAGGGUAAAAGAGAAAACCACGGACAGUGGUCGAAAGUGCGGACGGCGGUGGACAGUGUUAGUGUGUGCACGACGAGAAGGCCACGGUAGAGAGGGAAGCAGCUGGUGGCCGUGUGGGUAGGGAGGAAAGGGAGGAAGAAAGAGAACGAAGAGAGGGGAAAAAGGGAAAUAAGGGGGGAGAAAGAAAGAGAAAGGGAAGGGAAAGGGAGAAUGGGGGGUCGACCUGUAGUGGGUGAUGGUGGCCGGAAUAGCGGAAAGGGGGCUGCGGCGGCUAGGGCUUCAGGGGAAAAAAUUGGAGAAGAAGAAAACAAAAAAUGUUAGGGUUUGGGGGUUUAAAAGGGACACAUCGUGUGAGGCCCGUGUUGGGCCACACGGUCGUGUCACACACCCGUGUGACUCGCAUUUAGCCCGUGUUAAUCGCGAACAUUGAACCUCCAUUCAUCACACGGUUUGGGACACGCCCGUGUGUCCAGGCCGCGUGGUUCACACAGCCGUAUCGCACGGCCGUGUGCUAUGUUGUUUGGUUCUCCCACGCCCGUGUGGUAUGCCACACGUCCGUGUGUCUGAACACAUAGCCGUGUGCCUUACACGUGUAGCUUUCUAACUUGUUAAAAUUUGGAAAUUUAGCUCCAGUUUUCACAUGGCCUUAUCGCACGCCCGUAUGGCUCGAUACUUGGGGAUUUUUUUAGCCCUGUUUCCACUGGGCCAAGGACACGCCCGUGUGUCCAGGCCAUGUGGAUCACUUUUCCUGCAUAAAAACACAAAAAAAUAGAUAAAAUAAAUGGGGUAAGUGGUGUUAGUGCUUGGGUUGCCUCCCGAGAAGCACUUAUUUAAAGUCUAAGCUCGACUCACCUCAUAUUUGCACGGUCAUGGUGGUUCGAGGAGUUGAGACCCCUCUUUCUUAUUGUCAAUUCUAUUAUCCACAUACAGUUUAAGUCGAGUAAUACUUACCUUGAAAGUGCCGAAUUUAGAAUGAUGUACCUCAACUGUGCCGUAUGGGAAAACAUUAAGUACCGUAAAAGGAGUCACUCCGUUUGUAUUGAGCUCUGAAGUAGCAAUUCUAAGGUCCUUUUCAUCUAACAAUACUUUGUCCCCGACCUUAAAUUGCUUUGUUUCAUCCCUACGCUCAUUAUAGUGUCGCUUGGAUUCAUCGUGUACUUUUGGUUUCUCCUUGUCACGUGUUCGCCAUUCAUCUAGUUCAUUGAUCUGAAGUCUUCGUUCAUCGUGAGCCACUUUGUUUUUAUUGCAUGGAUUAGAAUGAAACUCUAUCACGUUCUUCCUAGGGGAUUCCUGCAAAGAAGUUUGCGCCUUAACAUUGCUCAAGUUUAACAGAACUUAAACAAUUGUCUCGAUUACUAAAUAUAUUAGCAGAAUCACGAGCUUGAAGUUUAAUCCUGUCAACUCCUACAUGAAGUAUCAAUUCACCUGUGCCAACAUUGAUGAUAGUUUUAGCAGUUGGUAAAAAGGGUUGUUCUAAAAUUAAAGGUACGUUAUUAUCCUCAUCCAUGUCUAGAAUAACAAAAUCAAAUAGGAAUAUAAAUUUAUCAAUUUUUACGAGCACAUCUUUAAUAAUACCAUUAGGAAAUCUAAUGGUUUUAUCUGCUAAUUGAAUGCUCAUCCUAGUUUGUUUGGGUUUCCCAAGACCUAGCUGUUUAAACAUUUUAUAGGGCAUAACAUUAAUGCUUGCCCCUAAAUCAGCCAAAGCAUUGUUAACAUUCAAACUACCAAUUAAGCAAGGAAUCGUAAAACUUCCUGGAUCUUUCAACUUGUUGGGUAGCUUAUUCUGUAGAAUAGCUGAGCAAACUGCAUUUAAUUCCACAAGCGACACAUCAUCUAACUUUUGUUUAUUAGCCAAUAGCUCUUUUAAAAAUUUCACUGUAUUUGGCAUCUACGAAAGAGCUUCAAUAAAUGGUAAGUUAAUAUGUAAUUUUUUUAAUAAUUUAAAGAGUUUACUAAAUUGUUCGUUCGUGUGGUCUUUCUUUGUCGCAUUGAGGUAUGGUACACGAGGUUUAUACUCUUUUUUUACAUUAACCUUACCGUUAUCUACCACAUUAUCUUGCCUCAGUUUCGGUUCAUCUUCAACUAACCGUUCAUCAUUGUACACAGUAAUGGCAUGAAGUUGCUCCCUUGGGUUAGUUUUAGUGUUACUUGGUAGGCCACCUUGUGGUUGUUCAGAGAUCAACUUAGCAAGCUGUCCUAUUUGAGUUUCGAGCCCUUGAAUCGACGCUUGUUGAUUCUUAAGUGCUGUUUCGGUAUUUUGAAAACGAGUUUUUGACACCGAGAUAAAUUUUGUAAGCAUCUCUUCAAGAUUUGAUUUCUUCUCUUAUUGGUAAGGUGGUUGUUGAAAAUCUGGAGGAUGUUGUAGCCUUUGAUUUCCUUGACCACCCCACGAGAAAUUGGGAUGGUUCCUCCAACCUGUAUUAUAAGUGUUACUAUACGGGUUAUUUGAGGUCUAGAAUUAUUACCCAUAUAGUGGACUUGUUCCUCAUCGGUGCUAGGGUUGAAGGAUGGAUAAUCUGUGCUGUGCACUCUUCCUCCAUUUGAAUCACACCUCAUCACUAUAUGUACCUGAGUAGAACCACACAAACCAUCAAUAUUUUUAUUUAAAAGUUCUACCUAGUUAGAUAGCAUAGUGACCGCGUCGAGGCUAAAAACACCAGCUGCUUUUUUCGACUUUGUUCUCAUGACUUGCCAUUGAUAAUUAUUCAGUGACAUGUCUUCAAUAAAUUCGUAAGCCUCUUCAGGUGUUUUGUUGUUUAAAGUUCCACAGGCGGCUGUAUCGAUCAGUUGUCUUGUUGAGGGGUUCACACCGUUGUAAAAAGUUUGAACUUGUAACCAAAGAGGUAACCCAUGGUGAGGGCACCUUCUCAAUAGAUCAUUGUAUCUCUCCCAUGCAUUAUAAAGUGUUUCUAAAUCCAUCUGCACAAAAGAAGAGAUAUCAUUCCUCAAUUUUACCGUUUUAGCCAGCGGAAAGUAUUUGAGUAAGAAUUUUUCGGUCAUUUGUUCCCAAGUAGUGAUUAACCCUCGUGGUAAUGAGUUCAACCACUGUUUAGCCUUAUUCCUUAAUGAAAAGGGAAAUAACCGAAGGCAAUGGCAUCAUCAGAAACGCUAUUUAUUUUGAAAGUAUCGUAGAACUCUAAGAAAUUGGCCAAAUGAGUAUUUGGGUCUUCAUCCUGCAAACCAUCAAACUGAACAAACUGUUGAAUCAUUUGUAUAAUGUUAGAUUUCAGUUCAAAAUUAUUUGCAGCAAUUGUAGGUCUAACAAUACUCGAUUCAGCCCCCGUUAAAUUAGGUUUAGCAUAGUCGUACAUAAUACGAGGAGCAGGAUUCUAAUUCACUGGAUUUGCGACAACCACAGGAGGCAGCGGAUUAUUUUGAUUUUCAUCCAUCUCCUCGGUUGUAGUAUGAAUAUCGUCCUCUCGCUCUUCCUCUAUGUAUUCUAGACAUCGCCUUAUUUCUCUUUGGUUUCUGCGAGCUGUGCUGUCGAUCUCACUGUUAAAAAGCAAAGGUCCUGACGGGUUCCUCCUUGGGGUGAGCAUUCGAUCGAAUCGAAUCAAAAAUUUUCGAGUUAAUCGAGUUUUUAAAUCUUAUUUUAUCAUCCUAACUUUAUUUGAAAUUUUCUCGAAUCGAGUCAAGUGAGAUGGAAUUCGAAUCGAAUCGAAUCGAAUAUAUUUGCUCGAGUUAAAUUUUAAAAAAUAAUUUUGGGUCCUUGUAACUACUGUCACCCAUCGUAAUAAAAUUUAUCCACCCUAAUUAAAAUUUUUAUUAACUUUCAUCACCUCAUAAUUUAUUUAUUAAUCUUUUAUAUACGGGUUAGCUUCUUUGUUUGCUUAGUUGCUUCAAUUAUCUUCAGAUUCUUGUCACUAUGUAUUUUCGAAUUAAAAAAUAUAUUAGAUGUAAAAAUUUGAUUUUUUAAUAAAAAUUAUUUUAAAGAUAAAAUGUGAAAUUGAUACCAAUAUAAAAUUUUAACAUGAAUAUUUAAUGGCAAAAUUAAUAAUUUAAUUUUAAUAUAAAUAUUCAAUAUGACUAAACAAUCCAAUAAUAUAAAUAAUAUAAAAUGUGAAAUUUAAUUUAAUAAUAUAAAUAGUAGAUAUAAAUAAAAUUAUUACUAUUUAUGUUUAGUGAUUUUUUUAGAUAAUUUUAAUUUUUUAUUUGAGAGUAUAAGGUGAGAAGUAAAAUUUUAGGGGGAAAAUAAAAAGUUUUGGGAGAUAAAAGUUUUGAGGGAAAGUAAAUAUGGGAGAGUAAAAUUUUGGAGGGAAAAUAUUAAAAAAAAUUGGGCGUGGAUUUGGGGUAGAUGGGAGGUGGGAUUGAAAGGAAGUAAAAAAUUUAAGAGGAAAGUGGGAGGGAGUAAAAAUUAUGGGGGAAAAUAAAAAGUUUUGAGUGUUUUUGGGAAUAAAAUUUUGAGAAAAAGUAAAUGGGAGAGAAAUUAUGGGGGAAAUGGAUUUUGGGUAGAUUGGGGGGUUGGGAUUGAAGGGGAGUAAAAGUUUUGGGGGGAAAGUGGGAAGGAAUAAAAGUUUUAAGGGAAAAGUAAAAAGGUUUGGGAGUUUGGGGUAAAAAUGUAAAAUAUUAUAGUUUGAUAUUCGAAUUAUUCGAGUUAUUCGAAUUCGAAAACACAACUCGAUUCGAAUUCGAAAUUCGAAAAAAAAUUCGAGUUGACUCGAAUAACUCGAUUAACUUGAAUAACUUGAUUCAUUUAACUCGAAAUUCGAUUUUUUUUUCGAUUUUUUCGAGUCGAAUCGAGUUCUGCUCACCCCUAGUUCCUCCUAGUCAUAAACUAGAGACACCUGCCAGAAGCAAUUAAAAAGAAAAAUUUAGAAAAGAAAAAUUUAGAAAAGAAAAAUUAAACUAAAAACAAAAAGUAAAUUGCAAUAAAAGUAAAAAUAGCUAAAGUAAUAAAAAACAAGCGUUCCUAAUAUCUUAGUCCCCCGGAAACGGCGCCAAAAACUUAAUAGUCGUGAAACUAACUAAAAAUUCAACUAAGGCAAGCGCACCUAUCGAACAGUAGUAUAGUUAUGGUGAGACCGAAAAUAUCGUAUCCACAAGGACUAAAAGUACUAGUAAUUACUAUCUUUUUAUUAUCUAGCCUAAGAAUUAAAUGGAUUUUUUUAACUAAAACUAAUUAUCUAAUUAACUAAGAUUACGACAGAGAUUAAAGUUGGAAAAUACUUUUUAGAAAACCGAUAGAGAAGACAAUACCCAAGGAAGAAUCUACCUAGGCUUCACUUAUCACUUUUGAAUUAGACGAUUUAUUCACUUGACUCAAUCCGUAAAAAUCCCUGAUUUAUGUUAAUAUCUCUCUCGAGACUAAAAACAACUGAUUCUAGGUUGAUUAAUUGAAAUCUCUUUCUAAUUAAAACCCCUAUUGUGGCAUUAACUUGAUCUAUGAAUUCCCUUAUUAGAUUUGACUCUAAUCCGAUAGAUUUAUGUCGUCAUAUCUCUAGGAUUACAUGCAACUCCGUUUAAUUAUGAAUGAUCUACUCUUAAACAGUGACUUUUACUCCACUGAAUAAGCACAUCAAAACCUGAAUUAAUAUCCUGGAAUAUUAAAGCAAGAAUUAAAACUCACAAUUAAGAAUAAGAACAAGUAUUUAUCAUAUAAUUCAAAUAGAAAUAAGAUCUGUCCUAGGUUUCAUCUCCCUUAGGUAUUUAGGGAGUUUAGUUCAUAAUAGUGGAAAACAUCUCAAGAUUGGGAAAACAACAAAACAUAAAGAAACCCAAAUAACUUCUAAGGAAAUUGAAUGGAAAUCUUCAGUCUUGAAGUAGAUCCUGCUUCCGAGCUGAUUCUAAUGUCUGUCCUUGAGUAUUUUCUCCUUUCUACUCUGCGUCGCCCUGUCAUUGAGUAUUUUCUCCUUUCUACUCUGCGUCCCCCCUUUGAUCCUCUUUUAAAGUGUUUAUAUAGAUUUUGGAAUGCCCAAAAUAGCCCAAAAUUAACCUUUUCCGAAUAGAAUUAGACUUUGGCUUGAUAGGGACACGACUGUGUGCCAUGCCCGUGUGAAGGUGCUCAGGCCGUGUGCAAUUCUGGCUUGGUUUAAUGUCGACACGACCAUGAUACACGGGCGUGUGGCCUACCCGUGUGUCACACACGGGCAUGUAGAUUACUUGUGUGGAAGUGCCUGGCCAUGUGAAACACUGAAUUAGGCCCAAUUUGUCUGUUUUUGUCCCAUUUCUUGCUCUUUUUGCUAUUCUAAGCUCUCUUGAGUAUAAAACAUGAAAUUAAAGGAUUAGGAACAUCAAAUUCAUUAAAUCUUAUGAUAAUCCUUCCAAAAAUAUGCCACGCAUAGGGUAAAAACAUGUUUAUAUUAUGGUUGAUCAUAUUGAAUUUUAUGUUGAUGAUAUUGUAUAUGAGAAAGUGAUGCCAAAUGUUAAUAACAUUUAUGUGAUGAUUGAAUGCUUGGAAAUUUGAUGGAAUAUGAUAUUCCAUUGAAACGAGUAAGUUACGCGUAAAUAUUACAGCUUUAUCGUUAUUAUGCACUGAAUGGUUAAUUUUGCAUAAAAUGUUUGAAUGUGGCUAUGGGAAAUGUAUGAUGAGACUUAAUGUGAUAAACUCCUUCUGAACUUUGAGAAUAGAUUGUAUAUUCAUGCCAUGACAUUUGGGUGACCUGUGUGCUAGUGUAAGACAUGUCUGAGACAUGCAUUGGCCACAUUCUGAGAGCCAGUGUAAGACCAUGUCUGGGACAUGGCAUCAGCAUUGAGACGAGAGCUAGUGUAAGACUAUGUCUGGGACAUGGCAUCAGCCUCGAUAUAUGAGAGCCAGUGUAAGACCAUGUCUGGGACAUGAUAUCGACUUUGAUGUGUGAGCCAAUAUAAGACAAUAUUCGGGACAUGGUGUCGACAUCUUACCCUAUGUUUAAAGUCUAUUGAAUAUCCUAUAAUAUUUCAAGUGAUUCAACGGGUAGUUCAAAGCUUGUGAUGAAAGCGAGAAGGUAAGUAUAUAAGCAUGUUGAAAAGGUACAGGUAUGUACUCGAAGCUCAAAUACUAUUACGAUCAUAAAAUGAUGCAUCUUUGGUAAGGAUACAAAUAAGUAAGCUAUGCCUAUGAGAAUGAAAUAUUUAUAACCUUAUGGUUAUGGUUCUAUGCUUAUGAUGUACCAAUAUGUAAUUUUUACCAUGAUGUUUAAAAUGGUUUGUAAAGGUGUUAUAAGUUUAGUUACCAUUAUUUUACACUAAACAGUUUUGGGACAAUUGCAGUAGUCCAAAUUGGAAAAUACAUCAAAAAUAGCGAAAAGAGGGUUAAAGAUUGAAUGAAAUAUGGAAUUAAAGCUAAUUGAGACUAGUUUCUUAUAAAGGAAACGGUGUAAGCAAAGGAAUUUCAUAUUAUGAGAUAUUUCAAUUUGUGUGAAACAGAGUUAGAACGAUUUUGAAUCCCCCGUAUUGAUUUGAGAAAAUCAUUGAAAAUAGUAAAAAAAUAUUUAUGGGUUAUAAUUCAUAUUUUUAAAAUUCUUAAUGAGUCUAUUUCUAAGAGAAAUAGAUGGGAACAUCAUCUGAGUCCCGUAUUAUAACAUAAUUAAUUUUUAGUGAAGAGGGGUUGGAAUUGUCAAACAGCAAAAAAUGGGUAAAUUUAAGGAAUAAACUGUACUAAUUGGCUGAACCAAAAAUUCUGAAAAUUUUAUGGUAAGAAUAUAUGUAAGUCUAGUUUUUGGAAAAAAUAGUGGAUCUUAAUUUGGAGUUCCGUAGCUCCAGAUAUAAAUAAUUUAGUGACUAUAACUUGAGGAAACAGCUUGAUCGGAACAUAAGUAUAAGUGCAAAAUAUGGUUGUAUUACAUUGAGGAACAAGUUGAUAAUUGCUUAUUAUUUUUCAUACGGUCUUACUAAGCAAUAAAGCUUGCUCCCUUCCUUUCCUUUUCUUUAGUGUUGUCAGGUUAGCUCAGAAUUGGAGAUCGUCGGAGGCAGCAUCACACUAUUAAAUCAUCACCUUUAGAAUAUGGAUAUUGUUAAGCGUGUUCAAGUGAGCGGCAUGUAUAGGGACUAGGUUUUUAUGAUAUGUGUUAAUAUGAUUAGCCUAAUGUAUUGGUCUAUAUUGAGUUAUUAGUGGCCAAGAGGUGUGUCUCAUAUUGAUUAUGGUUUGUGGACCUAUCUAUCUAUGCUAUGUUCUAAUGCUUCUGAGGAGAUGAUGUGAUUAUGCUUGUUGGCCAUAUAUGGUUAGUGUUAUGAAAUAUGUGCAUUAUGAAUGUUUUAUGACCAAUCUAAGUGGUCAUGGCCAUGAAUUAAAUCUGUAAUAUGGAAACAAAGACGUGAAGGAUUAAGGGUAACUUAAAGGCUUGAAAAAUAGCCUAAGUGUUGGCCACACGGGCUGAGACAUAGGACACGGCCUUAGCACAUGGGCGUGUGGCUUGACCGUGUGGUUCAAUUUAUUCACUGACGUCAUAGUCACUGAGUUACACGACCUGAGGACAUGGCGUGUCGAAGGCACACGGGCGUGUGACUUUGUGUCAUGGAAAAAUUUUCUAAGUUUUCCCAAAACUUUCUAAUGUUCUUGGUUUAGUCCGUAACUACUUUCAAUACAUGCUUAGGGCUUCAUAGGCCCGUAUAUGGGACAUUAUGCAUGUGUAUGAAAAGUUUUGAUACGAUUGAAGUUUUGUAGCCGGUUUUUACAUUUUUGUGAACGGUUAAGUCCGAUAAUGCCUCGUACCCUGUUCCAACGUCGGACACGGGUAAAGGGUGUUAUAAACUACCCUUAUACAUUCUCACUCGUAACAAGGUAAAAUUCAUUAGAUAAUAUAUUUCCUAUAAUAAAAUUAUUUAAAAUUUAAAUUAUUGUGUCAACAUAUUAUUUUAAUAGGUGGAACCAUGAGUUGAGUUACGUGGGACUACCCGAUAAGCUUCGAUAUAUACGACUUCUGUCAGACCGACGAUCGGAAGUAGAGGUAUGUAUUUUUAAAUUUGAAUUAUAUAAUAUUAAUGUAGUUAAUUAAAAAAUUAAUAGUGUAUAUAUAACUAUUUUUUUAUUUUAAUAUAAUUUGAAUAAACGUCAUACUCCGAUUCAACAAUUCAAGAAUGCAUCCCGUCCGAAUUCUUGGUGAAUCCCAACAUCUAGCAGAUGAAGGUGAAAUUGGUAGUGUAUGCUACGGUGGAGAUGCAUGAGUCGGAUAGAGUGUUGCGGCAAUUUGGGUUUAGGCAAUCGGUUUUGCAGACACCCUAAGACAUCGAAGAUCUACAUCAUAUCGACUUACGGAAGAGAAUGAAUAAGCAUUGGCCUACAUUUCAUGCGCAAUAUAUAUCAAUAUUUGGAAUAAUAGGUAUGAGUUUUUAACUACUCCCGAGGCCAUUAUCGCUCUGGAGUUAAUUUGUGAUCUGAAGUACAUGUCAGAGUUUAGGGAUCAUGGCAAGCCAUAUCUACUAGCGAAAGAGGUGAAGGAUGGGCAACUGCAUACGAGGAGGCAACGAUGGGCGCCUAGGCAUCCAAUGUCUGACACAACUGUCGAGGCGGGUUCAUCGUCUACACGUAUGCAAGAAUUGACAUCGAUGGCCGUACCACCCCUCGGAUAGUAUGACUCGACUUAUUCUGGUGCUUAUACUAACCCCGUCAUUUUUACACAAGCACCACAUAUUGCACCACAUUUUACUAUUUCUACAUCAGUGUCAGAUUUUAUUUUUUGGACCUCCGUCCUCGACAUAUUACAUGCCUAUGCCAUCGACGUUUUAGAUGACGACGAUGCCAACGACGACAUAUGGGCUGUUUAUGUUUAGGGCACCGAUUGUAAGUUUGAUUAUUGUGCCAUCGAUGUAUGGGACACAAUAUAGUCAUACUCCUACAUCGAUGGUGUCGCAAACACCUCCGGGAUCAUUGUUCUACCAAGGUAGACCAUCUUCGCAACCAUCUAUUCCUAGAAUAAAGGAUACAUGAUGGCAACCAAUAAGCAACUGGUUGCAAUCAACUACAAAUAAAAGUGAAGAAGAUGAGAGGCCGAGACUAUAACCUGUACCGGAAGUUGAACCAAGAAAGAAUCCAGCUCGCAACCGUUGACCACCCUGAUGUGGCAUACAUUCUGACCGAGGAUUGGAUUGAAUUUUUUUUUGUACUUCUCGUGUAAAUUUUUAAAUAAAUAUGAAAUUUUUUUAUUGUACUGAUGUUGGAUAUGAAAUGUUUUUAAACAAAUAUCGUUUUUACAUCAAAAUUGGUUAUCAUAGUCAUUUCAUAUUAUUAAAUCAAGUCUGCAUGGGAACAAUGGAACAAAGUUGUAUAUUUUAUUGAUUUGUAUGGUAUAAUAAAAAUGCAUGUUUACAAAUUACAACAAAAUUUGAGUGUGAAUGAAAAAAAAUUAACAAAUAGAUUGCAGUUAAAAAAUUAAUAAAUCGGUUAAAAAUUAAUAAAUCUAUCAAUGAGGCAUUGUCCUUAUAUCAUCUCGUCGAUGUGGACAUGACGACAUUGUAUGUCCUAGGUUCCUACACCACCCGUAUAACCUCGGUUGGUUUGUCUUCUCCCGAAUGUCCAUGCUGUUGCGUAUUUGAAUCGAUUGGUUUGCGACACAAUAAUCUAUCGAGUAACAAAUUGAAUGGAGCGCUCGAUAUUAAAGGCCACAUACGUUCAUCUGAGACCGGUAGGAAUACAUUUCUCCACACGUUAUACAUGUAUUUUACUCUGUACACUUUGUCCACAAAGCUCAUGUGAUUCAAACAUUGAUUGCUACAUGUUGCAAUUGCAUGGGCACAUGGAAAAUGAAGUGCGCCAAAUCUCUCACAGUCGUAGGUCUGUUAUCUUAGGUGUACAUGGUAUGCUCCCCCGACAGUACCUUGAUCCGGUCUGUCGAACUUCGUAACCUGAAACAAUAGGUCUUUGUGCAAGUGACACAUCGGAUGCAUUGAAAAAAAUAAUACACUAAAAAAAUUGAUUGACCUCAACCUUCUGUGAAAAAAAUGAUUAAAACUCAGUUGCAUUAAACAAAUUGAAAAAAAUUACAAACUAAGAUUUUAUCAAAUCCAGUAGUUCAAGUUUCUAUUAUAAAUCAAAUUGAAUUUUACAAUUCGAAUAAUUUGAACAUACGAUUAAUGUAAAUACGAUGCUUCUAAAUAUCGAAUUAAAUAAUUAUUAACUUUAUAUCUCAAAAAAUUAUAAAGAAAAUAAAGAAUAUAUAAAAAAACUUGAAAAAUAUAAAAAAACUAAAAAACCUUAAACCUUAAAUCCUAGAAUCCACUAAAUCCUAACCCUAUUUAAAAAAAAACAAAACACUAAACCUAAAAUCCACAUGUUUAGUUUUUAGUUCUUAAGGAGAACAAAAGAAACGAUAAAAGGUGAGCUGGGUGAGAAAAGAAAAGUAGAGAAAAUUUACAAGAUAUGAUCUAUCUUUAUCUAACGUAUCAAUUCUAAAUAUUGAAAAUAAAAUGCGAAAGACUUUAUUUUGAAAUACUUUGAUAUAUGAGAUGAAUCCAAUAUUUCGAUUUCUUACUUAUUUUGUUACUGAAUCAAGUUAAGCGAUUUUACAUUUACAAACGCAUAAAAAACUAUUUUUGUGAAAAAAAAAAACAAUUUUUUUAUGUUAUGACUCUUCCGUAUACAUCCACUUUGGUUUGAAUGGGCAUUCUGAAAAAAUUUCAGCUUAGUUUUGUUAUAGAAAAAAGAGGAUUCUUAGAUUGAGCUUUUUCCUCCUGACGAGAAAGUUUUUAUUAUACAAUUCAUUUCAAAAAGGCUUCAAUCUAUACGCGCAAAAAAUAGGCCAAUUCAACAGCUUUUUGUUCAAUUUUGUGAAGAGUCAAAUUCUCAUAGUAUGAGUCAAGGGAACGGCCCCCUGGUCUCUAAUUUCCAUAUAAAGGACACAACGGGCAUAAAUACCCUCUUUAACUUCUAUUCUAAUAGACUGAAUAUCUUUAAUAAGGAAUCGUAGAAAGAUGCGACGAUUUUUUCUAGAAAAAUCCUAACGAAAAAUACAUACUAUUCCCUCAUUUCUAUCGAAUCGAUCAUAACCAUUGCCUACAUUCCAAAAAAUCGUGCACCACAAAUAGAACUAAUAAAGAGGUCUGGGAUCCCAUAAAAAGACAUCAUAAUUCCUUGUGGGAAAAAAAGCUAUUUGUUGAGACGGAAAUAAAUAUAUCAAAUUCCUACCAAUAUAACUAGAAGUUCCAACUAAUAAAAACCCUAAUGAACAAAAAAAAGAAAAAGGAUAAAGGUCCGAUAGAAAUUGCAUUUGAGAUCACACUAUAAAUUCUAUCUAUAUAGAUUUUGAUAGCCAAGUCAUACAUAUUAGAUCUAGUUGCAUUUUAUUCGAAUUGAGAGAAUAACCAAAAAAUUCAACUUUACUUUUUUUGUUUUCGAAGUAAAUCUCAUCAACUAGUACUAUUUUGAUAUGAACUUUUAGAAGAAAUUCAUCAAAUUGUUUCGAUCUAAAAUCAUUCCCUUUGUAUGAUCGCCUAGACGGAUCUACUAGAUAUAUAAACUUGAAAUUCUUCACUUACUAUAAUUCAUUUAACCCUAUAUCAUGUUUACCUAUACAUAAAAGGGCCUUUUUCAUUUAUGGAAACAUUUUAUCUACAAAUCAUCUACAUUUUCAUUAUUUUGACCCAAUCUUCAUAAUUUUAAAAAAUAAAAAAUCAACCUAAUCCAAUAAAUAUUUAAAAAAACGAAAUUUUAAAUAAAUUUCUUAAAAAAAAGGGGUAUAAUUUAGUUACUUUAAUACACACCAAAUAACGAUGUAAACCAAAAUAAUUUGAUUUUCCAUUUGUGGUUCGCCUUUCUCCUUCCUAUUUCAUAACCCUACCUUCUAGUUCUGCCAAUCUGUAAAACCCUAGCCCCACUUUUCAUUUCUCUCUUUAUCCCCCAUAGAUCUCAGAACCCUAACUUCCAUGGGUACCAGAAGAAGCAACGACAACGAUGGUGCUAGCCCUGGGUACUAUAAAUUUAUACCCUUGUGCUCUUUGUUUUAUCUUUCCAAACCUUUCUGGAUAUUUGAUAGUCCCCCCUUCUUUCAUGUGCAGGAAAAUAUUCAUUGGAGGCUUAGCGAGGGAUACAACUUCAGGUGAUCCGAGCUUUCUUUCUUUUAUUACUCUCUUUGAGGUUUCUAUUUGUUUUCCUUUGAUGGGUGUUCUUCAAUUAUUGAAUUUUCUAUUUUUUUGGGGGCGUGGUUUCAGAGACAUUUAUAAAGUACUUUGAAAAGUAUGGGGAUAUUACAGAUUUUGUUAUUAUGAAAGAUCGGCAUACGGGUCGCCCCCGCGGUUUCGGGUUCAUUACCUUUGCGGAUCCUUCUGUUGUUGACACUGUUAUGCAAAAAGAUCAUGUCAUUAAUGGCAAGCAAGUAAGCUAAAACAAACUAUUGGCUCUGAUAAGUUUAGCUAUUUUCCUCAGACUUGGGCAUGAGUGUUGGAUACAAGUAUAUUUAGUAUUCCUAAGUGUUUUCACGUAUUUGGAAGUUACCUUUUGAAGAUAAUAUCCCUAUACCUUUUCUAGAUAUGUAUUGGACCCGUAUUAAACAUGGAUAGUUACUUAAGAAAAUUGAUGAGUCGAAGUAAAUUAAAAGGUUUAGAACUAGGUUUUUGGUUUUCCUAGGGUUUAGCUACUUCUUUGGCAUUUUAGUUGUGUAGAGCUAAGCUUCUUGGUGCUAAGGUUGCAGAAAUUGGAAGAACAAGAAAAUGUUAGUCCUUUGUAAUGCAAUGCUUAACAAGUGAGCUCCAUAUUGUUAGGUGGGUUUAGCUGUAAUGUGAUAUUUGUAUUUUGGUGGAAAGGUUGGAUAUUUCGAUUUGAGCUUGUUAGACUUUUGAAGUGUUUUUGAAUUGCAAUAUUGUAUGAAGGCUUAAUUAUUUGGUACAGGUUGAGAUUAAGAGAACAAUCCCAAAAGGUUCUUCGCAGUCAAAUGACAUCAAGACAAAGAAAUUAUUUGUUGGCGGGAUUCUGACAUCUGUUACCGAAGGUCUAAUAUUUGAUUUUAUACAUUUUCUUUUUGUAACAUCAAGUGUUAAAGUUUAUUUUUCUAAUUGUUAUUGUUUAUACUUUUAACGGGAGAAUAUUGUUUGUUUAAUAUUUUCCUUUUCUUUUCUGUUUGAACCUUAGAUGAGUUCAAGAAUUUCUUCUCAAAGUAUGGAGAGGUGGUGGAACAUGAGAUAAUACGAGACCACGCAACAAAGCGAUCUCGGGGUUUCGGUUUUAUUGUGUUUGACAGUGAAGAAGUGGUUGACAAUAUGCUGGCCAAUGGAAACUUGAUAGAUAUGGAGGGUACUCAGGUGAGUACUCAAUCUGAUGUAAACAGAUAUGUAUGUAUUCUUUGCGGAGAAACAGUGCGAAGUGGCAUGUCAAACUCUUCCGUCGAUGGAAGCAACAAUUAUUGUUAUUCUCAAGUUAAAUAUUAUUGUGUACUUCUGUUGGUUUUAAGAGAUUUAGUGUUUCAACUUUGAAUUCAGCUGUGUUCGGGGCAGGUUUAUUGUUGUUAUUAAGUCUUUCCUUCUCAAGGCAGGCAAGAUAAUUUACCAGUGAAGGAAACCUAGAUUGACUUACUUCUUUAUUGUAGGUUGAAAUCAAGAAGGCUGAACCGAAGAGAGCCUCAAACCCAGCACCUGGUCCUGGAUAUGGUAGGGAAUCUAAUAUACGCUCAUACAAUGAUGGUUUUGGUGGAUUUGGUGAUUAUGGUGGUGAUGGUGGUUAUGGUCCUGCUCCUUAUAGGUCUUUUGGAGGUUUUGGCAGUAGAUUUGGAGAUUAUGGUGCUUAUGCUGGUACUGGUGCUGAUUUUGGUGGUAGUUAUGGGGGGUUUGGUGGUGGUGGUUUUUAUGGUUAUCAUGGAGAUCCAUCAUUUGGUUAUUCUAGCAGCUUUGGUUCCUAUGCUGGUGGGCUUAGUGGGAGUGGUAUGGGUGCAUAUGGACGUGCAGGUGGCUAUGGAAGUUAUGGUGGUUCAGGCUCAAGUGGUAGUUAUGAUUCAGGCCCGGGUGCUGGUUUUGGUGGUCCUGUAUAUGGUAGUAGAACGAGAUACGGAGGCAGUAGUCGCUAUCAUCCUUACUCAAGGUAGAGCGUGAUUAAGAUCUUCCAUAGAAGUUGCCCCAGGUUUUCAAAAUCUUCAGCAUUUCUCGUCGCACAGUUUGGUAGGCAUUGUGCACUUUUGCAAGUUAGCACUACCUAAAAAGAUCCGAGGAACAAUUAGAUUCGCUUGUCUUCGGUCCAUUGCAUAGAGAACCCAAGUUAGAUCAUCAUCAGCCUAGAGCUUCUCAUCAAAUGGCAAACUUGAAUUUUAGUGUAGCUGCUGUAUUUUGCUUUAAGUUUCUUUUUCCCUUUUCAUUGUAGUCGAAGACUUCUAUCUUGUUUUGAGCUUUAGUUAGAAUUACUUUUGAGGUUUGGCUGUAACUUUUAGGCAAUUAGUAAUCGUACGCUAGAUUGUCGAUCACCUAGAGAGGUGGUUGCGUCUUUUAACAUUCUAGUUUUUCUUGGCAUAUGGAUCUCAAGUCGUAGGUAACUUUCAGGGGAAGCCAAUGCAUCAGAGGUAAUUGAACUACUCAGUUUAAGCUUUUGGUAUGGCAGCAUACCGUUGAACAAAACUGCAUUUAAGCUUAGAUGGCUUGAAAUGCUUGUAGCUAUAGAUAGCUUUUGUGUGUGUGCACAUUUUGGGGGAAUGUAUAGAUAGUUCAGAUCAAAAGGGUUUGUAAAUGUUUGUUGAGAAGGUCCUAUACGCUAACCCUGAGGAAGUAGUCAAUGAAACAUAUUGGUUUUGGCUGAAUAAAAAGUUGCUUGUGAUAAUAAUAUACGCUCCGGUGGUGGAUGCUUUCUCGGAGUUGGAUGCAAAUGUUGGCAUGUAUUUAGACAGCUUUCCGAUAUUUAUGUUGGAAUAUUUUUCAAGCAAAUUAGAGUUUGGGAAAUAUAGGGGGUGAUAGGUACACUUGGUCUUGCAGAUUUGAUGGUCUAGUUGUGUGCCCUAGAUUUUUUAUUAUUUUUGGGAAUUUAUUUGUUCUUAAUCCAACAGAGUGCUGUAUUAAAGGUUUUAUAAAAAAGAAAUUGUUUAUCCAUUUACAUAUUUUCAUUGAGAAUGCAUCAGAUAAAGAACUAAAGCUUUCGGAUCUUUUAACUCAUAUUAGAACAAAAUAAUCAUGACAUGAAAAAUUGUAUGAUAAAUAUCAUAAAACUUAUCAAUAUGACAUAUAAUCUAAGAGAUUAUGCGAAUAUGAAAUGAAUGCAUGAUUUAUUGUCGUUAAAAGAAGAUGAAUAUAAUAAUAUAAAAAAUGAUAUUUGAAGAUAAAUAAAUUUUUAUAAUAAUAAACUACAUGUAGAAAUUAUUUCACAUUGUAAUUAAACAAUUUUUAAUCAUGUUUAUAGGCUUCAAUUUACUAGGUUGGUUUUUCUGUCAUAAUGAUCUAUUUAGACUUUUAAUUUUAUAAAAAAAAAUAUUUUAAUAUUCCAUUUAAUUUUUAGCUUUUAAACUUGCAUUAUAUGUUAAAUCAUCAUAAAAUAGAAUAAAAAUGUUAGUUAACAUGUUGGCAAUUAAUUGAUUUUUAAAAAAAUUAAAUAUUUUUUAUUUUUAAAACAUUUUUUAUAUAAAAUUUAAAAAUUAAUUAAUUGUUAAUGUGAUAUUUAGAUUGCAAUGCUUGUGUUUGUCACAUCAAUAAAGUCAAUAAAAGUUAAUAGUUUCAUUAUUUUUAGUCAUUUGAUCGACAAUGUAAAUUUAAGAGGUAAAAAAAUUUAACUAAAGGGUUAAAAUGAUUUUUGAUAAAAUUGAAUAUUCAUCAUACAUACGAAGCAAAGUUAUAAUAGAAAAAUAAUAAUAUUUUAAGUAAUAAAACAAAAUAUGAUUUUUAGAUUAAAAUUGAUACUGUAGUUCAGUUGGAUGUAACUGUCAAAAACGACCAAAGCCAAAUCACCAUUUUCACCACGUCGCGCUUAGGAUUUUUUUUUCCUUUUUAAUCAGAUAACGCGUAAUCUCCUUCGAAGUUCCCAGCCAUGGCCGAAGCUUCUAGAACCUUCCACGCUACCCUCUUCUCCCUUCCAACUUUCUCUCCACGAUUCCACUUCAAGCUAAGCUACUCUCACAGUCACCCUUCACUUCAUCUCAAGAGAGCACGCUCGGUUCAACGCUCAAUUUCCGAAACCAAAACGAUGUCGUUGAACACGACCCUGCCUUGGGGCUGCGACAUUGAUUCCUUGGAGAAUGCUGAGGCUCUUCAAAAUUGGUUGUCGGAUUCGGGCUUGCCUCCUCAAAAGGUGGGGAUAAACAAAGUGGAAAUGGGAAAGAGAGGAUUGGUUGCUUUGAAGAAAAUCAACAGGGGCGAGAAGAUUCUCUUUGUGCCUCCCUCGCUUCUCAUCAGUUCAGAUUCAGUGAGUUAUUAAAACUGAUUUUGUUCAUGACCAAUUCUAGGAGUAUUUUAUAUCUUGGUUUAUUGGUUUUUAGUUAAAAUUUUCAAUCAGAUAACACUGGAGCAGUUUUAAUUGGUUUUAACGUUAUAAUUGUUCUUUAAUCUUAGGAUUGGAGUUCACCUGUGGCUGGUCACGUAUUAAAACAGCAAAAUGUUGCAGAUUUGCCAUUGUUAGCAACCUAUCUUAUUAGUGAAGCAAAUCUCCAGAAAUCUUCCAGAUGGAGCAAUUAUAUAUCUUCCUUACCUCGAGAACCCUAUUCUCUUUUACACUGGUGAGUUUCAUCUCUUUAUUUUUCUUUAAAUAUUCGUGUCCAAUACAUACUUGAGCAUGAAUAGUAAAUACGAGGAUAUAAUCUUUCAGAGACCUUUCAACACAUGAAAAUCUUGAAAUUUUUUGAAUAAUACAUGUCAGCCAAAGACCCAUAUCUGACACUUGAACUCGAGCCCAAGUAGAACAAAGAUUCUUUUCUGGCCUUGACUACUUGGUGGCAUGCUUGAACUCUCAAGAGUUUUACCUUGCUAUGCAUAAAGGGGUUACUCAGAUUUUCCCUCUAUAGUCUCUCUGUAUUGUUUCAGGACACGAUCAGAACUAGACAGGUAUCUCAAAGCAUCGCAGAUAAGGCUUCGGGCUAUUGAAAGAAUUGCUGAUAUUACUGGAACGUAUGGCUCUCAACCAUUACUUGGUUCAUUUUGGGUUAUUGGUUUAUAUUCCUAGAACUAUAUUGCUCCUAGUCUUCAUUUUGUUUAAAGUAUUCAUGACUGAAAUCUCUAUCCAAUAUAUAUUUGGAUAUGAGUAUGGGUAUGAUUCUUAUACAAAAUUGAACAUAUCGUGUCGGACACAAACCUGAAUCUGACUCUAAUCCCUGAAUUAGAGUAACAUAGUUAUUGAGUAUAAAAAUUUCUAAUUUGCUUCCAAUAAAUUGUUCUCAUGUUUCAUGUAGAUUCGACGAUUUAAGACGUAGGAUAUUUUCCAAGCACCCUCAUUUAUUCCCUAAAGAGGUACUUACUCCAUAUUUAUGUUACUCAGACUCAGAUGUGAGUGUCAGACACGAGGAAGUUUAAAGUUUUUUUAUGUUUUUCUAUGGAGCAUCCUUUGAGAUCCAUAUACGUUACCUAAAUGCGUGUUGGAAACAAAAAGUCAAAGCAACAUAGCUCUACAAUGCAAAACUAGUUUUCUGCUAUGUUAGUGCAAUUUGAAGCGUUAUUCUAAUGAUCUGCUUCUGAUGCUACCACUUUAUGAAGCUUCUGCGAUGAAACAUCUUUACCCGUAUAUAUGUGUGUGUGUAAGUUCAAUCAGUAAGGAAAUAGCAUCUUGUUUUAUCCAAGUAUUUGUUUCUCUUUAAGAAAAAAAACUAGUAAAGGAAGUAUAUGUUUUUAGUAAUUCAACUUUACUUGCAUUUAGGUUGUUUUAUCAACCCCUUUUUGCAAAUAUCCUGCUUUCUUUAAAUUUAGAUUUUAGAUCAAAGUUGUUGGAUAUAGGUAUAUGUCUAGCACGGAUAUCUUCAAUUUUUUUUCAAGAUAUACAUGUAUUUGGAGAGUGCUUAGAGGAUCAUAUCCUCAUACCUAUUUCAAAUAUGCGUUGGAAAUGAGUACUUAAAGAAAAAUGAGGAGUCAGAACAACAUAUAGCUCUCUACUUAUUUUGCAGUAUAAAUUAUUUGCAGGUAUUCAAUUUGGUGACUUUCAGAUGGUCUUUUGGCAUUCUCUUAUCACGAUUGGUAAGCAGGUCUACUUUGAAAUGUUAUAAUGGAUGUUAACCUCAACUGUGUUUGUCAGUUCAAACUAAAUCCAACCAAAGAGGGAUGCAGUACUUUCAAGUUCACUUUGAUACCACUUAUACAUACAUAUACACAUAUAUAUAUCCAUCAUAUAAAAUUCUUACAUGUAAAACUUAUGGUUUAAGACAAUGUACAAAAGAAGAAUGGAAGCUUUAAAAUCUUUAUUUCUCUGUUAAACACAGGUAUACCUAUAUUCAAUGGAUGGAAAGGUUGCCUUGGUUCCUUGGGCAGAUAUGCUCAAUCAUAGCUGUGAGGUAUAGAGAGGUCUUUCUCUAUUAAAAAUGCUUGUGAGAUAUAUAACUGCCAUAAUUUGCAAAAAUCAAAUACUAACUUCGGGUUAAAAGAACCUAGAUAAAAUUGGGUGUUUAUGCUAACCUGAGUGCUCUUAUCUGUUUUUGCUGAUUCAGGUGGAAACAUAUUUGAAUUAUGACAAAUCAUCACAGGCAGUUGUCUUUACAACUGAUCGGGCAUAUCAGCCAGGUGAGCAGGUAAAUCAGAUCCCGAUAGUAAAUAUAUAUUAUAUUAUGUUCUUUGAUCUCUGGGACAUUGAGAUAAUUGGAGCAAUAAUAAAAUCAGGGGGACACAGUACGUAAAACUUAUAUUGUUACUUGGUUUUGUCAAUGAUAUGCCUUAAAAGAUUACAGACUUCCUGCAAGAGAGCUUGUUGGUAUUCAGAUAUGGAAGCUUCAUGAGAAGGGGAAAAAAACUUACUAUAAAUGCACAUAGGUAUAUGCAUGAUAUUUUCCUGCUGCAUAUAGAAAACAUGAAUGCAUGUAGCCUAUAGUGUGCAUCAAACUCAUAUUGAAAGGAAAAGGAAGAUAAUGGGAUAUAAUUGUGAGCCCUACAAACCAAAAUAAGUUAAAGGUAAUGGCCGUAUGCGAUGCGCAUAUGCACACUUUGUGUAUCCAAACUGAUUUUGCUUGAUCUAUACAUUUUGGAACUAGGACUAAUCCUUAAAAGUAACGUUUUAUAAUGAUCAUAGACUUUCAGGCUAGCCUGUUGUACACAUGAACUUCUUCAAUAUUUAGAUUUCUGGACCGGAAAGUUUAAAAUGUCUUAUAGAUGACUGGUUACUUGCAUUAUUUUAUGCAGGUUUUCAUAUCAUAUGGCAAAAAAUCUAAUGCAGAGCUGCUAUUAUCUUAUGGAUUUGUUCCAAAACAGGGCACAAAUCUUAAUGAUUCAGUAGAGCUACCUCUAUCCCUUAAAAUAUCUGACAAAUGUUAUAAGCAGAAAUUGAAAGCUUUGAUGAAGCAUGGAUUGUCUGCGUAAGCUGGAUACAUAUAUAUUUCCUCGAGUUUUGGGUUUGAUUUGUUGAUUUAAAAUCAAAUUUAUUCCAUUAUUAAUGAUUGUUUCAUUCUCGUGAAUCUUUUGUAGCAGUUCUCAGUGUUAUCCUAUACAAAUCAGUGGUUGGCCAUUGGAGUUAAUGGCAUAUGCUUACCUAACAGUCAGCCCUCCAAGCAUGAGCAAGCAGUUUGAGGAGGUUUGAAAACUCUCCACCUUCUAAAUCCCAGGCUCAAAGUUUAAGCAUUGAAUUCUUAAAGAUCGCUUCUUCAGAUGGCUGCUAUGGCAUCCAAUGAAUCUAUUAUCAGGAAGGAUUUAAGAUACCCUGAAAUUGAAGAAAAAGCAGUGCAAUUUAUUCUUGACAGUUGUGAAUCAAGCAUAUCAAAGUAUUCUAAAUUCUUGAAGGUGAGGAGCAUAUUGUCUGAUUCUUCAUUUCCCUUAAAUUACCUGUUUCCGACACAUUUUCAAAUAUGAGUAUGGAAUAUUAUCCUUUAGGCUCCCAGAUACAUGAAAAAAAUUAGAAAAAAAAAAAUUAACAUAUCUGUAUCGGACACAUUUUCAUGUUUGAUACUCACUCCUGAGUCUGAGUAACAUAGGGUAAGAGGGAAAUUGGAAGCAUCUUCUUUUCCAAAUUUUUUUAGUCGAAAUCUUUUUUUGAGAACUUGAAAAACUGUACAUGUACAUCGAUUGAAAUUACCAUAACAAGAAGAAACUCUUUAUUUGACAAAACUGAAUUAGGUCUGAUAUCUAAAUACCUCAAGUUAAUGUGCCACUCUUUAAUUUAAUUUAAUUUUUUGCAUAGGAAAGUGGCUCCAUGGAUUUGGAUAUAACAUCUCAAGAACAACAGAAUAGAGGAGUGUUUCUGAAACAGCUAGCAGUAGAUUUAUGCACAAGUGAGCAGAAAAUACUAUAUCGUGCUCAAUAUGUAAGACUACACUUUUGCCUUAAAGAUUUAUGUUUAAGGUGCUUGGUGCAUCACCAUUGACGCUUGUUUUACAACCAAUAAUUCAUAAUCUGUUUUUUCAACUCCUGUCGAGUGAAUCCUGAGUUUUAAGUAAGUAAUCUGGUUAGGCUCAGUCUUGUACCCUUUUUACCGAGUGAAAGUAGUAACACAGACUUUCUCUAAGCUUUUCCAUAUAUCAACACGCAUAUAUGCAUAUGUGUGUCGGGCAUGAGUACUUUAAAGAAGAAAUAAAGGGUAUGAAACCAUACAAGUGAAGUGCUCACUUCCCUGUUGCUUGAGAAUUGAAGAACUGUUUCAUAUUCUCUCUUAUCAAAUCCCACCAGUUAAUUUCAGUGAAUAAGGUCCGAGUACGACAAGGAUUCAUAAGUGCAAAAAUAUUAUUAGAUGCUGCAUGUUGUAGUACACAGAGUAUGAUAAUUUCAUGAGAUAUAGGGAAUUUAAACCAUAUAGCUAAGAGCAUAUGUACAUACAUGUGCAUACAUGUCAUGCGUAUACUGCUGUUAGAUAAAAUAUAUAUAGGUUAAAAUGAUCCAGUUAGUUCAUUCAAUAAGCAAGCUUGGGUUAGACUCCCACCAUCUGUAUGUAACCUUUCUUCAUUCCCAAAUUGCAACCUUCGUUAAACAAUUUAUAUAUAUAUAUAUGUUUCUUCCUGAUUGGCCUAAUGAUUCAGCUUCAUUGUGCUAAUGCGAAUGGUUCCAGAAACUGAAGAGGAGAUUGAGGGAUAUGAGAAGUGGUGAACUGAGAGCUUAAUCUUUUGAUGGCUACAACCUUUUCCCCUCUACCUUCGCCAGUGACGAAACUUGAACUUAGAAAUGCAUUAUUGGACCGUCUCUUUGGCGUCUUUGGAGGACUUAGUGUUCGCUGGUAAAGCCUUCUGCAUGAUCCUGCUUACGUUUGCAAUGUCCCCCGAUUCAUCCCAUCGAAAGAGAACAAAUCGUGGACAAUUUUUCUGUUAAUUAGCGGAGAAUUUGUGGGUUUGAUGAGGGUAAAAAAGGGAUUUAACAAUGAUGGUGGUUUCUGGUCAAAUUCUGUGAGGGAAAUAGAGCCGUUGUUAAGGUCCAUUGGAUUGAUCAGCCUGUUUUAAUAAUAUAUUCUCCAAAAUUUAAAUUUGUAUUCUCUUUUUAUAACUGCAAUCUAUCUUUAUUAUUUUGCCCAAUACUUAUUAUAAAUAAAAUUAAAUCUACUUAAACUUUCUAUUUAUUUUUAAAAUAUUUAUGUUAAAUGUUUUAUUUUUAUAUAGUUCAAAUAUGUGUUUUGAUUUAUAGAAAAAAUUAUCAUAUUCAAAUUCUUACAUAUCCUAAAUAUAUUACCAUAUGUAUAAUAUUAUAUUAGUUUGCUACUUUCAUGUAUUAUUUUUAAAAAAAAUCCAGUUGCGGGAUUUAACCUUGCAUUAAGAUUAAAAAUUAAAAAUUUAAAAAAUAUAGAUAUUAAAAAUAAUCAAAUUAAAAAAAUUGAUUAAAUCUAUAAUUUUAUACGUAGUACAAAAUUAAUUUUAAUCAAAUGCAUUUAACUGUGAUUGUUGAAAGUUUAAAAUUAGAAAAUUAUAAGUACUGACAUUAACAUAUUCAAAGAAUAUAAAGAUUACAUUUAAUCUUAUAAAAAAUAAUCUAUAAUUUUGAAUAUAAUAAAAAAGUUAUUAGUAGAAUUUAAAUCUUUUUAAAAAUGUUGUUAUUUCUCACAACCUUAUAAAAACAAGUCUUAUCUUCAACAUAAAUAGACACGAGAAAAGCUCACUAUAUGGCUCAAAUGCUUUAAGAUUAAAUCACCAACAAUAUACAUGUUAAAUCAAAUAAUAAGCAAUUUCAUACUUUAUGAAAAGAGUCUUAAUUUCAAAAUUUGAUAAAUUAAAAAAUUAUCAUUGAUUGACUGAUUGGGUCUUAGUUCAAAUGAUAUAUUGUUAUUAGACUUGUUCUUAACGUUUAUGGGUCCUAGGUAAAACAAUAAAACGAGGUUUUAAGUUCUUUAGAAGUUGAAGAAAAAUUGUUUUAGAUCUCUUAAAAGUCGGUAAAAUUCUUUUUAUGCCCUUAAAAAUUGAUAAUUUUUUUUUAAUUUUAAAAGGUAAAAAAAAUUUUAAACCUUAAAAAUUAAAAAAUAAUAUUUUAAACCUCUUUCAAACUUGAGCUCUAGACGAUUAUACCUUCAGAUGACCUUCAAAACUAGAUUGAAUUAUUACUAGAAAUAUAUAAAUUCAAGUCCGCUCAUUAAAUGAUUAUGAUAUAAUUAAAAAGAAUCCAUCCACAUAAAUGUUGAAAAAGCCCAGCGUGAAACUUUCAUGCAUGCAUGACGACAAUCCAAAUCUCUUCUUACCAAAUAUAUUCCGUUUACAGUUUUUUACUGCAAAAUAAGAAACCUUUAGAAAAUUUGUAAACCAAAUCCUUAAAAUAUAAAAAUAUUUAAGAAAUACGGCUUCUUUUACAGGCUCUCUCUCCAUGUAAAUUCUUUCUCAAAUAGUGAUUAGUAUAUGCAUAUUCUUUUUGUCUAAAACAAAGCUUCCAUUUUUAUUUUUUUUCUUAGAUCGAUGCAUUAAUGGAACAUAAAUUUAAUAAAUAUUCGUGUUAACUGAAUCUGAAUUUCGGGGUGUCAAUUUUCUUUUUUUGUAAAUUUUUUUUAAAAAGUUGUGAUUUUUAUAAUACAGGAAUACACAAUAAAGUGAAGGAAAUGUUAUGUGAAGGGGCCAAAAGAGGAUGGAAUUAGCCUCUUCUAUUCUUAUUCUUACUCUGCCUCCUCUCAGAUCUUAGUGUGUAUUUUUUUUCUUUUUGCUAGAUUUGGCACUUGGCUUUCUUUUGAUCGGUGGGUUUUUCUUCUCUGUUGAAUCUGGAUUUGGGUUUUCGAUAUUUUGCUUAAAUUUUCUAUAUCGGUUUCCUGAUUGAUCAUCAAUCUGGGUAUUCUUUUUUUUUUAUUCUUAUUUUUCUUUUUCAUUUCUGAAUUGCAGGUUAAGUUAAAUUCUUUCUUGACCAGUUGAUUGUCUGUGGAAGGAUCUGGUUUUUUUUUGUUUGUUUGUUUCCAAAUUUCGAAUCGGAUUACAAUUUUCUUGUUAAAAUAAGAAGGUAUGAAUUGUAUCUGCAUUAUUGUAUUUGGAUUAAUAUAAUCGAUAAAAGACACAAUUUUGAUGCGAUAUUUUUAAUUUGAGUCACUGAGAAGCAAGGUUUUGGUAUUGGCUUUUUGAUUGGCCUAUUGAUGUUUUGAUUUGAUUUGCAUUACUGGAUAAUGUUUCAAGUUUUUAUUGAUGGAACUAGCUUUUUGUGCAAUGUAGAAAAAGAUGUCGGAGAGUGGUAGUAAGCUUUUUAUUGGUGGGAUAUCUUGGGGCACCGAUGAAGACCGUCUCAAGGAGUAUUUCAGUAGUUUUGGUGAAGUAGUAGAGGCAGUGAUCAUGAAGGACCGGACCACAGGGCGUGCUCGUGGUUUUGGUUUCGUUGUUUUUGCUGACCCCGCUGUUGCUGAGAGAGUUAUCAAGGAGAAACACAAUAUUGAUGGCAGGAUGGUAAGUAAGUUCAUUAAGCAUACCUGCCUAGAUUAGUGUUGUUCAGUGUACUAUUCAUUGCAGGAAUUCACAUAAUGUUUGUGAUUCUGUUGGUUUAGUAUAAUUACUUAUCAGCUCAAAGAAAGAGUAAGUGAUGUUUAAGUUUGAUUUUUCAUCUCUGAGUUACUUAUGCUCUCAGGUCGAGGCAAAAAAGGCAGUUCCUAGGGAUGACCAGAAUAUUAUGAGUAGAAGCACUAGUAGCAUCCAUGGUUCACCUAGUCCAGGUCCCACAAGAAAGAUUUUUGUAGGAGGCUUAACCUCGACAGUCACGGAGAGUGACUUCAAGAAGUAUUUUGAUCAGUUUGGGAAUAUCAUAGACGUUGUGGUAAUGUAUGAUCAUAACACCCAAAGACCGAGGGGUUUUGGAUUCAUCACUUAUGAUUCAGAAGAGGCGGUUGACAAAGUGUUACUAAAAAAUUUCCAUGAACUGAAUGGUAAAAUGGUUGAGGUUAAAAGAGCAGUUCCCCGAGAGUUAUCACCUGGUCCUAGUCGCAGCCCCUUAGGUGGAUAUAACUAUGGUCUGAAUAGGGUCAACAACUUUUUUAAUGGCUACACUCUGGGAUAUGCUCCAAGCAGUGUAGGUGGCUAUGGACUUGGGAUGGAUGGUAAAUUCAGCGCAGUUGCUGGUGGUCGAAGUGGGUUUUCUCCUUUUGGUGCCAGUUAUGGAAUAAGCAUGAACUUUGAGCCAGGGUUGAACCUGAAUUUUGGAAAUGGUGCAAAUUUUAGUGGUAACAUGAGCUAUGGACAGGGAUUGAACCCGUACUAUAAUGGUAAUACAAAUGGACUUGAUAGUCCUAUUGGGCAUGAUAGAAGUAGUGGAGGUAGUACUUCUUUUUUCAGCUCAGCGACUCGGAAUCUUUGGGGGGGAAAUGGGGGACUUAAUUACAACACAAAUGCUGCUAGUUCCGGUGCAUAUAUGGGAUCUGGAAGUGGGAGUUUAAGAGGAAAUGCCUUGGGAAACAGUGGAACUAAUUGGGGUUCUUCUGCCAUUUCAGGUCAAGGUGGAAGGGAUAACAUUUCUGGCAAUAGUGUGAAUUUUGGCAAUGGAAAUGGUGAUAACAACUUUGGGUUAGGAACAGCAGGGUAUGAGAGAAACAUUGGGACCAAUGUGGUACCAGCAUCAUCAUAUACAGCAUCGAAUGGUGGUUAUGAUGCAUCCUUUGCAAACCUUUCUGCAAGUGCUUCCAUUUAUGGGGAUACCACUUGGCAAUCAUCAACAUCUGUGCGAGACAGUUCUGGCACUUUCGGCUAUGGACUUGAUAGUGCCACUUCUGAUGUUAUGCGUAAAAGUUCUCCUGGUUUUAUUGGUGGUUAUAAUGUUAAUAAGAGACAAGCAAAUAGAGGUGAGACUUUUUCCUUAACAUCCUUGAUCUCUCUGUCAAUGAUUUUCAGCUUGAGGAAAUUUUUUGUUAAAUGUUAUAAAGAAAUAUUUUUGAUGUUCAUAGGAGUUUGGUUUACCAAGUGUUGUAGAAGCAUAAUUAAAUGGUACCUCUAAAACUUUUGUUUGCGGACUCUGCUACCUAUCUUUCUUUGGGUGUAACUCUUAAAUUUGACAGCACAUUCCUCUUAAUAAUAUGUUCUUUCAUUUCUUAACAGUUGCAUGACAUGCUAGUUUUUUGAUAAACCAUGCCAGUCUAGAUUGAUCGACAACUUUUGAACAUAAUGACCAUAUGGUUGUGUCUGGUUUUCUUUAUAUAUAUUUAUAUAUAAUGAUGUGUAUAUCAUUUACUUUUGACAAUUUUUGUAACAUUUUGGUAGCUUUUAAUGAAGUUUUGAAUCUUCAAAGAAGGGACAAGAGAAAUAGAGAUAAAUGAAGUUUUCACUGAAUUAUUAACGCUACUAAACUUUUAAGCUAUGAUAUAUUAAUGUUGAAAAUGGUGUAUGAAGAUAGUAGUUCUCUUAUACAAAGAUACUUACCACAGAGAGUAAAAAUUGCACAUUUAGCUUUUCUCUUUGUUAUUUUGUAGAAUGCACUCAUUGGUUUAUAGAAACUUAUACAUUUCGAUUUUCUCUUGGUUCAGGAAUUGCAACCUAGAAGAUUCUUUUGGUUUAUCACAAUAGUGUAGGUGAAGAUAAUCUUGUGAAGCAGGUAAUCUGUGAAUUCUGCGCAUUUCCCUCGUCGAAUAUAAAAGAAAGUCGGUUAUCUGAGCUAACUGGGUUGCCUGUUUCAGGGAAUUAAGAUUUAGAUAUAGAAAUCACAAGGCAUUUUGUGUUAAGGCUUGAGUUUCAAGUUACCUUUUUUUUUUUGUUCGGAUUUUUCAUUAUGUAAAAUCAGAUUGCGGGAUAUAAUCAGAAAAUGUAUCAUACAUCUCAUGUGAGACGGCGAUGCAUAACACGAAUUGGACUAAUGUUCAGUGAUGGCUGUGGCGAUCUUUGGGGUCGUGUUUCAGCCAGAUUGUACUUGAGGUUCUUGUUGAUAUACUUAGUGUGAAACAUUAGGCAGGGAUUAAAAAGGGCUAAACCCAUCUAGGGUCCCCUCUUGAAUAAUUUACAACAUAUAUAUGCAGGUUCUUUUUCCAUUGAAUCUUUCUUUAUGAAAUGAACUAUUUGAAUUGAUUUUUUUAUUUAUUUCCUUCUUUUAUUACCUCUCAAUAUUCUGAAACUAUAUAUAUGCAAGCCAUGUUCAUAACUCAAUCAGUUUGGUAAGCAAUUGCAUUGCUUUUAACUUAUAUAUGGGGCAUAUUUAAAUGCUAUGUUAUGUUGCAUUUAGGGUACAGAUUUAGAGAUAUAACCCUCCAAGAACAAAAAGAAAAACUGGGCAAAAGUUCAACAUACUGGGUUGGAUGUAUACCUGUAUUCGAGAUACAUAUCCGAGUCUGAGUAACAUAGUGUAAAUGUUUCGUGUAUAAAUAAUAGCCAUUCAUUAGAAUCAGGGGCCUCAAGUCACUGUCAUAAAGAUUUGUCAGAUGUAUCGAUGUUUAAAUUUUUUUUUUGUUAAGUUUGGUAUGUGUUUGAAGGAUAUUUUGAGGGUUAUAUUUCCAUACAUAUGUUGUAAUGCAACAAUGAUAUUGAAUAUGAGUGCUUAAAAAAAUUGAUGGGGCAUUAAGCUUUGAAGAAAAUCAAAAUGCAUAAGAAAAACACUGAUGACUACUAAAAUCAUCUUUCAUUCUCGUAUUCAUCCAAUCCGACUCUAAAACCAUUAUGCCUACUACUAGUUGGAAACGGUUUGCGCAGUAAACGGAUGGUCGUUCUAUAACAAUAAGAUUAAUAAAAAAGAUGAAAAAAAUCAACAAAGUCAAGAUGGCCGAGUUGGUCUAAGGCGCCAGUUUCAGGUACUGGUCCGAAAGGGCAUGGGUUCGAAUCCCAUUCUUGACAAAUUAAGUCCAAGCUUUUUUUUUUAUCAAAUUGCAUUUAACGUCCUUAUAUAAGCCAUUUGUGUCAGAUUAAGUCCAUAUGUUAUAAUUUAAUCAUUUCUAAUCCCUUUACUUUUCUAAAGUUUUGCUGGCAGCCAGGUCCUUCGCUUCAUUGUUUUUUCAUCUUAUUUUUUAGGCCAAAUUGCAUUUAACGUCCUUAUAUUACUUGUUCCUAACAUAUUAAGUCCAUAUGUAUAAUUUAAUUAUUUCUAAUCCCUUUAUUUUUUGAAAUGUGUAUUUUUAGUUACAUGCUUUUGAUAGAUUUAGUCCAUUAAAUAAUUCAAUCAUACAUCCUUUUUACUUUUCGAAAUAUCUAUUUUUGUUAAUUCUAUCAAAUAAUUCGAUGUAAUUUUUUGGUACAACUGUAUAAAUAUUAUACAUGUUUCAUUUUUUAAAUAUUAAAAAAUAUAUCAUAAGUUUAUGUACUCUUUGAAAAUUUUAAAUUUAAUCUCUAUACUUUUAUUUCUAUGAAUUUGGUUUCAAAUUUCAAAAUUCAAGUCCAACUAUUAACAUUAUUAAUUUUUUUUUGUUAACUUCAGGUUAAAUACAAUAUCAUUUUUUUAAUUACAUGACUAUCAAGUGAACAAAUUUUUUUUUUAUUUCAAUGGGUACCAAGUGAGUAGUUUUUUAUUUCAAAAUGUCAUACCAAUAAAUCUAACAAAAAAAAUCAAAAUGUCAAUAGUUGAUGUAAAUGCCCAAAUUAGACCGGGCCCAAUAAACCAAUACCAGACCCAAACCCAAUACACCCUAUUACACCCAAAAACAAAUUAAACCAACAGCCCAAACAAAAACUAGCCCACCUAGCCCAAGAACUAAAGCCAAACAGAAACCCUAAAGCUACCUAAGCCAGCCGCCACACGCUACCACCUCCCCUGCUACCGCCGAUCGGCGCCCGUACCACCAACCCUCUGACACCUGCAAAGCAAAAGAAACACGCAACAGAGACAAAAGAAAACAACACAGAAACAGACAAUGAAAGAAAAAAUAAUAGAAAAUAGACAGUUGUAAUAUGCCUAUAAAAACUUUAACGAACAUCGUAUAAUGCUUCUUCUUCUUCGGCUGCUUCUGGAUCCAAAAAAGGAGAAAUACGAAAUCAAUAAAAAACUGAAGUUUAAAGAGGUGUAAAUUCCUCUUUUUAUUUUUCUGUUUAUUAUAUAUAUCUUUUAUUUUAUUUUUAUUUUUUUCACAAACAUAUUCUGAAACAUAUAAACAAGAGAGGAAGAAAGCUCUCUUACCGGUUCGUUCAGUGUUGAUUUAGCCAAAGCCCGCUUCUCCGGUCUGAAGUCGACGGAUCCUUGCGGAUCCGGUGAAAGCCUCGGCGGUGGUGGAGGCGUAUUAUGCGCCGGUGAAGCCUAAGAGUCAGCCAAGGUGAAGGGUAGGAGAAAAAGGGGGGUCUGGUAUAUACUUUAGUAAAGAAAAUGGCAGAAUCCAAUUGUUUUUUUUUGUUUUUUAAUUGCAAGUGAAAUGGCACCGUUUCAAAGGGAAACAAAUCUGCACUUCUUCGUAUGAAAGGGUUAAUUCCGCGCUAAGCCCUUCCUCUUUUGCGCUACCUUUCAAUCAGUUUACAUUUGUAUUUCUUUGUUCUUUUAAACUAUCCCUGUAACUUGCGCAUAUUUUCAGUCAGGUCCGCGCCUAAGCUCUGCGUUUUGGGUCUGGUAUAUUGCCAGUUUAGUUCCCUGAGCAUUGGAGCGCAUUGCACUUCAGUCCUUCCUUUAAUUUCAGCAGUGUAUUUUAUUUAUUAAAUAUCAUUUUAGUUUAUUUUUUAUUCUAAUUGAGUCCUUUUAAUUUGUAUAGUUCAUUUUUUUUAAUUCGUUUAGCAUUUUUUAUAUACAUUUUAAAUUACUUUGAUAAUUUACUUUUUUUUUUAAAUUAUAAAACUAUUAUUUUGAAAUUACCUUGUAUAUCAUAUUGUUUUUUAAAAUUUUGUAUAUUUAUAUUUAAUUUAUAUUAAUACAUAUAUAAUUUAUGACAAAAUUAGUUUUAUUUCAUACACAUUAUUAGUUCCAUGUUAUUUUACACAUAUAAUUUCUUUUAAAUUUAUUUAUUUGUGUCUCCUUUCAAAUUUAUUACUUAUAUAGUUUAUUCUUUAAAAAGUAUGUUUUAUUAUUUCCUUGUUAUUCAAGAUUAUUUCAUGUAUAUAUUGUUAUAUUCUAUAUUGAUUUGUUAUUUUGUCAUGUAUAUUGUUUAUUCUUUAUUUUUAUUAUACUUUCAUUAUAUAUUGUUUAUGUUUUUUUAUUAUUGUCUGAAUAUCAUCACCUUUAAAUAGAUAUGUUUUGUUUUUAAAAUAUUUUUGUAUGUUAUUUGCUCCAAAAUUCUUCUUUUACAAUAUUUAUUUUAAUCUUCAUUUACAUGUUCUUAGUUUUAUUUCAUAUAUAUGUAAAUCAUUUCAAACCUUAAAUUUUUAUUAGUGGCUUUUGAAUUGUUACACAUUAUAUUGACUCCUAUUAUCCGUAUUGUUUUAUAUAUUAUGUAUUGUUUUUUAGUUUUCAUUUCAUUUCAUACAUAAUUGCUACAUAUUGUUUACUCUUCAUUUGCAUUAUCAUUUUAAUUGUUAUUCAUUUAUAUUUGAAAAUUUGUUGUAUUUCCUCCUAAUAUGUUUCUGUGGUGAGUUAUAUUUUGGUUUCUUAUUAAUGUCUUAAGUAAGAUAUGAACUCAUUACCAUGAUGUGUUGAUUAAUUCAUUUUUUAUGUUUAUACUAUUAUUCUUCGCCGAAUAUAGUAUUUCAUUUGUGCGCAUUGUCCCAUGUUUAUAAUUUCACUCCUUUUUUGUUUACAAAUGCUACUUUGUAAUUUGUGACUUUUUUUUUAAAAUCAAUUAUUCUAUCUUACUUCAAGUAAAAUUAAUGCGUUUUAAGCCAGUUUUAUGAUUAUUCACUUAAAAAUUCUUUAAAACGAAGGCAAUGUUCGAUGUUCGGCAACUCGGGAAUCGUACCCUAUCGUGCUGGGUUGCGAUUUCCCGUUCGUUCAAAACCAUCUAAUAUUCUUUUGGAAUUUCACCCAUGUCUUUAAAAAUUCUUUAAAACAAAUGUAAUGUUUGAUGUUUGACAACUCGGGGAAUCGUGCCCUAUUGUGUUGGGUUACGAUUUCCUGUUUGUUCAAAAUAAUCGAAUAUUCCUUUAGAAUUUCACUCGUGUUCUUUAAAUUCUAAAAUAAGGCAAUGUUUUGCGUUUUGGAACAUCGAAAAAUUGUGCCUUAACUUAUGGGAUUUCGGUUAUCUCGUUGAUUCUAAAUAGCCAAAUAUCCUUUUGAGUUUUAAAACAUAUGGAAAUCCAAUUAAAAUUAAAGACAAACUUGCGCUUGGGAGUUCAUGGUAUUGUGUCCUAACUUACGGGAUGUGAUACUCCGAUAUCUCGAGACAAGGAAAUCUUUAGCAAUCAUUUUGAGCUAAUUCAACCGUUUUUAAAUCGACAUCAAUAAAAAGGGAUUGUACUUCAAAUUCAUUCUCGAUUUUCAAUUUUCAACAUUAAGACAUUAAUUAAUCAAUUCGGUACCAACUUUUGGGCGUGUCAAGGGUGCUAAUCUUUCCUCGCACGUAACCGACUCCCGAACCUAUUCUCUUGGAUUUCGUAGACCAAACUGUUGUUUUAGUAAACUAAAAUUGUUUUAUUAAAGUAAAGGUGAUCCGAUUACACCAAAUUAAGAUCGGUGGCGACUCCCAUUUUAAUUUUCACUUUCAAAACCAAAGUCAAUCCCCGUUUUUUUCAAAAAAAUGGUUUAUGGUUUUGACAGUGGAACUUGAAUUUUGAAAUAUGAAAAGUAGAGAGACUGAAUUCUUAGAAAUAAAAGUACAAGAGUUAAAUUCUAAAUUUUUAAAAAGAAUAGGGACUUAUGAUAUAUUUAAACUUUCUUUUCCUUUUAUCAGUAAAAUACUUUAAAAAUAAAUAAAAAAAGAAUUUCAUGAUAAUAAUUUUUACAAUUACCACAAUAACAUCCGCAAUUACAAUAAAAAAGAAACUAUGCAGCUGUAAAAUAAUUUUGAAACUUCCUAAAUAUGAAACUGUAAUGUAAACAACAUGCAUGAAUUAAGUAUAGUACAAUUAAUAAUUUAACUAAAAUAAAUAAUUAAAUAAAAGAAUGAAAGAAAAUUUAACAUGGAAUAUUAGAAAGAAUCUAAAUCUUGGCAUGGACGAUCCGUGGGUUGCAAGGUAGCAAUCUCUUUGAUGAUCUGAGAUUUAUCGGCUUCAAACUGUUCAUCCUCUGCAACAUAUAUAUAUAUUUACCAUUUAUUAACAAUAUUUAAUACUUAAAAAAAAAUUCAAUAAAUGUAUAUUACCUUUAUCAAUGUUGAAUUCGCCAAAAAAUCGAAGAAGUUUGCUUCUAUUUGUGACAAGGACACUGAUGAUCUCCGGAGGCUUAUUAUGAUUUGCAACAAAUAACUACGAAAUAGUGAAAAUUAAUAAAUAAAUAAAUAAUAAAAGGGCAAAAUCUGCAAUUGCAAAUAGGAUUCAAGCUAUGUGAUGAUUAAGCUUUAUUCCAAAACUAUGUUGUCUAUGUUCUAAUUGAGAUUUCUUCAAUACAAAUUAAGAAUUUCUUUUUUAUUAGGUUAGAAAUUAUUUGAGUCAAGUAUUACAUGCUCGAAUUCGACUUGUUUAAUUAUACAAUAAUCAAGCAAAAUUCAAGCUUUAUUUGUAAAAGAAAAGUUCUUAUUUACACUCUAGCCAAUCAAAAUAUACGUAGCAAAAUCAUCAUUCACCUUGAACACAUGAAAUGUAUCCAGUUUUAUUGUCUUGUUUGAGUCCUGCACAUUGAUGAACCAAAAUGAUCACAUCGAAACAUAUAUUAUAUAUGUAUAUAUACAGUAAUAUGGUAAAGAAAAAGGUGUUAGUGAUUAAAGGAGCAAAGAGUACCCUAAGAAGAUUCAUCAUGAUCCUCAUGUGAUCUAAGGAAGUCACAUAACGAACCAUCACAGCGGAAUUCGAGCGAUCUAACAACAUAUCUCCAAGGAGCUUCAACAUCAAAAGCAACAACUAUGAAGUUAGUAAACUUAGUUUUAUUUGAAAACCCAAAGUUCUUAAUACAUUUCACCAACAACAAUCAUCUGAUAUACCUUCACAGCAUGUCGUCUGGUUAUGUAGCUUUCGGAUUGCAGCAAUUGUGAAUUGUAUUCCCGGAAAAACUGUAAGAAAGGGAAGAAAGAAAUGUAUUUAGCAUGUAAUAUAUAAAACCCGAAUUAGAAUAACUUUGAUCUUAGCUGUUGCAAUAUGAUGUUAUGAUUGUUAUUUUGCGGUUUCGGCUUUUUUCACUAUCGAUAUUUACUGCAGUUGAUGUGUGAUUGAUUAGCAAUACUUUGUAAUGAUUAACUCACAACCAUGUUUUACAUGUAUAUAUACAUAUAUAAUCAUAGUAUGAUGUUUUACUGUUAAGUACUACCAUGACCACAACGACCGCGGUUCGUCUAUGUCUCAACCAAAAUGAACAUGAUAUGAUUCAAAACACAUGGAUCAUGAAUUCAUACCUCUGAAAGUACAUGUUCUUACAUUACUCGCUACUAUCAUACAUGGAAAUAAUUUUAACAUAGAUACUAAUAUAUAUGUGUGUGCAUGUGUGUGUGUGUGGAAUACAGCACUUUACCCAGUCAUAAUUUGCAGAAAGAAAUUCAGCCACAGUGGAUUUAUGCCUUGUCAAAAGCUCCUGCAGAAAUGUGUUUGUGUCAGUCAGAUCAGUUUAUUUGUAUGUUCUUUGGCACAAAUAAAGCACACAUAUGCAAGAACAAUGACUGACAAAAAAAGAAAAGAAAAGAAAAGACAAAAUGAUACUCAACUUUAAAAGUGGCUUGAACAUCUGAAGCAAUGUCGAAAUUCGGAUUUUGCAGAUAUCCGAAAAACUUCUUCAUAUGAUCUGAUUCCAAGACAUACCUGUAAAAUCAACCCACAAAAGUAUCAUUUAAGCCCUUUUUCCCCCUUAGUUUCAUAAUAAGUCAUAUUAGAAGGUUUUAAACUUAACCUGAAUCUAUUAACAGAUCAGUUAUGUGUAUGCAAAUCAGCAGCUAUGGAAUAUGAUAAAAGAUUAUACCUAUAUUCCUUUUAAUUCUUGGCAUAUAAUGGAUUACGAAAGAAUUUGCAGCAAAUCAGUGUUGAAGAGCUUAAUACCCUUUUUUUAUCCACAACAUUAAGCUAAGCGUAUUAAUUGAUAUAUUUGAUCUUCAUCUAUCAUCGGCCAGAAAUUUAAUUUUUCAGAUAUAAAGUUUUAGCAUUAUUAGCAAGAAUAACAUUUCUAAGAAGCUUUUUGUCGAACAAUUUGGAAACAAAAUCACAAAUUAACCUUCUUUUUUUCUUACCUAGCAACAUUCUGAUGGCGGAUGCACUCCCUUAAGAUUGCACCAUAUGUCCAAGCAAUAUCACUGUCUUCAUAACUGAUUACCACGUCAAAACAAUACAAUCAUCGUUCAAAUAUAGUAUCCGAGUAUGGAUUCGAAUACCAAUAUCCUAUAUUACUCGGAUUCAAGAAAAAAUAUAAUAAAAUCUUACCCUGGUACCAAAAUAUCCAUGAUAUCCAAGUUAUUUUCCAGAUACUCAGAAGCAAUUACUUUUGAAUUCACCCUUUGUCUUCGUAAAUUAGCAAUCACAUGGGUAGCAUUUUGACGUGCCUGCAAAUCAAUUUCAAGGCGCGAAACUCAAUAAUUACGAAAGAAAAGAAAAAUAAAAGGUUCAUCUAUUGAUACUUACCCCAGAAUCCAAACUUGGAAGACAAUUGAUUAGAAGCCGAAAUGUAUCCUUUUGAAAGAAUUCUUUGGUUACUUGUGCACAUGCUUCUGUAUUUGGCUCUAUCUGUCCAUCCCCAAAAAGAACAGUUCUUAUAUCCAAAAGCAGUUUAUCCAGUUCUCCAAUCUGCACAAUUCAUAUAAUAUAAAACCAUUAUUCAAUGCUAAAUUUGCUACAAUAAUUAACAAAUCUUAUUCAAAACACCAACCUGCUUUUUUCAUAAAAUUGAGACAUACUUAGCGGAAAAAGAAGAAUCAAAAAACGAAAACCGACCUUCUCUGCUCGUUUCUUUUCCCGGGUCUCGGUGUUGCCGAGAACGAAAACAAGAAGCUCAUGCAGAUGCUGCACCAUCUCCACCGGGGUCCGAGGUUUCGACUUGAACAACCCCUUCAUUUUUCUUGAUCCUUGAUCCCUAAAUCCUUCAAAUCUUUUUUCUUCUAACACCUAAAAUAUUCUUCCGUUUCACAAUGUAGAUUGCACGAUUCUUAGGGUUUUAGAAGAGGAGGAUUGAUUUGAUACCAAAUCGAAAAUUGCAUGGUUAGUUAGUUAGUUAUAUAAUUGUAGUACGUGAAACCAAAGGCUUGCAUGUGUUGGAUGUUAAAACACCUCAAAUUCAUUAAUGGGGAAAUUGAUAAAUUUUGUUCAUCUUUAUUUAGUUAACAUUUUUAUUCCUAAUUAAAAAAGAGAGUAAAAUACAAUAUUCUCAAUUUUGGAUUAAAUUAAUAUAUUUUUAUUUUCAAUUUUUGAUUUUUUAUACGAUAUUAGUGGUGUGAUAACACAAUAUGAAUAGACAAGAGCUUUAAUCAUCACUUCAUUCAAGUUAAGACCCGUACUUAUAUACGAUUUUGAUACAAUAUCAUAUCAUUUUUUUUAACUAAUCCACCAGGUUAAAAUAUAAUUUUGACACAAUUUUUUGGCCAAUACCCAAGACUAACAAAAAUUAUGGAUUUGUGAUCGAUUGAGUCUUAACUUGGUUGGUAUUGACAUUGUUACCAAUAUAGAAAGACGAAGAAAGACAUAGGCUCAAGCGCGUUUAUCCUCCUAUUUAAAGGUGGGGAGGGGUUAUGGAUAAUUCUAGGUAUUAUAUAAAAAAAUUAUGGAUUUGUAAAACUAUAAUUAAGAAUAUUAAUGAAUCUAUUGAUUUGAGCUUUAAUUUAAUCAACAACGUUACUAUUGCAAUAAUCGAGGGGGAUUGGAGUUCAAGUAUGUAUAAACAUGUAUUAUCUUUCAUCUUAAGGGUUUUGAGAAUUUAUGGGUAGUAUAAAAAUCGUACUUAAAAAAAAGAAUAUUAAUGAAUCCGGAUCAACCAAUUUUACCCUUAAGAGAUCCAUUUAACGAUGAUACGCUUUAAUCAUCAUUUUUUUAAAAUUUUCAUACUUUCCAUCAUAAUUUGAUUCAAUUUUAAGUUUUUUCAUAUUAAUUUUAAUUUUCUUUUUUUUUGGAAAGUUUAUUUUAUGUCUCUUGAAUAUUAUUUGACAAAGUUUCAAAAUUUUGUCAAAAAAUAUUUAAAAACAAUAAGUUUUCAAGUCAAUAAAAAAUAUUUAAAAAAACAAUAAGUUUUCAAGUCAAUAAAAAAUAAUCAAUUGUUAUAAAAUAAAGAGAUAUGGGGAGAAUAAAGAACAAAGAAAAUAUGAAAGCAACAGAGAAUGUACUUUAUUGAUCAAAAGCGGUGAUUACAAUGCUUCAUCAGAGUCUUUAUUUAUAGGCAUGAGAAGUAUAAAAGAAAUAGAGAUCUAAUUCUAAUAACUAUUAGAAUUUAAAGUACAUCAAAACUUUAUCUUGAUCAUGAUGGACAUCCACCUAAUAAGAUAUUCAUAACACUCCCCAUUGGAUGUCCAUUGGUAGAUAAUGUGCCUCAUUAAAACCUUAUUAGGAAAAACCUUGUGGGAUAAAAACCUAACUAGGGAAAAAGAAUACACAAUCUAUAAUACGCAUAAUAUAUUGCCACAUUAAAAACUUUACCAGGAAAACCCAAUGGGACAAAACCUCGGUUAAGGGAAAAAGAGUACAACGCGUAUUUACUCCCUCUCAUGAAAACAUCACAUACUUUCUCAUAUUCUACAUAUUCAGUCUUGAAUAUUAGUUUUUCAAAUGACUAUUUAAAUGUUUUUUCUAAGCAUUUAUAUUACCGUUUUUUUAAAAGUCACGAGUGAGGGAAAUUUGGGGAAAUAUAUUUUGAUCUCUUCAGGAGAUUCAAUAAUAAUCAUAACAAACUUUAAUCAUGAUUCUUUUAUAAAAGCACAAAUAGGUAUUUUGGAUCAUUUUAUAAUCCUCCUUCAACUAUUAUUCACUAAGUCAAAUUUACUACAUAUAUUCAAAUUAUUUCAAUUCAUAUAAAUGAAUAAUUUCCCGAGAAUUUCAAUAUGCUUCUAGCAUUCUAAAUCCUUCAAGGAUUUUAAUAUAAACUUUACUAUAUAGUGAUUUAUAAAGGUUAUAGCAACAACUAUUAGACACAAGUUAAAUCUUUUAUGAAUUGUAAAUUUAAUAAUAUAUCUAAAGGUUAUUGCAUCCACAAAAGAAUAUUAUAUCUUUUCAUAAUCAAUACCAGUACUUAGCGAAAAACUUUAUAUUUUUAUUCCACGUUUGCAAAACUACUUCAUUUGCACCCUCAUUGGCUUUAUACAUUUAAAUAUUUGGACUACUGGUCCAAAAACUCCUCGAAUUUAAUUGUACUUGAGUUGCGUCUUUCUAUUUUGAUCAAUUUAUUCCAUAUCUAUAUUUCUCAAUAGAUUUAUUCAAGAUCCUCCUUUUAUUUCAUUAUUUCAAUAAUAAUAUUGCAUGUAAAAUCAUUGUUGACCACUUUUAUUAUUCGGUUCUACAUUUUCUCGAAUUGACAUAACUUAUCGAGAUAUCUUAUUUUCAUUAUUUUAAAAUUUAGUUUUAGGUACCUGAAUCUCUUCUGAAGUUUUACUUAUUAGUUAUGUCUUGGUUCUCUUUUGGAGCACCCGCCUUCACUGGAUAACCACUAGAAUAAUUUUCAUCUUUGGAACCGAUCAAUCUAUUAUUUAUUCUAACUGAUUGUCCUAUUGGGACUUUGAUUCAAAUUAAAAUUUUAUAUGGUAUAUGACAUUUGGUUAUUCUCAUUAAGGUUAUAAAUAUAUCUAACAGUUAACUUGUAAUAAGUUAUCCUUAUUGAACUUUUGGUUCAAUUACUCUGCCCCUAACUCAUUAUAAGUUAUUGUUUCUCUCCCCCUAAUGUUGGGAAAAUUGACAACUCAUGUCACAAUUAAAUCUCGAAUUAAUUGCUCAAAAAUAUUAUAAGGAGACUCAUAUAAGUAUACAUUCCCAAUCUCUUAUUAUGACUUGUGCAUGGUGGUGGAGUAGUUGGAACAUAUACUGCAUAUCCAAAAAUUUUAAGAUGAGAAAUAUUUGGCUCUUGACCAAAAAUAAAUAUUGUAAUGGGGAGUAUUUAUAAUUUAUUGGCUUGAUGCGUACAACAUGUAAAUCAAUACAAUCUCAUAUUGAAAUAGAAAGUUUUGUUCUCAUAAGUAAUGAUUUAGCUAUUAGUUGGAGGCAUUUGAUAAACAAUUCAGCUAAAUUAUUUUAUGUGUGAACAUGAGCUACAGGAUGUUCAACUUUUAUCCCAACUGAUAUGUAAUAAUCAUUGAAAACUUGGGAUGUAAACUCACCAACAUUAGCAAGAUGAAUUGUUUUAAUUGCAUAAUCUGAAAUUAGUCAUUUAAACAAUCAGUCUGUCAUUUGCGAGUUGAUAACGUAUGUGAUUAUUUUAGAUGCAUCUACCAAAAUCAUAUAAUAUCAAAACCAUCCACAUGGUGGAUGAAUGAGCCCAUAUUCAUUUCAAAAAUGCAAGACAUUAAAUCUCAAUUUUAGCUAAUGAGUUUCUAAGAACCAAUUUUUAUUGAGAACAAACAACAAAUGAGAAUUCUUUAAAUUAAAGAAUCUUCUGAUUUUUUAGUUGAAUGUCCAUAUGAAUUCUCAAUUAAUUUUCGCAUCAUAUUCGAUCUAGGAUGGUCUAACUGGUCACGCCAAGUAGUAAACACAUUUGUAUUAGUAAACUUCUGGUUUACUUUAACAUGUGCUUCAAUUGUACUAAAUUGUAACAAAUUAAUAAUUUUAUUAUCAUUCUUUUUAAUUUGUAUCCACAUAUAGAUACUAUUAUGUCAUUUACUACUGGAAAUGUCUAUAUCAAUAUGAAGUCUAUAAUGCCACAAAGUCAAUAAAUAUAAUUUCCAAAUAAUUAUAUACAGUAUUCACUUCAGGGAAUAUGCUAAAAUCUUCAAAUGCCCAAAAAUCUAUUAAUAGUAAACUUUAAGAGUGGAUCUUAUUUUUCAUGUAUAUAACAAGUACAUAACCAAUGACUUUUCAUACAUAAGUUUUCUCUCUUGCAAGUUCUCAUUAGUAAUAUUUUACUACGUAAAUUUAAUUGAGAACUUAUUCUGAAUAUUGUAGAGUUAUACUCACAGUUUUUAAAAAAUACUUACAACUUUAGAUGCAUCCAACCAUAAUAAGCUUUAGAUAGAAUUAUCAUAUUCUAUUGCUUAUGAGUAGAUCUUUCACAGUCAAAUAUUUUGCUUUCAACCCUUUAAUAUGGAUGAUGACAAAAGAAUAUCAUAAAUAUUAUAAAUUAAUAACUCAAUCCCCUUUUUUUUAUUCAUAUGAAAUAUAAUCUUUUCCUUAUUCACAAUCCCAAUAUGAGAUCCAUUACAAAUAACUUUUAAAAGUAAUGCAUUAACCAUCACAAAUUUUGUGCUUUUUAGAUAGUGAUAUAUUAGCUCUUCUGGAGCUUUCAACUAAUUUUAUACUAUCAAAUAUUGGAAUAAUAUUUGUUUGUUUCAAUACUAAAUAAGAUAAAUAUUUUCUAUCUAUAAUGAUAGAAUUCAUUCCUACAUUUUCAUAUCCUUCCUCAAAGAAUAUUAAUAGAAACAAAAUAUUUCAUAUCACAUAUUGAUAACAUAAGUUAUCUUUACCCUUUAAAGAGUUAUCUUGAGAACUCUCAUUGUUCUCUUAUUUAUUACUAUGUUCCCACUUUUAGUAGUCCAUUAGUAUAUCUUUUAUUUUCUUUAUGUUUACAUUCACUUCGGGAAAUGCAACAAAUCUAGUAGGACAAACUUAUAAACAUCCUAAUAGAUUCUUUAUUUCAUAAUUACCAACGCAAACAUGCGUGAGAUUUCAAAUCAAAACCUAUCUAUGCUUGUUGUCAUGAUUAGUCUCCAAUUAUAAUAAACAAUAGAUAAAAUAUAGUAAAAUAUACCUGAAGAUCUUUAACAUCAUCGUCAUCACUAGAAGGUAUAAGAUAGUUCAAAAAUAUUCUUGAUUUCAUAUGGAUAACGAUAUCAAAUCUUUCACCAUCCUUAAGAACAAGAAGUAAAAUAAGUUAAUCAAAACAAUGAUAACAUAUAAUGAAAGAAGUAUGAAAAAUAAUAAUCAGAUAUGAAAAACAUUAAAUAAAAAAAACUUUCUGUAAAAACUUCACAUUUUGCCGUCAAAGAAAUUGAAAAUCAUGGAGGAUAAAUUUGAUCGUCGAUAAAAGGAACUAUCAUUUUGAGCAAGAUUGUACUGAUAACGUGUUAUAAAAUAAAGAGAAAUGGGGAGAAUCAAGAACAAAGAAACAGAGAAUAUACUUUAUUGAUCAAAAGGGGUGAUUACAAUGUUUCAUCAAAGUCUCUAUUUAUAAGCAUAAGAAGUAUAAAAGAAGUAGAGAUUUAAUUCUAAUAACUAUUAGAAUUUAAAGUACAUCAAAACUUUAUCUUCAUCAUAAUGGGCAUCCACUUAAUAAGAUAUUCAUAACAUCAACAACAUUUAUAUGAUAUUUUUUUUAUAUAGAACUGAUAAGUUUUUCUUUCACUAUUUUAAAUAUAAAAUAUUUAUUUUAUAUCAUAAAAUAUUAAAAUUAAUUAUAAAUUAAAUAAAAAAGCAAAAUUUAGUUCAAUUUGGAAUAACUGCGAUUUUUUAACUUGCAUUAUAUAAACUGUCCACACACCUUGGUUUGAGUUGAUUUUCAAUUUUUUUUCUUGUUAAACCCUAAAUUCACUUACAAUUUUGAAGUGUGAACUAUAAAACCAAAAUUUAUAUAUAUUAAAUUGAGACAUAUAUCUUAUUAUGUUUUUGCUUAUAUAAGUAUUUAUUUUCUUAACAAAUUAACUUUUAUCAUGAAUAAAAGGUGUUAAAUGGAGCAAAUUCCUAAAUCAGGUUAAGAAACUGACCAUGAUCAUAGCCAAGAGACAAACUCAACACAUGUACAAUGCCUACACCAUUUUGAAGCAACCCUAAGCUUUAAUCCAUCUCAGCUAAACUCAAACCAAGCAAAAAAUACACCUCAAGACUCAUGUGUAUGAAGAAGUGUAAAUGGUGGACUUUUCUAAAAUUCAAUCCUUCAUCAAGUUGAGUGCAUUAGAAUUAUAAGCAAAAUAGAACCAUAUCAUAAUUCAUCUACUUGGAACAACCCAUGUUUUUUGCUAUAUAAAACCAUCUCUUGACAUCAUCAUUAAACAUCAGCACCCAAUGAAACAAGUUCAAAGCCUUCUUCAAAAAAAUCCAAUGUAACUAUAGUUCUCACAUGAUAAACUUACAUACGGAAAUCAUCGUCCAAGGGCCUAAAUGCCAAUCAUCACCCCAACGAAUCCUCUAGAGACUUCGGCCACGUCUCAAGGCUCAAUGCUUUUUCUAUUUCUUUGCAUUUCAACUGGCUUGCUCAGCAACACGUUUUCAUCACCUAAAGCUAUCAAGUCCAACUCCUUUCCAAGAGUCAAGGUUGCUUUUGCUUCGGCUAGUAGAGCUACUUCCUCUUGUUGCCGUAAAUUUUGUUUCAAUUAACAAUAUAAGUAUACAUAAGUGUUAUACUGGAAACAAAGAACCUAUAAAGCCAAAUGUUGAGAGGGUUUGAAGAUUGGAAUGGGUCAAGCUUCAGAAGAGAAAUGUGUCUUAUAUGUAGGACAAUGUUAACUUUCACAAACUCCAACAAUGUGAUAUAGUUUCAACAAGAUUUUUGUUUGGAAAAUUUUAAAUCCAUAGGAAUUGUAGAUGUGAUGGUCAGAAUAUAUUUUGUGGGUAAACAAUCAUUAAUUUAAUUUGAUCAGGAAGAAAUGAAUUCCUGAUGCUUACAAUGGUAAUGGCAAUGGUUAUAAUUUUGGCAAAGAACUACAACUUGAAGAAUCGAUGGCGUUCCACUACAAUAACCUCAUCUUUGUGAAUAUUGUUGUCAACAAGGGCGUUGUGUUGAAAAUUGAAGAUGAACAUCUAGAGGGCCAAUAUUUUUCUCAAAAAAGCGAACAGGAUUAUUAUUUUUGUCAUGUGGUGAUGAUAUUAUUUAUUUAUUUACGCUCUUGUAUGUGUCUAAAUUAGAUUUGAUUAUUAUUAUUAUCGAAAAUAUUUUGGAUUGCAUUUGUUUCAAAUUAUGUUUUAUUUGUUGUUUGAAUAAGAGUUGAGACGUGUUAGGGUUAAGGAGUUAGAAGUUAGUUAGUUAGCUAAAGUAGUUGUUAACUGUCAAGUUAGUUAGUGCUAUUCUCAUUCUCUUCUAUCUAUUAAAGACUUGUACCCUUACAUUAAUGAAUAGUGAAAGUAGUAUGAAGUUCAUUCAGCUUCUGGUGUGAUCUUGACAUGGUAUCAAGAGCCAGUGUGUUCUUGGCAUAACUGAGUUUUUUUUUCUCGUCUUCGUCCAUGGAUACUGAAGCCCUACAUCCAAGUGAUACACCGCGUCACUCAUCCAAUGCUGCUUUGCAAGGUCAGACUUCUACUCCGUUGUCGAACGUUCAGUAUUUCUCGAAACAUGACACGGUUAAGCUUGGUGAGCAAAACUACUUGUUGUGGAAACAUCAAAUUUUGUUCAUUCUUAAGGGGUAUGAGCUUGAAGGGUAUGUUUUUGGCACUUUUUCUAUCCCCUCUCCUUUUAUUUCUAGACAUGAUGGGCAGCCUGUUAAUAUUCCAUCUUUUCUUCUCUAUAAGAAGCAAGAUAAAUUCCUAGCUUCUUGGUUGUUGUCUACGGUAAUUGAUGAAAUCUUGGUCCAUCUUACAAUGGCCAAGACUAGUUUGGAAGUGUGGUCAAUCAUUGAACGACGAUUUGGUGUAAAAUCUAAUGUCAAAAUUUCCAGUAUGCGUCAUGCCUUGUACUCUGUCAAAAAUGAAAAUCUUACAGUGAAAGAAUACUUGGCCAAGGUAAAAACAUUGUGUGAUAACUUGAUUGCUGCUGGCAGUCAAAUUUCUGAACAAAAACAGGUCAGUAUAAUUCUAGCUAGACUUUCGAUGGAAUACGAGUCUAUUUGUAUUUUUUCCUCGGUAACUCAAAUGUCUCUUGACCUCUUAACUGAAAUGUUACUUGACUGCGGAACAAGGCAACUAGCUCUUCUGACAGAAGUUCCACUACAAGCGAAUUUGGCUUCUCAUCACAAGUAAGCCACUGAUGAGAAAAUUGGGACCUCAAAUACCUACGAGCAAGAGUAUAAACCUGGUCAUCGAGGACAUGGUCGAGGUUGAUCUCGUACCAGGGGUCGUACAAGUGGUCGUGGUUGGUCUCGUUCUAGGCCUUAAUGCCAACUGUGUAGCAAAGUUAGUCACUUGGUUCAGACUUGUUAUCAUCGCUUUGAUGAGACUUUUUCAGGGGUCAGUACCAACCAACAAAUGUCAGUUAACUAUCAUCAGGUUCGAGAACAGAAUGGUUCUUUUACACGUUCCUGUUCUCAUAAGUGCAACUCGUGUUGGCAGCCUCCUUUGCAAACUUCAGAUUCUGACCAAGUUUGGUACCCUGAUUCUGGCGCCCCAAAUUAUAUCACGCCCAAUAUAACAUCCCUUGCAAAUGCUGCUCCCUAUGCAGGUACGAGUCUUGUCUCAAUGGAAAAUGAUGUUCCUGUUUGGAUUGCUAAUGUAGGUUCUACCAGUAUGUUGGCUGGUUCUAGGCUAUUGCGCCUUCAAAAUGUUCUCCAUGUUCCUAAUAUUUGUAAAAACUUAUUGUCUGUUGGUCAGUUUUCCAGAGAUAAUGAGGUUUAUUUUGAAUUUCACCCGUUCUUGUGUUAUGUAAAGAUAUAAAGACAAAGAAAACACUCCGAGUGGGCACAUGCAUGAUGGUCUUUAUAGGUUCAACGUGUCUAGCUCGUCCCCUCACCCACCUACUGCAGAUUCACACUUUACCUCGCAGUUUUUAGGUACAGCUCGAUUAUCCUCUUCACCUACUCUGGGCAUAGAAGGCUUGGGCAUCCCUGUUCCUUUGUUCUUGAGGUUGUUAUGCGCAAUUGUAACAUUCCUUUUGCUAGGAAAAAUAUAUCGAAUGUUUGUUCAGCUUGCCAGUUAGGCAAUGCACAUAAGCUGCCCUUUAAUGCUUCUAGCACAGUGUACUCAAAACCUUUUGAAUUAGUAGAAUCUGAUAUUUGGGGUCCUUCCCAUAUUAAAUCAAAUGGUUUUCUCUAAUAUGUUUCGUUCGUAGAUAUGUACAGUAGAUAUACCUGAGUCUACUUUCUAAAGUCAAAAGCAAAAGUGUUUCAGUGUUUUCUACAGUUCAAUCAAAUGGUCCGUGUUCAGUUUGGUGGUUCCAUUAAAAUGCUUCAGUCUGACUAGGGAGGCGAAUAUCGUUCACUAUCUCAGGAACUAGCUAGUCUUGGCAUCAAGCAUAGGGUUACUUGCCCUCAUACUUCAGAGUAAAACAGGGUGAUUAGAAGAAAGCAUCGACAAAUAGUUGAUAUGGGACUGACACUUCUAGCUCAAGCAGGUUUCUCUUUGUAAUUCUGGUCAUAUGCUUUUGCACAUGGUAUUUACUUGAUUAAUAGGUUGCCAACACCUGUUCUAAAACAAUGAAGCCCUUAUGAAGUGUUGUAUAAAGUAAAACCAUCUUACUCAUAUUUUAAAGUGUUUGGCUGUACCUGUUAUCCGUGUUUGCGACCUUAUCAUCCCAAAAAACUACAGUUUCGGUCCAGUUUAUGCAUUUUUCUUGGUAUUGGGCUAAAUCAAAAAGGCUAUAGGUACCUUGACAGGAGUGGUCAAAUGUUUGUCUCUCGGCAUGUUACAUUUGAUGAGGACCAUUUUCUAUUCCAACAUGAGUUCUCUUCUGAGAGGCCAGCCCGGGUAGUUCAUCAUCAGUCUGCUCUUCCUAUGGUGGUCAAAGGCUUUUCUCUAGAAUAUAAUAUCUUGGCACAUGAGGUAGGUCCUGGUCGGUCACCAUCUGUUGUGGAUUCUUCAGUUCAACAGACUGCUUCUCCACUAUCUCCAGGCUCCUCUCUGACUCCUGGUCUCUUGGCACAUACAUCUGGUCCUGAUCAAUCAUUAGUUGUGCCUGGUUCUUGUCCUUCUCCAACAUGCUCCUCGUCUCCUUCCAGGUAGAUUCAGCCUAUUGUUAAUACACAUCUGAUGCAGACUCGGUCCAAAAGUGAGAUCUUCAAGCCCAAACUAUUUACUUCUGCCCUCUCUGAUCAUGAGCCUACUUCUAUUGUUGAAGCACUUCAAAGCCCUACGUAGACAGCAGCUGCUCGUGCUGAAUACACUGCAUUCUUUGCCAACCACACUUGAGACCUUGUGCCUUUACCUGCUGGAAGAAAAGCAGUGGGUUACAAGUGGAUUUUUAAAGUCAAACGCAAUGUUGAUGGGUCUGUCGCUUGGUACAAAGGGAGAUUGGUGGUCAAGGGAUAUCUCCAAGAAACUGAUAUUAAUUUUCGAGAUACUUUUAGCCCUGUUGUUAAGCCGACAACUAUUCGAGUGAUGUUGGCUCUUGCUGUCUCGUUUGGGUGGUCCCUUCUCCAAGUUGACAUCAACAAUGCUUUCCUGAAUAGUGAUUUAAAAGAAGAAAUUUACAUGGUUCAACCAUCAGGGUUUCAACAACAAGGGGACAAGGGUCAACAGUUAGUGUGUCGAUUGAGGAAAGCACUCUAUGGCCUCAAACAAGCCCGUCAGGUUUGGUUUCAUAAGCUUAAGGAAUUUCUAGUGGCUACUAGGUUUGUUGCCUCUAAAGCUGACACUUCUCUCUUCGUUUACCAAUCAGGUUCCCAACUCAUGUAUGUUUUAAUCUAUAUAGAUGACAUUAUAAUUACAGGGAACAACAACCAAGCUAUAGAUCAGUUUGUGCGGCAGCUUGAUGAGACUUUUUCAUUAAAAGAUCUUGGUCGCCUUAGCUACUUCCUAGGCAUUGAAGUCCAGUACACCACCACUGGUUUAUUUCUUAACCAAAGGAAGUACAUACUGGAUCUGUUGCGACGAGCGUAUAUGGAGGGAUCUAAAGCUACACCUACACCUAUGACAACAACAUGUCAGUUGUUCGCCAGUGAAGGACAACCUGUUGCAUAUGCUCAUGUGUACAGGAGCAUUGUAGGGGUACUGCAGUAUGUGGUGAUUACCAUACCCGACAUUGCCUUUGCCGUCAACAAAGUGUGCCAAUUCAUGCACAAUCCUUUGGACAUCCACUUCAAAGCUAUCAAGAGAGUCCUACAUUAUUUGCAUGGGACCUUGGAUCUUGGACUACAGUUUAUAAAGAGCUCGAAGCUCUUGCUUGAAGGGUUUUCAGAUGCUAGCUGGGGUCUGACAUUAAUGAUCGCCAUCACACAUCUGGUUACUGUGUUUUUUUUGGAGGAAGUCCAAUUUCCUUGAGCUUUAGGAAACAGCAGGUGGUCUCUCGGUCGACUGCCAAAGCUGAAUACAAAAGUCUCGCCCAUGUUACUGCUGAGAUGGUGUUGAUCUAGUCGUUGUUGAUCGAGUUAGGUGUUUCUCCUUGUGGCAAAGCACUAGUGUGGUGUGACAGUUUAACAGCCGUGGCAGUUGCAGGAAACCCAGUCAUGCACUCGAAAUUCAAGCACGUGGAAUUAGACCUCUUUUUUGUGAGGGAGAAGGUUGCACAAGGCUUAUUUCAGGUGGGUCAUGUACCAAGCCAAGAGCAGUUGCAGACAUGCUGACCAAACCUUUAGCAGCAAGUCUGUUCAACAAGUUUCGAAAUCAGCUUCGAGUGACAACUGGUCAAGUUACUAUAGUUGAGAAGAAAGGAACAAGUUCGGGGCAUGUUAGGGUUAAGGAGUUAGAAAUUAGUCAGUUAGCUAAAGCAAUUGUUAACUGUCAAGUUAGUUAGUGCUAUUCUCAUUCUCUUCCAUCUAUUAAAGACUUGUACUCUCACAUUAAUGAAUAGUGAAAGUAGUAUGAAGUUUAUUCAGCUUCUAGUGUGCUCUUGACAAUACGGAAAAAUAGAACAACAUAGUUUACGUGAGAAUUUACAAGGAGAGAAAUAAAAUCAAUUCAUGUUAACUCAAUUUGAAUUCAUCAAUUUUGCAUCUCCGAAGCCUAAGGGCAAAGCCAGAAAUUAUUUUGGGAGAGGCGGAAUUAAAUUGUAUAUUUUUACGAUUACUUAUAUAUAUAUUAUUUUUAUAAUUUUGGAGGUAAAGUGCAAUUUUACUAUUACUAAUUUAAAAUUUUAUAAAUUAUAAAGGGGCCUAAAUAAAAAAAAUCAUUUUAAGGGGGCCAAGGCCAUUGCCAACCCCCUAGCUUCACCAUUAACAGAGUCUCUGUAAUGACCCAAAAUUCAUGGGUAUCGAAAAAGUGCAAUAUCGGGCCUCUGUCUUAGUAAACUGAAUUAGUAAAUAAUUAUUAGGAGUAAUUAGGAGCCUAAUAGUGAGCUUAAUUAAGUUUUAAAUAAGUGAAUUUAGCUUAAUUAAUAGUAAUUAGGAAAAAAAGACUAAAUUGAAUAAGGGGUAAAAGUCUAACUAUAGAUUAAAAAGGAAAUAACAAGGACGCAAUAGGCAAUUAAGCCUAUUUGGGAAGAUGAGGCGGCAAAAUAGAGUAAAAAUCUAAGAUUUUUACUCAAACAAUGAUUAUAUAAAUAUUUAAUUUAGUUAUAAAAUUUUAUUAAAUCAAUUUAAAAUAAUUAGAUUUUUAUAUGAUAAAUAAAAUAUGAUUUUGACAAGUGGAUGGUGAUAACAAUAUACAAAUGUAAUAAUAAUAUGUAUACAAUUGUAACAUAAAUAUUUAAUUACUUUUUAUUUAAGUAAAUAGAUAUUUAUUACUUAUUAUUAUUAAGCUAAAAGAUAUUUAUUAAUUAAAUAAUUAUAUUAUAAGAUUUUUAUGUGAUAAAUAAAUUAAAUAAUGACAAAUGUAUGGAGAUGAGACCAUACAUUUAUAAUAAAUAUAAAUAUGUACACUUGUUAUAUAAUUAUUAAUUUACUUAAUAUUAAAGUAAAAGAUAUUUUAAUAUAUGAUAUUAAUAUUAUAUUAUGUUAAUAAAAUAAUAAAGCAUAAAAGAAAUAAGAAACAAAGAUAGAAAAGAAGAACAAAAUAACAAACAGGAAAGAAAGGAAGAAAAGGGGAAAGAAAAAAAGAAAAGGAAAAACUAGGGAUUUGAAGCUUUAAGCUUUAAAAGUUAAUAAGGAACCCGAGGCAUCGGCAUCGAAAGGAAAGAAAAAAGUUGUUGAGGAGUAAACGAAUAAAUUCGGGUUUGUAUUACUAUAAUUCAAGUUAUUCAUUAUUUAAUGUUUAUUUUGAUAUUUAUAUUUAAUAAGUAAAUAUGACAGAAGUAUUAGUAUUGAAUUGUAUGAAAUAAAAUUGAAUUGUGAUUAUAUGUGAAUAAUUGAAAUGCAUAUUGAAUUAAGAAAGUAUAUUGAAUUAUGAAUAUGUGAAUUGAAAAUUGAUUGAAAAGUGGAAAAUGAUUGAAUUGAAAAUGUGAGAAAUUGUGACUGAAUUGAGAUUUAUAUGUGAUUCGGAAACCCUAUUAACUAAUCAGGUUGAGUCGGAUAUAGUUGGCAUGCCAUAGGAUUGGAAGUGUUCAAGGAUACUUCGACCUCGAGUCGAUGGUGUCACUAUUUUACUUCGGAUAGAUUCGAUGAGGUACUGGGUACCACUUUACUUUGGCUCUACCGAUGAGACACUGGGUGUCAACUUUGCUUCAAACUAUCCGAUGAGGCACUGCGUGCCAAACUGAUGUGUUUGGUUGGAUAUGUGUAUCCGCCAAAGUCCGAGUUUGUUAAUAGGGGUAAUUAAAGGAAAAGUUAAACUGAAUAAAAUAAAUUGGUUGAGCCAUUGAAAGAAAUGUGAAAAUGGAAUGUGAAUUAAAAAAAAUAUGAUUUGACUGUGAGUAUGAGAAUGGAAAGCAUGAACCAAUGGUUCAUGAGAUGGAUAAUGGCUCAACAUGAAUGUAUAUGAUUUCAAUUGUUGAUUAGCUAAAUUGAAUUGUAUGAAUAUAUUGAGAAUGACAAAUUUAUAUUUGACUUGGUCUAGUAAAAAAAUAAAAUAAAAUAAAAUAAAAUAAAGUUAUAUGAUUUAAUGAUAUGAUUAUUAUUGUAGCGACAUAAAAUUUUUGCUUUGGUCGCUAAUUGAGGCGAUUUAUUGAAAAUUUGAAAACCGACUUUUGAUUUUAUUUAAAAAGGGAGUCGUCACCGAUCCUUUUUCCUAGGUGUGAUCGGACACCUAAUAAAUCCUCUUUUUUUAAAAGAAAAUUUAUUUUUAAACAAAAAGAAGGCCGAGUUUAGGUCUACGCGAAAAUCCAGAGAAAAAAAGGGUUCGGGAGUCGGUUACGCACGAGGAAGGUAUUAGCACCCUCGCGAUGCCCAAAAUUGGUAUAUUGUUAAACAUGUGUUGUCUUAAUUUUCGAAAAUGCGAGUUCAAUGUAACAUUUAAUCAUUAUUCGAGCAAAACACGAGAAUUUUUAUAAUUUCGAUUUCUUUUGAGAAGGAUGUUCCGUUUUUAACACGAGCCGAUGGUAUUCACCCAAUAUAGCGAUGAAAUCAACGACUUAAUGUUAAAUCGGCACGUUGCCUUAUUUAUUGAAAUUAAUAAAAAAUGAAUAAAAUAUUUCUUAAAAUAAAAAUUCAUAAAUAAAUAAACAGUGCAAACAAUGAUAUAAUGAAUGAAAAAUAUUAACAUAUAAUAUAAGAGCAUUAGGAUAAAAAUAAAAACAAUAUUUACAAUAAAAAGAAAAUAAUAAUAAAAAUAAUGAUAUGCUAAUAAUAUAAUAAGAAAAACAAACUGAUACAGAAUGGGUAAGAACAAAAAUAAAAGAGUUAGAAAUACAUCGAAGCAAAUAAUAAAUACGACAAUGAUAUUAAAAACAAUAACAAUGCAUGCGAUGUUAAACGUAAUAAUGUAUUAAACACGAAAUAAAAACAAUGAAUAUAUAUAUAUACAUCUAAUAAUAGUUAGUAAAGUGAUGGAAACAUGAUAUUAAAAAUACUAAUAAUGUUACCUAUAUACAUAUGUAUAUAUUAAAAUAUAAAAAUAAUAAUAGUAUUAAAAAGUAUAUACAUAGUAUUAACAAUAUAUACAUAAUAUAGUUAUUAAAAAAUAUAUAAAUAAAAUAAUAUGUAAAAUAUAUAUAUAUAAUAUAGUAUUAAAAAAUAUACAUGAUAUAUAUAAAAUAUAAUAUUAAAAAGAUAUAUAUACGUAAUAUAUAUAAAAAAUGUAUACAUAAUAUAGUAUUAAAAUAUUUACAUAAUAUAUACAUAUUAGAAAUAAUAAUAAUGUUAAAAACAACUAUCAAUAAUACUACAUAAAUAUAUACAUAUAUAUAUUAAAGAUAUAUGCAUAUAUAAUAAAACAUAUACUAAUAUUAAUAACAAAUAUAAUAGGGGUAAAUAGAUACAAUAAUAAUAUGUAUAUAACGUGAUGUUAAAAAUAUGUGUAUAAUAUAGUAUUUAAAUAUAUAUACAUAAUAUAUAUAUUAGGAAUAAUAAUAAUAUAAAAAAACAACUAUAAAUAUAUACAUAAAAUAUAUAUAUAAGUAUUAAUUGAAACUAAAAAAUAAUUCUAAUAAUAGUAAAAAUAUACUAAUAAUAAUGAUAAUAACGAUAAUAGUAAAUAUAAUAAUAAAUAAUAUUAAAAAUAAAAAAUGGUAAAAAUAAUAUAAAAACAAAUUAAAUUUGGAAAAAGGACUAAAUUCGAAACAAAAUGAAGUUUUGGGGCCAAUUUAAAAAGAAAUAAAGGGAAAGGGAUUAAUUUGGAUGCGCGCAAAACAAAGGAGGACUAAAAAAAAAUUAUUCCUCCCCUCAAAACGCAACACAGCAAGAGGGACUAAAUCGCAAAGCGCUAUAUACUUUGGGGCCAAAUUAAAAGCACAAUAAAUCUAAUUGCAAAACUAUAAAAAAGCGGAGGGGCUAAAAGUGCAAUUAGCCCCUCCAGUGAAAAACACGCGAAUCCUUGGUGGAGCGGGUCAGGUCGGGUCAGGCAAAACAACGUCGUUUUGGGGUUUAAUGGCCAACCCUAAAACGACGUCGUUUUGGGGGCUAUUUAAAUCUGAUUUCUUUUAAAAAAUUCAUUCUUCCUCUGUUCUAAAAAUUUUUUUUUCUCUCCUCCUCUCAUUUUCCUCUACAGAGACCCCUAACGCCGGUGAAGACUCCGGCCAGUCACCACUGUCAGCCAUCGUCACCGGCCACCGCGCAUGGUGGCCGGAAAUUAUAAAAGGUAAAUUUUUUUAAUUUUUUUAUUAUGUUUAUAUAUAAAUAUGUAUAUACUGUUUUUUUGAAAAAAAAAGAAAAAAAUAUAUGUAUGUAUAGUCGAAUACCGAAAAUAAAAAAGGAAAAGAGAUGAGACCUUAGCCUUUGGAAUCUGUUUUUUUUUCUCUUCAAUACUUGCUGGAUUUUCUUUGUUUUUUUGAGACUAUUAUGUGCUAAAAAUGAAAUUUAUUGUUUUAUUGCUUCCUCCAAAAAAUCUCACCUCGUUACAUGAUUUUUGAAUGGCCUUUUUAUAGCCAUCCUUUUACAAGUUGUUGUUUGUUUUUAAUCUUUCUAUCACUUCUGUUGUAGGUGGAUGAGGUCAACGGUGGCAGAGUUGGUGGUGGCAGGUGGAGCAGGUGGCUGACAAGGCUAGGGUGGCGGCAUGGCAGAGGCAGUGGCUAGGGUUUUUUGAUUUGUUUUGUGUAUUAAGGUUUUGGGCUGGCUUAGUGGGCUUAGGGUUUUUAAUUAUUUGGGUAUUUUAAUUUGGGUUAGGGUAUGUUAGUUGGGUUUAUUUUAUUUUAUUCAAAAUUGGGCCUCAAUAGCUGCCCCUCUUUGCUCAUUGUCGUGUAACGGGAAUGGAGCAAAGACCUUAAAAGGGCCAAUUUUGGCCGGUCUCGCCGAGUCUUGACUUCUUUGAUGCUCCUCUUCUUCAGGUAGCCUCAUUCUAGUGUACUGUGUCUUAUAGCUUUGAUCUAUCUCACCGCAACUUCAGAGAUACGACUCGUAGCUUCACUUUGCUCGCUUCUUUAGGGGUCUGAGGUUCCUAGCCUCGAUCUACUUCACUGCUCCAUUGCAACUUCGGGGAGGCAAAAUCUAUAUAUUCGAUUAGCUCUAAUCUUUAUUCUUUAUUGAAAAACAAACAUCGAAAAUAACUCGGCAUAUAAACUGACGUUCAACUCAUCUCUCGGAUUAUGAGUUAAUUUUUGAAAAAAAAUAAAAAAAUCGAAAAUUCCUCAGUGUGUGACCUGAGGCUCAACUCACCUCUCGCAAUAUGAGGUGAUUUUUUUGAAAAACAGAGACUAAAGAUACCUCAGCGUAUGACCCGAGGCUCAACUCACCUCUCGCAAUAUGAGUUGAAUUUUGAAAAAACAGAAAUUGAAAAUACCUCGGCGUGUCUCAAGGCUCAACUCACCUCUCGUAAUAUGAGUUGAUUUUUGAAACAUAAAUUGAAAAACAGAAAUUGAAAAUACCUUAGCAUGUGAGUCGAGGCUCAACUCACCUCUCGCAAUAUGAGUUGAUUUUUUUGAUGAACAGAAAUUAAAAUUACCUCAGCGUGUCCUGAGGCUCAACUCACCUCUCGCAAUAUGAGUUGAUUUUUUUGAAAGACAGAAAUUAAAAAUACCUCAACGUGUCUUGAGGCUCAACUCACCUCUCGCAAUAUGAGUUGAUUUUUGAAAUAGAAAUAAAAACAUCAAAAUACCAAAACAUGUCAUUUGGUGGAACUCAGGUGUUUUUUCCUUUGAUUUAGUACAGCUAUUAUCACAUCCUCUUGCUCUACUGGAGUACCUGUAUAUGUCAUGCAUGAUGUUAUCAUGAUAUGCACAUGUUUGUCUUAAAUGCUUUUAUGCCUACAUGAUUAUGCUAUGCGCCUUAAGCAUGUUUGUCGUAUGUCCUUUUUUGUUACGAUUUUUGUGAUGAUCUGCGUUCAUUACUUUGGCUCUUGACUUUCUCUUUAGGCCCUGUACCCGUCCUCAAGCUUCACGAGUAAUCAACAUUUCUCAGAUAUCACUCUUUUUCCCCUGGUUAAACUUUGUCCUUAUUUUGAGACUCUUGUACUUAUCAAAUUCUUAUCCGGGUAAUGCUCAACAUUUCUUUUGUCUAGAGUAUGUCAUUUCACUAUUUAUCAUUUAAAUAAACCACAUAAUGAGAUGCAUAAAAAUGGUCAGGUAGGGACAACAGGGGUACCUCACAUUUAUUUAUUUCAAAUAUAACAAACAAAGAAAGUUAACCAAUGAUAUUAAAAAAAGUGUCAUAAAGAGAAAAGAGAUCGCAUUCAACAGAUACAAAUGCUCUAGAUAUUCAAUGCAUGAACUCUUCCACGUUUCUUAAUCAAGAAUCCUUUCAAGUGUGGCUUCUUGUGUAGAGGAUUUCGAGCUUUCAGAAAUGCUUCAAAUACUGGAGACCCAUAUUAAUUUUUAUUUGGUCCAAAAAUAUUUUAUCAUUUCUGUAUUCGCAAUUCAAUAUAGAUGGGUAUUUCAUAACAUAUAUAUGUCCCUCUUACUCUCAGUUUUCUCAGGCAAUUUGGUGGAAUACUCGAAGGGUCGAUUCUUUUUUUCGUCUUAGCUUCUGUCUUUAUGAAUGAAAACAAAAGAAAGGAGUCUCUCAUUAUGAUCUGGAUUUCAUUUCUAUGGGUUGCAUCUUUUUUUCUUUAAUUUCAUUUUUAUUCUUAUCCUUUUAUUAGACUAUCCUAUAUAACCAUAAUAACUAAAAAAAUAAAAAUGAAAAUUGAAUUUAUUCAUUAUUAAAAAUGAAAAUGAAAUUCAUUAUUUUUUUUUAUAGUAUAAUAGCUAGAACUAAUUAUUUAUAUUUACCGUCUUGCUCUUUAAGCCCGGGUUUACUCCAUUAAGAAGCCCUUUUGGGUUUUCAUCCUAAUCUUUUGUGUUAAUCAAGACGCUUUUUUCGGGUUUUCACCUUGAUCUCACUUUUUUUAGGCAUAAUAUUUCUUUACAGCAUCUGAGUUAACUAGGUUAGGUAACUCUUUCUCAUCCAUCUCAGUGAGAAUCAAAGCUCCACCCGAGAAUGCCUUCUUUACGACGUAUGGUCUUUCCCAAUUUGGUGCCCAUUUUCCUUGCAGGUUUUUUUGUAUUGGGAGAAUCUUUUUCAGCACGAGUUCCCCUUCGUGGAAUUCUCUUGGCUGUACUUUCUUGUCAUGGGCCGCGAUCAUUCUCUUCUGGUACAUCUGUCCGUGACAAAUUGCCUUUAGACGUUUUUCCUCGAUGAGGUUCAACUGGUCAUAUCGAGCUCGAACCCAUUCUGCUUCCUCUAGUUUCGACUCCAUUAAGACUCGUAGAGAGGGGAUCUCAACUUCGAUAGGUAGCACAGCUUCCAUUCCAUAGACCAGAGAGAAAGGAGUUGCUCCCGUAGAUGUCCGCACAGAUGUGCGAUAUGCAUACAAAGCAAAUGGUAGCUUUUCGUGCUAGUCUUUAUAAGUAUCGGUAAUUUUCCCAAUAAUCUUUUUAAUAUUCUUGUUGGCCGCUUCAACAGCUCCGUUCAUUUUCAGGCAAUAGGGUGAUGAGUUAUGAUGCUUUAUUUGAAAUUGCUCACACACUUCUUUCAUCAUCUUGUUGUUCAGAUUCAAGGCGUUAUCUGAAAUGAUUCUUUCAGGCAAACCAUAUCGACAAAUGAUUUCUUUUUUCAAAAACCUGCAAACUGUAGUCUUCGUCAUAUUGGCAAACGAAGCGGCUUCUAAACAUUUUGUGAAGUAAUCAAUAACCACAAAAAUAAACCGUUGUCUAUUAGAAGCUUUUGGGGAAAUUGGCCUUAUAACAUCCAUACCCUACAUAGAAAAAGGCCACGGAGAAGUCAUUACAUGAAGGGGCAAAGGGACUACAUGAAUCAUAUCGCCAUAAAUUUGACAUUUGUGGCAUUUUCUUGCAUAACUAAUGUAGUCACUUUCCAUCAUCAGCCAGUAAUAAUCGAGUCUCAUAAUCUUCUUGGCCAUAGUGAAACCAUUUGCAUGUGUCCCACAAAUUCCCUCAUGGACAUCUUCAAGUAUUUUUCUAGCUUCAAUAUCAUCUACGCAUCUCAAGAGCACUUUAUCUUUUCCUCUUUUGUAUAGGAUGUCCCCAUCAAGAAAAAAUCCCACUGACAUUCUUCUGAUUGUUCUUUUAUCAUUCUCAUUUGCUUAUUCGGGAUACUUUUGAUUCUUGACAUAUUCUAAGAUAUCAUGGAACCAUGGCCGUCCAUCUGGCUCUUUCUCAAUGCUGAAACAAUGUGCAGGGACUUCAUAUAUGCUCAUUUGGAGAUGCAUUAUUUCUGUUUCUCUGUUCGCUUUGAACAUUGAGGCCAAAGUGGCCAGGGCAUCAGCCAAUUGGUUUUCUUCUCGUGGGAAGUAAUUAAAAGUUAUUUCUUUGAAUUCUUUAAUCAGCCCUGCCACUAGAUCGCUGUAUUUGACUAAUUUCGAAUCUCUCACUUCCCAAUCUCUACGGAUUUGCUAUAUCACCAACGCUGAGUCCCCUUACACUUCUAAGAUUUUGACUCAAUAGCUGCACGAAGUCCCAUUAUACAGAUCUCAUAUUCUACUAUGUUAUUGGUACAGAAGAAAUUCAACCUGGCAGUGAACGGAUAAUGGUUCCCUUCUGGGGAUACUAAGACUGCUCCAAUCCCAUGCCCCAAUGUAUUCGAUGCACCAUCAAAACUCAUCUUCGAUGACUUCUCUUGGGAUGAAUCAUAUUCUUUUCCCGUAAUGCACAUUAAGUCUUCAUCCGGGAAAUCAAAUCUCAAUGGCUCGUAUUCCUCCGUUGUUCGAGUUGCUAAGAAAUCAACUAUUGCACUCUCUUUUAUUGACUUUUGGCUCACAUAGACGAUGUCGUAUUCUGAUAGUAAGAUCUUCCAUCGUGCCAUUCUUCCUGAGAGGGCAGGUGAUUCCAUCAUGUACUUAAUUGAGUCCAGCUUCAAAAUUAACCAUGUCGUAGGAUACAACAUAUAUUGCCUAAGCCUCCGAACUACCCAAACCAAAGUGCAACAGAAUUUUUCAAUUGAUGAGUACUUUGCCUCAUACUCUGUGAACUUUUUGCUGAGAUAGUAAAUCGCCUUUUCUCUUUUCCCUGACUCAUCGUGUUGCCCCAGUACGCAACCCAUUGAAUUUUCGAACACAGUUAGAUACAAUAUUAACGGUCUUCUUGGAGUUGGAGGUACUAGCACCGAGGGACUAGACAAAUACUAUUUUAUCUUGUCAAAAGCCACUUGGCACUCUUCGUUCCAUUCUCCCAGAUUAUGUUUUCAAAGGAAUCGUAAAAUUGGGUCACACUGGUUGGUAAAUUGAGCAAUGAACCGAGCGAUGUAGUUCACCUCCCUAAAAAUCCUCUGACUUCUUUUUGCGUGCGCGGAGGUGGCAGUUCUUGUAUGGCUUUUAUCUUAUCUAGAUCAACUUCAAUGCCUCUCUCGCUGACGAUGAAGCCUAGCAAUUUUCCUGAGGUUGCCCCAAACGUGCACUUGGUUGGAUUAAGCUUCAGCUGGAACUUUCUCAGUCUCUCGAACAACUUCUUGAGGUUCUCAACAUGCUCUCUUUCCCCUUUGGAUUUAGCGAUCAUAUCAUUGACGUAGACUUCUAUUUCUUUGUGCAUCAUGUCAUGAAACAACAUCACCAUGGCCCUCUGAUAUGUUGCCCUAGUGUUCUUUAAUCCGACCGACAUCAACUUAUAACAGAAUGUUCCCCACAUCGUUACGAAAGUAGUUUUCUCCAUAUCCUCAGGAGCCAUCUUUAUCUGAUUUUAACCUGAGAAUCCAUCCAUGAACGAAAACAAUGAAUGUUUGGCGGUGUUAUCCACCAAUGUAUCGAUGUGUGGCAAAAGAAAAUUAUCUUUAGGACUUACUCGAUUCAGAUCAUGAUAAUCCAUACACAUUCGCACGUUGCCAUCUUUCUCCGGUACUGGGACUAUGUUAGCUACCCAUUGUGGGUACUUAGAGACUUGUAGGAAGUCGAAUUAUUUCUUGACUUCUUCUUUUAUCUUUAACAGUAUUUCAGGUCUCAUUCGUCUUAGCUUCUGUUGAAUGGGUUUGCAUUCUGGUUUCAGUGGGAGCCUAUAGACCACUACAUCCUUAUCCAAUCCUGGCAUCUCCUGAUAUGACCAUGCAAAUACAACUUUGUACUCAUGAAGCAAAGUGACCAAAUCAUGUUUGGUGUUAUCUGAAAUGGAAGUCCCAAUCUUCACUUCUUGCCUCUUUUCUUCAUUUCUCAAGUUUACUAUCUCAACAGAUUCUUGAUGAGGUAGAAUCUGUUUAUCUUCUUGUUCUACCAUUCUUAGUAAGUCAGGAGAUGAGACAUAGUCUUCAGUAUUUUCCUCAGCUUCAAACUCUCCUAAACAAAUAGCCUUCUCGAAAUCGAUUUCAAGAUUUGUAACGAGUUUGUUCAUAUCGUUGAUAUCCGAGCACUUGAAAGUUGAAUGGAAAAGAAAAAUGUAGAGGAGCAUCAAAGUAUUGGGACCAACAAGCAUGGCAUGAUGUGAGAUAUAUGCAAUGAUAGGCUGUGUGAAGAGGGAAAAAAUUAUGAAUUUAAUGAGAAUGAAAGGACCAUGACAAAAUACAUCUCCAUUAAUGUUCAUUUAAAUGAUAAAGAGCAAACAUAAGCUCUUACAAAAGAAUUCCACUAUUACUUGGGGACACACAAAAUGAAUAGUGUUAACAUUGAGCAUUACUCUGGAAGAGACUUAGAAACUGCAAGGAGAUCCACAACAGUCCAAUUGUUCAAAACGAAUCCAGGAAGACAAGGGCGUAUCAUUGAAACAUCUUUAAUUGCAUCAUUUUUUUUAUCAAUGACAUUUAUACUGACAUUCGAAAGACCCCUUUCAAUUAAUAGUAGCGUGUUUCGUGGAUUAUCUUGCCCGGAGUAUAUCAUUCCUGCAGAUGUAAAUGUUUUUGACAAAGGAAGAUACGUUAUGGGCUCCCAUUCUAAUUCUCGGCCUAAGGCUCUUGCAAUCCGCCUUUCUCAAUCUUUCUAUAACUGUUUUCUUCUUUGUCGCAUAUCUGGCUGGAACCCUAAACCAUAUUGAGCCUUAUGAGGCACGGGUUUUAGAGCUCUAACUAUCCCUUGCUGAUAUCUUCCCAAACCUUUCCUCGCUCGGGCUUCCUUUAUCACAAUCAGUUUAAUUCUCAUCUUGGUAUUCCUUGACAGCUUAGGCAUAGGAAUCUUAUUUCCUUCAGCAACGAACAUAGCAUUGAUGAAUUCAAAGGAACGGAAGGAACAUUCUACUGCAUCCUUGCUUAUUUCAAGGUAUGGUGUAUCCGCAGAGAUAGAUGCAACAAUGUCUUCCUCACCUACGACAGUGACCAAAAGUCCAUCCAUGAUAAACUUCACUUUUUGAUGGAGAGAUGAAGGAACUGCCCCAGCAGAGUGGAUCUAAGGCCUUCCUAAAAGGCAAUUAUACGAAGGUAUGAUGUCCAUGACCUGAAAAUCGAUGUCAUAUAUAUAGGGGCCCACUUCUAGAGGAAUUUUAAUUUUUCCCAUGACUUCUCGUCUUGUCCCAUCGAAUGCUUUUACUAUAGAGUGAUAAGGCCUCAGAUAGGAUAAAUCAAUUGGAAUUCUAGAAAGCGUAGCCAAAGGCAUGACAUUGAGUGCUGACUCGUUAUUAAUGAGCACAUUCGGUAUUAUAUAACUCUUACAACGGGUUGUGAUAUAUAAUGCUUUUACGGAGCCCCUACCAUUUGGCGGUAUUUCAUCAUCACUAAAAGAAAUGAAAUUAUCCGCGUUCAGGUUAUUCACCCACCUAUUAAGCUUUUCGACAGAUAUAUUGCUUGCUACGUAAGCUUGAUUUAACACUUUCAGCAAAGCAUUCCGAUGUGGUUCUGAAUUCAACAGUAGGGAUAAUACUGAGAUUCGUACCGGUUGUUUGCUUAACUAUUUCACGAUGUUAUAUUCACUAUGCUUGAUGAACUUCAAGAAUUCAUGUGCUUCCUCUUCAUUCACAGGCCUUUUAACUUCUUGUUCGGAAGGAGUCUCAAGUUCAACCUCGGCCUCCUGCAUCGGUGCCUUUCCUUUCUGCUUCAAGUCAUUAGUCUUCUUUAUUGGUUCGACCACUUUAGAAUAACACCUCCCGCUACGGGUGAAAUGUCUUACUUUUCCAAUAUUUUCGGUCGUGACUUUGGAUUUUUCACCUUCAGGUAUGAUAAUGUUGACAUCAUAUUUCCAUGGUACUGCCUUGUUGUCUUUGUAAGGGAACAGAGAUGAUAAUUCAAUUAUCAUUUUUGGUUUCACUUGCUCCUUUUUUGCAUCGUAAUAAAUCACCAAUGGUCGAUUGGCGCUAUAAGGGAAACUUCAUGAUUGAUUGUUAGAAGCGCAUACUUCUCCCUCAUCGGCCUCUUUGUUAAAGAUCUCAAUCUCCUUAUUAUCCAUCAUAUCUUGAAGUAACUUUCUAAAUUCCUCACAAGACUGAAUGUCAUGCCCUUCAAUACCAUGGAAGCCAUAAAAACAUUGACUUUUUAUACUUCCUUCUUUAAAAAUUCUGCAGGGGCGACAGAACAGCCCAUUUUCAACCAUCACCUUCCAUAUCUUCUGUAAAGGUGUCUUUAUUUCAGAAACGCAGCUUUUGGUUUGCCACUUGUCUUCCUUGGUCAUUGCGUUCACAUUCCCUUCAGUAUAGUUAGGGAGCGGAUUUCCAAUUCUAUUGCUAGUACCAUUAAAUCGUAAGAUGUCUGCAUCAAUGAGGCCUUGAACCCUCCUUUUAAAUGCCAGACAAUUUUUGUAGAAUGCCCCUGGUUUCCGACGUGGUAUAUGCAACUGGCAUUAGGAUCGUACCAUUUUGGGUAUGGAGGCUUCAAGGGUGCCAUAUAAUGUGGGGAUAUUAAUUAUUUUUCCAACAGUUUUGGGUACAACUCUCCAUAUGACACGGGAAUUGGGGUGAACUGGGGUUUUUCAAGAUUGGAUCUUGUCGGUCUUUGUUCAUUUUUAGGUUGGAUUUGAGCUGGCAUGGUAUUCUGUGGGAACAUAGUGACUAGUCUUUAGUUAUUUGUGGCGUAGACGGGGUAAGAAGGGUAAUGAGGUGGUGCUUGAUAGUAAGGGCUUUGGGGAGGAUAAUAGAAGUUUGGAGGUGGGCGAUAUCGAGGUCGUGACUGGGUUGGAUACGGAUUAGAAGUGUAGUAAUUCUCAGUUCCCACCAUAUAGGCUUCUGCCUCUUUUUUCUUUACAAGUGCUGCCAUUUUCGAGCUCUCGGAACCUUCCAUCUUUCCAGUUUUGAUGGUAUUUUCUAUAAGUUCCCCGGAUAUUACAAUAUCUGCGAAGUCUUUCGUGGCACUUCCUACCAACUUAUCAUAAAACGGUACUUUCAAAGUGUUGAUGAAGAGGACCGUUAUUUCAGUUUUGGUCAAUGGGGGUUCUACUUGGGCCGAGAUAUCCCUCCAUCUUUGCGUGUAUUGCCUAAAAGUCUCCGUUGGCUUCUUUUCCAUCAUCUGCAGAGUUAGUCGAUCAGGCACCAUGUCGGAUACAUACUUGUAUUGUUCACAAAAUGCUAAUGCCAAGUCUUUCCAUGAUUAGAUCCUUUCUCUACUAAGUUGAUUAUACCAUCAAAGGGCUGAUCCGACCAAGCUAUCUUGGAAACAGUGUAUUAGCAAUUUAUCUUCAUUCACGUAACCAGUAAUCUUCCGGCAAAACCUGACAAGGUGUGCCUUUGGACAUUUCGUUCUAUCAUAUUUUUCAAAAUCGAGCACUUUAAAUUUUGGAGGCAGAACCAGAUCGGGCACCAAAUUGAGCUCUUUGGCACUCAAUGCAGAGAAGGCUUCAGUACCUUCUAUCGCUUUAAGUCUUUCUUCCAAACUCCUAUACUUAUCUUGAACAUCAUGAUCAUCUAUUUUCAACCUGGCUAUUUCUAUCGGGUCAUCCAAAUCUGAAACAUUGGGAUCAGCAAGAUUAGCUCCUGGGUUUGAUACGAAUGUACCUUGACCUAGAUGAGUAGGUGGUACAAUUUGUUGCUCGAGGCUUGUAGGUUCCCUUUGAGGAUAUUCUCUUUGCGUUGUGUGUGCAUGAGGUGGAGUGAAUCCUGGGGGAUAGAGUGGAUCCUGAUCAUGAUUAGUUCUUGGCUGAGGCUCCAUAGUGUCAGGGUUCUGUAUAGGUUCCUUUCCUUUGACCAAAGCUGUAAUCAUUUCCAUCAUUUUGGCCAUCUAAUCUCUUUGUUCGAGCGAUUCCUCUCGAGAUCUUAACAUCAAAUCUCUUGCUUCCUGUUGUGACUUGGUCAAUUACUCUUGCAAUUCUCUUUGGGCCCUUUUCAUCCUUUCAAUUCUUUCAUUGAACUAGGCUUCCAUAAAUCUAGCUUUUCGGCGCGUCCUAUAAGAAUGGCGUGAUUUUAGACUUGUAGUGUCACAACUGCGGAUUAUACAGUUUUAGCCACAGUGAAUGAUUAUGGUGAUAUGUACAUGCAAUGAAUGAAUGAAUGAAUGAAUGAAAAAUGAAUAUUGAAUAAAUGACGAAUGAAUGUUAGUCAUGAAUAAAUAUGCAAGAAUUUGGUGUUGAUUUCAAGAUAGCCCCAUACUUAGGCAUUUCAUUUAUCAAAAGAGUCUAUUACAAAACAUUUCGCCAUUUUUUUUAUUCAACAGUUACACAAAUUUCCUAGCCACAUUGCCUUGUUUCUUCCCUCGCUCUAAGAACUCUGACAUGUUUGAUCUUUAGCUCGGAGGGAAUUGGCAACUGAAAGCUUCGGCUUCAUCUGAUAAUUGCACAACUUGCAUAGCUGCCCUGCGAAUUUCAUUGAUCAAAAAGCCGAGUUGCAUUUCUUUUUCUUGGAGAGCUCUUUCAUAAGUGUGAGUGUCUCCGUCAUACUGAUCAUUCUUUUCUUCUAGAGCUUUUAGAAGAGUAUCUAACUAUUGCUGAUGAGAUUGCAGCAUAUUUUCUAGAUCUUGUAUUUUCCUUCUUAGCUUUUGACGUUCGGACUGACUAGUCACAAAUUCUGCAGUCACAGUUUCAUACUCAACAUUCUUCUUUUUUAACUCUAUCAUAGUACGCGCAGCUUUUUCCUCUUCUUUCUUUGCUUUCCCUUUCCAGAAUUCUAUCCCUCCUUUGAUGUUGCUAAUUUCUUCCUUCCAUUCUGCUGACGACUUGCCUAAACCACUAUUUUUUAUAGUGUUUCUUAAUUUCUUAUUUUCCAAAUGAAGGUCCCUUAAGUCGUUUCUCAUGAUCUCAACUUCUUUUUGAACUUUCAUGGUUUUGGAUUCUUCAAUUUGAACCCUGAUCUUCAGCUGGUAGUUUUCCUCUUGAAGAGAACUAAUAUCCCGUAACAGCUUGGCCUUUUCACGUUCAAAUUCAUGUCUUGCUACUUCCAGCUCGGAUGGCAUUUUUUUUAAGAAAGGAUUCUAGAAAGUGUAACUUGUCGGUGAGAUUUGUUGACUAUUCACUCGUCGUUUUCCCCAUAAGCCAUAAUCCUGAGUGAUAGUAUCAGCAUAAAGGGCUAACUCCAUUAGGUGAAUUUCCUUCCAAGACUUUGCAGUAUCUCAAAUUCUUUUCAUGUAGCCUUCACCCGUAAAGGCGAACUCUGAUUGUGCCAAUCCUUCAGUAGCGGGUAUGAACUGUCGUGAAGCAAAUUAUCUUUGAACCAUUAACGGAGUGUAUCCAAUUCCUCCCCAUAAUCCUAGUAAAGACACCCAAUCUUGGCUUCUGCAUUUAUAUAUCAGAAUUGAAGGAAGAAUCCAUGGUGCUCUCCAGGUUAUCUCUUCAGCGCGAAGGUUUUGAAAAACCAAAACCCAGUUCUGCUCGGUGACAUCUUUCGGCCAAUCUUUCUCAAAGUAAGCCUUUAAUGGGGCGAAUGUUUUUUGAGAACAUGUGGAAAGGUGUGUGCUCUACUUUCCAGAAAUGGCUCAGAAUCCAGACAUUAAGCAACUGCGCGCAUCCGAUAAAACGCCCUUCCCCUUUUCUGCUACAACUACUCAGAGAUCUAAAAGUCUCGGCCAAGAUAGUUGGAAUGGGGUUGAUCCCUUGACCCAACCUUUCGAAGAAAUCCACUACCGCGACUUCUACAUGCCCCAAAACCUUUGGGAAGACGACCAAUCCGUAAAUGGCCAAAGCAAACAGAUUCAUUCUCUUCGCAAUAUCUGGAUGAUUUUGAACUAAGUCUCGCAGAGAAAACCAUGGAACACAACUGACUUCAUUCUUUUUCUUUAUCUAUUUUUCAGCCCAUAUAUCAGUCAUUACGGUCAACCUCACUAGCUUUUUCUUGAAGUUCAUUGGCUUAGGCUCUUUCACAUACAUCUUGUUGAAUUGUACAUUGUCAACACGAAGCAAAGCAGCAUAUUCUUCUAUGGUCGGAGUCAUAUCUUCCUGAUUGAAAGUAAAGCACUGGUAAGCUGGGUCCCAAAAUCGAACCAUGGCUUGAAUUAACUGUUCGUCUAUGUUGAUGGUGAUCAAGUGAGCUAUAUCCCCGUACUUUUCAGUGAAAAUCCCCCUAGUAUCUGAGUCUCACUGUUUCCAAAUCUGAGUCAAGUCUUCGAGAUUAUUCUGACGAACAUUUGUAGCUACUUGCUCGGGAAGAUUAGAGAUACAUCCUUCCGUUAAACUAUCCCCUUUCGCUUUCUGAGUCUUCAAAGACCAGUCUCGAACCACGCCAUUUUUCUCGGUUACUUGUGUAAUUGACUCCUCCAUCAGAAACCCGUUUUUGGCAACCAAUCUCUAAUCAACACCUUCCUAAUCAAGAUGCCUAUGAUGCAUGAUGAAAAAUAAAAAUAAAGACAAACAACCUUGGUUAGUAAUCACAACAAAUAUAAACUGAGAAAAACUAUGGAAAUUUCAACAAAUUAAGCUACUCAGUUUAAUUCUUUUGCAUAAACAGUGUAAAUGUAAAGGAAAUGAAAAUCAAGAGGCGUUUCUCCCGCGUACUUAUUUUGGUGACUAUUAAACAGACAAAGGUUCGGCAUGGCUCUAAUUAGGUGGCUCAUAUGGUUCACUAUAUGCGAUUUCGGUUCUAGAUAGGUACUCGAAUUGUCCGUACUGUCAUCUGCUAAGAUUAGUACGAAGCCUCGGUCAUUGCCUAUCACAGGCUUACGAGUUCAGUUCGAGGGAUCACAUUUACUUAUGCCUAUGCGGAGGGACAAGUUAACUCACGAAAGCAUAAGUCAUAUGUAACCCGAAAGUAUUCACUAGCCUGUGCGGAGGGACGAGUUAACUCACGAAGGCAUAGCGUUUACUUUCACUUAAACAGACGGAGCCCAGGUAGAAAGCUUAUGUUAUGCAAAAAUGCAAGUGAUCAGUGUAUGGGGAAAAACUCACAAACCUUUUCGUUUUUAUUUAAAACUAAAAGAAGCUAAAACUAUAAAGACUUAAAGCUGAAAAGAAAAGGAUAAAACAAGUUAGAGAAAAUACUUACAACAUGAUGCAAAUGCAUGAUUUUUUGAAAACAAAAUUUGAGGAUCACGACUAAAUAUUAAUUUGAACAAGGAAAUUUGAAAUUUUUGACAACACGCGUUUAAUUCAACUCGACUCUCAAAAAUAAGUCCCCAGUGGAGUCGCCAGCUGUAGCGACGUAAAAUUUUUUCUUUGGUCGCUAAUUGAGGCGAUUUAUUGAAAAUUUGAAAAUCGACUUUCGAUUUUAUUUAAAAAGGGAGUCACCACCGAUCUUUUUUCCUAGGUGUGAUCGGACACCUAAUAAAUCCUCUUUUUUUAAAAGAAAAUUUAUUUUUUAAACAAAAAGAAGGCCGAGGUUAGGUCUACGCGAAAAUCCAGAGAAAAAAAGGGUUUGGGAGUCGGUUAUGCACGAGGAAGGUAUUAGCACCCUCGCGACGCCCAAAAUUGGUAUCUUGUUAAACAUGUGUUGUCUUAAUUUUCGAAAAUGCGAGUUCAAUGUAACAUUUAAUCAUGAUUCGAUCAAAACACGAAAAUUUUUAUAAUUUCGAUUUCUUUUGACAAGGAUGUUCCGUUUUUAACACGAGACGAUGAUAUUCACCCAACAUAGCGAUGAAAUCAACGACUUAAUGGUAAAUCGGCACGUUGCCUUAUUUAUUGAAAUUAAUAAAAAAUGAAUAAAAUAAUUCUUAAAAUAAAAAUUCAUAAAUAAAUAAACGGUGCAAACAAUGAUAUAAUGAAUGAAAAAUAUUAACAUAUAAUAUAAGAGCAUUAGGAUAAAAAUAAAAACAAUAUUUACAAUAAAAAGAAAAUAAUAAUAAAAAUAAUGAUAUGCUAAUAAUAUAAUAAGAAAAGCAAACUGAUACAGAAUGGUAAGAACAAAACUAAAAGAGUUAGAAAUACAUCGAAGCAAAUAAUAAAUACGACAAUGAUAUUAAAAACAAUAACAAUGCAUGCGAUAUUAAACGUAAUAAUAGUAUUAAACACGAAAUAAAAACAAUGAAUAUAUAUAUACAUAUAAUAAUAGUUAGUAAAGUGAUGGGAACAUGAUAUUAAAAACAAUAAUAAUGUUACCUAUAUACAUAUGUAUAUAUUAAAAUAUAAACAUAAUAAUAGUAUUAAAAAGCAUAUACAUAGUAUUAACAAUAUAUACAUAAUAUAGUUAUUAAAAAAUAUAUACAUAAAACAAUAUGUAAAAAAAAUAUAUAAAUAAUAUAGUAUUAAAAAAUAUACAUGAUAUAUAUAAAAUAUAAUAUUAAAAAGAUAUAUAUACGUAAUAUAUAUAAAAAAUGUAUACAUAAUAUAGUAUUAAAAUAUUUACAUAAUAUAUACAUAUUAGAAAUAAUAAUGUUAAAAACAACUAUCAAUAAUACUACAUAAAUAUAUACAUAUAUAUAUAUUAAAGAUAUAUACAUAUAUAAUAAAACACAUACUAAUAUUAAUAACAAAUAUAAUAGGGGUAAAAAUAGACACAAUAAUAAUAUGUAUAUAACGUGGUAUUAAAAAUAUGUGUAUAAUAUAGUAUUUAAAUAUAUAUACAUAAUAUAUAUAUUAGGAAUAAUAAUAAUAUAAAAAAACAACUAUAAAUAUAUACAUAAUAUAUAUAUAAGUAUUAAUUGAAACUAAAAAAUAAUUCUAAUAAUAGUAAAAAUAUACUAAUAAUAAUGAUAAUAACGAUAAUAGUAAAUAUAAUAAUAAAUAAUAUUAAAAAUAAAAAAUGGUAAAAAUAAUAUAAAAAAACAAAUUAAAUCUGGAAAAGGGACUAAAUUCGAAACAAAAAUAAAGUUUUGGGGCCAAUUUAAAAAGAAAUAAAGGGAAAGAGAUUAAUUUGGAUGCACGCAAAACAAAGGACUAAAAAAGCAAUUAUUCCUCCCCUCAAAACGCAACACAGUAAAAGGGACUAAAUCGCAAAGCGCUAUAUACUUUGGGCCCAAAUUAAAAGCACAAUAAAUCUAAUUGCAAAACCAUAAAAAAGCAGAGGGGCUAAAAGUGCAAUUAGCCCCUCCAAUGAAAAACACGCGGAUCCUUGGUGGAGCGGGUCAAAUCGGGUCGGGUCAGGCAAAACGACGUCAUUUUGGGGUUUAAUGGCCAACCCCAAAACGACGUCGUUUUGGGGGCUAUUUAAAUCCGAUUUCUUUUAAAAAAUUCAUUCUUCUUCUGUUCUAAAAAGAAAUUUCUCUCCUCCUCUCAUUUUCCUCUGCAGAGACCCUCAACGCCGGUGAAGACUCCGGCCAGUCACCACCGUCGGCCACCGAAGGUAAAUUUUUAAAAUUUUUUUAUUAUGUUUAUAUAUAAAUAUGUAUAUACUGUUUUUUUUUAAAAAAAAAGAAAAAAAAUAUAUAUGUAUGUAUAGUCGAAUACUGAAAAUAAAAAAGGAAAAGAGAUGAGACCUUAGCCUUUGGAAUCUGUUUUUUUUUCUCUUCAAUACUUGCUGGAUUUUCUUUGUUUUUUUAAGACUAUUAUGUGCUAAAAAUGAGAUUUAUUGUUUUAUUGCUUCCUCCAAAAAAUCUCACCUCUUUACAUGAUUUUUGAAUGGCCUUUUCAUAGCCAUCCUUUUACAAGUUGUUGUUUUUUUUUUAAUCUUUCUAUCACUUCUGUUGCAGGUGGAUGAGGUCAAUGGUGGCAGAGUUGGUGGUGGCAGGUGGAGCAGGUGGCUGACAAGGCUAGGGCGGCGGCAUGGCAAAGGCAGUGGCAAGGGUUUUCUGAUUUGUUUUGUGUAUUAAGGUUUUGGGUUGGCUUAGUGGACUUAGGGUUUUUAAUUAUUUGGGUAUUUUAAUUUGAGUUAGGGUAGGUUAGUUGGGUUUAUUUUAUUUUAUUCAAAAUUAGGCCUCAACAAUUAUGUUUAUAAUUUGAAUUAUGGUAAUACCACUGAGUAUAAAAUACUCAAUGUACGGUUAUUUCCGUAUGCAAGUUAAUAGGUGUUAAGGGUCUUGGUUCAGCAUCCAGGCGAUCCCGAUUCCAGCGCAAAACUCAAUUAUGUAUUUUUCUUUUGGUAAAAGUGGCAUGUACAUAGGUGUUAUUUUGGUCACUUUAAAAUACUAUAUGAUUUUUGUUGUAAAGAAUGAUAUUUGGUAUUUUGGUGUUUAAACUAAUGAAAUGGUAUGAAAAUUUAUAUGAUAUACAUGAUAUAAUUGGUGUUAAAUUUAGAAUGGAAUGAAUGAAAUUCUAAUUUAAUUUUUAAUGGUAAUAUAAAUGUUCAUAGAGUAAAUUAUCAAAUUAAUGUUAUAGGUAUGAUUUUAAUACGAUUAAACAUGAAAUUGCAUUGGUUGAAAUAUUGGUUUUGAAUUGGUCCCGGAUUGAAAUUGCAGGGAAGGUUAGAUAUUUAUAAAAGGGUUAUAUUGAGUUAAAAAAAAUAUCCUCGUAGCACCCGAACAAGUCCAAAUUCCCCUCUAAUAUGUAUUUUGGGCCUUAAGGGUCCAAUCAAGAGACUUUAUAAUUAUUUUAUAAUAUAAUAUGUUCGAUAAUUAUUUGAAUAUUAAUCGUAAAUUGUUUGAUUGUCCGGUAAUGCCUCGUAACCCUGUUCUAGUGACAGUUUAGGGUUAGAGGGUGUUACAGUCUCACUCAAAGAAUGAUUUUAUUAACCAUUAACAUAAUAGAACUCUUGAAUUAAGUCCAAUUUGCCCUCAGACCAGUAAAUAAUUGCAGCUUCAAAGUUGAUCCCAAUUAUUACAAUCACUCUCCUAAAACCUCAUAAUACAAUCAAUUAAACUCUUCAAAGAAUGUCUGAGAAAAGAGUGUCAAAAUACUGAGUACAUGAUUAACUUUAUGGUAAAUAAAUCUCCUAAAGUAAAUCUGAUCAACAAUUUAUCCUUUAAGAUAUCAAGAAGUUCUGAUCGAAGUAAAACUUUUAAUUCAAGUCAAAAUUGUCACCUCAAUUGGAUAACGAUAAACUCUUUCAAAUAUAGUUUUUGUUUGUUCACAAAAACAUGUCCAAUGUAUCCUCUAUUUGCUACUUAAUUGGAAAUAUUUAUAUCUUAUCCUUGUACAAGUCAAAAUUGCCAACAAAAUAGGAUAUACUUUAUAUGUAUAAAAUCUUUUAUUAAAGAGUCAAUGAAUAGUUGGCUUGGAGGGGCGUAGUUAGGGGCUGGCAGGGUUCUGGCCCCCUUAAAAUGAAAUUUUUUUAUUUAGGCCAUUUAAAAUUUUUAAAUAAAGGUAAAAUUACACUUUGUCCUUCUAAAAAUAAUAAAAUUUGAUUUAACCCUUUAAAAAUUAUAAAUUCUAUUCAAAUGGUGAAAUUACAUUUUUUUUACAAUAUAAUUUCGGCCCCCUAGAAAAAUUUUCUGACUUCGCUCUUGUUUACUUGGACAAUUCGACUUCUUAUUUUAAUUGGAUAGAACUUCUUAUUUUAAUUGGAUAGGAGAAUAUAUAUCAAUUUUAUUUUUAAUAAAAAUGUGGGAUUUUGAGAUUAUGCACUUGAUUUUUUUUUAUAAAUAUUGUUUUAAACCUAAAAUAAAAUUAAAUGAGGCCAUUGUGAUGAUAUCGUAUAAUCAGAUCGCUAGCUAAUGGGAACACCCAUAAUUUGAGGCAAUAUUGUGAGAUAGAAACGGUCUCUCCCUACACUCAAGCUCUUCCUUCCAUGCCUAAUAACUGAAGCUUUCCAUUUGUGACAUGGGACACUACUAUUAUUUCGGGUCACCAGAUGACCAUUUCUUAACCCUUUCCAUGUUCCAACAACCAAGGACCACGACCACUUCAAAAACCUACCCGCCCCCUUACACUCUCUUUUAGCCUUUGCAUCCUUCCUUCAUUUUUGAUUUUUUUUUCAACAAAAUCAAAAACCAAAAGUGGACCAAUAGUUGCAGACACAUCAUGUCUUUCCCAUGGCGUCCUUUGAUUUCAUGACUCUUUUCUUCUGUCUUCUUAUCCACAGACAUUGAUCAUUAUUAUUAUUAUUCUCGUUAGCUGUCUCUCCUCGACAACGCUUUGAUGUUUGGUACUGCAUUUUGAUGUUGUGUUGGAUGAGCAGUUGAUGUCUUUGGCCGUUGGAGCUGGUCCAAGUUCCAGUAAUAUGGAUGACAAAGCGGGCUCUGCUGAAAAAACGACCACCAACCACCGUCCAGAGAGCGAUGAUGAUAACGAAGAGGAGAAUCGCAAUUUGCAUUUGGGUCCUCAGUACACUCUCAAAGAACAGCUUGAAAAAGAUAAGGUUAAAUCUUCUUUUUUUUUUUUUUUUUGGUUUACACACACACAUAUCCAUUACAUUUUACAUGCAUGCAUGAAUGCCUAUAAUUUUACUAUCAUUAUUCUAUGUUGGUGAUCGUUGCGUGAGUGUAGGAUGAUGAGAGCUUAAGGAAAUGGAAAGAACAGCUUCUUGGAGGUGUGGAUAUUAACAACAUUGGAGGUACUUAUUAUGUUUAGUUAGAUUGUGUGUAUAUAUAUAUGAGCUAAUUUUAAAGAAUUUGCAGAAUUUGACAUGGAAAUAAUGGUCUCCAUUUUAUUACAGAAACACUUGAACCGGAAGUGAAGUUCCUUAGUGUGGCAAUCGUGUCACCAGAUAGGGAAGACAUAGUUCUUUCAAUCCCUGCAGAUGGAAAGCCCGAGGGUUUAUGGUUUACACUGAAAGAAGCUAGCCAUUAUCGCUUGAAGUUCUCUUUCCAAGUUAGCAACAACAUUGUAUCUGGUCUCAGGUACACCAACACUGUCUGGAAAACUGGCGUCAAAGGUAAACAUUAAUUCUAAACCCUCUCAAUAAGUAAUAAUAAUUCACCCCCCAAAACUGUUUCCAACAUAAUAAAAUUCAAUCCUUUUCUUUUGGGGUUUCAGUUGACAGCACAAAAGAUAUGAUUGGAACUUUUAGUCCUCAGUUAGAGCCUUAUACACAUGAAAUGCCCGAAGAGACAGCCCCUUCUGGUUUUUUGGCUAGAGGAUCAUACACUGCAAAAUCAAAGGUUUGUAUGAUAACAUACUUUUAUCCGACAUUGAUUAUGUCUAAAUUCGAGUGACAUAGUAUGUUGUAAUGGUUUCAGUUCCUUGAUGAUGAUAACAAGUGCUACUUGGAGAUCAACUAUACAUUUGAUAUCCGAAAAGAUUGGGCUGCUACUGAAUAAUAGAUCAGCUCCAAGAACCCUUCAUUCAAUGCUUCAUGUUCUUAUUAUGCUUAUAUAUAUAUAUAUAUAUUCACUUUCAGACAAUUUUCAAGCAGCUAGUUUUUUCCCAAAAUAAACGCAAGUGAUGAGAGAUGACAAGAUUUUCACUUGAUUAGCAUUUUUUGGUAGGGACAUUUUGAUAAUUAAUGAUGUCUAGAACUUUGGAUGUUGUUCAUGUUCUGUUCUUGCAUUCCAUCUAUGUGCAUAUAUAAGAAAUGAGUGAUCAGUCAUUGAUUUUUUCUUUUUGUCUUGUUUUAUAUCAUCAAACUGCUCUCUCUUUUUUUUUUUAUUACUCAUCAACAUGAUAUACUUCAACCCAAACUAAAUCUCAAUUAAAAUUUCAUUCAAUUAAAAUUUAAAAAUACAAAGAAAACCUACUUUGCCAUUAUCCUAAUAAAAAGAGAUAGGGAUGACGUGGAAUCAUAAUUUCAUACAAUCCAUUCUUUGAUCCCUAUAUAUACUAUCAAGUCAGAUAAAUGUUAUAAUUGAAAUAAAUACAAUAAUUAAUAUCUAUUUAACAUUUAAUUUAUGUUUUUAUUAAAUAAUUCAAUUAGAAAGAAAUCCAUAAAUCACACCCAUCUUGUCAAUUUUUAUGUUAGUAUUUUUUUGAAACAAAAUCUUUAAGGCGUAAAUUUUGUUGAUAUUGCAGAAGUAUGAUAACUCAUAUGAAUGACGAUCUAUUUGAAGCAACAUAUUUUAAAAAUUAGAUUAGAUCGGAUCAAGCAAUCUAAUCCUUUGAAAUAAAGAAUUUAGAUUGGGACUGCAUUGAAGACUUAUAUCGAACAAUUCUAUUUUAUCUUGGAUUUUAUUAAUAUAUUGGGUAUGUUAUUUUAAUUGCAAUUUUUUAAAGAAAAUUUAUUGUAAUUGAUCUACUAUUUUAACAAAUCUCAAAGUCUUAUAUAUUUGAAGAAAUUUGUAUGAGUUUUGUAUUGAAAGUUUAUAACACUUAUUCAUUGAGAAACUUGUUAUGGAAGGUGCAUUGAGAAUAUAAACAAGUUUAUUGUUUGGUUCACAGUUUAAGCUUUCAUGAGAAAACUUUAGAAGUGAGUGAUCUAGAUUUAGAUAUAAAAGUGAAGUUUAUAUAUCAAGCUGUGAUAGGACUUAGAUCCAUGGCGGUUGGUUUCGUUCCGGUACCAAUUGUACCAGUUGAUAUACUAUAUCAAGCUGUGAUAGGUCUUAGAUCCAUGGCGGUUGGUUUCGUUCCGGUACCAGUUGUACCAGUUGAUAUACUCCGUUUCGAACGUAAACUGGAGCAAUAUAAUAUAUGAUUCAUUAUGUCUCAAAGUUUGGCCUAUUUCACCUGUACUGACAUAUUCCGACCUGUUUUGUCUGUUGCGACCGAAAAAGACGAACUGGCUACGGUAAGAGAAAAGAAAAAGAAGGAAGAAGAGAGAAAAGAGAAUAAAAAAAACAAAAUUAAAAUCUCAUAUGGAAAAACAAAACAUCUCGGCAGAUAAGUUUUGGGAUUUUACAAGCUUAAAAAUAAUAUUAAUUUAAUCUACAAAUUUAAUUUAAAUAAGAAUUAUAUUAUCUUUUAAUAUAUAUAUUGAUAAUAACUAAAAUUGUUAAUAAAUGAAUAAAUAAAAUUUAUUUUUAUAAAAAAUAUUAUUUUAUUUAUUAUUAGUAAUAAAUAAUAGUAUGAUACCUUUCAAAAAAUAGUAUUAUAUGAUAUAUUUACUAGUACAUAUAAAAUUAAACUAAUAAUUAUACAAAAAAUAAAGGUAAAUACAGAACGGUAUACCAAAACAUACUGGUAUUAAUAUGUAUCAGUAUCAAUAGAAAAACGGUACAUCUACCAUACGGUACUGACUACCUUUCUUAAACCACUUGUUGUAUUAGGAUUAAAGACAGUGUGUAACACCCCAAACCCGGCCCAGACGUUAUGACCGGAUCCGACAUGCCACAUCGAAGCGUUCAAAACAUUUUAUAUUGUUGAUCCAGAAAAAACUUACUUAGUGUUUUAAAAGAUAAUUUCAUUAUAGGUUAAAGUGAAUGGAAGUUGUGCACCAGGUAGGAAACCGGAAAAGAGGUGGUGAGUCCAUCGGACUGCUUAAGUACCAAGCUCCCUUCGGAUCCAAUCCUAGACAUGCAUACCGCUAUUGCCACACCUUAACGUCAUGGAUAUUUCUAGGAAACUGAUUUUGAUUAAGUCAUUUUUAGGAAAAGUGAUUAAUUUUGGAAAAUACUUUCAUUGCGGAAGCUUUGCUUGUUGUCGUAUUAUUUUGAAAUCAAUUGUUGUUUUUGAAAACGCGCCCUAAAGCUUUCCAACUUCAACAGUUAAAAUAAGUAAUACUUAUCUUAGUAACACAUAUUAACACCAUAAAAAAUAAUUAAGCGGCCUUAUUACAUUUAAAAACCUAAAACUUCAAACGUAAAAAAAAGGAUGUCCAGUUCACCAGAAGAAAAUCAAACUUUCAGAACGGGUGGCCACUCCGAAUUCCCUCACAGCUCCAAGCCCACUAUGGUUGGGGAUUACCUGCGUGGAUGAAAAUAAAAGGGGUGAGUUUGGGGAAACUCAGUGUGUAAGGAAAACCCAUUCAAAACCCAAGUCAGCUCAAGCCCAUUCAGGUAACAGUGAUACUGGGCCAGAGCCCUUUUCAAAUUACAAUAAACUGGGCCUUAGCCCCUUAUUCAGAUAACAGUAUGGCCCAUAGGCCCAUUUCAAAAUACAUGCAACAUCAGUAAACAUAUGCAAGCCCAUUUGGGGAGACUACUCAAUCCACCAACCACUACACUCCACCCAUACCAGCCAUACACUCCAUGUGGGGAAUAGCUCAACCCACCCAGCCCAACACUCCACAGUUGCAGCCUUGCUGCUCAGUUAACAGUAAGUUGAGGCAAAGCCCCUUAUUCAGAUAACAGUAUGGCCCAUAGGCCCAUUUCAAAAUACAUGCAACAUCAGUAAACAUAUGCAAGCCCAUUUGGGGAGACUACUCAACCCACCAACCACUACACUCCACCCAUACCAGCCAUACACUCCAUGUGGGGAAUAGCUCAACCCACCCAGCCCAACACUCCACAGUUGCAGCCUUGCUGCUCAGUUAACAGUAAAUUGAGGCAAAGCCUCCAGUACGUGGACAAGCCAUUUUUAGUACUUCCUCCGUCAAUAUCCCAAUCCCAUGCAUCAGAUAAUAACAACAUGGCAUGCAGUAAAUAACAACAGUCAAACAUGCAUUUAAGUCAAUUUAACCCUAGGGGUAUUUCGGUAAUUUAUCUCCUAGGGGUAAAACUGUAAAUUUUCCACUUUUAAAGGUAUUUCAGUAAUUUAUCUAUUUUAGGGUUUUUCAUGCAUAUUUCUACCUUUCACGUACUACAGAAUCACGUACCGAGGGUUCUUACCAAAUUGGGCCCGUUGGCCCAUCAUUCCAAUUUUGGCCCAUUAAGCCCAAAAAUAUCGAGGGCACAGAAAUCAUGCACUUUGUAGUCCAAAUUUUGCAGCUUACCAAAAACAUUAAUCGAUUUACCUCAGGAGCAUUCGCACACUCGCAAAUCUACAAAAUACCGGUUUUUGGCAUUUCAGCUUUUCGACUUUUGCCGAUCCAGACUAAGAAAGAGGGUGUUAGUUACACACCUGUUUGCGAUGAUAUGCUGACGAGAUCCACACACGAACUGCCUACAAUUGGAUUACUAACACGUUAAUCUAACUAUUCAAAUACGAACUACGUAUUAACCCCUUACAAUAUUCGGCCAACCACACCUACAGAUCAUAGUAAGCUUAUAAGAAAUCAAUAAGCAACUUAUUAACAAUUUUUUGUCAAUGUUUACCACAUAAUCAUAAUUUCACUGCAAGCUGUCUUCCUGAGCAACAGUUACUAAAUCAUUUAUAACUGGAGCUACGAAACUCCAAAUCAAGUGCCAUUAAUUUUCCCUGAAAAUAGACUCAUAUAUCUUAUAUCCAUAAAAUUUUCAGAAUUUUUGGUUUGGCCAAUCAAUACCAGAUUUUUCUUAAAGUUUCCCAUGUUUCACUAUUUGACUAAUCUGACCACUCUUCAUUACGAAUCAAAUUUCUCAUUGUACAGAAUUCAAAAUAUGUUCUAGUUUAUUUCAUUUGAAACUAGACUCAUUAAGCUUUAAUUACAUAAUUUAUUCACCGUCUAACUCAUCUCUCACAAUCUAUGGUGAUUUUCCAAAGUCACGUUACUGCUGCUGUCCCAAGCAGAUUUAUUACCAAAUCACUCUUUCACACAUAACUUGCAUGCAUGUUAUUUAAACAUGUAUAUCACCAAUCAAUCAUCACAUAUCUAUGAUUUUACUUAAGUAUAAUCUCCAUUUCAUCAUUUUAAAGCACAACAUGUUAGCCGAUUUUUCCCUUUAACAUUUAAGGCACAUGCAUGCUCAUUUGUUUGGCUCAACUUCACCUAUUUUCCAUUUUUCAUCAAAAGAACAUGAAACAACAACCAUUUCCUUCAUUUUAAUUCAUGACUAAAUGCUCACAACACAACUAAAAACCAAAAUAUGCUUCAAGAGUUAAGGUAGAAUCAAGAAGAACUCAUGAACAUCAAAUAGAAGCAAACUACCAUGAACUUACCUUUAAUUUUCUUCCCCAAGUGACCGAACAUUCAAGAGCUUUCUCCUCUCCUUUCUCUUCUCUAACUUUAGGCUAUGAUGAACAAAGAUGGACAAAACUUUGUUCUUUUCACCCCUUUUUCUUUUAAUAAAAUUUCAUAUUUCAUCCAUUUAAUUCUUUAAUACAAAAGACAUGAAAUUCCAAUCAUGGAACAUUUACCUAACCCAUUAUCAUGAAACAUUUACCUAACCCAUUAUCAUGGAACAUUUACCUAACCCAUUGUCAUGGAACAUUUACCUAACCCAUUAUCAAUUUGUAUCAAUUUGUACCAUAAAUUAUGGAUAUCAAGUGCACAUUUUGUCUACAACAACAUGAUGGCUGGCCACUUCAUGUAAAAUGGGAGGUUUGUCAUGCAAAUCCUCCUAUUUUACACUCCUAUUUAUUUGGCCACUUCAAUUUAGCCUAUAGCAUUUUCAAACAUUUUCACAUAGGUUCUAUUUCAUAAUUUCACCCCCUUUUUCUUAUGGAACAAAAAUUAACUAAAAUUGACGGGUUCUAUCUUAAGCUUGGGCCUUCUAGAGGCCCACUAACAUAAUUAAAUCUAUGCCAACAUUCACAGAAUUCCCGAAAAUUGGGGCGUUACAUAGUGAAUUAUCUCUCUGAGUUAAGCUGUAAAUAUAAAAAAAUCAAAUCGCGUAAACAACUCAAUUAUGUUUUUCUUAUUUCAAAUAUAUAUUCAUAUAUAAUCUUUUAUGUUAAAACUUAUAGCAAAUAAUUACAAAUAAAAUAAGUUAAACAAAAUAAAGUGCUAGCUCUAGUGGUCACUGAAAGUGGAACGAGAACAAAUAAAAACUUUAAUUACUACAUGUAAUUAAAUAACAUGUGCCUUAGUAAAGAAAAACUUUGCUAACUAUGAGGUAUGCUAUUGUGGCUGCUCACCUCAUCUUUUAAUUAGGGUGAGCAAAAUUUGUUUUAAUUUGAAAAAUUAGAUAAAAAAAUUCAAAUUUUAAAUUAAAUAGUUUGAGUUAUUCAAGUUAUUCAGAUCAAUUCGAAUAAAAAAUAAAAUUGUUCAGUUCAACUUGAAUAUGAAUUACACAAUUCAAGUUAUUCGAAAAUUCGAAUAAGAAAAGACAAAACUACGUCGUUUUGAUAAAUGUUUAUCCAUUAAGUUAAAAGUUAAAAAUCAUUAUGUUGUUUAUGUAGUUAAAUAAUCUUCUACUUCGUCUACUAGUUAAACAAUCGGUCUAUAUAAACGCAACAUUGAGUAUAAAUAAUAGAAUUCGUUAACUCAUCUCGAAAUUUUUUCAUUCGAUUCGAUUUGAAAAAAAAUUCAAAUUUAGUUCAGUUGCUAAAAUAAGAUUCACCAACUCGACUAACUCGAAAUUUUUUUACUUGAUUUGACUCAACUUGAUCGAAUACUCACCCCCUACUCUUAACCAUGUCAUUUGAGGUUUGAUUCCCGCUUAUAAGAAUGAAACACAUUUCAUGAUUAACCAUUUAUCUCUUUAAAAAACACUCGUAAUAAAUAAAUUAAUCAUUAUUAUCGACAAUAAAUACCCUAUUUAUGAAAACAAACUCGAGCCUUGAUAAAGAAUUAAAGUGAUUGAGUAUACUGUGGUUCAAAUGAAAGACAAUUGCAGAAGCAAAGCCUUUGUGUUUGGGCUGCCUUAAUUGUUUCUUAGGAAAGCAGAAAUGUAUAUACAUGUGUGUGAUAGAGGGCAUGUCAUUGAAAAAGAUAUAUUAUAGCACCCAAAGGCAUCCCACGCAUUUCACAAGUAUUGAUAUCAUUGUGGAGCGCACAAGUGUCGUUUUAGUUUUUACUCAUCAAUAAAUUUACAUGAUAUUAUAAAUAUGAUAAUAUAUUUAUUUUAAAAGAUUUUAAAAAUAAUAAUAUUUAAUAUUUAACUUAACGGAUUUAAUUAUUAUUAUUUAGAUAAAAUUAAAAUUUUAAAAUUUUAAAAAAUAUAAUAAUUAAAAAUAACAUAUCUUUCGAGUUAAAUGAGACCAUUUGGGUUUAACAAAUUUGUAAAAAUAAUUUAGUUUAAUUAAUAAAUUUAUAUAAAAUUUAUAUUUUGUUCAACACGUUGCAUCUUUGAAUUUAGAUAAAAACAAUAGAAAAAUUAGAAUAUAAUUCAACUUGAUUCAAUUCAUAAAUACAAUUACUUUAUUGUACUAUUUUUUGGAUAUGGAUUAGUUGUGAAAUGUAACCAUUUAUAUGAAAAUAUUAGUUUGCAGGAAGAGAGUGUGGAUAAUCAAAUUAAUUAGUUAGAUAACCUAUGGGUGCUAAUUAAAUUAUAAUCCAAGGAUUUUGAUUAAUUUGUGCAAAAAUUAAAUCAAAUGUUAAGACAACGAGUUUGAUGUUAAUCUUGCACCUAAUUUCUCUUUUCAUUUCUUAUUUUCCACUCCAAUAUUUUGCUUCUUUUUUCCAUUAAGCUUUAUUUUGAGUUUUCUUCUUUUAAUUAAUUUUUUUAAAAAAAUUAUAAAAGUUAAUUUAAAUAUAUUAAUUAGUUAUUGGGGUAGUGACAAAUGACCGGUGCUUAAGUCUUUAUUAACAUAAGGAAUAAAUUAAAAAAAUUUCAUUUAUAUCUAUUUUAUUUUAGUACAAUACAUUAAACACUCAAAUAUUUAUUACAUGCAUUCAAAUUCAACUAAACACUUAUUUCUUUUGAACAAUCUCAUUUUUUAUCAUAUCUGCUCUUUUUGACACAAUGCCUAAAACUACUCAAAGUCCAUAAUAAGAGGAUAAUGCGCUUCUGCACACUCAAAACCACGUCUUUCUACAUUAACUACAAUACUCAUGCCAAUCAAACUAAAACUCAACCGGCAAUAUAACUAAUCACUUAAGAAGGUGCAAAUAAAAAAAUUCCCUAGUUUAGAUCUCAAUCGUUUUUAAACUUUUUUUUAUUUACAUGUGCUAUUUGUAUAGUAUUAAAGCAUUAAACAAUUUCUUAAACCAUAUAGAAACAUUCAAUAAUAUUUAAAUUAAUUGUGAAUGGAAUUGGAUAAUAGAUUUGUACAAGUCUAGGGAUCAGUCUCAAAACAGGUGGAGUCCACUCUCCACUCUUUGAUUUUGGUUUAAGCUUUUAGAUCAUGAUAAUCAGAUGAAAGUAAAAUUUAUUUAUGUUUAAUACAUGGUGAAUAUGUAUAUGAAUCUAUUAAAGAAAUUUUUGAAAACCUUAAAAUUUUGAUGUAAAUGAGAUAUUUAUAUUCAUAAGUUAUUUGAGUUUGAUUAAAAACACUCAAACUCGAUUGAUAAUUAUUGAGACGAGUUCGAGCAUGUCAACUCUCAAGAUAUUUGUCGAAUUGAAUUUGAGCACUGUAAUACUUGAUUUGAAUAACUUGUGAACUUAACCAAACUUUUUAUUUGAAUAUCUUUUAUAUUAUAAAGUUACAAUCUUACCCUUAAGUAUGAACAAGCUUGAUUGAGCUUUAAUUCAAGAAUGAGUAUGGAAAUUGAUAAAUGAGCUUAUUCGAGUUUGAUUAUGUCUUGAAUUGAGCUUGAAUAUAAAAUUCGACAUUCGAUGGAGCUCAAGUCGAGUAUUGAGACCCAAAUUUUUAGUUGAGCUUGAGCUUGUCAAUAUUAAGGUUUAACUCAACUCGAUUACACCCUUAAGCGUGGUCAGACAAUAGGUAAAGACAUUGGCUCCUCUUGAUUAAAUGAUAUAUAUACUAUUUUUUCUAGUCUCAUUUAAAAUUAAUAUUGCAAUUUAAUCCUUUUUAACCUUUUACUCAAAUGGAAAAAAAUAUUAAGUCAAUUUAAAUAAUUUUACCCCAAAAUUUAUAGUUUUAACCCUUGAAUUUUUAAAAAUUUUCUCAAUCUUCCAACACAAAAUUCCUAGGUUUGCCAUUUCUCUUAACCCUAGACCGCUAACUAAUUAUACUCUUCAUAAGACAUUAUACGUAUUAUUCCACAUGAACAUAUAAAUUUUAAAAAACUAUAAUAAUAUUGGUGUCAACUAAACUUAUAACCCAUAAACUUUGUUAGUGACAAUUACACUGUUCAUAUACAAUUCUAGUUGCAACUCAAUUUGCCAUAUUUGAACGGAACCUUUUGAUUAAAAAAAACUUUGAAUUUUUUAAUGCGCAUACUUGGAGGAUUUCUAGCAAUACUAUAUUGAAUUAAACUGUGAAUAAAAUCAAGCCAAGCAAAGAUUCUAUGAAUACUUUCAAGGGUCAAAGUUUACUUAUUUAAAGAGAUUUGAAUUCUAAAAAAAUAUCCGCUAAUUCUAUUUCAUAUUAAAGAUUUUAUCGAGCCAACUUUAAAGAGAUAGAUCUUCACGUCAAUUAUAAUGGUCGUUAUAAUUUUAUGUCAAGAUUGAAAACGAUUAUUUUGUUCGUGUAAGGAACUUACUUUAAUAAAUAUUUUAUUGUAAAUCAACGAUUUUCUAACUUUUCUAGGGAAAAAGUAUCGGUGAUUGAGUUGAAAAUAAAUCAUAUUAUGUACAAAUUAAUUUAUAAUGAAUUACUCUUUAAUUUCCAUAACUAUAAUUUUUUUUCGGAACUGUAUAACCAAAUUACGGUAUCCUAUUGAAAAGGAUACGGAGAAGUGUCCCAAAGCAUUAGAAAACUUCUCAAGUAGAAAUGUGAAUAAGAAAGGCUACCAUAUAUGGUCCUUUUUCCUUGAAUGAUUGUUAAGCAAAUGCUUUCAUUAUUUUUAUUGUUAUUUUCACAAACAAGUAUCAUCCCCAUCUCAUUCAAUCCACAAUAAUAAAGACAAUUAAGGGUGAGUGUGAUCGAAUUGAGUGAAAAAUUUUGAGUUAAUUGAAUUGACGAGUCCUAUUUUAUCAUUCUAGCUCGAUUUAAAAUUUUUUCGAAAUGAAAUUUGAGUUAAGUCGAAUCGAAUGAAAUGUUCGAGUUAAAUUAAAACAUUAAACAUGUCGAAUUAAAAUAUUGUUACAAUAUAACUAAUUCAAUGUUGAAGCACAUAAAUUUGAAACCAUAUAUAUUUGAAAACUUUUUCAAAGAAAAAUAAAAAAUUACUUUAGUAUGAUAAACUUAAAAAAUUAAUUAAUUAAUUUAAGUUUCAAAAAUUAUUAUUCUAGAAAAUUUAUUUUUUAACUUUUUUAUAUAUUUUUUAGAAUUUUUUUCUGAAAUUUUUAUAAUUUUUUAAAAAAUAUAAAUUUUGGAAUUUUUAUAAAUAUUUUAAAAUUUUAAAAUUAUUUUGAAUUAUUUUAUAAUUUUUGUUAAAGAGAGAGACCAAUUUACUUAUUUUCAAACUUGACAAUGACCAAAAGGGUAUUUAUGCCAAUCUAUUAUUCAAAUUAUUCGAAUUGUAAAAUUCAACUCGACUUGAAUAACUCGAUUCAAUUAACUCAAAAUUCAAAAGAAAAUUUAAUUUUUUCAAAUCAAAUAAAAUUUUACCCACCCCUAAAACACCCAUAUCUAAUCCUAUAUAUGGUUUUCAAAUAUUUUCUUUUAAUCAUGGUUAGUUUUUUUGUUAAUUUUCUAUUCCUACUUUUUACCUUAAACUUCACAUCCAUUUAAUCACCAACAAUUGGUAUAACCCCACACGUUGUUUUCUUUCUGUUUAUAUCUUACAACUUACAACCAAAACAUCCACACUACACACACAUAUAUAUAUUCAUUCCAAUCUGCUAAAUUGGUAUCCAAAACUACUCAACUUUCUCUCUGAAUUCCUACAAGUUAGGUUAGUGUUUUCCAUUUGCAUUUUUGUGUUAAAAGUUGUUUCUCUUGAGAGUUCUAAAUGCAUGUCUAUGUUUUGAAAUGGGGUUUACUUUUUGUCUUUUGUUCAUAAUGUAAAUUUAUUGGAUAUUUUGCUGUUUAUCUGCAAUGUAAUUGCCAAUGAUUUGAUUCUUGUAGGAGUUUGGAGAGUGGUCACCGCUGAAGCAAAACAAUUUUCUUGGGGGAAAAGAAAAUGGAGUUUUCCAUGAUUUUUAUGAUUAGCUUCUCUGUAUUGAUUUUGUGCUCCUCACUGGCAUAUGGUCAAGUUGCAAUGAGCACAAGCCCGACACCGUCACCCUCACCAGCACCGGCACCGACACCGGCAUACACAAAUAUCAAAGACUUACUCUCUGUGGCAGGUCCAUAUCACAAGUUCCUGGGCUACCUCGAGUCGACUAAAUUAAUCGACACGUUCCAAAUCCAAGCCAACAACACGGUUGAAGGCAUUACGAUUUUCGUACCGAAAGACAGCGCAUUCAAGGCUCUUAAGAAGCCUUCAUUGUCAAAUCUAACUGAUGAUCAGUUCAAAUCAGUGCUCCUUUACCAUGCCUUGCCACGAUACUAUGCCCUUGCGGACUUCAAUGACCUAAGUGAGAAAGGCCUUAUUAGUACACUUGCUGGUGGCCAAUACACUUUGCAAUUCAACGAUGAGUCUGGUACCGUCCGCCUCGAUUCCGGAUGGAGCAAAACAAAAGUCACUAGCGCAGUACAUACGUCCAAGCCAGUCGCAGUCUAUCAAAUCGAUAAGGUCCUUCUUCCGGAGGCCAUUUUCGGGACCGACAUACCUCCGACACCUGCACCUGCCCCGGCUCUUGGUAUUGGCCCAUCAGCUGACACUCCAUCAGCAGCAAAAUCCGAAGAAACUGGUUCCUCAUCAAAGCCUUCGUUUUCGGGUUCAUCAUCUCCUAGGAUCAUGAUGAACUCGGGCAUUUGGACUCAGCUGGUUUUGGCAUUCUUAGGUGGAUGGCUGGUUCUCUUUUUCUGAGACGUUAUAAUUUUAUGUUGAAAGGGGGGCACAUAUGGGGUUCUCAAUUUUCUGUGAUUUUUAGACCCCAUUUUCUUUCAUAUAUAUGUUACUGUGUGUUAUUAUAAAAAGAAUGUUAUUGUGUGUUAAGAAUAUGGUUGUGUUAUAAUUACCAUUUCAAUUUUAAUGGAGUUUUGC